rnacentral:lncRNA from 1 species
AUUGGAUAUGGUGUCUGUUGUCAUACUAAUGAAGGUCAUUACAGGAAUUGGCCUUUCCUUGGUUGACAUGCCUUGAAUAAUGCAACUAGGUUUGUGGGAUUGGAUAAUGUAUGUUUACUGCAUAUUAUUGGCUUUGCAAACCUGAGUUCUAUGGUGCGAGUCAUGUAAACAUUUUAGAUUCGAUAUGGUGUCUAUUGUCGUACUAAUGAAGGUCAGAGUAAGUACAGGAUUGGCCUUUCCUCGUGUGACGUGCCUUGAAUAAUGCAACUUGGUUUGCUGGAUUGUUAGGGUUGUUGCUUGUAUGUUUACUGUGUAUUAUUGGCUUUGCAAACCUGAGAUCUGUAAUGGGAGUCAUGUAGAAUAUUUUGAUGUUUGUAAUGGAUGGUUGUUCCUAAAAUCUCUUGUAAUCUCAUGAGAGGCAAAAUUUACUUGUGUUUGGUUGGUUGGCAGAGCUGAUAUGCUUCUGAUUCAACAAAGCAGGAUUCCACCUUCUGCAAAAAAUGCAGGUUUUUGAACUCAAAUCAGAUAGGAUUCAUGUAUCAUGCGAAACUUUGAUCAGGGCAUUCUGAUUUUCAUUCCAAACGGCAGUUCUCAUGCUACGGAGGGAGUUCAAGUGUAUACUGUAGUAUACUAACUGGAAGGCAUGCUGCUUAGUAGCCUCUGUAUUGGGAAAACUUGCCAAUAGUUUGCCAAGGCUUAAGGGGUCAGAAUCAGAGAAAAAGGCCGAAAGUUUGAUCCAUCUCUUUUCAGGUGACAGCAUGGGGAGACGAGUAGCUAUGUAGCACCGAACCAUGACAAACUUCCAAUUAAUUGCGGAUAAUCUGGACAAUUAACUAAAGUAAUUUUGCAUCGGCUGAUGAUGAGAUGCAGUAGUUCAACAAAUGAACUAAUAGGCUUUCACCUAAUUUAAGAUGGAAAUCGAUUGAAGAUACCGGAAGGUAUCUAAGCUGUUUGUCUGUAAGAUGGCAAACGAUGAACUAAAGUUUGAGAGGGGAAAGUAAAUUGUUGUGUUUGUUGAAGGAUGUUGUCUUGAUGUGGUACUUGGCAAAAUAAGGCGGAAAACGCUUCGCAACACAUAUUCUAUUAACAAAAACAAACUUAGUACCAAAUACCAAUUGAUUGAAAAGGUUAAACAAAUGUGCAACAUAUGAGAGCUUAAACAAACUAACAAGAAGAGUUUAAGCAUAAUAGAAGAGUUUCGUCAGAGGAAACAAACUAACAAAAACUUGAAAUUAUUUUAUGAAAAAUUGUAGUAACAUUUAAUAAAUGUGCUUUUUAGUUUUAACAAAAUAGUUAGAUCAAAGAUAAAUACAGUAGUAUGUAUGAUGGAUGGGCACGUUGGAGAAGGCGGCACGGCAGAAGGGCAUUUACUUUUACGGGGAAGCAAAAAAGUUAGUGCUAGUCUGGUUCCUUCUAAUUCUGCAGUCUCAUAAACGAAAGCGAAGACGCACCUCCACAAAACUCUCGUCCAAGCCUUGUGUAGGCCAUUGCGCUAGGAGCAAUUUGGAUUUCGAGGUAACGCCCACUGCCCUUCGUUCCAAAUUUAUCCCUCAUUAUAAUCCGACAUUCGCAUCAAUAUAUUCACCUGGACCUGGAGGUAAGCCAUGCCUGCUUAUGGUCAUUGUAACUGUCUCUACUUGUUUGAUAAAAUGCCCAAGAGAAGUACUCGAGUAAAGUUAGUUAAGAAUGAUCGUGUGAGGUCAAAAAGAGAAAGGGGAUUGUGACGUAAAUGAUCAUGUUGUAAUUUGUUUCACUGUGAACUAUGCUUCUCUUAUUAGUCGUUGCCUGGGAAUAAUUUCUUUCUUUCUUUCUUUUCCUCUCCUAGCUGUAAGUCUGUGCCACGCUGGGUGUCUCUUCCGAAGAAUUACUUGUUGCUCUGGUUGCUUGCUUGUUUAGUUAGGGAAUAUAUGUUUUAGGAGAACUAGGAAAGGAAAAGAUUUUUUUUUUUUUUUUGGCUCUGUGUUUGGAUUAAGCAGCUUGAGAGUUUUUCAUUUUUUUCUAGCACAUCUCAAACGUAUCCAUUCAUAAUUUCGUGAGCCUAAGUUUAUAUCUUUCUGAAUCCUGUUUUUGAUCGUAAAUUGCUGGUAAUUUUGCCUAAUUUGGAUUGUAUUAGGAGAAGAUGAAAAAAGGAAUUCAUCCACAGCGUCAAUGGAUUUCCUACGUAACCCAGAGCGGGCGAUUGAUCAACGUUAUGAUGACAAAAAUACACCAAGUUGGUAAAGUCUAUCACAUAAGGGGUAGACAGGAGAGGACCGAAGGCAUUGGCCAGAUUGCAAAAUUUAAGCGUCGUUAUGAACAACAGAAGGUAGAGGAAACAGAAGAGAAGUAAAUCCUUUCACUUGCAGAGCAAUGAUACAUUUCUAUGUUUUCCCUGAACCAAAUAUGGAAUGCCUUGUUUUCAUUUGUCAUUACACUAUCGUGCAUGGUAGCACAUAUGCUUCAUCAUUUCUUUUCCAUAAUUGACAACUUUUAAUGAUUUCUUAUGGACAUUGAUGGGUAAUAUUUCACAGAAUGGAUACCAAGGGCUUCAGUAUCUGCUGGUUGUCCUUUCAUCUUCUUUGCAAUUGUUAUUGUUUUCUUUUGGAUCUUAACGGUGUUCUCUGCCAAGUUGAAUUAAGGAUAUAUGACAAAUGUACCUUUGAUUAUGCAAGGUGUUAGAUUCUAUUUCCUUUCUUUUAUUCUUGUCAUUUCUUGCUGCAGCCUGCAAGUUUCUAGGCUUAUGCUUCUUUAGGCAAACAACAACCACUUGUCUUAGCAUUGAAUCUUAUUCUUUCUACUUGUUUAGUUUUGAGAUCGCUCAUUUUCUUCAUUGUUCAUUUAUGAUUAGUUUUGCAAACAUAAGUUUAUCAUGUUAGAGGUCCUUAAUCUUCACAUGAUAAUCUGAAGGACGAAGUUUUUCCUCCAGACUAUCUAUUCCACCUAGCUGAGUGCUAGUACGAUAUAUACUAUAGAAACUGAUAACCAUUAGUUCAACCAGUUUGGGUACCUUGUUUUUCCCCCUUUUUGAUGGUCUGUGUUGUUGUGCUAAUGAAGCUCAGUUGCCCUUUCCUUGUGUGAUAUGGCUUAAAUAACGCAACCAGGUCUUUGCUGGGUUUUUAUGGCUGUCACUUGUCUGUUUACUGUGUAUUAUUGGCUUUGCAAAACAUGAGCUCUGAAUUGCGAGUCAUUUAGAAUGCUUUUGAUGUUGUAAUAGUUGUUCGUUUAGAGACUUCGUAAAAUCUCUCAUAUUUUCCUUAAGAGGCAGAAUUAAUUUAUUGGGCAGAGAUGAUCUGCGUCUGAUUCGACAAAAGCCGGUUUGCCACCGUUUGCUAAAUGGCCAGCUUUUGAACUCAAAUGGGAAGGGGCGUAUGCAUUAUGUUCAAAUUUCGCUUGAGGUAUUCUGAUCUGUAUGCAAAAUGGUGAUUCUUAUGCUGCGAGAGGAAUUAAAUUCUCUACUAAUCAUGAGGGGCGUUCUGCUUAGUAAUCUCUUGCCAAUAGUUCAACAAGGCUCAAGGAGUCAGAAUCAGAAUGUAAGGUAAAAGCCGAAAGUGGGAUCCUAUUUCCCUUUGCGCCUAAGCAUGUUGAGACAAGUAUUAAACUUAGUACGAAAGCGCAACAAAUUUUGGAUUGAUUGCUAGCUAAAUUAAUUUGCAUGGCGUGAUUAACUAGUAAUCUUUCGCCAAAGUCAAGAAAGCUGGAAGGGGGAAAAGGGGGCGGGGGAGAAUACUGUGAUUUAAGCUCUUCGUUUAUUGUUGGAAGAAGCACUGUUAUAUGAAUUUUGAUAUGGAAACUGUGUUCGUUUAACAAUCGUAUUAUUUUGGAAGAUUUUUUUUUUUUGGAAAUAAUGGUGUAGCAUUUUUAAAAUAUGAUAUAUGUGAGAUAAAUAAGACAAUUGUAAAAAUAAAAAAGGUAAUUGAGAAACAUAUUAUGUAACAACAAUUUUUGUAUAAAGAAAUCUCAAUCCAAACAGACCGCUUUACCAAAUUUUUUCCUUGCUAGGCAAGUGAAAUGGAAACCAGUUACCCAUACAUACAUGUUUAAGAAAAAGAAACUUUCACCAAUGAAAUAAAAAAAAAAAAACUUAAAAUGUUUGAUGUGAAAGAGGGGUAAUGUAUAAUUACUGCCUUGAGAACUUCUGUCUGAAACUACCAUUAAAAAGGGACUAAAUCCCUCUUUGAACUUUACGUUGGGGGUUUGAAUUCCAUCUGCAGUGGAAAAAAUCCAAAGGAGGUGUCAAUGCAUUCCUUUGCUCUAGUCAGAUCUGUGUAUAACUCUCUAAAAUAUCUUCCAAGUUUCGAUUUCACUAUCCAAUACGAACGACGUCGUUGGAAUAAAAUAGUGUUUGGAUUUAUAUGUUUUGAAAUAAAAUAAUUUAUUUAUAAAUUCUAAUAAUUUUUUAUUACAUAUACAUCACGCUAUAAUAAUUAUCUCAAAUAAAUCAUCCAAAUAAACUCCUUUUCAAAAAAACAAGGCCCAAUUGGUUUCACUAUCCACAUUCAUGUACGUCGUUGCAGUCAAAAUACUACCCUUCCCGACGUCUAUCACCUUCAGGUAGAACUCCUUUUAUACUGCAAUCUCUUACAGGGCCUUGUGUCGAUGGAGUAAUAGAAGAAAAUCUUCUAAUUCUUUACUCCAAACGGUUUGGAAAAUGCCAAUCCAGAGUAGCUGAGGAGGAAUCCCACUCUCUGAAACAAAAAUUUGAUCAAUUAAACCCUUCUAAAAGAAGAAGUAUGUAUAUAUCAAAUUCUGGCUUGCUUUUCUCCACUAAUUUUUUUUGCUAUGGUUGCGUUUUAAUCUUUUUGAGGUUGUAUAUAUCCCUUAAAAGUACUCAUGAUUUGCCAUCAAAUUAUGGACUCUACCGUUUGCAAGGUUCUUUGAAGCUUCAGAUUUGCAUUUUUUUUUUUCCAGAAAGAAUGAUAGUAAUUUUUUUUUUUUUUCACCCCGCAUGAAAGUAAAACUUGAUAUCUGAAUAAAGGGGAAGCCGAAAGACGGUAGAAUUUUGACAAAAACAAAAGGAAAAGACAGGAUAGAAGAGGUAAGCCACGUCAACAAGUUCUAGAUUAAGACGCCGUCGUUUUGCACGAGGCAGGAGACUUGGACAGAUAUGCCGUUGGACAGAGGAUCCCGACCAUUAAUUACUUGCCGUUUUCUUUUUCCUUUAAAUUUUAUAUGGUGUUUUUCAGUUCUUUGCCGUUUAAAUGCACCUAAUGACCAGAAAGUUUGAGCAUUAAAGAUUUCUUUGGAGAAAAUCAACGGAAAAAAAAAAGCUUGAAAUGUUGAUGCUCACCUGAAAGUAUGUAAAUUCUAAUAUUUGAAAACGGCUUUUAUAAGUAUUUCCUUUUAACAAAAUAGUAGUGAAAAUCCAUGAUACGUAUGGACGGUGAAAUUUAGUCUGGGUUCCAUAAUUUCGCAGUCUCCAUCGAACACCCUUGGAAGCCUUUUCUAAGCCAUCCCGCAAGGCGCAAAAUUCGGAUUUUGAGGUACUCUCCACUACCCUUCUUUUCUCAAACUUUUUGCCUGCAUCGUAGCCUGCAACUUGAAGCGGCAUUUGCAUCAAUGCUUUUGUAUUCGGAGCAGGCCAUGGAUGUUUACGUUGAUAGCCUCUACGUGCUUGAUAAAUGCCUAAGACAAGUGCUCGAGUAGAUUUAGUUGAGAAUGAGCAUUUAAGGUAAAAAGACAAAAAGGAUUUCUACAUCAAUCAUCAUCUUGUAAUUUGAUUCAAUGUGUACUAUAUUUCUCUGGAGUCAUUGCCUGGGAAUUCUGUGUUUGUUUUCCUCUCUCAGCUGUUAAGUCUGUCACACCCUGGGUGUUGCUGUUUCUUAUUCCUAAAUGAUUUCAAUAGUUUCUUUAAUUUUAUUGCUCAUUUUCCUUCUCUAGUGAGAAAGUUUUCUAAUAAGAACUUCUCAUGUUUCUGCUUGGUAGAUAUUCCUACUGUAAUGGCAUCUUCUGCUGCAUUUUCUACAUAUGCAUUGCAUGGAAGUAAGCUUGCUUCCAGGACAAUGUGGGCCAAUACUUUUAAUGAGCAUACUUACAGUUGUUCAAUCCUGCAAUUAAAGCAAUCAAUUUGUGGUAAGCCUAGUUCCUUGUCAGUCGAAAUUCCUUUUGAGCUGCAACCAAAUGGAAGGUUAGUCUCCAAGAAUAGAGUCAUAUGCAGUGCAUUCGAGGUUGAGAAUACACCAUCAGUCAUGGUUGGGAAUAAGUUUCAACUUGAGGAUGUCAUUGAGGCUCAGCAAUUUGACAGAGAGACACUGAAUGCAAUAUUUGAAGUGGCACGUGAGAUGGAGUUGGUUGAGAAGAAUACUCCUGGAAGUCAACUUCUUAAAGGGUAUCUAAUGGCCACACUUUUUUAUGAGCCCUCAACUAGGACUAGGCUGUCAUUUGAGUCUGCCAUGAAGCGUUUGGGUGGGGAGGUUCUGACGACAGAAAAUGCACGCGAGUUCUCAUCAGCAGCAAAAGGCGAGACACUUGAAGGUAGUCAUUUUCCAAACCCCUGACAAGUGGUUUUGUUGUUUCCAUUGUAAGUUGGGCUUUUUAUAUGCAGAUACUAUAAGGACAGUUGAAGGUUACUCAGACAUAAUUGUGAUGAGACACUUUGAAAGUGGUGCUGCCAGAAGAGCAGCAACAACAGCCAGCAUUCCCAUUAUUAAUGCUGGAGAUGGUCCCGGACAGCAUCCAACUCAGGUUUUCUGCUACGUAUAAUUUAAUCCUGAUUAUUCUUUCGAGAUUCUGCUCUGCUUUGCUGGUUAUGGUUUGUCCAUAAUGUUACUCAUCUCCAUUUGUCACAAAUAUCUCAAAAGUUGUGAAUUAGUAGCAUGCAUUUCUUCGAUACGGAGUGUUAUCUUGAUUCUGGAUGGGAUGUGGUUUUGGAGGGAUUAAAAGUACUUCCACUGCAAUUCUCAUCCAACUUCCAAAUAUUAAUGAUUAUGUGGAAUGUCUCAAGCAUCUAAAUAAGAUUUUCCGUGUUUCCAUUGAUUUUUUCUGGGGCAACACAUUCAUGUUUAGGUUUCUUUGCAAUAAUGUUUGUCAAUAAUUUCUAUCACAUGUUGCAACACAGGCCCUUCUUGAUGCAUACACCAUUGAAAGAGAGAUUGGAAAGCUCGAUGGAAUUAAAGUCGGACUAGUUGGAGAUCUUGCCUAUGGAAGAACAGUUCGAUCACUUGCUCAUUUACUAGCCAAGUACCAUGAUGUGAAAAUCUACUUUGUGUCACCUGAUGUUGUAAGAAUGAAGGUACGGUGUAGCAUUUUUCAAAACUUGGUUUUUUCUUCUGCUUUUGCAUCCUCAAAGCAAUUCCAAUAAACUUAAUUUGUUGAUUUAGAAAGCUGGGAGUCAUGCUCCUCCUGCUUUCUGCUAAUAAUUUGGACGCUUAAUUACAUGUGAAACAGAGGAUUGCCACUCAGCAAUUUCUUUUCAACUGUAUUUUCAGAAUGACAUAAAGGAUUAUCUGACAUCUAUGGGGAUUGAAUGGGAAGAAAGUGCAGAUUUAAUGGAUGUUGCUUCUAAAUGUGACGUCAUUUAUCAAACCCGAAUCCAACGAGAAAGAUUUGGAGAAAGGAUUGAUCUUUAUAGCUAGAGGCAAGUAUAUUGUUAACCAGGACGUCUUUAAUGUAUUGCAAAAACAUGCAGUAGUGAUGCAUCCUCUCCCAAGGCUUGACGAGGUAAGCUUGCCACCCGUACUAACAGGAUUUUAGGUGAUACUUGGCAUCCAUAAUUUUCCCUGAUUACCAGCUGUUUUCCUUCACUCUCUAAUAUAGAUAACGGUGGAUGUGGACAAAGAUCCAAGAGCUGCCUACUUAAGCGAAGAAUGGUCUCUACAUUAGAAUGGCUCUUUUAAAGCUUUUACUUCUUGGUUGGUAGAAGAUGGCCAUGGGUUUUCUUUCCUACAGUAGCCAGUGGUGCUUGCUUCUAUGUGGAGCAGCUAGGUUUCACUUUUAAGAGGCUUUUUGGCUAAUUUUCCUUUGACGAUUGAUAUGAGCACAAAAUUCAUACUUGCUGCCGAGUUGUACCUUACUUUGGCACACAUUGAUGGCUAACUUUAGCUGCAUUUUCCGAUUCUAAUCAAUGAUGAUGUGCCCGAGAAAUGAAAAACCCUCAGUUCUGCAUGAUGAAAUCGAUAUAUUUGGCUACUAUUUGCCAAAUCCUUGCGAUUUGCACUCUUUGCUCCAACUUUCCCCACGUUGCUUGCAGUUUAUAUCAUUUUUCAUGGCGUUGCUUAAUCUGUAACAAAACAUACGUCCAUCCAGAAUAGGAAGAUUGAAAAUUCUCUAUUCAAGUAGUAGUAGUAGCAGUAGUAAUAAUACAAGAUGGUCAUCCAUUUUCAACGGAGUUGAAAAUAAGAUAAAAGCAAUUAUUUCUUUCAGCACUGUGUAUGAAAAGAUCUGCAGUUUAUCUCGCAAAUAUUACAUACAAAAAGCCAUUUCACCUAGUGUUUCAGAACAAGAACAAACCAAACAUCCAUGCAAUCAAAGACUGGACCAUAUAGCACUUUAAAUACUACAUUAAUUAAGAACAAAAUCCUAGAAUCAAACGUCUAGGCAUAACACAAAAAGGGUUCUGACUGAUCACUUGACUUCUUUUUCAUGUAUACAAAAGCCUUGGAAAACUGCAAAGACUUGAUUAUUUCUCCACGGGAUCACUCUCAUCACCCGUCUUGUGGAUGUUUCCCCUACCAGGAGGCUUCUUGAAACUUUCUUUCACAGUUUCAAAACUGGUGUCACCAGCCAUGGUUUCUUGAAACGCAUCAGCUUCCUUUUCUACGGUCUGACUAGUUGUUCCCUGGCGAGCUUUUUCUUCCGCCACCCGUCUGAACUCUUCAGCCGUCGAAGCUGCUCUCUCCGCUGGACGGCCAUCUCGGUGGUGGUCUGGUUUCUUUUUUGAACCAUUUUCUUUCUGUCCCUGCUUGCUAAGUUGGCUAUACAUCUGGUCACCAUCACCAGACAAACCAAGUCUUAGGUAAACUGCAAACACUAAAACACUUAACAAAGGAAAAAAAAGGCAUGAACAGGAAGGAAUUAGAUGAUUACUUGUACCCUGAAGGUAAUGGGUUUGACAGGUAGAUAUCUGAUUCGGCAAGUCUGUGACAAGUUAUAGAAUUGCAGAAGUUUGCCUCCCAUACUGAAUUCGAGCAGUGAUGAAGAAAGAGAAUUGUUGGUUUACACAAAUCCUGAUUACUCUUUUGUCUCGGUGAUCCUAAAGCACCAGAAGAAUUGAAAAUAAUGAGAAAGAAAUUGAAUUGGCUAUGUACCUUUUCAUCACUUGCUAAGGCCAGCAAGUCACUGGUGCAAAGCUUAUAGCUUGGAGACAGUAGUCUGCCACGUGGCAGGCAGCAAAAAUAUUUAAGGAUAAUUGCAGAAACCUCCCCCCAGGUUUCUAAUAGUUGCACUCAUCUCUUCUAAGGUUUGUAAAUAGCACUAACUCCCCUGAACUUAAGAUUUUGAUGGCAACUUUAGCCCAUGUUAGAGAAAGUGUCAUUAAAAAAAAUCUUUUGAAAAGUGAGAUAAUAAUUUUGUUUCAUUUGUACUCGUUUUGCCUCUUGCAAGGUUGUAUUAGUAAAAGAAUGAAAAACAUUAAAGAUGAGAACAAUUAGUGAAACUUAGAGGAUAUAUGUGCAAAAAGAAUAAUGGCAGCAGUAAAAGCUACAAGAAGUAACAAACAUGUGUUCAAAAAUCUGAUAUUCUAAAGCAUAUAAAGAAACUAUUGAUCAAUCAAGAAAAUUCAUCUUUGAUCAGUACAAGAGAGUUUUUUAUUGUCAUGCUAAUCCUUAUAGUAUGAGUAAAUCUUUCCUACACUGACAAUGUAUACACUAUCAUUGUUGAAUUCAUGACAUGUGUGCAAAAAUUGAAUUUAAAAUUCAAAUUUUACAUAAUUGUCAUUCAUCAAAUGCUGAUAGUGUAUACACUGUUAGUGUAGAAAAGAAUAAUCCUUAUAGUAUAUUGAUUUUACACUAUUUACUAUAUUUCGUACAUAGCUAUGCUCUCUCGUGAUCAACACAACAAUUUUAUCAUACUAUAACUAACACCACAAUUUUGUGUAUUAAAUUGAGAUGAUAAAAAAUUACUUACCUAUCAUCUUCUGAUUGUCACAAAUUUUUAACAGAAAAAUCCUCAGAUUUUGCCUUGAUUUCUACUUUCUUUCUUCUUUUGUUUCAUGAAUGCAUGAGAUGAAAUAAAUCCAACCAAAACCACCAAAACUUAUUCUUCUAUGAAGCCUUCUUUGGAGGUUUAUUUCUCCUACAUAUUUCUUGCUUCUGCUUCUCUUCUAUGUAGAAAAUAUAUUAUUUGAAUUGUUCUCUCAAGUGUUGUCAAUCAUAAAAUGACACUAUGUUGGAUCAUCAAUUGGUGCCAUUUUGUAAGUGCACUUAUAGUGCUUAAUAAAGUAAAUGUUAAUUUUGUUUAAUUAGCUAUCUUAGACUUGUUUAUUACUCUAAUUUUUUUGCCCCAAAUUUAUUUACUAACAAAUGUUAAAUUCUUAGGAUACAGAGGUAAAUUUAUCAUAUCUUAUGUCAACUAUAUAUGCCCCAAAUUCAUGUUAGAGGAGGUUAGUGUUAUUUUUCAAACCUUAAGAGUGGUGAGUACAACUGUUGGAAAUCUCACGAGAGGUUUCUGCAAUUAUCCCAAAUAACAAUCACAAACGCAGCCUCAAUUACGUAUACUGAGUAGUACGCAAUGUGAUAGCCUGGAAAGGUGCCGAAGGAAGGAUAAGCAUCAGGUGGCAUGUCACUUGAUCAUGCAUCAUCUUUGUUUGGUGCUCACUGAACGAGAAUGAUUUACCUUACUACUUCGUAGCUUUUGAUGGGUAAAUUACGUAAUGUAUAUAUCCUAGCUAUUAUGUACAUGUUUGAAAAAUGUUAUUUACAUUUUAUUUUUUAUUAUUUGUACUUUCACCAUUUAUUUUAUCAUAUAAUCUAAUAAAUAAAAUUUAUAUGAUUAAUAUGAUAGCGGGUGUCUGAUUAACAAAAAAUGGAAGUAUAAAUAACUUUUUUUUAUAUUUUUUAUUAUAUAUCAACUAUUUUAAUCAACUGCUGGUUCCAAUUAUACUGACAUAUCUUGUGUUACGGAUAUUGGACAUAUAUUAGUGAAGAAAAUUAUUAUUCACAAAUUAAAAAUUUGAAUUGAAGGGAGGAUUUAAGUUUAAAUCUUGUAUCUCACAAUUAGAGAUGAAAAUUAAAAAGGUUGCGAAGAAUGGUGGAUGGUUACUUCAAGAAAAAAAAAAAAAAAAGGAAUGGUGGAUGGUAGGAUAAAAAAAGAAAAAGUAAGUAUUUGAGUUCUAGUCCGACCUAUAACCUAUCUCAGUCAGGUGGGACCAAGACCUUUCAGUAGUGAGCCCAUUUUCUCUCAAGAGUCGAGUUUUCAAACUUUUCAUUGUAGCCGGAAUACAAACCUCACCCGUCUUCUGCUCCAACCGAAACUCCCAGGACUCGGAAACCACUUGGUAACAUCAUUUGUACUUCUCUUCUUGCCCUUUUAUUAAUCCGGAUGUUCAAGAGUAAUUACAUCAUAUAUAGCAGCAUUCGCAAUGCACUAAUAAAUUUGUGCGCUUCUCUUACUUUGUAAACAUGGGGUGUGAAUAAAAAUUGAGUCUUUGUGCUUAGCCGAAUAAACUUGUUUGAUUGGGGAUUUUGGUGAAACGGAUAUUCUGGAUUAUAGAGUUUUUCUCUUUUUUUUGUUAAAUUUUUUUAUCAAGUUACUAGGUUUAGAAAUUUGGGGAAUUAAACUUUUUCCAGUCUCAUUUGGAUUUUAUUUGGUUUACGUCAAGUUUAAAGUGAUUGGCACUUGGAUUUAGCUACAGCUGAAAAACAUAAUCAUGCUAUUCAAUUGUCAAUACUAGACUGGAGCUCUGUUCAAUGAGAAUAUGUUCUAAAUUGAUUCGUCAAGUAAUCAAAUCUAACGCGAGCAAGAUUUCUUGCUCCUUUUAAUUAUUUAAGCUCAGGCUCAGCUUGACAAGGAUAACACUUGAGAAUUUGCAUAUAGAAGAACCAAGCAAAGCUUUUCUGCAAAAUUAUGCUCAUGAAAAAUUAAUCCAAGCUUUAACAUUGUGUCCAACUGAUUAGGCUCAUGAACACCCUAGAGUUACUAGCACAUUAAUUUGCUUGUCAGUUUCAAAUGUCAAAGCAGUUUCUUUUUUGUUAACCACUUCGGUAACAAAUUCUUUCUCGCUUUGCCUGUUUGGCUAGCAGAUUAUUGUUGAGUGCUAGGUUUAAUAAGAUAAUUUAUGUUAUGACCUGCCAAGUUACAGCCACACUCAGUUACUGAUCAAUCUGGAAACUGGACAGCAGUGCUCAACCAGGAAGAAAUGAGCGCUUUCAAGGCUUUUAAAGCUUGCGUGCCGAUUGAAUGGAGUGAUAAGCUCUACAUAACCCUUGUUAGGGGUAUCCCUGGAACCAGGGAGCUCCAUAGGCGGACAUUAGAGGCGCUGCGCCUUCGCAAAUGCAACCGCACAGUUGUGCGAAAAAAUACUCCUACAGUUCGUGGAAUGCUUCAGCAGGUUCUGAAAUUAGCUUGAUCCAACUGCAUAUUUGUCUUAUGUGGUCAUACUCUGGUUUGGCAACUGACAAUUCUUCAAUAAGAUUGCAAAUAGUCAUUACUAUUCUUUCUGUUAUGUGUAUUGGUUCAUAUCAGGUAAAACGAUUGGUUGCAAUUGAGACAAAGGAAAUGCACGAGGCUCGGAAACGAAGAGGCUAAUCACAGAGCUCUGCGACCACCGUUGGUUAUUAGUCAUCAUCCAGCCCCAAAGACUGAAUCCUUUCAGUUAUCUUAGAGAUUCUUCGAGGCAUGCUUCUUUUAUUUUUCUGCUUUAAUCUCUCUACAUACAAGUGAACACAGACACAGAAGCACACUUUUGAAGGUAGAUAAAGCAUUAAUAACGUGUCUACAGGUAAAAUGGUGAUGUGUUUUGCGGUUGGUGAGGGUAGUGCUGGACCUUUUUUCUCUACAAAUUAUAUCAGGAUGAUGUUUGUAAAAUUUCAGGUUAGAUGAGAUAAGUGGGGAUGACGAUGAACAGAAGAAAUCGUAUUGAUUUGAGAAAUAGAUUGAAGAUUGUCUCCUGCAGCUAGAUUGUCAUUGCAAAUUGUCUUAUUUAAAAUGUGACGCAAAGCAAUAGAAUUGUCUGGCUUGAAACAUGACGUAGUGACAAAACAGGAUAUCGAAUUUGGGAGGAAGGAAAGAGGGCUGGAUACAAGGCUCGUGUAUAAGAUUCUAUGCUUCAUUGUGCUGUUUUCAUUUCUUUAUCCGAUGUAGUUGAACGUGCAAUUGUUUAUUUGCUGUCUUAUCCAUUAGUGUAAUUCUCUGGUUUGGUCCUUCCAUUUAUGUAAUGUUCUCUGUUCUGCAGAUACAUAGCAUAGUACUGAUUGUGAUUCAGAUCUUUGAAGAACAGAAGUUUCAUUAGUGGCCGAACUUGUGUUAAAGCUUGUAAUCUCCUGGCGGAUGAAUAAAAUUUGAAGUGUUGCAAAUUUAGUUCAGACUGCAGAGACAUAGGCAGUUAAUGCUUUUUUCAUGAGAGGUUUUUUCUUUUGGAAUGAGAUCAUAGAUUAGUGGACUAAACCGUCGGAUUUAUUUGGCACUCAUGUUUGUAGAAAACCUUUUACACCGUAAACCAUUAGUAUUAUUUAGAAUAUGUUGUGGUGUUAGGAAAAAAAAAAAAGAAAAGAAAAAGUGGAAGAUACUUGCCUUCACAUGUGUCCAAGCAUUAGUGGAGGAACUAAUGGAAGAAUCAAAGCUAGUGCUUCAUUCUUAGUUGGCUGAGAGAAAACAAGAAAGGAAAACAAACCACGUUCCAUUCACUUCCUCUGUUGGCUAAAACGAGAAACAACAAGAAGGAAAAACAGAAAACCUCUCUUUCCUUCUCCAACCUUGAACACCAGCCAAGAAACAAGAGCAACUCCAGCUCAUUUAACCAAGGAAUGAGAUAGAGAAACAAAAGAAAAGCAGAUAUGUUAUAUUUUCGCUCAUGGCCUGGUGUAUGUUAAAUCGUUCGAUGCAUCAGCUUAUAUAGAAAACCCUGUUUGUUGAACGGGCUUUAAAUCUGGUCAAAUCUCUGAGAAAGUUGAAGGUGGUGAAUGACGUUUAGAAAUGAUACCAGUAAUCUUUAGUAGUUAUCUGGUUACUUAGCCCUUUUCUUUUUUUUCUUUUUUUUUUUCUAAAGCUGGUAAAGGAAGUUCAUGCUUGUCUUUAACUUUUGAGAUUGUUCUAAUGCUUCAGAAUUGUUGGGUAGUGGUAGAAAUUGAAGGUGGUGAAUUGCAAGUGGAACCCAUUGUAUUCGAGUAGCCCUUUGCUCAAAGUAUAGCAUAGAAAAUGAUAAUGAUCUCCAAGUCAAAUUGGAGGAAAAUACAAGGAUGUUGAACACCAAAAUUUCACACAAGAUUUGUCACUCUUUUCUUUUUUUCCUAUAACAUUUGGUUUUUUUUUCAAAUCUGCAAAGAUUAUUUGAGGUGGGAUAACGGCACCUUGAUUGUCUUUUGACUCCUCUACUGUACAUGGUCUCUAGCUUGAAGCAAUUAACGGAGGAUCAAAAACGUGACUAGUAUUCUUCUGUUCUAAUGCAUGCAGGUUAGCAAAAACUCCAACAAGAGGCGCGCAGUAUUAUAAGUGCAGGCUUCUGUCUGCACAUAAUUUUCCCUACCAUCUCUAAAUUGGUCCUUAAUAUCUGGUCCACCUACCAGUGCUCCCACCAGGACAUUAGGAUUUGAUUCCUGGCGUCCAUACCAGUUAUCAUAACCUUGUGUGCAGCCGAUAAAUCCCUUGUUAUUCCUAUAAGACUCCAUGGAUGCUCCUCUGUGAUGCACCCUCUGGGGGUACCUUGAACCGUAGCCAACCAAGUAGCUGAUGGCCAUCGGAUUAGAGCCUAAGAUGUAAUCAACCUGUGAUUUUGCGAAGGAUGAUAUAUCAUCUGGACCCACUAAGACUCCUCCGUGGCAAUUGAGCUUUUGAUUGGCAGCUCGGAGAUGAUCAGAGUAGGCCAUAAGCAAAAAUGUUGCAGAUGAAACAUACUGCAUGUUGUUCCAUUGGCGGAUGUAGAUGAGGCCACCUGGGGUUCGAUGUAUAUUGGUUGUAUUGUUCUUGUUCAGGCAGGCACAGAUGUAGUAUUCUGCUUUGAAGCGGUAUUCUUGGAGAAUCUGACUGUGUUCUUCAUGCUUUUUUUUCAUGCCCAGCUGCAUGAAAGGAAACGUAUGGAUAAAUUGUAGAAAAGCCAUUAAACAGGGAAAAGUAUUUUCAAUUUUAUUCAAGUAUUGAUUUGCUGUUGUAUUUAGUGCUGCCUAGUGCAUAAAUCACAAUCCCCAUUAAGCUUCAUCAGUUACAAAAAGGAAAAUAAUUUCUAAUUUUUACCUUCAAUGCAGUAUUGAAUGUAUGGGAUGAAUCCCAUUUGCUUUCCCUUCUGACCGACCCAGUCUGGGAUACAAAUAGGGCCAUUAGCAAAUCGACCCCGUUAUCAUUAUACUGAGGGUCCCUUUGUUUCGACGUAAAAUGUUUUCCAUGAGAAAAUAUUUUCAGUAAAAGACAUUUUCCAUGAAAAUAUUUUGAUGUUUCAUGCUUUUCUGAUGUUUGGUUAAUUUUUAAAAUGUCAUUUCGACAGAAUAUCUGCAAGUAGAGCUGCAAAUGAGUCAAGUCGAGUAGAGUUUUGACCUAAUCGAGCUGAGGCUUGACUUAAUUUUAGUGAACUUGAACUCGAGCUCGAGCUCGACAAGCCAACAAUUUAAAGCUCGAGCUCCAAUCAAUUAUUUUAUUUUUUAAAAAAUAAAUAAUAAUAUUUUUUCUUAAUAAAUAAUAAAAUAUUAAGAAUAUAUAUGUAAUUUUACUAUUAAAAUAAAAAAAUAUAUAUACUUAAAAUAAAAAUAAUAUAUAUAUUCUUAAAAUAAAAAAAUAUAUAUAUAUAUAUAUAUAUAUAUAUAUAUAUAUAUAUAUAUAUAUAUAUAUAUAUAUAUUCGAGCUGGGCUUAAUAUCUUGAACUCGAGUUCGAGCUCGAUAUUGAUCGAGCUUGACUCGCGAGCGACUCAGUUCGUUUGCAGCCCUAUAUGCAAGUACUCCGCUCUACGUUGUCUAUCAUUCUUAAAGGCAUAAACUGAUUCUUUUCCAAACUAGAAAGCAAGGUUCCAUAAGAAUAUGUAGUGGUAAUACGAAUAGGCAGUUUGAAAUAUUAGGUUCGUAACUCAUGGCAAGUGGAAAAAAUAACUUCUAAAGAUCUAUUGUGUAAGUUGUUUUCCACAAGAGAAUGCAGAUCAUUUUCCCAAAAAAAAAAAAGGUUUUCAGUGGUCUAAUUGCAUCCAAACACUGGGAAAUUUUGGAAAGGAUUUUUCGGAAAAUAUUUUGCACUGAAGCAAACGGACCCUAAGAACAACUAAUUCUUCCCCACCGUCAUGGAAUCUGUGCGAAUCUUGUGCAUGAAUCUAACAAUCAUAAUGUGACGUUUUAAUUGCUUUCUUUCCUAAUUCUGUCUUGCGCUCAUUACCCCAAUCUACUACUAUUUGCCGCUCAAAUAAUGUGGAUGGCAGAGAAAGACAUAAAAUCUUUUGGAUUAUUGGAUUCUGGAGGUCGGAGGGGUCAUCCUUUUGUCCUUCCCACACCUAACAGUAAAAUUAAUGGCGGCGGAUGGGCAGGUCCUUCCCACACCAUAUCAUCAUUUUAAUCAAAUGAUGAUUUAACCACAGUGGUGGUAGUAUUUCCGAUAUGAAAUGAAAUUCACAUGGGCUCUGUACGUAAAACCUUAAACCUUAAACUAAAGUGUGUUGGUUGAUUUCUGAACUGAAAGCAAAAGAAACGAUGCAGUGAAACACGUAAUGGGAAAAAGCCAACUAUGAAGACUAAAAAGAGCCAUAACUAAAGUGUGUUGGUCUUGGAUGAGGCAGUGGAAAACAUGGGAAGAGGGAAAAAGCAAGUUUACCAUGGCAGCAAUAACCUGGACACCAGCAUACUUGACAUCCCAGCUGAAUUCUUGCAUGGCCCAAGUGAUCCACCAAAAAUUGAGCCUUUCCAAUUGCAUAAUUCAAAUAAUCUGCCCUGUCGGUGGCCUUAUACAGCCACAAUGCUCCCCACAACAACUCAUCCAUGUAACCACUCACCGACGGAUAGUACCCCUUCGCCGCCCCUAUGCUGCUAUCGUAUUUCCCUCUAUACUUGUCACCAAACUCAAACAACUGCGCAACGAAUUUAAUCAAACCCCACAUCUGUGCAUAUGCAUGUGCAUGUGUGUUGUGCAGUGUAGUUGCAAAACUCUCAAAUCACAGUUUUUUUUCUGUGACCAUUGAUACAGUAAGUUAAUUACUAAUCCACUUUUAAAAUUAAAGGAGACAGAAAUUUAUUAGUUGCCUUGCUAUCAUAUAGUCUUUGAUUAGCUGAACGGUACCUCCAAAAGAAAUACUUAUACCAUUACUUGUAUAUAUUAAUCAGACAUUCUGCUUUAGUUCAGUUUGGUUGGUCGCUAUCAUCUGAUGGCAUAGCACAAAGAUAUUCUAUUCGAGCAGUCUGAAUUGAAUUGAAUUGAAUUGCAUUUGCGUGCGGGCAUAGAUUGUAGUCUGAAUUGUGUACGUAAUUAGUUGAAUCUAAUCUACUGAAGAUCAAUCAAACCCAACGUACCUAUCCCUCUAACUAACAAGUCAUAACAACCUCAUUAAUUAACUAACUGAACUCAACUUACUUGUUGCGCAUGAUCCAACAGAAGUUGGGAGUAAUGAGGAUUGGUUCUCCUAAACACAAUGGAUGCUGCCGCCAUUGCAGCCGCCGUUUCUCCGGCGACGUCCGAACCCGGAUGAUCCUCGUCAAUCUUGUAAGCUCUUCGGGACGUCGUCAUGUCCUCCGGUCUUUGCCAACAGUAGUGAUCCGUGUCCCGUCACCCACCUGAAGGAUCAACGUUAACUUGACAUGCUUAGGACAAAAACAGUAGUUUGUUUGUACAAAUAUUUGACCAGAAAAGAUUUGGACCCACGCAAAAAAUCUAUGGUGUGAAUGAAUAAAAUCACGUCUCCGGCGUGAUUGGAGCAAUUUCUUCGGGGCAGAAUGCUGCGCGUGAGGGAACAUUUGAUACGGCUUAGCAUGUCUUGCUACAUACAGAGACUUUAGACAAGUCCAUAAUUUUUUCAACAUGGGCAUAAUUUCUUUGCUUAAAAAGAAAAAACAGUUUGAAAUUUGAAUCGCUUGCCUCGUCGUCACUUAUUUUUUAAUAAUUGGGUGCAGUAAAAAUGGGUAUAAAUUACCUGAACCCACAAGACAUGAGGCUGAGAAUGUGCUUUGAUGAAGUAGUCAGUCCCCCAUUUGAUUGCUUCGAGCGCGUGGCGAUACUCGCCCGCGGCCGCAAUCUCUUCCCGUAUUGUAUGACGCUCCAGGAAAGCAUCGUAAUGGUAAAGGCCAUUGGCAAACCAAACUUAACGUUGUCCCCUGCAUCAUAGUAACCUCCUACCAAGUCCACCUAUAUAUAUAUUUUUUUUUUUAAUACAUGAAAAAAGUGUACAAGAAAAUCUUAAGUAAUGUUCCAAUUACAUGCUGUACCGUAUAUGAUCAUAAUAAUAAGUAGAAUGUGACGGAAGAAAAAGAAGAAGAAGAAGGUGAGAUUGUGGUCGUACGAACCCUUGUUCCAAACCGUCGGUGAGGCCAGAAUGGUGUCGCCAAGGGACUCUCUGAUUGUAAGGCAAGUGACCGGAGCGUUGCGCUUCGAAAUAAAGGAGGCUUUUUGAAAGAGCUUCUCUGUAACGGGAAAGGUUUGAAGAUUCAGAGAAAGGGAGGAGGUGGAAGAAGGCAAAGAUGGAGACUAGAGCGGCAGCCCAUCGCCUGGGAGCUUUGCAUUUCCUGUCUUCCUCCAUUACUCUCUCUCAGCUUUUGAGUCACUUCCACCUUUCCCUCUUCUUCUUCGCCUUCGUAUGUACAUCUGAGGCAUGUGACUUCUUUAAAAGUUCGCUUGUGCCAUUACGUGGCUUAUGUCUCUAAUUUUAUUUUAUUUUUUUUUAGAUUUUCGAAUUUUAAAUUUUCUCCAUUUCUUUUUCCUCCCCUUUUUACUCCAUUUGGAUUAGCUGUUUUUUGGGGUGUUUUCGAAAAUUUAACUGUAGUAUUGUAUAUGAAAAAAUUUUACUAUAAAAAAUUUUUGAAAUAUUUGAUAUAUUAUAUGGAUGAGAUGUUUUUUAAAUUAUUAUGUAUUACUGUAAUAUUAUAUUUGAAAAACUUAUUUUUAAAAAAAUGAUCAAUCUAAACAGAACACUUCAGGAGGGUAGCGAGGUCAUAGCCUUUUGUUGGUUGUUUUUCGUAAUUCGUUUGAAUUAUUAUUUAUUGAAGUUUUUGUAGAAAAAAAAAUAUUAUAUAUAAUUUAAUGUAUGUGAGAUAAAAAAAUGAUUAAAAAAUAUAUUUAGGAAAAACAUAAAAAAAAAAUUUUAUUUUGAAGAGAAAUGGAAUCCAAACAAAGGAAUUCUUACAGGAGGAUCAAUAUGACUAGGACGUGCUGGUUCCGUCAAAGAAAUUAUUCCACUGUGAACUACUGAACAAGAUCAUUAUGCCCGCGGUCAACGGUCGUAUGUAUAUAGCAUUGCGCUUGUUCCACCAACUCGUAACUGUGAAUCUACUACCAUGCGCGAGUAAGUAUACCUAUAAUUCCCUAGCCAGCUCCACUGGACUAUUAUUUCGAUACAUUUAUUUUACACAAAUACUCUAUAAUAUAUUAUUAAGCAGUUUUCUUUUCCCAAUCAUAGGGAUGUAGCAUUUUUUUUUUCUUUUUUAAUCAGAUGUAAUCCUUGGUCCUCAUCUUUCUUCCAUUCCUAUUUCCUGUCCACCUUCUAUUUUUUUCUUCUUUUUUUUUUUUUUUUCUUCUUGUCCGUUCAAAAAGGAUUGUUCUUCUCCUGGCCUUGACGUGGCACUCUGCAGAAGGUCCUUUCUCGUCAAUGAGAACGACUCUUGCGCUUGUUUGAGAGUUUAGACUUGAAAAAAAAAAAAAAGCAGAAGAAAAGAGGCAAGAUGACAACUUACAAGAGAGAAGAAAAGAAGAGAAGUGACGUAGAUAUGUUUCUAUGUUUUAUGGGACUUUAUGAAUGAAAGAUUGAAUGAUUUGGAUUACUCAGGCGUUACCAUUUUGUUGUUUAAAAUUCUUUUUUGAAAAAUUAUCAAGCUUUUUAAUUGGUUAUCUCUCAAUUCAUCUCCACUUUUGGAGAGCUUUUUAACCAAAAUACCAAAAAAAAAAUUCCACCAUUUGUAUCCACUUCUCUUCUCAUUUGAAACUUCCGAACAACGGAAAAACUUAUCUUUUCUCCUCUCCAAAAUCCAACUCCCAAACUAAGCACGUUUGGAUUGUAAAUUAUCAUGGAUUUUUUUUCUUGAAAUAAUCUCUUUGACACAUUUGCCAAUCAGAUUUCUAUCUUACAUAUGUCACAUCACAUCACUAUAGUAUAAUUUUUUUUAUAACAACUUCCAAUCCAAAUGGAAGAUGUAGAUGGUGUUCCAAGGUUACGACGCAGUCAAGUUUGGUACUAAAACAAAUAUGCAAAUGGUGUUCCCAGCAACUACAUUCCAUUGAUACAAUGAAGCAGAGGAGUCGUUACUGCUCAAGAAAAUGCUUAUCCUUGAAGUCUGAAAUGUAACCCCACCCGAAUCACAAUACCUGCAAAGGACUUUUUCGAGUCUUCAGAAUUAUUGACCUAGAAAGGACCCGAAUCACAAUACCUGCAAAGGACUUUUUCGAGUCUUCAGAAUUAUUGACUUAGAAAGGACGAGGGGCCUGGACGAUUGUCAGAGACAACCGUCCCAGGCAGUUCACGGUCUGGAUGAAAUCUCAAAAAUUUGUGCGGCUUAGAUCACGUCUUGUAACUCGAUUUUCAUGCCGUGCGAAACCCACAAAAAUGUUGUUUUAUUUUACUCACUGUUAUUCAAUUGUUAUACUUGUACAGAUGAUGUUACACCAUGUACAAAUGGUGUUACGCCUUCCGGAACGGUUGUCAGAACAACCGCUCCAGCCCGCGUCCACCUAGAAACCCUUCUCCUCGUUCUGUACUUUACAGAACAGAACAGAACAGGGCUUCAUUCCAAAUACCAUGACUAAUGUGGUCAGAACUUCCCAGGCUUUGACCACCAACAAAUCUAUGAUGACAACCUAUGAUAUGAUGCUCAAUUUACAUCUUGCAAUAGGACAUUAGGACGCUCAAUUUACAUCUCCUUCCCUGGACAGCAAGCAGUUAGUCUAGGUCGCUCAGUCUCCCAGAAUCCGGUAACCAUGAAAUUGUACCAACAACACCUUUUGAUCUAAUGGCUAGCCAGCUAGCUUCCGAGAAGCUUGCUGACGGAAAUAUUCAUCUGCCCUCAUCCCCAGAACAGGCGAACAAACGAGAAGAACAUAAUCACAAGUUAAAAACUGCACCAUGCCAAGGAAAAACAACAACAACAACAAAAAUGAAGAAAAUCUGAAACACUGAUGAAAAAGCAUCGAAUCUAAAAGAUAAUUACCAAACGUGGUAACUAUAUGUCAUAACGUGAAACAUCCAGAACAGCACCUCUAGCAUCCAUCAUCAACUACUAAUAUAGAUACAUAUAAAAGCCCUCAAGGUUAAAAGUACCAUCUCAAUUUUUAAUAUUACAAAUUUACAAUAUCAUCAAGCCUUCCAGAUUCCCCAUCAUAUCAAUGCCUAGGCAAAGGCACCUCCAGUCUGGUGCAGCAUAGCAUCAAUCUCAUCACCAUCUUCCAUACUCACCUGUGUACAAAAUAAAAUGUAAACAAAACUAAAUGGAUUGAUUGCAAAUUACAUAACAGUAGUGUCUUGGAAAGACAUCUUAAAAGGAAAGAAGGAAAGUAACCUGUUCAGGAGUCUGCUCCCCUUGGAGGCGUUGGCCAUCAAACAAGAAUACCAUGGAGCCCAGUUCCACAGAUUGUCUCUCGCAGUAAGCAUUAAUGAGCUUCUUCAGCUGUGUGCUCCUCUUUAUCCUGAAGAACACCUCGCUCCCAUCCUACACAAACCACCGUCAUCGACUACUUGCUCAACGGCCAAAAAAAAUUAAUGCAAAUAUUUUGAUCAUGUUAGCCAAGAGCUUAAAUGCCAGCAGGAAAUUGAAGCACCAAAACACCAAGUAGUAAAGCGAAAUUUAGCUUAGGAACCUUAACUCGAACAUGGCACAGAUCCAUGUAUAAUAUAGUCCACAAACAUUCGAGAAUAACACAAGAAAAAUCAAAUUCCUAAAAAUAACUUAAUUUUAGAAACAUAGUACUACAAAACAAAAACGAAACCCUGACAGACAUUCUACACGCGUUAACUGUUUAAGAAAGAAAAUGGAAAACAAAGAAACCCCUUUUAACGGAGUUAUACCGUGCUAGAAGACAAAGAUUAUGAAACAUAAAACAUACAGAAAAAUACAAAAGCCAAAAUAAUAGGACCUGUCCCUUGACUUUGAGGUUAAUGUGUUGCUCAGAGGGCUUCUUAUCUUCCUCUUGAGUAGUGACGCCUGACAUUUUCCAGCUCCUCCUCCAAUUACAGCCGCUGUUGACGCCGCUGUUGACGCCGCGCUGAGUUCGCCGCCGCUGAUGUAGAAACUUCGGGGAAAAGCGGGGCACUGCCAAAUGUUGAUGUGAAUUUUGGGUGAAAUUGGGUUAAUUGGGGAAGUGGACGGCUAAGAUGUAGUGGGGCAGAACAUGAUCAAUGGGCGAGAUUGGUUAUCUAAAAAGGUUUGUACUGUCGCAUGCAAAAUGGUCGCGUAUGGCCCUGGCCCGUGAAAGAUGCUGUUUGGACUAAAUCGUCAUAUAAGCUGGCCCAAGUAGGAAAUCUCGUUGCUCCAAGAAAAGCAAUCAUCAUAUCAACUGGCCCAAUUAGGUAGUGUCGGUGCUCACGAAAAGCCCAAUUUCUUGGAAUCUCGCACGAAUUCUUUUCAACUUCCCAAUGAGCUCUAACGUUCUUUGAAACAUGUUGACUCAAGUAACAAUUUUUUGUUGAAAUCCCAUGGUUUACUAAUGUAAAUACCGGUUGAGGUAGCCAGGACAUUAGCCGAAGGGCUCUUUCAAUUCCGCAGUUUCCUGGUUCGACUCUCAAAUCCUAUCGAUUCCCCAUUUUUCUUUAUAUAAUGCUUGAAGUUUGCUCGUUAAAAAAAAAAAACUCCUGCUCUUGUUCAUGAUGGAUUAUUGUAGUUGAUUAUAGAUUCUGCAGUUUUUAAAAAUGUUCUUGCUUGCGUUUGUAUUAAAAUAUAAAUUUCUUUUACGAACCAAAAAAGGCUAAAAUCUAGAAUCAAUAAAAGAUUAGCUUUUACUAAUUCUAAUUGCUCUCUAGUGUCAAUUUUACUAAUUAAUUUUUGCUAUAACUAAUCCAAAGCUGAACAAGGCUUUACUUGAUGGACCAAUUGUUGUCCGCCCAUGGGAGUUAUCCGCAAGUAUGGAUUAAAUUCUCACCACAAAAGAGUACGCGUACUUGCGAGAAGGCCCGUUACCUACUCCUCCUUCCCGACCCCAAAAGCGCGGAACUUCGAUUGACCUUGCCACAAACACCAAGGGCAUUGGUGAUCAUCGCUCAAUCAAAGUCACGCACGCUUUAGUAGUUAGCAAUAGUUGAAAACCAACCGUUCCUUUUUACCUGCCUAUGCUUACCAACUAUAACAUGCCAGAUUUCACCAAAAGGAAAUUUUUUUUCAUCAAAUCUUGGGUCCCAUUGACAAAUGAGUUUUUUUUGGAUGUUUGUCUAAAAUUUUACUAUAAUUUAUUAUAUAAAUUAUAAGAAAAAAUUUUGAAGUGCGUAAAUUUUUAAAUAUUUUAAAAUAUACAUAAUUUAAAUUUUUUGAAAUUUUUUAACAAUAACUGUAUUUAAAGUUGUUACUGACAAAUUUAAUUAAAAACUUGUUUGCCAAACUGGCAAAAGAUAGAAAACUAGUAGUAGCAUAACCUGGCAGCAUUAAGUGCAACCGCUUAUGGAGAUCCAAGAGCAAUGCCGCCCCAUUCCAUCGUCCCCGUGUUGUUUUUUUUUUUUUUUUGAGUUAUAACCUACUUUAUCCUAAUCUAGAAGGAAGGGGAGGCUAAGGAGACUGUUAUAGGGGUUAGUGGGUAUACAGAUUCAACUAAAUUAAAAAAAUGCUAUGGCACAAUUCUUAAAUUUUUUUUACUGCUGAUGAGAUUUGAACCCUUAUCAACACAGCCUAAGGAGGAAAUUAAAUCCCUCCCCAGUGACCACUGAGCCAUUGGCCAGUGGUUUCAUCGUCCCGCGUUGGGUUGUUAGCUUAGGCACUAAGUAGGCCGACAUGCCGGAAUUUUAAUGAAUCCCCCCCCCCCCCCAAACAGACUAGCCACUGUCUUGUUUUGGUAGUUGAUCAAAUGAUGAAUGAAGGAGCAGAGGUCACAAUCUCGGCCGACCUAUCACCUAUGUAUUUGCACAAGCGUAGCUAUUUGUCAUUCAAUACUCAAAAAGGCUUACGCAAGAAAACGCAUAAAUAUCAAAACAUACAUCUACAUCCUUAUAUAUUGAUUUUCACUUUACCAUGCACUCACAAGUCACAAUCUAAAAAUCUGAUUGGCUUUUUUUUUCAAAAAUAAAAAUUUUUAAAUACAAUACUACAGUAAUGUACAAAUAAAAAUAAAUCAAAAAAUAUAUCAUUCAUAUAAUAUAUUAAAUAUUUAUAGUAAAAACUUUUCAUAUACACUGUUACAGUGAAAUUUUUUAAAAAUAUUCCCAAAAAACAGUUUGUUCCAAAGGGAGUGUUGUCCAACUUCUCUAGGAUAUAAGUUGCACCUACUAUUCGGAAAGCAUUCGAAGGUGACAAAAAGAAAUACGAAUUUGCGUAGAAAGAAAUACCGGCCAGGGGAAAGCCCACCAACUGAUGGAGAGUUUAUUUAGGCUUAAUAGGAUCAUCACAGGGCUACAGGAAUGGCAAGUCGUGGAGUAAUUCACCACACCACUUCUGGCGAAAGCAUUAAACUGAAAUCACAUUUUCUCAACUGCCUCUACCGACUUUGGGAUAAAGUGUGGUCAGACAACGCCAAAGGAAGAAAGGCAGGAGAUUUUCUAUAAUCAAUCACUUGAUUCAUUUAGGAGAUGACUUCUAAGCUUAAAAGAUAGGAAAUGAGUUCCCUUUUUCGUGAAAAUUUCUACGGUUUUGGAGAGCCGUGCUGACGGGAUAUCUUUAUUUCAAGUCGAAAAGUGUUAAACUUGUAAAUUAUCCAUCUCAUCCGGAUUUUGAGGUACAAUAAAGAACAAGCAUAAUCUAAUCAUGUUUCUCCUGCCUGAGACAGUAAUACACAAUAAAUUAUGUUUUCCAAGAAAAACUCAAUUAGUAUAAUGCACAAUACAGACUAAACCGUAAUUGCCUGAUUGGCUGCCGGAGCCCUGACGCAUUCCCAUUUCCAAUAAUUAUCAGUCUUGGUUGCAUCCCGUUGCACAUGAAGGACGAAAGCAACGGCUAAAACUGGAGACACAAGAUUUGGCUUUGUCGAGAUUUGGCCUGUUCUCAUCCUUCUUCUCGGAAUAUGUUUUUGUAUGUGAUGAGUUACGUCUGAUUGUCGGAAUGGUUAGUAGUGAUUAGUUUGCCAAUUACCACGUAUGAUCUUCAGGCUUUUGUUUGAUAAAGUCCACGUAGGUUUUAGUGGUUGACGAAAACCUUGAAAUUAAGCAUUUUGGUGGAUACAGACGCGCCUUAAACAAAACAAUGGUCCUCCUACGGUUUUUUAUUCUUUUGGGUGGAGGCCUGGAGGUCCUCCCACGUUAGCAUCGUGUUUUCUGCUGAUAUAAAGGGUCCAUUACGUAUUACUACAUUCUCAACCAAACGACCUCAAUCCUCCUCGUAUAGUACCAACCGAGUGGCUUAUUUUCUGGAAUUGAUCCAACAGGUCUACAUGUUUCCCUCUAUCUGGCUCGUGUUCUUCUUGCUAUCGUGUUUAGAUUGUAUUUUUUAGAGUUUCUGUAAUAAAAAGUGUAUUGUAGCGAUUUGAUAUAUGUGAGGUAAAAAAAUGAUUGAAAAAUAUGUUUACGAAAAGCGUGAAAAUUUUUUUCAUGAUAAAUUCCUUUCCAAGGAUAGAGAUUUGAGGUGCAAUCAAGUCAAAGCUUGCGAGCGACUUGGUUAAAAGCUUUGACCGAGCUCAAGUUCGAGCUCGAUCCACUCGUUACAUUCAACGAGUCGAGUUCGAACUCUAAAAAUAAAUACUCGAGUGCUCGACGAGUUUAAUCAAGUUUUCAUAUUAUAUUUAUAUUAUAUAUUUUGAGAAAAAUUUUAUAGGUUUCAUUUAAAACUCGAGUUCAAGUAAAUCGGACUUGAUAUUUACUCGAACUCAAACGAGUCGAGUUCGAGUUUAAUUUUAUUUUAUCGAGUCGAACUCGAGUCCAAAUUUAUUUACUCGUUCGAGUUCAAGGUCGAGCUCGAAUACUGUACUACUCGAACUCGACUCGAUAACAUCCUUAGUAAAGAUUUGUUAUUCCCUCGAAGCAAUGAAUUGAUGGAGACAUAUGCACAACUUUUUUUUUCUGACAUUUUCUUACAGAAUUAAGAAUUUAAGUAAAUAAAUCUAAUCCCCACAGUAACUUCAAAAGCCGGCAACUUUUGAAGUCCUGUGAGGAAUUUAUCUACCCAAACCCUUUCUCCCCCAAUACCGACGUGGGAUAGAAAACCUCCCACAGGAUGCCCUGCUUGAAAUAUGCACAUAUGCACAACUUGAAAUAUGAAAGCAAGGAAAAAAUGGAGCAAUAGCAGUAGGAUUAUGAUUUCGGGCCACCACAGGCAUAGAGUAUUUUAUUCAUUUAAAUGCGUUCAGAUAGUUUCUUAUUUGAAGGAAAUUAUUUGAUUAUAUCACAAACAAACGUACUUUUUAUAAAUUUAAUUAUAAAUUUAAUUACUUUUUUAUUUCACACCUAUAGCAUUACAAAAAACAUGACAGUAAUAUUAAUAUUAAUAUUCCCCCUCCUUAUUUUGCCACUUUUCUCACUCUGUAUUGCAGCUUAUAAUUCGUCUUGAAUGUCACUAAUAGCAGUCAAGAGUUCGAUAACUUAACAUGCUAAAUCUCCGAGGCUGCAGACUCUGACUUAAAUUUCCCGUGCGGCAGAUUUUGGGCCGUUACACGAUUAGAAAAAUGGGGUAGCGUCUCCAUCCGUACAGUGACAUGACAUGACCUGACCUGGGCCAGCAUCAACUGAAGUCUCUUGCGAAGCGCCAAUCACAGCUGGCAAGUGAUCGAGUCCAACGUUCAUAUUGGUGAAAAAAAACGACUAAAAAUCAGAUAAUUUCAACCAGAUCAUCAUGAAUUGACAUUUUGUCCAUAAGGUGGAAACCAUACAGCCGACUUGGUGUUGUAAGCAUGUACAUUAAUCAGGAAGGAAGUAGGCCAACAAGAUUGCGACAUUUUACCCAAUAUCAUACUUUUCUUUGACCCGUCACCGUUAUUUUUACCCAAUAUUUUUUUUUUUGUCUGGAAAAGUUAGGGGAGCUCAAAAUAGCAGCGACAGAAUAUGUGGGUCCACUUGGGCACAACAUAAUCUUACCAAUUCAUACUUCCAAGGUAACUAAGUACUCUUUGUAAACUCUCACUGACCGAUAAACUUUUGAAAUCGUUUUCCAAAUUUGAGAACUUAAACGAAGGUGAGUUCCAAGGUAAGGCAAUGUGAGAGUUUUUUUUUCUUUCCAAUUCUGAUUUUUCGUUGUAAAAUUUGCAACUCGACAGUGUGCUUACAUUCAGGCAAUUUCAUGGGGGUAAGGCCAUCAUGUUGGUUUUUACAAUUUGGAUGAGAUCAAUCAUCAAUAAUUGGCCACGUUGCCCCAAUAUUCCACCUCCUCUUAUCAUCUUUACGUUCCCACACACACUUCCCCACUAACUCCACGAUCCUUUUAUUUUACCCCCUGACCAAAUAUACCACAACGGUAAGUAAACUUAGCAAGUGCCAUGCACCUCCGUCUAUAAAACCACCAUAGAACUAGAACCAAAUACUUGUAACGCCGAAAAGAAAUCUCCCCUUGGAAAGAUUCUUUCCUCGAUGCUCUGCGUCCCAAAGAUUCAGAGCAACAUGGCAACUCCCUCCGCCCCCCACCACCACCUCCUCCUCCUCCUCUCCCUCAUCUCCCUCUCUUCCCUCCCCUCCACCCUCUCCGCCGGCGGCUCCGUUGCCAUCAACUACGGCCGUGUUGCCAACGACCUCCCGUCCCCCGCCAAGUCGUCCAGCUUCUCAAAGCCCAAGGCCUCACUAAAGUCAAGCUCUACGACACAGACUCCAAUGUCCUCUCAGCCCUCUCCGGUUCCGGCAUCUCCGUGACCGUUGCACUUCCCAACGAACAGCUUUCCUCCGCCGCCGGCGGCCAAUCCUACACUGACUCGUGGGUGCAGUCCAACGUCCUUGCUUACUACCCCAAAACUCUCAUCGAAGCCAUUGCCGUCGGGAACGAAGUUUUCGUGGACCCCAAGAACACCACUCCUUUCCUCGUACCCGCCAUGAAAAACGUCUACUCUUCGCUGGUUAAGUACAACGUUUCCGCCAUCAAGAUAUCUUCCCCCAUUGCUCUCAGCGCACUGCAAACCUCGUACCCGUCGUCCUCCGGUUCGUUCAAGUCGGAGCUGAUUGAGCCGGUGAUCAAACCGAUGCUGAACUUCUUGAAACAAACAGGUUCGUAUGUCAUGGUCAAUGCGUAUCCGUUCUUCGCUUACACGGCGAACACGGACACGAUUUCGUUGGACUACGCCUUGUUUGGCAACAACAAAGGCGUAACAGACCCGAAUAACGGGCUGGUCUACAAGAGCCUGCUCGAGCCCAGCUCGACGCCGUUUUCGCAGCGAUGAAUGCGGUGGGUUUUAAAGACGUCAAAGUCGCGGUGUCGGAAACCGGGUGGCCGUCCAAGGGGGACGAAAAUGAAGCGGGUGCAAGCCAGCAGAAUGCGGCGUCGUACAACGGGAACCUGGUGCGCAGGGUGCUUACGGGUGGUGGGACCCCUUUGAGACCCGACGAGCCGCUCAACGUCUACUUGUUUGCUCUGUUCAAUGAGAAUCAGAAGACGGGGGCCACCUCCGAGAGGAACUAUGGGCUCUUUUAUCCGAGCGAGCAGAAAGUUUACGACGUUCCGCUGACGCUGGAGGCCUUGGCCAGGGCACCCACGGCUUCGCCGUCGAACACGAGUCGGGUGGCGACGAAGCCUCCGUCCACGUCCAGCGGUGGUGAUUUUUCCCCCAGCACCGCGGGCCAGACUUGGUGCGUGGCGAGUGGAGAUGCCGGGGAGGAGAAGCUGAAGGACGCACUGGAUUAUGCCUGCGGGGAAGGAGCUGCUGAUUGCCGUCCGAUUCAGCGCGGUGCCACGUGUUACAAUCCGAACACCCUUGUGGCCCACGCAUCAUACGCUUUCAAUAGCUAUUAUCAGAAGAAUGCACGAAGAAGUGGGUCCUGUUAUUUUGGGGGUGCAGCCUACGUGGUCUCUCAAUCUCCCAGUAAGUCCUCUUCAAAAUACUACAGUACUAUACUUACUAGUAGUAAUUAAUAAAAAAAUAUAUAUAUAUAUAUUUAAGUAUCCAUCAUUGAGCAAAAUUAAAGAAGGGGUGGCUACAAAGUAUAGCACUGUAGCAAUGUAAUUAUUGGUUGAUUCUCCAAUUUGAUUCCGGAUAAUUAUAUGUGUGUGUACUGCAGAGUAUGGGAGGUGCAACUAUCCCACGGGCUAUUGACAGCAGCAGGGACAUUGCGAUGGAAGCUCUGAUUCUACUUCCUUUAUUACAUAGGGAUUUAUUGUGGAGUUAGGUCAGACUUUUUGUUGCUGCGCCAUAUUUAUUAUUGGCUUCAGGGACUCUAUUUUAAUUUUUAAAAUUAUCAUGUAAGUAAUUCAUUUUUUUAUUAUUAUUAUUAUAGAGAGAGAGAGAGUAGUAUUGUAGUAGUAUUAUACAUCGGGUUGGUAUGAUGGCUAUUUGACUGAUUCUCUGUAAUUAAAUACCUACUCUUUGGUGCGUUGAUGAUUAGAUGUCGUGAAAGUUCCAGUUUUCCUCUCUGUUCUGUGCUUAGCUUUUGGUUAGUGCCUCGUAUGUGGCUUCAAAUUUACUCUCCUUCUGCCACGACUUAAAAUCACAAGUAUUUGCUUUCAAGACAAGAUUAAAAUUCACUACAGAUUUUCUGCUAGAGCUUGUGGCUGGCUAGCGUGCAGAAAUCAAUCUUCACAAGAAAUAUUAGAUUUGACAAUGGAAUGGGAGCCCAAGUUCAUCAAUCUUAACAUGGAGUUGGACCAGCCUAUGUUGUUAUAUCACUGAGCCAGCCCAUUCCACUUUACUGACCUGUUUAAAUCUUAAUCAUUAUACUAUUUUUGUCUGUCUUUUCCUUCAAAUUAAAAAAAAAAAAAACCAUAUCUAGAUGGGGGAAAAAAAAAAAGUAAAAGAAAUUACAGUUACAAGCCAAAAAUCUUCAAAAACAAGAUCGCAAACAUCAGCAAAGUGUAUGUAACCUUUGAUGCAGUUGUAGCUAGACGGAAGUGUAGAGAUUCUCGUAUUAUAUGUGCAUUCCUCUUUCCCACACUUUGUUCUUCUUGCAAGAGAAGAGAAGAAAAAAAGAGGAAUAAUAGUUAUGUGACCAGGUCUGGGCUUGCGGCUUACCUUUGCGGAUAAAACCCAAUUAAACAAUGAAUGUCUGUGGCCCAAACAACAGAACGAAACCAACGUCUUUUUUUUUUUUUUUUUUUUUUUUCCAUCGGAGCGGAGGAGUCUUCACAGGGAUAAAUAGCGAGUAUUUUCUAGGUGGUUCUCGUACUAUGGAACUAGUGUAAAUACCCGUGCUACGCACGGUGCUAACAUUAUUGAAAAAAUAAAAAUAAAGGGAUGAAUUUAAAAAGGUUAAAAAAUUAUACCAACACAAUCAAUAGUUUUUAUAUUUGUUUUAAAUAUAAUGAUGUGAUACAUUGUAUGAGAAUUGUUAACCAAAUAAAUACAAUAGUUAAAGAAGAAAUAGCAUCAAUGGUCAGAUAUACAAUUAUAUUAUAAUCAAAUGAAAAUUAAGUAUCAAUAGAAUUGUUGUUAACACCCAUAGUUAAUACAGUAAUUUCUAUAUUAAUAUAUUUUGGUACAUGUAGUAAUUUGAAAUACAUGGCUAAACACUAACAUGCACGUGGCUAGUAGCUUGUUUUCGUAUAUUAUUGUCGGGGUAUAUAUUUUUUAAAAAAUUAAAUUUGAAAGGUUGAAAAAUAAAUUUUGAAGGUUAAUUAAUAUAUUUCUUUUAUUCCAUGUGUUGGAAAUGAAUUAGUUAUAUUAGUUACAUGGAAAAAAGGUUAAAAAUUCAAAAAAAAAGUACCAUUUUAGUAUCUAAUCUAUAUUGUAUUUAUGUACCUUUAUCUAAACCCUCAACAUAUAUUAAAAAAAUUGAACAAAGCUCAAAUAAAAAAUAUCUAAAGAAAUACUAAAAGAACAGCAAGCAUCAAAUGUUACCCUUUCCUGCCUCUCGUGCAAUACAUAUAGAUGUAAAAAUAUAUUUCAUUAAUUUUUUAUCCGGACAGAAACUAUUCAUUAAUGUUUAUGCUCGAACUUCAAGGACAUAUUCGUAACUAUCGUUGAAAAUAUAUAUUACAUAAGAAUAUAUGUUUGAAAAUUUUGAAAAUUAAAUAUUGUAGCCUGGGGUGCAGAAGAUAUAAACACCAGGCAACGAUUUAAUCUUUAACUAAAAUGAAAAAGUUUUAAUUGGUUGUAGUGUUUUAAAGGAGGGAUUGAUGUCUUCAUAAUCUGAACUGAAGCGCCUUCUCGUUUCUUGAAGUGAUAGGUAAUAAGGAAGAAAUAUGUAUCUAUACUCCUCGUAAAGUUGAACUAUAACUAUAAAUAACAUAAUUAAAUUUGGAUGAAAAUGCAUUUAAAAAAUUGCUGAAUUUGUUACAUAUUCUUUUUCUUUUCUUCAUAUGCAUUUUAAGAUGCUAAUAUUUCCAAUCAUUGUGUUUGCAACCAUGCGUCAACCGUUUUAAGUUAUAAAAGCUGUCUGUUGCGUCAACCACGCAUUUUCAUUUUUAAAUGUUCUUCUUACUCUGUCAUUAGUUUUUAUAGUUUCCUUAUUAGAUGAUCAAGAAACAUGGGGGAAAUGUGGGGAAAAUGUAAGCAUGGUUAUAGGAUUUAUAGUAUAUUCAAUAACUUGAUACUCAAAUCACCGAUGAGGUAAAGUUUGCCUAAAUAAACUUUAUAGUGCCCUAAUUCCUUGCAAAAAAAAGUGCUAAAUAGUCCUAAUUGGCAUCGCAAGUUAUGGUAACGUGCCAGUGGCAUCUAGGCCUAAUUUUUUUUGGGGUAAAAAUCUAGUACUAAUUGGUUCUGCUGUUUCUUGAUCAUGUUGUAUGCUUCUGAAUUAAAAUUGUAUUAAAAUAGCAUGUGAAUAAGCAUUUGUCUUUAAUUAAGGAGUAAAAAGGAUUUAAAGUAUAAAUAAAUGCAAAAGUAUAAAAAGGAUUUAAAGUAUAAAUAUAUUUAACGAUUUAUGAAGUAGAUUAUGGGAAAGUUUUAAAUUUUAAAUCUAACUGAUGAUAAGGUUGGUUAUAACCCACUACUUUUUAUGUAUUAAAAUAAAUACAAUAAUCUAUAAUCGGCUACUUGUUUCGGUCUUGGGAUUUUUUUUUUAGAGUUAAAUAUAGUAAAACCCCUUAACUUUACAUUUAGCUGCACUUUACCCCAUCAACUUUACAUUUAGUUGCACAUUUGUGAUUUUUUUGAAACGUAAUUGUAAUUUGCAAAGCUCAUUUGUAGGGGUGGUUAUAGGGUUAGUUUGGUGAUAAAUAUUUCAUAAUUAUAAAAUAUAACAUUAUAUUAAAAUAGCAUACGAAUGAGCACUUGUCUUUAAUUAAGGAGUAAAAAGGAUUUAAAGUAUAAAUAACAAACUAUAAACUGCUUAUGAAGUAGCUAGCGAAAAUGUUUUAAAUUUAAAAUUUGAUUGGUGAUAGGAUUGGUUAUAACCCACUACUUUUUAUGUAUUAAAAUAAAUAUAAAAAUCUAGAAAAAAGAAUGAAAAAGUUUGCAAGCCAUUGAGAGGGUCUCUGCUAAAAAUCCCUUCUGCAAUACAUAUAGAUAUAGAUAAAGAACGUAUGAAAAUAUUUUAACCUGUGAUCUGGAGUCCCAUGAUGGGAUUUUCUCCAAGUAAACUGGAAAUUGCCCGUGUGAAGCAUAAAAUGAUCAAUUUUUAAGAUCUCUUUCUAUCACAUCUUAAGGAAUUGCAAUUUGCACGCAACCAAAAAUAGGACCUUAUGUUGUUCAUGUCCAUAUACAUUGCAAUUCUCUCUCAAUCAUUUUGUACUGUAAAAAUUCAUGCGAGUCGUAUUAGUGUGUGAAAAGAGAAGAAAAAAGCAAUUCUUUAUGGUGCCUGCCUGCCCAACGAUAAUCCUUGAUUCCGAAGUUACUGGCGAACAAUCCCAUCAUUUUACCAAAAUAAUUGUCGACCCAAACGGAAUACUUCACCUCUACACAAGCCAGCCUGAUUGACAGGGGUGUCAAUGGGUAUUCGGACUUAUAUCCGAUAAAUUUUUUCGGAUUUGGGUUGAAAACUAAUUUUGAUAUCUGGAUUCGGAUCCAAUCCCGUUUACUCUAACAAAAACAAGUCGGAUACGAAAUAUAGGAUUAUGAUCCGUAUCCGACCCGGCCAAACAAUAUAAUAAUAAUUAUAAAAAAUAUUUCUAUAUAUAUUAUUUUAUCAAAUUAAUAAUUUAGUAAUGACUUUAUAGAUUGAUUUGUAGUUACUUUUGGAUUGACUAUUACGAGUUAUUUGUGAUUUAAUUUUCUAAUUUGAUUUGUUUAAGUUUGAAGAUUGGAUCUAUGAUUGGUUUUGGAUUUAAUUUUGUAAUGUUUAAAUUUUGACCUUUUCUUUCCAAGUAGACUCGGAUUCGACCCAGAUUUGAUCCAGGACCAUCAAACCUGGAUUCUCGGAACUUUAAAGUCAAGACUCGUCAAAUAUAUGGUCGGGUCCGAAGCUAUUACAUAAAAACAUGUUCGGGUCAAAAUUUUGAAUUUCGUCUCAAACCCGGCCCGUCGACGCUCUACUAAUUGACAAGCAGCUGAGACCAACAAAUCGGCAGAACUAACAACUUUGCUCUGCACCAGCUACAAUCCAUGGGCCCAAGUAAUAACAGCUGAUUUGCGUUUUUUUUCCUUUCUUGUGGAGUUAAUUUUCAUGAAAUUGCACAAAAUUAAUUCAACCGAGUAUUUUUAACAAAGCGAAUGCAUCUGUUUACAGUGAUAGGAGCGGUUGCUGUCUACGGAAAUAUCUGCAUUUGUUAAUUGGCUAUCUCAAUAUUCAUUGCGUAAUGGUUUGAUUAUGCAUUGUGUAUGAUGACAACAACAAUAAAUUUUAAAAACUGAAAUAAAAGAAAACUUUCGGUGAAAAGGGGAAAGGAAAGUAAAAUGGUCGGAAGGCGAGGGUAUUGGUAAAGCUGCGUCGUUUUAUUUUAGGCAUCCAAGCGUAAUGCGAAAGGAACCAGCCCAUCUGAAGAUGAGUUUUUGAUUACUACAUCCACGUCCGAAACAUGCAUCACGGUAGCUUGCAUUUGAAGUUAUGUCAUCAGUCGUCAGCACGGGCCCAAAACAUCAAGCGUGGCUCUAGAGGACGAAUUUAUUACUAGUAUUUUUCUCUUUUUUUUUUUUUUGGUUGGUCUGGAGUGAAGGAGGAUAUUUUAAUCCUUAAUUAACUGGCCUGAUGAAUAAACAAAGGAUUAAUCUUUCCUACUGCACUGUCAGUGUAUACACUGUCAGCAUUGAAUGAAUGAUAACUGUACAAAAUUUGAAUUUGAAAUUUAACUUUUGCACGCAUGCCAUGAAUCCAACGAUGAUAGUGCAUACACUGUCAGUCAGGAGUAUAUAAGAUUUACUAACAAACAAAACCUUUCCUAAAACUUUUCGGUUUUGCUAAAAAACUGAAAAAAUAUUGGAUUCACGAACAAAUAUUUCCUAAAACCUUUCAGUGUAAACAAAACCUUUCAGAUUUACUCAUAAAUAAAACCUUUCCUAAAAAAUUUUAGUGUAUUGGAGAGUCUCGUCUCGUACAUAUUUUUUGCUUUCAGUUUGUGUCUUACACAUCAUGGUAUAUAAUUCAGUUCUUACGCUCCAUUAAUACGCUUUAAGAAAUUCACUUAAGUUGUGAAAAUGACUACUUAUAAAAGAAACUCAUUACGUUUAACACGAGAAAACUUGUCGGGUUUCUUUUAAUGUUUUCUGGUUCAGCUUUCACUACUGAUUAUUAACAAAGCCACCAUACUGGUAUUGUGUGUUUAUGCGUACGCUUUCCACGUUCAUUGCUUUUCGGCUUUUGCAACUUUAACAGUGAAACCUUUUUGUAAUUUAAAUCUUGUUGAAGCUAAAGAAGAAUGGUAGAGUCCAAGCACUCCCUUGUCCCUUUUCCUUCCUCUUAUAAGGUCAAGGAUAUUUAAAAGAAUUUUUUUUAAAAAAAAAAAAAGAUUGAGCGUCAAAUAAAAGGUUUCUGCCAUUAAGUUGGAUGUUUUCCGGUGCGUGGGAUGUUUCUCAAGGAUGGUUCAUGGCUGGCUUAUUGGAUGCUUUUCGAGAUUAGAGGGCAUUCAACGGUUUCUGACUUGAGAAAGGAUGAGAACCUCUUGAGUGACAUAGGAAAAAAGUUAGUCAAGCUUUCAUUUUCUCAUACAAAGGUGAAAAAGAAAUUAAGAAGUAUAUUAAACAAAACAUUAUUGUUAAAACUUUUCUUCAAAAACUGGCAAUCGAAAGGUUUCACACAUUCUUACUCCAGCUUUCAUUUUCUCAUAGACAGGUAAAAAAUAAAUAAUUAAGAAAUAUAGUAAACGAACAUUCUUAAAACUUUUUUUUUUUUUUUUUUUUUGGUUUGAAAAACUUGCAAUCGAAAUUAAAAACCGGCCUUUUGUUUUUAUAGAUCCUUGAAUGCUCAAACUUUGAACAAAAGCAGAAGGUUAAAGUAAGGAAAAAUCGUUCGAAAUGUCUGUCAUAUUAUAUCAAAUGAAUUUUUUUUUGUCAUUUACUUUUAAACCCUUUAUAAAAUGAAAUCGAUAAAAUUUGAUUCCAAUCUAGAUUUUUAACCAUUUUAACAUUGAAACUAUCACGUGACCCAUACAAGAUCAUGUUUUAGAUCAAUCCAUAUUCAUUUUUGCCUCUGAAAUAUAUGAUCUAACCUAAUCCAUAUUUAUUUUUCUCUUAAAAAAGUGAAAACUAACUUAAUUUAUAUUGAUUUGCACAACUAAAAAAAGUAGGAUCUAGCCUUUCUGUAUAUAAAAUAUAAUUGCAUAUGGAUCACAUAGUGAUCUUAGGCUAAAAAAGUGGUCGAAAACUUAGGUGGACACUAAAUUUUAUUAAUUUGAAUUUGUAAUGAACAUAAAGCUAAUAUUUAAAAAGUGAGAGAUAAAAAAAUUUAUUUGACAAAAAUGUGAGAGACAUUUUGAACAAUUUUUUUAAAAGUUAAGUCUUUCCAAGUUGAUUUGUGCAAGUGAUUGGCCUCAUUUGCUGCCUUCUCCAAAAUGUAACCAUAACGUUAUGCAACGGUAGUAGUUCUAUUACUUUCUCUUUUCUGCAGUUACUAAUCUUUUAUUUGGAAUCAGAAAAUCCACUAUUCUAUUAUCAGACUUUUCAUAUUUCCAAUAGGAGAACAUAGUAAAACAAAAACAAAAAGAGACAAAAUCAUAUAUAUCUAAAAUAUGGGGGAGGGGAAUUUUGAAGGAAUUGUACAUUUAUCAUUAGGAGCCUCGUUCAUUCGAAGCUAAACGUUAGAUAGACUACUCUUCAAUAUGUUAUGAUUAUGAAGAUAAUUUUUAGCAACCUUCGUGAUAUUUGAGAUGCUUGUUUACCAGGAUAUGUAAACUUUAUGGCCAAAAAUUUCAAAAAAAAAAAAAAAAAACCGUAAGAAAAACACACUAGCGCUAGAAAUAUGACAACUAAAAAUUAGGUGUACAAGUAAGUAGUGUAUUUGAUGAUUUGAGAUUAAUAUGGUAUAGGAAAAGGUUGAACUUAGGCAGAGGAAGCUGCAAAGAGGUAUUAUGCCACUCUUUAUGGUUGGUCGGUGUUGGUGCCGUGGUCGAACAAAAUCACCAAACCAAAAACAAAUCAAACAACCAUUUCUAAGUCAACUUUUUGUUCACACUGUAUAUUAAAAGAAAUCAAAAUGGGCCAUGGAAAACAAAAAAAAAAAAAACCCAAUAAUAAUUAAAGGGUUAAUUUUAGAAACCUCCCCUGAGGUUUAUAAUAGUCUCACUACUCUCCUCCAAGGUUUUCAAACUAUUGGAAACCUCCUAUAAAACUAAUUAGUUAGUAACAAAUCAACCCAAUUCAAAUACAAAAGUAAUAUAAAAUUGGUAUUAGGAGAGAGAACGUAAUUUGAUUCUAUAACUACCCUCAAGUUUUGCAUUAGGAUGUUAAUUUACUACGAACAAUAUAUAUAUUUUUUAACUUUAUCAAAUGUGAAGAGUGUAACUAUUACCACAUUCAUAGAGUGUAAACAAAAGACCAGCUUUCUAACUCUACAACAAAUUUAGCAACUCAAUAAUGUCUCAUUUACAUAUUGCACGUGCAAUAUCAUACUAUUACAUCUAUUACAACACAUCAGUUGUAUAAUCUGCUACAAGAGAAAUAAAGCAUGUUAACUUAGUUACAACCAACAUUUCGGUUUAAAAAAUAUCAUUUCUUGAAUAAUUAGAAACAAAAAAUUUUUUGUCAUCAUUAAAAGAUUUUUUAAUUUAGUAAUAUACAACUAACAAUCUUUACUUAUAUUUUAUACAACAUCAACGCCUAUUUUCCAUGAUAAUAAAAGUAUCAAUUAGAAUAUUAAAAAAAACACUAUAAUUGAAGGAUUAAUCUUUCCUACACUGACAGUGUAUACACUAUCAGAGUUGGAUGAAUAACAACUAUGCAAAAAUUGAAUUUGAAAUUCAACUUUUGCACACAUGUAAUGAAUCCAACGAUGAUAAUGUAUACACCGUUAGUGUAGGAAAUAUUUACUCAUAAUUGAAUACCAUUCAUCAAAUGAAGAGGAUUAUAUAGAACAUAAUACAAGCUACAUAAUGUUAUAUUUUUCAUUUUUUGUUUGAUCAAAGUUAUUCAUUUUCACUUGCAAGGUCACUAUUAAGCAUGGCCAUUAAGAAUUACUUCAACAUUUACAAACAAAUAAUAAAAUUUUCAAAACCUAAGAGCAGAAAAAUCUUAGAGGCUGACCUUAAGAUUUUCACAAUCACCAAAAUUUUGAGGGCAACUUUCCUCUUCAAGUCUCAUAAAUCCUUAGAUAUGCUUAAAUAAACUCAAUUUCUCUUGCUCCACAAAAGCUACUAAAAGUUUGAAGAAUUGUUUCCACUUACGCACACCAAUUAUCAAUCACAUAAAGAUGCCUAUAUUUGACCCCUCUUUUGUAAUGGCAUAUUUGAAUUAAAAAAAAAACUUAUAAAAUGUCAUUAUUUCUGUUAAAUUUAGUUAAUACCAAUUUAACUAGUCAUGUGAAAAUAAUUGUGAAAUGUCUCUUUAGUUGUGUGUGGGUAUUUAAGGCGUUUCUUCAUGAUUGACGUGGCAAUUGAACCCAAUAGUCUGACAGGGGGUGUUUCUGAUAUUUUAAAAACCUUAGGAGAGGGUUGUGAGACUGAAAUUAUCCCUAAAAUCCAAUCCGAAGCCUCAUACGUGUAGCUCAAUUGUUCAACCAAGCCUUGUGAAAGCCAAAACCAUCUGCCGGUUGGCGUGACACGGAGCCCCCUCAAUUUACCAGUUAAUGGGUCAAUUAGUCAGAGUGGACCGGCCCCCUGAUUCAGCUUGCUUGCUUUAUGUCCCCACUCUCCCGCCGAUUCAACGACUGGUCACCGGAACUCACCUUAGCCUAGCCAGUGAGCUGAAUAAAGGCGGGAAGAUCUGGAUCACAUGAUUGUGUUUGGCUGACAACGUGGUCAGUUGGAUGGAUCCCACCCGCACCACCUGAUGCCUCUCGAGGUUGAGAAAUGGUAGUCUCUACUGGGCUGCUACUACUACCAUAUUUUAAUGCUAAUUAAAAUAUGGGUACAAAAUGGAAAAAUAAUUUCUGCUGAGGUAGGGUAGGAGGGUGGAUGGUCCCGGAGGUUGAGUUGGGUCGGGCUGGUGGGUCGCGGGUUGGUGUAUUUAUUAGGACUUGGUGCGUGUAGAAAAUUCGAAAUUCAACACGCAGUUGUUUGCCAAAUUACCUUGACCUUCCCUAAACUCUUACAUAAUUGCCCCUGCUUCUUCGUUUUGCAAAAUUGUGCUAACCUCUUCCGAUUUUUUUUGUUAAAUAAGCCUCUCAUUUGUCCUAUAUUGCGAUGCUAGUACAACACACUAUGUUUAUAAUAAUCCAAAAUAUAGCAUUUGCAAAACCUUUGAGACAGUAGUUUAGGAAUUGAAAGCUCAUUUCGUAGUGUAAGCGGUCAAUGGUUUCUGAACUAACUAAUGUUAAAUGAUAUCUAUUAUUUCAAAAUUUCAUGAAGUGCCAAAAAUGAUAUCUAUAUAUUUGGUUUGUUUGGAUAGAAUAUUAUUUAAAAUAAUUACUGUAGCACUUUUUUAUAAUAUAAUAUAUGCGAGAUAAAAAAGAUAAUUAAAAAUAUAAAAAUAUGAAUUGAAAAACGUGUUUAUGGUACAAGUGAAAUAUUAUUGAAAAAAGGUGGGUUUAUUUAACUUCUUAAGUAAGUUUUAUGUAAAAAUUUUGCGAUAAAAAAUAGUGAAGAUGAUAUUUAUAAAAAAAAAAGUUAAAGGAGUGUUUGGAUAUCAUUUUUCCUAUCAAAAUUAACAAAAUCAACAUAAGAAAAAAAAGAGAGAAUAUUGUAGUCUAAGAUAUACCUAGGGAAGUCAAUGCAAUUGCUACAAACUCUAGGGGAGAUUAUCAUAAUUUACUAUAUUUAUCAUGGAAGAGGGAUGGCUAAGCAAUUUUCUUGUGUUUGUGGGCACGAGGGUUAGAUUAUCGAUAGUUGCGCGUCUACAGUCUGUCCCUUGUUGACCCCGCAGCCUGGUCGAGACUUAAUGGUCAUGCUGGUCAAGGUAAUUUUUCCUUUUCAGGAGUGCCACUUUUUUCUUUUUUUUUUUUCCCCUGUCAAAGGUGCACGACUAUUUAAAACUCCACUUUUUACUCAUUUUCAUAAUUUUUUGCUGGUUUAUCCUUUUUCAUCGUACUUGUGGAUGAAUUUUCAAUCCUUCCCAUAAUUGAAUUUUUAUGUUGGAAAAGCCUAAUGCGAAUUGAAAGUAAGUGCCUAAUUCUUUUUUUUAUUCAUGUUUGAUAUUUCGACCAAUUCAAAAGUUCUAAAAUUCAUGAGUACUAAUUUCCAAAUUCUACUUUGUGCUUGUUCUUUAGGAAAAUUGCCAUGCACGAUUAACUUAAAAUACUUUAUUUUGUUCAGAAAUGUCCAUGUCAAAAGAAAAAUCUUGGAUCGUAAAACAAAAUAAUACUUCCCGUUUUGCGUUUUGCUUUAGGCCUCCUCCAACCUUCAAAGUCGGAGAGACUCGAGAGGGGAGAGGGGGAACUUGUACUACAUUUAUUUGGCAGUGGACGGUCCCGUUUGAAUUUCUAUUUUUUAUGAUUUUUUAAAGCAAAAUAUAUCACAACACUAUUUAAUAUAUAUAUAUAUAUAGUAAAAAUACGAUUGAAAAAUGUAUUCACAAAAAAUAUAAAAAUUUUCUUUAGAAAACUGCAUUAUGAACUAGACCAUAAUCUUCCAAAUUUGAUAUUAUCUAAGAAAAUCCAAUAAUCAUUAGAGGUAAAUCUGAAUUCAGUGUGUGAAUACAUUUUUCAAAAACUUUGAUUAGCAAUAUUGAAAUGGUCUGGUUAACGGUUGCCUUAUGGAUACUCGUAAAGGUUUAUCGUAAUUGUUAAUUUUUUGAAAUAUAAAAUUAAUUAGGAAAGAGUAUAAAUAUAAAGGGAUUAAUUAGAAAAAAUAUAUAAAUGUAAGAAAAAUUAGUAAUUAUAAAUAUACGUAUAUACAUAAUAGGUUAAAUGAAAUAUAGAUGUGUUAACGUGGGUAUCCGUUUAAAAAACCCAUAUACAAACAGUAAAGUUCUUUGGUUCCGUCUUUGAUGUCAAUUUGCUUCAUGGAAAAUUAUGAGAUUUGUUGAACAUUCCGGGAGCCAGGUAUGCAAAUAAUUCGUUUCUCAGGGUUGGGUGCAGGACGGCACCGUCACGGCAAAUCAUACCAAGCGGUGGCGGCCUCAUCCACCAAGGUGUCAUGAGGAUGAUAGUGCGAGCAUGCCCAUUCCAAUUCACAAUUUAAUUUCUAAUAAUGACCCUAACAUAUGUGUAAAAUUAGUCCUUUCUACAGACUUAUGCAAGUUAGCUUGGCUAUUACGCCUAAUCAUUCAGUCAAAUUACUUCUUUGACCACAAUCUCAGCUUGUUUGCUGCGUCUACAUUUGCAACAAAAUUGUUUUUUACAAGUUCUGAUGCAGGGGUGAUCAAUAGCCAAAGUACACGCAUGUACGCACAGCUUUUUCUGAGUUUAUUGGUCACAGUUGGGGCUUUAUUAAUUGUUGGGAAGUAAAAUAGUAUACAAGAAAUAUAGGUAUGCAUAAACCGCUCAAAGUAAUCACCAACCCACCGUCAAAUCAUGAAAGUUUGGUGGGGUAGGAGGUAAGGAUUCAAACCUUGAGCGUUACUUUGAACCGUCUCUCACUAAUCGCUACAGUACGUGGCUCUUUAAAAAACUCAGACGGAUGCCUUAAUCCAAUGAUGGUUCAGUUUCUGUUGGACCUCUCUGUAGGUUAGUUGGGUCCUUUCCUAGAAUAUGUUAGAAUAAGAGUAGGAGUAGGUGUAGAAUAGACUGUUAUGUCAAAAAAAAAAAGCUCAAAGUACUAGUAGUUUACAUAGGCUAGUUAUUCUUCAAUUUAUUGUCAUGUUAUUGGAGCUAAUAAACCAAUUGCCGAACUUAUUUUCUUUGUAAAUUUCGCGAGACCAUAAAUCAUUCAUUGGAGUACUACAAAUUACCCUCACAUCAAUUUAGGAUUUACACACACGAAACAUUUUGUGAAAAAAUGUUGUUGUACUUGACCUUAUCAAAUGACUCAUCAUACGUGACAUUUGCCAAACUUAACUACGCCGGUGAAUGAACAUUCAUUCAGGGUGGUUGGUCAACGACCGUGUCAAAUCUCAAAGUGAAAGAGAGAAAGGGAGCAAGGUAAGAAAAAAUUACUUGGCCGCGAGUUAUCCUGCAAAAUUAUGCAGAUGCAAAAUUGCGGCAUUGCAUAAUGAACUUGGAUUUGGACGAAAAGGGCAAAAGAUUAGAAACGUGCGUUACUUAGGAAAGUAUUGGGAACAUGGAAUCGAUUUGGUCAAUUUCGGGUGCCACCCUCGUCGUUGUUCUUCAUCACUUCGUCUGACGAAGUCGCAUAUUCUCUGUUCCAAGGCAAUAGCAUCUCAAAGCGAAUGCUCGACAUUUUGGAGCAAAUCCAAUCGUAAAAAAGAGAAUAUAUAAAACAUUCUGCCGAGACAACUCAACGGUACGGGGACCUUCGUUGAAAUACUUCUGGAAUUAUUUUUUUUUAAAGUAAAUUUGUUUGGAUAGAGUAUUAUUAGAAAUAUUAUUUAAAAUAAUUACUGUAAUAUUUUUUGUAAUGUAAUAUACGUAAAAUAAAAAAUUAAAUUGAAAAAUAUAUUUGUAAUGUAAGUGAAAUGUUAUUUAAAAAAAAAUGUAUCCAGACAAACCCACUAUUUCUCGAAUUAAUGAAAAAAAUCCUCAAUUUCAUCCUCGCACAACAAAGAAAGAAAAAAAAAAAAAGCUUUUAUCUUCGAUAGAACACUUAAGGAAGGCCGGCCGGCCUCAAAUAUUGACAUAUUUGUUUUUCUUUUGAAAACUAGGACUUGUCCUUUAUGAGUGAAAAGAAAGCAAGAAAAGGAAAAUCUUAUUACACACUAACUUAAUAUUCAAUAUAUUUGGAAGCAUCACGUUUUUUCUUUUUCUUUUUUCGAGAAGAAAAACGAUGGACAAAUUUCUGGUUGGUUUACAAAAUUGGUCCAUUAAUAUCUAUGACCAAUCAUGAAGAAUUUUUACUAAGCCAAAAGUGGCCUCACCUUUUAAUGCAACUUAAUAAAAAUCGUUAAAAUAAUAAUGUAAGAUAAUCGUGUGAUUUCCAAGGACCAUUUUGUCUUUUUAGUCAUCCAGUUAUUCUACUGGCGAUUAAGAAAGAAGAAAACCCAGGUUGUGAAUGAAUGGAUGGUUUUUUUGUUUUUUUUUUUUUUUGAGGGAAUGAAAUGGAUGAAUUAAAGCCAAAGGAUGGGAAACGGAAGAGAAGAGAAAACAACUUGGGUUGGGUUUGUGGGGUUAGGGAUGGUAGAGAAAAUCGAGAAAGUUAUACAGUAGACCCUAAGACCGUAGAAAGAAAAACGUUUAAAUUUAACCCAAAAAAAAAAAGAAUUUAAAUAGAGAAAAAGGAGGAACAUAAAAUAAAGGAAAUAGCAGAAUAAAACCAAGAAAGGUACAGUACAUGAACUAAUGAAAUGGAAACUUCCCAAAAAAUAAAUAAAGGAAAAUGAAAAAAAGACCCUCCUCCCUUUCCUUUCUCUCUCUCCCUCAAUUCCUCCUCAACCAAACACACCACAUACAGUAGAGAGAGAAAGUUGUGUGGAGAGAGAGAAAGAGAGAAAAGAGAAAGGAAAGAGAAAAUACUGCCAAAAAAACAAAAAAAAAGAGAUAUCUCAUCUCCUCUCCUCUCUUUUCCUGGAUCUUCAUUUCUCUGUUCUUCUCCUCUUUGUAGAUAAAAGAAAUUUUCGAUCUCUUCUCCUUUUCUUUUCGUUCUUUUGUUUGUAAUUUUGUUGUAAAUUUGACUUUCGGCCAUGCGAGAGGCAGAGCAGCCGCAGUGGCCAAGCAAGCGGCGGCGGCUGCAGCCGCCGGAGAAACCAAUGGAUCUGGAGGAUCUAAAGAGAUCAGAUUCCGUGGUGUAAGAAAAAGACCUUGGGGAAGAUUUGCCGCCGAGAUCAGAGACCCCUGGAAAAAAACUCGAGUUUGGCUCGGUACCUUUGACUCAGCCGAAGAUGCGGCUCGAGCCUACGACGCCGCUGCUCGGACUCUCCGGGGUCCGAAAGCUAAAACCAAUUUCCCUUUGCCAUCAACCUCUUCUUAUCAUCAUCCCCACCAGUUUAGUAAUUAUCAAAACCCUAAUAACCCUAAUUUUAAUAAUAAUGACCCUGCCAUGUUUAUAGAUCACCCUCAAAACCGGUUGUAUCACCAGGAGCCGCACCAGAUUUUGCACCCUCAGCGGCCCACUUCUAGCAGCCUGAGUAGUACUGUGGAAUCUUUCAGUGGUCCCAGGCCUCAGACGACGGCCGCGGCGGCGACUUCCAUGAUUCCGUCCAGUUCCAGAAGACAUCCUCGGUCGCCGCCGGUGGUGCCUGAUGAUUGUCAUAGCGACUGCGAUUCAUCCUCCUCCGUUAUUGAUGACGGCGAUUGUGACAUCGCUUCGUCUUCCUUCCGGAAGCCGCCAUUGCCAUUUGACCUCAACUUGCCAGCGCCGGUGGAUGUUGACGCUGAUGACCUUCACUGCACAGCUCUAUGCCUUUAAUGGAUGUUCUGAUCUGUCUGAUGAUAAUAUGAUUUCCGAACAAUUCGAUAUGGAUGUUCGGAUUUUCCUUUUUCUCUAUUUUUUCGUUUUAAGCCGGAAAAAUUCCCCAAAAAAAAUUGAAAAAAAGGGUCAUAGGCAGGGUAAGACUAAGGUGAUGCUGUAAGAGAGAUGAGAUUGGCGGGUCAUAUGUUGGUCUGUCUGCUAUGAGUCUGUUGUCUGAAGAGAAAUUACCUCUUUUUUCCUAAAAAUAUUCUUAAGAUUAUGAUUUUAAUGUUAUUAUGGUUAGAGGAAUGACUGAGAUGGAUGCUUUGAAACAUGGGCUAGAGUGUGAUAUGAUAUCAUAAAUGUAUGAUGAACUGAUUACUCUUAUUUUUGUAUCUUAACUGUAUGGGAGCUUUGGGAUGUAGAGCAGUCUCUACUGUUGUUGUUGCUCUUGAAGUGAUACGAUAUUUACUUUAGUAUUUACUUGUAAAACUAGACUGGGUCAAACAGUUCUGAGGUGCAGCUCAUGUUGAUUUACGAGGAUAUGAACAUUGCCACCCUUUGUUUUAUGUAAAAUGAGAGCUUUAUCUAAUUUGAUUGACGGUCAAAAGGAAGUUCUUCUUUAAAUGAAUCUGUAGAUUUGUGUGCUAUUUCGUAGAUCUUGGUUGUUGAUGAGUUUUUAUUUGCUAGGCUUGUGUAUUAAUGCGUAGAGGUUCAUAUGCAAGCCCUGUCAUUAGUUUAGUAUUUAAGCAUGAGUAUGUAGUCAGUGUUGAAGUAAAAAGUGCAUUGAAUGAUUGAUCAAGUCGGUAGACUUGAAGCCAUGCAUGAGAUUUUCCUGUUGGAAGUUAUGAAUUGCAAGUUAUCGUGUGUGGUAUGGAGUAUUGUUUGUUUUUUGAUUUGUGGAUAGCUCUUGUUAUGUUUCUUUCUUCAGCAUUCGGAUGCUUGAAAUGAGGAAGCAUUGAACCUAGAAAUAUUCAACAGAUUGGAUCUAAGUUGAGGUUGAAUUUGUUGGCUAAUUUGUUUGGUGUACUAGUAAUAACAAAGCUAUUAGCCUAUUGAUCCGUUUCUUACCGUCUUAAAUACUUACUCUUUUUAGAGCUUGACAUCAUCUAUUGCUUGCAGAAGUUUGUUGAAUUCAUGUAGUAUACCUUUGUAGUGCUCUGACUUGCAUCAUAAUGCCCUUCCUUUUUUCCCUGUGGUUGUGCUUUGCUCUGCAUAAGCAUCUUAGUUGUAUCACAAUGGGUGAACUUGUGCUUUGAAUCUUGUACCAGAAUGAUAUGUAAAUACAAUUAGCUUGAGAUAAUUCGGUCUGGCAGUUUUUUUGCCUCUCAUAUGUUUAGAACUGCGAAGCUUGUUCUUGUUAACCAUUCACUUGUGUUUUUUCUUUUCAUUUGUUUUGCAUCUGGCAAAUUACCUCUAGGAGCAAGUUGCAUGCUAGCACUUUUGCAAGGUAAGAAGUUGAUUGGGUGGGAAUAGCCAAACACCAUGCUCUACUUGAUUGCUAGGACCAUGGGAUUGUGGCUAGUUAUAUAUUAGUGAAUGAGAGGUUUUGUGAUCAAAUGGUGAUGCAUUGAAUACUCUAGUGAGUGGAUGGAUAGGCUUAUGGAGGCUUCUUUGCGGGAAUUGAUAUUUUUGUUGAGGAGGGUAGUUUAUACCUCUCUUGCUUGAUGGUCACAUUAGAUAUGCAUACUGUGUUGUAGAUGCUAGGUACUUUGACUUUGUACACGUUGGCUCACUGAAGAUGAUAGGAUCUGUACCUUCCUUCCUCCUUUCCCCAUAUAUUUGGUGUUUCAUUCUGUUGAAAACUCCUUUUUUUGCCUGGUAAGGCCGAUGCCUACUUUUUGAACAUUUUCUGAAACUUAAAUAAACACCCUGUUCUUAUUCUGAGUUGCUUCCUUUAAUCCUGCUAUUCGGCAUCAAAUAGAAUCUCCUGCUGAGAUUAAUGCGCUUUGGUACCAUGGGGUCAUAGUUGCAAAGGUCUUCCUUUUGAGUCUUGUUAUCAAGUGUUCUGUUGGAUUUCAAUGCGAAUGAACUUAUCAUAACCAUCAGCUAUUUUGGCGGGUAAUGCACAAUUUAAAUGAUGUAUACAGCAGUGCAUUUUAUGAUCUCAUGGAAGAACAAACUCGUGUGAGGCGGGCACUUUUGGUCUGGGGGAAUGACUAACAGUAGUAUUUAUUUGUCAUGAUUUGACCGGUUCUUGCGCCUGUGUAGGUGACCAGAAUUUGAAUUAGCUCAUGCACCGGUGACUGGUUUGGCGCUGGCGUGGUUAUGUUGAACUGGCUGAAUGUCAAGUACUGUAAUUGCUUAAAAAAAUAAAAAGGGGUACUGUAAUUCUUAGCUUCCUCCAAUAAUCAUGGAAGUGGGAGUGAGACUAGGGAGUAAGGGAGAUCUAACUGCAAUUCUCGUCGUAUCCUACUUUUAUUCAUGCUUUCCUGUAGAGAUGCUAUCAAUUUCCCUCAAACAAUUGGUCAAAAGUUAAAGAAUUGCCCGCAAGAUAUUCUGCAAUCUUAAUCCAUUUCUACAGUUUUGUGUGUAGUGGAAAAAUCUUAAAAAAAAAAAAAAAAAAACUUGUCCUGGAGAAAUGAACAAGGCUUUUUCAAAAAUCAUUAUUAUAAUAUAUUUGGAUUUGGAAUUGUAGGUGAGUGGUUCCCAACGUUCCAGUCCUCAAAGCUACUUAUGUAAUAAUAAUACGUUGAGCAAGUAUAUUUCCCUACGUAAAAGUCCACCUUCCUUUUGUAGUUUGCGGCCUUUGAGACUUGAAACUCCACAUUUUAGUCCAUGUCCCAGAAUCUAUCAACCCUCGGACCAUGGAGAGAUGUUAGGGGAAAGUACUUGACCUCCUUAGACAUCAAAUCUUAGGUGGGAACCGGCAUUGCAGGUUCUGUUUAGAUUGUGGACGAUUAUAUAAGGAGCGGGGCAGGGACGGUCAACCAUCCUGAACAACAAUAUUAUUUGUUUGGAUAGAGUAUUAUUUGAAAUAUUAUUUGGAAUAAUUACUGUAGUAUUUUUUGUGAUGUGAUGUAUGUGAGAUAAAAAGGUGAUUGAAAAUAUAAAAAUGUGAAUUGAAAAAUGUGUUUAUGAUGCAAGCGAAAUAUUAUUUGAGAUAAUUUCACUGUCCAAAUAAUAUAUUUUUUGAAUGUUUUUAUAAUUCUACGUAAAUUUUCUGUACAUCCUUUUUACAAUAGAAGUGAGAUAUUUGUUAUUGUUUAAGUGGAUUCCAUAUACAAUAAUUAGUUUUUAUUGUUAAGUUUUAUAAAUAGUUCACGCAAAUUAUAUCUUAUUUAACAAAUAUUAUAUUAUUCAAAAAUAUUAUCAUGGAUAAUCGUUCGUGUCCGUGGUCGAAUUAUGUAUAUCAACCCAUUUGUCAGAAUACAACCGAUUGGAAUCCUAGUGGCAUGCACAUUAGAUUGGAGCAAGUUUUUGGGAUCGAAAUAAGUAACGUCCCCAUUUUGGCCGCUAGCCUGCACACACAUGUUGGAAGAGAAAAACCAAAGGGAAAAGAAACAAAACCUUUUUAGAGCUCCGUUUGAAUCGAGAAAUUUGAUGAAAAAUUUGAAAUUGAUCUAAAUCCCUCUAGUUGUUUGGAUCACUUGAGAUAUAUUUGGAUUUAUAAUUUAUUAAUUAUUUAAAUAUAUUUUAAACACUAAAUUAAUUGAUGAUUUACAAAAUUAAAUAUAUAUUGAGUGAUCAAAACAAUUAAAGAGAUUUGAAAGGAUUUCAAAUCUUUCAACAAAUCUCUCAAUCCAAAUGCAAUAUAUGAGAAUUGAAUUUUGGUCAUCUUGUGCCCCUUUUGGGGUUGUAGUGCUUUCGGUAAAAAAGCACGUUUAGUUGUUAAAAGUAUUUUCAAGGCUUUUGGUGAAUAUUAUCCCAUAAAAUUAUGAAUAAAAUUUUUUGUGUUAAAAGCACUUUUUGCAAAAAAUAAAUAAAUAAAUAAAUUUUGGUGCUUUUAGAGUAACUUUUGUUAUUUAAAAAAUAAAACAUUAAAUUUAAUUAUUUUAUUCUAUAUUAUAAACUAAAUAAAGAGAUAAAUACAUUUAAAAAUGUUCAAAUCACAUAUUAUCCAAUACAAUAAGUACUUAUUGAACUAUAUCUCCAAAUAGUAUACUUAAAAGCACUUAAUAAAUACUUCUAUCAGGAGCUCUAUUAGCAAAGUAUUUUUUCAUAAAUUAUAAUACAAGAAGUAAUUUGUAUACUAAUUAAUACAAGAAGUAUAAUAACCGGACCGAAUUGCACGAAAUCCCAACCGCAUUGAGUUCUUUCCCCAAAAAAACAGAUGAGCCAAUGAACGUUUGACGUCAAUUUCCAUCCCAACUUUUUUGCUACCUGUAAAAACCAAAGGCAGGACUCAUGAACUGCAUCCAAUCAGAUACUCCCAGGUAACGCUAAAUUCAACGAAUACAAUUGACAAAAAAUCUUCUCGAUUCGUUUCUGCAAAGCUAUCUUCAGCCGAAGAACUGAUAAUCUUGUAUUAUACCACCACUCCAUUAAAAUAUAAGGUCAUGCUUGGAUUGCUUAUUUUCGUCGAAAAAUAUUGUCGUUUUUCGUGAUUAUAUUUCCCUAUCAUCUUUUUUUCUCAUAUAUAUCAAAUCGCUAUAGUAAUUUUUUUAUUAAAAAUGACGGAAAAUGCAAUCCAAACACAAUCCAAACAAUCGAGAUGUAAUCCCGAAGAUUCAAUGCCUAUUUUUUUUUUUAAAUUUGGAAAUAAAUAUUUUGGCAGCACAAAAUUUAUGAUAUGAUUUUUCUAUAAGCGACUGGUUUGACAUUAUCAUGUGGAGAGUUGGCCUUUUUGUGCCUAAUUGAAUCUCCAACUUUACACGUUGCAAACCAACGCUCAUAUGUGCAAUGUCGUUUUUCAGUUAACUACAGCUGUGAUUGGAUGAUGCACUAAUGUAAGAGGCAUCUUUUCACCACAAAUCCCUUAAUAUUUUAAGAACUCAUCCUGCCUGAACAGCCCAGAUGUACAAGUUUGGUUCGAGGAUUCAAGUCUUGCUAGCAAUUUUUAACACUUCCAGAUCAGAUCUCAUCUGAUGUUAAGGGGAAAAAAAAAGAGUUGUUACUACACGACUAUUGCAGUUGGAGAUGUGGUUCUGUACAAAAUGAAUUUGAAUAAAUUCGAUUCCGAUCACCGUCACUAUAAUAAUAAGCAAAACAGUCAAUGGUAGUACCCUGACUGACGGGAAGUUUUACACCAAUCAAUACACUACGCAUCUACUAGUUCUAUGGCGUUUACAGGAAGAAGAUGAAUCGUUAUACUCUCAUCAGUCAAAUUGAGAUAAAAAGUGGUGGCACGGGCUGGUCUUUAUUAGAAGGAAAACUACCCAAAGCACAAAGGCAAGAAGGAAACAACUAUGAGCAUGAGAUGGAUGCCAGCAGCUCUCGCUGUCUCACAUGCUGCUUGAGAUUUUAGGUGCACCCCCGACUUCGGCCUCCGUGACAUCGACUCGGAUCAGAUUAUUGCUUUUUAACACCGCGCGUUUUACGGAUAUGGUGUGAAACUUGCUACUGUUAGACCCAUUGACUGUUUGGAACUUGAGUUUUUUUUGUUAAGUUUACAAGUUUUUUUAAAAAUUUUAUCUAUAAUAACCUUAAAUAAUUUUUUGAAAAUUUUAAACUAUACAUUUUAAAAUACUUAAAAAUUUAUAUAUUUCAAAAAUUUUUUUAAAAACUUUUACAGCAAGUUAUAGUAAAAUUUUAAAUAAACAUAAAAAAAACUCACUUGUCAAACAAACAAGGCGUUGAUCAAACUCGAAACAAGCUGUCCAAUCGAGGAAAAUCAUUCUUAUAGCUCAGUAAUCAAUCAGUCAAUCACUCCCGGUUCAGUUGAGAUGGCAACGCAUUUGAUUUUUUAUUUUUUUUUUUUUCGAUAAACAACAAAAUUUGUGGACCAAAUAGGACGAGAAUCGUGACAAAAUGAUCGCAAAAGAGGACGAAAAUGAUUGGAAAGAUUCAGAAGAAAACCGUCUGCCCCUGUUGUAGAACAUAGCAAUGCUCCCUCUCGUUAACUGCAAGUAAAUUAACCAACAAUUUAAGGUGUCGGGGGAGAAUCCUAGAAAGAAUACUUGCUCCCGCAGCCAGAAUCCCCUCCCAUUUCUUUUCUUCAUCCCCACCUUGGUGGCAAGCCAACUCUUUUUAUUCCACCACCACCAUAGCCAAUAAUUUACCUGCCACAUUUCUCCGCCCCAUUCGUCCGUCCUUCCUACGCCCCCCAUAUUUCCCGUUUGACUCACAAUCCCAGCCAAGCAUCCAAGAAUCAAGAUUCAAAGCCAACUCAUAAUCUCAACCAAGCCAAAUAGUACUAUAUUUAUUUUCCUAGUAUAAAAUCCUUAAAUCAGACCCCAUUUCAAACCAAAAUCAAGGACCUCCGAAUUUCGCACCCCUCCUCCCAACUCCUAUUUCUCUCUGCCUCUUCAAUUCAUAAUAGUUUAACCCUCGUUCAUACGAUGAACUGAUUGUUUUUCCCUUUCGGGUAAAUACUAAAUGAUCAAUGGAAGCCGACAGGGAAGCGUCGUUGAACGAAAACAGCAAGAAGGCAUUGUUAGCUAGAAGUGCAUCACAUGCACAAGAUGAAUUGAAGAGUUUCAGGACAUGGCUGAAAUGGAUGUGCGUGGAUCAAUCUGAUUGGUGGACUGCGUUUCUUUCGUGGUCUGUUUUUGUGGUAUUGGCUGUCGUCGUCCCUUGUCUCUCCCAUUUCUUUCUGGCUUGUAGUGAUUGUGAUAGCAGACACAGCAGGCCUUAUGAUACCAUUGUGCAGCUUUCUCUUAGCACCUUGGCGGCCCUAUCUUUCAUUUGCCUUUCCCAGUUUGUGAGGAAAUAUGGGCUCCGGAGAUUCUUGUUCUUCGAUAGGCUUUGUGAUGACAGCGAGACCGUCAGAAAAGGAUACACCGUUCAGCUCAAUGUAAGUUCCUUUCUUUCUUCCCUUGUUACUUUCUGUAUUAUUUAAGGUUACUGGCUUUGAUGUUUAAGCAUCCGACUUGUUUUCAUGCAUGGUUGAUGAUCAAUCACGCGUUAGGGUUCAAGACAAUAGAGGUUUCGACUUUGAAAUUUCUGUCUUUUCGGCUAAAUCAACCUGAUAUUCUGAUCGUCCACGUUUAUGGUAAAGGAUCUCAUUCUUUGGUUUUUGGAAAUAGUCAAGUGGGGAUCCUAGUAUGUGAUUAGCAUAGGAAAUGGUGUAUAUACACCUGCGAGUUCGGAGAACUAUGAAUUCGUAAACAUGUAUGAUUGUGUAGGGUGGUAAAUUUAGUGUGGAUCUUCUUGGAACAUGCCAUUUUGCUUAAUUGUUUUGAUGAGUGGCCUAAAAGUAGUAUUUGUUUCCUGGAAACGAAAGGUCAGUCCUCUAGUAGUCUGGUGAACUGUAACCUGUCAAGUGUCAACUUAGAACAGGUUCUUCUUCUCAACCCAUCAUCUUUUAUAGAUUGAAGAAUUCUGAGGGCAGGAAGUAGUGGUGAGGAGGGGGGGGGCAGGAUAGCUGUAUAUAGGGGGAGGAGAGCUAUAUACAGCUCAAGACUUAAAUUGUUGUUUAUCACCCUGUUGUUGAGAACCACAUUUAUCACCCAAUUAAACCUUUCUGUCAGCAUUGUGAAGGAAACAAGGUGGUAUAUUGUGGUUGGAUUGUUAAGUGCUUAAAUUUCAUAGGCAAUCCUGGAAAUAAAAUUCUUGGUUAGUUCCUUUUCAAUAACGAAAAUAAUCAGGUCAGGAGAUAAUACUAAUAGCACCAGUCAUAAUCUGUGCAUUAAGUUUACUAACGGCAUAAGAUUUGAUGCCUAGCAAGUGAUCAUAGCUCUGGCAGUGAAAUUGCAGUGAUGUUUAAAUCAAUCAAGUAAUUUGCUUUUCUGACAACCAGUGCUAUCUAAUAGCCAUUAUUCUGUUUUGACCAAUCAAGUAAUUUGCUUUUUUCGACAACCAGACCCUUUCUAAUGGCCAUUAUUCUGUUUUGAUCAACAUGAUUGGCAAUAUUGUCUUUAUAUGCAGAGAUCCCUGAAGAUCGUAUUCAUCUUUGUGAUACCUUGUUUCACAGUGGAGUGCGCUUACAAGAUUUGGUGGUAUAGCUCGGGUGGCACCCGAAUUCCCUUCUUGGGCAACAUAAUAGUGAGUGACACUGUUGCAUGUAUUUUAGAGCUUUGCUCAUGGCUCUACAGGACUGUGGUCUUCUUCCUGGUGUGCAUUCUCUUUCGCCUCAUCUGUUAUCUUCAGAUCCUCCGAUUACAAGACUUUGCACAAGUCUUCCAGGUAGAGUCUGACGUCGAAUCAGUGUUGAGGGAACACCUCAGGAUCAGAAGGCAUUUAAGAAUUAUAAGCCACAGAUACCGCUCAUUCAUUUUAUGGGCAUUGAUCAUCAUAACAGUUAGCCAGUUUGCAUCCCUACUCAUGACUACGCGCUCAACUGCUGAUCUUAGUAUAUACAAAACCGGUGAACUUGCUGUAUGUGUCCUAAUUCCAAAUUCUUUUCCAAUAUUUCCAUGAUCUGUUUAUGAGAGAAAUUUGAAGCUGAAUGCCUCGUCUUUGGCACGCAGCUAUGCUCCGUCAGCCUUCUUGCAGGGCUGAUGAUCCUGUUAAGAAGUGCAACCAGAAUUACACACAAAGCACAAGCCGUUACGUGUCUUGCGGCCAAAUGGCAUGUCUGUGCAACAAUAGAUUCGUUCGAUACAACUGAAGCUGAGACGCCUAUUUCCAGGGUGCCUGUCAACCACGUUUUUCCGGUGAGUUCUGAUGGAUCAGACGCUGAUGAUGAUGUUGGCGAUGAAGAGGAUGAUAUAGACCACACCAAGCUCGUUCCAUCAUACAACUACAACACAAUUUCAUUCCAAAAGAGACAAGCCUUAGGUGAGUUGGUAUAAAACCUCAUACAGUCCAAGAAAAAAAAGCCUUUUACUACCACUACUUCAGGAAUGUGGAUGAUAGUGCAUCAAAUUCGUACUUGUGUUAUUGAUUUUUUGUCCCGUGAUCAUGAUGCCAGGCUGUUCUCAACUGUAUCUUCUUUCAACUUUUGGCUUUCUUAAAGCUAGGAAAAGCCGAAUUCAAUCAGAAACUACACAAUACAUGUUUCUGGAAUUCUGAUUUCGGCUUUUGAAAAAUGCAGCUUUUACGAAAGUCAGAAUCAAUUGAGAACAACCUGGCUAUCUCAUUCUCAUAGUUGUCGCCUAAAUAACCAAUCCUCAGAAACAAUUUUUUUGUUUUUUGAGUUUGUAAAUUAGAGACUUGAUGGUGUAUGCGAGGCAGCUGAUUGUUUUGGGUGUUGCUAUGCAUGUCGCAGUGACAUACUUUGAAAACAAUAGAGCGGGAGUGACAAUCUAUGGGUUCAUGCUGGACAGGACCUCGCUUCACACGAUAUUUGGCAUAGAGUUGUCCCUUGUGCUUUGGUUGCUUGGAAAGACCAUCGGUAUUUCAUAGAAAAGAAACAAGAGGGUUGCGAAAUUUUGUGUGGGAUUAGCAUUUAGACCAUGUUGGGCAAUUGACCCCUGAGAAGAGAUUUGAGGCGGUUUGCUUUGUCGCCGCCCAUUACCAUCCAUGAACGAUCAGCGACGAGUGACGGCGACGGAGGAAGGUCUGUCUAGCUCUGGCUGGCGACAUCUAUUCAACAUUUUUUUUGUCAAAAUAUCCGUCGUGCGUUCUUCUUCAUCUUCUUCUUUUGUGUUUUUUUUUUUUUUUUUUUAAAUAGCUCUUGAUUUCUAUUUUUUCUUGUGAAGUGUCAAUGUCGAUUAAUGUUUCUUUGCUUGUACUUAUGCUGCAGAUGAUAUGUAACGUAUUUAUAUCUGUUGAGCUACUGUCAUCAUUUUAUUUUAAUUUUUUUUAAGAAAAGAAAUUUGGAUAAGUGCGGCUCCCGUCACCACUUUUCUUGGUAAUGUCCAGCUGGGAUUUUUAUGAUGGUAAAAUAAUAUGAGUCUAUUUUUUUGGUAUUUUUUUCGGAGACAAUAACAGUUGUAUAAUCUAAUCUAUUUUACAUUAAGAGGGAGGAGGCGGAUCUAAGGAGGUCCAGAGAUAACUCGGAGAGGAAUGAAUCAUCACCGGAUCAAAUAAGUGCAUAACACAUUCGCCUGAAUUUUUUGAAACAAAUCACUCAAAUGUGACAUUUUGGUGAAUCUUGUUUCCCACUCCACCAAGCUAGUCCAUCAAGCUAGGUGGUAGCCACCGGUCCCUUUCAUAACUCACAGUUUUUUGUAUGAGUGUUUCGAUAAAUGGACUCUGCGAAGACACUUCAAAAGCCGGCAACUUUUGAAGUGCUCCGCAGCACUUAACUACUAAACCCCCAAACCCCCCAAGCGAUGUGGGAACUUAACCCCACAGGGUGCCCCGGUAGCCACCGGUCCAAGAUUGGUAUUUUUUGGUAUUUACACCAAAGAAAAAUAUCUUCCCGAGUGGGGACAUGGGAUGGAGGCAUUAAGAAAUUUGAGACGCUCCUUCGAUGAGCACUAAUGAUGAUCUAGGAGUAAACGAUUGUACUCUCAAAGGAAAAAAAAAAAAAAAAAAACUUCAGUCAACGUCUGCACGGUCGAAAUGUGACCUUCACUCUGACGUGUCCACGCUGGAAUUGGAAAUGCGGGUGUACGUGUUCCUUUUUGUGCAGUUUGCCGAGAUUAAGCUAAACGAAUGCUUUUUUUUUUUUUUUUUUUUACACAAAUGUUUAUUCACAGGCUUCUAAAAACCAAGUCAAGAUCGCUGCCUCCUUCCAUGGCUUUGCUUACAAUAAAGAAACAAAGCACUCUUGACGCGAGAAUAAUAUACUAAAAUUGGAUGUGUACCAAGGGGAAAAAAAAAAAAAACUAAUGACAGGAUAAGGUUAAGAGACGCAAAAAAGAUUAAUAGUCGAGUGUAUUUGGGUAGAAAAUUAUUUAAAUUUUAUUUAGUAAUCAUAUUAGCACUUUCUUUCUUUGAUGUAAUUUGUACCGGAUAAAAAUAUAAUUAAAAAAAUUUUAAAAAUGUAUUUACGACAUAACAAAAAAUUCUUCCCAAAUAAUCACAUAUGCAAGACACACUCUCAAAAUGAACAAUUGAUAUAUUCAACGAGUAACAAUUCUCAAUGGGAUAGUUUUGUUCAGCGAUAAUAAUUAUUGGAGUGAAUAUUAAUAGUUCGAUAUUAAUAGAGAAUUUGUUCUACCACAUGCGAAGACUAAAUUUAAAUACUUAUGUCACAGUUGUGAAAACUUAUUAGUGUGCUUUUCUAAUUCGUUAUUUCCUUUCAUAAAUUUGUUAUUUUUAAUGUACAAGGAGUUUAUAGCUUUUUGUUGUUUCCAUAUUAAAAGCAUACCUUAGUCAUUAAGGAGACAAAUCAUAGGGACAAGGAGAAGGGUACUUAAUUUCCACAAUAGUUUCAAUAAUAAUAAAUCAGAUGCUAAAAAAAAAAAAUUAAAGUAAUUAUUAAACAUAUAAAAACGACGACAUCGAAAGUUAAAUUGCCUCGCGUCGGCAAAAUGGCUCUCUCCUUUCCGCCUAACGGAAGCGAUGGCACUAAUAAAUCCUUCUUCAAAUCCUGUAGCUUAAAAACUAACGAACUCCUAAAUUAAAGCCGCGGGGGCUGGUGCAUUCGCUUCAGAGAACGUUUAAUCAUUUGGAAAGCGGAGUCGAGUCAUGGAAAUUGAUUCCGCUCCAAUCAGCCGAUGCUCCAAAGAAAACCAGAAGAUCUAUCAGGACUGGUUCGCUUUUGCUGAUUCAGGUCUCUUUUUCUUCCCAAAUCUCCCCCCUCUCUUACACAUUGUCCUUUUUGUUUCAAAAUUAUUCAAUUUUUGAACUCUUUCUAUUUGAUAACUUUUGAAUUUUUUUUUUCUUCAAAUUUCAGAUGGAGAUGGGCGACUUACAGGAGCUGACGCCACCAAAUUCUUUGCCCUCUCAAAUUUACCUCGCCAUGAUCUUAAACAGGUUUUGUUCCUAGCUACGUAUUCAUCAUUGUCUCCUCUCUUGUUUUCCUUUUUGUUCAAGUUUAAUCUCACUUAUUUGUUUAUUUAAUUCUUUUGGUUUAAUAAAAGAUUUUUAUGGCAAUAUGAUAGUAUUCCGUAAUAAAUGUCUCUCAUCGACACUGCUUCGGCUUUAUAUGACUGCAUAUUGUAGUUGCUUGUGUUGUUGAAACCAUAUUACCAGCAUGGAUGCUCGUACGUGUAUAUUUCUCAGCUUACUAGCAUUUCUAAUUAAGUCAUGUAAAUAUUAGCCUCCUACAAAUUUAUGCCGUUUAUGUAUCUUUUGGUGAUUUUUUUUUUUUUUAUAUUAUUUUCCUUGUUUUCCACAAGGUUUGGGCUAUUGCAGAUUCUAAACGACAAGGUUUUCUUGGUUUUAAAGAGUUUAUUACGGCAGUUCAGGUUCUGAUAUCUUCUCUCCCUCAUUUAUAUUUGGCUUAGCUCCAGUAUCGGAAAAGAUGCUAAUUUUCUCUUGUAUCUUAAUUUCUAGUUAGUUUCUUUGGCACAAGCGGGGCAUGCAUUAACUAGUGAUAUCAUAUACGCUGAAGGUAAGUAGCAGUAUGGUUUCACCUUCGUUCUCUUUGUUUGGGAAUAAUGUGGUCCGGAGGAGUGAUAAGCAUAUUGAUGCUUUCUGGUCUGUCUGUCUUGGAAUCUACUUUAUCCUUUUCAUAUGUUAGCCUUACUAGUUUAGCAAAUUAUAAUUGUUACAGUUGACUUUGAAAGUCUGAAACCUCCAGCAAUGGAUGGGUUGGAGGCGCUACUAGCUGUGAGUAUACCAAUGUCCUUCCUAAUUCUUUUUGCAAAUCUCUUGGAUCGUUCACUGAUAAUUCUCACUUUGUUAUUGCAUUUAUGCAGAAGAAAAAGCAUACACCGAAAAGUGACCUAGAACAAAAUGGUGAGACUGUUAUUGAUCUAGCUACAUAUUUUGUGUUUCUUUCCUCUUUUCCUUGUUUAGAGACCUGAGUUUGUAAAGUUCAUAUUUGUUCUGCAAUUCAGGCAUUCCUCAGUUGCAGUCUUCACCAUCUGCUAAUUGGUUUUCUUCGUCAAAGUCUGCAAAGAAGGUGCAUUGUAACAACUACUUUGUCUCUAAAGGAUGAAAUAUUGCACUUUUUCCUAUACUUUUUGCAUUGAUACAUUUUACACAAUCCAUGUUAUUUAAUUCUUUGCAUUUUCUGUUCCCUUCAUAGAAUUUUAUUUCUAGUGUUGGGUAAACUGUUUUACAAUACUCUCUAUUAUGUAUCAAAGUAAUGUGAUGCAGCGAGAUGAUAAACAGAAUGGAUUUGGGGCUGUAGAGAGGUCAGACUGGAAGAUUUGAUAUAUCUUCUGUGGCCAUUAUCGAAGCUGCCAUAGGACUCUAGUACAUGACAAGAUGACAAAAAAGUUUGAUGUGGACCGUAGUACAUCAACUAGUAUGCUAAUAGGAUUUGAACACUAUUCCACAAAGAGCACUUCUUAAUGUGCAAGAACUUGCCAUUGAUGAUUAAUUUUGCAUCAUGUAAACACACUUUACUUAUUGUUUUGGGUCCUAUAAUGAGCUUUGCUUUUGCUUUGUGUCUUGUCAGGUGUCUCUAAGCUCUGUUACAUCAAUUGUUGACUGAUUGAAGAAGUUGUACGUCCAAAAACUGAAGCCAUUGGAAGCAACAUAUCGUUUCAAUGAUUUUGUUUCCCCUUUGUUGGUGAGUCAUGCGUCUGCUUUGUUCUUCACUUGAGGGAUUUGGAUAUGGUUGUGAUUCCAUUGUCUUAAUUAACUGAAAUCAUAGUUGACUGGAUUGUUCCUUUCCCUAGACAAAUAGCGAUUUUGAUGCUAAGCCCAUGGUGAUGUUGUUGGGUCAAUACUCAACUGGGAAAACAACAUUCAUUAAACAUCUGCUCAAAACGAGUUAUCCAGGUAUUUAGAUCUUCAUGCGGAGUCUGCGUAUCUACUCUAAUAUCUCCUUAGAAGAUAGGACCUUUCUGAUCAUUUUAUGUGUUAUUUUCACAGGUGCUCACAUUGGACCAGAGCCUACAACAGACAGAUUUGUUGUUGUUAUGGUAUUUUUGCCACUCAAUUAUUUUUCAUUUUUCUUUAAUAGUUCAUCUGUAUCCAAAUCAUUAUUCAAUGGAUGAAAAAAAAGUAAAUAUUUGCCUUACCAGUAUAAGCCCACAAAGUUUCAAAUAUUAGAUUUCAGGAUUUCUUAUUCCAGAAUUCCAACUCCACAUUAGGCAUAAGGAAAGUAAUUGGAAAUUUGUUUACUUUUAUUCUUGGGCUUAUUGCUUUAUUUUGUUUUCUACAGAAUGGACCGAUGAAAGAAGUAUUCCAGGGAACACUAUUGCUGUACAAGCAGAUAUGCCAUUCAGUGGUCUGACUACCUUCGGAACUUCCUUUUUGUCAAAAUUUGAGUGCUCUCAAAUGCCACACCCAGUAAGUGGCUACUUAUUCCCCCUUCCCCCCCUCCCUGCGAAAAACUAGCAGAAUCUCCUGAAAUGGUUUUCAAACUUACUGUUCAUUUGAACUUUAUAAGCUGUUGGAGCAUAUUACAUUUGUGGACACCCCGGAGUUUUAUCAGGAGAAAAGCAACGAACACAGAGAAGUUAUGACUUUACUGGUGUCAUAUCAUGGUUCGCUGCAAAAUGUGACCUCAUUUUGCUUUUGUUUGAUCCUCACAAACUUGAUAUAAGUGAUGAAUUCAAACGUGUAAUUGCAUCUCUACGAGGUCAUGAUGAUAAGAUUCGGGUAGUCUUGAAUAAAGCUGAUCAAGUUGAUACUCAACAAGUAAGUAGGUAGAAUCAAUUUCAUCAUCCAACACUCUCCCAAAUAUCAAAAUAUAGUUCUAGUCUUCUGAUAUACUUGCCUCCCUUCUCCCUGUAUUGUAGCUUAUGCGAGUUUACGGAGCUCUAAUGUGGUCUCUUGGCAAAGUUCUGAACACUCCGAGGUUACUCGGGUCUAUAUUGGGUAUGGUCUAUAUUUGCGUCUUUGUUCAUUGUAUGUGCUUAGCACGCAUCAGAUGUUGUGAGACUAGGAAAGAUUUUAUUCUUCACGGAAUAUUAGAGUGAGUAUGUAUUUAUAUCUUGAGCCCUUCAAAUCCGAGUCAUGUUCAAUAUAGGGAUUUGCUAAUAGGAUAUGAUAUUCAGCUUUGAUCAUAUAGUCAUUUAAGUGACUAAAUCUUGUAACUGCUGCUCAUCAUUAACUCAUUUAAGUGACUAAAUGUAAUAACUGCUGCUCAUUUUGAUGAUAAGCACAGUCACCCUAUGGCAGUACAAGAACGUUUUGAAGCCCACAAGAAUGUCUACCAUUUGGCUUCAAUAAAGUUUUAUUGUCCUUCUCACUCUUCUGUUUGUACAUAAGGUCUAAGGCAGAUAAAUAAAUAAUUUGGAAUAACUUUAGUGCCAAAGCACGUUACUGCCUCAUCUCCACUUUGUGUUUAUGUUAAUUAGUAGACAUGCAAUUCUCUUAGCCUCACCAUGCUCGUCAUAACUUCAACUAUUUUUUGAUGAGAUUAGUGUUUCCGACCGACAUGAGGACUUGGGAAUGUACCGCUGUACGAUUAUCAUAGAUUUUCCUUUUCAUCCCAUCAGUUCUCCAUGUUGCACGCAAUUUUAUGACUGCCUUGCUCUGGCACAGCUCUUUCAAUGACAAGCCUAUCAAUGAGGUCGCCACUGGUCCUAUUGGAAAAGAGCUUUUUGAAAAGAACAAGAUGACCUCCUUGCAGAUCUGAAGAAUAUACCCAAAAAGGCUUGUGAUCGUAGAGUAAGUUGACCAGUUCUGCUUACGUGAAUGCUUUGCUUGCUUUCAGAUGAACUAAUUUGGCUUGUCGUGGAGUUUAACUUCUUGGGUUGAUAAGUUUCCCUGAAUUUUUUUUUUGUGCAGAUAAAUGAAUUUGUAAAGCGUGCUAGGGCUGCCAAGAUUCAUGCUUAUAUUAUCAGUCAUCUGAAAAAGGAGAUGCCUGCCAUGAUGGGCAAGGCAAAAACGCAGCAGAGACUCGUUGAUAACCUGGAAGUGGAAUUCGGAAAGGUUGUUCUCUUUCUUUAGUGCAUUUAGAUGUGUACAGAGAAAUAUCACAAUUAUGUUUAUUUCUCGUUUCCCAACAGGUUCAGAGGGAGUUCCAUCUGCCAGCGGGGGAUUUUCCGAAUGUUGAACACUUUCGGGAGGUCCUGAGUGGAUAUAGCAUUGAUAAGUUCGAGAAAUUGAAGCCUAAAAUGAUACAAUCUGUUGAUGAUAUGCUUGGAUACGAUAUCCCAGAACUUCUCAAGAAUUUCCGGAAUCCAUAUGAUUGAUAUGCAUAUGUCUGCUAUCAAAUUACAGCAGUUUUUUUGGGUAAGAGAAAUCAGAAGAAUAUUGCUGACGAUUUGCUAGAUUGGCCGCCCACACGUUCAACUUCUUCUGACGCAUAAACAUGAUUUAUGCGGAAAACUACGACGCUGUACGCUUCGAUUAGGCGAGCUAGUGUGAAAUUAGCAGUGACAUGAAUAAUUAUUCAGAUUGUAUUGUCUUUUGAUUUUCUUGGCAUUCUUACAAAAAUAAUAUAUAAUUCCAUUUACAAAACUGAUAUGGUUCCUACCCAGAGACUGCUGCUAAGCUCAGCGUUUUCAAGUACAUUUCCUUUUUCUCAUAUACAUGGCGUAAAAGGAAACCAGAGAAAUCUUAACAAAGAUACAAAAUUUACCAAGAUUUGCCUUCUCAUAAUUGAUGGUAUUCCACUCUUCCACCGCGUAAGCGUAAGAACAUACCAAAAAAUAUUAUUAAUGCUUCUCAAUAUUUUGUAUUGAGAACAUACCAAAAGAUGGCUGGAGUCCGAAUAUGUUGUAUAUGUAAACGAUAUCAUACCAAAUUUACGUUAUCACCGUUUCCGCCCUAUUCAAUAGAUAUUCACCUUCUCUGUGGUCACCACAUAUGUCGUUUCUUAGAUCGACAAAAACCCUUUUGCAUCCAAAGAAGGCCUUGAAGGAUCUGAUGGCCAACGUUGGAGCCAAAAUACACCAAUUUAUGAUGGCUUGCAACUUAUGCAAAAUUUUCAAAAUCGACAGAACCUCUAAUCCGCCCACCCCUCGUGUUUCCGUCUCUUCUCCUAGCGAAAGUGAUCACGCCGAUCAUACACCGGCUGCAAUUCAUUCACCAAAGAGUGUACCACCAGUUUUCUGUCCACUUCCCAUUCAAUACUCAACAGAUUCUAGUGGUGCCGACGACACCGAAGACGAGGAGGAAGAUGCAGAGGAAGAGGAAGACGAGGAGCAGGAGGAGGAGGAGAAGGAGAAAGAGAGUCAUGUGUUGGACUAUAUUGUAACGUUUCCUGACUCCGACUCCGACUCUGGUGCUGAUGAAUUAUCGAAGGUGCCUGAAGGGUGCUUGUGUCCUGAUCAAGAAUAUACCGUAACAUUUCCUGACAGUACCGACUCUGAGUCUGAGUCUGAAUCUGAUGCGGAGGAAGAGCAAGUGUUUGUCCAUAAAGAUGACUGCUUGAAUUCUGAUGAUGGUGAUGACCAACUUCACUUUGUGACGCCUCAUCAAGAGGAGGACAUGUAUGCUCAUCAGCACUGUGGGUUCCAAUGUCAUCAUCACGAUUAUCAUGGGGCCGUCAUCAUCACGACGAAGGUUAUGGUACCAAUAUUAUGGCUGGACAGGCUUUUACGGUGUUAGACAACCUCCAUUCGAUUUACUACAAUCUUCUUCCAUUACUGACCCCCGAUUUGAUAGCAUUUUAUGUUUUUGUUUCGGGUUUUGCCCUCGGGAUUUUAUUGCGUUCUUUUCAUCAGGUUCAGUAUUGCUUGUUUGAUUGAGCUACUUCAUUGAUUUGAAGCGUGUACUUGUGGGUUAUGUCUGCGCAUAAAGUGCUAGAAAAUUUUUCUCCAUUGCUUGCUUCAUAUGCUCUGCUCUGAUCUGUUAAUUUUAGGUUACUAAAGUGAUUGUAUGGGGUUUGCAUGAAUGCGAUGACAAUUUGCGGUCAGCUCAGAAGGUAACAAGUUAAUGCUGCGUGUCUCCCCUCCACAGUGUCAAAGCCCAAAAGACGCAUUCAAUUAAUGUCAAAUCAGUAGUGCUUAAUACCCAAUUUAAUUGCUAGGGUUACGCAAUCGUAAGAAUUCUUAAUUUUUUUUCUUUUUUCUCUUAUUCCUUCUAAGGUUUGGAAUCUCCCUUUAAUCAAAAUAAAGAAUCACUAGUAUUAGUUAUUUUGUUUGAUAACUUCAUACUGCAAUCACUAGUUUUGUUUGGUACCAAAUCUUUGUAAUCAGAUCUUUUAGUGCAAGAAUGCCACCUAUAAAAUGCAAAUUAUCUACUUACACAUUAUCAUUUUGCAAAUAUUACAUGAAUAUAGGUUCAUUGUAGAUCUUUUUUUUUAUGAUUUAAACUGUUGCGGAAGCUUUACUCCAACAAGGCAAGUUUUUUUUUUAUCUUCAAAAGGAUUCGUGUUGUUCUAACAAGGUCCAUUUUGAAAGAAAGUAAUUUCAAAAACGCCUUUUAAUACAGGGAUAAUUUUAUUGAGCUCUCAUCUGAUUUUACAAAUUACACCGACCUCUUUUGUUAUAAUAAAAUGACUAUAAUGACCUUCACUUAAUAGAUAGUAUAAUGAAAUGAGAUUAAAAAAAUGAAAAAAAAAUCAUACCUCUUUGAUUAAUCCUAUUUACAAGUUACAACCAACAACUAUUCCCUUUCACUUAUUAUCACUCCAUUCUCAUCCUGUAAAUAGCUCUCAAAAUCCUACCAACCAUUGCUUAUAACUUCCUCCAAUCAUAUCACAAGUGAUCCCUCUAAACUCUACUAUAUAUCCCCAUUCCUCUUGUCUUCCUUUGGAUUAGCUAAAUUACAAGUUCAGUUGAGGGAUCAAAUUUAAUGGUUAAAGUAAAAUUUGAUUUUAUGGUCAAAAUAAAAGGAGAUAAAGAGGCUUACAAUAAUAAUGAAACAAAUAAUGCAGGCGUUGGACAAAAGAAUAAGGCUGUAAAUGAGCCGAGUCGAGUCGAACUUUAGGCUAAUCGAGCAGAGCCUCGACUAAAUUUUACCAAACUCGAACUCGAGUUCGAGCUCGACGAGCCGGCAAUUUAAAGCUCAAGCUCGAGCUCCAAAAAAAAUAAAAAAUAAUUAUUUUAUUUUUUUAAAUAAAUAAAAUAAUUUUUUUCUUAAUAAAUAAUAAAAUAUUAAGGCUAUAUAUGUAAUUUUACUAUUAAAAUAAGAUAAUAAAAAAUAUAUAUAUAUACUUAAAAUAAAAAAAUAUAUAUACUUAAAAUAAAAAAGAUAAAAAAAUAUUAUAUAUAUAUACUUGAGCUCGAGAGCCGAGCUUAAUAUUUUGAGCUCAAGUUCGAGCUCGAUUUCGACUCGAGCCAGUUCAAGCUCGACUCGAGGGUAAAUUUGGUAAUUUGUUUAUCAUUCGUCCAUAAUACUUUUUUUCAAUGUUAAUAACUGCAUUUGGAUUUCAUUUUAUGCUUUGCAAUUGUUGGUUAUAGUUUUACGAUAGAGGUAGAGCUUCUUCUCUAUAUUUAAGAUGUUAACAUGUUUAGGGAUUUGAUGGUAGGUUAGGUAAUUUUGUUUGAGAUGGUGUGGGCAUUGGAUUUGAAAUUUGGGGUGUGAUUAGUUGUGAAUAGAAUUCUGGUUUUUGGGAAAAUGAAUUUCUUGAAGAUCUCCGUAGUCAUAAUCAUGCCUUUCCUUUUCUUAAACUUAAUUAAUCCCAUCCACACCUAAAUCUUCCCUAAGGAUUUUCUUCAAAACCAUAACGUGACUCACGUAGUUGGAGUUGAGCCACUUGUAUGGAACCAAGUCAUGGCAUCCUAUGUUGAAAAUCAUGCAAACAUAAAGAGUAAUUGAUUGUGAGUUUGACUAUUUCAUGAUAAUAUAUGGUGAGAAUAUUUUUGAAAGAUGGAACGAACCUUCAAGGUUGGAUGCAUGCUCAUGCUUUGGGAGAAGCAAUUUUAUGAUUGUGAUGAUGGAAUUACUUGGGUUUGGAUUUAAAAUUAGCCUGUUUGUUAGUAUAGUGGAUUUGGCGGAAAUAUAGAAAAAGGCAUUUGGAAAAACGUUUUUUGUUUCAUUUUUAACAAAAAGGUAGUUUAGGAUUUUUGUGAAAACAUAGCCUUUUGGAUCUAUAAUGUUACAUGAAUAGUAAAAGCAAGGGAGGUAAAUGCAAUUUAAUAAACUGAGAGGAGCUCUUGCCAUUGUUAGAAGCUUCAGUGGAGGUUUUCGAAAUUAUCCCUUCGACAAAACAGAGGUUUCAAUAAAUUUGAAGGUAUGUAGAAAUACACACAAAUUUUCUACCAAGCUUUUGGAAGAGUAGAUUAUAAUUGCCUACCAUGUAGGAAUUAGGAAAAGAGGGCAAGUACAAAGAAAGAAAAAGCGUGGUAGUCAGCAAAAGGGUGAGCUCAGAUGUGCGCUAGCUUCGUCCGAGUGGUCAGACGAUCGUGGCGACCCAACACCACAAGAAGGCACUGCUUUCGUCAUGGCAACCCCAGGAAUGCACCAGCCGGGAAUCGAACCCGGGUCUGUACCGUGGCAGGGUACUAUUCUACCACUAGACCACUGGUGCCUUAUGAUGUGCAUCACCUUUUUAAUAAAUGUCACGUUGACGGUGGAUAGCAUUUUGUUCUAGGGAUAAUUUUAGAAACCUCCAUUGAGAUUUUUAAUAAUUUCAUUUAGUUGUCUCAAGAUUUUAAAAAUUACACAUGCCUUUCAUAUCAUUCAAAAUGACAACACUAUCCUUAACUAUUUUAAUGAAAUUUCCUUGUUUAUAUGCUUAUACUUAGAAUGACUUUUAAAAUUAUUUUUUUCAUUCUUUAUCCUUCUUAUUCCUUUUUUUUUAAUUUUUUACCAAUAAAACUGUAUAGCUACCAAUAUUACCUUUAAUUUUUAUUGUAUCCAAAAUCAAACUAGUGAUUUUUUUGAUGAGUUAAUUUAUCUGUAAUCUAAUGUUUUUGUUGAUCUUUAUUUUCUAUUUUUAUAUUAAAAUUAACAAUAAAUAAAAAAAAUGGCCCAAAAUCACUACUAAAUUAUGAUAAUCUCAGUACUUGACAAUUUCAUAAAUUCUGAAUGAAUUAUUUCAACAUUUUCUUUUUUAUCUUAUAAAUCUAAAUAUAGAAUAAAAUACCAUAAAAAAUAUCCUAUCAUAGUGAUAAAAUUAUUAUUAUAUUUGUUUAUCGUAUAGUAGGUAUGAAUAUGAAAAUUUUGGUAUCUUUUUCUUAUAAUUGUAUUAGAUAAACUUAUAAUUAUAAAUACAAAUAAAUUAAAACUCAUUACACAAGACCAUUUAUGAAUAUUCAUUUAAAAAUUUAACCAUUGUGGUAAGCAAAAAGGAGAGCUCAGAUGUGCGCUAGCUUCGUCCUAGUGUCAGACGAUCGUGGCGACCCAUCACCACAGAAGGCACCGAUUUCGUCACGGCAACCCCUGGAAUGCACCAGCCGGGAAUCGAACCCGGGUCUGUACCGUGGCAGGGUACUAUUCUACCACUAGACCACUGGUGCCUUUUGAUGUCCUUCGUCAGUUUUUAUAAAAUUUAAGUUUGAUGUUGGAUAUCAUUUUAUCUUAUCACACCAUCAUGGCCGUGAGGUGUCUUCUACUUCUUCUUUUUUUUUUUUUUAAGGCAAUUAGGUAUCUUAAAAAAGGUACAAAUUACAUAAUAUAUGAUAAAUGACAAUUGUAUUAAUGAAAGAGAUAUAGACUACACUAAAAACUUUGUUGCAUUUGAAGGGAUUUUGAUGCUCUUUUAUUGUACUGGUGUAAGGGCACAUUUAAUGUGUGUGCAAUUUAAAAUAUUUAAAAUGAAUUAAUUUUGUAUGAUUUUGCUUUUUUUUUUUAACAUAAAUUAUAUUCAUAUUAUUUUUCUAAAGAACUUUGAUUUAUAAGGUUACAAUAAUUUAAUUGUUAUGAUACUUAAAGCGAUUGUGGAUUAUUAUUACAAUACUUUAAGUAGGUAUGAGUAGUUAUGUUGGGAGAAUUGGAUUAGGUGAAUAAGGUAAAAAUUAGUACUGUUAUCAGUAUAAGAGUUAAUUAGGACCCUCGAGAACUAAUUAAUUAUUGAUUCGAAACCAAGGCCCGCAGUGGAAACCCCUAUUUGGCAGCAGAAGACGCUCAAGCUCAAGCUCAAGCUCAAUCUCAGUGGCAUUCUCACGAAACUUCUCGCUGACGACGUCGUACAAAAAAGUUGUACCUCAAAUCAGCAGGUAAAAAUGCACAGGUCAAGCAUCAUAAGAAUAGUUUACAUGAAUCAGUGAUCAUUAUCUAUUUGGGGUCAAAUUCAUAAACAAGACUAAUUUGUUUAGCUAUUCAUGGAGGCGUUGUUACUAGCACUAUGCUUAUUAUGUUUAUGAAGCGCUUGUUGAAAUUCCCCUGAGAAUGUUGAACCCUGUGUAACUACUGUAAACACCUUGCUUAUCAAACACUUGUACCAAAAUUCGUGCCUGUAUUAGCACCUUGUUGGAUUUUACGUACAAAGGUUCGAGAAAUGGUCAGUGGCUUACCUUUUCUUGAAGUUGUUGAAAUGGAGCUUUCUGGUUGGGAUAUGUAAACGUAAUUGCCAGUUUUUUGGUUCAGCGUGCCAUCAAAGUCGUGGGAUUUUGCUGUAAUGUACCAUGAUAAUGAAACGGCACGUAUUAUUAUAUGAUUAAAUCAAGAACCUUGACAUUAUUACCGCAUUUUGUAGGUUGCAGUGGGAAGGAAAAUGCUGCCUCAGAGGAUGAAAAAGGUCAUUACCGACAACCCAAAACAACUUGCUGACUUGAUCGACCUUGUAAACCUGCCCUCAACGCUCAGAGAAUUCACGGGCCAGUCGCAGACCUCGCGUUUGGGGUGCUUUACGCGUGUUUGGUCGUACAUCAAGGAGAACAAACUCCAGGUUUGAGAUUUAUUGCUCAAUGCCAUUCCUUCGGUAUUCACAUUUAUGUCUGGAAAAUUUUUGAAACAGCAUGGUUAAAAGUUGUGAUGCAAGGUUGAAUUACGAACGAAUGGUCAGGAGAAAUACUCGAGUGCUCGUAGUUUUGAUACUUUGGGUGUAUCUUUUCUUUUUUUUUUUUUAAUAUUAGUUAACCUUUGCUUUUCUGUUGGUUUUCGUUAGGAUCCAAAUAACAAGAAUCUGGUCAAUUGUGAUGCUAAAUUGAAGCAAAUUCUGUUGGGUAAAGGCCAAGUCGAUCUUGCUGAACUUCCUAUGCUGAUUAAGCUGCAUUUCCCGAAGCAGCAGAAAUGAUCUUCACGUUUGCAAGUCAAAGACGGCUGACACCAACUCUUGCUUUCGCAUUCCUUUCUAUAGAUCGGAUGAAAACACAGAAAGUUUAUGUAAUAGUCAGAUGGUCGAGGAAUUAUUUCUGUUAGUGGCGAGUUGGCAGGUUAUCCUUUCCAUCGCUGCCUUCAGAAUUUUUCUCAAAUGUUGUAGUUAGUAAUAUGACAUACAUGGAUAUCAGCUCUACAUAUAUUAUUGGUUAUCGGCUGCCGUCAUGAGAAAAAUCCCAUUACAAUGAUAAUGAACUCUCUUUGACUCUGGUUUUUAGUUUUUAACUUUUCAUUGUAUGGCUAUACAGAGAAAGCAUUGCGUUCAGGUGCUAUUUGUUUUUUCUCCCUCUAGAUUCUUUGCAUCAGGCGUAUCAUUAACUGCUUAGAGUUUUCCUUUUUUUUUUUUCUUGAAAGAAACCUCACGAGAAAGGUCAGAAAAUUUAACUGAUUCAACAGUUUGACAAAUUAGUCAAGUUUUUCAAUAAUUGAACACAUUAAAACAUUUUCUGUAGCAAACAGUGCAAGAGAAUUCUUUAUGGCAUGAUGUGCUAUUAUGCCAUUCGUUUUCUCUUGGCAUGAAAAGAAUCCCAGAAUGCAUAUUUGGUUGCAUCUCUGCAUCUGAAAGGGUUAUACCUGUCACAUGAGUAAAGCAUCUCAAAAGUUCCAGUCCCGCAACAUGCUGUUGCUGUGUCUUCAAAUCCUUUAUUAGGGCAACAAAUUCAGAAGGCAUCUUGAGAUAGCGUUGACAGAAACCUGAAUUACAUGUCCUACAAAUUUCAGGCAAUUAGCUGUAAUGUAGACGGUCUUCUAUAUUUGAAACAAAUAGAGUAAGGACGAUGAAGAGAAGAAACAAUAUGGAAAACUAGAAACUGCAAAAUCAAGUGGGGGAGGGGGAGGUGAGUAUGCUCCUGCUUAAACUUUGUACAUCAUUUUAUUGAGUUUCUUUUCUAGCUCAAAGAUUCAUCCAGUGUGAAAGAAGGAUUGACCAGGUAAACUUUGGAUUAUGAUUUAUGUGAUGGUGUAGAAGUCUUUAUUUUCUUAAUGGCAGACGUUUCUUAGGAUAAGCAACAUAUUUUAAAAUGAGAGAUAUUUUGUUUACAUUGUUGUCUUUUGAACAUUAAAGAUCUCAUACUAUCUUGGCAAAAUCUACACAGGAUGAACAUCCUAGAGUGAGCAUUAUACUAAUGCUUGAUUUGUAAUUAAUUUCUGAAUUUAUGCCUGAUGCUUUCUGGUCCUGUCUAUCUUGGAAUCUACUGUAUCUUUUCAAAUGUUAGCCUUACUAUUUUAGCAAAUUAUAAUUGUUGCAGUUGACUUUGAAAGUCUGAAACCUCAGCAGCAAUGGAAGGGUUGGAUGCGCUACUAGCUGUGAGUAUACCAAUGUCCUACCUAAUUCUUUUUGCAAAUUUCUUGGAUCAUUCACUGAUAAUUCUCACUUUGUUAUUGCAUUUAUGCAGAAGAAAAAGCAUACACCGAAAAGUGAACUAGAACAAAAUGGUGAGACUGUUAUUGAUCUAGCUACAUAUUUUGUGUUUCUUCCCUCUUUUCCUUGUUUAGAGACCUGAGUUCGUAAAGUUCAUAUCUGUUCUGCAAUUCAGGUAUUCCUCAGUUGCAGUCUUCACCAUCUGCUAAUUGGUUUUCUUCAUCAAAGUCUGCAAAGAAGGUGCAUUGUAACAAUUACUUUGUCUCUAAAGGAUGAAAUAUUGCACUUUUUCCUAUACUUUUUGCAUCGAUACAGUUUACACGAUCCAUGUUAUUUAAUUCUUUGCAUUUUCUGUUCUCUUUAUAGACUUUUAUUUCUAGUGUUGGGUAAACUGUUUUACAAUACUCUCUAUUAUGUUUCAAAGUAAUGUGAUGCAACGAGAUGAUAAACAGAAUGGAUUUGGGGCUGUAGAGAGGUCAGACUGGAAGAUUUGAUAUUUCGUGUGAGGACAUUAUCGAAGCUGCCAUAGGACUCUAGUACAUGACAAGAUGACGAAAAAGUUUGAUAUGUACCGUAGUACAUCAACUAGUAUGCUAGUAGGACUUGAACACUAUUCCACAAAGAGCACUUCUUAAUGUGCAAGAACUUGUCUCUUGAUGAUUAAAUUUGCAUCAUUAACAAAUGGCCAUUUGUUUGUAAACACACUUUACUUAUUGUUUUGGGUCCUAUAAUGAGCUUUGCUUUUGCUUUGUGUCCUGUCAGGUGUCUCUAAGCUGUGUUACAUCAAUUAUUGAUGGAUUGAAGAAGUUGUACGUCCAAAAACUGAAGCCAUUGGAAGCAACAUAUCGUUUCAAUGAUUUUGUUCCCCCUUUGUUGGUGAGUCAUGCAUCUGCUUUGUUCUUCACUUGAGGGAUUGGAUAUGGUUGUGAUUCAAUUGUCUUAAUUAACUGAAAUCAUAGUUGACUGGAUUGUUCCUUUCCUAGACAAAUAGCGAUUUUGAUGCUAAGCCCAUGGUGAUGGUUUUUGGGUCAAUACUCAACUGGGAAAACAACAUUCAUUAAACAUCUGCUCAAAACGAGUUAUCCAGGUAUAUAGACCUUCAUGCGGAGUCUGCGUAUCUACUCUAAUAUCUCCUCAGAAGAUAGGACCUUUCUGAUCAUUUUAUGCGUUAUUUUCACAGGUGCUCACAUUGGACCAAAGAAAUAUCACAAUUGUACAGAGAAAUAUCACGAUUAUGUUUAUCUCUCGUUUGCCAACAGGUUCAGAGGGAGUUCCAUCUGCCAGCAGGGGAUUUUCCGAAUGUUGAACACUUUCGGGAGGUCCUGAGUGGAUAUAGCAUUGAUAAGUUCGAGAAAUUGAAGCCUAAAAUGAUACAAUCUGUUGAUGAUAUGCUUGGAUACGAUAUCCCAGAACUUCUCAAGAAUUUCCGGAAUCCAUAUGAUUGAUAUGCAUAUGUCUGCUAUCAAAUUACAGCAGUUUUUUUGGGUAAGAGAAAUCAGAAGAAUAUUGCUGACGAUUUGCUAGAUUGGCCGCCCACACGUUCAACUUCUUCUGACGCAUAAACAUGAUUUAUGCGGAAAACUACGACGCUGUACGCUUCGAUUAGGCGAGCUAGUGUGAAAUUAGCAGUGACAUGAAUAAUUAUUCAGAUUGUAUUGUCUUUUGAUUUUCUUGGCAUUCUUACAAAAAUAAUAUAUAAUUCCAUUUACAAAACUGAUAUAGUUCCUUCCCAGAGACUGCUGCUAAGCUCAGCGUUUUCAAGUACAUUUCCUUUUUCUCAUAUACAUGGCGUAAAAGGAAACAAGAGAAAUCUUAACAAAGAUACAAAAUUUACCAAGAUUUGCCUUCUCAUAAUUGAUGGUAUUCCACUCUUCCACCGCGUAAGCGUAAGAACAUACCAAAAAAUAUUAAUGCUGCUCAAUAUUUUGUAUUGAGAACAUACCAAAAGAUGGCUGGAGUCCGAAUAUGUUGUAUAUGUAAACGAUAUCAUACCAAAUUUACGUUAUCACCGUUUCCGCCCUAUUCAAUAGAUAUUCACCUUCUCUGUGGUCACCAAAUAUGUCGUUUCUUAGAUCGACAAAAACCCUUUUGCAUCCAAAGAAGGCCUUGAAGGAUCUGAUGGCCAACGUUGGAGCCAAAAUACACCAAUUUAUGAUGGCUUGCAACUUAGGCAAAAUUUUCAAAAUCGACAGAACCUCUAAUCCGCCCACCCCUCGUGUUUCCGUCUCUUCUCCUAGCGAAAGUGAUCACGCCGAUCAUACACCGGCUGCAAUUCAUUCACCAAAGAGUGUACCACCAGUUUUCUGUCCACUUCCCAUUCAAUACUCAACAGAUUCUAGUGGUGCCGACGACACCGAAGACGAGGAGGAAGAUGCAGAGGAAGAGGAAGACGAGGAGCAGGAGGAGGAGGAGAAGGAGAAAGAGAGUCAUGUGUUGGACUAUAUUGUAACGUUUCCUGACUCCGACUCCGACUCUGGUGCUGAUGAAUUAUCGAAGGUGCCUGAAGGGUGCUUGUGUCCUGAUCAAGAAUAUACCGUAACAUUUCCUGACAGUACCGACUCUGAGUCUGAGUCUGAAUCUGAUGCGGAGGAAGAGCAAGUGUUUGUCCAUAAAGAUGACUGCUUGAAUUCUGAUGAUGGUGAUGACCAAUUUCACUUUGUGACGCCUCAUCAAGAGGAGGACAUGUAUGCUCAUCAGCACUGUGGGUUCCAAUGUCAUCAUCACGAUUAUCAUGGGGGCCGUCAUCAUCACGACGAAGGUUAUGGGUACCAAUAUUAUGGCUGGACAGGCUUUUACGGUGUUAGACAACCUCCAUUCGGAUUUACUACAAUCUUCUUCCAUUACUGACCCCCGAUUUGAUAGCAUUUUAUGUUUUUGUUUCGGGUUUUGCCCUCGGGAUUUUAUUGCGUUCUUUUCAUCAGGUUCAGGAUUGCUGGUUUGAUUGAGCUACUUCAUUGAUUUGAAGCGUGUACUUGUGGGUUAUGUCUGCGCAUAAAGUGCUAGAAAAAUUUUCUCUAUUGCUUGCUUCAUAUGCUCUGCUCUGAUCUGUUAAUUUGACGUUACUAAGUGAUUGUAUGGGGUUUGCAUGAAUGCGAUGACAAUUUGCGGUCAGCUCUCUUCCUUCCACAGUGUCAAAACCCAAAAGAUACAUUCAAUUUAACGUCAAAUCACUUCUAAACAUUACACACAGUUCAAGGCCUCACUAUAUAUAGAUGCUGAAGACUCUUGCUGCACCUGAAAAUAUGGCGAAUUUGAACGUGAAAAUCUAAAAUAACUUGGGUUUUGAUAGAGAAUGAGCAUGUACUGAAACUGCAUAUAAAUAUAACGUAUCAAGUAUCACGAAAAUCAGAGAACAAAACAAGCCAUUGAACUCCUACCAAAUUCUUUUGGAUUUUGAAUGAUUUCUGAAAAAAUUCCAUAUGGGUUGGAAAACACCGGUAUCAAUUUGACCCUUUUUUCUUCUGAUCUUUUUUUUUGUUUUCAUUAAAUAAUGAAGAGAUCCUAAACCUUACACAAGGAAAGAGGAAGGUGGAGGAUUUGUGACUGAAGCCUCAUGAUUUACCUAAUUACUAAUAUCCUUUUGGUGAUCGUUUAGACCUUGACAUCUAUUUGUUAACAAUGUAGUAACAACAGAAAUUUUAAAACAAAUGGCGCCAAUUCACCUAAUAAUAAUGUGUUAGCUUUAAAAAGAUGGUGCACCAAUUUACCUCUAUCUAAGAGACUGGAGCAAAACUAGUUCACAAAAUUUUCUCCUGUGCUAAACUACUCCAGAACUUUUUUGUCAACUCCAGUAAUGAUUUUUGUCAAGCAAUUAACCCUAAUCCCAGAUUAACCUCCAAAAGCCGGCAACUUUUGAUGGCAAUCCAGGGACUUAGCUAGGCCUGUAGAGCACCUGCUGCUAAGUGUUAACUAACACCCAAUACUCCAGAAUUUUCAGUUGUUUGUUUUUUUUUGUCAACUCCAGUAAUGACUUUUGUUAAGCAAUUAACCCUAAUCCCAGAUUAACUUCCAAAAGCCAGCAACUCUUGAAGGCAACCCAAGAACUUAACUACCCAACCCAAACCAAACUACUCCAGAACUUAACCGAGUAAAUUUACCAUUUCUUCCUAUAAAAAGUCGAAAACUAUGCAUUUUUUGCUUGAGCGUGCCAGCAAUCAUCCAUCUCUUUUCUAAUAAUUUCAAGAAGACCUUUGACAUUUGAGAUUGUUUGGACUGCAUUUUUUAGAAUGUUUUUAAAGAAAAAAUGUAAUAUUGUGUUAUAGAACGUUUUAAAAUAUGAUGUAUGUAAAAUAAAAAAAUAAUUUAAAAAAUAUAAAAAAGAUAUUAACAAAAAAAUUCCUAAAAAGUAGCAAUCUAAUCGACGCAACAUAAUGGUACGUACCAAAAUUGGCGCCAGCCCACAUUUACAUCGGUGGUACGCUUAUGAACUUUGUAACGCCUUUGGCCCAAUCACGUCACCACAAGUUCCAAGCUUCUCGAUGCUUCUAAUCCAACCUCUUGCUAGAACUCCAACAACUGGACGUUUCUACCCCGUGAAUCGUAUCAACCAUUCGAAAAUUCCCAAGGCAGAUAGGAUUUUUUUUUCCUUUUUUUUUUUAAUUUUACUAUGUUGAUUAUUCCUUUUAAUUCUUGAUUCCCAGUAUGCCUACAGAAAGAGUAUAUAUUAACUUUAGUCCAACUAGUUACAACUUGGUACAUGGUAUCAUAUUAUCACUUACAUUUUUUAUUAGAGAGGAUCGACAAUAAUUUUUUAUUUUCUCAUUUAAUGAUCCAAACCUGUUACCUCUUUUUAAUAAAAAAUUUUAUCAAUUAGACUGCAUUUUAUUAUUUAUAUACUCUUAAGAGAGUACGAAUAUUUCUUAAAAAAAAAAGAGAAUAUAAAUAUAAUUAUUUUAAUAAAUAUUUUUCCCAAAAUCUCAAGUAUACUCUCCUCUUCUUUUUUUUUUUCUUCUUUUUAGUGAGGAGAAUCUUAAGAAUUAUUUAACGUGAUUUACUUGCAGGAGUAUUUGGUUUUGUGAAAGAUUUUACCACAUAAUAAUCACACAAUAUUUCAAAAAAAAAAAAUUCAAGUGCAAUAGAAAACUGAGGUUAUUUUUGUCAUUCAAUAAUGACUUCCUUCUCUCCAACCUUCCAUCCAAAUUCCAAAGUCCUAACCUUUUCUUUCUCCCCAAGCACGCCUCUUCUCCUUGCUUUUCUAUCCCUGUUUUCUCAAGGCCUUCUCCAUCAUCUUCCUUCUUACAGCUUUUGCCUUUUAUAAUCUUAACUAUUUCAUCCCGAAUUUUGCCCGAGAAUCCCAACUUUCAGUCAUGUUGGUGAGUAGAAUUGCAGCUCGUUCAUCUCGAACCAUGGUGACUCAGUGCCGCAACUCGUUGCUUCUCUUGGCUCGCCAAGAGCAACCAUUUGUCCCCAUUCCCUCUAGUCAAUGCCACUCCCUUAUCGAACCCCGAAAUAAGGUCUUCUUCUGAUCCAAUUUUGACAUUGGUUUACGUUUUUACGGGUUUUAGUGAAAAGGGUUUUGCUAGGGUUUAAGCGGUCAUGUUAGUUAAUUUGACCAUUUGUUAUUCUCUUUCCUGAUGUUUGACUCUCUCAAUUGUUUUUGAUGAUUUUAUUUGAUCUUUUAUAUGUCUUGCUGUUGUUUCUUUUGUUAAAGAUUAAAUUUUUAUGAUUCGUUUGAAUAUAGAUAGGAUUUUUCAGUUCUUUUGUUGUAAAUGUUCAAUUUUUGAGAUUCGAAAUGUUCUUGUUUUGUUUAGUUUGGAAUUUUUUUAGUGUAAUUGUUUGACUUGUUUAUUGUUUUUCAACCUUUGCUUAGAUUAAACUCUCCCUGAAAAUGUAAGCUUUUAAGUUACCAAAGUUUGGCUAUCACUUUUGCACUGACGUUGUCUUGUUCUGGUAAAUUCAUGCACUAAUCAACAGUUGUUCUUAAUUAUCUAUUGGUGUAAAACUGUUACCUGAAGUUUUGUUACUUGAUUAUACUUUUUUGGUUGAAGUAUAAUAAUUGGUUUAAAUUGGAUGAAUUCCACGUAGAAGGGUUCUAUUUUGUGUUUUUUAAGAGUUUAUUACGAGAAAAAAGCAAUAAUGCAGCUUAUUUUCUUGCUCCAGGUGGUUUCAGGGCAAGUGGCUUUAUUACAUCGCUCCUUUCUGAAUGGAUCUCCAUUUCAACUGUUUGGUUUUUCAUCAUCUGCUUCCCCGCAACAUAAUGAGAAGGAUACAGCACAACCCGGAGCAGAAAAUGGAAGUGAUGCUGCUGCUGCAGGAACAAGUACAGAAACAGAAGUUCAUGAUAAAACUGAAGCAUCAGCUUCUACGGAUUCUCAAGUUAAGGACGAAAAAGAUGUAUCAGGUUCUAAUGUGGAGCCUAACUCUAACACAUCACAAUCUGUCAAAAGAAGGAGAAGAAAAACUAAAUGGUUUUCAUUUUCUAAUUCAGAUUCAGAUUCAGAUUCAGAGGGUGAUCUCUCGCGGGAUGACCUUGUGAAACUUGUGGCGGAGAAGGAAGAACAAUUGAAGAUCAAGCACGAAGAGUUGCAGAAAUUGCAAGAUAAAGCUCUUCGUACUUAUGCUGACAUGCAAAAUUCCAUGGAUAGGACAAAACGUGAUGCAGAAAACCUGAAAAAAUUUGCCGUUCAGGUUUAUAACAACGAUAUUUAGUUUAUCUCACAUGCAUCAGUGUUAUCUUAUGCACAGCAAACCUGUUUCAAAUCCCCCCCCCCCUCCCCAAAAAAAAUAAAAACACCCUUUCUUAUGUAUGCUGAAAAAUUAUGUCAAAACAUCCUGUAUGACUAGCCAUAGUACAUUAAUUUUUAGCUCCACUCAGAUGGAUCGCUUUUCUGCAAAAAACAAAUAAUAAUGCAAGACUAGGAAGUCCCAAAAAAAUUCUUCAAGCUGGGAAACCAGCCAAGCUGUGUAGACAUUGUGUAGAAUUCUUGAAGCACAGUUUUUGUAUCUAGAAGUACUGAUUCUGUUUAUUUGGGUAUUGUCAUAGGAUUUUGCCAAGAACUUAUUGGAUGUUGCAGAUAAUCUUAGUAGGGCUUCUUUGGCUGUGAAAGACAAUUUCUUGAAGAUUGAUGCAUCCAAAGACGCUGUUGGAGCUGUGCCACUUCUAAAAACACUUCUGCAAGGUGUUGAAAUGACUGAAAAACAGCUGGCUGAGGUCUGAUUUUCUUGCCCUAAGCAAUGUACAUGUAGUUUCCCUCUUACGUCACCAUAGUAUGUUAUGGAUUGGAGUAGUGAAUGAUUACCAUAUCACAUGAUCUAUAGAGUGUUAACCUCAUUGCCUUAUCAGUUAAAAAUAUAUCGAUUAAUUAUCACUUUCAGGUAUUCAAAAAAUAUGGAUUGCAAAAAUAUGAUCCGGUAGAUGAAGAAUUUGAUCCACAUAGGCAUAAUGCCGUUUUUCAAGUACCAGAUCCUUCCAAGCCUCCCAACACUGUUGCAGUUGUUUUGAAGGUAACUUUUAUAUAUCAAUUUUGCCCCUUCCAUGAAUUUAAUAUGGUUUCAUGAACUGCAGGAGGGGAAGUUUGACAAUUUUGGUCUGAUUUGAAGAAUUCUCAAUUUAGAUAUAGAUAUGAAUGUUCGUUUAGACAGAUGAACAAGUUAUUGUCAUAUGGUGCCUGACAUCAUGAGUGCAUUUAACCCUCUACAUAUUUGUUUCGUUUUGGAAAUUUAUUUUGGUCAAUUAGUAUUACAGCAGCUAUUAUUAUUAGACUAGGAAGCAGAAGUAUCAUUGGAGUGAUGUUUACUUCCGUAGGUUCCCGUUUUAUCUUAACUACUUAUGUCGCACGCCUCCUGAAGGAGUGAAGGAUGUUAUAUCUGUAUUUGAUCGUGCAGGCCGGAUACACGUUACAUGACCGGGUCAUUCGGCCAGCAGAAGUUGGUGUGACACGGGCUGUGGAAAACGAUGCAGAACAAAGCUCCGAAACCUGAUCAAAAUGUAUAGCUUACUGCAUGCAUAGUCCUUGAGCUUGUCUGAAGAAGAUCAAUGCCAUGGGGUUCCAGUCCUAUAAGCUCAAUCUAAUCUUUUCCAUUUUAGGGGAUAGAUCGUAAUUUCUUUCCUGUUUUCAGCUUUCAUUUAUUGUGACGUUGCAGAGAUGGCGCCACUAGGAGCAGCAGUGUCUAAAUCUUAAGCUCUGUGACGGGAUUUUUUUUUUUUUUUCGGAAGUUUUGUAACAGGAAUUUUGAUUAGAGGGAUAAACUUUUUUGCUCCUAGUGAAGUCGUUUUCUCCUAGUUGCUUUUUCCCGUCAACUCGAUGGAUCGUUGAUGGCGGAGCUAUUUAUCGGCGAGCAAACUUGCCUGGGCAAUGGGUACUGAGGGUUCAAAUUCAACACUGGCAAGUAUCUUUAAUUCAAUGAUUACUAUUAAGGUAACUUCUGAUAUAUCAAUAGUCUGAGUCAAACAAAUACACGACGAGGGAACUCACAAUGGGAAACGGGACUGCGGGAUUAGCAUCAGGGUUCGCUCGAAGUCCCUCUGAAAUCGUUGUUGCCGACAAAGGUUGUCACAGCUAAAAAGUGGGGGGGGGGGGAUUAGAAAGACAAUAUAAAUCCGUUGGCCCGUCUGCUUAAUAAGCCGAGACAGGGCAUUGCCCGAGUCAGUCUAGGACUAGGCGGUGAUAUUGAUUUCUGACCCAUUCUCUUCUAUUGAUGAGUACGAGAGGACUCCGCCUAGUGGUGCACAAAGCACAUCCAUGGAUGUUUGGAAACAAGAAAACUUAGAGAUAUUUACUGCUGAUUUUCCCUGAAGCCGACCCAGCAGUACACAUGCCAAACAUGGAGCUUAAUAGCAGAAGGUUUAAGUGGAGCAUAAUUACAAGAGGGGCUUCGAGGUGAUGCAUACUCUCUCUCAGUUCAUAGUCCUCAAUGCAAGGAAAUAACUUUCGAAAAUGGCCAUCUUAAGUGCUCAGAUCUUCUCAUACAGUAAACUGCUCUCCCUAUUACUCCGUCAUAAUGGCUUCUUUAAGUCAAAGCUGCAAAUCCAAAUUCUCAAAAUAUGCGUGGUCCUCACCAGGUUCCUGCAUCAGAGAAGGGGAGAUCAUGAUGAAAGUCAUAGCAGCUACCUCUGGAAAGUGAUCAAUCUCGAAAGGCGCGUUAUUAGGGACUGAUAUCAGUCUUGACAUGUUUUUUCUACCAUUCAGCAGUGUCAAAUGUAUACCUUUUACACAAAAUGAUACUCUCCACUAUUAUAGCAUCAGGUCUAAAUUCUACCGUAGAGAAUACGCGUUCUCGUACUAAAUUUUUACUUCCUUCUUGAUCAUUUUGCCCCUCAUGUGCGAGGAUACUUGGGUCUCAUAAGGCAGUUAUUCAAGUAUAUGGUAAUGCUGAUAUACAAGUCCUUCAUCAAAUGCAAAUGUAGGAAAAUGCAGCUUCUUCUGUCUUCAGUUGACAGAAUACAGACAGACAGGCAGACAAUAAUGAUCUAAAUGUAUGGAGGGCCAACAAAAUCUGUAACAGAGACCAGAGGGUUGUGAGCUAAGAAACAAAACAGAAAGCAGAUUUUAAAAUGAGUCACCUUCAUUUCUUCCACGAAAUUAUCAUUAAAGUGCGGCUUCUCAAAGGGCAUAUCAAUAGUCAUUAUCACAUCUGCUCUAGAUUGGUUCUUUUCAAUUCUUGCAGCAUCAUCGUCAGCCUUUCGACAGCUUCUUUCUUCUUUUCUUCGAACGCAAUAACCUAAAAGGUUAAAGGUCACAGAAUAUGGAUCAAUGUAGAUAGUAAUAGGCCUAAAUUCUGCUUUCCUUUCCAAGUUUUUUUUGGUUCACAUCAAAUUCUUCUUGCACUGCUUUGCCUCGCCAUUUUCCUCGCUUAUAAGCAUCAACAUCUUCAAUGAGAUGUCAAUCACAAGCUCAAAACUUUUCAGAACGAUCAGGUGAGGAGACAUUGAUUUGAUGAAGGGGAAAAGAAAAAAAAAACUGAAGAAAUGGUUUCCUGUUUUCGCACGUUGAAAACUUACACCAAGAGACUUUUCUUUUUCCCAUCUCUCCUUCUGGCUGGGCUUUUGGUUUCCCUUGUCCCCUAGGUUAAACUAAGCGGGUUCCGAAGUAACAGAGAGUUAAGAGACGGUAUAAUAAUCCCAUUUCAAAACCAUGCCUAACCAUCAGAAGGCCAGAACCACUAGAAACAUUGAUCAACCCAGAGAAAAGAAGAGAAAUAAGCUUCAAACAUAAAAAAUAAGAAGUAAAGAGGGUGAGAAAUGGGCCAUACCGGGGUGCGCGAACUUGCGCUUAGAGGGCUCCGACGACUCACCGGAGCUGUUUAGCGGGGUCCAGCGGCAGAGGAGGAGGCUAGGUGCGUCCUGCUCCUGGUGCUGGUGGCCACGCUUGCCGGCGACGGCAUUGUUCUUGUUGGGCUCUGAAGGAACCCACUUCCUCUUCCAUUUUCGGACAGGGCCGGUGAAGGCUGGAGCAGAUGGAGCUGGGCCUAAUCCGUAUCUGGAAUAAAACCGGCUGAGCCGCUGCCCAGUUCCUUCCAUUGGAAAAGCUCUAUGAUUUUUCAGUUUUUGUUUUUUUGUUUGGUUGGGUCUGUUUUCUCUUUCUUUGCGACUGCGAUUGAUGAACAGAGGAGGAUGAGAGAUGUUUUUUAGGUUCUCUUUCUAUGGGUGGCUGGUGAUCGCGGCGGAGUAAGCAGGCAAAGCCUGCAAAGGUUCCAUUUCACCAGUUUUCAGACUUCAGUCUUGAAAAGAUCUUUAAAAAAAUACAAAAACGAAAAGCGACGUCGUAUAUCAGUACUGAAAUAAUGAUCUGCAUUGCACCUUGCCCCGUUAGCGGGGCCACCUGGUACCGUUUUGCUAUUUCCCCUCCAGUUGUCCCGUCCACUUGUCCUCCCUUCCAAUGGCACUGUUGCAACUUCGCAUGCAGGCAGGGACUACUGACUACUACUGACUAGGGAGGAUGUUUGGUUUCGUACGUUAACGAGGUUGAAGUUACUGAGGCUUAGGGCUAUUAAAUAAAACGACCAACUUGAAAACUCGGUUGAGUUCUAAUUGAUAAACCUCGAAUUCGGCUCGUCAAUUCUCAUAAAUCAGUCGAGUUUGAAUUAAAAAUUUACCCAAUUAAUUAACGAUUUGCAUAAGUUGGAACCAUUUAAUACUUGAGUAGCUCGCUUGAAUUUGAUAGGAAAGGGUAUAUAUGUUAUUUUAUAAUUUAAAAGAAUAAAAAUUAAAAAUUAUAUAUUUUUAUUUUAUUAAUUCAUACGAGCUCAACUCAUUUGCGAUAAACGAAUCAAGUUCGAAUUUGAACUCGAGUCACAUGUCUUAUUUGUCAAGUCGAGUUCGAGCAUAUUUUAAAACCCGUUCACUAAAUCGAGCGAGCUCUAGUCUUGACGAAUUAAACACAAGUCGAGUUCGACAAUCAAAUACUCAGUUGGAUUAACACCAAACUAGAGCUUGACUUGAACUACUGGUUUGAGUUCCUUGCUAUUGACCUAAACACCAGUGAAACUCCGCUAAUUUAAUUUCUUUAUGAUGUUAUCGAGGCAAAUUCCAUCAUCAAAUUUCGAACAGUACUGGUGAAUUUUACGAGCUUGUACUCAAGCUGGGUAAUAUUUGCGCUUCGCUCAGCCAGUUUACACUUUACACCGAAGAUCUCCUCUGUUUCCUCAAAAACUAACCCUUCCUUCGUUAAAAAAUAAAAAAUAAAAAUCCUGAAAUACAGAACUGUGUCGUUUAGGCCUGACCAUGUCAAUAUCUUACUACUUGGACAUCCUAUCCAUCACUCACUUCAAAAGCCCCGGCAGGUUAACAGUUUCGCUGUUCCACAGAGGCAAAAAUGGUGCUCUAUGGCACAGCAACAGCAUCAACAUUACUCGAAUUCAAGGCCUCUCUUCUCUCCCUUGCCCUUCUUUCGGUUCCCGACCUGUGAACCCUCUUAUUCAGCCCGUCAAGAACACAAUUUUCUUCCCUGCUAUUAAACACGUUUCUAGUAAUUCACCGUCUCAGCAAUUCAAGAAAAUCUCAAAUACCUUUGUAGCUUCAGCUUCUACUGCGGAAGUUGAUACCCUUGUUGAAAAACUUCCAGCUGAUCUCAAUGUUACUGAAACCGAAGAACCCAAUUCUAGAGUGAGUAAUCUUGUGCGCCUUUUUUUUCUCCUAACUGCAUCUCUAAUCUCAGUAAAAGGUGAAAACUUUAUUUCUUUGUUUAGAACAUCCCAUACGCAUGUUUUCUUGGUGUUUAAUUUUUAAGUGACCUUGAAUGUUGCUAACGAGCUUUAUCUUUAUCGUUGAACUCUUGCUUGCAGGUGAGGUUGAGCGUAGAAGUUCCUCCUGUUGUUUGUGAGGAUUGCUACAGAAGAGUCAUCCGAGAGUUCAUGAAGAAGGCAAAGGUGCUUUUUGCCUUGCUUUAUCAGUCUGUUAAUAUCUGCCAAUAAAUUGUUAUAGUCUUUAUAAGAAUCUUUAUCUCUGUCUGUUAAAAGAGAAGGAAGAAUGAAAAAAAAGAAGCGAUUUUGAGAGAAGCUCUCUGAUAUGUGAAAUGGGAAGUGUCAAAUUUGAGCUUUCCUUUGUGAAUACGGCAAAACGAAUUGCAAAUUGAUUGGUAUUACAAUGCUACUGGGUGCAGGUGCCAGGGUUUCGCCCUGGGAAGAAUGUUCCAGAAAGCAUUCUUAUCAAUUACAUAGGUAAACAGAAUAUCCAGAAGGCUAUUGUUGAGUCUAUCUUGAAGAGAACCCUUCCACAUGCUAUGUCUUCGGUAGGUUGUCUUUUCUAUUUGGUUUCAUCUGUUAACGACUAUUCCUAGAUUAUUUCUUACGAACAUGGAAUGCAUGGCGCGCUUCUCUUUAUGCUGGAACUGCUCAUUACUUGGUUUGCUGACUAUAUUUCGAAUGCUAUUUCACAGAUGACUGGAAAAGCCUUGGAAGAUUCAAUUCGUAUUGUGACAAAAUUUUCAGAGAUGGAGAAUACAUACUCUUCUUUGAACUCUCUGAGGUUUGUUAAAGUAUUAACUUCAAGUAACUUCACCCUUGCAUGUCAUGUAAUGGAGCUUAUGAACUUGUUGCUAUUAUGUAGCUACAGCUCCCUAUGGUAGAAUGUAGUUAUAGUAUUAUUGCAUUCAGAGGCAAGGAAAUAGUGAUGGAAAUUCAAUACUUUCUUACUUUCAUAUGCAUUUUUCCGUGUGCUCAUGCAAUUUUUUAGUGGGGUCUAGAUAUGACAUCAUUGUUGAUGUGGCGCCUGAAGUCAAAUGGGUUCCUGAAUAUGGGUACAAGAAUUUGAAGAUUGUUGUAGAGAUAGACAGCGAGAUAGAUGCCAAGAAAGCGUCUGAAGAAGAAUUAAGGCGUCGCCAUAAGUCUCUAGGUUCACUUAGAAUUGUAACUGACAGAGGAGUAAAGGUAAAAGCAUGCUUUAUUUCGUAGGAAUGAUACAUAUUCCAAGUUCAAUAACUGAAAUAGGUCUUCUUGCUUUCUAAUGUAUUGUGGACUUGAGAGUAAAUUUCUACAGCUUGGGGAUGUUGCUGUACUUGAUAUAUCUGCAACAACAAUAGAGGCAGAUGACUCAGAUGCUAAAAGCAUUCCAUCGGCAGAGAGUAGAGGUUUGCCCAUCCUCGACCAUAUUUCUUCUUCAAACAAUAGUUGAUUAUCUUCUGAUCAAGAUGUUAUUUGUCUGUUUUAACUAUAUAUCCUUUUUUUUUCACUUUAUUUGGUUUCUGGUGCAUGCCUCUACUUUUGCGAUAGAAAGAAAGAACUCCCAUUCCAAGAUCUAUCCAUAUAUGUUCUGGUGUGAAUGGACUUUAUUCUCAAGUAUCCCCUUAGAAAUUACGUAUGAAGAUGCAAAGCUGUAACUAUGCAUCUCAAAGCUGUAACUAUGAAGAUGUCUGCAGUACUAAACUUUGCAGAUUUCAUGCCUGAUGCUUUAUUGCAAAUAGGAGCAGUAUGAUGGAUCUGUCUCUAGACUUCAUGAUUAUAAAAGUUUAAGGCAUUUUCUUUCUGUAAUUAUGAAUAAAGGUUGACACUUCAAUAUCUGCUUGUAGGUUUUCAAUUUGAUACAGAAGAUGGAGAUAGAAUCCUUCCUGGUUUCCUGGAGGCGAUUACUGGGAUCCAACGUGGUGAAACAAAGACUUUCAGUAUGUAUUUCCUGAAUCAUGGGCACAAGAAAAUCUUCGGGGUAUUGAAGCUAAAUUUACCGUGAGUCACAUUCCUAUUUUAAGGGUCUUGCACAUUGAUGAAACUGACAAGUAAAUUCAUUUAUUUUCUACAUGAUAAGCUUUGCUUAUUUUCUUCUCUCGUCUUUUUAUUUACGCCUUUUAGUACACAAGAUGAGUUGUGAAAUUCGUAACUGUUGUAGCCUGUGUAAAGCCUGGGCAAUUUUGAACUUACUGGUAUUCAUUUUUGCUGAUACUAGCUGUUAUUAGAACUCACAGAGUCCCCUGAAACUUUACCAAUAUUGAGACAGGGUACCUUCGUGUAAAGUUUUCCUUGUUGUCAAUGCAUCUAACAAGUGUUAUUUAAUCAAUUUGACAGAAUUAUCAAAUUGUAAGGUUAAUGUUCACUUUUGAUUCAUCUAAACUUUAUUCAAUAGUUUAAUAUAUUUCUGCAUGCAACCUUAUACAUGUUAAUGGAACAUUUGAGGAAAAUGAUGCAGCGUAAUGCUUCGCUUACUCUAGGUGGAAUGUAAGGAACUGUUUUAUCGAGAUCUACCUGAUCUUGAUGAUUCCAUUGCUGAUAAGCUGCUUCCUGGGUGCACUACACUGGAGGAGGUGAGCUUUUUGAGUCCUGUUGUAAUUAAAUUCAGGUGAUUGGUGUAAUUGCUCAUCCUUUUUUCACAUGUUACUUGCUACAUGUGCCUGCAGGUCAAGAAAGCAUUACUGGAGAAGUGCCUAGAAGUGGAGCAAACUGCCAAAGAACAAGCAGCAGAUAAUGCAAUUCUUGAUCGACUAUGCAAGGUAUUCUACUUUGAGGCAUGAUGAACAUUAGAUAUAUCAGAAACAUCCACUUUGACAUCUUUUGGCUGCAGUUUAUCCUAUCCAACUUACAUGUUACCCUUGCUGUUAAAGUGGACUUUAUCUUGUUGAUCUGUCUGCUUUUAUUUCUUUUCGUUGUCUUUUUAUAUGUUAUUCAAGUCGACAUUUGAUGUAGUGUGAUGAUGGUGUUAUUUGUGGCAUUAUAAUAGCUAUAAGAGAAUAAUCUCUCCUCCCUCUCCCUGUUCUCCUGGACUCACCAACUUUAUGUGGUAUCUAAAAGUGGGCACUUUUAUUUUUUAUUUUUUUACAAGUGGGCACUUAAGAGAAUUUUCUUUUCAAUUGAACUUUCACCAUCAUGACCUCAGUAGUUUGGUUAUUCUCGUACCCAUGUAAAUUCUUCUAACUACAAGUCUAGCUAUUCUCUUUGGCAUUCUAAAGAUGGUUGAAGUGGACAUCCCUCGGUCUUUGUUUGAGGAACAAGGAAGGGAACUUUAUGGAGCCCAACUUUUGCAAAUGCAGGUGAUUACUUCCAAUCCUAUUUUCUUGUAGGCCACUCUUGACUUUCUUAGAAUGCUAGAAGUUGACAUCAUUAUGCAUCUAAUAAACACGUAUUCAUUUAAGCACUGUAAUUGGAGUAGGCAAAUAGGCAGCUGAAUGAUCAACAGUUGGCAUAUUUAUCAAGUGCCAAGGCAGUCAAUGAGUUCUUGGAGAACAACAAGGAAAACAUAAAUCAUGUGAUAAAGCAGAAUCUAGCUGUUGGUGACAUAUUUAAACGUGAAAAUUUGCAGGUGCACCCUUUUAUCCCCCUCUGAUUCUUUCUCCAUGAUAUUCAAACUACUCAUCCUUUGCUUAUCUCGUAUAUUUUCAUUAACCAUUUAGUUUGGAAAACCUAGUGUUCAUCUAUGACUUCCUUCCCAUGCCGCAGUUUUCAACAGAAGAGCUGGUGAAAGAAGUAAAAAACUCAAUUGCCGAAUUCAAAAGACAUAAUCAGGAAUACGAUGAGGAGCGUGUGAAGGAACAGGUCAGUACACUACGCAAGAUGUAAUCCUCAUAGCCAUUUUAAAAAAAUUGAUAUCUCUUUUAGACUAAAUAGUUUGGGGUCCACAGACAAACUACGUUUUGAACUAAUUGGGAAACCUUGAGAAAUUUUGGUAGAUAAAGGGAUUCAGAGCUGAGCAAUUUUCCUUUAUUAGAAAUUGUAUAGAAAAGAAGUAAAAGGAAUGUUGACGUGGUUUAAUGGGCUGCUUUGCUCUGAAUUCAAUCUCCGGCCUCUUGAGGAACAUCCUAAAUCCGUGCAUAAGGUGUACCAAGUGGCAAUGCUUUUACUUGCUCUUUUUCCCUUUGAAAAUUCGUACAGGUGCAAGAGGUGCUGGAGGGGGCAGAAGUGCUAGAAUGGCUAAGAGAAAAUGCAGAAAUACAAUACACAACUCGGUAGAUAAAAGCAAUUAGAAAAUAAUGCAUGGUUUUGGAUAGCAAGGAAAGGAGAUAUAUAUCUGUUGUGGCUUUCACUUUUAAGAACGGUCCACCUUCUGGUAGCGAACUAUGAGAAGAGAUGACAUCUCCAAUGUUUUCGGCCGGACAUGCGAAGUUAUUGCAAGAUUCGUGUUGGACUUGCCGGUCUCAGGUCCACUGUUUUGGGGUUGUCUUUACGGAAUCAGAGAAAUUAUAGCAUUUAAUGAUCCAUAUUGUUUAGCAUUCGGGUCGUUGGACAUGCGAAGUUUAAUGAUCCAUAUUGAAUAAAUCCCCAAGAACAGAUUUUUUUUUUUUUUAAAAACCUGCUGCUGCUGCUGCUUUCCUUUUUCCUCCUUGAGAUUGCUCCUCUGUUGUGAGUUCUGACCAAGCAUUCAAAACCUCGGUCUCCACAAAGCAGAAGAACCAAAAAACGUUAUGUGACAAAGAUCGAGAUAGAAAAUUGCAACUCGUGCAAGGUAGCACACAGUUAUUCGUUUGUUUCAUGUUCUUGGGUGGUUCGGGAUUGCCCAUGUCCUUAGUUUACAAUAAAACGUCAGCAAUCCCACCAUUCUAAUCUCUAUUCUCUUUCCUCCAAACCAUGGUUGCAACCUGUAAAUAGGGAACCUGCCUAUCUUCAAAAUUGAAUCCUAUAACCUUGAAGUUGCUUCAUAGCCAUUGCCAACAAUUGUUAUCCAAGCGAAACUGAGAAUUAUCUGCUCAAGGAAGUGAUAAACUGCCGCUCCUCGAAUAUCUGACUGAGCUUCAAAUAGAGUGCGUUUUGCUCCUCGAAGCUGAGAUGCCGUACAAUCUGCAACGCCAAAACUGCAGCAUAUUAGGAGUAUGGACUGGGAAAUCAAGUAAUACUCGUGGCUGGACUAGUUCCUAAUGUUUUUCCCGAUUAAUAAUUGAAUGCAAUAUUUUUGUAGCAUGUUCGUGUUUUUCGAGAUUAAUGCCACAGGCAAAUCUUUGGCAUUGUUAACUUCCACACCGUUGUCACGAGAUUGAAAACUGAAAAUGAAGUAUCUUCAAAUCUAUAUGAAGUAGCUGUUCCAACAAUGAGCAGUUCACCUGAUCCAAGAUCAUCUCGACAGGAUUGUCUUGGGAAGCAAUGAAAGACUGGUAAUAGAUGUAAGCAAAUAUGGCCAUCACCAUCUGCAUUGAAGGUUGGCAUUGGUCAUCAGUGCCCUCCGCUUGAGAUCAGACACAAGACUCCAUAUAGAUGAUGAGAAAAUGCAAGGAUGAAAAGAAAUAUGGAGAUGUUUUGCACCCUUUCGUGAAAGAGGCAAUUUCGAGACAAGUGCUCAAAGACAGAUUCUGGUAGCUCACCUGGCAGUCCAUUCUAUCAGUAAAACCUCCAUGUCCAGGAAUGCUGGCACCAAAAUCCUGAAUAACAAAUGGAGGAAAAGACGGGUAUGAUUUCCACAAAUAUUUAUUUUUAAAAAAUAUCCAGAGACAAUAAUAUAGGAAUGAUUACCUUGAUCUUAAAAGCUCUCUUGAAUCCACUCGCAAAGAAACCUCCAAAAGGUGCUAUCAUUGAUGCAAACAAGCCCAGGCAUAAAGCAUGCCACUGCACGGGCAAAAUGGAUAUCUCCUUCCAAGGGAACUGCACCGAUUAAUUUGUUAAAACAGAUUUACACUACCGUGUCUUUAAGCAAGAAAUUUGAGCAAGAAAGUGGUGUUAAAAAUUUCAAUGGAAGCAUUUGACAGUCUGUGAAUUACCCAUUCAGGAAGCAACCCAAAUAAUGAAUAGUAAUCCGGCUUAAACAAUGGACCAGGUUCACACUCGAGCCAACCGGUUGAUAGAUCCUGCACUUGGUUAUUUUAGAUCGAGAUACACAAUGUCAUGUCAUAAACCUGGUUUCCAACCAUUGGGAAAUGGUUUGUACGGAGAAAUUCACCUUUCUUGGACAAGUAAGCCACUGAAAACGGCCCAUGAUGUUUGCAAGCUGCAUGUGAAAUUCAUUAGGAUAUAUAUAGUCACUAAGGACACGAUUUGUCUGAGAAAUCCUGGAAGUCGAGAGGUAGUAAAGACAUUUAGCAGGCCGGGCAGUACAUUUAUGCUAAGAUGAAGCCACCUCGUACCCCCCCAAAAAAAAAUUUUUUUUUUUAUUUUGUGAACUUCACUACGAGCAUAUAUAGAGCUUAUCCUUUUCGUGCUAUGUACCCUGAAAAUUGAAGAACAUAAUAUUUUCUGUUUACUUUUCGUCAUCAUAAUUAAAGCACCAGAAGAUGCUUACCAGAAAUGCUGAUGUCACGGUUGCAACAGAUGCUCCGAUAAAACCCUCCCAGGUCUUUUUUGGAGAAAGUUUGAUCAGUGGUGUUCUUCCAAAGAAGAAACCAAAAAGAUAAGCAGCUAUAUCGUUGAUAGCUAUAAGUGAUGCAGGCAAAAGGAACCUGCAUCAAUCACGACGAUCAACUUGUUUUUUCACUCGCAUAAAGACGGACUGGAGAAUUGAUAACAUUGCAAAUUGGCCACAUAAUUCUUCAGUUGAAAAGCAUAAAGAGAUUGAAAUCUCCACAACUUUUGAAGAAAUCAAUAUUCAUUUGGAUUUUAUUUCCUUUUUUUUUUUUUUUUUAAAGAAAGGUACUUUGUUUACAUCCAUAGGAACCCCCAAAUCCUAUCAGCACAUUUCUGUAACAUCAUAUAUAAAUUUCUAUAACAAAAAAUGGGAAAGACCAAAAGAUCAGAUUUCUGUGUAACUUGGGCUUCUACUGCAGGUUCAUUCAUUAGGUUAGCCAAAGUCGAGCAGAAAAAUAGGCAUAUAAUGUAACUGUCUCCAGGGAAUUCGUAGCUUUGCUAAUCUUUGUUGUUCGACGACAACAGAGCACCUAACCAAGUGCGUUAAAAGUGAUGAUUCCCUCUUAAAAACUGCUGCUUCAGAAGUUCAUUAUGGGAAAAAAAAAAAAAUGCAGUGAAAAAAUGAACAAUUGGGGGCCCAACAUUACCAGAAUAUUCCUUCAAAAAUGUUGGCUACAGUGAACGAUGACUGCAUGAAUACCGUAAUGAGGAUCAUGUGUGUCCAGGCAUACUGACCAAACUGAUAUUUGUACAUCUUCUUCUUCAGGGUGAGAAUGAAGCACACGACUCCUGUAACAUUGGGCUGAACGUUCAUUUUCAUAAAGAAAUGUGCCAAUAAAACAUGAAGCCACCAGAUGCAUGCAACAAUAUUUAGUAACCAAUCAAAGACUAAGAGGAGAGAAAUAUAAGACCUAAGGUAAGGACUCAUAACAGCAUGGUCCAACCUGCAAUAUAUAAGAAAUAGCAAAUGACCAUCUGGUAUUUUACAAGCUUGUUCACCAGCUUAUAGAAGGCCCUUUCAGACGUUACAGUUUUUACAAGAUGUUGACUGAGAAUACGGCCGUAUACAUGCAGCAUUGCUGUGAAGAAGAAAUGCCUGGAGCAACACAUCAUCUUAGUUUUAGACCUUAAUCUUCUGCCGCGAGGAAUUAACAAGCCUUCAAAACGAGAAGGAACGCUGAUUUGAAUCAUUACCAGUUUAGCAGCCUAAAUCCUGGAAGCUGCCUUUCCUCGUUGACUCUUCUUGAUAAACUGAAUAGCUCUCCAGUCAUGAAUAUUUGGAUGACAACCACCAUGGCACAGAUAUAAAGAUGACCCAUGUAAAGAAUGAAUAAUAUACUUAUAAGCAUCCAAAACGUAGAAGCUGUGCGGAUCCGCAUUGAUCUGUACUUGUUCUCGUCAUCAACGAGUAAGUAGCUUCCGCUCAAUUUGCGUACAUCCGGAAAAGACUGAAGAGAGGAUGAAAUGUUUAGUUCCUAAAUAUACCAUGAAAGUUGAUGAGGAAUAAAUGUUUUACAUGGCCGAGAAAAUUUUAGAUCAAACGCACUCUUUGGAUUAACUGCAAGCCGGGGCAAUUUGAUCCCCAGCCUGAAGCCAUAACUUAGACUUACUGUGGUGGCAAGACAAGACAUGCAAAAGCAGAAAUCCCUGUGCCGCCAACCUCAUUCAAUUAUGACAUAUUGGUAGUAUUGAAAUGGACUAAAUGACGGGAUAAAUGCAUGAAAAGCGUAAGUUAGGAAUUAAGGUAUACAUAGGAUGGGCCUCCAUUUCUUGGACGAUCCUAGUACACACAAUCAAAACGUUCUCAUCUCAAAGGACCUCAGAAGUUAGAAGAAACUAAUAGGUUGCUAUCGUUUGAUCGCUCACCUCAGUUGAACGCCUACGAUGACGAAAUCUAGGAGUAGAUGGAGAAGCAGGACCAUGAUCCCUCUGUGUCAUCCUUCUGUAUUAUUUUUGUUGGAAGACUUUUUUUUUUCUUUUCUACAGAGUGAAUAAGCCUGACCAAUAGAAGAACAUCAUAUCAUAUAAUGCAACAGAAUCUAUAAAAAGAAAUGAUCCAAUCUGAACGACCAUCUGCUGAAUUUGUGUGAAAACAGAUUAAAUUUUGAAAAGAAAUUCAGCAAACGAAAUAUGAUAUUAUUUUCUGCCCCUCAUUGGGAUCAAUUCAGAGGCUUCAAAGUUUUCACUACCAUGUAUGACCAAGUUUCCACAGACUCAGCCCGUUUCGGACCCCGUCAAUUAGCAAAGUUCUUCCUGCAAAGUUUCAUAAACUUACAUGAUUUAAGUGAUUUUUGCUUUAAAAGGACUAUCCCUCUCCGCAUAUUUAUGUUACUCGUGAAGAGAAGGCUAAUGCUGUUCAAUUAAGAGUCAUAACGAAAAUCGUAACCCUGUAUAAGACCCACCAAACAGAGCAACAGGUACCAGUACAAUGAGGCAAUCCGGACAAAAGAAGUCAUCGUCGUGUAUUGUAGUGCUAUUAAAACUAAGCCCAAAAUCUUUCUGCUGGGGGCAGGCUGCAAUGAUGUUGUCACCUAAAUAUCUUAGUUGAAUUUUCCUGUUUUAAUGAUUCCCAGCAGCGAGCAAUAGAUGCCUUCUGUCUCAUUAUGCAUGGCAUCAUACGGGUAAAAUGAUUAACCAAAAAAAAAAGAAGGCCUGCCAGCUUAACCAACGGAGAAGUGGGAAAAGAAACUAUUCAAGAAUUGCAAAAACAUUAACCAAGUGACAAGAGAAAACUUACAAAAACAAUGGAUUUGGAUUUGAGCUUCCAAUACUUGCUUCUACAUCACCGGAUUCUUAAUCAAAGAGAAAGAGAUAGGAAAGAAAAAAAAAACCCAAUCUGCUGGAAUAAAAGCUGAAGAAAAGUUACAGGAAAAAGCGGAAAGGUUAGUUUGAAGAGUUAAAGUUUCCAACCAAACGGAAAAAGUCCCACAAAUGACACGUGGGUUUUGGAUACCGUAUUGAAUCCCAUGAAAAAGAGCUUUCUAAAAAAAGUGUUCAUGCCCAAAGCCAAGAGAAGCUAAAACCAGGUAAUCAUGGAUGUUCAUGGCAAAGUAUUUUCAUCGGUCGGGUAGAGCAGAAAGAUUGUUCAAUCAUUUCAGGGUCCUUCUCAAUGAAUAAAUAAAAAUUAGAAGGGUUGAUUAGGGUAAGCACCUUUUUGCAUUGAAUUGAAGCUAGUAUAAUUUUACUCCGCUGCCAUACUCUUCCCUAUUAAUAAUUAAUGUCUAAUAACCCCUUUCUCUUGGAAAAGCUAUUGAGACUUGAAAGGAUACCAUUGCCAUCAUGCAAGUGCUACAGAACACAAACGAAUUGUUCCCCGGAAUUACACUCUAAAUAAUACAUGGGCAUAAUUAUGAAAUAUGCUGUAUAAUUUGCCACUUUCAUACCUCAGCAGGUGUAUGGCAUUGAAGGAAUUGUCCUCCUUGGAAACUUUGAAAUGCUGCUUGACUACAUGCGAUCAAAGCUGAAGAACUCAAUGAAACAUUUAUUUAUCCAAAAAAAAAAAAAAAGAAAGAACAAUGGCUUAUGCUACGUCAACAUAUAAAUGGUAAUUUCUGCCAGUCAGGAAAAGCUUAAGCUUCAAUUUCAUUGUCCCCCACAAUUCCCGGUGGGCAAAGAAAGUGCACUAAGAAAUCAGAACUUGCACUUAGCAUUUGAUAUUUUGGAUUGGUCGAGACCUGAUAGUGGCUAGUACCAGCACUGGGUAAGAAAUGCACUGCUAAUAAUGAGGAAAUGCAUGUGACGGUCCUUUCCUUUGUCCUUUGUUUGUUGCGCGGGCGGCGGUGGGUUCAAUGCAAGCAAACAAGUCUCCCAUACAAUAUACAUACGCACAUUCAUUCAUUCCCUGCUUAGCCAUAGCAUUGAGCAUUCUCAGGGUCACAUGAAAGUUGAAACACAGCUCUGCACAGCACCUCCUAAUUUUUUCUGCCUCAGGUUUUGUCAUUUGUGACGUUCCUUUUGGUUUUGGAGUUGCCCACCAUAAAUAGUACGGUAUACUAGUCGUGCUUUUUUUUUUUUUUUUUGGUCUAACCACCCGAUAUCCCUUUCGGACUAAUCCGGAUUCGGCCCGAGGAGUGCCCGCAGAAUUUGACUCUUAUUCGAGGGUGAAGGCCUGACCCUAGAGUUAUUGCAGGAGCGCAGCGAGGAUCGAAUCUUGAUCGUCCUGCUCGCAUUACCAGCCGCUUACCACUGGCCCCAACUCCUCGGGUUUACUAGUCGUGCUUUUACUUUCAGCUUUGUGGAUCUAGUUUUAUAUUUGCUUGAAUCUCGAUAUUAUUUUUUGUUAGAGAUUGUGAAGAUUAAUGGGUUCAACUUUGACCUACUCAUGGGAUGAUUAAUUAGGUGAACUCCUACCCACUAAUAAUAGUUUGCAUAGCCAAGAAACGAGGGAAGCGGAAAGUAGUGGUGUUAUAUUCCCCCACAAAUUCAAACUCACUCAAGUUGAUGAAAAUACUAGUACAUGACAUAAGUCGCAAGUGCAAAAUCUCUUGUGUGUGUAUAUAUAUAUAACUUGAAAGAAAGAAAGAAAAAAUUAAUUAAUCAUCAUUUGCCAGUCACGGGAAAAGGGAAACAAAUUAAUUAGAAGUGUGAUUUGUACUUUUUAUUUAUUUAUGUGGUGUGCCCUUAUUGUUGGCUAUAACAAUUUCGAAUUCUGUUUGUUUCAAAGAAAAAUUGUCACAUUUUAUCAAAUCGUUACACUAAUAUUUUUUACAAAAUUUUUUUUUUAAAAAUACAAUCCAAACAAAGCCGAGUUUCUCCUCAGUUUACAAGCCAAGCAGAAUUCGAAGUGGCUGCUAAGUGCACUAGGCGUCCAAGAUAAGGAAAAUGACAAAGAGAUCACUUGAUUAAUAGUAGUACUGCAAUUAAUUGUGCGUCGGCUAUCUAAGCUUCAAUUUUCUUAUUUAAUGUUUUCCUUCGCUCUUUAUGCAUCAUCACGGCCUCACAGGGAUUAUGAUACAAAAUUGUUGUCUUUAACUCUCUCUCUCUCUCUCUAUAUAUAUAUAUAUAUAUAUAUAUUUUUUUUUUUUUUUUUUUUUUUUGGGUCCAAAAUUUAAGUUGAAAAUUAUCAACAGGGUGAUCUGCAAUUGAAAGCAAUAUGACUUUUGCGAUGGACUGUAUCAGGAUAAUAAAGACGUGCACAAUGGUUCGUGAUGACACCCGUAAUGAUCGCGACUUUUGAGUUUUGCCCCCAAAAUCCUAUUUAUUCCUCCAUGCAGCGUCGCUCGCACCGUGUCCAUCCUUAAAUUACGAUAUAGGCUAUCGGGUUGGAAGAUAAUAACGUAAUUGCCCUGUUCUUAGUGACCGCAUAAAUGAUAAAUGGGAUAAUUCCAAAAACCUUCCCUUAACUUUUUGCCAAUAUCAUUGGCCUUCCAUGAAGUUUGAAAAUACCAUAUCCCCCCCCCCACUCAAUUUUCGUAUUUUCUCAAGUACCAUAGCCAAUGUUUGAGGUGUUGUUUGAAUUUUCUCAAUUCAAAUGUUCUCCGUCCUAUUAUUUAAUUUCCAAACAAGUUGUUUAUUCAUGGCAUUAGAUAUAUAGCUGUGAUCACAAGGCAAUAUAAAUUCGUUCUAUGGAUUUUUUAUAUACAUGAAUUGUUCCGCAUGUCACAAGAAAAAGUAGUAAUACUCUUCAUUCAAAAUGGGAAAAUGUUUGAAUUGCCUAGUUUUUUAUAAUUGUAAUGAUUUAUAUUAUUUAUUGAUUGGUUAUCGUUAAUGUUUUUCCAUUAAAACUAUCCUAGUAUUAUAUUAUUUCAACAAAAAAUUGAAGGCAUAUAAAAGUGGUUUCAAAACAAGUGAGAACACAUGAAUUAUGAAGGGUACCUAUGCUUAUAAUAUAAUUUAGUAGAAUUAUAUAUAUUCACUUAUGCACUGUGAGUAUAGAAUAUAAGGGGCAAAAAAAAGGAAAAGGUAAAAAAUAAGUAUUUAAAAAUAUAUGUUUGCGAAAAAAAUUAUGUAGAAGUACAAAGAAACUAAUACCUGCUUCCCAAGAACUACAAAGAAACGGUAUUUUUUUUUCGAAACUCACAAAAGAGAGUCUACCUAUAAAAAAAGAUUGAAAAUCACGAUAUUUCUAUCACCAACAUGUAAUUCCUCAAAACAAGGGAAUAAGCUAUCUUUUAAUUUAUUUCUAUCACUCAAAUCGUAUUAUCGUUUACUAUAAAAUUUUUUGCAAAAAAAUUAAAUGGGUAUAAUGUGCUAUGUUCAAAUUUUCAAACCAAUUACAUUUUAGUAGAUAUUGAAUACGAAUCCGAUUAAAGAAAUUUAUGACAACUCAAUAUAUAAUGAAAUAUCCUCUCUAGUAAUGCAUAAAUGUAAAAGGAGUACUAGGAGAAUAUUCAUAAAAUAAUACUGCAAAUAUUCAGUUCAAAUGUAAAUUUUGAAAUUGAAACUUGAAAGCAGUUGCACUUAUAUUUGCUUCCAUAAUUUUUUUCCAAAAGGAAAACUUUCAAACAAUCAAUUGUAUGCAUUUUCCGCGGAACUUAAGUAAGGAAAUAAAUGUGUGAAAUUUCAAUUCGAAUUUCAUAACGGGUCAAAAGGAAUUUUGGGAAAUAAGUCUUCUAGUAGGAGAGAGAGAAAGAGAGGCGAAAGGGUCCGGCCGUUCGAGCAAUUGGACGAGUCAAAGAAAAACAACGGCGGUCAAAGGGUGAAGGGCAAAACGAGUACCUCACAUCCUCCGACAGUGUCAAAUCUCGUAAAUAGUCCUAAAACCACGGGCCAGAAUAUAACCAAAAAUCUUCGCGACAAUCAUAGGAGUAAUUUUCUAACGCCUUUGGACGACGACGUUAGAAAACCGGGGCCCCACUCACAGUCAGUCUCCUCUUCCUCAUCUAAAAUCUAUGCACAAAUAAAUAAAUAAGAAUAUAUAUCAGUCUCAGUCCCAGUCUGUCCUUUUGCCCUUUUUCUUCACUCCUUGCUUCACUCUCACUGUCCUUGCCAAAAACACGCACAACACACACACACACACACCAAAAAAUCGAACAAAGGUCCUCAGAUCUGAGCCCUAAAUCCAUCCAAAAUUCCAUCCUAGCAGUACGAUCGCUGUAAGUAUUAUCUACAUUAUCAGCCUUUUUAUUCUCUCUUUACGUGAAAAUUAUUUCACAUAGUGCACGCACAAACUCGCAGUUGUAAUUCUACUUUGAUCGCUUGUCGAGAAAAUGUAGUAAAGUUGAUGAAUUUAGUGCUUCUUUUGAGAUCUGAGUAUUUGUAACUCCAUGUGAUAUCGUCUCAGCAUUUACUUUGUUUUUGUGGUUUGGUCUUGGAUGAAUGCUGGUUGCGGGGUUCAAUUGUGUAAUGAAAUUUCGGGUUUAUUGUUAACAGUGGAACUCUUCUUUUUGCUUUUUCUUUUAUUUUUGUGGGACCUGAUUUUGUCUGUGCAAGUGAAAAUGAAGUUCUUUAACUAGGAUUCGCUGAGUUUUUGUGAAAGAUUUGGCUGCUGGAAUUCAUCCCCUAGGCGGAAAUUUACAUUCUAACCUGGCAUUUUUUGUUAUUUGAUGUUCAUAAUGAGUUGGUGGUCUGGGUAACCAUUAAAAUUGCGGGUGUUAUGCCAUAAUGUUGGUGGUGUUCAACUUGUAUUCUACAGUCUCGAGAUGGCAAUUACCUGUUUGUUUCUUCUUUUCAGUGUUUUUGGUUGCCAGAGAUGAUGAAGCUUAGAAUGAUUUCACAUCGUUAAUAGCUUGUGCAUCUUACAUUUCAAUUGAUUUAAAAAAAAAUCACAGGCGAAUAUCUGGCAUUUCAUUGUUCAUUUUAGGUCAAUAUAAGCACUUGCUACGUGAUUUUGACUUUAGUUGAGGUUUACAUUUUCGUUCUGCAUUUAUUUUUUUCAUUUUGAGAUGCUAUUUCUUUUCAUUUCUUUUUCUUUGAAAAAAAUAGAAAAUAGACACACUGUUUUGUGCUUGACAUUACUUUACCUUAAGUGUGACGUGUCGUGAUUGUUGGACUAAUUUCAAAUCUCACAUGAUUUUGGUUAGGUUGUUAAAGGAUGGCAGCAGUGGACGCUCAAUGUCCUCUUCUAGGAGAGACUACCUGUGGUUCUUUACUGCAGCAAUUGCAGGCAAUUCCCCUUCCUUUGACUCACACUACAUAUUGUUCAACUUAUUAUUUUCUUAUGUUCAUGACAUGAACAGUAGUUAAGCGCAUAAUUAGCCAUGGGAAGUCUUGACAACUGGUGAAACUCAGAAAACCCACUUGAUGACAUGUUAUAUUCUAUUGAAACACACUAGGCAAGUAAAGUGGUGCGUGCAAUACUGGCCUUUUGUGUCUCUUAUAAAAUAAUGGCACAUCAUUCUGUCAGUUUAGCACUUAGAGUUGUUUGCCACUUGAGCAUUACUCAAUGAUUUCGUGCAUUUACCAUUUCAAUGAUUGAAAUCCUCGUCUUAGUGCAGCUAAUCUGGGAUGAGGUUGGUGAAACUGAUGAGGAGCGGGAUAAGAUGCUUCUUCAGUUGGAGCAAGAGUGCUUGGAUGUGUACAAGAGAAAGGUUGACCAGGCUGCAAAGUCCAGGGCACACCUUCUUCAGGCAUUAGCUGAUGCCAAAGUUGAACUCUCAAGUCUUUUAUCUGCACUAGGCGAGAAGAGUUUUGUUGGAAUUGUAAGUAGCCGCCUAUUGAUGCUAUUCUUUCAUAAAUGUUAGGUAAUUAGGAAAUUAGAAUGUUUGGAUCAGUGUCAACUUAACAUCCAAUUCAACCUUGAGCUGAAGUUCAUUAUCUUCUUUUGGCUCUGAUUGUGCAGCCUGAGAAGACUACUGGAACAAUCAAGGAACAACUUGCUGCUAUAGCACCGGCAUUGGAGAAAUUGAUGAAACUGAAAGAAGAGAGGAUAAAAGAGUUUUCUGACGUGCAGUCACAUAUACAAAAAAUAUGUGGAGAGAUUGCUGGGACAACUGAGCAGGUUGAAAGACAAUCUGUGGAUGAGUCUGAUUUAUCGCUCAAGAAGUUAGAUGAAUUCCAUGCUCAUCUACAAGAACUUCAGAAAGAAAAGGUUACGUCACUCUGUUGUUAAGGUCAAAUUUUUGUAUUUAAAGAGGUUUGCCCGUCUUGAGUUUUUAACAGGCCCAUACUUUUAAAAUGCAGAGUGAGAGAUUGCACAAGGUACUUGAAUUUGUCAGCACCGUGCACGAUCUUUGUGCUGUGCUUGGGAUGGAUUUCUUCAGUACUGUGACAGAAGUGCAUCCUAGCUUGAAUGAUUCUACUGGUGUCCAAUGUAAAAGCAUAAGCAAUGACACACUGUCAAGAUUGGCCAAGACUGUCCUAGCACUAAAGGAGGAUAAAAGCAGAGGCUGCAUAAGGUAAUUGUUUCAGUGUGUGAAACGUUGUAUUUUUGUUGCAUUGAUAGAUAUUUGUUUUGUGGAAGGUAAACUAUCAUUUGAAAGUUGCCAUGAAUGGUGCUUGUACAGUCACACUAGCCAUCCAAUCACAACUACUAAUCAAUUGCAUGUAGGGGGUAUCUGGAUUUUUUUAUGUUGUACUUCUGCUUAUUUCAACAAUAUGCAUCUAAAUAAGAAAAAGGAUAUCUCUAGCACUGCAGGAUUAGUUCGUUUAGAAAUUUUACUUUGUAAUCAGUAACUUCUUUAGCAUGUUAUCUGAGUCUGGCAUUUAUGGGAAAUAAUAUCACUCUGUGGCUUACUUAUUUCCAUUAUUGUACUCUGGUGUCUGCUUGCAAAUUUUGUAUUACCUUUCAUCUUAUCUGUAUGCCAUGUACUCACCUUCUAAGACAUGCCUUUCUUGCAGCUUCAAGAAUUAGCAACCCAGCUAACUGAUCUUUGGAAUUUGAUGGAUACCCCUGAAGAAGAACGGAGUUUAUUUGAUCAUGUUACUUGUAAUAUAUCAGCUUCAGUUGAUGAAGUUACCAUUCCUGGGGCCCUUGCUCUGGAUCUGAUUGAACAGGUAUAGGCCUUUUUUUUUUCUUGUGCUUUAAGUUCUAACAUGGAAGCUGAAAACACAAGUAUUCAUCUUGUUUACUUCUUGUUAAGGCUGAGGUGGAGGUUGAAAGGCUUGAUCAGCUAAAAGCUAGUAGAAUGAAGGAAAUUGCUUUCAAGAGGCAGGCUGAGCUUGAAGAGAUUUUGCUCGUGCUCACAUAGAGAUUGAUUCAGAGGCUGCUCGAGACAAAAUUAUGGCUCUCAUUGAUUCUGGGAAUGUUGAGCCUGCAGAUUUACUGGCAGACAUGGAUAAUCAGAUUGCAAAGGCGAAAGACGAGGCUUUGAGCAGGAAAGAGAUAUUGGAUAAGGUUGAGAAGUGGAUGUCAGCUUGUGAAGAAGAGAGCUGGCUUGAGGACUAUAAUAGGGUAAUUCUUCUCUGGCGUGCCAUUUUUUAUGUGUAUUUUCAUCACAUGCAUUUGAAUGGAUAAAAAGUCAACGGUCUAGAAGUCCAGUUUCUUCCUUGUACUUGCUUUCUAUGGUAUCCAAGAAAAGAUCAGCCUAUCUGUUUAGUAUUUUAAUGCAAGUUAGUUAAAGCUUGUUUCAGGCCCCCAAGAUAUUUCUUUGUUGUUUGCAAUUUUAUUCUUGAAUGGCCAAGGCUGGGAAAAAUAGGAUACGUGAAGUUAAAGAAUCCUGCGAUUCCUGUACUUUCUGUGUUCUCUCUUUUACUCUUCUCAGUACCAAAUAUGUGAUGACUUGCAUCUUUUUUGAACAGGAUGAUAACAGGUACAAUGCAAGUCGUGGAGCACAUUUGAAUCUCAAGCGUGCUGAGAAGGCUCGGGUAUUAGUAAACAAAAUACCAGGUACAUUUCAGAUCUAUUGGUAUGUUUGGGCUACUUGCUGGAUUAUUAUAUUUCUUUUCAUUUAUAAAUGAAUUUUCUCAUAUUGAGCUCAGUCAAGGAUAAAAGACACUCAAUUACAAAGUGAUGUGAGUGAUACCCAUCGAGCAGCAUAUAUUUUUUUGCAUGUCUGAAUGGUUGCAUUAAGUGAAUUUUGGCUCUUUAAUGCUGUUGUACAGUUCAGUGAGCCAGUGGACAAUAGAUCUACUGAUUACCGGUGCAAUGAUAAAAUAAUUUGUUUUGAGUUGAAUUUAUGUGGCAUAUAAUGUACUGGAAUACUGUAGCUUCUUUUAUGACUUGUAUGACUACUCUGCUACCAACAAGAAAGCUUUAAAACAAUCUUCAAAUAUGAUCUCUUCCUGAUGGCAACGCUUAUGUGGUUAUAUGGAGCAUUUUAUGGAUAACUAUAUAAUCUGGUUGUCGGCAUGUAGCUCUUGUUGACACCUUGGUUACCAAGACUCGAGCAUGGGAAGAAGAUCGUGGCAUAUCAUUCACGUAUGAUGGUGUUCCACUACUGGCGAUGCUAGAUGAAUAUGCAAUGCUCAGACAUGACAGAGAAGAAGAGAAAAGAAGGUUGAGGGUAAGUCAAACAUCUUUGGCAGGACAAACUACAUUAGUAACGUUCAACUGAUUUAGAGCCCAUUUAUACCUGGCAUAUAACAGUAUAUAACAUCUAUAUGUUGCCCUCCACAGGACCAAAAGAAAUUCCAUGAGCAGCUGAGCAAGGAACAAGAAGCAAUGUUUGGUACAACACCUAGCCCUGCUCGACAGGUUGGUGUGAAGAAGGUGGUGGGUCCACGGGCAAAUGGAGGUGCUAAUGGCACUGCUGGGAGACGACUGUCUCUUCCUGCCCAUCAAAAUGGUUCUAGGUCAAUUAACAAGGACGGGAAGAGAGAUAGCUCGAGGCCAAUUGCUCCUGUGAAUUAUGUUGCCAUAUCGAAAGAAGAUGCUACAUCACAUAUAUCGGGCACCGAACCACUUCCAAGUACACCAUAGUAAACUGCCUCGAGAGAUCUGAUAUUUGUGGCAUUGUGUAUUUGUUGUUACUGGCUUUAGUUGCUGUAGUAUACAUCUUGGCACAAAAAGUGAUUUUGAUAGGUAGGGACUGAGAUACUGUACCGUGUCAUACUGGUUGUAUCAAAAUAGGGCUGUUCGAUUAAUGUUGCUCAACCUCUGGUCUUUGGUCCGGCGAUCAGAGAGAGCCCUUAGAGCAGUGUGGUACACCAAGUUGGGGAUUUAAUUCCCGCUUGGUGCAUUUAGGGGUUGGGUUCUCCCUCUCCCAUAGCAUAGGAAUAAAGUAGAUGAUUGGCGAUAGACCAAAAAAACAAGAAAAGAAAAUAGAAAGAAAGAAAUGCAAUGCUGCUCCGUUUGCAAUGACUAGAAAUUACACCCCGACAAAACUGCGGUACCCGUUGUCUUGGAAAAAUAAUUGACGAAAAAUUGGACGUACCUCCGAUGUAGAGCAUUUUAGAGGUGGAGCGACCAUGUAAAAGCUCAUUAUACUACAACUGGCAGGCCUUGUAGGCAGCCGAUUAGGCCGCUCUCUACGACGAUUAGACGACUGACAUCUUCAAUUGGGCCAACUCUGCCUGGGUCUGCCUUUUCUCCUCUAAAAUCUUGGCCAUGACGGCCCUAUACGCAAGUGGGUCGUGAUGGAAAUGUCCCCUAGACACUCCUAUGUCUCAUUCCGAGACAAGCACAAGAGUCAAGUUCUUCAUCUGUACCACUGGCCUGCACUUUCAGAUUAUAUAGUUUGCAAGAGACUAAUCCUUCCCUUGAUGAUGCACGUGAAGUGCUAAUCCUUUCAUACGAGUGCCUGCGGUAUCAAAUUCUUGAGUUUAAAUGCUAAAGAUAUCCGAAUGCUGCAUCUUUGCUCCACUGAAAACAUUCCCUUUUUUUUUUUUUUUUUUUCCGUAUCAAAAGUCUAAAAGGUAGGAAAGGCUUAUGUAUCACCUCCUUGGGAAAAAUUAUAUGCUUCUACCUCCAGAUCGAGAGAUCCCAUCACAGCUUAAAAUUCCAUCUGCGAUGGCCCUGGACAUUUGUGGAGAUUUAGAUAAUUUAAUUGGUAAUUAAUUUCAGGCAGGAAUAAGUUGAAUUUUCAACUUUACAAGAUGUCAUGAGGUCCUCAAUUGACAUGCCAGUCUGAAGUUCUAAUCAUAUGAGAGAACACAACAGGCACAUGCAAAUAAAUGAUAGGAGAUACUAUAAUUACAUCCAUUUCCUCAUUUCUCCAUGAUGUUGUCCUCUGACAAUUGAACCACAUUUCCCCAAUUUUACAUGCAUGUCUACAGUUCCCAUGUCUUCUGGCCUCCAGUUCAUUGGCAGGCUAUAACAUCAGAAAAGGUUUGGUCGUUGACAUUAUCCAUUCCCAAAGCAAGUUUGAUAGUAGUAUUUAGUGCUUGUUGCUCUCAUGGAAUUCAAAGCCACAUCCACAAGGCCGCACCAGCAUGCACGAGCACGACUGCUUGCUUGUUCUUAUCAUGACAUUUAUCCACUGAAUAAUUCCUUGUCGGGAGAGACCCAGGAUGGGGAAUGAGACACAACUAUUAUUCUAACUUCACGAGCAACUGGCUACUUUGGAUCUGAGCGUCACCUGAGGUCAUUAAUUCUUGAAUGCUUCCCGACUUUACUGAUCAUAGCAAUCAUAGCAAUUUAUCAUCCAGACCCGCUGCUCGCCAGAAGAUGCAAUUAAUUAUAUGUUAACACUUAUUAAGAGAGCAGAAUUAUCGUACGAGUUAAUCAAUCAGUUGGAAUCUUUGAUGGCUGAAUUGCGGAAGUAGGGGAUUGGUUCUGGGAUAAAUAGGACAAAUAUUGAAGUCGCAUUGAAUAGUUUGGAGGGUAAGAGCAAUCAACCGCCUCGAGAUCUAGAGAAGCCGAAAAUUAGUACACAAUCAACGCUUACAUAAUUCAAUUUUUCUUCAGUUGUAAGUAAACAAAAUAUCAAGUACACCGCUUCAUGCACAAGUAACCAUGCAUGCAGGAGGACGUUGAGAAGAGAACGUGCAGCCUAUCAACCUAGCUAGUCAUUUUAUGAUCUUCUCGAUCCCUAGUCCCUAUAUAUCCAGCAUUGACCAAAUCAAACCUAUCACUCUGCUAAGUGCCCUGUGCCCUUGGAUCAAGACCACGAAGUUUUUGGCUCGUUCUUGGUUUCGCCUGAUAGAUCCAAAACGAAACCAUUAGUUCGUUUCAACUUUCAACCCAUAGCAAAAGCGCCUUUCUUGUCUGAGAUGCAGAGAACAUUAAUAUGUUGUUAACUUUCGUUUCUUUUUUCUUGUUCAAGCAGCAGAGAAGAUAUGUGCAUUCGGUAUUCAAAAAGACGUGCAUGCUGGUUUUCAGCAUCAAUUGCUUUUGCCAAAUUCCUCUUUUAGAUUUUACAGGCUGCGCUUAAUUUGUUGCAAGUUAUAUAUAGUCCGCAUCAUAAAAAAAGUAAUAAGAAACCAAGGCCUAAAAGUAGCUCAAUAUCGUUCUAUUGAUUUUAUGUCCGCCCUGGAUCAUUCUGUUCCUCUUUUUUCUGUAAACUUUUCUUGCCCCCCAACAAUAAAGAGGGGACAUGACAGUAUAAUGAUCAAGUAUCUUCAAAAAUGUGAAUGACUUCAAAACCAAGAGCACCAGAUAAGUCUAGCUAUCUUUAAUUUAGUUGUGCAAGUACCCAUGAAAUUAAUUAACAAGCCAGCCAUCAUGCAGUUUUGGCACUUACUAAUUAACAAGGCCACUUUUUUUUUUUUUUUUUGUUCUUCCUCUCUGUCAGUUCAAGUUUCAAAUCCUGACAGUUAAGGGGAUAGGAAGGAUGUGGAGAGGAUGAGAGGAUAAAAUUUAAAACAAAAGUUUUUUGUUUUUAGAGUCCACCUUGAUGUUAUUCCAUUGAUUUUAACUAUCCCACUUCUGUAGCAUUUAAAUAGUUAAUCCCACAAAAAUAUAUAUAUAUAUAUGAAGCAACUGCAAGGCCUAAGGCCAUAAAGUGAUCGAGUAGUAGAAAAGUCUUAAUUGUAGCUACUUAACGGUAGCAUUUUUCUUUUAUUUUUUCUAGUGUGGCACCUGAAGUUUGCAUUGCUGGCCAAUUGAACAUCAUGAUGGAUCUUAUGAAAGCUGUUUCUGUAGGCUUCUAGCAGCCGAUCAUCGAAACCUUUCCUAGCUCGUAUUUGUAGGUGGGGGUCGAUAUAGCAAGGGUUUUUUUUUUUUGACCAUCAGACAGCGAGACCAAAAAAAAAAGGCACAUAUUGCGACUUUGCAGCAAUAGUGCUGGUUGUUGUUGCAUGCACUUUUUGUCUUUCUUUCCACAAGGUAGAACAGUAGAAUUUGAGUGUUGGGUCCAAAUUGCGAACUCUUUCCGUCUGCAGACAAGCAGGAGCAACCGCCCAAUUUGCCAAUUCAAAUUCCAAAUCUUUUAGUAGUAACUUUGUGAUUCAUCUUGACAAAGAAAAAGAAUAGUAAGGAAACUAUUCGAUCCAUCAUCACCUACAAAAAUCAAAGUGGGGUUCACAAAGAUGAUGUUACACAAAAACUGGCAAAAGGAAACAUAUAACUUCUCGCCAUUUGCUGCGAUCCCUUUUGACCCCCCCCCCCCCCCUCAGCGCAAAGUUUCAUUCUUCUCAAGAAAGGGGAACACCCGCAAAAGCAAAACACUGUAUGGUCAAUUCGAAACAGCUUAUUCUCACACUGUAUGGUUUUUGAAACUUGAGGGCAAGAAAAUUUAAUCACUGCAAAUGUCCAAACUGGCUUUUGCGCUAUAUAUAUAUAGCGUAUACCAACGAUGGCAUCUGAAAUAUAGUGAAGAAAGAAAUCGAAUCCAUUCAAAUUUCUUUCUUGUAUAAAAAAAGAAAAAUGGUAUAAUUUUGGGGUACCAUAAUCAUAGAAGAGGCCUUAACUUCUUAAUUCUUUAAUUACCUAAUACGCUAUUGAUCCGCGGCUGUAAUUUAUAUAUAAAAAAAAAAAAAAGAAUCAACCGACAUUCAGCACUGUCCAUGGAAAAAGGGGUCUAGACUCUAGAAAAGAAAUGCUGUUACUACUCACUAAAGCGCGGCUCUUAAUCCAACUCUCUUAAAUCUUUGAUUAUCUUAAAUUCCGUUAACAGUUAAAAGGAAGAAAGUGAAAAUAUUUCCUUUGCAUGCAUGGUCGGGCUGCACAGUAAUAACUACCACAUGCAAGUCAAAAGCUUUUGUCUUUAAAAACCAAAAACCCAAAAAAAAAAAAAAAGGAGCUGAUAGUUAAUAGGGUAGUUGAAAAUUCAGAUCGAUCGUUAAAAGAUAAAAAAAAGUCGCUCCCUAAGAGAUCCGUCCGGUAGAAGAAGAAAAUAGUCCGGCCUAGUAUCACGUGAACCGGCGACUAUCACGGCCGUUUGGACUUUUUGGUGCUGAAAAGAAAAGGAAGGGAGAGAGACGAGAUGUUGGACAAAUAGUCCUGGAACAAGAUUCCGGGUAUUCAGUUCAGACUACCACUACUUCAAUUGCCCAUCCAUAUAUAUAUGUAUUUAUGGUUCUUUGAAAAUUCCAAAGCAGCUAAUGGGGUAGAAUCAAAUCUUUUUCAAGCGUGAGUUAUAAGACAACGGACAGUAAUCUAGAUUCAGAUUAAAAGUUAACCUCAUUUAUGCAUCCUUUGUAGCUUUCAGCUCAUUUCUUUAAGGUCUUGGGCAUCAACAAAAAAGGUUUAAUUUGCGACUCAUCUUUUCCUUAAUGCUUGGGAAUUUUUAUAGAGUAAUCAUUACUGGUUCCAAGUGGAGAAAGAGAGUUGAUGCGAUAGCUUGUACAAAGAACUUAGAGGAAUGUCCUGAAUUUUCCACCCAGCCUAGCUAUUAGAGGAACCACUUUAAAUGAAAUCCCGUUUGUUUCUGUACGAGUUUGAGCGAUCGAGAUCAUAUUCAUCGGUGUUUUGGGUCCUCUCCCAAUCUCCGCAAAGAUCUACGUUAGAUUCUGCCGCAGAUUCCAACAGUUCUAUGGUAUCAUCAGUGAUGCUAGCUAUAGUGUUAAUGGUAGUUAACAAGCAUCAUUAGGCGCACGAUGGAGACUGAGAUUAGCCUUAAUUUCUGGUGUGAAUGUUUAUCAUGAGAAUAAUCAAAUUCAUUCAUUCAUUUCUCAAUUGAUUUCACCAAUCUUCACUAUUUUAGUCGUCUCUCAUCCAUAACUGACAAUGGUACCCCAUAAAUGACAUGAUUUUUAAUGAAUGUUCAAAAGUGUUAAUUUGACACGCUCAAAUUUAUCAUUUAUGCCUGGAAUAAUCUUGUAAACACUCACAUUGUAGUAUACGGGAACACCCUUGGAUCAUCCAAGUUACUUAAUUUCAAUUUGAAUUUGAGCUUCUUUUUUUUUUUUUUUCUUUUACACAUGUGGCGUGCAUCUAUAAUUUUCAAUAUUCGGUGUCAGUAUAUAUACAAUAUUAGCCCUAUAUAUUUAGGGACUUUACUUUUAUUUUUAUCCCCAUAUUUAUUUAGACACUUCUAACUUUUCUUUUAAACGGAAAUUGCACAACAGCUACCGGUCCAUAUGACAGACAGUAACCCCGCUAUAAAUAAUAAGAUUUUCAAUGAAUGUACUAAUUAGUACAUUUAAUUUAUUUGUUGUUGGGAAUAUUGCAACGAACUGGCUAAUAUUGUGACAAGAAAUCGUGAUAGAAUAUCACUUUCCUUUAGGCUUCAUUCGUCCUGUAUAGCGUGCAAUAACCUUGAACAAAUAUCCUUUAGGAUAAGAUGAAAUUUGUUUGUCUUGAACUCUUGCACAAAAUAAGACAAACCCCUGUGAACUAAGGAGUGCUUUUGAGAGAAUAUACAGUAAUAGGAAAGUGAUUUUCUGCAGCAAAUCACUCUCUACUUGGCUUCUUUAUAUAGGAAAGAUUGUUUAAAAAACAAAAGAAUUCAUUAAAUACAUGUAUGAAUAGAUUCAAAGUGUUGUGUACAAAUUCAUACACUUUAAUUCAUGCAUCUCAUGAUUCUAAGAUCAAAACAUGAAUCUAUCUUUUCAUUCAGGAAUUCCCACAUACGUGAAUAUAUUCAUGAAUGAAUGUACAUUUUACAAACACUCACAGUACUAUACAUGUAUCAAAACAUGAAUGAAUAUACAUUAAUUACAUGCAUGUACAUUAUACAAAUUUUGAAAAAUUUCCAACAUUUGUAUAUAUACAGGCUUAUUUUUUUGGAUAAUCUUUAUCUGUCAAAAUUUAUUUGCUUGAAUCAUUAUCAUAUUUUUUAAUAUUCACUCUCUACUUGACCUUUUUAUAUAGGAAAGAUUGUUUAAGAAACAAAAGAAUUCAUUAAAUACUUGUAUGAAUAGAUUCAAAGUAUUGUGUACAAAUUCAUGCACUUUAAUUCAUGCAUCUCAUGAUCCUAAGAUCAAAACAUGAAUCUAUCUUUUCAUUCAAGAAUUCCCACAUACAUGAAUAUAUUCAUGAAUGAAUGUACAUUUUAGAAACAUUCACAAUACUAUACAUGUAUCAAAACAUGAAUGAAUAUACAUUAAUUACAUAUAUGUAUAUCAUACAAAAUUUUGAAAAAUUUCCAACAUUUGUAUAUAUGCAGGCUUAUUUUUUUGGAUUAUCUUUAUUUGUCAAAAUUUAUUUGCUUGAAUCAUUAUCAUAUUUUCUAAUAUGCACUCUCUACUUGACCUCUUUAUAUAGGAAAGAUUGUUUAAGAAACAAAAGAAUUCAUUAAAUACUUGUAUGAAUAGAUUCAAAGUAUUAUGUACAAAUUCAUACAUUUUAAUGCAUGCAUCUCAUGAUCCUAAGAUCAAAACAUGAAUCUAUCAUUUCAUUCAAGAAUUCCCACAUACAUGAAUAUAUUCAUGAAUGAAUGUACAUUUUAGAAACAUUCACAAUACUAUACAUGUAUCAAAACAUGAAUGAAUAUACAGUAAUUACAUGUAUGUAUAUCAUACAAAAUUUAAAAAAUUUCCAAUAUUUGUAUAUAUAUAGGCUUAUUUUUUUGGAUUAUCUUUAUUUGUCAAAAUUUAUUUGCUUGAAUCAUUAUUAUAUUUUCUAAUAACUUUUUUAUUUCACGUAUAUCAAAUUUAAAAAAAAGUGAUACAAUAUUAAUUUUUUUCAAAAAAUUAUUUCAAAUAUUCUACUAUCCAAAGACAUUCAGUACUGUCUUUUUAAUUUAACUUUACUUUUGAACAGAGAUUGUACAACAAUUAGAUAAUCAAAUGUACCUUUUGGAUGGAAAGUGUGAUUUAGAGAUCUUAUUCGUUGACGAAAAAAAAACAUUCUAUGUCAUCGACUGUGUAUCCAUUAUUUCCACAUAUAGGGUAUAGGGGUGGCAAUGGGGUGGGGGAUCCCUCCCCCACCCGCCCUGUUGACUAUUAAUUCCCCCGCCCCCUCCCCUCGUUUCCACCUGUGGGGUUAAAAAAUUUGAUUAUAUAAUUUCAUUAUAAUUAAAUUUGAGCAAAUAAUCAAUUACUAAAAUAUCAACAUAUCAUCAAAUUAUUAUUCAUUGCAACUUCACAAUUGAAACUCAUAAAAAUAAUUAAACAAAAGUUAUUUGAAUACAAUCUAAUAUGAUAAAACAAAUAUAACUAAAAUAAUCAAGUUUUUACUUUUGAUACAAAUACAAUCACUAAAUUAUUAUUGUAUUUUUCAGAAAAAAGUGUUAUUGUAUUAAGUGUAGUUAGAAAUUUAAUAUAAAUGUGUUAAUAAAUUUAGUAUAAAUAAUUAAUAAUUUUUAUUAAUAGACAUGUAUAAUUAGAAGUAUAAUUGAUAAUAUUAUUAUAUAUAUAAUAUAAUAAUGCACAUAUAUAUAUCUUUUUUAUUUCUAAAUGGGUAGUGGCCCACGUCCCGUUUUUAAAUGGGAGAAAAAAUUGCCCCCGCCCCUGCCUCAAUAGACCUAGGCACCCGUAUCCGUUGUCAUCCCUAAUAAGGUAUAAGUAAAUGCACUUAUGCCACAAGUAUUCCCAGGAUUAAUAGCACAUUUGUGUAUCAGUAUGCGUGGAAUGCAUAACACUUGUCAAGAGUUGAAUGAAUCGAUUCAGUUGCUUAGACUAGUUCUCUUCUCCGGUCUCCUGCCUCUUUCUAUGGUGUCCAUACUAAACUAACUACACGAAUUCUUGUCUGAAAAUUUGAAGUCGGAUAUUCACCGGAGAUGGGAUAUUCACCGGGAUUCCGGCAUCAAUCUCGGACAUGCUUUUAUUUACCAUUUUUUUUUUCAUUUUCCAAUUUUUUCUCAAAUAAAAGAGAAAAAGAACAUGCACGUGAGACCCAUACUCAACAGUUUACCACCCCUUAAUUUACUUUCUUAAAUCGUAUAUGAUGUUUCCUACUACAUUACCAAAUUUCAAUUUUUUUUUUUGGCUGGAUGGUGGGGGUGGGGGGGGGGGGGCGACGAGGGGGUUGUACUACAAUACCGUAACUUAUAGGGCUUGUAGUAGAAUAAGAACUUUCUCAACCAGCUAUAUAUUCUACUCUUGGAAGCCAUUUUCACUCCACAUAAUUAACUACCAAAGCAAUUCUCCUGAUUAGAUUAGAUAUCGAAGAAAAAUUUCUAAAUGGCUCCUGCGGAAGACAACGUUGUUGUUCCACACAAGAAGCUUGAGAAGUUGCUGAGCAUGAAAGGAGGCAAGGGAGAGGCUAGCUAUGUCAAUAACUCUCAAGCCCAGGUUCUUCGUUCUCCCAACUUUUAUUUAUUAGUACUUUGUUGGUAUCCAGACAUGGUAGUUUGCGGACAACCUGGACUAGUAAAACUCCAAAUUUGCACGUUGGAUUUAGUACUACUUGAGAGCAAACUCGCCUUCAUUUCAUCUUCAGAUGUUGAUCGAUCAUCAAUCUAACAUAUGCAUUACUGUAUUGGCAAACAUAACUACCACUGAAUACAUCAUCGUUAUUUUGAUCCAUAACAAAAAUUACAUGACCGCAUAAAAUCAGAGAGGGUUUUUUUUUCUUUUCUUUCUACCUUUUUAUACAUGGCUCUUCUUUAACUUUCAGGGUUUCUUUUUUCUCCCUUUUAUAUAUGGUUCUUCUCCAUAAAUAUACCUUUGCAGGCUCAACAUGCUCGGUCCAUGCUCCAUCUUCUGAAAGACACCCUGGACGUAGUCCAACUAAACAGCCGCGAAACCCCUUUCGCGGUGGCUGAUUUGGGAUGCUCUUGCGGCAGCAACACUCUCUUCAUCGUUGACGUGAUCAUCAAGCACAUGAUCAAGCGUUACGAGGCCUUAGGCUACGAUGAGCCACCGGAGUUUUCAGCAUUUUUCUCUGAUCUCCCCUCCAACGACUUCAACACUCUUUUUCAGCUCCUCCCACCCUACGGCGGUAGCAUGGAGGAGUGCCUCGCUUCCGACAGCCACCGCUCCUAUUUUGCUGCGGGAGUUCCUGGUUCAUUUUACCGCCGCCUCUUCCCUGCUAGAUCAGUUGAUUUCUUUUACUCUGCGUUUUCCCUGCACUGGCUUUCUCAGGUAGUUAUUUCUCAUAUGACCCCCUUUUUUUUUUCAAAGUUACAAGAAGAAGAAGAAGAAGAAGUACCUUUUGAUGCGCAACCUUUACUGUACGUAGACUUUCAUGAGCAGGACAACAUGAUUCAUAGUUGAUUAAACAGCAAAUGAAAUAUUUUAGGAAAAAGGUUCAUAAUACUGCUGCCUAAUUAGACUAACUAAUAAUAGUAGUGAUUGUUUAAGAAAACUUCGUUUGUUUUAUUCUCGAAUCCCGAUGAUGAUUUGCAGUUUAAUUAUGACACUAAACCAGAUUGAUUAUACUAAGUGAAGUAAUCAAAACGUAGGCAUUUGCUUUAGCUUGUUAACGAUCGAAACGUAGCGUCUGAUUUACUUUGAGAAGGUCAAAAAGUAAAAAAGUAGGGUAAUAAUUAUAAUGCCCCUUGGCUCUAAUCAAACUUCAAAACCGCCUUUCAAAGACUUGCUGAAUCCAUCUUCGACCCUUUUGAUUCCAUUAUUGUAGGGUAGCAUAUGGUAUCAGUUUAUGAAAUAUUGCCUUUUGGGCAAAUAACUUUCUUUUGGUUUCAACAAAAUCCCCUUCUUCCAUGUUCAAUUGUAAGUUCCCAAAACACGCCUUCAAAUGUUCAUAUAAAUAAUAAUAAUAUUGUUCAAAAAUAAAUAAAAAAGGAGAAAGAAUUGUUGACAAAUUAUUAUGAGGAGUCAGAGGGAGGUCAUUGACGUUAAAUUACUCCUACUUGAUAGGACAGAGAGUCAAAUGAAAGAUUUGAAAAAGCUUAGCUAGUGGCUAUAUAAAGUUGGUUUGAGAAAGAACAAGUAUCAUAAGAUGACAAAUCAUGGGCUAAUUAGUCAAUCCUCCUCUUUCGGUUUCGGAAGUGCUAAUUAAUAAUUACCGCUGGCUAUUGUGGAUUAGCUGCAGUAGUGUAUUAUAGGGUGGCAAGUCAAGUCAUCACAAACAGGAAUGUAUAACUGCAGGUGCCGGAUGCUGUGGUGGACAAUAGAUCAGCGGCUUACAACAAAGGAAGAAUAUUCAUCCACGGUGCAAGCGAGAUCACAGCAGACGCCUAUAGAAAGCAGUUCCAGACGGAUUUAGCCGGUUUCCUCAGGUCAAGAUCACUGGAAAUGAAGAGGGGCGGGUCAAUGUUCUUGGCCUGUUUAGGCAAAACUUCACUCGACCCCACAGACCAAGGUGGGGCAGGGCUUCUUUUUGGGGCUGAUUUUCAAGAUGCCUGGGAUGAUCUUGUCCGAGAGGUAAUCAUAACAACAAAUCAUCAUCAUUAUUACUCCUAUUUAGGAUAAUUUGUUUGGUUUAGAAAAACAUUAAUUCAUGCCCUCGAAUCGAAUGGUAAUUACUAAUUACUUACUGCACCUAGUUACUGCAUGCAUACAUAAUCUGGUAUCCUAAUCUUUCGAGGAGGAGGAGGAGGAGGCAUCACAUCAAUGAUCAAUCUCUCUCUCUCCCCAGUACUUACUUACAUUUUGCUGCGUUGGCGAUGAAUGGAACAGGGUUUAAUCACGAGCGAGAAAAGGGACAAGUUCAACAUUCCGGUGUACGCGCCGAGCCUGCAAGACUUCAAGGAGGUAGUGGAAGCCGAUGGGUCGUUUGUGAUAAACAAGCUGGAAGUAUUCAAAGGAGGAAGCCCGCUGGUGGUGAAUCACCCAGAUGAUGCGGCUGAGGUGGGCCGAGCCUUAGCCAACAGCUGCAGGAGCAUCAGUGGAGUCCUAGUCGAUGCCCACUUAGGCGAUCAGCUCAGCGAGGAGCUGUUCUCCCGUGUCCAGCGCCGAGCCACAAGCCACGCUAAAGACAUACUAGAACACCUCCAAUUCUUUCAUAUAAUUGCCUCUCUUUCUCUGGCUAUAUAGUCUAAAAUUGCAAAAAAGGCAGAUAUAUAUAUAUUAUUAUUAUUAUAUAGAGGAGGUGGAUGGAGGAUCUUGUACUUCCACUUCCUGGCUAUAUAUAUAUAUGUGUGUGUAUGCAUAUAGGGACUGUUUGUUUGCACCUGUCAAGUUAUAAUAAUUUUUUCUUUUCUUAUAUAUAUAUAUAUAUAUAUUUAUAUAUAUUGCUGGUUUCGUGUUUCCUUUUUUUUUUCUGGGGAAUUAGUGAAUAAGUUUUCUCUUUUCUUAAUUUGGAAAUACAGUUUAAAAAAAAUCACUUCAUUAAGUAAAUAAAGUGAUUGAAACUUCCUUCAGGCUUCAACUCAAUUAUAUAUCAACAGGAGGACAGCUGAGCCUCACAAUUGUAGUGCCAAGAAAAGCUUCAGAGAAUACAUUUAUUUGUAUGUAGAGUACAUUGGCAUAAUCUCCCAUAUUGAAAUAUUAUUGCUUGCUUAUGUACGCUGCUCACUGGAUUUGGAGAGAGGAAACAGCCGACAUGGUUUUCAGCCCGAAAGGAAAAGCAAAAUGAGAGGAAAAAAAAAAAGUAAAAAAGUUGUGAGAGUCAAUGAGGUGUGGAUCCAUCUUAUCCAACAUUGUGUUAAUCAAAUCACCUUUAAUUAACAUCGUAAUGGAAUCUAUUGGAUGGCUCCUUUUACCGUGAAACAACAACAAUUAUAGCGCUUUUGUGGAAACUUUCCACAGUUGGAAUGCCUGUUUAGUCUUUCUUUUUUCUUGUAUACGUUCCGUCAGUUCUCCAAAACCGAGACUGCCUUUGUCUAAUACCUAGACUUCAACUAAACCCGAUCAAAAUCAGCAAAGGACAUAUGCAGCAGCGUUCCCUGUCCCUGCCCUGCGUGCAUGUCCAAUCUUUCAUGGUUCAUUAUGUGAAGACUUCUUCAUUGAUCCAUACGAUUCAAGGUUCCAACUCAAAACACUUCGAUGCCUAUAUCAGAUCAAGCCCCUACUGUAAAGUCAUACAAAAUUGCCCAAAACACGACAUUGCUAAAUCCCUGUCAAGGCAGCCGUGCACCAUCACUCCGAAUCUCCAACUCCAGCCAUCCUUCUUUCCAACACCCAUCAGCGUUGCUAAAUCAUUACUGCCAUUACACACUUAAUUUCAAGGUAUAUAAUCACAUAAAGUUAAAAAAAAAAAAAAAGACUUUCCCCCUGGAGAAGAAGAAGAGAAAAAAAGAAAAAGAGUACGUAAGGUAAGGUUGAGGAAAAUUCGGAUGCAAGUGUAAGAAUAGCGUUACAUAAUCUCCAAACAUUCUCAUACAUGAGCCAAUGCUGGUCGUCUAAAACUCACCUUCUUCUUCAACUUCCCACUCUGGGUUCGGCAGAACGAGGAAUCUCCGAUCUCUCCUCCAUCAACUCUAUCAAAUUUCAUCGAAGAUGAUCUCUCAAGCACGGAAUUCUCUCUAGGAAUUAGGUAAGCAGCCUUCGUCAUUAGCUGUAUGAUCAAGCGAUGGAUAGAUAGACCCUCUUGUUGGCUUGCUUAGAGAGGUCAAACUGAUGGUGAUCGCCUGCUUCCUUACCGCGACUUAAGCAAGGUGAUGCUAAAAUCCAUUCCUCCAGAGUUACCAACUGCACUUUAUUCUUUGACCCAUGAUACUUCUUUUCUUGAGCGGAUGGGACUCCUUCUUCUCUCCCCUUUUCUGUGUUGUGCUUCCGCCUAGGCAUCCUUGCUUCACAAAAUUGAUUAUGCAUGCUGCUAAACCAACUUCAGAUUCUUGUUUAGAUGAUCCUCUGGCAUUCUUCUCGCGAAAACCUUUAAGAUUUGAUUUCAUACUAUUUUCCGCUCAAAUAAUUAAUGUCGCACCUAAUAUUCGUGAAAAAAAAAAAAAUAACUCAAGGAAAUUAAUGAGAUGGUUUUGAUUGCAGGAUGACGAAGAAUAUAAAACGGAACUCGGGCCAAGAGGGAACCAUUUUUCAUAGGCAGAAACGUUCAUUAUUAGGAUUGAUUCUGAACCUCCAUUUUGUUAUCCAUCGGUUGUCCCCAAGCAAAGCAAAUAUUAUUCAGAUUCCUCUGUGGAUAAUUUUCGGUACUAUUUCUACGAUACAAGAAAAACCUCGUCGCUCCCGUGAGUUACGUCCAAACAAUCCAGAGCCUUUGAAUUGUUCUUCAAAAUCAGACGAAAACAAUUGUCAUGCGUCUUCGCAUGCGGCCUUGUUCUAGAACAGAACUAGCAUUGUACAGUGGGUACGUAUAUAGUGCUAAGCCAAGAGAGCUUUGUGCUGUUAAUGUUAGUGAAGCAUUGGCACACUUCUACAAAGGACUUCAAGAAUGUGGCAUCAACUAUAAAGAAAUCAAGAUUCAUAAGCUUCCUUCUAUAGGUAAAAAGUUAAUCCAGCCACAGCGUUCUCUCGUUUGGAUUGUAGUUUUCUACAGAAAUAUUUUAAUUAUGUUUCACGAACACAUUUUUUUAAUUAUAUUUUCUAUCUCACAUAUAUUAAAUUAUUAUAAUAUUUUUUUACCUCUUCUACAGAAACUUUCAUUACCUCUUCCUCUACCCCCAGGCCCACCCCAGAAGAACGGCAGAAAAAAGAAAAACUGGUAUCUUAUUAUUGGAAACCAUUCCUUGGAAUCUCGAAGAUUAAAAAAAUCAAUUUCCUAUGAGGUUUCCCGAAGGUCACUAAUUGCUAAUUUUAGCGAGACAUAUACACUUUCGAUUUCCAGUUACGGUAAUAGAGAUAUGAAGCCUGUUGAAUUAAUUAGAAGACCGAGCUACCAAGAACCAAAUUAAAAGACUUGACAACUGAGAUGCACAAUCCUACAAACUACUACGAGAAGAUCGCAGGGUCGGUCGGAUCAUAAAAUUUGUUACUACGCCGUUUUAAUCGCAGAAGCAUCUGAAAACUUCUAAUUAUACCUUCUUAUAUUUCAAAAAGAACAAAUCGUAAGGUUUUUUCCUUGUAAACUGCGUAUUUAUUUUGCCCUCCAAAUCCCUGAACUAAAAGGAUCUAAAUAAAUACUCGCAAAUCUGCUUUUAAUUAUGGUGCUGGCUGCAGACAGCAAGGAUUCCAACCAACGCAUCGUCUUAAAAAAAAAAGGUACAUACCUAAUGGUCGGAAGAUAAAAGCAUCAAUUUUUCGGUGCGUUCAGCAAUUUUGUUACAAAAGCACUACAGUUGGUACACAUUAGACAUGGGGUGUGAGAAAUGUGGGAUGGGAAGGGAAGGUUACUGAAGGUCCAUAGCACGGGGCAUUUCUUCAAUGACGCACAAAUUUCUUAAUGCACAACCAACUUCCAAACCAGCAAGUGUACAAAAUCCAAUAACUUCUCAAUAACUGAUACCCAUCUUUACAAGUAAACAAGAGAAGAAGCUGGCCAUAAAAGGAACAUCACCAAAGCAAAUAUCCAAAUAAAGAAUUCAGUGACCAGCAGAUGGAAGUGUUAAUAACUCAAGUGACUUCUUAAGGAAAUCCACAGCAACAGAAACCUCAUCAAAUGCCAAGGCUCCAACUGCAAAUCUUGCAGCCUUGUGUGCUUCAGCAAUCUUUUCAGGCGGAGGCUGGUAACUGCUGUCAUAGUGAUAUGUUUGUGCAGCAGUUAUUUUAGGCUUCUGAAACACUCCCAUUUCCACCAGGUGAAUUAUACUGUGUACCUGAUGCAUAAUUGGUGGUACUAGGAGCUGAUGUUGUAGAAUAGGAAGCAUCAGAGCCUUGAUAUUGUGAAGGAUAAUGAGAUGGAGCAGUGGGAAGGCUACUCUCAGUAAAACUAGGAUAAGACUGAAAAUGGGGAUAUGAGUAAGAGGGAACAUCAUGUGAAGGAUAGUGCUGCUGGGCUUCAUGUCGGUAUGCUUGUUGAUGAUAGAAUUGGGAAUAAUUUUCAGAUCCGUUGGUUGAAGGAGGCUGAUGGAAAGUAUGUGUAGGAUAAUCAUCAGCAGGAUAAGGAGAUGGAGGUAAAUUUGACGAAGGUGAUGCCACUAGGUUGGAAGGGGGAGGAAUAUUUGCAGAAUGGUGGAAGUUAACUGUGUCAUAUGUUUGAGGAGACGAAUCUGACUCAAAUGUAGGUCUCGUAGCAGCAUCACUUCCCGGUUGAGGUGGAUAAUCGGCUCCGGUUGGGGUCUAAUAGCGGUAUCACUUCUCAGUUCAAUGUCCUGGAAAGGCACAUCAGUUCUUCUCUGUUCAACGUCCUGAAGUGCUGGGUCAGUACUUCUUGAUUCAAGGUCCUGAAAAAAGCAAGGUCAGCAUCAUUAGCCUGCACACCAACUCAAUUGCCCCAAAAAGAAGUUCAAAUCAGCUUUUGGAUUUCUUCAUGCUACUUCACAAAAUAGUAUGUCUAGCCUUGAGCCAGAAAUUCAUGCAUAACUCAAAAUCCCAGGCGCAUAAUAACCAACUUAGUGAUCCAUUACUUAAUCUUUAAAAGAAAAAAAUGGAAGAGGAAGAAGAUAUACAGCAGAACUAAGAGGGGAUUUCCAAACUUAGAAGUAAAUGAUUUCCCAUGAUAGCUUGAGAAACCCAAACUCUGCCUAUCUCAUUCUAGUGGUCCCUACUUCUUAAUGAAUAAAGUUUCAACUUGCCUCUAGGCCACAUUGAUUGCAACAACUAAAGAUAUACAAUAGGGAUUGAGGUCAUACGUAUUCACCACUUGAUGUACUUGGUGGCACAGACAAGUCCUUCUCACCCCCAGGAGGACCUGGUACAGGUUUCCUUCCUUCUUUCAAAGCUUUCCUGAUAUCUGCUGCUUUCCAGGCCGCAUAUUUCUGCUUCUGUUCAAGCUGAUAAAAAGAAGUGAUCAAGCAAAUUCAACAGUGUUAGCACAUAGAUCAUAAAAUUACCUUCAAAUGUAAACAAUCACGGAUGAACAAACAAAAUGAACAAACAAAACUAUCAAAAUUUUUCAUCAGAAACUCACAUCAGGCUGAAGUUCACCAAACUGGUUGAUUAUUUCAAAGAAAAUGCUAGCAGCAUAAAAAGUCUUUGCAGUGUUCCUGUAGGAGAUGUAGCAAAUUAUACUGUUUACAGACAUAUUGUGUAGAUUGACAAUGUGGAAUUGACAAAAUCUUGAGGAACUAUUGACAGAAAACCAAAUUUCAUUGACGAACAAAGAAGAUGACAUUUAUGCCACAUUAACUAAAUGCCAUAAAAGGCAAGUAAGAAGCUGAUCAGCCAAGCAUGAAUGCAACCCUAUAUGUGUAUGUGUUUUCUAAAGCCACAAUCAUCAAAAGCAAACUUCCUAAGCAAAAAAUAGCUAAUACAUAUUCAUCACACCAAGACAUACAUUUUUUCACAAGAAAACAACAAAAUCAGUAAAUCUAGCUGGGAUGAUUGGCAUGAGUCAUAAAAAAAAAGUAUAAAAAUGUCUAAGAAACAAUUAUCGCAUAACCAUAUCAAGUGGGACGACUAUAUUAACUCUCAUCAAUAAGCCACUAUAGCUUAAAAUUGGAUUCCAGAACUUCAUGUAUAUGAGGUUAUAGAAAAAAUAACAGGUAUGUUCUCACUACAAAGCUGAAGAAAGCAAUGUGACAAAGUGACUGCUUGCAUGCACGACAAAUACAAGUUCAAUUACCUAAGUAAAACUUCAGGUCUGAUAUUCUAAGAAAAGCUAGCUCUUUCUCAUAAUCAGAAAACAAUAAAAUGAAUACUUCAAGAGACACAUGGUUACACAUGACAGCCUCAAGCUCAACAGUAACGAAUCCAGCGAUUUUAAUACUUGAAGCAUUGACCAGAAGCCACAGAUCAGACCUUGGCCUAAAAAUACAUUAAGCAUAAUAUGAAGAUCAUAUCACUGCCUAGAUUAAAGAGGUGCAGUGGAAGCAAAGUAUCAUACAGGUCAGCUUUUCCAGCACGAUCCUGCUUGUCUGCCUUAGAAAACACAUUCAUGGCAAAUCCCUCAAGGUGUAAAUGAUCAUCAGGCCCCAGCUGCAGUGACUUUUUGUCCUGUACCAAAAAGGGCAGAAGAUAGGAAAGAAACUACCUGUAGUAAGAGAUUUUCUUCUUCCUGAAAGUUUAACCAACUUCUGAAGUAUGGCAGUAGGAAUAUUAAUGAAAGACGAACAAUCCCUCAGAGAUAUGAAAGAUUCAAUCAUUUUCUUUUGUACAUAACAACAAAGUCCAUCACUUCCAAAACCAAAUAAAAAACUUUAAAAAAAUUAAAGAAAAAAGGGUAUUAUUUUUUAAGAGAAGCUUGAUCCUGAUACACGUAACAUACAUCAUCAACUAAUUGCAUAAACAUUCUCACGAAGAAUCUAUAAAAGCAAAGUUAGAAAGAGAGAUAACCAACAAAAAAGCUCCAACAAGACUCCAAAAUGGAGUAUCGUCAUCAUAUAAUAUCUCUCAAAUGAUCGGCUUUGUACCAAAAGAAUAUAUAGAAAAAAUAUAAAAGAAAGGGGAAAGUAAAAACCUUCUCAAGUUGUUUCAUGAGGGAAACGAGGAGAGAGUUGGUGGUCUUAGUACGCUCGCUCUGGGGGAUCUUCAAUCCUCGUUCCAUCGCAUAUAAUCGACCUAACAACCAAAAGACGUCGAAUUUCCGAAAUCAGCAAAUAGCAAAAGUUAGGGUUUAAGUAAAGUACUAAUCUGAUUGCAUAAUCAGCACAAUAAUACAAGCACAUCACUAUUUGAACUUAAAAAUUAAAAAAUAUAUAUAUGCACGAUGAUGAAAGAAUUAUAGAAUAUGAUCGUACAAUAGUAAGCAACGAGGGGUUCGUGCUUCUGCAAUUCAUCGGCUCGUUGAAGAUAAGGCAAUAACAGCUUUGCUGGUUCGUUUUCCCCUGCCAUCUUUGCUCUUCUCAACUCGCACACAAAGCGUCUUCAAUUUUGAUGUAAGAAGUUUCCUUUCUUUUCUAACCUUUUGCUAAAUUGGUUGCCUCGUAGACGUUUAUGUAAUUAUUUGCACCGAAAGAUGGCGAUGGCGUGUGGGGUGCUAAAUGUCUCUCUGCCUCUUUGGGUCGAGAAACUUGAGAAUGAUUAGAAAGGAAAGAAAAAAAUGUUACAGUUCAAAUGCCCCACAUUUCUUCUAUGUGUUACAAAUUAUAAAAUAUUUCCAGCAAUUUUUUUUUUUUUUUAUGUUUCGAUCAUCUUUUUGUUUCAGAUAGCAAAUCAUAAAAAAAUAUUAUAAUAUUAUUUCAAAUAAUACUCAAUCCAAACACAUUAUUCUUUUAUCUAACCAAACUCAAGUUAAAUCUAAGAGCCAAUCAAUAUUAAACCUUGUCUUACCUUAAUUUGAUUAUUAAUGAAUAAACUAACAAGCUUAAUUCAUAUUUCACAAAAAACCCCCCUCCCCCCCCCCCCACAGUUUACAAAUUAAUUUUUUCUUGAUUAACAGUGUAAUGAUUUAUUCUUUCACCCUAAUAUUUAUAGAUAUAUAUCGCAUGUUCAAAUUUUAAACUUGAAUAAAAAUACUUAUUAUGCAUCCAAACUUGAGAAAAUUAUUUGUAUGUAUAUCAUAUGUUCAAAUUUUAAACUUGCAAAGAAUUAUUUCUUGUUAUGCAUCUAAAUUGGACGAAAUCCUAUAGUCCGUUUAGAAUAUUAUUCUCUCAAUAUAUAUUCAUCAGUGAUGAUAUUGAUUUAUUUAUGAACUUGUUAACGUAAAUGUUAAGAACACUUAUUUCAUUGUUGAUUUAUUUAUAAACUUGUUAUAACCUAAGAGUCAAGAACACUUAUUUCAUUACCCAAAGAAAUUUUAGAAUCUCCCCAAAAUUUAUUAGCAAAAAACAAAAAUUUAUCCAAACAAUUAUAUUCUUGAAUUGACUUGGGUAAUCUUUUUAGAAAGAAAAGAUUGACAUUUUAUCAAUAAUAACUCAAUAUUUUGAUUUUUUUUUGUCAAAAAUAGUUUUUAUUUCCAACAAAAUCUACAAACACACCAACACAACAUAAUCACCUCUUUCUCCACCACCACCACCACACUCUCACUCCUCCCAACUACCACCAUCGAAAUAAGCCCCUUUCUCUUCACUUCUCCCCCUCCCCCUCUCUCAUCCAAAAACCCACGCCUAUGGCUGCACCUCUGCCAUCAUCGCCACCUCUACUUCCUUCAUCCACUCUUUCCUCCACUUUUCUCCUUCACCUCCCUUUCCCUUGUUCCUUUUUUUUCCACAUUUCCCUUCUUCCUUCUCCUUUUCCAUUCCGCUUUUCUUCUUUUUCCUCCAUCCAACCAUGACUGAUCUGGUCUAGAUUGUGGAUGGUGGGCGAAGAAUAGGAGGAAAGAAAGGGAAAGGAAGAAAGGAGCAAGGACAAAAGAUAGGGAAGGGAGUAGGGAGGGAUAGCGGUGAAAGAGGGCAAUAGUGAUGGAUAGGUCAUCUACGGGGUGCAAGGAGUAGGUAGGGGGAGGGGCAGAGAAGGGAACGAAGAAAAUAUCGCAAAAAAAAAAAAAGCCAAAAAACCACACACCUUCUAACCGUCUAUAACAAUUAUUUUUCUACACUGAAGUUCAAUAAAAACACCCACUCCGACGGACUGUUGUUAAGAAGUAAAAGUUACUAUUACAGCCCCAAACGAAAAAUGCACGAAUAAUUCAUAAUGAUCGAAAAAAACAUAUUAAUUUCUAUCUUUGUGAUUGUCUUCAUCCAGGACAACAUAUUACGCAAUUGCGGAAGAGAGCUGAAAACAGCCAGUUAUAUCAGAUACGCCAAGUCACCCAGGAUGUCGAGUAAUUUUGACCCAAAAAAAAAAUAGAAAAGGGCAUGACAAGGUUCCUACUCUGGACUACAACUAGAAAAUUUUCAAUAAACUAUUAUGAGAACCGAUACAUGUACUUGUAAAAGCUAUAAUUUCUAGCCCAAAAGAAAACCAAAUUAAAAGAACUACAGAUUGUACACGAACUGAAUAUUCCACCAUUAGUUGUCCCGGGGCCUCUGCUGCCACCACCACCUGUUCAUAAGCCCACAACUUACAAUCAGCUGCAGACAAAUCAAAGAGGAACCGGUAUUCUAGUUUUAGAUAAAGUUUCAAGUACUUCUUUCUGACAGCUUAGGCCUAAGUCCCCAUGUCCAUUACUUCAGAAGAAUGCAAACAAAAUAUUACUCAUCAAUAGUCUGGAUUUUUCAAUGGCCAAUGUUGUCAGGGCAGAAAGGGGAAGAAGCAGGGGGGGUGGGGUGGGGAAUUGCUUGGAUAAGUUGGCCUGGCACUCACAAUGUUAGGCAUUUGUGAUAGAAGGGCACAAUAAAAGACACUGGAGCAGAAUUGCGACCAAACUUUUCAUCAGACCAAAAAGAUGCUUAUAUUGCCAAUACUUGACAUGCAAGCCGAAUCUACGUAACCAAAAUGCUGGAUUUAGGUUGUAAAUCAAAUUACUCUUACAAAGGAACAUGAAAGAUUAUAUCGCCAGAAUACCAAACCCAACAGCCUAAACCCUACACCCCCUCCCCAUCCACUGCCGUGAACCCCUCCUGGCAGGGAAAAAGGAACUGGGAGAUGUUUUACCUGAAGAAAGUCUAGUAGAGGGUAGCUGCAUCCAAAGCCCAAGGACAUUGACACCCAAAAUGAUUGGUAAUUGACUGAUUAGCAGUUAACAUCACGAAACAGCCCUUUUGGUUCAUCAUAAAUCCAUCUGCCAAAAGUUUAAGAAUUAAUCAGAGACCAAAACAAGGCAACAAGGACAAAAACAGCAAUAAUCGGUGGUGCAAGUGUCAAUGACAAUAGGUUUUCCCUCCUGUAAUAAGUGUUAUGUUAAAUUUCAAGAUUCUGACCCGAAGCAUCCAGCAUCAACAAUAGAACAGCCACAAUUUGCUUGGCUUUAAAUUUGACAAAGCAGUCCAAUAUAUUGAUCAGUAUUCCUGAAAAUUAUAGGUACUAGUGUACAUAUAUGCACAAAUAUAGUUCCCCCAGCACAAACCAUUUUAUCCGAUCUCUUAAUGCUGGAUAUCUACAUCAAUUUCCUCACUCCAAGCACUUAUACUCACACAUACAAUGCAUACAGAGAAAGAGACAACAGACACAGGAGGGACUCCUAGACAGUUCAUGGCAUGAGAAGGUGGCUCUUCGUAUGGACACAACAAAGAUUUUUAAUCAAAGAAAAUAAAUGUUUCACUGCUAAACCAUUUCAAUUUCAGACAUUUAAAAAUUAAAGAAUUAAAGAGAGCUAGAAUUUUUGUCAGACAAAAAUAAAAAUAGAUGCAUCAAUACUCAUAACAAGCUUCGUAUAAUAGAGAUACACGUACUGGAAGAAUAGAUGAGAAAGUCAAAAGGUGCUAACAGAGAUAUUUCACAAUCAUAGACCUUUGACAGAAGAUUAGUGCAUGAUUAAACAAUAAAACUAUGUAGCAACAUACUUGCAUACGUAAAGUGGCUGUAAACUCUCAUUCGGCCUUUUCCUCCAUUGGUUCUCUUUUCUUUUUCUUCAAUGAAUCUUCCAGGAGGAAGAACUUCACAAAGGCCUUGUACCAAGCCAGCCAUUACUGUGCAACUAAUAGUAGACUCAUAGACCUACAGAGAGCAAGACGGAAGUUAAGGAGUUGAGCAUACAUUAACUAGUAAAGUAAACAUGUCAACCAGACAUGCAAGGGCCAAAUUGUCUAGCUAAAUUGUAAAUUCAUAAAGCAGAGAACUAGUUCUUGAUUUUCCUUUAUCAAAAUUUUCUGAGCUGUUAAACUUUAAUCACUCCAAUGACAUGAUUUUCUCAAGUAACAAGUGAAACUUUUAAGUAGUUAAUUUUGUUCAUGCCCAAUCCAUUCUCUUCUUCAUCGAUAAAACACUUGAAAUUAAAAAUCCAACUCCAGACCGCAAUAGAACCACCACCAUCGAAUUCUCCAUCAAUUGUAAAGUUCUUGACAAGUUCCUUAGGCUUAUCAAUUUACAAUUAAUGCAUCUUCAAUUUACCCUAAAGCCCACUAUAUAUCAGACAGACCGUAACUUUAUUCAUUUUACAUUUGGUGAUAUUGGCUAAUACUCUGCCAUCCAAUCAUUACACAACAUGAUUUAGAAAAAGCACAAGGAAAGCUUCUCAUUAGGUAAAACUUUUGGUGUACUCUCCAGUCAAUUGUCGCCUGGGAACCUGAAAGCUUAACCAACCAAUUUCUUCCACAUUUCUAAUUUUUAAUAAGGUGUUUGAACAUUAUAUCUUGUCUCAAAGUCUGUCAACUAUAUCUACAGAAACCUUGUUCAAUUUAUUAGCAUCUUCUAAUGGAUAAAAGUAAUUAAGGAAGAUGCUAGCCAAUAGGAACUGAAAGCUUGUAACUGGGUCAGCACGGGAAAAAAUUAACAUAACAGAUAAUAAAUGCAUGGAAAUAAAAGCUAAAAUUCACCUCACUGCUUUCCAGGCCACAAGGACGGCCAACGGCUUGUGGCAAAUCAGCAGGAAAGUAGCACUUAUUGACACUCACCCACCUAGUUUUCAUCUUAAUAUCCUCCCACAUGGCCUGCAAAGGGAAAACAAGGCAAUCCAAUCAAAAAGAUCACCAAUAAUUAUUUGCUAUUUCACGUCUUUUCUUUUUCACUUUUUUGUACUCCAUUAAGGUCAGGGAUUAACUUGUUUCAAAAAGCAACCUUCUACUUUUACCAAGUACAUAGCAGUUCUAGUGCAGAGCUGAGGGAAGUGGCAACUCAGAAAUUGAGAGCAAAUGAGAUGAAAAAUAUCAAAAGAAUAAUGUCAACCACUCAUAGGACAAAUAUCAGGGCAACGGACAGACCUAGCUGGUACAUGCAGUUUUUAAAUUUAGAAUAAUGUCAACCACUCAUAGGGUAGAAUCAAGCAUCCCUAUGAUUGCUUUCUGCCCAUCAGCUAUAAAGUAAUUUGUGGAUUAGUAUAUGAAACUUGCAAAACAUUUAGGUGUCCCACAAGACCUGAAUUAUCCUAUAUUAGUACCUGAAGUUUUGACGGAAUCAAUCUAUCAUUGAAUUGAAUAAGAACAUGAUCAUGGAGUUUGUAGACAACUCCUCUAAUGCAGCAAGACUGGUAGAAAGCUUUCUCCUCAUCGACUUUAAGUAUACCGCCGAUCCAAUCCACAUUGUGUACAUAAUCUGGUAGAAACUUUCCAUGCUCUGCAAGUCCAGAACUGGCUGCAGAAGUUUCAGCAGGAAUAGCUCGCACAGUCCCUUGAUCAUUUUGUGAAGAUUGCUGCAACAGAACAGCACUAUUUGGUGCCCCUGGCUGGCGAUUAUCUUCUGCGUUGCCAGGGGACUGCGACGGAGAAGAGAAACUAAGAACUGUCUCAGAUUUUAAAGGAGUCUGUGAAUUCGACUCUAGCAGUUUCUCUUCACACAGGCCUUUAACUGAUGACAAAGUAGGAGAAACAGAGACUGGACAGGAGGCUUCUGUUAGAUUAUUUAAAGAAAUUCGUGAAGAUGACUUGUCAUCCAUCUUUCCUUUGCCAACAAUAGUAUUCCCUCGUAUUUCGGUUGUAUUUUCCACCUUCAAUGCAGAUGUUGGAUCGCUAUGACCACUUACUCUAUUACCAGUAGAGGCCCUUUGACUUGCAGCAUUCCCAUUAACCAUUAUCUUCUGCUGGUUCACCUUCACAUCUAGAGCGGCUGCUUUCUUAUCUGGAGUUGAUGGGAGAGCAGCUGCACUAGAAGGCACUUUGGGAACAUUAUUGUUUCUCAUGACACGACCAUAUUUAGGGGGCAAGCCUUUCCCAUUGCUUAACUGCAAGCAUUUUACACAGUGCCACUCUGCUCUAGGAAUUCCUUUUGGAUUAUUUAUGUGGAGACAUUUCAAGUGAUAACCCUUCUCACAAGCAUCACAAACAAGAACACUGUCCACAUCAUUUAUGGUAGACUUGCAUGUUUGGCAAGUCGAAGCCUUGUUCAUGUAAUCCCUGGACGGUGGAGUCCAGACAGGGCGCUCAGAAACCCGUGGCUGUAAUAACUUUUGAACAAUUUUACCAAUUUCAGCAUGGGUAUUUCUUGGUAUGGGAGCCGGAAUAGUGUUUGUGCCUUGCAAAUGCUGAUUUACACCAACUGCAUGAUUUCCAGUUGUAAUCUGAGUUACUGGUGGUUUUGAUAUUGCAAUUUGUGGGCCUAUUCUGGACUUGGCAUCAGUUGCUCCCUCAACUUUAACGGUAGCUUUCGCAGGCACCUUCUCAGCUCCAAUUUUAGGGGGUGCGGUGUAGAUUGGGGUUGCAGAGACCAAGCUGGCGUUUUGACAGAGGGCUGAUCCCCAGAAGAAUUUGCUGCACAUCAAAAGAACAUGACACAUCAUUUUACAAUGCUAUGGAAAUUGGUGACCUGAUAGUUCACCACAGAGAUCAGUACAAUUAAGACCAACCAUUUUCCAGGGAAGACUUUGUUUCUGAAGUUCCAUUAAUAGAGCACCAAAGACAUCUUAUUCACAAACAGAAAUCCUACGUAAAGAUUUUUGUGAAUCCAGGAAAGUUAUUAAGGUACAAAUACCAGAAACCACUUCUAGACAUAAAAGCCAGAUGUUUGCAAGGGCAUCAGCUAGAAAAUCCAACAACCAAGUAUGCAUAGUUAAAGCAAAUUCAAUACUUACUCUGUGCAAGGGUCUGCUUAGUCUACUUGAUAAUAUAUAUGUUGAGAGCAAUGCACAACCCAAAUAGUAUACAGCACAUUCAACUCAGAAAAGAAUUGCUUUUGUAGAUAUCAGGUAAUUAAUUGCAAAAGUACCUAUCACUAAUCAUUCCUCGAUUAAAACAAGGAAGUGAUUGCUACCUUGCACUUGUGAUGUUGGCAAAGAUCCAUUUGGUCUUCCAUCCAACCUGAAUCUUUCAAUCCUAGGCAAUGCAACUGGAGUAGCAUCCCUUGCCAUAUUACUGGAGGGCAAUCCACUGGGAGUUGUUGGUCUUACUUCACUUGUAGGUAGCUGAUAUGGUAAAGAUGUCAAUGUUGUACCAGCUACAUGACCUAGAGGUGAAGGUUGGAAGCUUCCAGAAGAAAUUGGUAUAUGACUAGGUUUAUCUGUGGCAAAAACACGGCCAGCAGGGGUGGAGCACGAUUUUCAACCGCCACACCAGACUUUGUAUGCAAUCUUUGCGAUGAGUGUUGAGCAGAAGGUAGAGUAAAGUCCUCAGCUUUUUCCAUCUAAAGGUGCAGCCAAAAACAAGGAAGAUUAUGCACAAGAUAAGAAAAAUAUGUAAACCAAGAUCUGUAAACAGCAUUCUACAACCAUGUAAGUGAUCAAUUAAUGCUGCAAACAUCAGAAUCCAAUUCUGACACUGCUUAGAAAAGAGAAACCCUAUGCUGAUAAUAUCAAAAGAAACUGUUAAUCAUAAUAAGAAAAAAUAAUUACAGUCAAAAAGCUAUCAAAUAAUAGCACACACACAAGAUAUUAGCGCCUAACUGAGUACCCUUCAGUUAAUACAUCAAACAAAAAAUAAACAUCUUAGAAGAAAAUUUAAAAAAAAAAAAGCAAAAUAAGUUUGAUCUUCUAAGCCAAAUAAUUUUCAACAGAAGGUGCUAAAGUUGAGACCUCAAAGAAAAUACUUUAACCACAGGAAAUCAGUUCAAGGACAACAGAAUUACCAAGUAUCUCAAUUUUUCAAAGUUCAGCAUAUUCAGGAACUUAUACUAUGAACUAAUAGUACCAGAAAUAAAAAGAGUAAUUGGCUGCAAUGUGCAUUUAAUUACACCCGACAAACAAGUAAAAUACAAUAAUUGUUUUUUACACUCGAUUAUGAAUACCCACCGCCAGAAGGAUUAACAUUUACACCGGGUAAACUAAAAGUGUUUGUAACGUGUUGAGAUAGCAUGAAACUAAGGAAAGCUAAUAAUGACGGCAUGCAAACACAUGGAUGUGCAUUCUUAUGCCCGUUAAAUGUUCGCUACAUGGAACAACUACACGUUUUAUUCAAAUACAUCCAUAUUCUAACUCGGCACAUGGAUCCACAAAUACAGCUAAAAGUCAAUUCUUAGAAAUCGAGCAAGUAAAUGAGCAAGCAGAACUUUAGUAGCCUAAAUUUGUCAUCUACAAGCCAUCUACUUUUCUCAACGACAGUAUUUUCCCCUAAUGACAAAAGAAGAUAACUGCAUCAUAAAAGGACUUCAAUGUAAAUAACAAGCACUGCCUUCCCGCCUAUAAUUUGACUUUUCAAAUUUUCCUUUUUAGCGGUAUCGUCUUGUAAAAAGUUGUUUAAGCCAAUGGAUUGGACAACUACUCACAUGGACAUUCACACAAGCUUUCUAUAACAGAACUAAUCAUGGCUUUGCAAUACUAGUUGAAGAAUACAGAUUAUCUGAUUAGCCAUAAAGACUAGUAGAUUUCUUGUUCGGAAAAUCACUGCCAAAUUCUUCAGUGCAAGUUCUCACCACAACCCAUCGUUUAAAUGAACAUUCUCUUUACAGCCCAGAAAGGUAUGAUAGUCACAGUCAAAUUGAACUGUUAAGGUGUUCUCCUCUGUUUCCAAACUCAAUAACAGCACAUUUCACCAACUGAAUGCAAUCCAAACAAAAUUUAGACCAACAAAAUAAAAAACUAAAGAGUUCAAAAUUAUGUAAAGAAAAUCAAACCAACCUUUCUUUUGGAAAGCAAUAACUUCUCAGCAAUGGUAAUCUUGGGCGGCCGAAACCCUAACCUCUGUUCCCUCACCUUAUUAAGCCCGAGAUCCUCAAUAAGUGCCCCAAAAACAUCCCUGGGAAACACAUCCUUGGGCGGAAACAAUUCACAAACCUCCACUAACUUCUCUCGAGCGGCCGCCAUAAUCUCCUUCUCAACACCAGUCGGAACCUUGCCUCCCCUCAUCUUCCCCAUGGCCGCCAACACCAAAACCAUCUCCGCCACCUUCCUCAUAUUACCAACCACAGCGCCUCCAUGCCUCAGCUUCUUCGCCGGCGGAACAUCUCCUCCUCCUCCUCCUCCUCCUCCAGCGGUAUCCUCGGCCGAUCUUUUCUCACCCAAUUUCACCCGGAUUCAACCGAAUCCAUCCUUGACAAAACCCUAACUCAAGCCAAAACCAUAAACGGCGUCGAAUUGGGAGAAACCUGCAAAGAGAAGAGAGAUGAGAAGCCAUAAAAUGAGGAGACAGGAGGCCGGGGAAACCCUAGAGAGAAGAGAAAAGAGGAGAGACGGGAAGGAGAGACUCAAGAGAGACGUUGAGAUGAAAUUUGGGAAAUAAAAAAGAGAAAUUUUUCGAUGCGUUAAAAAUUAAAAAUUAGAAUUAUACUACCUUUUUGGCGGGUAAUUGAGAGAUAGAGCUGCGAGUUGUUGUUAUGGUGAGGCGGGGUGCAUAUUGUUUGUUGACAGGGCAGCAAAAACUUAUGUGCAGGGCAAAGAGGGAGAGAUUAUAGAGAAAACGCGAUCGUAUUAAUAUUAAGCGAUUUUUCACUUUGCCCCCUCAAUUUGUACGAUUUUAUACUUUUUCCUCUAAGGGUCCGUUUGAUAACAUAAAAAAGUGCUGAAUCUGAAUUUUUCAGACAUUCAGAUGUUUUGAGUGUUUAAUAAAUGAAAGUUCAUUUGUUGAACUUGUGUGUAUUUUUUUCAGCACAAGAAUCGUAAUUGAAUGUUUAAUUCUAAUAAGAAUUAAUAGAACUACUUCAAUUACCUUAUCUUAUCUACAAAAUUUACCCUUGUUUGUUAAUUAUGUUCAAAAUUCUUAUCUAAUUAAACAAUCUAAUAUUUUCUAUCCAAUGAUUUUCUAUUUCUUGUUUCUCCCUUUUGAAUGAUUUUCACAUCUUCCCCAUGCUCCUCAUAUAAUAUAUUUCAUCUUUUAUAUUAAUUUGAUUUAAAAAUAAAUAUUGUCAUUUUCAUACCUAACAUUUUUAGCUGAUUAAAUUAUAGGUUCUAUUUCUUUUUUGGAUGAAAAGAUAUUAGGGCAAAUUUAUCAAAUUUAACUUGUUAAGCAUUCAGUUAUAAAUGUUUAUCAAACAGUAUUAAUAGGUUUAACAUUAAAAUUCAGACAUUCAAAUAUUUCUUUUCAGUGCUUAAAAUUCAGCAAAUUAAUUGUUUCAAUAUUCAGAUUCAGAAUUCGGACUUCAGAAUUUAGAUUCAGUUUUAUCAAACGGAACCCAAAUCUUUGUUGGUUCUCGAUUAGCUCCUAAAAUUCAUAAGUAAGGAUGCUUAGUUUGUUUUUUCUUUUUCUUUUUUCAAUAUUAAUAUUAUACUAGUUGGGAUGGAAAUAAAUAGGUUUAUUGUGACAUUAAGAAAGAUAAAUAAGAAAUCAAGGAAGAAAAAUGCUUAAAGAAAUAUGAGUGCAUCACUCUUAUUUUUUUUUAUCAUAAAUUGUCUUCUUUUUUUUUUUUUUUUUGUGUUACAUGAAUCCCUGAUAGCUUCAUGGUCAUAUGUGGUUUGCUUUGCAAUGACACGCCUUUUUUAAUAGUCUAAUGCUCUCGUUCUCUUACCAAAUAGAUCCGUGACUUAUUUACUGAAAUUAGAGCGGUUUGAACUACAUUACUAUUACACACAAGGCGAUAUAUCUUCAAUACUUAUAAUUCCAGUCUCACAAAAUACACACGUAUUUAUCAGCAUAUGAUGAUAUUAGCCUCGACGUCGAGCACAUUUUAAUACACUUGCAUCAUAAAUGAUAAUUGGUCAAACUGAAAAUCAGAAUUUAAAAACUUAUCUGUCCGUAAAUAAACUUGCUUCUACUCGAAAGUUACUGAUACAUUUUAGUUCUCCCAUAAUUACACUGAAAAAAUGUGUCAUCUUUCUUUCUUUUCAUCAAAGAAAACACCUUUUCCAUUUGUCCUUUACCAAUACGUUUUGCUUUCCUAGUAUCCUUUCCUUCUCACAGGUACAGUCAAAAUAUUGUAGACCUCUUGUCGGAUCUAAAUGCAGGGUAGCAACUAAUUAUUACUCUACAAGUCUGAAACUGAGAGGCAAAAUGUGCAUAGGAUUCGGGCUACAAUUGACUGGCCUUCCUCUUUAACAUUAGGUUAACGAGAUACCAACUUCGAUCUCAGAAACAGCUCCCUGAGCUGAGUCAUAAGCUUUGGGUGAAUAAGACAUGAGCUUUGACAUCUAACCCACAAAAAAUGGAAUUGGAAAUGUGAUGGAAAUGAUGUCUGAGCUGAUUUGAUAUCAGUCGUCAAUACUCCGAAGAUUUCAAGGAAGACAUGCUCCGGGAAAUGGCAGAAGAAAGAGCCAGCACUCCAGAAAUUUAUUUUCCAUUUUCUUUUUUUUUUUUUUAGGAUGCACAGCAUAACUUCAUGUUACAAAUACCACUGCCAAAUGUCAUCCCCCCAAACUACUGUACACAUUGAGCAACCCCAUCGAGUCUAAGCAAACUGAAAUAAAUUUCUACAUCGCGAUGCAGAUCUAGUUAGUAUUAUUAUACAAAGACUGUAUGAGGUUGCGCUGUUUCAAUGAAUGCCACAUCACUGCCAAUGAUGAUCCUGGAAUCAGUACAGAGCAGCUCAGUAUUUUGAAGCUCAAAACCAUGGAAAAUUGGUAUUGGAAAUCCUUUGCUCAGCUUUAAAUUGAUAUAAGGCAAGACGACAGUUCUCAGCAACGUCGAGAUCACAGGCUGCAUGGAGGAGCCAAAACUUGGUUAAAUUAGACGCCAUUACUGCAGUUUAUCUGACUUAUAUAACAGUCCUUUCACAGCAUAUAAGAGGAGAGAAACAUACACCAAAUCAGUACACUGAUUGUCAGUGUGAAUCACAGGAACGCAUGUAAAGCGCGACACUUUGUCAUGUUAAAAAUGGAAAUCGAUCACAUCAUUAACCAUUUCUAAAAUGUUGACUUGCUGGUAUGAGACACACUUCUAUCGGCUACACGAGACAUCUUACCCUCACGUUCUGCACAAGGGCUAUAACAAUUUCCUUUCACAAAUUUUGCUAAUUAAAGUCUGCUGAUUACGACUAUUUCAGAAAGUUAUAAAUGAAUCUGGAUAGACAUGCCUGAUGCUUGUUAGGUUUUACUGCUGGAACUAGGAUGAUGUUAUAAGCGCAUCACAGCAUUAGGAAACCAGUUGGAAGUUGGAUGAGCGCUUGAAUGGACAUACCUGAACAAGAUACAUGUGGAGGUUACCAAUUUUGCUCCAAUCCUGGGACAUAGUAAAUUCAUUUAACUUCACGCUGACAGCUAGAGCAUUACGUGAGACUUCUGGAUAAGCAGCAGCGCUAAUUACCUGGCACGAUAACGAAGCUAUAAUAAGGUCUGGAAGACAGUGCCAAAUUUUGAUGGAUAAACACAAACAAUAAAGUCUUAACUCGGGCAAAAUAAACUGCCUUCUGCAAGUAAAUCAACCCCUAGAAUCAUAAGUCCUAUUAACUUGACCAUUCCAUUCCCGAUGCUGUUAGGAAAAUGAAGUCCCUUUUUCAAAAGAUCACAGAUGAAUGAUGUAUCUAAAACAGCUGUGCGUCGUCACAUUCCAUCUAAAUGGGUCGAUCAUCACAAAGGCCACCCGUAUUUAAGUAUCGAAGAUAUGGUAUAAUAAUCCUCAAACAAACAGCUUCCACAAUUCAAAACACUACCCGCAUAAUCAGACCUAGUCUGUCACAACAAAAGGUCACCCUCCAUCUUCCUCUUUCAGUCAGGAAAUGCACGGUAAUUAAACUGAAGCACGGUCCAAUUACACAAUCAUGUGAUCAAAAUUUAUGUCCACAACUACCCUUAAAAACAUGGGAAAGCUUAGACAACUUAAGUUCAGAACGUGGGUCAGAGUAUCCUUGUAAAAGAACACUAGCAUCAACCAAACUCGGUCAACCUGAGAAGUGAAAUGAGAAAGUUCACAAGAUUUGGAUGCAAUGUCAUCCAGAAGCUUACCACAGAAAUACAUGCAACCGGUACUACUUGACCAUCGUCCAACACAUCAAUUAUCACUUUUAAGGGGAUUGUUGCAUCAAUCUGCUUCUCACCAAUUUUUAAUAUUGGAUUGGAAUGCACAGAAAUAUUGAGGUUCAAGUCAUCAUUUGGGUAUUGUUUGUAGAGCUGAGGAAUAAUGAACCUCCACUCAGCAGUGUUCAUCAAAUUCUGAUCAGGUAUAUUGUCAACAAUCCAAUGCAUUUUAUUGGCCUGAACACGAAAUUAAAAUCAUUAGACAGAUGUCCAACAAAAAGGUAAGUUAACACCCCAAUAUUGUCUGGCAACUAAUCAGAAGAUAUUAUAAAUAACAAGCUGAUGCUAGCAAUCAAUAACCAACACAAAACAUAGAACCAAAGGAAUAGCUAACAGAAAGAAAGUGAUCAGAGUUCAUGAAACUUUUCUUUCAAGUCUUACUUCAAAGUAGACUGCAGAUGCCGAUUCGAGGACAUUCUCAUGCACUGAGAUCCCCACCAUCCUAGCUGGACCAUUGCAGGAAAAUGGAACUUCAACAUUCUCACGCUGAAGUUUGGAAACUGCAGCUUCAUCCUUGAGACUGAAUAAACCAUUGAUUUCAAGUUCAAGAGAAGAGUUACUUAAUUUUGGGUCACCGACGAUGGUGACAUUUAAAGCAGAAAUAUUGUUUACUGUAACUUCUUUCGGCAGAGAUUGCAGAAAAGAAUCAAGCUCUUGAAUUGCACCUAUUAAUUUCUUCAAAACAGCAUCUUCAACUGCAGAUGCUAUUUUAUCUUCGAAAGCAUCUACCAAUCUUGAAAACAACAAAGGAAUCAGUAUAGGGAUAGUUGGAAGCUCAAACAGAAUAAUGACAGGCAAAACGAAAGUCAUGCAAAACCAAUGAGGAUGGUGUGUGUGUUAAGUAGCCUGAUAAUUUCAUUAGAUUAGUCUGUUGUAUCAACACAAAGCAGUUCCAAGAAAUACGAUCAAAAUAAUGCUAACCAUAGUAGCCCUAUUAAGCUAAAGCAGCAGGUGUGUUCAUAGGAAAGUCUGUUUAUUCUUUACAAGCCCCCAUCUCAUCAGGAGUAUAAUAAGCCAAACAUUAAAUUGGAUCACUAUCAUGAUAAGAUAGAGAUUAUAGUUCUAAGAUGAUUUUCUUCCAUUAUCGCCUAAGUGCAUUGUGCCCACAAUUAUAAAAUGUGUUUUUUCCUAGGAAACCUAUAUAGUAGGCUUUCUAUCUCUGUUGACAACACCUCAUGCCCCUCUCGCUGAAAGCAAGGGGAUGGAGAACGAUAAUCAAAGAACAUGAGGCAAAUUUCCUUGAACUAUGCUCAUGGCUUUUCACUGGUUUCAAUUGCAAUGACGUGCUAAAUUGCCCAUCAAACUGAUGGACUGAUUUCCAUCUUCUGUCAAAGAGACUUUGGAUACCGGGCGAACUGUGAAUCUUUAAAAAUGGUAGAAGCAAAUAAUCAAUAUCAGGAAAAACUUCCUGAUGUUGUGAAGCAAAAUGAGAUGAUCAAUUUCUCAUUUGUCUGAUGGAAGUGAAGCUACAACAUUUCAUUUAGUUUUAGGUCCAAAUCACAUUUUUGAAUGACAGAAAAAAUAACUUCAGGCAUCCAGAAAAGGGGGAGAGAGAGAGAGAGAGAGAGGUUUCUUAAGUGGAAGGGCAUCAAAUGACUCUUUACCCUUGAUAUAGCCAGGACGCUCCACCAGCCAAAUCAAUGGAUAGAUCUUUCACAUAGCAACCACAAUCCACGAGUGACAGCUUAAGAGAUCCUUGCUGAUUCUUCAAAUCAAGCAAAAGCCCAAUUUCCAUACCUUCAAUCUUUGAAGACGUAUCUUUCAUCAAUUCUCUUUGUAAAGACAAAAAUUUAAUAGGCAAUCAUGACUGUGCGAUGUUAUGAGAGCAAAGCAACACCGUAUACAUGGUAUUUUGUAAGCAACUACAUUAACUAUACUGUUACAUUUAGUUUUAGCUAGUUCCAGCUGAACUACUCAGCUGAUGACAAAGAAUGUCCGGACACGAGCACUAACAUUGACAUGUUUGCUAGCCCAGAUGCUAAUGCUUCCAUAAUGCAUCAAUUCUACAUGAUCUAAGUUCCUGAGAAGCCAGUGCAGGGAGGAACUGCACAUCCUCACGCAAAAGGCUGAAUGCUUUGGCAACAAACAAUACAAAGGCAUCAAUUUUGCUAGUAAUUGAUGAACUGAUAGGAUUUAAGUAGUAAGCUCGCAUAAUUUGUUUUGCGAUGCAAAGCAUAUUUACACUGCAUCAUCAUUCACAAGCUUAAUCCAAACAGUAACACGUAUAAGAAAGCUCAAUGGCAUGUACAUGAAUUAUAAUUCAGAAGUAUAGCAAGCAAAACUGAGACUUAUUAGUGGUAUCACCUGAACUUCUGCCUCCCCUUGAUCCGAAAUUGAGAUUGGAAGCAACCAGGUGCUGUAGGAAUACCCCAGUGCAUAGUCAAAUUAGCGGUGGCGCCAGCAACAUCAACAAGGAUGCCAGUAUCACCAGUUUUAACAGUUGAGGAAGUAACGUGAACCCUGUAGAGGGUAACAUUCGAAACCUCCAUGCUAACUGUACCAAUCACUGGAAUUUUGACAGUCUUCUCAAUAUUAGGCAGCUCAAGUGGAACCAAGGAAGUCUCGGCUUUUUCAAUUAACAAAUCUUUGACAAAGUCGAGACCUUUAUCGGAUAUCUCAUAAGAUAUGUACCCUUCACUAGAUCCAACAUAGGCCCAAGAAGAAAUCAUUAACCAUAGCACUACCAAUAAUCCAGCUGAAUCAACUGAAUGUCCCAUGAAGUAAAAUUCAAACCAGGCAAACACCUCAAUAAAUGGAAACAAAUUUGAAUCCCACGUGAAUAAUUCAAUUGGAGGAUGAGAACGUGUGUGGGAGAGAAUUGUACAUUUAAACUUGAAAGCAACUCUCAGGUAUGUUGGUCAUGACUCGCAGGAGGAGUUAAAUGCAAAAGGGGGUCUAUGUUGAUAAGACUUUUUUUGGAGUUUUCUAUAUUACUUCUGGUUCGGGAGCUGGCUGGAGCUUCAUAAAUCACGAGGUAAACGAGGAGGGAUGAAUCAUCAGCAGAGGAGCACGCUUUUCAGCUCUAAGGGUGACCAGAUUAUGAAAACCGGUGGAUAUGAACAGAAAGAAGCGUCCAAUGAGUAAUCUGGGAAAACGUUGAUAAUCGGUCAAGAAAUUGAGCAAUAAAUGUGAGUAAAAUUAAAAGCUGAAGACUGGAGUACAGUAGUGGUACUAAAUUACCAUCAUUCAAUCUCUAGUUCUAUUCUUCCAACCUGCCAAUAAGCCUGCCACCGGUCCGGCGUCUGGGAUGGGGAUCCGUUUAUUCCUGCCUGCUCCUCUCUCUCAGUCGAGGCUCGGAGAAUUCAGAAGAGUUGUCCUGUGGAGUAGUAGCUGAGAAUGGAUCAGUUGCUGCUAAUUACCGUACCUCAUCCGACAUCACUCACUCCUGUACUAAAUUGGACAAAAAUCAACUUGAGUGAUAUGCUAAGAAGCAUUUAAUGCUUGGGUGGACGUUCACAAAAUUACUUCCACAAAACUUUUUUUGAAUUGCGAUUUGCAAACUUGUGGGUUGCCUAGAACAACCCUAAUUUGCAAGGUUGGAAUUGCGAUUUUAAUAUGAUUUCUUGUUGACAACUCACCAAUCAAUGGUUACGUGCCAUUUGAGAAUUGAGAGAGCUCCCUUGCCACAUUCAUUAAAUUUGGAUUAUAAAAUGCAUCAUAUUCAAAUAAUCUUCCAUAGGCUACCAAUAAUGUCUGUCUGUCUUCUCUUGUUUUUUUUUUUUUUGGGGGUGGGGUUAUUGAGUGAUUUGUAGCUAUAAAUAAAUCUCAGGCGCUACAGUUUGCAAAACUCACGUCCAAUUUACCUUUCGGAACCAUAGUACAGGAAUUCAUGGAAUACCAAAUUCCGUAAGGUACCCAAAAUGAUAUUCCAAAUGGAAGCCACGGAACCAAGAAGAGUCCUCCACCAAACACUUCAUUCUUUUUCUUGAAAAAAAAAAAAGAAAAGCCCCAAUACUCUCUCUCCCUCAUGGGCCUGGGUCGCUACUCGCAAGCCACAAAACAUCCGAAAAAAUAGCAAAUUCCCCGCCCGCCCGCUAAAGAAGAGCCCAUUUGCACUUGCAGUUUUAUGGUUUCACCUCAUUCAUCAUGCCAAAAAACAAGGGCAAAGGGGCAAGAACAGGAAGAGAGGAAAGAAUGAGGCGGACGACGAGAAGCGAGAGCUGGUUUUCAAAGAAGACGGCCAAGAGUAUGCCCAGGUUUUGCGCAUGUUAGGUAAUGGCCGCUGUGAAGCCAUGUGCAUUGACCAGAACAAGAGACUCUGUCACAUUAGAGGGAAAAUGCACAAGAAGGUCUGGAUCACCACCGGCGACAUUAUCCUCGUUGGCCUCCGGGACUAUCAGGACGACAAGGCUGAUGUCAUCCUCAAGUACAUGCCCGAUGAAGCCAGGCUCUUGAAGGCUUACGGUGAGCUGCCGGAUAACGUCAGACUCAAUGAGGGGAUCGCUGGAGAGAUGGAUGAUGAUGAUGACGGCCAUGGUGAUAUUAGCUAUCUUGAGUUCGGGGAUGACGACAUUGAUCAGAUUUAACUCUCAAGGCCAACGAUAGUGAUAAAGCCUGGACCAGAGCUUUUCUUUCAUCCUGGACCAUUUUUUGCUAUUUUCAAUGCCAAACUCGUUUGUUUUAAGCUCGUUUCUGCGCAUAUUCGGACGAGUCCAGACAUGUUUCAGCAUUAGGAGGAAAUGCACGUACUCGGAGCCUGCAUCACAAUGUCCCACACUCAGUUUGCCUUUCUGCUCAAAAAAUACUAACCGUCGUGUGCUAGCAGCUACCAAGAUUUCUGAGACGUGAGAAAUUGAGAUAUUUCGCUGCGCCAACGUGGCUGAUGAAACGAUCUCUUCACUAAAAUAGCAAAAGCGAAAAAUGGAGUUUUAACAUCACACGCCGUCUUGAAUCCGCUCAAAGAGAGCCAGAAUCGACUACACGACCUGGGGCUUAACGGGGUUAUCCCACAGCCAGACGGUAAGACUCAAAUUCUAACGUUUUGAUUGAUGGUACAAAUUGUUUACGUACAAAAAGAAAAUGUGAAUUUAUGAAGGAAUUGGAGUGCGUUUUCAAAAUGAUCACUCCUGUGAUUUGAAGUCUUUUAGUAAAGGGGAGCCGCACGCACUGCCUGAUUGGCUAUAUAUAUAUAUAUAUAGUAUAUAUUUCUCUCAUGCAUGCAACUUGCAACUUGCAACUUGCAGGCACAUGCGUACACGACAGCUCCAUCAGGCCGAUUAAAUGCUCCUCUACCAGUACGGCAGUACAGAUUAACCUCACCCUAUAAAUCCUCAUACAUAUUUCUUCACUUCCUCCACGCAUUUCUCAAUUCUACCGGUUUCAGCUAAAAUUACACACAAACGCUCUCCUUUAAUUACCUUCUGCAAAACAUUUGCUAAGCCUUGAAGGGAUCCACAGGCCAUGUUGGUCUGUCAUCCAGCAAUCAAGAAAUGGUUUUCUGGGCUCGGUAAUUUGACCUUCAAAUGCAAGGAACGCAUUUUCUCCUGGCUUUCAACGGAACUGAGCUGUUUCGGAUCCGGGCUCUUAUUUACAGUGAUGAAGAGAACUGCUGUGUCUCUGCUCACUUGCAUCUUUGCUUUAGGCAAGUUUCUUUGACUCCCCAGCAUUUCGAUUCUUCCCUUCUUGAAUGAAUGAAUGAAUUAAUUUUUCGCCAGACUUUCUUUUACUUUCCAGGCAAAGGUUUGAUCUUUUGAAUCUAAUACGGAAAAUAUCCCCCUGCUUUCCUUUGAAUUUCCUUGGCACUGUAGGGGGAGCAACAGUAGGGACAAUAUCAGGAGCCAUUAAAGGACAGACUACAGAAACUGGACUCUUCCGUGGGGCCGGAGUUGGUGCGGUGGCAGGGGCCAUCACGGCGGUCCAGCUAUUGGAACUGAUGGUUAAUGGAGAGCCGUUUUCCAAGGUAAAUCGAAAUUGCGUCCGGUGCUAAUUAAAAACAACGGACAGCUGGUAGGUAAACAUGAUGAACUUUAAAAUGAAAGAAAAGUAGAAUUGUACGUCCCUUUCACAUUCACGAGGGUAAAUGCACACGGCACUGGAGUGCUGCUUUUAUUAUAGCUGCAUGCAUGCAUUAUCAAUCAAUGAAUGGGAAUGGACGUUUACGACUACAUAUUUUUGGACAGGUUGCUCUCAUAUGUAGUCUUGUGAAUGGAAAGAUAUUCAUGGAGUGGGUCAGUCCUGCUGUUCUAAAAGCUUAUCAAUGGCAGGUGAGUGUCCACCACCACCACACCAGUACUCUCUCUCUCUUAGGCAAUUGUUCUGUUUCUAACACAUACAUAUAUAGGAGCAUCACAAUUGUUUCUCUAUUUCAGCUUUUUUUUUUUUUUCUUCUUCUUCUUGGUUCAUGCAUGUCUAACAAAACUACUACUAUCAUGUCACUCAGACCGGUGAUAGCAGUAGGCUUAUCAAGUUCGGCUUUUUCAAAUUGCAGAUUAGCGACAUGGAAUCAAAUUUGAGGGAGAUUUCAGACAUUUUUGAGGUCAAUUCCAUCAGGGGAUUAUCACGUGAAGCUAUCAAUGAUCUACCUACAUGUAACCUUCAUUCUAUAGAGACCACAAAUCCUUCUUGCCAUGAAACAAUCUGUGCAAUUUGCUUGACGGUAAUCUAUUUUCCUCAGUCCGGACAGGAACAAGAAAAUGUUCUCUUUCUUGGCACCUAUUAUUUUCCUCCUAUAUUUAAUGGAGUAUCUUGAUGAUCACUGAUCAGUCUGUGUGUGUGUGUGUUUUUUUUUUUUUUUUUUGCUUAUUAUUAUUAUUAUUACCUUGUAAUAAAUAAACAGGACUUCAAGAACGGAGAUUGUGCACGGAUGCUUCCUACUUGUGGACAUUCUUUCCACUUAAAUUGCAUAGAUGAAUGGUUAAACAGGAAUGGCACUUGCCCGGUUUGUAGAAGAGAUAUUUGAUUUGAUGGCACUUUGGCCGGAGGAGAUGCAGAGCACAAAAUGAGAGCAGGAAGGAACCCGUAUUUUAGUGCAUUAGCCAACUUUGAUUGAAUUAAUUAGGUAAAUCUCAUCAUCAUACGUACAAUUACAACAUGCGUCCAAUGAUGGUCAGGCAAUUGAAUGUAAGGAAUUAGUGCAAAAUCCAAUGAUGGGUUAGUAGCAUUGUGGUACUACUCAAAGGGUGUACCUGUACCACCAGUAGUAGAGUAGAGUGUUUGUUAGUUUGGGACGAGGCGCCUGGAGACAACCGUCCGAGGCAGUUCACGGCCUGGACGAGGCCUCAAAAAUUUAUGCGGCUCAGAUCACGUCUUGUAACUCGAUUUUCACGUCGUAUGAAAUCCACAAAAAUGUUGUUUUAAUAUUACUCGCUGUUGUUCUAUUGUUACAUCUUGUACAGAUGAUGUUACACCAUGUACAAAUGCUGUUACACCUUCCGGAGCGGUUGUUCAGCCCCGCGACCGUUUGUUUGGAUUGACGUGUUUGUUUGCUCUGCUCUACAAGUACAACCUUUGCACUGCCAAUCUAACUCAGCCUGUGGGCCUUUAUUUGGCCAUUCUGCUCUGCUGUUGUCUCCCAGAGAACAUUUUAUAUUCUGCUGCAUUCUGAAAAUCCUAGGCCGAAUGCGUAUCCAACCUUUAAAGGCAGGAGAUUGCUGAUCGACUUCACCCUAGAAACCAAACCUUAAAUCAAUCGAGUGGAGUGACCCCUCCAUUUUAAAAUUAUAACCAUAUGAUAUUAUGUGUUUAACUUUAAUGGUUGUGGACAUUGUUGGUGUUGGUGUACUAUAUAAGAUUGAUUCAUAAAUUAAAGGUAAAAUAUCCUCACAACUCUAACCAACUCAACGUGAAUUCUUGGAAUAAAUAAACGAUUACAAAGUACAAAACAUGCUAAUUGCAGAAUGGCUUCAGGGACAAGGGUUGUGUAGGACAAAAAUGCUUCAUUUUGAGCCGAAAUUUUUUUUGAAAAAUAUCUUUGCAACUUUCCAAACCAAACAAAAAAAAAAAACGUAAGAAAUAUGAGCCGAUACUUUUUCGACCACAAUCGUCGAAAAGGGUUUGAUCUAAUGAUUAAAUUUGAAAUAUUACGAAUUAGAUGUUCUAAAUUCAAUUCUCGCUUCCUCUUCUCAAUUUCUUAAAUCUCACUCAUCUUUUCUCCUCUUUCCCGCUUUUUAAAUUCCGUCCUUUCCUUUCCUUGUUUGAAAAAAAAAAUUGAUAAAAAAAAGAGUCUCAGUGGUGUGAGUUUGGGUUGGGCCUGAGAUGCACAACUCCAACGAAAGUCAUGCAAACCCACGCUCCGCAAAAAGCCCAGGCAACAUAUGUUAGAAAAGACGACCGGCGAUGGUACACAAGACUCCGUGUCUUGACUCUCUCUCUCAACAGUCAAAUCCUUGAAACGCCGAAAUACUGCGAAAAGGCAUAGAGGAUUGGGAUUUGGGAGUAGGUCGUAGACGAGACCAACGGCCAUUGUGUGAGAUUCUGGAGUGGAGACUGAAGGGUAAAAAAUUUACUACUAUGGCGUGGUUGGCCGCUGCAAAGAGCUUCCAUCUGCCGGCGGUUGAUGUCACUGCCCUCCGCUCUCGAGCUCCCUUAGCUGUCGGCUGCUUCGGCUGCGUGUCGAUGGCCGGCGCCGGCAUCGGCCGAUCCUCCUCGGCCUUUCGGUCUAAGCUCUUCGCUUCCUUGAGCAUUUCCGCUGAUGCCAGUAAGUGUCAAAAGUCACUCACUUUAGAUGUGGCAUCUCACGCAAUACUGGUUGUACCUCAUUCAACACUACGCAACCAAACUUAACUAGACAUUUCUACGCUAUUUUUUGUUUUUUGUUUUUUGGUUUUUUGGGUCGAUUUAUUGUUUUGAUUUUCUUUAGAGUGGAAUUUUUUUAAUGGAUCAUGCAAGCACGAUUUUAUGUAUAUAAUUCAUUUGUCAAAGAUGAUUGUAUAGAAGCCUUGUUUGAACUUGAAUUUCAUUCAUAGAUUGGAUCAUUUGAUCAAUAGUGUAAUGAGAUUAAUGGGGAAAAAAGGGACAGAGACGUUCAGAAACAAGCUUUUGUCCUGAGAUGAGGAACCACGAACCUUAAUCAGUAGGCUAUACUCGAUGGUAGGGCAACAGAAAUUUAAUGCAUAUCACCGCAUGGAUGAAUGAAUUACCCAGUACCGAAUUAUGCAUUUGAUGGAUUAUAGGAACUUUGUCUGUGCAUGGGCUUACUUUUGUGCUCUUAUGCAUUCUCGUUGGGUUUCUUAUGCGAUUUUAUCUGCUAUGCAAACUAUUCUUUUGUGUUCUAGGUAUAAAGGAAGCUAUUCAGACUGACAAGGCCCCAGCGGCAUUGGGGCCAUACUCUCAAGCUAUAAAAGCAAACAACCUCCUUUUUGUGUCUGGGGUUCUUGGUCUAGUUCCAGAGGUCUGUGACAUUGUUUUCAAUGAUCCGUAGUAUGUGUCUGAAUAUGUGAUGAUUUAUUUUAUUCACUAAAAAUGGGUAAUAAAUUGUUUUGUGUUGAAAAUCCAGACUGGGAAGUUUGUCUCGGAUAGUGUUGAGGAUCAAACAGAGCAGGUACAUGCUAAGUGUUGUCGCCAGUCAUUCUUUUAAAUAGCUUGAGUGUAGCAGUAAGUGUUAAACUUUUGACCGAUGGAAUUGCUGCUGAUGCAUUUAUGAAAUACACAUACAUGAAUUAAUUGAAACAGUGUGGUGCAAAUGAAGUAUCUGAAAUUAGGUUUUUUCUUUUCUGAAUAUUUUACCAGAUAUUAUAGUUACAGAGUGGAUCUUACUAACACUUUUUGUGCUAAUGCAAAUUAACAGGUUCUUAAGAAUAUGGGCGAGAUACUUAAAGCAAGUGGUGUUAGCUAUUCCUCAGUUGUUAAGACAACAAUUAUGUGAGCAAUCAUUUCUAGGCUUUCAAUAUAACCUUAACGUAUCUCUCUGUCUUUUCAGAAAGUUUCCAUCCUUAAGGCUAAAAGUGUUUCUUUUUCUGUUACAGGUUGGCUGACUUGAAGGAUUUUAAGAAAGUCAAUGAGAUUUAUGCUAAAUGUGAGUCCAUUGAACUAAGCCAAGUUCUUUUCUCAUUUUUCCUUUUCCUAUUUUUGAAUUCUGUCUGGGGGUAGAACAUACGAGGGGGGGGGGGAGAAGCUAGCAUACUCCUUAUGACAUUCAUGAUUCGAUCCCAAAUUCUUGUCAGCUGACAAUCAUGUGUCUCAUGAUUGUUGUAACAGAGUUACAGCAUUUAUAAUGGACUAAAAAAAAAUCAUUUGUGGGAAUUUAGGAGAUUAAUUGAAAGAGGUACUUGAAUUUGGUUGUGUUUUUAUCAAGAGCGUGUUGAAGAGGCUCUUAUUGUUUUGGGGCUUUUGGGAUGUUUAAGAUGCUGAAACUAAUAGCUAAAGGACAAGUUGUGCCUUCUUGAUCAAUCGUAAUGUCUCCUUACAGAUAUAUGAUGGAAGAUGAAAUUAAGAAGCCCUUACAGAUUACAAAAUUAGUCCUUUUCCUUUCAUGCUUUGGAGAUUGUCUUUUUCUACUAUGAUAUGUGGACUCUACAAUUACAAAUGCUUGUGUUAAUUGUCAUGGUUUGGUCGAUUUCAAAAAGUUCAUGAAACAUGAUGAAGAUUCCUUGUCAUGUUAAAUUUUUUAAGAGAUUGUAGCAAAAGGUAGAGUAAUCCAUAAAGAUUCUGACCCACAAAUCAUGUUUACAGUUAUUCAAACAUUAAGCUGGAACAUAUAAAUACUCUUUUAAUAUUGACGACACUGAAUAAAAUCAUUGCUCUGCCUAAAAAUCCACGCGCUUUCUUUUUUUCAUCUGAAGGUCUGAAUAUGUGUCCUGUCAACUAAACCAAAUGUCUCACACACACACACUCUGUCUCUCUAAUAUCUUGUGUGGGGUUUCUUUUUUUCUUGCUUAAUUUGGAAGAGGUUCAAAUGUCUCAGUACUUGGUUAUCUAUUUUUAAUGGUAUCAAGAACACUUGAGAACCCUUUUCCUGUCCUAGCAAAGAGUAAGGUUUGUGAAGCGCAUUGAAGGAACAGAUGUUGUCUGCAUUUUUCUUGUCAAGGAUUAUUGAUUAUGGAGACUUUAAUCCCAGCUAAAAUUACGACAUGGUAGCCAGAAUUAUGUGAUUCUCUUUUCUUUCUCUUUCUUUCUUUCAAUGGGUUGUAAUCUAUUUGGCCUGUUUAUGUUGCAGACUUUACAUCACCGGCGCCAGCUCGAUCAACUUACCAAGUAGCAGCUUUACCUUUGGACGCAAAAAUUGAAAUAGAAUGCAUAGCGGUGCUGUGACUUCUCAGCUGAAAUGAUUUUGUGGACAUUAUCAGCCAGGAUCCCAGCGUAAUAAGUUCAGAUGAGCCAUGUGAAUCUGUAAUUGAGGUCCAGUAUCUGAAGGCUGAAUCCUUCAGAGUUGUAAUACCUCAUAAUUUGAAAUUCUUCAUGGAAAGAGUUGAAACGUAAGAAGAGGAUUCAUUAUGACGUGUUGCAAAUUUGGUUCCUUUUGCAGAUUUAGGAGCUCUUGACAAUGAAAACUCAGAAAGUUGCGGAAUGCACUGCAAGAUCUUUAACUAACAUAUACAGUAACACGCUGCAUAUCGGCUUUAAUUACAAGUUGCCUGCAAAAUCAUGUAACUGUCCUUGGGACAUGAAAUCAAAGAAAGAAGGGUGUAACCUAUUAUUAGGAGGCAAAAUCAAAUCCUAAAUCAACAACAAAAAAUAAAAAUCUAGCGCCGUCUCGGAUCAACCCAAGCGCAAUCAUUGUACAUUGUUGUGCCAAAGAAGUUGUCCAGUAAAUCGUCGCUUCCAACGGAAUGAUACUUCUUGGUGCUCAAAGAAUAAUAAAGCAGGCCACCUUGAUAAAAUCUGGGAAAGUAAAUUCUGUUGGCCAUAUCUGGGCUUUCCUCAAGGUGGGCGAUAGACGAAUACCGGCUGAGAUACAGUGAAUAGUUCCCCAAGCUGUUCAUCUCUUGCCAGUUCUGCUCGUCGUUAAUUAGCUUGUACACUCGAAUCCAAACUCUAUUUCCCCUGCGCCCCUCAAAUACAGACAGAAGAUUCUCAUCGCACUCCACCAAGUAAGCGCGUCGAAAAUUCUUGCAAGGCCUUUCCAGGUCGAGAUUAAUUCUCCAUUCCAUAACAUAGUUACCAUCUUCAACCUCGGCAUUUCCAUCCUCCUCCAUCUCCAUGAUGUCAUUAUCAGUUUCGGCUUCUAGCUUUAGACCUCCGAGUAUGCCAUCCUUGCUUAGGUAAUAGAAAGUCCCCCCGUGGAGCAGCGGGCUGCUAAAACCGGGCUGGAAUUUUAUGUCGGCUUGGCCAAACCCCACUUGCCUCCAUUCUUGCUCUCCCAUUUUGAAAUGGUGGAAACAGACUUCUUUAUCAACUCCUAAGCUUGCAAAAACGAAACACCCCGCGGAAGAUGGCAAGGAUGUAAAAACAAAGCUUGUAUAGCGCUCACGAGGCGUAUCCGGAAAACGAAUGAUCUCCUUCGUGUAUAGAUUAAAGAGAGCAACAGAAUUUCGUUUAUCCAGCAGUAACCAUCCGUCCUUGGCAUAGCGAAUUGUAUGAUCUUCAAUAGCCUCGGGAACCGUGACUGAGUGCUUGCCCUGUAGCCUGGAUUCAACAAUUUCAUAGACUCCUUUGUCUCUAUUGGAGAAGAUGAGAAAUGGCCGAGGGAGUGAGUUGGAUUUCAUCCUAACGGUGGAGGCACAGACACUAUUGAGGCAACGAAAAUUCAUGUAAUCGACAAAAGAAAGAUUUCCGCAGACCAUUGCGAGCAUAUCUGGCGGGAGAUCGCACAAGCGUCCCUCUUCCUCGAUGAUCUCUACGCCACUGUUAUUGACCUCAACAUUAUUUUCUUGGGGCAGCAUUUCUUCAUCUUCUUUGGUAGUUGUAUGGCGCUCGGACCUGUUUGGAGGAGGAGAUUAGAUCCAAUGAAUAUCUGCAACUGUUUCUGCACUAGAAAUUACAUCCCAAAAAAGGAUUAACUUUUGAUGAACGUUACCUUUGAACAGGCAUUAUCCAAGUGGGAAAAAGAAGCCAUGGUUUUGGUAAAUCCGGGCAAGGUAAAUGCGUUGUAAUGCUUUCAUCCUCGAUCUUGUACGAGUACAACGUUGCAUCAAAGCGGUCAGUGAAAUAAAUGCAACUCCCUCUCCCAGCUUCUUCCAUGUCCGAGUCUGAGUCGGACGACGCCACUGGACCCGGGCACGAAAAGCUGUAGUGCUCGCCCAAAAACAAGGUUCGGCCAUUCAGACUUGUCACCUUCUCCCAUAAAUUUGAUGGGAAGUUGAAUUUGUUGAUCUCAAUAGUCAGGGUGUCGCAAAAGUCUAGCGAGCCAUAACAGCUGUGAACUGAGAAAAGCUCAUCCCCAGAUCCCACCAACCAAAGGUUUACAAGAACUGAGUGGAAGUGGUACCAAGGUGGCCUUUGCUGGUUCAAUAAAGAUAUGCCACAAAUAGUGUUGGAUUUCUUGUCCAAGUUUAUGCGCAUCAAACAGAAAAUCCUUGCGGAUGUCGCAUAGAUUCUACCAUUGCAGCUUACGGGUUGACACAGAAAAUUUUCUCGGCUGUCUUUUGUGGUUGAAGUUUGGGCCUUCAAACUCUCACCAUAAUUAAACUCAGUCCACUCUUGGUCACCAGGACGGCAGUAUAAGAUUAUCGGGGCUUUAGCCACAAAUAACAUUACCAAACAGCCUGGAUCAGUUGGCGGCGAUGACAAGAAACUAUCGAAAAAGAGCAGCUUUGAUUUUAGACGGGGAAGAUCAAAGCAUUGUGAAGUCGCGGGGUUCCAAAUUGAGUACGUCCACUUGGUCUCGAUAUCGGCCAAGACUAACCAGCCGUCUUCAGAACAAUAUACAACUGUUUUAUCUAUUAAUUCUGGGAUCCUCUUUCGCUCGCUCUUCCCAGGUCCAGAAGGAGAUAUCGUGCAAAAGGUUAGGUCGUUGUAGCCUUUGCCAUGACGGUAUAACAGCCAAGGGUAUUUUCCUGGCGCAGGAAAUUGCUGCGGUAAUGGUCUUUCUUGUCCCUCCACCAUGUUUUUGGAAUCAAGAAUUUGCCAAAACAAUUAACGACAAGAAGAAGAAGAAGCAGAAGAUGGGGAAGCAGGAAGUAGACAGUUUCUUGAUAAAUAAUCAAUGAACAAGUUCAACAUGUACAUGCCCCCCAUAAAUAGAUUUUCAAUUUCACGGGAAAGGGAACAAUUCCUGCCGAAAGGGAUCUUGUCCAUAAUUAGAUUUUCAACGAAAAAGGAACAGAUCCUGCUGAAAGAGGGAAACUUUCCUUUACACAUUAGCUUCUGCGAAAAAUCUCUAGUCCAUUUUUUUGGAAGUAAUUCCCUUAGUUAUUUAUUAUUAGCUUUAUUAUCACUGGUGGAGAACUUGUUGAAGUGAUUACGUUGUUAUUUUGAAAUUACCAGAGAUUGCUAAUUUAGCAUGCUUGUAAUAGUGAAAUUUCACGAUUCUUAAAAACCUGGACUUUCUAUUCCGCUCGAAAAGUGAAAACCCCACAAAACAUAUGCCUCCCUGCUUCUCCCAUGCCCGAGUCACACACUGCUGGAAAGAUAAGAAAGGUUGUAAUCAAGGCCCAAAAACAAGGCUCGACCAUGCAAACUUGUCACUCUCUCCCAUAAGUUUGCAGAGAAGUUGGGAGUAAUUGGGAAAACGUAGUGAUGCCAUAGCAGAGCUGAACUGAAAAAAGUUCAUCCUUAGAUCCCGCUAACAAAAGUUUUGCACGAUUAGUCCAUCUCUAACGGGGAACUUCGAUUUUCGGAGAGGCAGAUCAAAGCAUUCUGAAGUCUGGGGGUUCCAAAUUGAGUACAAUCGCCGGGUCUCGUCAUCUGUCAAGAUUAACCAAACGCCAGAACAAGAUACUACUCUUUUGUCGUUUAAUUCCGCGGUCCUCUCACGCUUGCUCUUCGCAGAUCCAGAAGGAAAUAUCGUGCAAAAGGUCAUGUCGUCAUAGCGCUUCCCAUGACAGUAUACUUCCAACCAAGGGAAUUUCCCAGCUAGGGCAGGAAAUUGUUGUGAUAAUGGUCUAUUUCCUUCCUUCAUCAUUUGUUGCAUUCAAGAAAAAGGGUUUCAUGAGCCAUGGCUAACGUGGUAGGUUCACCACGUACAGAAAGUUGCUUCUUGUUUUGCAGGCAGUAGCUAGUGACAUGUUCAACAUGUACAGGAAAGACUUUGAAAAACUGUACUGACUCCCUAGCUGUUUAUAAUUAGAUCCCUCGGGCCAAAAAGGAAUAACUAUGUAAGGACAGCUUGCUGCUGAAAGGGGGAAAGAAAGUAUUUGAUCAGGCUGCAAUUGAAUUCUCACGUCAUUGUAUGAUUAGCUUUAUCCCUGUUGAGAAACUACUAAACUGAGUGCGUAUUGCCAAUGAUAUAUGAACUUUCAGGGGAAAAGCAGAAGUAUUAGAAUUUAUUGAUCAAUGGCGAACAUGGCGCGCACUCCUUAUAGCUAAAAAGCAGUAAAAAGUGGACCAGUAUCAAAGUUAAGAGCGAAACUCUGCUGACUUCUACUAAACAAGGGGAGAGAAGUAAGAACCAAGGACAUAUUUCCUCCUCCUCUCUGUGUCAAAUUGUAAAUUGUAAAUGUAUAUGUUCAGUACCUCACAAGAGAUAAACGUGACCAGAUUACUGAUCCCAUAAAACAAAGAAGGGACGCAACUCAGUGGUACAGCCACAACUCAGGAACUGCCUAGGAGGAAUACAGACAUAUUUUUCUUUCAAAGAAGAAGAAGGAUCGAUUUAUCAGACUUUCUUUUUCUUCACACCUUUGUAGAUUCUUUCAUCUGUAUUCUUGGAAAUUUACAUGGCCUGUUGCUUGUGCAUGCUCCACAGCCUCCUGUUCAUUUACGAUAUUUGCCAAAAAAAAAAAGAGACAGAAGAGCUCUGAAUUUCUAGCAAAAGGAGAGAUGAGCAAAUACCAAGAAGAGAUAACAUUUCAAGCCAGUAAUAGAACCUUCUGUCCAAUCACUCCAAUUUGGCAGACUCCACAACGCAGAGUGAAAUUAGCAGUGUCAGUGUAAAUCCUUUUCCUGCAAUUCAGAAACAUUUUUCAAUUAAAAUGUCACAUGCUGCAGCUUCAAUAUGUCAUUCAUUUUGAUAUCAGAAACAAAGGCUCGUUAUCUUAAUUUAUACAGCAUCCUCAAAUGCAUUUUAAUUAGCUUUCUGAACCAUCAAGAUUUGACUUGAAUAAGAAUACAAUGGGCAAGAAAUAUCGAUUCUUAGGAAACUUACAAGUAUGUGCCACAGACAAUUAGGCUCAUGGAGGAGGACACUUAUGAUACUUCGAUUGAGUAAGUUACACCUUCCAUCAGAACGGUACCAAGACACAUAAUUGUGCACUUGCAGUUUAAUCAAGGAACGUAUUUAAGGAUGGGUAUCAUACUUUGCCAGAUUUGAAGCAUUUCCAGGUGAGUAGAGCUUUAUGGGCCCAAAGCAACUCAUCUCACCCAUACUUAGGAAGUGACGAAGAAAAUGUUUAAUGAUGGACCAUGCCAGACCAAACUUAUGGCUAACACACGGAAUACUUGUCCCACAAAGUCUUUAUUUUCUUGUUUUCAAUCACUAAAUCAGUAAGUUUCAGCCCUCAAAUUGUGGAAAUGGAACAACCAUGCUCUAUCCUUGCUUUCAGCUGCAAAAAGAAAAAAGUUGCAUUUCUUCGGGCUUUGACUCAAGAAAGGAGGACGAAAAGAGAGACACCAUAUUCUAAGAAACAUCAUAACUUCAAAAAGCUCUGAGACACAGAUCAUUACUUCAGGCCUAUUCCCUUCCUUGAUGUGGCCACUUCUAUUCUUCAAACUGAUGUUAUUGUCUUUUCUCUUUAGGAGGAGUGUUAAAUUAUAGCCAAAAUAACAAGAUGUCCUUCGAGCACAGUAAUUCAGAGCAGAGAUAAUACAAAACAAGCACUGUCACAGAACUAGUUUUAAUUUGGAAGAAAGCUGUUCCAUGUCCUGUUAAUACUGGUGAUUCAUUACCUCUGUUGCUCCUUCACCAGGUUACGAGCAAGCCCCUCCACUGGUCCAAUGGUCUGGUCCUUUUGAACAGCAAAUAUUGUCUGAUCAAAUUCUUCUGGAGCUCCAUCAGAUGGAGACAUCUGUUGAAGUCAGAUAUUAUAUUAGAAGCAGCAAUAUGUGGAAAAGAAUGGACCUAGAAAGUGAAAGAUUUCAUUAUCACUAGGCAUCUACUACUACAAUUUGUAUAUCUUCAAAAAAUUUACAUGUGGAGUGACGCAAUUUAUGCUUACACUACUGCUACUUUGUUCUAAGUACUACAGUAAAACUGUGUCAAAGUUACUUUCAUGAUAUUAUUGAUUCCUUUCCGACAUCUACAUCACAAAUUUUCUCAAAACCUUGAAUUCACUAACAACGAGUGCUGAGAUGAGUGAAAUUUCAUAUGGUAACAAACUUGAUGCGUAUAAAGCCAAGACACAAACAUAUGAUUUCCAACAUCAUGAUCAUCCUCAUGAUGAUUAUUCAGGAAUCAAAAGCACGAAAACAUAAGAAUGCCCAAUGAUGUAUGAAGAAAUCAUAGUUAAGGGAGAAGACAUUACGGCUAAAGCAUCAUAAUGCAGUCCAUCAUAUAUCAGCAUAACUCUCUCAUUAUAGUAGUUCCCCUGUUAAAGAGUGAGAUGACAGAGAGAUUAGAAAUUGAAGUCAGUUGAGCCAGUCCAAUUCAGAAAAGCCACAUUGACAUCCACAAAGUGAUACCUGUCCAUAUAAAUCACAUCUUGCGGUUUGAAUAUCAUAUGCUGCAAUUUCACGUCCAUAAUAUUCUGUCAAUAUUGAAAGCUCUAUCGCUCCUACAAGAAGCAAAAAAGAUAAAGCAUAUAUACAGUUCAAUCAAAUGAAUUAACAGACCAAAAAAGGGGGAAAAUAAUUGCAAAGGGAGCACGAAUAACAAUAUUAUUCAAAACAUAUGCAACCAAACAUAUGUGUAAUGAAGUAUCAGUGUUGCAAUCAAGCAACAGAAAGUCCAGUGUCCUCAACAGUUGAAUGCAGCAGAUAUUAAAACUCAGGACAAGACAAAAGCUCCAUAUCAGCUUUCAGUGGUUAUAAGGUGUUCAUCAACCAGUGAUUAUUUAUGAUUUUGAUCAGAGCAGUGGCAGUAGUUAAGCUUUAGAUAUACUGGAAGAACUGCAGUGGAAAAGAAACAGAAAUACACAACACACACCUCCCCACUUUUCUGGGUCUAGAAUCCAAGCACAGUACUCUUCAUUUGGCUUUCCAAGGAAUGCUUCAGAAUAUUUUGUUGGAUCACUGGCCACUGUUGCAGCUAUUACCUACCAAAAAAGUUGAAGUUAAGAAAGGUUAGUAAGAUACCGUAAGAAGCAAACUGAAAGAAUAUCAUUUCCUUAACCAAUUACAAUGAGUAAAAGAAUACCAUUUCCUUAAAAAGUUACAAUGAUUAAUUCAGACACCUUCAAUUUUCACCUGGAAAUGUUUACAUUAGUGAUUCAAUCAGGGUAGGAUGGCCAGAUGCAUAAUCGUUUACAAAGUCAGGCAAUCCAAUGGCUGCUAAAUCUCUUCUACAGUAUGCUAAACAUUCUUGAUUGAGUCAAACAUGUUACUUUAAUGUGAGAUGUAUUGCACAUUACAUAACUAAAGUAAAAUAUUCUAUAGUCAGUGAAACCUUCAGUGAUAUGCGUAUAGACAGACAUGUCUCCUGCAACCAAACGAGACUAGUUAAUCGUCCAUACAAACUCUUAGAAUUACUUGUUAAUAGCUUUCUAGUAUGAACUUGGACAGGAGAUUUAGAUAAUGGUGAGGGCUGGAACUAGCAGCUCCAUAACAUAGUGGCCAUUAAACAAUGUAGAGAACAAAAUCAGAUGGAACUUCAAAGGGCGGAAUGAAAACAAAGGCCAGAGGUAGAAAAUUUUAGAAAUGGCUAUGACUUCCUCUUUACUUCAAGCAAAUAUUUCAGAAGUGAAAUAAAAUUCUUAGAAUUUAGAACAAAGGGAUAAACAUAAUUGACGCUCACAGAAUCUGACCAAUAAAAGUGUCAACAGCUUAUUCAUAGGAAAACUCAACACAAAAAAUGGAGUCUAGUACUAACCGUGCCAAUGCACAGAUAAUUGAACAUAAGAAAAUAGUCUCUGAACCCAAAAUAGCAGCAAUUACACCCAACUAUGUCACUUCACAACUUGCCGGUCCUCAAUUAACUUGAUGAAUCUAAUUUAUAUCACAUUUUACCUAAAUAGAUUACUAGCAAGAUGCAGCCACAAACUACAACCACUCUUCUUCCUCAAUAACAAGGCACAAUUAAAGGGCUUCCAACUAAUACAUAUGUACAACAUGAACAUUUUAUUACCUGUCUCAGCUCAGAUGCUUUGUUUUUGUCAUGGUCCAUAACAUACCUGAAGACAAAGAACCAACAAAGAUAAAAGUAAUUCAAUUCUAUUACACCAUAUUUACAACGAAAGAUGAAAACAAAGAAGGAAACCCAAAAUUUACCCAACAGCAUUAAACAGGCAGCUGUUAUCUGAAGGAAUUACCCUCCUAACAAUUAUGCCCUCCAUCUUUAUUCGCUUAUGUAAUCCUGAAAGUCAUUAAACACAAAGGUGAGAUUCUAAUUAAGGGUUAACAGGAUUUCAAACAUCAAACUAAAAUGUAAUCAAUCAGUCCACGGGACAUAUAGCUAAUAAUUAAAACUUUAUAUAGGAAAAAAAAUGUCCCACCCAACCCAACUUCAUCCCAAGAAAGAAAGAAAACGAAAAACAAGAACUGACGUGUGAUUUCAAGAGCUGUUAAAAAAAACGAAAUACAAGAAAUACACGACUCAUUAAGCACGACUAAAAAAAAAGCUGUGAUUUCUUGACAUGUGAUUUCAAGAAAGAAAGAAAACGAAAUACAAGAAAGAAACCAAGAGCUGUUAAAGAUACGCAUUACUGCGUAAUAAUUAAGCACGACUAAAAAGGUUUGAAGCUGAGAAGGCAUGCGAAUUUUGGAUUUUACUUAGGAAAUGAUUGCAAGAGAAGGGGUGGGUUCUGGAAAACUAGCUCCAGCUAAGAUUCUUCAAACUCCCAAAGAAAGCCAACCCAAAAGCAAGAUAGAGACAAAAAUUUUGUUCCCAAAUCGAAAACUUGAUUGUACACACUGAAAAUGAGCGGUACCCAGAUGAGAAAAAUGAGCAAAAUGAAAAGGGCGUAGAUCUAUGCUUCCAAAGAUUGCUUUAAUUGGAAGUCAAGUAAAACCGAUAGAAAGAUAAGAACCGAAUAUGCUGACACCAGACAAGUAAGCAUUGUAUAUAAAAUAGCGCGCGAGUGCGUUUAAGUUAAAGAUAGAGAGAAAUCUCGCUUACAAUUCACAAUUCAAAUACGUUAUCAGGCUGCACCGCUGCAGUCUGCACUGCUGGAUAUAUGCGGAAGAAGCAAUCUAUGGGAAAUGAAUCUAUACGAGUUUGUGGGAGUGCCUAGAAGCUUAUGCACGAUAUUUAUGGACUGUUGAGAGCCCGAAAGCUCGAGAGGCUGGUGCCUGUGAUAAUAAAAGAGGAAAGUUCAACAGCCUCCCGCUGAAUCACCCAAUUUGUAACAGUAGUAUGUAUCAUUUGGAGUUUUGGACCCUGUUUUUCUACCGCUGAGUAAUAAUUUUAAUGUUUUCUUCUUUUCUCUUUGGGAAAAAGGGCAUGAAGCGCGAAUCUUGCAACGAUGAAAGACGACGAAUCUCUAAUGUCAAUAGAUAUCUGAAAUGAACACCUUUUUUUUGUUCUUCUUUUUGCAACUUUUGGGGGUUGAGCCUUUCAAAAAAUGGCAAAACUUUUCUCCUCCACCUAUUUAAAUUUGUUCAAUGCUCGCUUCCUCUGAGAAUUUUAUGUAAGGAUUAAAAAAAAAUGGUAAAUGAAUACGUAUCCAAGAAAAGAGAAUUCAGCAAUAUAACCUAAAAACCCAGAAUACAAGUCUAUUGUGCCAUUUGAAAGAGACUAUUGCCCCACUUGUCAAAGCACAGAGAUACAUCCAGAACACCAAAACCUGACCCCCUAUCCCGGAAUGGUUUUUCCUUGCUGGAACUAUUAACGGACAAUUGGAGUAGUAUUACAUUUUGCUAGCUAGCAACCCCUCCGCGCCCGGUUCCAAAAUCAAGCUAUUAUUCUUCCACUCGUGGAAGUUAUGGAUGAAUGCUCUUGCAAGGCCUAUGUAAAUGGAGCAGGAUCAGAGUUCCCAAGGAUUUAAUCCUCCGUUUCUGUUCACGGGUGUCCAUAAAAACCUUCCUUCCGAGUAGUUUCAGUCGGUAGAGAGCGAAACUGCCCAUCAUGAUAAUCUCCGGCCUUAACAAGUAGCUCUACUUAGCUGGUUUCGACAUUCAUAAUUAUUAUCUCUAUAUCUUCUGCUUUAGAACAUGCCGCAACUGUACUUUUUGACUUUCCAUCCUGGCCUCCAGAAGUUUUGAUUUCAGACUAUUCUUCUGUGCACUGCGUGGCCACUCAAUGCACCCUUUCAUGCCUUUGGUUAUGUGUGGAUUUCCCGCUUCAGGUGAACUCCAUUGUCCAGCCAUGUCUGGUGGACUGAGCCCAUCUUUACCUGAACCACAUUCUGAAGAAAUCAAAGCCCCAUUUGAAAGCCUUCCAUUGGAAAGUCUUCCGUUCAUUCCCUCCACGGAUAUGAUUUUGUAAUUAUCACUAUUGCUUGGGUAUGAUCUCCAGAGCCUAGAAAUGGAGGACGCCUUCUUCAGUUGCCUAGUAGGUACAGAGCAGACUUCACUGAUCUCUGUGAUUGGUGUCCCAUCACAAACAUUUGCUUCCCAUUCUGUACAAGUUCUAGAAACAUUACUGUCUUGGUGAUCUUUCUCAACAGAUGGAUCACUUCCAUCUGGUGAAUAACUAGAGUCCUGAUCCUCAGGAUGGCUCGCAGUUUCCCAUUCGCUUCCCUCCUCUUCUAGCGUGCCACUCUGAUCGACAAACACGUUAGAAUGUCUCUGCAUAAUGUCUUUUUUAAACGCAUUAAUUUCAGGACUCACUGUACGAAUCUUCGAAGCAUGACUGGCAGGACUAUAUGCAACACAUGGUUCAAUCUGUCUCUCAUUGGGUUCACCGUAAUUAACAUCUUCAAAUACAGAGAAUAUAUCAUCCAGAUUUGGGGGCUCAUAUGUGAACUCACUGACAUCCUUAACAUUCACAGAGGUACCAGCCUGUCGAAGGAGCUCUGCCAUUCUUAUCUCCUCAGAAUCUCGGAUUGCACCUCUUGAACUCAGAAAUGACUCCAGUUCUGCUAUUAGCCUAUUCAUGUCACUGUACCGCUCUUCAAGUGCCACCUUUGCAUCUAUCAGUUUCAUCUGAACCCGUUCCUCCCGCCAGACCUCAGCCAUCUGCAACAUUUUUCUCUCUUCAUCGACUUCCUCCCUGAGCUUCAGAGCUUCCCUCUUCAAUGCUUCAACUUCAGCCUUGUCUUCUCCAAUUUCCUUAGCUAGUUCAUCACAUACUUCCUCUAUCAAUUCUCUGGCCUUGCGCUCUUUCUCAUAGUCCUGCAUAUAACACUUCGCCGAUAACUUGGUCUCAGCCAACUCGUUAACCAGCUUGGAGUUCACAAUUUCCAGUCUUUGGCGAUUUUUCCUCUCUCUGCUCAAGUCAGCUUUGAUGUCAUCAAUAAUUACACGAACUUUCUCAUGUUCUCUGCUACGCCAUGCAGCCUUUUCUUCACUGAGUUUCUUCAGAAAAUGUUCAAGUUUCUUUUUUGAGGUCCGUCUCUCCAGUUCAAGUUCAUGAAUCUGUGAUCGAGCCUGCUCAAGUUGUGUCUCUAGGGCAGAUAUAGCUGCUGAAGCUCUUGCUUCCUGGUCAAACUGCUUUUGCUGCCCAAAUAUCUGUUUUACUUCAUUGGAUGUUUUCCAGCCAACAGGAUCCCAUUUCGUUGCACCUUCCAUUGCAGAGUUGGAGAGUUGAAAUGAGGAUUCAGCCUACAAGGUAUCAUUCAGUUCCCCCACAAUCAGAUCAUGAUAAUCCAGAACCAACAGGAAAACAAUAAAUCGCAGGAUAAGUAUCUCUCUGGUGAUUGAAACUAUCGAGUCCUCCGAAACUUAUCAUAUGGUUAAUACAACCUUUUAAUGACCAAAUUACUAGUUUCAAGAAGAACAUUUGCUCGUAGAGGAGUUCAAUGCAUGUUAAAGAAGAACAUCUGCUCUUAGAGGGGUUCGAUGCAUGGUCAUCAGUCGCCACUCUUACUUAUGCUAAACGAGUCAUGCCUCAUGCCUCACCAUAUGGUCCAGGUCCUCCUUGGUUUCUAAAAGACGUUUCUGUCUUAGCCCAUACAAGUAUGUAGUCCUAGAUCUACCAUAUUUAGUAGACAUAAACAGCUUCGGAAGAACAAACCUGACAAGGACCACACAUACCUUAGAGGAAAACCCAUUUCUUGGACCAGUAACGGACUGGGGACUUCGCACCAGAUCCUUCGUUGUACAAUCGUGCACUUUGCAAUUAUGAUAACCAUGGAAGGGGACCCCGACGUAAUUAUCUCCAGACUGCAAGAAAGAAAAGAAAAGAAAGGUAACAACAACAUACUGAAUCUCAGUCCUUUACCUGACAAAACAAAAUUUUAACGGCUCCAAACUCGAGACAAAUCAGCUCCAGAUCUAAAACAGCACUAAACCUGAUAUGAUUUAAAAUCGUCAAUGGCAACAAAUAUGAUCCUAUAUAACUUAAACAGCUCUUCCAAAAAAAACAAAAUGACCGUGUAGUGCUCAAUCCAAAAUGUCUGUCUGUUUAAGAUAACACAGUACCAUAAAAGGAUGUCAAAAGUUUCUCCAGGAAGUCAAAAAAAUAAAAAUACCGAUGCAUUUCAAUGAAAAUUUCAGCUAAGCAUCCCAACCAAAAAUGAAGGGGAGUUGAGUUAAUGCAAGAUUAGUACGAACUGAUCAACUUUUUGCUCCACAACAUAGAAAACCAAGCAUUCAUUAAUUAUCCCUUAAUUUCAACCUAUACAGAAAUAAGCCUCUAAAGACAGGAUCUUUUGCAUCACACUACCUGGAACCCUAACUUUCCACCGCCGCCUGUAGAAACCUCCGGCAAUUGCAUUCUCCAAAUCCCAGCAGCAAGCUUCCUAGCCGAAACCACAGCUCUAACUUUCCGGCCAUUGUUCCGACCAGCCUCUGGCGGCGACUUUUCCUGCUUACAAAGUUCAUUUUCAUCUUCAACACCAACUUCAUCAAACUUCCAUCGGAGUAAAGGGGUCUCCGGUCUGCUGCUCCUCUUUCCUCCAGAGUCUUUUCUCAGCCGAACUCCAUUGCCGGAACCCCUACUUUUCCUACGAUGUGGCUUGCUAGACUUACUGGGUUUUUCUAAAAGAUCGGAACUUUGAAAAGGGUUGAAUGGUGUCGAAGAUGGACCCUGCUGGAGCUCCUUCUUGCCGGCUGUAAUCUUCAUGCUCUCCACCCUGAUUCAGCCAUUGUAGAACUUCUGACAAAUGUUGAUUUUCUCCCUGAGAUGCCUUUUCUUUUUUUUAUUUCUGGCUUUUUUGAGUGAAGAUGGGAGGGGCCGUAGGGUAUGGGGCAGUGGGGUUUUGUGAAUUCUUGCAGAGAAAUGGUCCCUGGCUAGCUUGGGAUGAUGAGAAAUCAGAGGGCAGACUGAAGAGAGCAAUACGUAUAAGUAGAUUUGUACGGUCAACGUCUCUUAUUACAGUAACCUCGGAUUGCGUUAAUAAAAGCCAGAUAAAACGGUGUCGUGGGAGGAAACUGGUACUUGAGGGCCGAUGACGGUGUCGUAUAGCCGGUGAAUUAGUGUCGAAUCGGUGUCGUUUUUGGAAGGAGCGAAGGCGUCCAAUCGUUGGGGAAUCGGACAGCAGCAUGUGGUUGCUGGUUAAAUUAGUGGCGCCGCGAAAUUUACUGAACCGCCACGCAUGUGACUUGUAUUCUUGUAAAUGUUCACGCACCAAGGAGCGCGUCGUCUCUCUCGUGCGGUAACUAGAACUUGCUGUGAAUCCCAGUAGGAUAUAGCAAAAAGGCCUCAUGAAUCAUGAUCACAAAACAGAGCCCGCAGGAGUAAUCGAGUAAACGAAACCCAUGAUCGAUCUUGUUACGAUGGGACCUGCAAAUACUCCAUCAGUUGUUAAAAUUUUUUCAUUUUUUUAUUAUAUCAAUUUUACCCUCAUAUAAGUAAGGAUUUACACUUAAUCACUACAAAUAAAAUUGUUUGUAGUUAUUAAAUUUCAAUGACUUAUAAAAUCUUCUACUCUUUGCAUUUUUAAUAUCUUGUUUUAUUUUUUAAAACUAGGCUUUUAAUUAUUAUUACUCUUUUAUUAUAGAGAAAAUUAGUUUUUUAAUGUAAACACCUAUAAGGUGUGUUUUGCUCACCAAUUAGUGUAUAGAUAUACAAUAAUAGUAGUAUACUAGUUAAAAGAUUAUGCAUGUUUAUCAUUUUUUUUUCCAUUUUGACUAUUGAUUCAAAAAAAGAACAUUAAGAACUAUUGGGUAUCAACAUAUUAAGGAUUGGGUAUAUAAACAUCUAAGCUAAAAUUUUCCAAAUUAUAAAUAAGAAGAAUCUCCAUCUAGUAGAUAUAGAACAUGAAAAAUGCCUAUUCGACUUUAUUUAGAAAAAAUAUAUAGAUAUAUACUGUUAACAAAAACUGUUAUUUCUUGAAAAAAUAAACACUUGUUUUUUGUUAAUUGUUAUGCCAACGCUUCAACAUUUUGGCGGUAAGCUGGUUAUUGGCUGAAAAUGACUAAAAUAGUUUUUUGUUUCAUCGUAACAAUCAUGUACAAAUAAUAUGACAGUGUAACACAACAAAAUAUCUCGUUGUUUUUGUGGUUUAUUCAAUCAUAUGUUGCAUAAGUGAUAAAUAACUAAAAAGUAAUCAACUUAAGUUCAAUUUUUUUUUUUUGGCAAAAAAAAAAAGAAGAAGAAAGAUUUAGGGAAUGCAUCAUGUUUCUCUAAUAUUUAAAUUUUCAUACGUGGAUAUUUGAGUAUCAUUUCAUUACCAUUAGCUCUCAUUUCGCAAAUGUCAAUCAAUGUGAGGCAGCAUGUCAAAUAAUUCAAUGCAAACGUGUACUGCUUCAUCAUAGUGAUGAGCAAGCAAAGCUCCUUUAGGUUUUUAUUUGCACGUAACUUCCACUACUAUUUGCGAAGUCAAAACAGCUUCCACUAUUCGCACGUCAUAACAACAAUGGUAAGUCAAAAUUAAUAAUGGUAGAAUUUCCGAGUGCUCGAGAAAAGAUGAGAUCACCAAUUUCAAAAACUGUACAUUUGCUUUUGUCCUUGACGGAUAGUAUAUGGCUACGCGCAGAAAUGCGCUUGUUCGACAGAAACAGGAUUGGGCUUGCGUGCGCCUGGAGUCUGGCGAGGCUGCAAGUUUGCGAGCUCUUCCGCUUGGGAGAUGCGUGGUACAGUUGCGGAGAUGGUUCGGAAAAAGAGAAUCCGAGGGGAGUUUCCACGUGGCUGCAAUCAUGCCUUCACACGUAGGCGGUGCUGACCCUCUUGUGGUGGUGAAGGUACUGACGAGUAACUCAUGAGCGGGUCGAAUUUGAACUUGAGAGUAGCUGGAUAAAGGGGCCGAAUGGAGUUCAAUCCUUUCUUUGUUCUUGCUGUUCAAGUGCUCGUCCAGUAUCGAUUAGUUUUAUUAUUUAUAUAAUAAAAUUAUUUCGAUUAUGAAAUGGCCAAUAAGGAUUUAUAUUUUAUGCAAAGUUUUGUAUUUCAAAUUUUUGAAUGCUCGAGCUCGAUAAGGCUCAAGAAUAAUAUAUAGUCUUUUCAAGUCGAGUUCGAUUUUUAAUUGUUCUUUUCUCACGAUAUGAAUUUUUGCUUGUUCACUUGAGUUGAGCUCAAGGUCAAAACUCAAUCAAAAAGCCCUGUUUAUGGUUGAAUUUGACUUCGAAUUAAACACUACUCAAAAUCGAUUCGACUCGGCUCGCAUCACUCUUACGCUUUUACCAAAGCGACAUGCAUACGUGGCUUGCACAUCGUGAUGAUUAGGCAAUUGAAAAUGAUAAUGCUCUUACUACAGUAUAUGCAGGUCGGAUCUCAUCUCCACUGAGCAUCUGUUUUACGAACUACUCAUUAGCCUACGUCGGACAACGGACGUGGAAUGCACAAAUAAUGGCAGUGCUCCCGUUGUUUGUUUCUUCUAUCAGUUCUAAUUAUUAAGUUGGGUAUGUCCUUUUGUUUAUCGCUAUGUAAAUCGAGUAAUAGUUGGACGAGUGAUGUCCAUGCUUGCAACAUAUCUUUUGACUUAUUGGAGAAGAUAAUAGACUCUUAACAGAACACGUUAUCGUUCAUUCUAACAUACUAUUCAAAGAAGGCCAAGUAGCAUAAGUUCCAAACAAUUCACGGUACAUAUUUUGAACCCUUUAAUACGCAUCAUUGGUAUUGAUUUUCUUACUUUUCGUUACUCCAAAAAAAAAAAAAAAAAGGCUGUAAUUCAUAUUUUAAUUACGAAUAUAAGCUGCCCCUAAAAAUUAUUAAGAGAUUCUACGGUCAUUUUCGACUUUUUCAUGAAAUGAUGAAAUAAGUAGUGUUUUUGACUCUUUUUUUUUUUUUUUGCUGACGGAGUGGGUGUCCGGAUCAAUCCUUACGGAACCCAACUAAUCCCACUCCGAUCCGAGAGGAGAGGCUCCAUCUCCCGAACACGAUAAUCAUAGAACUCGAGUCCUUGCGGGCACUGGACAUCAGCUCCUAAGGAGGCUUGCUGACACCAAUCGAGUUGCCCAUGAGCGGCAAGAGAGGUGGUGGCCAUUGACCUUUUGACUUUGAAACUAUAAUAGUUUCAAUUAUUUAAAAAUAUGGACCAAGAUAAUUAUUGAGAAAAACAAUCCGCUUGUGUGCAGUGCAGCUUAACUGCUUGUCCAUUAACAAAAAGAGCUCAAUACUCAAAAUUUUCCGAAGUAGCCCAGCGAAAAGGUACCAGCAAAUCUCAGUUUCCUAUGGGUUUGUUGUAUUACUCCAAAUACCUGUUUAAUUUCUUCAUCUUUACCAAAUCAAUGGGCCCCACAACCACAAAGUAUGAUGUUCUCUUCUCCCACUUGGGGGCAGAACCCGAUGAGGCCCAAUUUCUUUUAAAGCCAUAGUCCAGUUCCUUAUCAGCUGAUUUUUCUUAGUUUUCUAAUUGGGGCAGAACCCGAUGAGGCCCAAUUUCUUUUAAAACCGUAGUCCAGUGGGCUGCCUCCUGAUCUAGCUCUCUGUUAGUCCCCAGCAUAUCCACCGGAACUUUUUGCCUUGAACAGGCCGAAUUGGCAGGUACAUAUAAUUGGCAGGAUUUGUUGACUGUUAGGGACUGUACAGACUGGAGGAGCAGGAGUGUACAUAUAAUUGGCGGACUCGUCUUCCUGUCAUGGCCUUCGGCAUCCCUGGGAAGUGAACACAUUUCUGUGGACGGAAUUCUGCAGGAUUUGGCGUACAAAUUUCUAGAAACUGAAUGAAAACAAGUUCUUCUUCUUCUCCUCCUCUCUUUUUCUUUUAAACAGGUUUUCUUUACAUACGAUAUCAUUCAAUUAUCAGUCUUUGGCAUCUUAACGAUUUCAAGUCUCAAAAAAAUAAACAAGUGUUGAGUUUUGAACUUUCAAUCUGUUUUUUCCAUUGGCGCUGCUAAGGGAAAACUUUGAUAGACCCAACCGUGACAAUGCAGUGAAGGAUCCAACUUUAUCACAUUCUAUUUUUGUUGAUAUGAUAGACCAAUUUGAGACAUGAAAUAUGCGAGGAAUUGGAUAGAAUGUUAUUUGAAAUAUUAUUUGGGAAAAAUUACUGCAGCACUUUUUGUGAUGUGAUGUAUGUGAGAUAAAAAAGUGAUUAAAAAUAUAAAAAGAUGAAUUGAAAAAUAUAUUUAUGAUGCAAACAAAAUAUUAUUCGAAAAAAUCUGCUAUCCAAACACUUGUUAUUUAUUGAAACUCGAAUUCUAAUUGGAUUCUGUCCAUCCACAGGCUCGGGCGCGGCCCGACCCGGCCGUUACAGAAACAGUACAAGUACGCAAGAUCUUCAUGUCCCGACCGCUUCCGCAUUGACAAGAUUGAGACAUAAGCGAUCUCGUCCUUUACAGCCAUCUAUGAGUUAGCCUCUUUUUUUUUUUUUUUUUUGGUUUUCGAACACGAUAAAUUAUAUUCUGUUUUUCGGAGGUCAAUGGGGAUCCAGAAUUGAACCAGAUAAGAGAUGGGUACAUUUGCACUCGCUGAUGAAACUUACAAUAAAUCCUGAACGAGAAUGGAUUUUCUUGACCUACAUUCAAAGAGAGAGUUUUAAAACUCUUCCAGAUUAGAGUGAACGAAUUCUAGUUUUUUUCUAAUUUGUUUUUUUUUUUUUUGAGAGUUGUUAAAUGUGCAAGAAUUCUCAUUAAUACUAAUGAAUAAACCUAUGGGAACUGACAAGUCUGAUUGGCCGAAACCAAAAUGACAAGAGGGAUGUGCAUGAAUCAUGCAUAAAUGCAGACCUUUGAAAUGAAUUCUCAUUCUUUUCUUUUGAUUGUAGGCCCGUAGCUACGGGUUUAUCCAGAUUCGUCGCUUUCUAACACGUCCCUUUUCUGGCAAUUCACAUUCUUCUUUGUUACAUUGGGAAUAUAUAUGAACUAAGUGUGCUAAGUGCACGCAACGUUUGAACCAUUCGGGAUGGAAAUUGAUGCAAGGAAACGUUUGAAGACCGCAUAAUUGAUUGUAUAUUUUUUUAUGUAAUUAAUGUUAUUGUUAUUUGACCGCCACCAAAACAAUGACAGGUUUUUGCUUUUAUGUUUCGGAAGUCAUAAGAAACCCGCACGGCCGCACAAGCGACUGAUUAAAACAUUUAAGAGCUAAACUCCUGACUUUCUUUUUUUAUUAUAUUAUUUUGGGGAAUUUUCCGCCCUGUCGCCGCAGCAUGAUUUCAAGAGUCAGCCGGUCUAUCGCUCAGCCAGUCGCCGUGCAAGUACAUAUGCAUCAAUUUUGCCAUGAGGAUGAGGAAUCCAUAAAAAUGAAUAAUAUAGAAUUGGCAGAAGAGGUAAUACUCCCUCCGUCCCAUUUUAUUAGUCAUGAUUUUUUUUCACACAGAUUAAGAAAAUGUAAUUAAUUUGGUUAGAAACAUAAAUUUAGAUUAUUAAUUUCCUAAAAUACCCUUUUGCUAAUCACGAAGAGUGCCAAUUAAUAUCAGUUACAGCUAAUGGGUUAGUAUUGGAAAAACUCAAUGUAUUCAAUGUAGUGGGUUAGUAUUUAAUAACAAUGUAUUAAUAACAAGAUAUUUAAUAAGGGUAUUUUAGACAAUUUGAAAGAUUACUACAUUUCUUAAUGGGAAAGUGGACUACAAUUUGGGACAGACAAAAAAGAAAAACAAGACUAUCAAAGUGGGACGGAGGGAGUAUAUAUAUAUAUAUACACACCACGUGGGGAAUUAACCCUUGUCCAUGCAGAGAGAACAAAGGAGCCAACUUAGACUGGUUUUGCUGCCACCCUUCAAAAAGUGACGAGAUAUAUAUAUAUAUAUAUAUGUAUGUAUGUAUCUUUCCAUUCGUGCACGACACAGAUUAAUCAACGGUCAAGGAUUCGUCAGUUUUAUUCAAGUGUCCCUCGUGUCGUGGCCAUUACUGGCUUUAAUCCCUCGAUCACUCGAAUUCAAGGAAUGAGAAAAGCCAGUAAUUAAUCAAUCAAUAAGCAAGUUUGAUAUAUAUAUAUAUAUAUAUAUACCAUUAAUAGUGUUGUGAUGUUGAAAUUGCAGGUGCAGCUGCAUGUUUAGCGGAUACAAAUCCAUAUAUAAAUUGUUGUAAGAUAUAAUUAAUCAAGCACUUAAACUCUUAGUACCAUCAAAUUAAGUCAUUAAUCAUUAUCCAUUCAGAGUUUGACAUUUUUUUUCAGGAUGAUAUUCAAGAGUCGAGACAUUGACAAAGUACGUACAAAUUUAUAUAGUUUUCUAUCUACAUAUCAACUCUUCACGAAUUCAGACAUUGACAAAAGUACUUUCAGAUUUUGCGUGCAAGAGUAAGCGAGUUCUAGGAAUUUUAUUUUAUUUUUUGUUGCGAAAAUUCUAGUUAGUAUAAUAAUUAAACCUCCUGGAACUGGAAGUAAUUAAGCGUGGUUGGUCCAAAAUCAAAAUGAUAAGAAUUGAUUGUAGAUUCCUUGUUAUAUAGUAAUUAAAAAUGUUGUUUGACCGCCUCCAAACUCUCUAUAAAGUCAUGUACGCCUCUAAAUUGAAAAUCAGAGGUACUCGUCUUGAAUGAAGGCUUUUCUAGUUCUUUUUCCUUUUCAAUUUCAGCAGUCAUAGAAAACCCAAACAAACGAACCAAAUAGCCGGUAGCUAGUUUGACUACAAAACAUCAAAAUCGAUUUGUUUCUUGGAUUCUCCAGCUUUGUCGUAUUUUAAACUAUUGCCCUGCUUGGCACUUAAAUGUUUUGCCAAGUCUGUCUGCUACAAAUUUUGUUAAAACUAUAGCUACAGUAGCCUCAAAAAACUUUUUAAAAAAUUUUAAACUAUACACUUAAAAAUAUUCAAAAAAGUUAUACACUUCAAAAAAUUUUUUUUUUUAAACUCUACAGUAAACUACAGUAAAAUUUUAAACAAACGUCCAAAAAACUCACUUGUCAAACGAGACCUAUAUCCAGUUAAGACAAUUCUCGCCUACUUUUAUUUCUUUUUUUUUUUUAAUUCUGGACUCGUACUUUAAUUUCUGUUCUAGUAUGACCUAUGAUUAUAGAAUUGUUCAUCCCACAACAAUUUAGCACGCCCUAUCUGUGUUAGAUUUCACACAAUAAGAAAGGUCUUUCCCCCUCAUCAAUUGAACAAAGCAAGGGCCAAUUCCCUCAACACAAAAGACAACGCUAGCUUUAUACUUGCACCAGCAGCCCAAAUUUUUCUCAUCUAAUUACUUUAGUAAUGCUCGAGCAUUUUCGCCUUAUCGUCUCUUCGGAAUGCCCCCCCCCCCCCCCCCCAACAACCAAAAAAAAAAAAUCAUCUUCGGUAUGAGUUUGAACACUUUGGCAAUCGUGGAGAGGUAUUCGGCUAGCAGCAUGAUUUCAACAGUCAACCAAUCUAUUGCUUCGCCAUGCAUGCAAUGCAAAGUACAUAUGCAUGGCCUGAACUACAUAACGUAAUUUUGCAUGUAAAUUAAAGCCAUUAAAAGUGGCAAAAAGAGCUCGAGUUUCUGGGUUCUAAUUUACCUUCUCCUCCCUCACUUCUUUUCUUAGAACCGAUCCAUUUUCUAUUGAAAAAAAAAAUAAAAAAAAAGAGAAGAGAUAAGUUCAAAUGUUUGGAAAAUCGCGCUGCAUAUAUUGGUUAGCUUCCUCGAGGUGGGAAUUUACCAUUAGUCGAUACAGAUAUAUAGAAGGAGCCAACUUAGACUAGCUUGCCGCAAACCACCUUUCAAAAAGUGACAAGAACUUCAGUCUAGUACACGACACAGUUUUUUUUUUUUUCUUAAAUUUUUUUAAUAUAUACGUGAACAGAUUUGAAUACGAAACCUUUCACUUACACUCCAUCUUUCGAACUAUCCAAUCCAAUUGAGGAUUCGUCAGUUUUAUUAGUUAUACUACUAUUAUGGCGUUCAAUUUACUCAACUGAUUAGAAGAGAAAAAAAGAGUGUCAUCCAACAAUUAACGUACUUAUUAUUGAUGAUACCAUAUCAUCGGACUACGCCCCUACAUCAUGCACUUGCAUAAUUGUUGCAAUUAAUCUGCAACUAAAUAAGUACUUAACCUCUUAGUAAUACAUAAAAAAAAAAAAAAACUACUCGAGAAAGUGUUUAAUGAUAUCUUUGUUAAGAUAAAUAAUGAACUCAUAAAGGCGCUCAAUUGUUUUAGAGAAGAUAUUGAUUCGUGGUUUAAUGGAGGUGGACAAGAAUGAGUUGCAUAGGAUAGGUAUUCAGAAAUUCGUGGUAGAUUAUUUGGGAUAAAUAUUUUAAAAAAAAAAAAAAUACUGUAGCACUGUUUUUUAUGUGACGUAUGUAACAUAGAAAAGUGAUGAAAAUUUUGAUAAAUAAUUCGCUAUCCAAACAAAUCCGAUAUUUAUUAGGCUCAAAAAAAAAAAGAAAAAAAGAAAGUAAGUAUCCCUUCACAAAAAUCAAAUGUGAAGCAUUCCACUGCUGUGUCACUUGAAUUAAGUGCACGUACCACUUUCCGUGUCAACAUGCUCGUCCCUUCCUGCUCAAUCUUCCCGAUUGCUCGCAUCAUCGCAAAUUGGCAAUACCUAGUGGUCGACAUGAAACUAUGCAAGAUUCCGGGUUCCCUAAAUGUUGCGUGUUUUUUUGAUGAAGAUAUUAAUUAAAAUAAUUUUUUUCUGAGAAAUUAAUUAAGGUAAUUAUAAUGAUACUUUUUAUGAUGCAAUAUAUAUAUAAAUUAAAAAGAUAAAUAAUUGAAACGUGUUUGCAAAGAAGACUCGUGAUGAACAACUUUCAUCAUGGGACGAGGCCUGAGGGAGCAACCUACUCGUGGGAUAAAGAUUGUGAUAAUGAAAAGCUUAGGGCGCUUAAUUACGACUAGCGUGAGAUCAGCCAGAAAAAAAGCAGAUUAGGGAACCCACACGUGAGUACGAAUGCGCAAGAUUCCACUUGCCCAGUUGCGUUCACACUGGACAUCAGCAAGCAAGAUUCGCUAGCCAAUCUCUUUUCACACGGAGCCGGCUCAUUGGGUUUGGCCUAAUACUCAGCUGCUGCUUCAGUGGCGGAGCUUCGACGGAAUCACCUCUACUUUUUUAGAACAAUUUUCUGAAUUGUUGUAAAAUAAAGUUGUUCUUAUUCGAUGAACGUAUUAACAAAUUUUCUUAUUUACAUGUAUUAGUCACUACCUCUUUAGCCCUUAUCACUUUCUAUAUAUCUCUUUUCAAGGAAAAAAUGGCGAAGAUGUUUUUAGCCACUAUUUUGAAUCGACACAUAGAAUUAUACAUGUAAAUAAUGUUGAAACUAUGACAAAAAUUAUAUAUAUGUAUAUAUAUAUAUAUAUCGUUCCUUUUUUGGUACAAGUAGAAGACAUUUUUCUUCUUCAUUUAUAACUAAAAUUAUUUCUUUAAAAAAAAAAAACUAAAGUUGUUUCUGAAGUUAAAUGAUACAUCACCAAUCAAUUUCAAUUGAACUCAAGAAGGACGAGUUUAAGACGAAUUAGAAGUAUUUGAUUUGAAUUUGAAUUUUUUUUUAUUAUGAGGAUGCAGAAAAUACUUAAGUCCUGUAAUAUGAUGAUUAAAUUUGCAAUGAAAAUUGAGAGAAAGCACCGCUAGAUGCAAGCACAUUAAACUAUAUAUAUUGUGCAUAAAAUUGUAAGAGCAUAGUAAUAAGUACUAGUAUAAAUCAAGUGCAUGUUGGUUGGAGCAAUGUGAUGAUGCAUCAAUUAUAAGUUAGACAUUUAUUUGCUAUAUCUACAGAAAAGCUAGAAUUUCUUCUUCUUUUUUUUAAAAAAAAAAAAAAAUAGGAGUUGAAUGCAAACGUGGCUAAUUUUAAAUUGAGAAUUAUACUUUUUUGACACGGAUGCAAUGGCUUAAAAGAGCACAAGAAAGAAGAGCCAAAAAAGAUCACAAGGAGGGGAAAAUCCUAAACCUGGCCAAAAUAUUCAAUUUGGACUCGUUCUUUCCAUCCCCAUUUAAUUUAAAGAUAGAAGAAGAAGAUAGCCUGCCUCCAAGGUUGAGCAAACAAAAUUCAACCAGGCCUUUCCCUUGGACCGUUCCGUUCAAUUACGUACACCGCCAGGUUGCAUGCAAUUAAGAGAGGUUUGAACAAGUCCAGUAGAAGCCUCUACUCGUCCGAGUAAUCAGAUAAUCAUAUCCGUUUUCCGUCAAACAAGUUUUAACUGGUUACACUAUGGAAUAGUAAGUAGCUAGCUGACUGAAGUGUGCUGAGCCGCCGCCGCCGCCACCACCAGCGGUCCAAUAAAAUUGCCUCGACUCAAUCAAGAGGCCAACCAAGAACAGGUGCAGUGUGGGACACGGACCCAAACAUUCCAAACGCUCCAGCACCUGCCAGGUAGGAUACCCUCGUGGCAACCAUCUUCUUUAUCACUUUUCUGCUACUACUAGUCUACUACCACUCGGUACAUUCAUUUUGUUUUGUUUACUACAAUGAAACGUGCAAGAUUUUUGGCGUGCGUGCGUCAUAGACAAUAGCAUCAAAAAUUUUUUCUUUUUCAUAAUAUGCACAUUCAAUGGUCAUUCAUAUUUCUGGAUAUGUAAUUGUUUGUUUCUUUUGUGUAAUUCUUUUGGCUGUUCAAAUUGGUCAUUGAAAGAAUUCCCCCGCGGGCUCCACCUGCCUCCCUGAGUCCCUAUAUAUAUAUAUAUCAAGAUCUUACUCGAUCGCUUUAGUAAUCAAUUCCAAGCAUUCAUUUGUUAGAAGAUGGGAAACUGUAUUGUCAAAGAACCCUCCACAGAAUGGGGAGGGGAUGAUUGGGGCUCUCUCUCGACGUUGCCAUCAGAGGCCCAAAAAACCGUGUUCUCUGGUGGGGCUGGCCAAGACAACAACAGGCUGUAUAUGAAGAAGAAGCCAACAAAGAUGGAGGGACAGAGUUCUCUUAGAGGGAAGCAGGAGGCUAAAUCUUUUCCUUCGUCUACCACAGCAGGGACAGAGGUGAAGAUCAAGAUCACGAAGAAGCAGUUGGAGGAACUUCUGAGUAAGGUGGAUGUGCAGGGGAAACCGGUGAAAGAGGUUUUAACACAGUUGCUCAACAACCUUAGUGAUCAUGGAAAUGAGACGCAUCAUCCAAGCUCCUGGAGGCCUGCCCUGCAAAGCAUACCAGAAGCUGAGGUGUAUUGAACAAAAGGGUAGGUGUUAAGUUAACUUGGUCCUGUAAAGUCUGUUAUUUGUAUUCGUAUAGUAUUUGUUAGGUCCUGUAAAGUUUUUGUUUUUGAUGAGGUUCUGAAUUCAGACAUAGAUCAUGCAACUCUCAGCCUCCAUUUAUCUCCGUCACUUCCUUGAUCCCAAUGGAAAUGGGGUUGAAACGGUUCUUGGAAAUUUUUGUCUGUGUACAUAGGAAACAGGAUGAACAUGUUUUUUUUUUUUUCUGAGCCGUACUUGACGGUGUCAGUUACAUGAAUCAAAUACUAAGCUGCUGCUACUCUUUUUUUUUCUUGUUUUGGGGGUGGGGAGGGGGGGGGGUGUGGUUUGUUACUUGUUAGACUACAGCUAUUUUAUCAACAGAGCCAGCUAAUGCAAAGUGACCUCGUGUUAAUUAUUUGUUUAGGUGUUCCUACACUCCUGCAAACAUUUUGAUAUAAUCUUAGAUCUUGGAUGGAAUUUACAUGCCUUGAAUUACAUUAAAAACUUGAUGUAUGGUAAUUUUCUGAGGCAGGCAUGGUUGAUAAUUGGUCUGUGUUUCUGGAAAAGAGGACUUGGAUACCAGGAACAUUAACCUGCUAAAUAAUAUUACUUACUACUGUGUAGCAUUAAUGAGUUACUCCACUUUUAGCCAAAUCAGAAGACCUAAUUCAUUAACACUACAACUCAUAAGACUAAUUCAUGUAAUAGGGGCAAAAUCAAAGAUAAUCGAGUUAAAUCCUAUAAUAUUGGGACCUUUUUAUUGACUUUAACAUUGCUUAGAAUACAUAAUUUUGACUCAAUUACUAUUUGAGCUAAUCUCAAACACAUGAUAAUUAAGUUGAAGGUCGAAUCAAGGUUUUUUUUUUUUUUUUUUUUGUAUUUAAAAAAAAAAGUCAAAUCAGGCCCUAAUGAGUAAUGGCUUGAUCUAUUUACUAUAGUUCUCCUUCCGUCCCACUUUGAUAGUCCAGUUUCUUUUUUCACACAAUGUAAGAAAAAGUAGUUAACUUUGUUGGAAAAGUAAAUUUAGAUUGCUAUUUUCCUAAAAUACCCUCACAUUAAAUAUGGUACAACUUAAUGGGAACUUGAAUUGAUGGUAAAAAAAAAAAUCAACCCUCAUUAAAUGGGAUAGAUUUAUAGUAACAACUACUCACAUUGAAUAAGGAUAUUUUAGGAAAAUUAAAAUACAACUACAUUCUUCAAUUGAAAGUGGACUACAAUUUGGGACUGAUGAAAAAGGAAUACAGGACUAUCAAAGUGGGACGGAGAGAGUAGUAUUUUUGGACUUGAAGAAGCUAACUCAUAUAGGCAAAAUUCUCCGCCACGAGACGACAGCGUAUAGUACAAUAAGAAAUCAGAUUACUUUACAAACGCCCUGCUUUUACGAGUCCAAUUUUGAUAUGAUUAGAAGGAAGUCGCUAAAAAUUGAAAUCCACAACAAAAAAAUUCAUUUUUGAAUCUCAUUUUGGCGCAAAAACAAAUAAAAAUCCUAAAUAGUCGCAUUCCUCACCUCAAUCCUCCGCACAAUGGCGGAUUUUGAACCUCCAUCGUUCUUGCUAGGGUUCGAUUUGGACCUGAACCGCUAGAAGACCGGAACCAUCAACCAGCUAUGAUAACAAGGGUUAAUUUUUAGAAACCCCUCUUAAGGUUUCUGACAGUUUCAUUGCUCUCCCUUGAGAUUUUAAAAAUAUCAUUAACCUUCUCUAAAAUAAUAUGUUUUUGUAGCAAAUUAGCUCAAUUCAAAAAAAUCAACAAUAAAAAAAUGAUUUUAUGCUUUUAUUUUAUUUUAACUUCAAAGAGAUAGUAGGUUCCCAAAUUCUAAAUCAAACCAAACAAGACCAUUAUGGUUUAUUAAAAGAAAAGAGAGACCAUUAUGAACUUGGCACUUUUUGUCCCCAUAAAUGACAAAUUGAAAGGAAAAAUACAAUUUAUUUUGGGAGAAAAUAUAGAAUAAUAGAUUUUUAAGACUUGUAAAAAAUGAAAAUUCGAAAUAUGAUAAAUUCAAAAAAAAAAUCAACAAAACAAGCAUAUCAGAUAUGAUAUGCUAAUUCUCUUAAUUAAACAAAUUGUAUAUGUUUGGUUUACUAGGUUUGCUUUUUCUUUUAUUUGAUAAAUGAAUUUAGCACACUCUCGUGAUUUUUUGUAUCACUACAUUAAUUUAAAUUAAUGAUUUUAAUGUGAAAACAUGUCAAAAACUAAAAUGAGUCAAACUUCCAAUACAAGAACACUUUCAAUUAAAAUAAUAAUUUCUUUGUUGGAUUUUGCAUUUGUUUUGUCUUUAAUAUAUUUUCUCAAAGCAUUGAAGAUUUCAAACAUGAAUUAAAAGUUUCAUAAUUCUAAAUAUGAGUUAAAUAUGAGCUUUAUGCAUAUUGAUGGCUCCAUUUUUGUGGUUAUUCGUUAAAAGCAUCACUUUUGGCACCAUGGUGAAAUCAUUAUUUCGGAAGCAUAAAAAUAAGUAUUAGCAAAAGAAUUGUGAUAUUUAUUUUUAGGAAAAAGGUUACGUAUGUCAUUUAGCAUUUGAAUCCAUUAAAAAUAGCUUUCCAAAAUAUAAAAUAAUUAAUUCAUUAACUAAUUAGGUUGUUUCUUAUACCUUAUAAGGGCAUCUGUUAGAAAAUCCCUAAACAAAAUCCAACACCUAAGUUAGUUCAAUCAUACUUGGUAGCUCCAUGUAGCAAGGGAAGCAAUGAGAAACCGUUUAAACGGAUUAUUAAUUGUUUCUGCUUCUUCAAAAAUGACAAUAAUUAACAUAACAAUUAACAUCCACUAAUAUUACCGUGCAUAAUAAUUAAGACUUAAAUCGUUAACUUUUUGGGGGAAAAACAAAUUGAUCAUCAAACAAACCCAUAACAUAAUGACUAGCAUCCACCAAUAUGCCCAAGCACUAAUAUAGGGAAAUAACUCUCUAUACACUCUUUUCCAACCUCUUUACAGGUGAUUUUAUCAGAAUAUAGCCAAAAAAAAAAAAAGCAUGAUGCUGCACUAAAGUUCCACCAACAUGCCCUAGUGUACAGUGGGUAAUUCCGUUUCCUGGAAAAUGCAAACCCGUCCAGGUGGCACGUAAAUAAAUUUUAAUAGAAUGUAUAGCCAAGCAGUUUUUUUUCAUUAAAUUCGCCAUUUACUAAGCACUUCCAUUUUUUACAUAAUUUUUUUUUAAAAAUUGCAAGUAUAAAUAUAAGAUUGGCAUAAAAUGACACAAGUAGGGAACGCGACGUCGAGUAUUUUCACAUUCAACUUUAAUAAAUGUUAACUUUAAUAAAGGUGAUUUGACAUAAAGUUUAUCUAGGAAAGCUAAGAAAUAUGGAAGGAUAAGGGUGCUUAAAUAUAAAUAUAAUUGUUCAAGUAGCCGUCGUCAUUAUAAAUUUAGAUUGUUUUAUAUAUUAUUUACUUAAACGAUUAGAAUUUUUCCUAACAAGUGCUCGCACCUAAAUUUCAUCCAACCUAUCAUAUAUAUUCACAAGCUAACUAUUAUUACCAGCUCUCGCAGUUAUAUACUUUCUCUAAUUAAUCUUAUAUUUUAAAAAAUUUAGCACCUACAUUAGAUAGACCAAAAUAAUUAUUAUAAUAUCAAGGAUAAUUAAUACCUGAUUCGCAUGCAAAGAUCAAAAUUCUUUAAGUGGUAAAAAAAAAAGAUUAAAAUAGCUAUUGUAUUUUAGUGACUUUGGUUUUCUCUUCCAUAUUUAUUAACUUAAAGAAUGGUUAAGCUAUUAAGGGUAGUUUUGUCAAUUUGCAUGCACUAAGGGUAAUUAGUGUUCCAAUCCAAAUGACAAGGGAAUUAAGUGAUAUUUAUGAAUCUUCAAAGGUUCUGAGUGAUAUUAGGCAAAACUUCAAGGGAGGUUUCUGAAAUCAUCCCUAAAAUCUGCCUAUCAAUAAUUUCCAUUCACAACUAAAUGUUUAUCUUUUCCUUUUAUUGGUCCUUCGCUGCUUUUUAGUCGUUGGUUCUAUUUUAUGAGUUUUAUCCAUCCUUAACUGCUUAUUAGUCUUUUUUUUUUUUUUUUUUUGACGACUGGGGUAUCCUGGUCAAUUGACCAGACUAAUUCCCCAAGGCUGGAAGAGCCCGCCCAAGGAUUCUAUUUAAUCCUGGUCAAUUAACUGAUUAUUAGUCGUUAGUUCUAUUUAAUGAGUUUGAUGUACACUUUCAUGAUGUACGAAUCUUUUUUGUGAUUAAUACGUAGUUCUAUUGCAAAAAUGAUUGAAUUCAAGAUAAGGCCCAUAAAUCUGAAGUUUUCUUCCCAAGUAAAAUAUUGAGCGGCGGCCAACAGAAAUUCCUAAAUUAUUGCCAGGAGGACCCCCGGGAGGGGGGGGGGGGGAGAACGGGUUGGGAUCUUUUUUCGGGGAUCCCAAUUCUAUUCCACUCGUGGUUCUAAGUGAGUUUCCUUCUGUACUCUUGUCGGUUCCUAGAAUCCUUCUGUAUAUAUUUAUGUAUGCAUAUAUCCUUCUGUACUCGUGGUUCUAAGGUUCUUUAGUCGUGAAGAGAAUUCACAUCCUUCGUGAGGAUUCUAGUUGCUUUGAUUGUUUAUAUUGCGGGUUUAAUUACUUCAGAGGGCAGGCCAAGGUGUCAACAGUCAAUUCUGAUGAAGGAGAUGAAUCAUGAUGUGCAGCCACUACUGCCUGAAGAGGUAAUGACUGAGAUUCUGAUGAGAUUGCCCGUGAAAUCACUGGUGAGAUUCCGUCGCAUCUCCAAAACAUGGUGCACAUUGAUCAGCAGCCCUUGGUUUGCCGAUAUGCAAUUCAGCCAUGUUAAUGCCAACGGCGAUAACAGCGAGUAAAAUGCUGUUAUCUUUCCAUUCUUAUAAUCACCAUGAGGUUGAAGAUUAUGGAGACAAUAUUGCAUCUCCGGCCAGCCGCAUUAAAGUCGCAGCCCCUGAUUGGGAGCUACCUGCUUCAUCGGAUCAUGACAUAGUUGGAACAUGCUACCCGCAUUAAAGUCGCAGCCCCUUGCUGCAUUGGAUCCCAGAGAAUCAGGUUGAUUGGUCCGCGAGAUAGCAGACGAUGCAGCUGCGAAUCUUGCUGUGUUGGAUGAUUUACUUGCCUUCUUCUUAGUCAAGACGCCUUUCGAGUCACCAUCUGAGUACUUGAUUUUUUUUGGGUCGACGACACAGGGGGUACUUGAUUGAUAUAUGGGCGAUGAGGGAAUAUGGCAUCCAAGAGUCUUGGGUCAAAAAAUCUUCAAUAGACUUAUGGGUGCUCCAUUAAGCUAUGAAAUCCCAUUUUGUUCUUGGACUGCUGAUACUCUCCUUCUGACCUACCUCCGACGAGGAGGCGGGAGGCAACAGCAACUGAUUUCUUGUUCCGUCCAAAAUAAUGGAUCCCAGGAAAUUGUAAAGGAGGGGCAUUAUAAACUUCCGGUGGAACCGUUAGAAGAAGCCAUAGUUUAUGACGAAACUUCGGUUUCCCUCGACCAAAUUUUGAGCUGAUCCAUUUUUUUUUUUUUUUUUCCCUUUGAGAAUAAUUAGACGACAUUGGAUGCUCAUAAUCGCUGAACUCUUUCUGACCUGCCUGAUCACGGCACUCUUCCUUUGCAUAUAGAUGCCUAUAGACUGAUUAUCUCAAGUGACAGAUUAUUGCUUCUGCACACAAACUAUAGGAGCCGUCUCCGUUGAACAAAAUAUACUGAGACAAAAUGAAGAUGCAUCCAUGUGCAAAAGAAUGGAGAUAAAUAGGUGCAAGAAGUGUUCUUAUAGAAUAAUAAAGAUGAAGAAGUGCAAGAAAUGCUGAUAUUCAACACACUAGUUUUUUUUUUUUUUUUAAAUAAUCAAGGAUGGAAGCAAGACAAAAAAGAUAGAAGAUAAGUAUUGUUUGUUUCAGAGCUACAAAAGAUAGCGAAAAUUUUUGGAGUUCUUUGUUCUUCCAAAUUUCCAGUAAGGAUUUUGUUACCUAGAUAAAUUUCUCAAAGUACAAUCUAGCCACUCAAAGUCAUUUGUUUGAUAAAAGAACAGUCAACAAGAAAACAAAUAAAUAAUUGAUUUGCAGCGCUCACAUAAUGUGAACUUCAUGCUUGGACCUCAGUAUACAUACAUGGAGUAAUGAACAAAAAGAGCACAAUUGCAGCUCGUACACAUACUCCCAGCACGACCCAUAACCGUAACCCGAACUUUUUGAAUAGGAUUGUUAUCAGACAUCUCUGCCUCUCUCUUUCUCUCAAAGCCCACCACAGAACAUCAGAAUUAUUGGAAGUUAAAAGAUUGUAAAAGAUGACUGUGGAGCAUAAUUGUACGGAAUUUUUAUGAAUGGAAGAGGGAUGAUGGUGAAGAGGUGGUAGAGUAGAGGGGACUAGAGCAGAGCCACAAGAAGAGAGAGAGGAGGAAACGGGAGGCAGCUGUUCGGAAUAAAAUUAAACUAAGCCAUCCCCCUCAUAAGAUGUCAAAUCCAUAUCUGAGUCUGUUUAGUGACAGAUAGUCAAUUACUCAUUUUGACAGUGAUGCUGUCUCUUCUUCUUCUCCUUCUUUUUAACGAGAGAAAAAAAAAAUCCUAACAUUAAAACUACUCAUAAAUGGAGUCGUAGUAGUCUAAGAGCUAUGAAAACGUUGAGAUCAAAUUAAGUAAGUUUUGUCAUUUAAUGAAACGUAUUACUAACAUUUUCUCUUGUAUCAACUGGACUGAGAAUUGAGUAUAUUAAAGUACAAGUGGCUGAAUCUGUAGCCCAUUUGAAGGGGGGGGGGGGUAACAAGAAAAUAAAAAAGACCCUGUUUAAUAACAGACUCCAAAUUAGGUCAACAUACUCUCAAGAAUACAUUUCUUGGAGUAUGAUCUGUAUCUAAUUACGGGCAAAAUGUUUAUAGACCCGCAGUUUAACAGAAAAUGAAUGGACAUUGAGCCAAUAUUUGGAUUGCUGUCCACCAAAAUCAAUUGAAUCGGUACUAGUAGAAGGCAUCUAUCUUGCAUUCGGCUCAAGUAUAUCAAACUAGAGAACUAAUUUACAUCCCACAAUGUACUAUUUGCGGUAAUCUGGUGUUGCUUAGUUUCCAUCCAUACAAGAAUGUGAAUAUUCCAACGAACAUACCGAUGAUCACACUACUAGCCAGGUAAAGCGUAUGACUGAUAGUCUAUACUUGUAAUGCAAGCUCCCAUGCACAAACGUUUCAUGCAUCAUUUGCUGACUACUUGAAUAAGAUUAAAGUCUUUGGUGUAUCUCGGGCAUUGCCUAAACGAAGCGUUAGGUCUAAUGAAGCAGAAUCUUCUUCAUCAAAGUCAUCAUCAGGAUGUCUCUUAGGAUCGGUACUGGUCCUACGAAGCCAUUCAUUAAAAGAUACAUCAGAAUCAUAGCCGCCUUCAUUGCCAUGUUUAUCAUCUUCUGCUGCCGGGUGACCCUGGCCUUCUGAGUUUAAUCUUUUCAAAUCAACUUUUGCCUUUUCCCCAAGAUGAUGGUGAUUAUCAAAGGAUCCCAUUUUUGUGAUUUGGCUACGUUGUUUCCUGAUACCCAAUUCCGGACCAGUAUUAACAUCUUCGUCGAGAUUAACUUGGACUAGUGUAGCUGCAUCGUGGUGCUCUUGAUCUUGAUAGAAAGGAUGAAGUUCAAGAUUUGGGGAUAGUGAAGCUGUAUCAUGCAAUUCUUGAUCUUGAGGAGUAUGAAAAUGAAAAUCUUCUUGAAUGGCGGUGGCAGGCUCGCCAGCAACGGCUUGCUGAUUAUCAGGAUUUUCCUGAUUAAUGGGAUGAUCAUUUGGAUGAAAUGCUGCUUCCUCCUGCUGCUGCUGAUAUCCUUGGCCGUGGGGUGGAUUUUGACGAUGAUAAUGGGGUGGCGGGAGAUACCCAUCUCUUCUUGCUCUAUAACCAGUAUGAACAAUGCAUCAGCCGAAGAAUAUGAGUAAUUAAUUUAAUACAAAUAACAAAGCCGAGAAUGCAUAGCAGUACUAAAGAUUGGAUUUACUUGGCUUUUAACCAGGGCAACAUCUUGGAAGCUGGAUAUGGAGACUUGCGUAAUUGUCCAAGAACUCGAUAGUUUUUUUCCAGAUUGAAGUUAAUUCUGACGAAUUCUAACCAACAGAAACAACAAAAGGAAGUAAAAAGAUUGAUUCUUGGAGAGAGAUGAUCAAGAAAGUUGGAAAAAGAAUAUGCAAUUUAUUUUCUCUGUUUCCGAGGUCAGCACAUGCGUUAUAUAAACUGAGUUUAAUUCAUACCUACAACUUCACAUUUCCUCUCUAAUUACAGUUGAGCAAGCAGGACGGAAAUGGAGCUUGGAAUUGUGAUACAAAGGAGAUCAGGGAGAGGAGGCGAGGAGUUGAAGGGCUUUUUCUGAACUGUGUUUUGGAGGGAACUUUGUAUUUAAAGAGACUUGAAAUGUAACGUUCAUUUGAGCUUUCACAGUCCUCUGCUGCUGUUUAGAUGCCUGCUAACGAUUUUGUGAAAUUCACCCCCAGAGAGAGCUUGGGCCUCUUGCCCAGGAAAGUUUUGGACGAGGUGGUACUGAUCAAAAUUUUGUUACAUCUUCCAGGAACUUAUGAUGGGGGGUGAACAUGUGCUUUAAUCAAGAAGAGAAUUGUAUAUAACAUAAUAGAAAGAUAACAAAUGCCUUCUGUAAAAAUAUUUUCGGUAAUUCGGGGAUCAGUUUUUUAAAACCAAUAUCCGAUUACUGUCCAAAUUUUAGUUUGGUAAAUUGGACCGAAGAAUCAGUAAUUUGAUAACAUCCAAAAUUCAAAAUGUUAAUAGUGAGUUAAAAUACUUUUUUUUCUUUAAAAAAUGAUUCUGACAAAAUAACAUCCCAUAUAUUUUUCCAAUAAAAUUCAAACAAAUUAACUCAAACAAAUAUGAUAUGCAAAAAAAAAAAAAAAGUCAUAAUCCUAAGUCUUAUCUCAUAAUCUCAAUUCUUAAACAACAUUGAAAUAAAUUCCGUUUUACCGGUGCCCAUUUUUCAUUUUUUUCCCCCGAAAUAUGAACGCCCACCCAUACAAAUGCGUGCAACAAGACUACAGCGAGUCAUUUGCAUUAACUGCGUCAAAUCCAUCUGCUAAUUCGUAACUGAGAGCGAAAAGGAUUAAAAGUCUUGAAGAUUUGAGAACAAUAUAUAGGUUCAGUGGGCUUGUGACAAAAACUAGUUCCAAAAGCAAGACAAAUAAUGGUUCCACAUUUUCACUCGGCAAUUGCAUUUUCUUCCCCCACAAAUAUAUAUAUACAUAUAUAUGUAUAUAUAUACGCAGAGAUGAAUUUGCAUCCUUACCAAUAUGCUUAUAAAAUUCCACAAUCCACGAGGUCUAAAUACAUGUUAUCAAUAGCUACAUAUUUCUGGGCCAUGUUUCAUCGUCUUAGAACAAUUCCAUUACAAUUAUCCUUAUUUUCUAUUCCUCUCUAUAAUCUUUCACCAAAAAAAAAAAAAAACUUGCACUUGUUUCUUGCAUUAAUUUCGAAUUUAAUAUGUUCUGUCUCUUUCUUCUUCCCUUCUGAAAUAUGUAAAACACAUAGAGGGUUUUUCCUUAAAUAAAAGGGUUGUGAUAGUUCAAUGCAAAUUGUCACGAUCAAGGCUAAACAUAGACCAAAAAACUUCCAUUGCAUCUUUUCAUUGUUUUUAUUUCAAGACUAUUUCUAGCAACAACUGUAUAACACCAUACGCAUGGAAAUGACUAAUUUUUUUUUUUAUAUAUAAGUGAAAGAUAUUGAAUUGAGAAUCUAGUACUUUUUUUACCUUAUCGUCUAAUCUAACUAGACCUGUCAACGGAUUGAGUUUUGAUCAAAAUUGAAAAUUUCGAACCCGAACCCGAAUCCGACUCGUAUUUCUGACAGGUAUUGUGCUUAAGAUUCUAGAAUCGGGUGUGAUGGGUUCAGGUUGGGUCCGGGUCUAUCCGAAAAGAAAAUGCCCAACAUGUAUCAUUUAUUUUCUUUUAUCUAUGCUAGCAAAAAGACCCCAACAUGAUUCCUGGAUUUUUAGAAAAAAGCGCUUAUAUGCAAUUUGUAAUGAAUACAUUUCUGGUGAAACAAGUUUGCCUCUUCCAAAUCUCAAUUUCUUAGAUGCGUUAUCUGGGAUAUGGGUAAUUUGGUUAAUUUCGUAAAAAAAAUAUUUUUUGUUAAUUUAGUAAAAGGAUGUAUUUAAAAAUAUUUAUAUUUUAUAAUUAUUAAUAUAUUAUUUGAGUUCGGAUCCAAGUUAAAAUCCUAUAUUUCAUAUUGGACUCGCUUCUUUAUUAGAGCAAACGAGUACGAACCCGGAUUCAAGUAUCAAAAUUAUUUCUCAAAUUAUCGGAUCCGGAUCCAAUCCGAGUCCAGACUCCACCAGUUGGCAGCCCUAAAUCCAACCCUCCUCGAAAAUAUGACUGAUAAUUUAAGGGAUUAAUGUACAUCUUCAUGGAGCAUGUAAAUUAAUGACCUCCAAAGUGUGGAAAACCAAACAUUGCAAUUUCUUUUACAACAAAUACAAUGCGUAGAAGCUAUAACCAAUCAUUCUAUCGUCAGUAUAUCCUGAAUUCAGCAGAAUCAUGUAUAUGCUGCACAAGAUAUUCUCUUGUUCAGUAUCAUUAUUGUCUUCCUAUCUCUUAUCUUUUGUCUAUUCCUCCGCCAAAUCCUCACCAAACACCUUGACAAUACUUUUAUAACCCCAAAAACUAAACUCAAGAUCCGCCACAUAACGAAUCAUUUCAGGGCUGAUUCUGUCAAACUGAACAAGACAAGGCCAAAUUGGUGGUAUUCACUAAAAACUUUGCAAUAAUGGAGUUGUCAAAAAAAAAAAAAAAACUAUAUUCUUUUUUUUUCAAGCAGGCCAAAAAAAAAAUUGAGGGAACUCUCUCCAACGCCAAUAAGUUAUCAUGCUCUCGGACAGUGACUGUAUGCAUCACUUCCUGUUGCAUUUUCUAUUGCUUUUCUGUUUCUUCCUUUCAUCCUCCACAAGCUCUUACUUUCUUUCUAUCUUCCCCUCACUUAUCUCUCUAUCCAUCUUCGCCAGUUUAUUUUACUCUCUAUCUUCCUCUCACUUAUCCCUUUAUCCAUCUUCAGAAAUUUUGUUUUGCUGACUUCCUUGUAUUUCUUGAACCUUUUCUUUCUGUUCUCCGCCUUUCUUUGCCAACAGCUCUCAGGAAGUAGAUGAAGGUACGUUGAAAGACUGCUUUCCUGAACGAUUCCUUUCUGGGCUUAACGUUUUCAGCAACUUUAUAGCACUGCUUUUGAGGAAAAAUCAAGUCUUUCUAGUUUUAGGAUCGUUCUCUAUUGUCAAUGAUACUGUAUAUGAGUUAAAAGGCGUGUCAAUGUUUUCUUCAUUGAAAGAAGCUUAUUUGACUGGAAAGACUUCUCUCUUUUUUUCGCCUCACUCUCUUCCAUUUUUUUUCUAUGUCGCUUUCUCAGCAACCAGGGUUGGUUAUGAUAAUUGAUUCAGUUGGAUUCUGAAAGCUUCAAUAAAAUAGUAAAGUGGGAUCUUAAUUAUGGUUGUCUUUUCGUACUUUUCUUCUUCACCCUCUUGGAAGCCUGAACAAGGUGAUAUAAUAUUAUUGACUUGCAUAAUCUCUGGUCCUUUAUGUGAUAUGUAUUAUUUUAGUAGUACUUUCUUUUGAUGCCUUGUCAUUGUAGACUCAUAGUUUGUCUUGUGGGUUCUUGAACUUUCUUCUGGACAGAUUUAAGCUGAUUGGAGAGAGGAGUUGGUUGAUAAUGGAGAUUUCUGGAAUUGGUUCAUUUCUAAGGAAUAGGAGGUUUGGGAACUACCUUGAAGCGAGUUUUGGGGUGAAUUUUGCCUCACCGUCAAAAGUAGCCGUAAAGGAAGAGGUGGAAAAGAAGAUACAAUCUGUUGCUUUUGUGGAGGAUGAUGGAAUAGGGGCUGUGUUGAUUUCAUGGGUUAGGAUCGUUGUUUGUUUCGUGACAAUGAUGUUUACUACAUUCAUAUGGGCCUUGAUCAUGCUGGUGCUUUUUCCUUGGCCUUACCAGAGGAUCAGGCAGGGUAAUAUCUAUGGUCAUUUGACCGGCAGAUUGCUGGUAAGUAUCUUGCUUCUUGUUGCACCUUUGUAUUUGAUGAUUUUUCCCCCUGGAAUUCUAUCCUUCAUAUGUGGUUGCACUAUAGUUAUUUCUGAUUGUUUGUGAUCAUCGUGAACCCUGCAUAGUGCAAAAGUUGGAAAACUAUCAAACUAAGCUUUAUUGCAAUGUCUUGGGGAUGUAUGUUGUUUAGAAUCUCAACGUUCCUCAUCUUGAAUUACUAAACCAAAUUAUACACUCUUCCAAAUUGAACAAGCAUUUAGUGUUUGUUGGUUUGCAUCCAGCGUCAUGUUGUUUUCCAGACAUUUUUUUGAGAAAAUUUUUUAUCAUAAUGGCAUCCCACACACAAUGCUAAAACGGUGGUUUGGAUUCCUCGGACAUGCAAUUUGAUUUACAAGGAGAUGCCCUAUUUGUAAGCAAAACUUACGAGAGCUUCUAGAUCUUAUGUGGCUUAUUGAAGUUGAUUAAUUCGGAAUCCGGGCGCCUUCUAUGUAGUCAAUGGCAAUCAAUCACUGUCUUUCCAGAAUUAUUACCAGAUUUUUCCGUAAUUGUAACUUGAGUGAUGCUAAUUUCUAGUUAUCAUUCCGUCAUGUUAAUAUGCUGCACGCAAUUAUAACAUUCAGAAGUUCAGAAGGGAAUCACCCUUCUUACCAGACGAAGCAACAAUACAUUCAUUUUAAGUCAGCAAGGAAAUGCUGUUACAUGAGGCACAUCUAAAAAUAUACGUUAAGUGUUCAAGUGUUCGACGAUGAAAAAGUUCAGAUUGUUGAUUGCAGAUGUGGAUCUUAGGGAAUCCCAUAAAGAUUGAAGGUUCUGAAUAUGAUGAAAAGGCGAUUUAUAUCUGUAACCAUGCAUCUCCCAUCGACAUUAUUCUUAUAAUGUGGUUGACACCUACUGGCACUGUUGGUGUUGCGAAAAAAGAGGUAAAAAAAAAGUGAUUUCUUUACUAGUUUAUUCAGCAGACUUUGUUACCCUUUAGUUAGUUUGACUAGUCAGUACCUGGAAUGCUGCCCUUUAGUUAGUUUGACUAGUCAGUCCCGAGAAGUCAGGCUUGAACACUGAUACAUGUCAUUCACUUUGUCAAAAAGAACAAAAAGGGGCGAUAUAUAGGAAUGUUGUGUCUACAGUUCAUGAGAAAGAGAUUUUGGAAAGAUCUCACCUUUUUUCUUUUGUGAUUCUUUGUCGAAAGGGAAUUUUUUUUUUUUUUUUGAAUACAUACAUGGCGUGUUGUCAUCCAGAUGAUGAAUUUUCUGCAGAUCAUAUGGUAUCCACUCUUUGGACAGUUGUACUUUUUAGCCAGUCAUCUUCGGAUAGACCGCUCCAAUCCAAGUGCUGCCAUUCAGUCCAUGAAGGAGGUAGCUGAUCUUGUCUCCCUCUGUUUCUAUUGGAUCCACUAUCCACUUGCUGAAACAAUCAAGUUUUUGUGCAGGCUGCGCAUACAAUUCUCAAGAAUAAUUUGUCUUUGAUUAUUUUCCCCGAAGGAACAAGGUCCAAAAAUGGGCGUCUGCUACCGUUUAAAAAGGCAAGAUUCACAAUUACACUGACUGGGAAAAAUAAUAUGAGUAAUCAAAUGUCAGUCGAACAAUUGUAACCGUUAAAUUGCUAGGUUGAGUCUAGGAAGAUCUUGUUAAAACUGGAGCCAAUGGUUUUCUUUCUAGUAAAGAAUGUUGCUGAAUGUUGUUGCAUAAGGCAUCUAGAAUCAUGAUGCUGGCUAUUUCCUUAGCAUGUUAUACAGUUUUGUUUGAGAUGUACGCUUGAACAUUAUACUGACUAGGUCAAUUAUCUUGGACCUGUAUCCAUUUCUGACAUAGCAACUUACAUGAAAUAGCUGAAUUCUAUUCUUUAUCCAUCUUUCACCUAAACUCUUGGGAGUGCAACUCGUAGAAAUAAAAAAUCUUGUAUCAUUCUUGCUAGCUAGUAACCAAGGAGAUUUUUACUGGCUUUGCAGGGUUUUGUACAUUUGGCUUUGCAAACCCGCCGGCCAAUUGUUCCUAUUGUCUUUACAGGCACCCACAGGGCAUGGAGGAAGGGGAGCUUGCACGUUAGGCCAGCGCCUCUGAACGUUGAGUAUCUUCCUCCCAUCAGAACAGAUGAUUGGACCGCAGACAAAAUUGAGGACUACGUGAAAAUGGUGCAUGAUGUUUAUGUCAAAAACCUCCCAGAAUCUCAAAGGCCCAUGCAUUAGGAGGGAGGAGUGCUGGAACAACACCGCCUUCCCAGCCAAAAACUCUUCCUGUAAUUUGUAGCUCUCGGAUGAAUCGCCGCAGCUUUAGAUGGGAGCAUCAUUGCGUAUAAAUUUUCGGUAUUCGAAAUAGCACAGCUGAUAUAAUGUACCAUGCUGGCAUUUUUCAACCAAUGAAAUCGGCAUAGGUUUCAUGGAUGGGUCUCUUGUUUGCAACCAAAAAAGCAGCAGAUAUAUCGUGCAUAUUCUUGGUUUCCGAGUCGAGUUCCAGCAUGAUGUCAGAGUAAACAGCCUCAUUGGAAGAGGCGUAGGAACAGUUGCUUGACAGUUCACAGUCAAGAUUUAGUCAAAAAAAAAAAAAAAUUAUACGAUUCAGAUCUCAUCUUGUAUCGCAUUUUUUACAAUAUGUGUGUAAUACAUAAAAUUUUGCUCUAAAAUUACAUGUCGUUGAAAGUAAGUUAUAUCAUGCUGCUGUAAAUAGAGUUAUGCGUGUGUAAAAUGCAUAUAACCUUCGGAGCAGUUGCUCCUGCAACCAACCGUUCCUGCCCCUGGUCCAGCGUCAUUAAACUGUUCAUCUCUGUCUUCAUCUCAGAUAUCCUUGAUAUUCCAAUACGUGGCCUGGCCUCAUCUGAGUUUUCGAGUCCCGUAGAAAUUUGUUUUUGAAAAAGUCCAAAAAUGUUUUCUAACUAGUACUUUUUCUUUUUUUUUUUUAAUUUCACGUACAUGUUUAUAAGAGAAAAAAAGUUCCCAGUAUGGUAAAGCGCAUACACAUAUACUUCCAAAAAGAAAAAAGAAAAAAAAAGUCCAGACCGUAGAAGUUCUAAAAAGUUAAAUGUAGAUAACUAAAAUUAUUGCUAAAAUUCCUAGUCAUCAAACACACAGAUUUUGGGUUAGCUAAAAUCAUCCCUAAAUAAUAUACUACUUUUUGUUAGCAUUUAAGAAAAAAGCAGUAAAUUUCUCGUUAACCAUAAUUGUGUAGAGCGAUUAUCUUCAUCAGUAGUGGCGAUUACAUGAAAUAUUCGGAAUCAAUGGUUUGUUUGGAUAGAGUAUUAUUUGAAAUAAUUAUUGUAAUAUUUUUUGUGAUAUGAUAUAUACGAGAUAAAAAAAUAAUUAAAAUUAUAAAAAAUUUAAUAAAAAUAUAUGUUUAUGAUAUAUGCAAAAUAAGUGUGUUUGGAUUGUAAGUUAUUUGAAAUAUUUUUACUGUAGCACUUUUUGUGAUGUGAUGUAUGUGAGAUAAAAAGGUAAUUGGGAAGAUGAAAAGGUGUAUUGGAAAUUGUAAUGGUGAUGUCAGCAAAUAUAUUUGGCCAAAUAAUUGGCUGUCCAAACACACUAAAUAAUUAUUUUUAAAAAAUUUAAAUAUUAAAAAAUAUAUUAUAUGUUCGUUUAAGAACAUGUUACGUAAAAUCUAUAAAACAGGGGCAUUGACGUGGCCCCAUCCCAACCGUUACAACAACUGAGUUUAUACUCUACCUUCUACGCUCCAUCUCAGUCUUACCCGCUGGAUGGAAGAACAAUGGGACCAAUCAAAGCUUCUCCUGCGCCCAUAACGGCCUGUCACGGAGUUUUCAAAUCACAGUCACGUCAGAAUAAACAAAUCUCUGGAGUCGUAAGUUCCUAAGACUGCAUCUUCAUCACCUCCUCCUCCUCCCCCUCCCCAAAAAUAUCAUCAUUAAUGCUUUACUUUUAACCUUAAAAUAAAUCCGAAUCUCCAUUUUUACUACUACCGCUGCUUCUUUUCAUACCAUUCCACUGCUACUAAAACUAGUAGAUACUCGCCGUAGGUCGUAUUUUUGCACAUCUGUUCCUUCACCUUAAAAAAAAAGCCUUAUUAGGGUUUUAAGAAUUUCCCCAUUUGUAAUUCUAUCUUAAACCCCUCUCAAGCUCUUGUAAAAGGUAAAGUCCUUCGUUUCCUGAGCUUUUAAUUUCAGUCCUUUUUUUGUCUUUUUUUUUUUUGGGUUCCGGGUUUCAGUAACCUUUUGUGUUUCUUGAAAAUCCUUUAGCAAUCUGAGCCUUGAUAAUGUGAUUAGAUUAACUUUAAUGCAUCAAAGUUAAAUUUUUUUUCUCUUUUAGAUGUCUUCAUGUCUGCAUUUCAAGAUUUUGCUCUUAGGGUUUUAGAGAAUGAUAUAAAGUUCGGUUCUUUUUUUUUUUUUUUUUGGGGUGGAGUUUAAUACUGCAUGCAAAGAUUGCCAUUGUUAAAAUAUUUUCUUCGGGACUAUUAAGUGUAAGCAAAAAUGAUAGUCCUCGUCUUUAGCUCAUGGUAAAAGUAGGUCUUUUUUUUUGCGUAUAUAUUGCUUAUUUUCGUCUCUGGGCUUUCUACUAGUUUUCUGUGCUUUAGGGGGAGAUUCAGUCUUUGAGAAGCUAUAGGAAUGUUUAUUUUAAGUACGCCGAUGCAUACUUAUUUAGACGUGCGCUAGUUGUUGAAACAAUUAAUCGCAUACUGUCUUGAUUUAGAAGUGCAGACAUUUGGGAUCAAUCUCUGAUAAAUUAACGCUCCUCAAUAUCAAGAGCUAGAGGUAGGCGAGGGACAAGGUGCAUGUGACAGUACAUUAAUUGUUUUUCUUUGAUUGGUCCUUAUAUGAAGAGGUCAAUUGCAGUGUCGUCUUUGCUUGGAUAUGUUUUAUACAAAUGAUCUUGUUUCCUUCUGGUAGUAUGCCUAUUAAUUCCUUUGUGGAGCGGGGUAGGGCGUUUUGGGUAAUUAUCAUAUGAGUUGAUGGAAGGUACAGCUGAGGUGUCUAAACCUUCUCCCUUAAGGGUUAUAAUUCGUUGAUAGGGUGUUGUCCACAUGUAAACUUUUAUAUUGCUAUAUAAAGAUUGCUAAUGCAUUGAAUUUUCAGUUGGAAAACUCUAUGCUUUUUCUGUUAGUAAUCAUUGUGAUGGCUCUUUCUCAAACAGGGGCAAGGGCCAACAUUUCCCCAAUAGAAAGUAAUUGUGCAAUUGUAUCUGGACAAUGAGCCAGGCUAUCCAGUCAGAGGGUUCUAACCUGACGCAGGUCCUACCUGCAAAACGAAAAAGGGGUCGCCCGAGGAAGGAUCAGAGCCUAAAUCGCGUGGGACUCGCUCGUGUUCCACCUGGUUUUGAAGGAAUAAAAGAGAACAAAUCCCGAAAAGCAGAUAAAUUUGAUGGCAAAGAUAAUAUGGUUGGCCAGGCAGUUGCAGGGGUUGUUGAAGCCUCAUUUGAUGCUGGUUACUUGCUAACUGUCAGGAUUGGCAACUCCCAUACCAUUUUGAGGGGAGUUGUUUUCAAGCCUGGGCAUUAUGUUCCUGUAACAUCACAGAAUGACGUAGCUCCCCAUGUUCAAAUGAUCCAAAGAAGCGAAGUCAGUCUCCCUUUGUAUAACCAGAUGCAGAGCAGCAACCCAUCUAGAGAGAGGAAUGACAUUCAUGGAUCGUCAUCCCAAAUAGCUAACAUGGUGGUGAAAAAAGGAAUAUCUACUUCUCCAACAGCAGGCCCUUCAUUUCCUCCUGUAGGUUCCAGAGGUAAUGUGGUUCCUGUUGUAUUGCAACCUCUCGGUCCUACAAAUGGACCACUACCUGGCAAUCAAGUGAUUCUGGAUGGAUCACCUUCAAAAGGUAGAGAGGUGGUGACUGUAGAACCAUUGGCUAUGUUACGACCAGAUGAAUCAGCAUCCUCUAGCCAGUUUCAGGUUGCCACAAAUCAACAGCAGCCUUCUCAAGUGCAAACUAGCAACCAAGUACGAGCAGGAAGUGUUCCGAUUGAAAAUGGAUUGUACAGUGAAGUUGUAUCUGUGGUUGGACACAGGGAAGAAGCUCAAGAAGUGAAGCGAACCAGUGUGCCGACACUGGGAGAACCACUUGCGGGAUCCCAAGGCUCUUCACAAUCUUCAGAAACUCAUGUUGAUAAUGAUAAAUCAUCAGCUGGAACCUCUCAAAUGGAGUCAGACCAAGAAAUUGGCGAUGUUCAGUUACCAUCUGAUCUUAAACCCAUGAAUAAUCAUGGCAAGGGCCGAAUGACUGAGCUUUUACAGGUAAAAAAGAACCAUUAACUUCAAAUAUUUGCACGAGACCGAUGUUUACAUGUAUACGUCUCUGUAAUAGUUUUGAUAAUGAAGACUAAAGUUAAGUGUCUUGUAUCAAGGCCUUGCAGGAAAAUUUUGACAACCAGAUGCCUCCAGCUGAACCAUCCGCCGGAUCUGGAGCAGACUCUCAAGAAAAGCUGAAUCCAGAAACAUGUGGAAAAGACGAGAGAACCAAUGAAUGACCUUGUUCUAAAAAAGAAGCUGCUGAUUUUAGCGGGUCACCUCAAAAAAAUUUUUUUUUUAAUCCUUCUAUAAUGAAUUUGGUAAGCAUCUCAGAAUGGAGUGAUACAGCAAAAUGGGGCAAACAUAACCUGGUGUGCAAUCCGGCCUGGCCAAGGGCCUUUAGAUGUUAAUGUGCGAACAUAGAGUUUAGGUGAAAGAAGUUUGAUUUUAAUAGCUGUAAUGUAGGUCAGAUACUCUGAGCUUGGCCGUGCUCAAUGUGUAGAGAGUGUUUCUCUAUGAGAACUAACUGGUUUUGGGGAUUUUUCUCAAGGUGUUAAUGCUUUUCUUUUUCCAUCAUUCAAAUCAUCCCGUUUCUCUUGUAUUUCAGCACCUGGUUCCAUGGAUCUUUUUGGUGAUUGAUGAACGGAAAGGCUUGAAGUACUUGAGAUUUGAUUUGUAGCAGGGUUACUUUCGUGCAUUACAUUUUGCAGGUAGUAGAACGGUAGCUACAGCGGGUAAGAGGCCACGAAAAGGUUGCCGCCUGCCUAGAAAGUAUUUAGAGGAUCUGCAAGAUCAACCAGUCGCUCAAGAUCCAAUUAGACGGUGAAAGUAAGAUUGUCUCUCACUUGGAUCGGUAAAGGAAAAUGGCCGUGACAAGAAUGGGAACGAGUGAUAAACAAGUUAAAGCAAAACAUCUUGAUACAUGGGAAAUAUUAGACAAGGCAUACGAGAGCCAGAACACAUCGGAAGCAUCUUGAGUACGAUAUGAAGAUAAAAGAAUUGGAGCGAUUGUUCUCCUAAUUAUGCUCAUAAAUGUCACAUAUAUGUACGAGAGCCUUCACUUCCAACCAAAUACGGAUAAAGGCAAACAAAAAAUUGACUUAAGCUUCAAGAUAUAAGAUGACCAAAAAUAGGGUCCCUUGCACUUUUACAAAAUCAAUGGCCUCUGCAUCAUGGGGACACAAGUAUCAGGGGGGGGUGACCAUUUCACGAUUGACAGACAAAUUUGGCGCUUAAGGAACCAUCAGAUCCCGGAACUGGAAUGGACCCCAUACUGGGAAAGAAUGGAGGUGAAAUAGGGAUGUACGAAGGAACUGCAUAUGGCUGCUGCCCAUUAGCUAAAAAUGGAGUAACAUAAAGCUGCAGUGCUUGCAUUGUUGCGAUUCCUGCAGUUGAUGAUGAUUUUUCUGGUUACAAAUGUGUGUCCGAGUGUGCAUUAAAAAGUGUGGAACAUUGUGUACAAUAUGCAUUUACAGUUCCAGAUUAAGAGGCUGAGCAGAAUAAUGCAGACUGGCAAACAGGAUGGAGGGAAGAAGAAGAAUGAGAGAGAACACAAACAAUAGAAUUUUUGUAAGCAACAUAAAUAGUACUCUUAGAAGUCUCUCAUCAAAAGCAGCAUCAACCAACAAACUUCAAUCACAUAAUCUGAGUAUUAAAUAAAAGACCAUGAAGAAUACUAGCAUAAUAUUUUCAUGUCCCGAGAUGACAAUCAACUCACUCAAGAAAACUGUCAAAUCUGGUAUAUACUCGAAUAUGUAGUCAGCAUGACAAGGGUUCCUUUUCCCAACAUGGUAAAUAACUAAAACUGUCAAAAAGUUUUGCCUUACUUCAAUAUCCACAUGAUCGCACAAUUGGGUGAGAAUGAGGCCCUUUUAACUACUUUCAGCAGACAAACAAAGUAAUAUCCAUGAAUGAUCAGUUACAAUCUGACCAAAAGCCGUACAUCCCUCUGGACACAAAGUAGAUGACCAAACUGUUUGCAAAAAUGCAAUUGCAUAUGUGCUUUAUGCAAAGCAAUCCAAAAGAUGAAUCAACUACUAAGGCAGGCAGCAACUAUAAACUUAUCUUCUAAGAAUUCCUAGAGGUCUACAUAUGUAGUGCACAUGAAAUCAACUGCUUUACUCCCAACACCAUUUGACCUUAAAGGAAUUUUUUUUUUCAUUUCUCUUGAACCUCAUCCAUACAUCUGAAGAUCCAUGAUUUGCCAAACUAUAUAAUGCCAGAUAUCCCUUGUCCCUUGUGACUAUAAUGUUACCUUUGUCCUAGUAAAAAGGAAAGGUGAACUACAAAAAGAAUACAAGUAAAAAUUAAUAAUCAGAUUUCAGAUUUCACUAAGCUACUAUAAUCAACAAGUUGAUUUCUUCAAAUACUUGCUCUGAACUGUCUCCAUACCUUGGUUUUUGGGAAGAUUUGCCUGAUGUGGCAUCAGCAGAGGAUGUGAAGAUAACUGAGAAUAUCCUGCCACACCCUGAGUGGCAUCCUAUUAAUAUCAUAGAAGAGAUUAGAUGUGAAAAUAAGAAGGGAUCAGAAAUUACAUAUGCAUGGUGAAAAAAGAACAACACAUGCAAGAAGGAAAUUAUAAAAGAAAGAGAGAAACACAAACAACCAGCAACAGUGACUUUUAAGCUAACCAGCGAAGUAUUGAACUAAAAGUAAAAUGAAUACAAACACAUCCCAUAACUCCCCCAACCAUAAUUUCUUAGUUGCAGCAUAUUCCAUCAUAGAUGACACUGUAUUGCUCAAAGAAGCAUGGAAAAGUUCAAUUUUAAAUUACUGACAUUCCAGCAGGUUGUGGCUAGAACCCUCAGUGUGUGCAUCAUCUGAUGCAAUCUCAAGUCAAUAAAAGUUGCCUAUGCUAUGAACAAACAAGUCAGAAGUUGUCUCACAUUAGAAACUGGAAGUGCAUAAAACAGCGGCCCUGCUCGCCCAGUCAUCUGCAAAGUCAAGAAUGCUAACACAAAUUAGCUAAAUUAUCUGCAAUCCAGUAGCACACCAACUACAUAAAAAAGAAAACCAAACGAAGAAAACUAGCAAUCUAACUGUCCCCUGCUACAUACAUUUUGCGAAUUUUGAUGCAGAUACGUUGUCCCAGCUUGAAGAUGAUUAUACUGAUUGGCAUAUCUAACUGGAGGUGUCCUGCUUCCCACAUGUCCAACAACCUACACGUAAAAGAGACAAAGAUACAGUGAGAAAUUGACAUCAUUAAAGAUCCCAGAGAUGGUGGAAAACUGUACAGAUAUCAAAACAGAUACAGAUAUUCAAAUAGUUGCCAACGUUGACUAAUUUUUGCUCUUUUUAUUACUUGUUCUGUCACUCUUCCUUUAAACUUCACCAUUCAUAGUAGCACAACUGACAAAUGCUCUCAAAAUUCAUCCAAUCUAUCAAUCUCAUCUAAUGACUAAUGCAGGAAAAGAUGAGCUAAGAGUAUAGGACAGAUGGCAUCUCAACCACCAAUCUGCUGUAGCAGCUUAAAAUGAAACAACAGAAAAACUUAGCAUCUCCCACAUGAACAUCACAGAAUUUGAAAACUUGAAUAAACAGAGCGUCCCCCAUAGAUGCAGUGAUGAUUUGGAUGGCAAUGUCACAAGGCCAAAGGGUUUGAUGUAAUCUAGAGUUUUUGACAUGUUUAUCUUUUCAAAGGAACUAACUUGGACUUACAAAUUAUGGAAGAUCUUUAAAAGCUUUAACACUUUCAAGUUUCCCAACACAAGAACACUAAAGAUAUUUAUUACCUUUUUCAGAGAAGAGCUUAUAAGUGGGAAGUAUGCUAAGAAGGUAUACUUGACAAUUAUUAUUAAAGAGAAGUGGUUUUAAGAAAAGAGAACAUGUCUAAUAAACUAAAACCCAAGCCUAAUUGUUAAAAUGGGAAACCAUAGCAGUCAUGCAGAAAAACUUGACAGGCUAAUUUUGGACAUUUUUUUAAGAUCAAGUUAUCAGUAAAAGGUGGGAGGCUUGAAAAAGGAAGUUCCUGCAUAUGAAACCUUAUCUAGUGUUCCAAAAUCUGCUUCAAGGAUCUAGAAAAACAACCUUCAAAAAUCGUAUUUCCGCUAUCAUCUGGUUUUACAUUCAUGUCAUCCACAUGAUUCCCAAUCUAAUAUGAUUUAUGGGCAAGUAAAAAUGCUUGCGAUACUAGUACUAUGGAAAUGGGAGGAUAGAGGAAGCAAACACAAACAAAUGUGAAGGACAACAUACCGAAGAAACAGUAACCACCCCCAUGGUCUCAGGAGAAUAGCUAAAGGAAAUGAAAAAGUUGAUAAAAGGGCCUUAGGUGUUUUUACAGCAAAUUCUGCAAUACUAUUAUGGUAGUAUAUAUGACAAAUGUUCCCUGAAGACAACUGUCACGAUUCAUAGAUGUAUUGUUACUAUGGUGGACAGAAACAUAUAUAUAAAGAACUUCGUUUGAAGGCUACCAGUAAAGAUGCAUUACUAGAUUACUUUGCCUGUAUCAUAUUGUGAUAUUAUUUUUUCACCAUCAGCCCUCUUCCAGAUGUUUAGAUGAAUUAAACUGUGUAACUGUAUAAUAACUAAGGAAUCAUUAAACAAUAUGACAAGAGUUGGUAAGCAUACAGGCUGGACAUAUUGUAGAUCACUCCAGCCAUUUCCCAGAAACAGGUUAUUACGCGUAAGAAACUUAGCAGGUACAGAAGAACAAUAGGCAAAGGAACUCAAAUCAGCUUCUGGAUCUGCAGGUGCAUUUGAUACCGUGGGUGGGGGUUCUGGUGUGCGCGAUGGCACUGCAGGAGGAGUCGCUGAUCUAUGUUGCAAAGGUGAUGGAGAAAACAACUUUGCUCUUGGGUUGAGCUUAGAUUCCUGAGAAGAAUAAUGUGUCACGAGAUGACAUUAUGAAACUAAAAAUUAAUAAACCAAGUAUUUGAGCAAAGGUUUUUAUCGAACCAUUUAAUACAGGAAAAAAAGAGCAAGCAUCACCAGUAGCAGUUUACAUUCUAGAUUAUCACCUAAACUCUAAUUUAUCAACAAGACAAUAGUGUAAAAUGCUCUCAAAAUAUUUGAUUAACAGUUUGACUCAGAGGGGAACUUAGCAACAGAGCAACAGCGAGUGCGGUUCUCAAAAUUCAGACCACUUAAGUUUGUUCUUUAGAAGGGCUAGCAAUAGAAAUUAAGUCCUGAAGAAGGGAAGUUAAUGCUUUUCAAGCACUCACAGCAACCUUAAGUAGCAACUUUACAUAUUAAGAACACAUGCUUUACCUUAGUGGUUAGACCAUGAUUUGCAACUUUUGGAAGCACCACUUUAGUGGAAGCAGAUGACAAACUGAGGUUACAAUCUGAGGCAACACCGAAACCAGAGGAAGCAUCAGCACAAACUUUGGAGGAAAGAGCAGUUGUCUCCUGAGCUUUAUCUAAUGUGUGCCUCAGAUUACUUGGAUCAUCAAGCUUGGCCACAGUAGAUCUUUCAAAAGACAUCAGAUUUGGUGAUUCCCCUUUGUUUGUUCCAGCAUUCAUGUCCUUGGAAUGAGCAUCUACUGCAUACAAAGAACUGAAAGUUCAAAAUCCAACAAAAAAAAAAAAAAAGUUUAAACAGGGCAUGCAGGCAUCUACUUGACUUAAUAUUAACUAAAAAAUAAUUUCAUGAUGGAAUAAAUUUUAGGAGUUGAAUGCAUUUGAUAAUCCGAACAUGAUGAAUGCUUUCAGCUUUUAAAAAAUGCAGUAGGAUCUCUUAUUCCCUAAUAGGCAGUGAACAAUUUAACACAUUGAAUGUAAAAACCUCAGUGGAAAAGUAUAUGCCUAUAAAUUCUAGAGGCAACACAUUAGAGUCAAAACCACCCUAAUGUAACCAAGGCCCCUAGGUAAGUUAGUUUUCUUCCAAUGUGGGCACAGACUCCACACUGGAGGUUCAACCAAAAGUAAACUUUCCACCUAAAAUAUAGCAUUGACGACAAGUCCAUAAAGGUCAAUGCCAAUCAAUUAUCAACAUUAAUAAGCUUCCCAUGUUAAUAAUAACCCUUCAUUUCUCCCCACCCUAGCCACCUCAGAGACUAAUGAAACAUACUAACCUAAACAUUCACAAGUGAGCACCUCCCCAAUCAGUGGUGUAUGAAAAUAAAUGAUCAAUUAACCAAUUAAUCAAAUCAGAGAGACUACUGAAGAUAUGUAAGAACUCACAGCUUGAUCUUGAGCCUUCAACUUGAUCAGUCUGAAAACAUUCACAGACAUUACAUCACUAAGUUACGAAACAUAGUAAAAUCCUUUAGCUGGAUAUUUUGUUUAACAUACCGUUUCCUCCCCAUGCAAAACUUGCUCCUGCACUAGAUCACUCCGUUUUUCCUCUGAGCUGUCUCCAACCUGUCUGUCAAGAAAUAUUUAUGGAAUAGCACAGAAGCAAACUUACUUCAGAAAAUUAUAAUGAGUACCACUAUAAUUUUGGCAGAAAUUGAAAGAAUUAUAUAAACUAGUGAGAAAAACGCACCGUAUUUUCUGUGCAAAUUAAAAGAAAAGAAUUCAUAAGAAAAAAAGAUGCAAGUUCUUGACAGUUAUUGGAGGUUUUUUAGGUUUGUACAUGUGAGUGUUUUAUUUUUCUUUGCUUUUUUUUGGGGCGGUGGGGAAAGUGGUAUUAUUUUGUCCUUGUUGUAAGGGUAACAAGAGAAAUUAAACGAGUGAAAAAAAAAUUGAGUCCAUAAGCCUCCUCUUGCUCUAUAAAAGCAAAGACAGUUGUUAGAAGAAAAAACUCUAACAAAAUACACACAACCAAAAUCCAAUAGCUUAAAAGCAAAAAGCACAAUGCAAUUACCAAUAAAGAUGAAUCCUGAAGUGACAAAUGUGAUAAAUUCCAUGCCAAGGACAAAGUAUUCAAGGGCUAAAGAAUCAAUUAGGAAACAUGCUAGCAAAACUACAAUUUUCUACUUUCAUAUUUGACGCCUCAACUUUUUUUUUCCUUUUGCCACAGCAUAGAUACAAAUGAAUGUAAUAAUGUCCUUCAACAAAUAUAAUGCAUAGUGGAAUUCAUCUCAAAGAAUGAGAAAAUCACCACUACUUCCUACCUCAUAUUAGGUGAAACGGUGAAAGCCUCUCCCCCCUGCAUCCAAAAACAUCAAAUGUAUAAAAAAUCUUAAGAUCUAAAUAUGAUGAAAGAUAAGCAUGUGACAUGGAGGCAUGUACAGAAGCUCAUACUUGUCAUCUACAUAUACUGGAGUUCUUGCAAUGUAACACAAGGUUAUAACUUGACUUUCUACAGAAAAAGAUUUCUUAGGUUACAACUUUACCUUGACCAAGUUUCUGCAGUCUGAUUUUCCAUUUGCAAUUGGCACAGAAUUAUUGUGAACAGAACCAUUCUGAAAGCUAUUCUUAUAUGGACGGACAAACCUGCACAUGACAAAUGUACCCAUUAACUAGAAAUAAACCACUUAUGAAAUGAAUAUUAUACAGCUCACCUAUUUUGAAAAGAUAGGGACAACAUAGCAUUUAUAUUUUCAAGAUCAGAUUCAGUUGACAUUGCACAGGGGCAUUUAUAGAACCAAAAUCAAAAUGUGCAAGCAUGAACAUAAUGAUAAUUCAAGCCCUAAACUAAACUUGAGCACAACUUAAAGUCAUCAACUGCACUUGAAAAUUCUACAACCAGGCUCAAUAACAGUUGAGGCAAAAGAAAGAGACUGGCGAAAAAAUUGUAAAAGUCAAUUUGAGCAAUUGCUUUAACUAAAAUUUCAGCCAGUGAUUGCAACUAUUACACCCGUAACAUCAAAAACUAAAGCGAGAAUCAUGAUGUGGGCCUCACUGGCAUGACGAAGAACUUUCAUCUAAUGCUAUCAACCAGUACCAGGUGGCACUACCAACGAUAUAAUCGUAUAAAGAUUAAGGCAUAUAGUCAUAGAGUCAUAAAAAUUAUAACAUUAAUAGAGACUUCAAUAAAUACCUCGCAUGAGUAUCAUGCUUUCUGUCCAAGUUGGGUUCUUUAGAGUUUGUUACAUUUGCCUCCCUCUCUUCACGUACAUUCUGAGGCAAAGUGCCAGCUGUAGCCACAACAUAAGCUGCUCCAACUUUUCCAGAGAUACCUUCUGCUGGUAGCAUUAAUUCCUAUACACCAUCGAGUUUGUUACACAAAUGGUUGUCCUGCUUGACUCCAAAAUAUCAAGAAUUCCCAAUAGCUAAAGAAUGGACUAUGGCAUACCUUUGCAACAACUUGAACAAGAUCUUCUGACAGAAUUAUAAGUGUCUCUAUCAGACUUCCAUCAGCUAGAUUUGUCUGUCGAUUGCCCUUCUUAAUCAUCCUUGCUUUCUUCAAAACAAUACCUGGAUAAACGCCAAAUCCAAAGAUAAGGAGUCCUUCUUAAUCUCACAAUUUUCAGAAGCUAAAUUCUGAACAUGGAGAGGUGAUGUAAAAAAGCAAUUUAGGCCUAAAGAUCCCCUCUUUAUUUAAACACAAUAGAAAUCCAAUCAAAGCUAUCAAACUUUUUAAUAUGUACAAUAGAAUUGUCGAAAAAAGAAACAGGAAACAAAAUACCAAAUCGCAUCCCAAGUUGAUCAAGUCAAUAAAGAUAGAAAUCUUUACAGGAGUAACUCUAGGAGAAAAUUGAAACCCGGAUACAAUUUCACGUAAAUAACAUAAGCCAGUAAGGAAAAGAAGAAAUUCCAAACGUUGACAAGAAAAAAUAAAGAAUCACUAGAAUGACAGUAAACGCACCAUAGGCAUCGUCGAUAGAAGCAGUGUGGAAAGUUCCAGAAUAAAUCGAGCCGUCCUUCACAUGCACAUCCACUGGAAAGCCAAUGAUGGACAUAGUAAUGAAUACCAGAGCAUUGUUCGCUGAAGUUGAGGCCCCGUUUUGUUCCUCUGGCAAAAGCCCCCCAUUUUUGCGACCCAUCUUUAUGAUCUUUCCCAAUUUUACAGCCUGAUUCUCUCUCGCAACACUUAGUAUAUAUCGAUAUAUAUAUGCUUUUGUGCUUAUAAGGCAAGACAAACUAGUGAUUCAAAGGUUGCUGAAGAGAUCUGAAGUGGUGGUGGCGGUGGAGGAGGUGGCUUCUUGCUGUUUUGCACAGCUUGGGAAGACAAUUCACGAUCAGCGAAAAUUAGAUGAAACUUGCGGGCUUUAGUGCAAUGUAAAAUGCUGCCAUGCUUUUUCCUUUUGGCUCAUGUACCCGGACAUUAGGCUGCAAUUUUUGGUGAUGCCUUUUUCUUCGUGUUUUUCGCCUACCAGACCUUUCAGAUUAUUUUUUCCUUGUACAAAUACAAUUUUGGGUAUUUUACGUAAAACUUUACAGUCCAAUUUUUUUAGGGUGCGUUUGAAGAAACAGAAGUCUGAAAAUUGGAGUUUGAAAUUUAAAAUUCGAAUUUAUUAAAUUAUUAAAUUUUUAAGUAUUGAAUUUAAUAUAUUUGAGUGUAUAUUAUAUUCAGUAAUAAAUGAAUAGUUUAUCACUUAAUUUUUGGACUAAGUUUUAUCUAAAAAAUUCAGUGUCACUUAAUUAAUUCAAAUGUUUAAUUUUUUAUUAUUAAAUAAUCUAUAUAUAUUAAGAUUUGAAUAUAUUAAAUUUAAGCGCUGAAUUAGAUUAUUAAACAAGGCCUUAUUCAGAAAUAACAUCCGCUAGAGUGUUUACGGUUAGAAUUUUGUGUCUAAUAAUUAGAGGGUGAAAAGGAUGUGAGAGAAAUUUAAAAAUAUAUAUAGAGUAUUUAAAUGCUGAAUUUUUCCUUUUAAUUGAACUCGUGAGAUGAUGAUAACAUAAUGGUCUAACUAAUAUAACUUCUAAUGCAUUAGAAAAGAAUAAGGAUUGAGAUAAAAGAAAAGAAUUGAAAACAAAAUAAGGAAAAAGCCGAAGUAUUAUUACGGAGAAAUAGGAAAGUAAAUGAAAGAUUUGUGACACCUUGAUACAUUUAGGUGCGUUUGAUAAAAUAUUGAAAUCUAAAAGUUGAAAUUUAAGAUUUAAAAUCUGAAAUCUGAAUCCAUUAAAUUAUUGAAUUGUUAAAUAUUAAAUCUAAUACAUUAAAUCUAAUUCAUUAAAUUAUUAAAUUGUUAAAUAUUAAAUCCAAUACAUUGAAGUGCAUAUCACGUUCAGUGGUAAGUGAACAGUUUAUCACUUAAUUUUGGAAGUAAAUUUUACCUAGAAAAUUCAAUGCAACUUAAUUAAUUCAAAUGUUCAAAUUUUUUGUUAUCAAACAGGAAUAUGUUAAAAUCUGAAUUCAUUAAAUUCAAGUGCUGAACGGAGUUAUCAAACAAGACCUUACUUUAUGUUUUAUUUUUUCUUCUCACAAGAGAGCGUAGUGUAAAUUUUCUAUGUAAUUUAAGUUUCUUUUUUAUUUCAAGAAUUUUAUCUUUUUUAUUAUUUAAAAUCUUCCAAUAAGUGCUUAAUUAAUAAAAUACAUUUACUCGUGUGUAUCUGUAUUCUAGACUCCUUCCUCAACUAGUAUCUAGCUUUUAAUAUUUUCCCCCCUCUUGAAAAUUUUAAACCUAGGAAGGGUCUAAAUAGUUUUCCAAAAAACACCCCAUAUUAAAAGUAGCACUAGUACAGAAAAAAGUGGGCCAAUUUUUGGCUUUGGCUAUAAUUAUGAUGCACAAACGUAAUUUUCCAGUUUUAACUGGUGCACAAAUUUUAUAACCCGGAAAAUCUUCUCCUGCUAAACUCCUUUAAACCCCUCCAAUCGAUUCCAGAUUCUUCCGCAUCGCCGUGGUUAACACAAAGUUCAAUCCGGCAACCCUUCAAUCUCAGAAUCCUCUAACAGACAUGAGAAGACCAAAACCCAAGUCCAAGAAGUUCAAAAUCCAGAGCCGUCAAGCCGAGGUUGAAGAACUUGAGCUCCUCGAGUCAUGGAUUGAAUCCGGUAAACCCGGAUCGGGCUCUAACCCGCUUUCACUCCAGCCGCUACCAGAUGAAUCUCCGGUUGGCCGGCUAUCCGAUGGCUCGUUUUCUCGUUACGCGGGUUGUAAAAAGUUCAGCCAAUUGCCUUUGUCGAAGGAAACUAAAGAUGGGUUGGCUGCAGCUAAGUACAAAAACAUGACUGAUAUUCAGAGGGCCUCAUUGCCCCAUUCGAUUUGCGGCCGUGACAUUCUUGGUGCUGCUAAAACUGGGUCUGGUAAGACCCUGGCUUUCGUUAUUCCGGUGGGUUUUCAGCUGAAUUUGUCACAGUUUUGGUUUGUUUUUUCAAUCUUAUUUUGGUCAAUUUUUAUGCUUGCUGGUGUGAAAGACUUGAUUUUUGGUUGGUAGAAGACGGAAAUGUUCAAUUUGGACGUGUUCAAUGUUCUCCUUUUGUUGAUAUUUUAGUUUGUUUUGUUCAUCGAUUAGGAAAAUGAAUGGAAGAUUGCAAUUUACCAAAAAUUGGGUUACUUUCGGUUAUUUUCUUGCCUAUCCUAGGAGUUUUCAGAAAUCCAACUGAUUGAUGGCAAUUUAUGCUUUUAUUCUAUUGACAAGUUAAGUUUGUCUCUUUCUCCUCUUUCUCCUCUUUGACAUUUGUAUUCUAAACUUUUUCAAUUGGAGUUAAAAAGAUUGAGGCUUUCGCAUUAAAUUCUGUAAAAGGACUCAUCAGCAUUAGGUUGAACUUCAAACUAAAAGAUCAGUAUAAUUUGGAUUUAAGAGUUCCAUGUAAAGUGCGGAAUUUGAGACCUGAAGACAGAAAUGCUUCUAGUUGUCAAGUUUCAUACGUGUAUUUGUUUAAAGUUAGAUGAUUGAGCUUGACAAUUUUGAUAUUCUUCCCCUUCUUUCCCCCCCAAAUUGGGAGAAAAGAAAAUGAAGGCUUUUCCUGAUUUUCAUGCUUAACAAGUUAAUAUUCCUUGCUUUUCCCCCUCCCUUUUUGUGCACUUUUAGCACAUCUUAAUUUCUUGUAGUGAUGGAGUCUUGUUUCUCCUCGACAGAUUCUUGAAAAGUUAUACCAAGCUAGAUGGGGUCCAGAAGAUGGAGUUGGAUGCAUUAUAAUGUCUCCUACAAGGGAGUUAGCUGGCCAACUUUUUGAAGUAUUAAAAUCGGUUGGAAAAUACCAUGGUUUUAGUGCUGGUCUUCUAAUUGGUGGCCGUAAAGAUGUUGACACAGAGAAAGAACAUGUUAAUGAUCUGAACAUCUUGGUGUGCACUCCCGGAAGGCUUCUUCAGCACAUGGAUGAAACCCCAAAUUUCGACUGCUCACAGCUCCAGGUCAAUAUAUUCAUUUGAUCUUUGUUCUUCUAUUCUGCUUUGACUUUCUCCUAGAGUUUCUCUUCUUCCAGUGUUAGCAUUUCCUGUGUACAUAUACACAGUGUAUGAUAUGUUUUGUCAUCCAGUAACUUUAGUUCCUGUAACAAGCUGUGAACAUUAAUUUGAAGAAACAAGAAUCAUCAGUGUCCAUGCUUAGUUGUUUAUAAAGUGCCAUGGACUAAGUUUUAUGUGGCAUUUGCCAUAUACUAUUGCACUUUCUUAUAUUCGCUUUAAUGGACUGGAAACUUGAUCUUUGACUUGGUAGCUGUGCAUGCUUUCUUCUACAAAAGCGAGAAUAAUUCUUUUUCAGUUCAUCGGUUGCUAGGGGAUCAGUGAAUGUAAUUUAUUGUUGUUGGAUUCAAUUGCUGCAAAAUUCUAUACAAUUCUUUUCGGGCAGUAGUUUGAGUUCAUCCAUAUUUUCACCUAAGCACAUAAAAUGGACAAGUUUUGCAGCAUCUUUUAAUAUUUCAUGUCUGCAGGGGUGGCAUGUAUUUUGUUUGUAUUAGACUUUAUUACUUUGGACCUUUUCUUUAUUACGCUUCAACAAGUUGUAUGGAGGUUGUUAGUGAUAUUUAGUGAAAUUAAAGGAUGUGCUAAUGGUACAAUAAAUUUUAAGCUACGAUAGAUAGGGACAAUUUUUAAAACAUGACUAUGGUUCAAAAAUUAAAGUUUUUGCUUCCUUAUGAAAUCUUCAUGGUUCCUUAGUAGCCGACUUGGUUUGUUUUUCUGGCCAGGAUACAGGUUCUGGUGCUUGAUGAGGCAGAUCGUAUUCUUGAUGUAGGAUUUAAGAAAGCUUUAAAUGCUAUUAUCUCACAACUGCCAAAGGAUAGACAGACCUUGCUGUUCUCAGCUACCCAAACAAAAUCUGUUCAAGAUCUUGCUAGGCUUAGUCUGAAAGAUCCAGAAUACCUUAGUGUGCAUGAAGAGGCAGAAACUGCAACUCCCAAUCGCCUGCAGCAAACAGCAAUCAUUGUUCCUCUUGAGCAAAAAUUAGAUAUGUUAUGGAGCUUUGUAAAGGCACAUCUUAAUUCGAGGAUACUGGUGUUUCUUUCAAGCUGCAAGCAGGUAAUUCUGCUUUAGCUUUAUUAUGAAUUGGGAUAUUCAGGUGCAGAGCCUGAAAAAUGAAGAAAUUUCUCAUGCAUAACUUGCUAGCUGUUGUAAUUGAAUGCAAAAUUUGCUGUGCGUGUAUGAGAACAAUCUCCAAGCAUUUUAAAGUAGCCGGAUAUGUACUUUCUUUUUUGAGAACAUUGCAUAAAUAUUUUUCUCUGUAAACGCGGAAAUAAAUCUCCUGAUAUUGUCUAUUUAAGCAAUCUUGUUCUGGAUAGACUUGGAACAUGAUCACCAUCCUCUUAGAUUGCUGAAUUUAGUGCCAUCUAUCUCUUUCAACAAAUAUUACCUUCAGAGGUCUGUCUUGUCUGAGUGCAUCGCAGAUAGUUUUAAAGCAGAACUGCUGAGAGAGCCAAAAGCUAAAGCUGCUGUUAUCUAAUUCUAUGAGACUCCAAUCCAGCUAAAUAGAUGCCAAUCUUGAUGCCAUAUCUCCGAGCAAGUCAUUGUUUCUGCUGCUUUUGGGGGUCAACCAUUUAUUCACAAGUCACUGGCUUAAAAUGUAUAAAGAAGUAACAAACAAGAAGGUGAAAAUAACAUUGGUAUGAACCUGUAGGAUUUGUAAUUCUGUCUGCUGGAUCUGGCUAUAAUGGCUUUAACAUCUCUCUUAGUUUCUUUUGAAAUCUCUCAACAGAUAUCACAUCAUUGAAUCUUGGGCUGUGCAGAUAGAUGUCUAGAUAUUGCAUUUUGAUCUACUACUAGCAUGCUUCAUAAAUGAGCCUUUAGGAAUUGAGAGCAGAAGCAAUUGCAAAAACUGAUACUUUCAUGGUGGUUCAUGCAGUUUAAUGUGUACUUUGUGGACUUUUCUGUUAUUCUAAUGCUCUCUUUAGUUGCUGGAGAAGAAAAUAAAUGCAUUUCACUCAACUUGGUUUCAUACUUUUUCCAUUUUUGUUGUCCUGUUAUUUUCAUUUCAUAUUAUAUAACAGGUAAGGUUUGUUUUUGAGACCUUUAAAAAACUUCGUCCGGGGAUCCCUUUGAAGUGUCUUCAUGGAAGGAUGAAACAGGAAAAACGAAUGGGCAUAUACUCCCAGUUUUGUGAGCAACGUUCAGUUUUAUUCUCCACUGAUGUUGCCUCAAGGGGGCUUGAUUUUGAUAAGGCUGUUGACUGGGUUGUCCAGGUUAGUUACUUGUUAAGUAGGCCAUAGAUACUGAAAGAUAACACUUGAUCUGAUUAAUUUAUUGGACAAGCUACCAAAGAAAAGGAGUCAUUAAUCUGUUAACUUUGUUGAUUUCCAGAUGGAUUGUCCUGAAGAUGUUGCUGCAUACAUACAUAGAGUGGGCCGAACAGCUCGCUACCUUUCCGGAGGGAAAUCUGUUUUAUUUCUCUUGCCUUCAGAAAUGAAAAUGCUUAAAAAGUUAGAAGAGAAGAAAAUACCCAUUCGAUUUAUCAAGGUUCUUUUUCUCAUUUUGUUAAAUAUGAUUAAGUUUAAGCAACAUUUGCAUCAUGUAUUAUUUUUACGUGUUUAAAAAUGCUCCUUGGUCAUCGGCACAGGCAAAUAUGAAAAGGUUACAACCUGUUUCUGGGUUGUUAGCAGCUUUGUUGGUGAAGUACCCCAAUCUGCAGCAGCUGGCUCAGAGAGCAUUUAUUACAUAUUUGAAGUCCAUAAAUAAACAGCGGGAUAAGGAGGUCUUUGAUGUGAUGAAACUCCCAAUUGAUGACUUCUCUGCAUCAUUAGGCCUUCCAAUGACUCCCAAGAUUCGUUUUCUGAAACAGAAAGUUAAGGGAAAAGCUUCUGAGGAAUUGUCUCUUGUACAAGAAAGUACUGUUGGUGACAACUUGAAUGAAGAUCAGAUAGAAAGUUUUGACACUGGCAAAGCUGAGAAAGACAGAGUAGAAGCAAAAGAAGACAAAUUUCUUCUUCUGCAAGAAGACACGCAACGCGGAGAAAAAGUUACGGAAAUUGGAGAUGCUGGGUAAUUAUUUUUGUUUCUUUGGGUAUUUUACUUUACAUAUUAGACCUAAGAACUAAUUUGUGGGGAUCAAAUAAAGAAAGAUGUUAUUCACUUUCCAGCUACUUAAUUUUCAGUCCUCACUCUAGAUUAGUGAUUAAGAAAUAUGUAAACCAUAAUUGACUGGCAUAAUGCAGUAGACUUUAUUUAUCUGCUCUAUGCACCUCUCUGAUUUGUUCAUAAGACAAUUUUCAAUUUAGAAUGGAUGAAUUGUAUGUUGCCCAUAAAUUAAGAAUGCAUUUUCAUGAUACAUAACUGUUGGAUAACACACUUCAUUUACCUGGCUCACAAUUAGUCCUGGUUAAAUUUAAUAGGCCACUUAGUAAAUGGUUUCUGAUAUUCUCAUGCUGUAUCCUGAUCUUAAAUAUUUGGGCCAGUUCUUACUCUCCGAUGUUUUGGUAGUCCACCUGCAACUAGGGUUUUAAAGAAAAAGAAGUUGAAGAUCAAUGUGCAUCGACCAGUUGGGACCAGGGUUGUGUUUGAUGAAGACUGCAACACUUUACCCCCUCUCGCAAAGUUGGCUGAUGUAAAAAGAAGUGCUGACUUGGUUCAUCUGGACAAAGACAAAGGUAAUUAAUUUGGUUACGUUAUGCUAAUAUAUGAUAUCAACAGUAUAGGUAUGGUAAAGAUUUUUCAGUUCUGGUUCUCCUUGAAGUCAUUAUUCCCCAAAAUGAUAUCAUGAAGUCGUGACCAUUUUUUUAGAAGAUUUAGACUACUUGGAUUUGUGCUUGUUGUUUACUAUAUUAGAAAAAUACCAAAUUUCAUGGCUCAUUUUGGAUGAUAUUGGGAGUUCAGUGAUUGGCACAAAGGGAACAGAAUGCAUACUAUAAACCUGGAGAUUUUAAGUGUGUGCACUUGUAUUUUAUCAAUGUAGAUUUUAGUACUUCUUUGUUUCUGACUUUUUACAUUUCCUAUGCCUCAGUUAAGCAAAGAUUUGCAGACCUGAGGAAAGAAUUGAAGAUAGUAGAUGAGGAAGAUAAGAUUUUGGACCGUAAGCGGCGAAAAGAAAAGAGAAUCAAGGAGAAAAUGAAGUGGAAGAAAGGAAGGGAAGGAGAGGAGGCAGAUGUAGGUAGUGAGGUGAAUAUUUCUGCAUCAGACACAGAAGAAAGUGGAGAUAGAGUCAAUAAGAAGACGAAGAUAUAUUUUGACAGUGACAGUGAUGAUGGUAAGAGGACGAGAAAGGACAAACAGGGUGGUUCUGCAGACUCCAUUUCUCUGGCUGAGCAAGAGCAGCUGGCUCUUAAGUUGCUGAGUUCCAUGCAUUCGUAGUUUAUAUUUGGAUAUUAUAGUGGUUUUUUUUUUUCCAAAAAAAAAAUACACACAAACACACACAGCAUGAAAUGUGGUAUGAGGUGAGACAGUAUCCAGUCAAACUGUAAUCUGUACACUUGCUAGUUAGUUUAUUAUAUAAUGAGAAGAAAUGUCAUAUUUUCCUUGUUUGAAAGUUGUGGGAAAGAAAAAGAAUGGAACCUGAGAGAUUUGGUUUAGUUGUGUAUUGCCAUUUUAAAGGUUUAAAAACCCCAGUUUUAUACUCAAAAGAGUUGAUAAAAAAAAAAAACUCUCUACCUCUUCUCUCAUAACUCAAGUUUUCUGUCUCUGUCUCUAUCUUAUUUUCUCCCCUAAACCCCAAUCUUGGCAAGUGCUCUGAGAUCAGCUUGUACCUUUGUUUCAAACCAUACAAGAAGCCACCCUGUUAAAAGAUGCACGCAUUUAGGGUGUUUCCACUUCGUAUUGUGGUUGCCAAAUAAGGUUUGAAACCUUAAAUUGUGCAUAUUUUCAUUCCUCUCCUGUAAACUGAACCAUAAUACUGUUUUUUUUUUUUGGAAGGGGGGGGGGGUUCUAAUUUGUGGUUGCCAAAUAAAAUGUGUUAGUUAAUAUUUGUCAAAUAGAGCCUUAUUUCUUACAACAACUACAUUCAUUUAAACUACUAUUUUUCUAACAAGGGUAAUUCUAAUCAUUUUAAUAUCUUUUUCUUAAAAUUACACACUUUAGGGUACUAGUUAAAACAAAGCCAGAGAAUAAGGUAAUAUAAAUGAAUGAAUUAGAUGUAUCAAUCAUUGUGUACGUGAAAUUGACAUUAACCCAUUGAUCGUACAUUGGGCUAAUCGCUUAUUCCAUGAUCACAAUUUCUUCCUCUUGAUUUACGAACUAAUCAAACCAAACUUGAACAGCAUGUUGUAUUUUAUAAUAUUUUAAACUUGGUUUGAUUAGUAUAAAAUUAAAAUUUUAAGUAAAAAGCUCAAACUAUUUGAACUUAACUCAAGUCUAAUUCGAUAAAAACUCAUUUGAACUUGAUUCAACAAAUAAAUAAAUCAAACUUAAACACAAUUUUAAAUUCAUUAAAAUAAUCAAAACAAAGUUGAACACUAAAGUAUUCAGAUUGAUUAGUUUCGUUUAUACCUCUAUAGGGAAUAGUACCUUAAAUCAUUUAUAGCCCUAUAGGGAAUGAUACCUCAAAGGAAUCAUAGAAUUUUCCUCGAUCGAUUUUGAUACUAAAUUAACUUUUUUUUAUUUUUAUUUUGGGACAAAGAUAACUCUCUACGUGCAUAUACAUAAUUGUGCUUAAUUUUUUUUUAUCACAACGAUAAUAUUUGUAUAACAUACUUUAGCCUAAUUUAGGGGAAAGGAAAGCCUAAUCGUAUUGGAGGGAGUCGUUUGAAAAUAGCAGCUACAAUUAAGUGAAAAGUAUGUGAAAGAAGACAAGAAAGUUUUGGUGAUUACCAACAUCUCGCUUAAUUGCUUGUCUAUAAAUUAUUAAUGGGCUUAUCCAUAUAGUACUUUUCAGCCCAUCACUGACCCUUUCCCUUUCUCAGCGCCGCCUUGUCUUCUCGGCCCGCUCUCGAACCCCAUAAAUACCCCCAAUCUCCUAGAAAUCUUCCUCUCAAUUACUGGCCCAUUCCAUCUGGGUGCCCUCUUUCCUGUCCCUCUCCAGUAUAUCUGUGCUGUAUCUACUAGUGCUUUUUAUAUUUCUUUCUCCCUUCGAAUUAGGGUUUCUUCGAUUCCGUCUCGAAGAUGAUGCAACCAGGCGGUGUCGUUCCUCCACCCAUGGCUCCGAUGGAUCAACAACAGCACCACCACCACCAGCAGCAACAGUACCCGCCGCCGCAACAGCAGUGGUUCAUGAUGCCUCCUCAGCAACCUCCGGUUCAGCCUCAGGAUCCUCAGGUUUGGGGCCAGCAGCAGGUGUCGGCUCCACAGCAUUCUCAGCCUACGCAAUAUGGAAUUGCGCCUCCGUCGACUGCUGCUUCACCCGGCUCCAAUGAGAUUCGCUCUCUGUGGAUUGGGGACUUACAGUAUUGGAUGGACGAGAAUUAUCUUUCUUCCUGCUUUUUCCAUACUGGAGAGGUAUAAGGAGAAUUUGGUUAAAUUGUACGUUUUUCGAAAUUUGGGGGAAUUUUGGGGAAGAUUUGAGUAAGAUCGUUUAUUUUGAUUUAUUGUUUGGUUUCUUAACCUCAUGAUAACCUCCGGCUUUAUAGAUUCAUUAAAAACGGUAGGUUUUGCUAUCGAUUGCAGAUAUAAUGCAUGCAGUGCUAGACUUGGUUUUGUAGUUCUGUAUAUAGGCGUGGUUUUUGUUUUUGGUAACAAAGUGCAUGCCAGGCUUUUUGUUCACUUGUAGUAUUGGCCUUGGCGUUGUAAUUUUCGGUUUGUACAGGUGCUAUCUUGUACUCAACGUUAAUACCUCGAUAUUCCAAAUUAUUUGUAGCUCUGCGAAUAUUCUUGAGGCGCUUUUGGUAAUGUUUUGUAAGAAGAUCAAAAACUAGAAUUUUAGUCAGGGAGUUAUUGCUAGUGUUCGUUGUAGAGAUUGAGCAAGGGCGGGAAAGAUUUUUUUUGACUGAUUUUAAUUCUUCGUUUUGUCGUCUUUCAGCUUGUUUCUGUAAAGCUUAUUCGUAACAAGCAAAGUGGUCAAUCAGAGGGCUAUGGCUUUCUUGAGUUCAGGAGUCGUUCAGCGGCUGAAAAUGUUUUGUUUACGUAUAAUGGCACAUUGAUGCCGAAUGUCGAGCAACACUAUCGUUUGAAUUGGGCUACUCUUGGUGCUGGUGAGAGGCGUACCGAUGACUCUCCUGACUACACAAUAUUUGUUGGGGACUUGGCUGCUGACGUGACAGAUUACCUUCUCCAAGAGACAUUUAAAGCUGUCUAUUCGUCAGUUAAAGGCGCAAAAGUUGUUAUUGAUAGGAACACUGGACGGUCCAAGGGGUAUGGUUUUGUUAAGUUUGGGGAUGAGAGUGAGCAACUCCGUGCUAUGACAGAGAUGAAUGGUGUCAUAUGCUUAACCAGGCCCAUGAGGAUUGGACCAGCGGCUAACAAAAAACCUGCUGGCGUUCAGCAAUAUCAGAAAGGUAUGUCGUGCUGACAUCUCUUAAUUGAUGGUGGUGUGCUAUGGCAAGAAUUUAGGGCAUUGACAUUUGCUUUUUGUUCUCUUUUUAUUGGACUGUUUCAUUUGUUGUUUUCUUGGUACUUCUUAGUCGUAGGUGAAGCAAUAAGUUCCUAGUCAAGGCAUUGGAAGUUGUUUUUUACCGCUUUUGAGAUAUGAAUGUUCUUUGAGUUUUGCACAUGAAGAUACGUGGAAUUUACGAAGUCAUUUCCUUCCAGUACUUACCUUUUUAAAAUGGGCUCAUAUACUUCUGCUAAAAAUUUAAAAAUCUUAUAAAACUCAUGUUGUCUCGAAGCAGGAAACAGAGAGGCUCUCAUUUACGGGGGGCCUGGAACUGAUUUCAGCUGAAUUGAUUCCACUUUAAUGGGUGGCAGUCCUUUUAGGUCAGUUAAUUUGUUUAUGCCAUAAGCUUCCUUACUUCGAUUUCCUGUGGCAUUUUUAUGCUACACACACUUACUUUCCAGUUUCUUACUUUGGAGUUUAGAAGGGAAUAUUUAUUUUCUUUCCUUCAGAGGUUUCAUUUCCUUUCUCGCUUCCUUCAUUCUACUUGAUCCUCAACUACCUUCAUUCCAUUUUGUUAUGGACCAGUUUCUUUGGUGACAAAGGAUACUCUAUUUCUUCCAUUGCCAAUUGUUUUUUUACCUUAUCUUUUACCAGUUAAUGUUUUUUCCAAGUCUUCUCAUGGUGUAUGGUUCUGUUAGUAACCUGGGGAAUGAUUUUUUAUAGUCUUCCAACCCAGUUAUUGCACUUCUAAUUUUGUAAAAAUUCUUUUUUUUAUUGAGUUUUUAUUCCAGGGAAAUGAAAUUGAUUUGGUCUUUUGAGGUUUUGGUGCAAUGAAUCUUUUGAGGCUCAGUCUUUUAAGGUUUCGUUGGAAGGGAAUCUCUGAGGAUCAUACAUUCAUGGAUUUCGAAGCUUUGUGAAAGUACUUCUUGAAUAUGUUUUUGUGGAUAAACAGGUCUUUUGGUUGGAUUUUUGUGUGGUUUAUGGGCUUCUUUGUGGUGUAUAAUUUACUAAGUGUUGUUACCGGUCUUGCAAUAGGCAUAAGUUAUGUUGGAAUUUUAUUUAUGUGACAUUUCAAUGAGAACAUGAGCGUGAGAAAAUCAUGGAUUGGCAAAACUGCAUAGCAUGAAUGAUUGGAUAUGACUAGAAAAAUCUUGUGUAAUGUUACCUGUUGCUGUUUUGCAUUUUCUUCUGUCAAGUUAGUAACUUAAAUCUUUUUUCAGUGAGCAUGACAAUCUUAAGAGAUUGAGAUUGUUUGCUUUUCAAGUUAUUCGUUUCUUCCUGCCGAAAAUAGUGUGCACUUUCCAAGCAUUCUCCUUGUCUUAUGCAUUUAGUGCAUCCUCUUGUUCCAGUGCAUCUAUGGUGACCAUUCUUAAAAGUAUGUGCUAUGUAUUGCCAAAAGCCCACUUACAUGAAAAACUUUGCUGUAAAGCUGCAUUUAUGUAUUCAAGAGCUUGUCUAUUGCUGUUCUUAGUUGUGCUUGACUAGUGUGACUAGAGUCGUGUUUGUCAAAGUGAAAACCUUUUAAAGUCUAAUGUAAUGUACUGCUUUGGAGCAUUAAUGUUAUAAAUUUUCUCUCUUUUGCAUGUUUCUUUUGGCUGGUCAAAUGAACUUUAUCAUUGUUAGCUCUGAAGUUUUGAUCAAUGGAUGAGUAAACAUUUAUAUACCUUAGAAGAAAGGUGUACUACAGAGAAGUGCAGUUGUGCCUCUUACUUAGUGUACUAUUGGUGUCUCAAUACUUCAUUUGGCAUUCCAGUGUGCGAUGCAGUAGCUGUCUUAUCAAACUGAUAAUAUCUCUGUAACUCACAGUUUCCUUUUAAUUUCUGGUCAUUCUUACCUUUAUCCAUCAUUUGCAGCUCCCAAUCAGAAUACUCAAGGAAAUGAGGGUGAAAGUGAUCCAAAUAAUACAACAGUGCGUAGCUUGUCUUAGUUAUGGAUUUACUUUUGUUACCUGUGUGGUAGUUAAGACUGUUUCUUGUAAGUGCAGAUAUUUGUGGGUGGAUUGGACCCAAGUGUGACAGAUGAGAAUUUGAGGCAAGUAUUUGGCCGAUAUGGGGAAGUUGUACAUGUAAAGAUACCUGCAGGGAAGCGAUGUGGUUUUGUUCAAUUCACUAAUAGGUAACCUUUAAAUUUUGGGGGAAAAAUGUUGUGGUAAAUUUUGCAGUUCGUGAUGGCCUAUUUCUUUUGAUUUUUCUGUGCUAGGGCAUGUGCGGAACAAGCAUUGGAAAGCUUGAAUGGUACACAGUUGGGAUUACAAAGUAUUCGACUUUCAUGGGGGCGUAGUCCUUCCAACAAGCAGGUUUGGGCCAUCUUUCUGUCUCUUGGUACGGUUGAUAGUUGCAUAUAAUUGCAUAUCUUACUUUUCCUUGAUUUUGGACAGUCGGAUCAACCCCCGUGGAAUGGUGGAUGCUAUGGUUAUACACAAGGUUAUGAUGCAUAUGCAUAUGCUCCACCUCCGCAAGACCCAAAUGUAUAUUAUGGAGGUUACCCUGGAUAUACAAAUUACCAACAGCCGCAGCAGGUAGGAGAAUGCGAAAUGUUUUUAUGCGUUUUUUGUUUGUUGCUGAAUUAACCAGCAAGGGUGUUACUUUUUUAGUUGGUUUUGUUGGUUCAGGAAGUGAUGCAAACGUCCCUGGUUCUUGUCCUCCUUUGUUGAAUUUUUUUAGAUAGAUGAGCAACUGAAAUUCCUUGUGCUAAUAUUUGCAGUGAUCUAUUGUUGCAAGUUGCAAGCCUUGGCAGUCUACGCAACUUGGUAUAUGAAAGCCUCAGAGAUUGUUCAGGGUAUUUGCUUGCUAUUCACGCUCGUAACAUGUCCAAUCAAGAGAGUUGCGGUAUUUGGCUGAAUGAUAGUUUGCCGUUAUGGGAGGGCUAAGAACCAUAUGUGCUCUUAUAUAUUUCGUUACUUUAUGACUCUCCAUCAAUUUGGGAGCUGUUGGGGCGGGCGGGCUUGUUUCAUGGUGAUGAAGGUUUACAGUAUUGUUAUUAUGUCGAGGAUUUUGACUGGUUUAUCUCUAAUAGUGACGCUUAUAAUGCUUGCCAUCCUAAAUCUAGAAUUAUUGGUUUAAGUAUUGGUGUUUGUGGCUCUCCAAUGUCGUGUGUCACUGUCUGUUUGGAUUCAUGUCUUUCUCAAAAACUUGUAUUCGAAGUGUUAAAACACCCCAAAUGUAUUCCAAAUCUGCAAUACAACACUCCAAAUAUAUUUGAAAUAUACCUAUAACAUAAACACCAAAAAUUAACUGAAAAAGAAUCCACCACUUGUUUCUUCCACCUCCACCGUGACUGUACCUCCCCUUUCCCCCCCCCCCUUCGGGCCCCCCCUUCAUCCUUAGCUCCUCGUAAUAAUCCCGAUCCCUACCAUGUCCCUCCCUUCCUCCUUUUACCUCCUCAUCUCCUAUUCCUCUCUUUUUUAUGGCGCUAUCAUCUUUUCCUUCUCUUUUCUUUUUCCGCAUACCCCUUGUUCUCCCCUUUUCCUUUCCUAGAUGACUAGAUUCGAUUGCUGGGGAGGAGAGAAGGAAGUGGGGGAAAAAGGGAGACCAAGUGGAAGAAGGUGAAGAGAGGAAAUGGAGGAGGAGGAGGAAGCAGGAAGCAGGAAGCAGGAAGGGAAGUAGUGUUGAUGGAGGAGAGUGAGAUGGUAGAGGGGCACGAGAAGGGAGAUGAUGUUGGGUGGGAGGGAGGAGGGAAAGGAAGGAAGGUGGGGAUAAUUCUUAAAUUUUUUAGAAACAUCUCAAAAAUUUAAAAUUGAAAAAAAUGUCACAAUAUAUCCUUUCCUUACUCUUACCUAUACUAAAAGCGGGAGUUUGCAAUUUGAGUUCAAUUGAUUUGGUCCGCUUAUCAGGCUUGUGAUUGGUUAUUGCGAGUCCGAUUAUUCGUCACCAUUUUAUAUCGGAAUCGGACCUGGCAUAACGACAUAGUCACCGCCCAUCUUGAAAUGCACCGUGAAGAUUUUUUGGUAUCAUAUACGAUAUAUGAGGCUGCAAAUGAAUUGAGUCGAGUCGAGUUUUGACUUAAUUAAAACGAGUUUUGAUCUCAAUUUAAUUUUUCCAAACUUGAAUUCGAAUUCGAACUUGACGAACUCUCAAUAUAAAACUCGAGCUCGAUUUAAAAAAAAAUAAAUAUAAUUAUUUAUUUUUUUUUAAAUGCACCGUGAAGAUUUUUUGGUAUCAUAAAUGAGGUUGCAAAUGAAUCGAGUCGAGUCGAGUUUUGACUUAAUUAAAACGAGUCUUGAUCUCAAUUUAAUUUUCCCAAACUCGAAUUCGAAUUCGAACUUGACGAGCUCUCAAUGUAAAACUCGAGCUCGAUUUAAAAAAAAUAAAUAUAAUUAUUUAUUUUUUAAAAAAUAUAUAAAAUAAUAAUUUUUCUUAACAUAUAAUAAAGUAUUAGGGAUACAUAUGUAAUUUUAUUAUUAAAAUAAUAUAUAUAUAUAUCUUUACUAUACUAAAAGCGUCAGUUGGCUUAGCUACAGUGAAAAUGGGCCGGUUAUAGCGUGAUUUGUGUGAGCUUGAGGGGCAGUUUGGUCUUUUGCCAUUCAGUGGUGUGGCUUUGCUAUCCGCGUGGCUUUGUUAUGGGCACUGAAUAGGGAGCCGCCGAAUACACCAGCUACGCCUAACAUGUGAAAUGAGAAAUUCCAUUUCAACGAAAAUUUUGCCACUUUGGAUACAUUGAGCCCAACAGAGAUAGAGAGAGCGAGAGAUGGUCUGCACUCGUGGCAUCUACCUUUUGACUUUGAUUUUCAAACCCUCAUCUUACCUGGCCUAACAUUUUCAGUAUAGAUUGUAGAAGAAACAACUUACCAUGUUGGACGAAAUUCGUACUCAUUUUUCGUAGCCAUUUUGUAUGAUAAAAUAUUCAAUAAAAUUUAAAACCGUUAUAAUGGCUCGAUACUAGAGGUGACAAAUCAACCCACCUAAUUAAAUUUACCUAUACCGGUCCAUGAAUAGAUGGUAUAAGUUCAAAAUUUUUGAAUUAAAUUUUUAUAUUAAUUUUUAUAGUACUUAGUUCAAAUUUUUAUAUUCUUAUUAUUCAAUUAUUAAAUAAUAGAUAAUUUUGUAACAUAGAGUAUAAAUGAAAAAAAAAUGGUAAUUAAAUUUAUUGAACAUUAUAAAUAAAUAUUUAAAACUAAUAAUGGGUACAAAGAGUGGUAUAAAUUGAUAACUUGUUUUGCAAAAAUAAAUUUAAACGAGUUUACCAAAAGUUAAAAUAAAUAAGUUGUAAAUGGGUAAUUGAGUUACACAAUUCAUUUUUUGACUUACCCAUUUAUACCUAUCUAAUUAAAUGAGUAUAAAUGAGUUAAUUUACUUAUACCCAUUACCCAUUUUAUUCAACCCAAAUUCGUACUCAUUUUUCGUAGCCAUUUUGUUGACAAUAUUAAUAAAACUCAAACCAAUUGUUAUAAUGGCUCGAUACUAGAGGUGACAAAUCAACCCACCUAAUUAAAUUUACCUAUAUCGGUCCAUGAAUAGAUGGUAUAAGUUCAAAAUUUUUGAAUUAAAUUUUUAUAUUAAUUUUUAUAGUACUUCGUUCAAAUUUUUAUAUUCUUAUUAUUCAAUUAUUACUAGAGGUGACAAAUCAACCCACCUAAUUAAAUUUACCUAUAUCGGUCCAUGAAUAGAUGGUAUAAGUUCAAAAUUUUUGAAUUAAAUUUUUAUAUUAAUUUUUAUAGUACUUAGUUCAAAUUUUUAUAUUCUUAUUAUUCAAUUAUUAAAUAAUAGAUAAUUUUGUAACAUAGAGUAUAAAUGAAAAAAAAUUGAUAAUUAAAUUUAUUGAACAUUAUAAAUAAAUAUUUAAAACUAAUAAUGGGUACAAAGAGUGGUAUAAAUUGAUAACUUGUUUUGCAAAAAUAAAUUUAAAUGAGUUUACCAAAAGUUAAAACAAAUAAGUUGUAAAUGGAUAAUUGAGUUACCCAAUUCAUUUUUUAACUUAUCCAUUUAUACCUAUCUAAUUAAAUGGGUAUAAAUGAGUUAAUUCACUUAUACCCAUUACCCAUUUUAUCCAACCCAAACCCACCCAAGUCACCCAUUUCAACACCUCUACUCCAUACUUUAUAUUCAAGCCCAACAUUUUUGUUUUCCCACUUUAGCUUUCUUGCUUUGUUUUACCUUGAGAAACAAGAAUUUUCAUGAUAAACUGAAUUUGUUCUUCACUACGAUUUCCCUUGUGUUCCAACAAAGGAACGUUUAACUUAAAAUAAAUAUUUCAACCAGGGGAAAAAAAAACCAGUUUAAAAACAACUAAUAUAACGGUUGAUAUAUACAUACACUGAUACAUCUAUACCUUCUAUACAAAAUGACUUUCUAAUUAUCGAAUGCAAUCAUAUUACCGAUUAUCAUCGUUUAACCUACUCCAUAAAAUUAAAUUAAAUUAACACAAGUUAGGGCAACCUCGCGCGUAGCGCGAGGCCUAAAAAACUAGUAUACUAAAAGUGCCCGUUGGAGUUGCUACAGUGCUCAUGGGCCGGUUAUCCGGUAAUUUUGAGCAACUUCAGUGGCAUUUUCAUAGGCAGGCCGGUUAUCCGGUAAUUUUGAGCAACUUCAGUGGCAUUUCAUAGGCAGAUAGAUUGGUUAUGCUGUAAAUUUCGACAAUUCCAGUGGUAUUUCAUAGGCAUUUAUUUGGGCUUGCCCUCUUGCUCCAGAGUUCAACGCUAGAAUUCUUUCCCCUCUCCCUCCAGCGGCAUUUUUUAGGAAGCAUAUAUGUGCCAUAUAUAAAACUUGAUGCCCUUUACGGUGUUGCAUUGUUAGUUCUUUCUUCUUUUUUUUUAAAAUUUUUUUUGCCUUUAUUAUAAAGGAUAAAAUGGAUUUAUUCUGUAACAAAAUAAUAAAACAACAAUUUUAUCAUAACUUCGAAUCUUCCCAUAUUUUUACGUUCAAUUUCUCCAUGUUUAUCUACUAUAUUUGACACACAUUUCUUCAAUUUUUCUUUAUUAACAUCACCCAAAUUAAGUCCAUGCACUUGUUUCCCCUAUAAUACUUCACUUUUAUAAGAGAAUUAUUAUUACAAAUAUUUUUAUUCUAAUUAGUUAUAUACACAUCUGAGUGCGCCUUACUCACUAUUAUGUAUAACAAGAAAAGAUUUUUUGAACAUGUUUGAACUAAUUCUUGAUAAGAAAUUUCAGAAAAGUAAUGUACUACCUAACCUUUAGUUUUAGAUACUUUUAUUGGUAUUUUUUUCAUUCAGAGUUUUAGCUCUCUUGCCUAUGUAAUCUUGAGAGAAAGCCAUCUGAAAGCAACAUAUUGGAUGUGUUUCUUUCUUCAAUUGAAGACCUGGAUUUGGUGGUUUUAUAAGGUGAAGUUUUCACACUCUCACCUAACUGAUCUUGUUGAAACUUAUUUCAUUCUUGAUUAGAUACAAAUAGUGUGUGCAUAAUUUUAAAAAUGAUCAGCGUCACCAUAUUUAUGAUAUUUGUAUGUACUUGUACAUUUUAAAUGAAUGCAUCAUUUAUUUAUAGUAUCAAGAAUUCGCAAGGAUCUUAAGCCAAAAACUGACUAUCUAAGAGAAAAUUACAAAUCAAAUGAGUAAACGAGUAACAACAAUAUUCAAUUUACCUAAAGUCAAAAUCUCCACAUUUAUUAACACCUAUCAUGUAUUAAAUAUAUAACCAAUUUACAUUAAUCCACUUACCUUCAUUUGAUCUUGAUUAACAUAUAGCCAGGGCAUCCUCACGCAUCGCGUGAGGUUGAAAAAACUAGUAUUGUUAUAAGAAAGUUUUUGAUACACGAUAUUAUAGUAAAUUUUUGAAAAAUAUCUUGAAAAGCACUUAAUUCAUAGCCCAAUGGUAGACCAAUUAUUAGUUUGGAUUUAUGGCUGGCCUUGAAAAUGUUCAAGAUGGGAUGGUGCAUUCCGAACCCUUGUCAACCGCUAACGUGCAAUUGAAAGCAAGAAAAGAAUACGCAUAGUUUUGGGAAAAUUGUAUAGGUUUCUUUAGGAUUUCCUUGAAUCACUGAUUACUACAUACAUUUAACAAUGGAAGUAAUUUGAUUGAAAUUGUUGCAAUUCAACUCUUAUUUCAUAAUCUAAAAUUGAAUUUCAAUUUAAGAGUAUGACAUUAAAAGGGGGUUAUAGUAUCUGUCGAUAUUUUGAUUUCAUUUCCAAAGUGGGAAAAAAGUAACUAGGGGAUGAUUUAAUUUUUAUCAUAGCGACACGGAUUAAGGGUCUCUCUAGUUGAUUCUAUCUAGUUCAAUCAUCUUGUUGGUGUAAUUCUUACAAUUUUGGAUGUAAAGUCUUGUAGAUUUAAUAUAAUCAUUAAUUAAUAUAUGAGUUGACACAACUCACGUUUACAUCAAAGUUAUAGCAUUUUACAUCAAAUGUAGUAUGCUUUCCACAACUGGCCGAGAGUGGAUACAAUUUUUUCUGGAGAAGCCCCCGACACCAGAUGCAUCAAACUUGGAAAGCUUCGUUUUGACUUUUGAGAGAAAGCUGCAAUGGAAAACAAAAUUUGUCGGGAGAUGAAAGUUGAGGUAUGAAGUUGAAUGUUUCCAAGGACCAGCGAUACUUGGCUGACAGACAAAUCCCUGUUGAAAGGCUUUGACAGUUGGUUGGUUGCACGACAAAGUUGCACGGAUGCACCGUAUAGGUUUAAAAUUCAGGCUCGUAAAUGAUUUUGGAGUACACAAAAGAAAAAGUCUGCAUUGGGGCAAAUCAAAGACAAAGUCAAUACGUUUUCCAGGAUCUCUAAUUUGAUGGCUAUCAUUGCGCAUGGAAAUACUGUACUUUCAACACAUGUUAUAUUUGUUAAGCAACGAUUUUCACAGCCUAUAUAUAUAUAUAUGUAUGUAUGUAUGUGUAUAUAUAUAUUCACCAGAGUUUUUCCUUGCCUCAUUUUGUCGAUCCAACUAGGCUUGCAACCCAGCUCAUAGUAACAUUACAAAAAGAAUAACAAGGCGAGUAUAUACCGUUGUAGCUGCAUUCACUGGUCUAGUUCAAGAACUGAGGUUGUUGAUAUUGCAUUUACAAAUUACAACUGGCCUGGCUUUCCAAGAAUUUUAACUUCUAUCCUCCCUGUUCCGUUCAUAGCCCAAUUCCAAUACUUAUUGCUUCACAAGUAUAGACGUAGUUUGCGCUUCUCAGUCGAAUCUUUUCAGAAAAUAUAGCAGAAGAUGGGUGUUCCGCUCAAAUUGAUGCCUAUUCUAGUCUCAUUUUUUGUGUUGGUGAUAGGCGCUUCUCAAGCAACGUCCCGCUUGUUGCAUGAAUAUGAUGAAGCGGCAAUGGUUGAAGAGCAUGAAAAGUGGAUGGCAACUUAUGGACGUGUUUACAAGGAUGAUGCAGAAAAGGCAAAGAGAUUCCAGAUAUUCAAGAAGAAUUUUGAGUAUAUCGAAUCUUUUAACAAAGCUGGAACUAAGACUUACAGCUUAAGCAUCAACCGGUUUGCUGAUAUGACCAAUGAGGAGUUCCGGGCUCGCAAUGGAUACAAACCAUUUACUUCAUCGAAGUCAGCAUCAUUUAGAUAUGAGAAUGUUACAGAUGUUCCAUCUAGCUUGGACUGGAGAGAGGAGGGAGCUGUUACUCCUGUCAAGAACCAAGGAGACUGUGGUAAGUCAACAAAUCUCUCUCUCUUCUCUAUAUUUGUUUUCUCCAAUAAGAUGCCAUUAUAUCAUAACAGGACGUGGGAUUCGCAGGAUUAGUUUAACAAAGUUUUGGACCCAAUCUACAGGAUGCUGCUGGGCGUUUUCAGCUGUGGCAGCUACGGAAGGAGUUCACCAGCUGAAAACAGGUGAGCUGAUUUCGCUAUCCGAGCAAGAACUGGUGGACUGCGAUACAGAUGAGGAUCGAGGCUGCGAAGGUGGUUUAAUGGACUCAGCAUUUAGCUUUAUCAUCAAAAACCAUGGCCUCACAACUGAAUCACAUUAUCCAUACUUGGGGAUUGAUGGCAGUUGCAGUGCAAAUGAGGAACAUCCCCCUGCAGCAACCAUCAAAAGUUAUGAAGACGUCCCUGAAAAUAACGAAUCAGCCCUCUUGAAAGCCGUGGCUAAUCAACCUGUAUCUGUUGCAAUCGAUGCUGGUGGACAAGAUUUUGCGUUCUACUCCAGUGGAGUGUUUACAGGAGAAUGCGGCACUCAUUUAGACCACGGUGCCACAGCCGUAGGCUAUGGAAUAAGCGAAGAUGGAAUCAAGUAUUGGUUAGUCAAGAACUCAUGGGGUGUUGAUUGGGGUGAAGAUGGAUACAUCAGAAUGCAAAGAGACAUUCAUGAUGUGCAAGGGCUUUGCGGGAUUGCCAUGAAUGCUUCUUAUCCUAUUGCUUGAAGUUUUCUUAGAUUCAAAUCAGUUUUUUUUUUUUUUGCCCUCAUUUUUAUGGCGUAUUUAUUGAAGUUUAGUUGCUUACGGAUUUUUUUGCCAUUCGAUGGUAGCAAUCUCUUGCAUUUGACCCUUAACUUAGUUUUGGAAAGUUGUACUCAACUUACAAGCUUGUAUUUGCAAGAAAUGAAGUCUGAAAGAAUUACCAAAAAAAAAGAAAAGAAAGGGCUAAAGUCACUUCCUUCUGUUCUAAAUCCACACAAUUGAUCAUUAUUAAGUUGCAUUUGUAAUGAAUCUUGUACACAACUUAAAAAUAUGGGCGCGGAGAAAACUAAUUAGUCAGCACAGAGCGAUAGGAUCUUUGAACUAUGCCUCAACAAUGAUGAUUAGUUCCAACGCCAAGAUCUCUUCAACCCUUUCCUUAACCCUCAUAAUCAAAUAGCAUUUGGUCCCCAUAUUGCAAAUGUAUCAUUAUGCUAAUCACCAACGCAAGAUUAAAUUUAAGGGAAAAUCGUUCAAAACGUCCUUCACAUUUUACAAAAUAACUUUUUUCAUCUCUCACUUUUAAAAAUAUAAUUUUACGUCCCUUACAAAUUCACAUUGAUCAAAUUUGGUUCUUACUUAAGUUUUCGACUAAUUUUUGAUCGAAAUUCACCACGUGCCUUGCAUGAGAUUAUACUUUAAGGACAAAAUUAUCAAAUUAAAUUUUAUAUAAUUCGAUUACAACUUGGCACACUCGAAAAAAAAAAAAAAAAAGAGCUUACGCGGAAUAAAAAAGAAAAAAUGGGUAUUGGCAUUUUUUGAGAUCCUAAAAAAAUAAAAAGGAAAACAAAAGUCCGAGAAUAAAAUCAUAAAUACAAAUAUAAAGUUCACAUGGAAUAAUGAAGACAAAAUUGUAAUCAGGACAAGAAGCGUUCCUAAAAGGACAUUAUCCACCAUUGAGCGGAAAUUUAUUACCUACUGCUUCCCUUGCUUCUCUCUCUCUUCUUACUGUUUAUUGGUUCUUGGUUCCUAUUAAUUAAUGGUGAGUUGAAGCAAGUAAAAGAUCACAAAGUUAUGAAGCCAAAUCUGAAGACACUAGUAUCUGUAGUUUCAUUGGCAGUUGUUUCAGUGAUAAAUGUAACUGCUACGACCGGCGAUUACAUUCGACCUGCACCUCGGAAAAAUCUUCAGUUUCCAUGGAGUCCGAAGCAUUCUUCUCAUCCCCAACAGGUAAGAAAAGGGAUCAACUGGAAGGCCUUUCUUUUGUCCUUUAAACUAGUUUGCUUUUUGUUUUAGUGAAUUUUGGAUAAAGGGUUGUUAGCAAGUCCACUGCCUGUGAUGCUAUCAUAACGGGAUCUUGUUAAUUUUCUUGAGCUUUGAUGAAAAGAGUGUGAAUUGUUUCAAAGAAAGUGUGUGUACGUUUAAGUCUUCAGAAAUUUGUUGUCAAUUGGUGUUUGUCAUGGUUAAAGCUCAAGCUUAUUCAUCGAAAGAUGAUAUCUUUGUGGGAGACUUGUGAUCAGCUCACCUAUAUUAGUUGCUAAAAAUUGGAAAACAAAAAAGCAUAUAAAAUAAAAUAAAGGGAGCAUUCAGAAAGUGUAGGAGAGCUUAUAUUACUGUUUUCUGUAGGUAUUAUAUGUAUAGAUGUACAUGCGUGCUUCUUACUUCCUUGCAUGUAGCCGUCAAUAGUAAGAUUCAAUGCUUCAAGAGGUCACUGAUGUUGGAUUUCCAGCGCAUAAUGCACUCUUAGUGUAGCCAAAAGUUUGUGGAUGCUGUUUAUUGUUGCAGGAUUAUUUUGAUUCUUUCUUGUCAGGUUUAUGUAUGAAGGCUGUAAAGCUGCUUGUUCUUACUCAGGGAUAUUUUCGUUGCACAAUUUGACUUUCCUCUUCGCUCUUGUUGAGUUGCUGUAGGUUCAUAUCUCUUUGGCCGGGGAUAAGCACAUGCGUGUCACAUGGAUCACAGAUGAUAAAUCUGCUCCUUCAGUUGUUAACUAUGGGAUGUCACCUGGAAAAUAUAACUCUGUUGCUCAAGGAGAAAGCACAUCGUACAGUUAUCUUCUGUACAGCUCAGGGAAGAUACACCAUACUGUCAUUGGGCCACUGGAGGAUGACACCAUAUACUACUAUCAAUGUGGUAGAGAGGGUCCUGAGUUCAAGUUCAAAACCCCACCAUCCCAGUUCCCAAUCACUCUGGCAGUGGCUGGUGAUUUGGGUCAAACUGGAUGGACCAAAUCAACUUUAGAUCACAUAGACCAGUGCAUAUACGAUGUGUAUAUGCUCCCUGGAGACCUUUCAUAUGCUGAUUACAUACAGAGUAGGUGGGAUACAUUUGGUGAGCUGGUGCAGCCACUUGCCAGUGCCAGGCCUUGGAUGGUGACACAAGGUAACCAUGAAAAGGAGCACAUACUACUAAUCAAAAAGUCGUUUGCUGCUUAUAAUGCAAGAUGGAAAAUGCCAUACGAGGAGAGUGGAUCCAGUUCAAACUUGUACUAUUCAUUUGAUGUUGCCGGUGCACAUAUCAUCAUGCUUGGUUCAUAUACAGAUUAUGAUGAAUUCUCGGACCAAUAUAGUUGGCUGAAGGUUUGAACAUCUGUAUGCUUUUGCGCGAAAUUGCCUUUCUUUCAAUAAUUUUCCCACUACUCUUCCAAAUAAGGUAAUUAAAGUAUCAGGGCCACGGGUAUGAUUAGUGUCUUUCUGAAAUGUCUGACAUAAUCAAGGGCAGAGAAAAGGAGAGAUUUAUUUUCAUUACUUAUCCAUAUCGGUUUUGAGGAAUUGCUUUGAGGUCGCUCUGAAAUUUAAAUGUCAACAUGAAGCAGUACCGCUGUAGACAUUUAUGCCUAAGUGAAUCAUUGAAUCACAACCUUUGAUUGUUCUGAUGAGCUAGAACACAUGGAAUGUAGAUUCAGCAAAAAAUUUUAUAUGAGUUGUAUUGCUUAUGUUUCUUUUAAAACAAAUCUAUUCCAGGAUCCAUAUCCAUUACAAUAAUUUCAGAUUACUAAUCAAGUUCUUUCCUUUGCUUGGAAAAGUUUAUGGUUUGUCUAUAAAUUUCGUUUCCUCUAAGAUAUUUUUAACAGAAAGUCAUGCUCUUAAAUGAUUCUAAAAGCGCAUAUGUCGAGUAAUAGAAUAGGACAUAUGUCUUCAAUGAUUAAUUUUCUGAACCAAGAAAACUUAGUAGUUCACUGAACCUUGAAUUACAGGCUGAUCUUGCGAAGGUAGAUCGUGAGAAGACACCUUGGCUACUUGCACUAUUCCAUGUGCCGUGGUACAACAGUAAUGAUGCUCAUCAAGGCGAAGGUGACAACAUGAUGGCAUCAAUGGAACCUUUACUAAACGCUGCCGGUGUGGAUAUCGUACUUGCUGGUCAUGUGCAUGCUUAUGAACGCUCGGUAUGCCCAAAUUGGUUUAACUUCUUAUUUGGUCCCUUGUUUCUGAGUGAUCUGGAACCUAACCUGAUUAUUUGGUUCCUUGUCCGCAGCAACGUGUUUACAAUGGCAGAUCGGAUUCUUGUGGUGCUGUACAUAUAACAAUUGGUGAUGGAGGAAAUAGAGAAGGUUUAGCACAUCGGUGAGUCUUCCUCUUGAUCCCCUUGCACACCUAAGAAAGAUUAAAGAGAGCCUCUUUCAUGUAGUAUGGCUCUUUGGGUCGAGUAACUGAAUUGCAUCGUGAACAAGAGUUAUUGGUUUAAUGAAGCGUCCUUUUUUCUUUUUCUCUCUCUCCCGGAAUACUUCAAUUCCGUCGUACAUUCGCAACAAAUAUUUUCUGCGUAUAGGAAAAAAAAAAAAGCUUUUGGGGAAGUUGAAAAGGGAGUGACAUUGAUCCAAGCAGGGAUGUUUUUUGAGUGCGUGCCUGUGUUUGUUUGUGUGUCUGUCACAGAGAGAGGGGAAAGGGGGAGGGUGGGGAGGACUGAAGGAGUUAAACUUGAUGUUUUGAAACAUUGAUAUCUCUGUUGAGUCAUUAUUGAGUUUUACAAGUCACUUUUUGCAAUUCAUGUUCUUCCCUUUUCCUCUCCACAUUGACGUCUAACUAGUCUUGGGAAAUGAUGACAGGUUCAAAGAUCAACAGCCUGAAUGGUCAGUGUUCCGCGAAGCAAGUUUUGGUCAUGGUGAGCUCAAGAUAGUGAAUUCCACUCAUGCUUUCUGGAGCUGGCAUAGGAAUGACGAUGAUGAACCAGUGAGGUCCGAUGAGGUCUGGAUAACCACUCUAAGGAGUUCGGGUUGCAUUCUUGAAGAGAGUCGUGACUUGAGAAAGCUCCUAUUGCAGCCGUAAAACUGUUCUCUCAAGGGGGUGCCUAAUUAAAUGAACUACUGCACAAACUCCUGAAGCAGUGUAUAAUACCAGCAUAGUUAGAGGAGUGCAAAUCUGCAAGUGUUGUACUGUUAUUAUGUAUUGUAAGGUAUUGUAAGAACGGUAUGUACCUUCCUUUCUUCUGGAAGUGGACUGAAUCCUUAAAUUGCUGUAUAAGAAGAUUACUUACGGUAUGUGAGUUUAAAUCCAGGGUGUUAUUUUCUGAAGGUGGAUUGAAUCCUUAAAAGUACUCGGCACUUUGAAUUUAAAACCAGGGCCCUUGGGCAAAGCAGGACAUUAACGUGAUCUUCAUUAAUCUGGGUCCUAUGUCUUCUGGAACUGUGGAAAGUUCGAGGAUAAGAUUUUUUCAAAGGUAAGAGAAACUAGAUAUCAGCUUUUGAGUACAGUUUGAUUGGUUCCUUCAAGGGAUCCGGACAGACAGCAAGAAAAUCCUCAUCGUGUUGCCGACAUCCAAAUUUGCCAUCGCCCUUGACAUAAAAGUGGUAACAAGUAUUACCAAAAGAAGAACUUGUUAUAACUGAUCAAGUACUGUACUUAGAAAUGGUGAAUAACGUGACGGACGGUACCAAGAUUUUGUUAGCUACUAGGAAGCGUCUGGAGCUGGUAUAUGCUGAGCUGCGCAAACUCUGUGUGUGUGUGUGUGAGAGAGAGAGAGAGACAACACACAGCAUCAGUAGUUGCAAUCUGUUUGAUAAAUAAAAUUUGGACGAAAAGAAAAAAGGUUUUUACGCAACAAUGGCAUCGUUCCACAGCGGGACACUAAAUACGAAUGACAAAAUGGGAGGCGAUUACUCUACAGUCUAAUAUAAAAUUGGUACUCCAAUCCGUUAGCUAUAUAGCCUAUAAGAUUCCACCUUUCUACCGAGUGCUUUCAAUUUUUAACCUUUCAAUCAUAUCAUGUGCCAACAACCUAGGACUCAAAACUGCGAAUAGGCAAAUUAUCAGCCAUAAAGUCAGGAAGACCUCAUCCCAGAAUAAAGCAGUCAGCUCAUGCUUCCCAAAUCUGGUUGGUGAUUAAUGGAGGAAAUGAAGCAAGAUGUAAACCCAAGUUAAUGAGCUCAACUCCAAGUAUACGACUUUCUACUUCUAGCAUCUUUUUAAGUUGCAAGUUCCACUGCACUUGAGCUGUAUAUCUGAUCAUUCCUUCCCCGCCAAAGUAUUAUUUGUUCGUCCUUGAACAAGAUAGGAGUACAAGGUACCAGAUCCUGCAGCAGUGUAAGCAAUGGGAAUGAGAAAUGCAGCAUCAGACGUACGGGUCAACCAAUUUGAGACAAACAAAUUCCAUGUAAGAUAGUUAUUGCUCUCCACAAGAGCCAUACCCGUAACUUAACUCCUAUCCUUUUGCAGUCACUAGUCCCCACGUGUGCACAAUCUAGUCUAACAACUUCCUUGGUCUUAAAUGCAUCUCUCACUCUGUCCACCACAUUCACAUACACACCAUUCCUGGCUGUAGAAAAGAAGCAAAAACUAUUACCAGCUCUACAUAACAAAUAAAGCAGCAUUUAAUUUCGCGAGUUUAACCAUGAGAAGAAAUGGGCAGACAGUAUAAAACUCCCGAAACUAAAUUCCCUUACUGAGUUUCAUUAUGGGAUCAGAGUUGAGCCCUUUGUUUCUCAUCUCCUUUGCCUCGUCAAAUGUCAGGCCAUCAGCAACAGGCUUCACAAGCUUUGGAUAUAUUGGUGCAUAUGGCUUCCACAGCAUCAAAGGAAUGACUGGUCUAUUUUUAGGAUCAUAGUUCCGACCUCUGUAUAGCAGGAGAACGUUACUCUGACGAUAAAUUAUCAUCCCACCAGAUUUAUCCUACAAGCGCACUGUGAUCCUGAUGAGCACAAACCACAGAUAGACUAAAUAAAGAAAUGAAACACUUUUAAGGUUUGAGAUUAACAGGUAGUUUACAGUUCCAAACCUCGAGAUGAAAACAAACAUUGUCCAUGUCAAGAGUUGGCACCCCUAAGCACUUAAUCCUCACAGCUUCAGCCCUCUUCCAAUGGUUAUGAAUGUCUUCCAGCAUGUUGUGAGUAACUCCUCCUUUCCCUUUAUCAAAUUAAGUAGAUGGAAAACCCAAUUCAUUAUUCUUUACAACUAGAGCCUAGCAUGAGUUUUCAUAAUAUGCAUAAUUCCCUCAUCCUGAAAACUAAACACAGUAUUAAGCAAGAAUCGCAACCCAAUAAAAUCUCAACUCCCAACUCAUCACCACUGAAUCCUAUCACGCACUAACAUAUUGAUAUUCAAUAACAGGGGGAGCCUAAAACAAACUUUUCAGCCUCUAAAAUCAUAUUCCAUAAUGCCUUGGCUGCUUAAAAGUUUUCCUCAAACAUAAGUUCAGAUACCUAAUAAAUUAUCAGCAAGAGAUAAAGCACUUGACCCAAGCUCAAAGGAACGUCCUUGGACUUGGUUUGAUUAGUAAAUCAAGCUCUAAUUACUUUUCCUAGCAAAAGAGUGAAUUUUUUUUUUUAAUCAUCAGAAUCAAAAGGAAACAAAAUUUGAAAAUACCUAGAUUGAUUUGGCGAGAACAAUCACUAUGCCUAUAUUUCUCCACGAGCUCUGCAAUCUCCUCCUCCAUUAAAGGUUCCCCAAGAACCUUAUUCCGUUGCUCGGCCAACUUCUCCGAAUCCACAGACUCUUCCGCCGGGGCCGACGUCCCGGUCCAUUUCCGGUCAAGCCGACCAGGACCAAAAGGAGAGAACCUCGGCGGUUCGCGAAACCCGAUUGGCUUCACAUCCGGGUUGGUCUCAGAGUAGGAGUACUUGAAAUCAAAGGGUAGGUCCGACUUUACCGGAAAAUUCAGGGCAUUUCGGGAAUCAAGCACAUUCGAGGAACCCUUUUUCCCUCCUCGAGCUUUCUUUUGUUCAUUUUUCUUCUUGUGUUGUCUCCCGGCCCGGGGUUUAAGGAGGGUUUUGGAGGUAGCUGAGAAUGGAGGGUCGUAAAUGUCGUCGUCUUCAUCAGAUAACGGAGAGUGGCUCAGAAGUCGAGAGACACAGAGCAUUGGGGAUGAGGGUAAGGGCGUGAUUUUGGGUAGGCCUCGAGAGGUUGUCCGACGCCACGCGAAGAGCUUCAGCAUCGACAAAUGCGAUGUCCGUCAGGUGUCGUCGCUCGCCAGGUGAAAUGAAGAAAUUAGUCUAGUCCACGCCACUCUUGGGUACAACCGUACAAGACUUGCUGCUGGCUUCUCUCCAAGUUUUGCCAAGGGUUUUGGGCCUGGUUGGAACUGGGCUUAAAAUUGGUACUUUCAUUAGAAUAGGACGUGGAUUUGGAUUGCACUUUGUUGAACUACUCAGUCGUUUAUCAAGCCUAAAUUUACAGUAUUCAGUGCUUUGCCUUAUUCAUGUUAAAUUUAAUCGAGAUUUGUGCUUACUGGAGUUCACUGUCUGAAUUUGUGAAGUUAGUUAACUCUAAUUCUUGUUAGGGGUUGGUCUAAUGAAGUAACAAAUUAAUGUUGGACAAGUUCCUAUCAAACUAAUCCCACCUCGAGGAUAAAUGUUGGUUGGUAUUCAAUUCCUAUUGUUAACAAAUAAGGUGCUUAAAGAUUGAACCUAAUUUACCAAAUUGGUUGCAUGGUUAAUGUUUUACAUUACUAAAUUAAAAAUUGCAGUGGAUACCUUAAUAGUUAUCAAGAUAUUUUGCCUUAUUGAGUUUCAUCUUGAUUAGGUGUGUAAACAAGUCUAAUUAAAUUGAACAUUUCAUUGUUUAAAUUUGUUUGAUUAUUUUAACGAGUUUGAAAUUUUGUUCAAACUUAACUUGUUUAUUCAUCAAAUCAAGUUUGAACGAGCUCUUUAUCGAGUUUGAAUGUUAUCGAAUAUGAAAAACUAUUUAAUCUUGACUUUGAUUAGUUGGCGAAUCAAACUCGAAUGAACUAUUACCAAGCUGAGUUCGAUUCGAUAGUUGGUUCAUCUUUCAGCCUUAAUCUUGACUUGCUAUGAGUUUUUAAUGUUAAAGGCAUGAGAUGGGGUUACUUAGUUAAAGAAGUUACUAGGCCUUUCCUCGAUGUAUAUACUAUAUAACAACACAUUAUUCUUCCGUGUAAUUUGAGAGGUAAUGUGCAGAAUAUGUAAAAGCAUAAAAUGCUGAACGCUAACUUAAAGAACACAAGAGGGCAAGAAACUGUCAAUUAGAUCCCAACAAUUUAAUGAAGAGUCCCAUUGUGAAUAUGGAAAACUGAAAUGAUGACAUCAGUGCUCAAGAUUGUGAAGGCUUUACAGAGAAUUUGCUCAAUCUUUCAUCUUUGCAUUGCCUCUGAUCUCCGACCAUGGAUUUAAAGACCUCUAGCAGACCAUCCAAUUUCUCAGGGUCUUCGCCCAAAGCCUUGAGUGCAUAUACAAUGCUCUCAAUAGUCGACAGACAACCGGUCUUUGGCUGAUGCCUCACUUCACUAUACAAGCUCAGCUCAUCUAAAUCCAAUUUCAAAUGAGGCAAAAGCUUCAACCAGGGAUUCUCAUUGUACAUUCUCUUGGCCUUAGCCCAUGUUCCAUCCAACACAAUCAAGUUCUUCACCUCGAAAUUAUUAGCCUCAAUCCUCACUGCUCUUUCACUAGGAAAAAGCAAUACUGAUCCGGGGGGAACCUUGAUUUCAAACUCCUGAAACUCCUCGUAUUCAUCAAUUCCAUGCAACUGCUUUCUCUGAAACUUAACUACACUGAACCCUUUUCCUAAAUCGUUACCAGCUAUUUGAGAAGCCAAUAGCUGAUCAAACUUGUUCUGUUUCUGCAUUUGGUUACAUAAAGAUGCAAUAGCGCCGUACUUCUCAAUAGUAAAAGCAACAACAGCAUCUCCUGAACAUCCAGAAACUGCUUCAGUUGGACUAAAAGCUGGUCCUGAGACACAUUCAGUGAUUAAAGAUUCACUAUUGGAAGCUGUAACACAACCAAAAUCAUUUCUUUUACUAAAAUCCUCAUCAGAGUCAGCAAGAUUAGUCCUUUUCUCUUCUGGCCUCUCCGUUAACUUGACGAAAUGAGAACCUUUCUCUGAUCCAUUACAUUGAAUAGGCCACUGAACAGAAUCCCACUUUCUUUUACCAUUUCCUAUUCCUCCAAAAUCAGUGAUAUUCCUAUCCCAAUGACUCGAACCCGUUUUAGAAUCCGGAUAGCUGAAGUCCAAGACGAACCGGCCUUCAAAAUUGACAUCAGAGACUGAAACUACGGUGAGAUUUCUUAGGCCAAGGGAGGCUAUUCUUGUAGAAUUCAGGGGGUGCUUUUUCUCUAGGCCGUGUUGGAGGAUUGUGACGGCGACAGAGUUCUCGAGCCUGGGGGCUUUUAAUCGGGUACAGAGGCAAAUUCGGGCGGGCUUGGAGCAUUUCGGGCACAUGGGUCUCUUUGAAGAACCCGAUUUAGUCGCCAUUGCUGCAGUUGAGGUUAGGGUUCCCUGAAUGUAGCUUGAACGAAUUUGUGACGGGUUGAGAAGAAAAUAAAGUAGAUGUAGCCUCCGUAGUGGCCAGGUUCGGAUCUGAAAAUGAACCUGCAUUAGUUCACGGAGCAGUCCAUACGAAACGGGUUAAGUAGACGGAGUCAGGUAAAGGCGUGGAACAGAUUUGGGCCUUCCUUGGGUUUGUUCCGUUAAUCAGCCUCUAGUUUACCAUCCUGCCCCUGUAGUAGGUAGCUGCAGGUAAAGUUUUGGGUUUUGGCUCUUGACCAAGAAAUAAAGCAACAGGCUCGUGCCCACCACAGCACCCCACUGGCCCCUCCAAAUUUCGCAGCUGAAUUUUUCAGAAAAACCACCCUCAGAUAAAUUUCUUUCUUGAUCUGGAGAAGAAAGGCCUCCAAUUUCUCGAAUUCUCUCAAUCUUACUUCCAAAACCCAGUUGGUGAAAAAUGCAUGACUUUUGCUUUACGAUUCCGUAUGGCCUGAUUCUUGUUGCUGGUGGCAUCGUCGGAUAUGCCAGGAAGGGAAGCACGGCUUCACUGGCUGGGGGUCUUGGCACGGGAUUAGUCCUCCUCUUAGCUGGUUAUCUGAGCCUCCAAGCUUUCCAUAAGCGCAAGAACUCUUAUCUUGCCUUGAUUCUUGAAACUGGUAAUCAAAUUCCUCAUAAGUCAAAUUUCCUAAGACGUCUGCAAUUUUUUUUCCCUCGAGAUGGACAUCUUUUUUUUUUUUUUCUUUUUCUCCUGGUGAUAUGAUAGGUAAUCAUGUUCGAAAAGUUGUGAAGUGUGGAAGGAAAUAUCUUUUCUUUAUAUGGCAUACAUAAAUAUUCUUGGGCGAAGACAACGUAACGAAUUUGGGAGAAAGAACUGUUGCAGCAAUUAUCUUAUGUUCAGAUCUUGCUUUUCUUGAUUUAGACUUGUAGUAGAUCCAUUACCUCGUGUAGAUUUGGAUGGUCCAAGUUUAAUUCUUAAUCCGAGUUUACUUUCUGUUAUGCCUGCUUGAGGAACUAGGAUAACAGCAAAAUAUAGUUUCGCCUUAUUGGCAUUUUGUCCGUUGCAUCAUAAAUAGAAGAAGAAUUGAGAUCAACAUGCGAAUUUGUUACAGAUUUAGUUGGCAUAUGGUAUGCACAUUUAGCUGCUUAUGCAAGUACGUUCCGACUUGUGUAAUUUUAGCUUUCUUCUUGUUAAACUUUUUCUUGCUGCAAAAUGUAUCGUCCCAACCUCCUUGCUUGUGCAUAAGCUAAACUAAGAGCUACUGUAAUGAAAUGCUUUUGCAGCCUGUACUUUUGAAGAGAGCAAAUUCUCUUUGGCUCUGUAGUUCUCUUAGGUGGAUAACAAGUUGUAACAGACUUCAUAUGCUGUCUUUAGUGUGUGAGUCUUUGUUGGAGCACAGGAGUUUGGGGACACUCCAACCUCUGCUCCUGGUUUACUAAGUGCUUUUUUGGGGGCCAAAAAGGGGGGCGGGGGAGGAUAUAACCUUUAUAAAGAUGUAAAGGGUCUACUUAGGAACCAUCAAGGAAGUUAGUAGAUCAAAGCUGUGCACUUGUACAGGACCAUGCCUAUGCUCUUCUAAACCUAAAUAAACUUUUAUGGGUUUUAAGAUCCAAAGAAUAUAUCUUUUCCCUAGUCAGAUUGCUAAUGUCUUGUACUUGCAAUUUUUACAUUUCAAUUGCAAGUCAUCGCCUUUCCUUUUGUCAAUAUUGUUAUGUGGUGAUCUAUAAAAGAGGCUGUAUAUACUUUUGAUGAUCUUAUUUGAAUAAUGAUUAGCGCUAUGGUUCACAAUUUGGUGUCUAAUUUUUCAAACGUGGUUCAAACAGCUUGUGCUGCUCUACUUACAUGGGUCAUGGUACACCGCUACCUGCAAACUUCAAAGAUAAUGCCUGCAGGUGUUGUUGCUGGGAUCAGGUAAUUUUAAAACAUUGGAAGAGGAUGCUUUUUGCAGUUGGAUUAUUCUAUUUUGUUGCAGAACUGGAAUCUGUGGCAGAAAAAUGCUUGCAUCCAUGUUAUGCAUUUAUUCAUUCUAUGGGCUUUUUGCCUUCAAUGCCAAAGUUCAUAAUGUAUAAAACAAGGCAGAAUUUCGAACUAAAGCAACCUAUAGGCUUCAAUUACUACCUAAAAGUGGGAACAUGUUGGCAUCACCAGGGUCAAUCACAAAGAACUAGGAUAUGAGAUAGCAAUGGGGCCAGGAAGAAAAUUGCACUAGCCUCAUUACAAAUAUUUUGUUCCCCAAUUAACCUCAUCACCUGGGUAGAGCUAGAAUGGUCAAAUAUCAUCUGCCACAUUGUAGCGUCUUACGUGGUUGCUCUUACGUGGUUGCUCUGGGAGUCUUGAAAUGAUUAACAAUUCUGGAGUUCGAAAACCAUUUAUUCUCUGUCUAGCAUCUUUGUUGGUAAAUUCUUUGUGAUAUUUAUAACUAUCUUUGUUUGACUUAGUUACUUGCCUGGAUGAGGUAACUUGGUGUCUUACCUAGUUUUUUAUGAUUUUCCCCCUCAUUUACUUUGAGAUUCUGAAAUGGAACUCCUCCGUACUCUCUUGCAGCGCGGUUAUGACUGUAUUUUAUCUCUACAAAAUUAUCACUGGUGGAAACCAUUUCCCCACAAAGAGCGAGUGAUGGCCCUGAGAAGCAGCAUUUAACUUUACGGGUUCAAGACGAGACGAGGUUGUAUUUUCGGCUACUUUGCUACAUUACUAAUUAAACAGCUUUGCACGAAAGCAGGAAAAGAAUUUGUGCCACUUCACUGGCAAAUCAACAGAUUUUACCACUCCCACUGUGUUUUGCAUGUAUACAAAGUGCUCUCUACUAUUUCACGUAAUCAUAUGAAGAUUUAUGCAACCGUAAGAUGUUGAUUGUUGGACUCCGUUUUAGUGGGAAGAAGUCUGCCUAGAGGCUUGUUUAGCUAUCUAUAUUCAUUGUCUUCGAAUAAGGCUAAACAACAGAGGUGAAGAUGGCCGAUCCCUGAAUGGACAAAGGGGGAUCGGAGUGCUGAUAGUUUAACAAGUAGUUAAUCAGUAUUUAGUAGGAAUUGUACUCCCUAAGAGAUGACAAGAUUUUUUUUUUUCUUCUCUGUCUGCCCGAAUACACCUACCAACCAUUUACAGCCAGGCUGAAGAUGGCCAAGCCUUUCGAGUGGACAGGACAGCAGCGAGAAUUAGGAUAUACAAAUGAAACAGUGAAAUGAGUUUGGUGAAAGAGAAGAGUUGACUUUUAGGAAAGAAUUGUUGCAGGAGGAAUUAAAAAUAACAAACAACUUGGAUAAGAAAUAGAAGCGGUGAACCAGAGAACCAUUAUAGAAGACCAAACCCAACCGUGAAUUCGCGUAACAUAUCCCAAGUCACAAAGCGAUCGAAAUGAAAAGCCUAAUAAAAUUGAUUGACACUGAAACAACUUCUGUACAUUUUCACCGAGAAAAACAAUUGAAAUGCAGGACGGGUCGGCAGAGUUGGAUGGGAUCAACAAGUGAUGCUGCAUCAGCACGAGGACAUUUCCAUCUGAUUCCCAUCUCAAAAUAGACAAAGUUUCGGAACUAAACAAAUGGUCACUGACAGCAUUGUUUCAUAUUCCUUCCAAUACAAAAUCCCGCGAUAGAGUACUCAUCAUUAAGUAGCAUCAAACGUGUCUAGGGACGAUCAAACUCACUCACCUAGACUGCAACACAAGGAGACGUCCAUGACGAACAUCUUCCUCACACUUUGCCUGUUCCUUCUGCCAGUCUUCUUUCUCCUUUUCAGGAGGAGAAAAGGAAAGAUCAUCAGAGGAGCUUCCACCGGGGUCACUGGGACUACCCUUAGUAGGCCAAAGCCUUGGCCUUCUCAGGGCAAUGCGAGCCAAUAUUGCUGAAGCAUGGUCUGAGGAAAGAGACAAGAAGUACGGUCCAGUCUCUAAGCUAAGCCUCUUUGGAAAACCAACAGUUUUCAUCUAUGCACAGGCUGCAAACAAGUUUUUGUUCAGUCCAGUGACGGAGGCAAACUUUCCAACAACCAACAGGCCGUGUCAAUAAGUAUGAUUUUGGGGGGAUCGUAAUAUUUUGGAGCUCAGCGACGAAGAUCAUAAGCGAGUUAGAAAUGCUCUUCUUGUCUGAAGAUGUACACUUCUUUUCGGGUUCAACACGGAGCUCGAAGAGGUCAACUUGUUAAGUACCUCCAACAGCUAAUAGGGGAGCUCCGUCCACGCAUCAACCGCAGCCUUAAGGCCGGUGCAAAGACUCAAGAUAUGUUAAAAGGAGCAGCUUUUACGUGAAAAGAGACUUGAACUGUCAAAAGGGGCUCCGUCCCACCAGGGCCUCAUCUCUUGUUUACUUAGCAUCCCCGGAGAAGGCAAUGCAGAAGUAUUAUAUGAAGAAGAGAUAAUACGCAAUGUCCUGCUUAUGCCUAAAGGAUGGCAAGUAAGAGAGAUACCUCCUCCUGUUAUUUUUGUUCUUUCUAGUAUAUGGUAAAGCGUGGGAUUAAAAAAAUCCUUCCUUCACGAUAACUAUAGAUCUUUUGGGUUGCGGCCAUGACUCGCAUGGAUAGCAGCAUAUCCCACAAAGUUUGAUCCGACAAGAAUUGAUGAUCAAUCUUCCAUUCCUCCUUACUGCUUCAUUGCAUUCGGGGCAGGAGUUCGUAAAUGUCCAGGAUACGAGUUUGCGAAAGUUCGAGGCUUUAGUCACAAUUCACUGUCUUGUUACUCAAUUCACAUGGAAGUUGUGCUGCCCAGACAAUCAGUUCAGUCGAGACCCAAAUGCCAGUACCAGCUCAAGGACUCCUAUUCAACUAACACCAAAAAAGAAAACACAAUACAAUAUAGAUACAGGGCAUUAAUCAAUUUAACAACUAAAGCUUGGAUUUGGAGGGUCGAGAAUCGGAUUUUCUGCCAAGUGCCAAUUAAUUCUCAGUUGUUUUGUACUUCAGCAUUGAGCACGAAGUUCCCUUCUAGAGUUAUCCGCAGUUCAAACUCGCUCUAUUUUUCUGCAUCUUUUCCCGUCGAGAGAGAGAGAGAGAGAGAGAAGAUUUCUCAGGACUAGUGAUUUCAUAAUACGAUAAGAUACUAUGAGCUAACAAGACUCUUUACUUUUUACAAGGUCACUAACUGCCACGUCAUCAGGCAAGUCCCAAACAACUUUCUUCUCCUUUCUUUUCUUCCCUUUAUUUUUAAUUAUUAAUUAUUUUUAUUUUAUUUUUUUUGCAUUUCUAAUUUCUUGAAAAAGGAGGCAAAAGGCGGUGAAUCGGACCGCCAAUUAAGAGAGCAGCUGAGAAUUGUCAGCACAAUCCUUCAAAUCCCGGGUUUGGUUUUCCUUCUUCAGCUGCUCCCUGCCCCGGCUUGUCGAUGGAAAAAGUCAAAGCCAGAGACCUAACGGCCUCGUUUCAACAGCUCGAUUUGCAUCUCAAUCCCAACAAGGCCACUCAGAAAUCAACCAAGUUUUCGCUCCUUUCCCAUCAAAAUCAUGGUACUCACCAAUCCCUCUUGUAUUUUGUUUCCCUUUUCUAUUCUUUUAGUGUGUGGAGGUUCAUCAGCCUAUUGAAAAUUUUGCUCGAUCAUUUCUUGAACUGACUGAUGAUAUUCUUGCGAUGUUAAGUUUUUUUACUUUGUUCGAGCUUUUUGGAUUGCAGUGCUAAAGAUUAAGAAGCCAAAGCCUCCCAGCUUAGUGAGUUUAUGUCUUGGGGUAGUUGGUAGGCAUUUUGAGGACAUCAUUGAGGACUUGCCUGAUAUUGCCCCGACUUUUCCACCCAAUAUCAAGGUUAAAAAACAUCAAAGAACCCGUCUUUUUCUUCUUCUUCUUCUUCUUCUUCUUCUCCUUCUUCUUCUCCUUCUUCUCUCUCUCUCUCUCUCUCUCUUUGUACAGAAAUUGAUGUAUUGAUCCUUCGUAUUGUGUAAUCACAGCAAUGAGUUAAAAUGGUUAUCUUGAUUGGCAGUGAUUUAAUUCGUAAUAUAAAUUGUUCUAAUAUUUAUGUGGCUAAUGGUGCUCCAGGGCCGUUAAUAUGUGAUUGAGAUUUGGUGUCUCAUUGUUACCUAAACUGCUUAAACUUGUAGUGCUUGCUUUGAAGACUCUAUUUUUGUUUGCUUUUUCCUCUAAUUUUUUUGGUGGUAUCAUCAUCCAUUCUUAUUAAUAAAUUUGGGGCCUUUGCCGCUUGUGAAAUCAAUUGGCUUUAUUUGAUCAGUCGACAGUGUUAUUGUGAAAAAUAAGUGCCUUAAGAGUCCUUUUAAGAUGGCUUAAGGGAUUGCAAUUUGUUAUGGAUAAUAGCAGUACAUGAUCUCAUAAAAUCAGUCUAGGUAUGAAAAGCAGGGGUGCAUAUAUGAAUGAAUUAUUUCAUGAACCUUGUUCUAUUUAAAAAGAAAAGAUAUUGACAUGUCCAUGCAAAAUUGUCAGAUGGCCCUUGCCGCAAUUGCAAGAAGACGAAAGUUACUGACUGAUGAUGUUAUUAUCGUAUUAGCUGAAAGUUCUUGGGACAUACUUGACAUAUCGGGUUCAGAUAUUUCUGAUUUUGGUUUAUCACAAGUACUUCAGAUAUGCAAAUCUUUGCGAGCAGUUGACAUAAGGUACCCAAGUUGUGAUUUUGUGUUAAUUCGGAUGCAAUUUGUUAUUCUUAUGUAGCAAUAUGGUAGGAACCCUAGGACGUUCCAUUUGGAAUUGCUGCCACAUUAGUAGAUUUACUUAGAAUUUAACAUCUUCUCCAUGAACAAACUUUUCAAUUAUGAAUGAUUGUUAUCCUUUGCGUUGCAUGGGCUGUAAGAAGCCAACAGUAUGGUCCUUUCCAUUGAAUUUUCAAGAUCAGUUGCUUGGUUAUCAUCUCAUACUGUUGGACUUUUCUGAAGAUUUAAAGAUGCAUCAACUUGGUUACAUCUUUUCAAUGACUAGGCGAGAGAACCAAUCUGACUUAUGGGAUGUGGUUUUCUUUUGUAACUUUCAGUUCAUUCUCGUGGAUUUUUUGUUUAAAAAGCUCCCAAAUGUUCCAGUUCUCGACUUGCAGAAAGUUCUAUAUUGUGAUUGUUUUUUAUCCUGAUGGGGUAUCACAUUGCAUAUGUUGUACUAUUUUUUACUAUACCAACUUUAUUCGUCUAAUGUGACUUGGCUUUUGUUUACGCUGCUGUCUUUCUUUACCUAGUCGGUGCAGCAAACUCACGUCAACUGGGAUUUCUGAACUCCUUCAGCAUUGCCAGUGUUUGGAGAUAUUGAGAUGGGGGUAUGCUAUCUUCCUUGUACCUUUUUCUGUGCUAUAUUUAUAUGUACAAAGCGAUGCUGCUAUGAUUAAAUUCACCGGGUUGGUUUUGUUUAGGUGUGUACAACCUCCUUAACUUCUAACAUGAUUUUAAGAUUAAUAUUAGGAGAUACAUACAAGAUUGUAGUUCAAAUACUUUUGUUUGUUUUUUGUUUAAUUAACUAAUUGGCCUUAACGCCUGUGUUAUAAUUGUUAACAUUAAGGUGCUAAAUUUUUGUGCCAUUCACCUGGCAGUCAACUCACCGCAGAUGUUUGAACUUGUGUGUUCAUAUUGAUCUUGUACGUUUUAACUGGAACCUGGAUCAUAGUUGAGUUUUAGUAUCAACCCAUGUUUUUGCUGCAUUGACUUAUAGCAAACAUAUAUAUGUAUAAUUAAUAAAUCUAGGCUCAUUUCUGUUGUCUAGAUUGAUAUAUGAAGAAUGGAAAAAGGACAUUGGAGGCAGAUGAAAAAACUUAUCAGAACUCACUCAACUUUUACUUUAAAGUGAUAUUUACUUAUUCCAUUUGCUGCCUCAAUCAGAAGUGAAAUAAACUUCUAUAGACGUUUAAAGAGCUUCCCAGACCCCGGUGCAUGUCUCGACUUUCUCGAAUUAAUUGUCAAUCCGUGCCAGUUGAGUCUUUCAUACUAAUAGAAAGAAGAAAAGUAUAACCAAUUUGAAUUUUCUCUUCGAGUAUUCUCAUCAUCUUAUGGGAUAGAAUGACCCAAUAUAUUGGGUUUUGACCAUGAGCAUAAACCUCAAUAACAGGAAAUGAACCAAAGUUCAUGUUGCAGAGGGUGCCCAGCAACUGACCAAACAGCGCGGAGAUGCUUAAGUAUCUUGAAGCCUACUUUACAUGAUGUGGCCGGGGAAUCUUGGGAGGAACUGGAGGCCACAGAUAUUGCCGCUGCUGCACAAUCACUUCGUUGGCUUGUAUGGGUAUGGUUUCCUUUCAAUGUUAGUUUGUAAGUUCCGUUUUGCUAUUAAAGAUGACCGGUGUUCAGAAAUUUGGUUUGCUUAACCUAUGAUACUAGAUUAAAAAAAUGAGCGGGUUAGUGCUCUUAUUUGCAUGGAGUUCUGAUUUGUGAACUUUUAACAGCCAAAAGUUGACAAGGAUUCCUUAGAGAGCUUGUCUGUAGAAUGCCCCCGCAUAAUUAUAAACCCAAAACCAUCAGCUUUUGGAUACAGAGGCUUUGAAAUUCCUAGAGAAGCCUUCCCAAGUGCAGCAUUGGACGAUCCAGUUGUUGAAGAUAUUGAUCCGAAAACAUGGGCGAUAUCUGGGUUUACAGCUGGGUCAAUAAUCGCGUCAACUUCUGGCUCUGAUGAGUUACCCAUGGCUGAAAAGUUUAGGCUUGCAUUUGUAGAGAGAGAUAACCGGUUGGCACCAAAGCGUGCAAAGAAUGCAAGGCAGCACCAGCGACGAGCAGUGAGGGAGUGGGUGAUGAUGAGUUCUAGAGCAAAAGCAAUGGCACUUGCCUCCCAAGCAACCAAGUCUCUACACCAUCGGAAUUAGGCUAGGACGUUAUCCUGCUUUCAUAUCAUGAGUUUCAUUCUUUAGAGCCUAAGGAUUAAGUUUUAUCACUGUAUUACUUGAAAGUUGGCCUGAAGUCUAUGCGGUUUUGCAGGCAUGAUUUUCAUUGUUUCGGUCUCUCUCGUUUUCAUGAUGUAGAAUGUAUGUUUUAGGUAUCUCUAGCGAUCCAGUGGAUGGGAGGAAUUCACUGAUCAGGGAUUGUGUUAUCAUUCUUCUUCUUUUGCUUUGCCUUUGUAAAGUAUUUAAGUACAGUGAAGUAUAGUUAAGACACCGGCUGUAAAGUAAUGCAUUCCAAAGAAAUUUCUUGCUUCACAGGUACAGCAUAAUAAUUUCCGUCUAUUUUGAGAAAAGGUAAAAAAAAAUUAGGUAAAGAAGAUUCACGCAGCGUCUCAGACAAACUUUAUUCCGGCCGACGUACAUGUUGCUUGACCUACAAAAAUUUGUUUAACUCAAUAAACAAAAAACGCAUUAUUUGACCGUCAACAAAAUCUAAAGAGAGCGCAUUGAAGCUUUAGAGCGUGCAGAUAUCCUUCACCGUUUGCAGGGCCUUAUCUGCACCCAGUGGUCACUCUAGUAAAAGCACUAAUAUUUGGAAAAUGCACGGUAAGUAGAGAUGGAUAUUAUUCGUCAAACGACAAAGGAUAACCUUUAUACACUUAACCACCUUUAUCACACAUUGACAACACGCCCUUAGUCAAGUGAGAGAAGCAAAACUGAGACGAGAAAAGAUGGACAAAUUGAAGACACGCAUAACAGGAAAAGUUUAACAAACAAGCGCCGACCCCGUGAUUAAAUCCACCCCACAGUGGCAUUUGUAUCUACGCAAGUUUACCACUACCGCCUCCAAAAAAGACACGCUACAAAUUACGCCACAUGUUCCCACUUCACCAGGGCCAAAUUAAAAUGAGAUGUAAAUUUUCACUAUUAUCCGAGAGCUUUAUUUCAAGGCAAGAAACAACUCCGUGCAAUAAAUCUCGAUAGCUCAUGAACUAAGAGAGGAUUGUAGCUGUGCUGUAGUCCCUGCUGUCCCAGUUCUGCAUAACUGGUCAUCCUAUGCUCGAGUGAAACUCAAGUUUUCACUUGGCCAAGUUUCGAAUAACGUAGGGAAGGAUUCCACCAUGGUCGAAGUAUGUCAGUUCUACCUGCAAACACAAUCAAAUAAUGAUUUCAGAAAACAAUUUUUCAUUGUUAGUUCUCAAUCUCCCCAGAAAAAAUAAAAACGUAAGAAAUCUUUAAUUUCUCUUAAACUUUUAACCUAACUCACACGGUCCACUUUCAAUUUUUUUAUUGGAUCACCUCAUCCAUCACGAAUUAUAUGUAUUAAGAUAGAAUCACUAAAGAAAUCCUAUCAAGGAAUUCUACUACUUUAAGUAGUGCUGCUCAAUGACCAUCAGCUACAACGAGAAAUUAUUGUUUAGCUGUGGCAUUCUGAGAAAGGGUUCAUCACCGGGAUUUGGCCACUAACCACCCCGAAAGGGAUGAAGGGAAUAAAAUAGUAUCGACCCAUGGCCACAAGUUUUCCUUGCAAAUUGGCAUCAAGUUAGACCUGACAGGGCUGAAACAGUUAUACAUACCUGUGUGUCAAAACGGACUACACAUGUGAAAGACUUUCCAUCAUCAGUGGUGACUGUAAUGUCUUGGCCAGGUCUUACAUCGCUGACUUUCUUUGGAAGGUCUAUACUGUAACGUUCAUAACCUGUCAGGCCCAGCGUAUCAGCAUCCUCGCCAGGUUUGAAACAAAGUGGAAUAAUGCCCAUCCCUACAAGAUUACUGCGGUGUAUUCUCUCAAAACUUUUGGCGAUCACCGCUUUGACUCCCUAAAUCAGAAGCAGAAUAUGGCAGGUGAAGCAAAUAGGAUGUGCUAAACAACCAAACCAUCCAAAAAUGUUUUGCAGACAAUACCAACUUACCUGCAGCAUUGGACCCUUAGCUGCCCAGUCUCGAGAACUGCCACUUCCAUACUCUGUACCUGCCAGAAUUAUGGUGUCCUGACCAGCACUCUUGUACCUCUGAGAACAAUUGCAGUGUUAGUUUAAUUAAUAAAGGUUAAAGAUUGGAUUAGAAUGCUACCAAUUAACAUCCUAGUUGAGAGAACAGAAAAUCAAUCUUAAGCAGAGGGGGGAAAAAAAGCAAAGAGCAAGCUACAAUGGAAGACUCGCCUAUCUUUUCAUUCUACCAGCAUGAAGCGGCAGCUGGAGAUACCCCCAGCCUUUAUAAUUCAUGUAUCCAUGGACACAGAGAAUCAAAUUAACUCCACAGACUAUCCAAGUCAAUCAACACUGAUCUAACUAAAACUCACCAUUGCUGCAUCAUAAACAUAGAGCUCCUCGCCUGUUGGGAUGUGAAUAGUCUUUGGAGCCUGUUUGUUUAAGAACUUAUUCAGAAGUCUAAUAUUUGCAAAGGUUCCCCUUGCCAUCACUUCAUCAUUGCCACGACGACUACCAUAAGAAUUGAAAUCUCUACGGUCAACACCACGCUCCAUCAAGUACUUCGCAGCUGGACUAUCCUUAUGGAUGCUCCCUGCUGGAGAAAUAUGGUCAGUAGUGAUACUGUCACCAAAUUUCAGCAAGCAAUACGCAUCCUUGACUCCAUGGGGACCAGGUGGAUCCAUGGUCAUGUCCUUGAAAUAUGGAGGUUGAUGGAUAUAUGUUGAGUUGGGAUCCCAUUCAUAAAGCUUUGAUGAAGGAACAGACAGUUGAUUCCAGAAGGCAUUGCCUUGUGUAAUAGCUUCAUAAGUACUCUUAAACAUUUCUGGGAGCACGCUAGACUGCACCACCUGUGAUCUCAGCAAACAAAGUCAGAUAUGGUAAAAAAUGUCAACUGAAAGUCAAACAACCAAGAAAAUUACAAAGAAACUACCUCAGCAAUUUCUUCGGUACUGGGCCAGAUAUCUUUGAAGUACACACUUUUUCCAUCUUUUCCAAUUCCAAUUGGGUCCUUCUCAAAGUCAAUGUCAACCUGGAAAGAAUCAAAAUGUUAAGGAUCCUAUCAAAAUGCAAGGAUUCCCAUUGAUAUUGGCCCCAGCUGCACAAUAAAAAAAUCAAGCCCCUGGUUUCUCAACCAUAAAAGUGAAUAACCAAUAGAUCAUCAGAUACAAAAGUAUUCAACACCAUAAUUAAAAAGGAUGUAGACCACUAUCAUGGUUCGAGGGACUCUUGAUUCCUUGAAAAACACACAAUGCUUAUAAAAAAUUGGAGCAUCUCAACUUCGGUGAUCAUUAUAUUGAUAGCUACACAAAUUCAGAGGAAGAAACCGGAACGUAAAGUUAAAUAAAGUUAUGCAUAAUACCGUGCCAGCAAGUGCAUAAGCAACAACUAAUGGAGGUGAAGCAAGAUAAUUAGCCCUUGUCAGCGGAUGAACACGACCUUCAAAGUUGCGAUUACCAGAAAGUACAGCAGCAGCAAUGAGGUCUGCAAAGGAUGUUAAAAAACAUGAAUGUACAGGAGCAAUACUAGCAAACUUGCAAUAUCGCGUGUCACCCAAAUUUUAAAAGCAAUUUUACUGCUAAGGUUGCUGACAUAUCUAAUAUAGCGACCUAGCAUCAGAAGCAAAAUAGGUUAAAAUCUUUAUUUCUUGCUACUUUACUAGAUAAAAUGACAUAUUGGUCUACACUGGCCAUAAACAAAAGAGAAAAAAAAAUACUUCAAUCGCAUCCUCUUUCAAAAUAAACGAACUUCACAAAAAUUCUAAAUAAAGAAAACACUCCUGUCUAGCAGAGCAGCCCAUUUGCAACCAUAUCACCAUAUGCAUUUAACUUUUCAUUCAAUUGCCUAUGUGAAAAUUGUAAUAGGUCUCUAAGAUCAUUCAAAAGGCAUCAUUUAGCUUUCACAUUCCCUUUUAUACAAGACAAACUAUAAUAACACAGGCAACAGUAGCACGAUAUGUCUAAAAGUCAAGUGACUCCAAAGAUAUUCGGGCAAUGUAAAUGAAAGCUAGAGGAAAGCCUUGCACAGCUCUGAAUUUAUGUAAAUAUGGGAUAGUAACAUUAUAAACAACUUUAAUACCAUGUUCUGUGAUUGCUGAAGCUACUGAUUCUUGCAGAUCCCCAGAAUUUCCAAUGCAUGUCGUGCAUCCAUAGCCAACAAUGUGAAAUCCUUGCUGGUUCAAAUAUUUUUGCAGGCCACUAGAACAAGAAUAAGAAGUUUAGUUGCUAAUUUAAAACAGUACACUGGGCGAGUAAGGAGUAACUCUUAGAUGAAUUUGCAUCAAAACAUAAGUACCUCUGGAGCAAAUAUUUUGUCACAACUCCAGAGCCUGGGGCAAGACUAGUUUUUAUCCAUGGCUUUACCUACCCAACAGCCAAGAAAAGAAAUUAGUCAAAAACCACUUUCAAGUAUGACUACAAUAUGCAGAGAGUCAAGUGAUUAAAGAGACUCUGCACAAAGCAAGGCAAAGGGGUAAAGCAAAAGGUAAAAAUCAUAAAGCACUGUAACUUCAAACUGUGGUACAUGCAUGACCUGAGAAACUAAUACUAACCUCCAACCCCAACUCACAGGCCUUCUUUGCAACAAGACCAGCUCCAAGCAUGACACUCGGAUUGGAUGUGUUUGUACAGCUUGUGAUAGCAGCUAUAACAACACUACCAUGUUUAAGUUCAGCAGGCUGGCCACUGAAUGAGAACUUGGCAACCUUACUUUGUUCUUCCUUUGGCACUCCAAACCCCUGGCAAGUGACAGAUUCAGGUAGUUCACUAGCUUAACAUCUGAUCAACAAAAGCAGAACUGUUUCCUACAUUUCACCCAUGCAGUAUAAUCUCACUAAUCUUAUUAAUUUGACAUCAUUUGCAUGGUCAGCCACACAAACAAAAACUUGUCAGAUUAUGGCCAGGCAACUAAAGAUCCCUAUCCAACCAAGAGUAGGGAAGAAAAGGGGAAUCAUGUAAACAAAAAACUAGAAUUAGAGUUUCACUCCUUUCAAUCUUUUUUUCAUGCUUCACGGAUGCGACCAGGUGUUAGAAGUAGAAAAGGAACAGUAGAAAAUAACAUUAAAAACAAACAGCAAAAAUUUUUAUCGCACCUUAAACCCAAUUUUGUUAUCAAGACAUGAAUGCCAAUCAUCCUUCAUUUGUCUUAGAGGAACUCGGUCAUGUGGUCUAAAACAAAGAUACCGAUCUCAUCAAUAUAAACAAAAAGAAAAACCAUAACCAAACCAUAAAUUUCCCUGAACAGCUCUAGAACAACUACCUUUUCGGUCCAGAAACACAAGGUUCAACACCAGCAAGGUCCAAUUCCAGAUAAGAUGAAUACACUCUCUCCUGUUGAGGCUGGCCAAAGUUGAACACACCAAGCAAAAUCAGAUUUUAUGCUUUGAUCCACUUAUAUCACCUUAAAAUGUAUGAAACUGAGAGAUUCUACCUCGCUGUAGUCAACAAACAUCUUGUUUGAGCGCAAAUAUCCUUCUAUCAUUGCCACCUAAAAUAAUUUGAAGCAAAAAGCCACCAGAAAGCAUCUAAAUUUAUCUUGUUGAAACCACAAAAAUGAAUAGACUGAGAUCACAGAACUUACUGUUUCAUCACUUCUCCCAGUUAAUUUAAGGUAUUGUAAUGUGACAUGAUCCACAGGGAAGAAACCCAUGGUUGCUCCAUACUCAGGUGACAUAUUUGCAAUAGUUGCCCUAUCGGCCAACGAUAAUUCAGCCAUACCAGAACCUAAACACCCAUAUUCUGUUAGUACUAAACUGUAAACAUAUAACAUGAACAACCCAAGAAAUACUUGAAGAGGUAUAUUUACCAUAAAACUCGACAAACUUGCCAACAACACCAUGCUUUCUCAACAUUUGGGUCACUGUUAAAACCAAAUCAGUAGCUGUGACACCAUUGCGCAACUUUCCGGACAAUUUAAAUCCAACAACACCAGGUAAAACCAUGCUCAUUGGCUGUCAGAUUUAUAAGAAAUCAAAGUCCUGUGUCAUGCCUUAUUCAACAAACAAGUUCAGACAUUCCUAGUUUGUCAAAACAACUAAAUCUAACUUGACAACUCCAGUAAAAGAUGAUAGAACAAAAGGAGAUCCAACUACCUGCCCAAGCAUAGCAGCCUCAGCUUCAAUUCCUCCAACACCCCAACCAGCAACUCCUAGUCCAUCAAUCAUUGUUGUAUGAGAAUCAGUUCCAACAACACUAUCAGGAUAAAGAAUGCCAUCAGUGUUGAAGACAACCCGUCCAAGGUACUCCAAGUUAACCUGAAAUAUUGCCAUAAGAGAAGCAAGUGUGUGGUCAAGUUUUCAUGAACAUGUUAACAACGUAAGGAGCAAAAUUAAAAGCUAAACUAUUGUACAAGUUCCCCAAAACUAUUUCAGCCUAAGUAACAAUUCAAAUAUCUAUUAACUUUAUGCCCCAUUAUCAUUAAUAAACAAAAAAGUCGCGUGAAAAACCUUCACACCAACUCCAGAUAGAGUUGAACAACAUUUUAUAAUCUAUGUCAGACUUUUACCUGGUGGACAAUGCCAGAACCAGGAGGAACAACAAGCAUGUUAUGGAAGGCAGUGGAUCCCCACUUAAGGAAGGCAAACCUCUCAUUGUUCCUCUUGAAUUCAAGGUCCAUGUUUGCCUGCACUGCAUUCUCAUGUCUUGCAACAUCAACUUGAACUGAAUGAUCAAUAACAAGGUCCACAGGUACCUGUAGAAUAUAUCUCAUCUUAGACCUGAUGACAAGGAAUAACAGGAUAGCAAUACUUUUUUGUUAUCUGAAAAGUCAGGCUGCAAUAUGCAACUAUGAAGCGAAGUAAACAACAAAUAAACAAAGACACCCAAACACAACCACCCACCCACUGUCAUAACACACAUAUUACAGCGGAACAAGUGGCCAUUGAAGUCAAAAAUGGAACUUAAGGAAGGACGGCUGAAGAAAGAAUACCACAGAGUACAGGUUAAAGGAUAGCUUAGAACAUUCAAGCUAGAGGGUGACAAAUCCCAGUAACACAGGGAAAAAGAAUAAAUAUGUACCAAGGGAUUGAUCUUCUCUGGGUCACUGCCAAGACUCUUUAUGGCAUCUCGCAUGGAAGCAAGAUCCACCACAGCUGGAACACCAGUAAAAUCCUGAAGCAAAAAGAGAAAAAAAUAGUGUUCCAAAAGUUUACUGCAUAUAUUUUCUGAUUAAGUUACUAAACUCAUGCCUCUAACCUGCAACAAAACUCGGGCUGGCUUGAAGGGAAUUUCAACUAGCUUUGGUGAAGUAUUUUGCCAAUCAAUGAUCUUCUCAACAUCAUUCUUGGUGACUUGGAAGUUGUCACAAUUACGUAUAGCAGAUUCCAAGAGUAUCCUAAUGGAAUAUGGAAGCUUAUCUGUAUCCAAAUAAGGUUUUACAUUGUUAAGGAAAAUGAGAGCCUUUUCUCCUCAAAACAAGAAACCUUAAAUAUUGUACUAAUGAAAAUUUACUAAUGACCUUAGUCAAUUAGCGAAAAAAUCCCACUAGGUAUAUCAGGUUGAAAUAUGACAACUUUGUUUACAAAUAGGCCAGGAGACCAGAGAUACCUAAGGGAAGAGAAGAAUAAUAAUGCCAGAAUAAAACAAAUAAAUUUCUACCGGAAAAGACAAGCCAAGAUACCCUGAUAACACAUGAGAAUAGUACGACUAGGAGCACAUACCAAUUCUGGGAUCAUUUAAAGCAGGAAGGCUAUAGAACUUUCCAAAGUCACCACCUCCAGGCUUGGGUAGACUGGUCAAUAUUCCCUUAUAAGGAUGUUCAGGAGCUGGAACAUAAAUCAAUAAAACAAUCACCACAAAGUUAAGUUCAACAGGCUAAAUUGUGGCAAUGUUAUUCAAGUAAGCUUAAUUAGGCAAUUGAGGUAAAUAAAGGUGAAACCACGCAGUUGUCAUUGUCAUCCCAAGAUAAUAAGACUUGAAGGGGAGAGAGAAAAAUGAAACAGGAGCAAAUAACUGCAAAAAGCUAAUAUCCUAUACUAAGGCAGCAACAAUUACAGCACUUCAUUUUAAAACAAUAAGAGAACAAAACCUUUUUUUUCAAAGACAAAUCAAAUGUAGGUACACAAACGUACAUUUCAAGCUGGUUCACUUCAGCAUGUAAGUUUGACGAGGAAAAACAGUUCUGCAUAAAGUAAAGCCUUUUUUUUUCCAAAGAGUAUCAGAAUGCAACCCAAUAAACCAACUUUUACAAGUAAAACUCCAACUUUUCACACGAAUGGCAAAUUCGACUAGAUGGAUAACAAUUCAUCCAACCCGAAAUGAAUAGCAGACAUCAAUUAAGCACGAAAUAAACUCAUGAUCAAGCAAACCACACAAAAAACCUUUCCACAUGAGGAACCGAAGAAAUACAUUAGAAUCAAGCUAAAUUGAAAUUGAGUUAAUAACUCGAGAAAUUUGAUUGAAUUAUACCCAUAGUUGCGAUCUUUCGCUCGAAGCGUUCGAUGACAGGAGCAGCAGUUCUGAUCUGAGCUCUAAGACUGACAGGCGAUCUCCAGUCAACGCCGUGACUCCACCGAGGAACAGAGCAACGAAGCGAUCGAACCGCCGACGAAGGUUUAAAAGACCGACAAGCGAUAAACGACGACGGUUUGGAUACCGAAGGAGAAACGAAGCUUCUGGAAACAGAAGACAAAAUAGAAGAUGGUGAUGAUGAUGAAAUUGUAGAUGCAAAACGAACCCUAGCAGCUCUCAAGAUUGCAGCAGAAGCAGAUUUGGACACUGACGAUGAAGGUGAGCAUGUGGGUACAUACAUGACGGGAGAGCACCCGGUUUGUCAGAGGUGUCAGUGAACCCUAAAUAGAAAAAUCAAAAUGGGGGAAUAUAACUUCAGGUUUUUCUCACUCUUUUUUUUUUUUUUUUUUUUGCGUUCAUUUAUAGAUACAAAUUUUUGUAUGUAUAGGCUCGUUGAAGGAGGAUCGAAAGACUGUUCACUUCGCUUGGCUGCUUCUGCGUGGAAAUGGAUAUCAGGAUAGAAAAUGGAAGGGUUUUGAUAAGGUGCUGCAGCACUGUGGUUUUGGAAUGCAAUUGGUAAUCACGGACCAUAGGAUGAAGCGGUGGUGGGAUAAGACACGGUGUGGAUGAAUUUAGGUGGUGUUCCCCGUGAAAAGGGGGAAAAAAAUGGAAAAAAGUACGCCUUCUUAUUUUAAGUUGUUUAUACUUUAUAGAGUAAUUUGUAGAUGCUAUGACUAAUUAUUACACACCCUAGGUGUGUGAUUGUUUUUAAAAAAAUGUAUGAUUUAUUUUUCACGCGAAGUACAUAUUAUGAUAGACAUCAUGGGUUUACUGAAAAAUUUAUAAUUAUUACUUUUGCUUUGGAGGAUAUUAUUGUAUUUAAAUUAAAACCGUGUUGAAAGAAAAAAAAAAAAGAAAAGCGAGUGAAUAGUUUUAAAAACUAUCGUUAAUGGGAUAAUUUUUGAUAUACCACAAAGUUACCUAAAUUAUUUACAAGUUCUCUUUCGUAAUAUAUAUACACACACACAUAUAUAUAUAUAUUCAUCAUUCUAUGUGUGUGUGUAUAGACGCACAUACAUACAUAUACAUAUAGAAUGAUGAUUAUUAUAUAUAUAGUAAGAUAUUAAUGAUCAUUUCCAUUUCUUUAUAUUUGAGUGGAUGUGAAUUUAUGUGUAUUUUUUUAGUGUAAUUAAUUCUACCCAAACUUUAUUCAUUGAUAUGCUUAAUCACAUGCACUUACAAUCUAUGUUUGCAGCGCACCACGUUUUCUAUAGGCUACUUCUUCAAAUGCAUAUGACCUCACACUAAAUCAAAAUUAGGUUAGCCUCCAUAGUUAAAAAGAGAAAUUUAUUAUGAAUUAACAUGAUUAUUUGAUCAUUAACUGUUGUGUUAAAAGAAAAAGUAUUGGCUGCGUUUGGAUUGAGUGUUUUUGCACCUGUUUUUGAAAAACUGUUUUUCACAUUCCAAAUGCUACAGUAAUGUGUAUUUCAAAAACAACUUCAAAAACACCAUAUCCAAACAAUAUAUCAAAAACAACUCCAAAUAUAUUUCAAUUACGUAUAUUUAAUUUGUAUAUUUUAAUUAUGUAUUUUAAUAUGUAUAUUUCAAUUAUAUUUUAAUAUAUUUUAAUAUGUAUAUUUCAAUUAUGUAUUUUAAUAUGUAUAUUUCAAUUAUGUAUAUUAUAUAUAUAUUAUAUUAAUAUAAAUAUAUUUAUUUCAAUUAUGUAUAAUAUUAUAUAUAUUAUAUCAAUUGAAAUAAAUAUUAUAUAUUUAUAUAAAUACAUUUAUUUAUAUAUAAAUUUAUAAAUAUAUUUAUUCAAUUUUGUUUUAUAAUAUAUAUUAAUAUAUAUUAAUAUGUAUAUUUCAAUUAUGUAUAUUAUACAUAAAUUAUAUUAAUAAUAAUGUAUAUUAUAUAUAAUAUACAUUUCUAAUAUUAUAUAUUUAUACAUACAUAUUAUAAAUAUUUUAUUUUAUUUAUAAUAUAUUUUUAUAUAUUUAUAAUAUAUUUACAUAAAUAUUAUAUGUUAUAUAAAUUAUAUAUAAUAUAAUGUAUAAUAUAUUAUACAUUUAUAUAAAUGUACAUUUAUACAUAAUAUAUAAAUAUUUAUGUAUAUUUAUAAUAUACAUUUAUAUUAUGUAUAAUAUAUAAUAUAAUACAUUUAUACAUUUGUAUUAAUAUACAUAAUAUUAAUUUUACAUUUAUUCAUAAUAUUAAUACAUGUAUACAUUUAUAUUAAUUAUAUUAAUACAUUUCUACAUAAUAUUAAUAUAUAUUUAUAAUUUAUUAAUUUAUACAUUUAUAUAAUAUUCAUUUAUAAUUUAUACAUUUUUAAUAAUAUACACUUAUACAUUUAAAUAUACAUGUAUAUUAUGUAUUAUAUAUAUUAAUACAUUUAUACAUUUAUACAUUUAUAUUAAUAUACAUAAUAUUAAUUUUACAUUUAUACAUAAUAUCAAUACAUAUAUACAUUUAUAUUAAUUAUAUAAAUACAUUUCUACAUAAUAUUAAUAUAUAUUUAUAGUAUAAUAUAUUAAUUUAUACAUUUAUAAUAAUAUACACUUAUAAUUUAUAAUAUAUUUAUAAUAUUCAUUUAUAAUUUAUACAUUUAUAAUAAUAUACACUUAUACAUUUAUAAAUAUAUUUAUAUUAUGUAUUAUAUAUAAUAUAAUACAUUUAUAUAUUUUUAUAUGAAUAUAUAAAUAGAUUUAUUUAUAAAUAUCUAUAAAUGUAUUAUAAAUGCAUAAAUGCAUAUUUAUAUAAAAAUAUAAAAUUUAUACAUUUAUACAUUUAUACAUUUAUAUAAUAUUUAUUUAUAAUUUAUUCAUUUAUAAUAAUAUACAUGUAUACAUUUGUAAAUAUAAAUGGAUUAUAAAUGCAUAAAUGUAUAUUUAUAUAAAAAUAUAAAAAUUAUAAUAUUCUAAAAAUACUCGAAAAUAUGUUUCAAAAAUGCCUCUAAAAAUAAUCCAAAAAAAUCUACGGUAAAAGUUUUUCAUAUAGUUUUUGAAAAACAACCCAAAAAACAACUAAUCCAAACGGACUUGUUUUUCAGAUUCAAAAUGCUACAGUGGUGUUUUUGAAAAACAAACCCAAAAACAGCUAAUCCAAACGGAGCCAAUUGGUCAAAGCAAAACAUUCGCAACUAAUUUAGGCUGGGCGUGUUUGGAUAGCCUUUUAUUUCUCAAAAAAACAUUUACUUAUAUCGCAAUCAUAUUUUUCAACGCGCACUAUUUUAUCUAAUCAAUCACCUUUUUAUCUCAUCUCACGUGUAAAAAUGACUUGGUCUACUGCAUUGAUCAGGCUGAUUCAUUUCUACUGUAGCAAAUGACUUGCACUACUGUAAAAGGGCAAAUACACAUUCAGCCUCCCAGUUAACUAGAGAGCUCAGAAGAUUCAAGUACUUGUCCAUGUAAUUGUAAGGGUCAACAUUUUGGCGUUAAAACCCCCUUGGAAAUAAUUGGAAAAAGACGGUCUUUGAGGAGCAAAAAUCACCAAAUGACCAGCAUAUGGUAUCACGUCAUGUUGGAGGUUGCCAUGUCCCUGGUCUGAACGAUUCACCUGUUCCCGUAGGCUCGGAAGAACUGAAACAAAAGUUUGUGGAGUCAAAACAUUUUUCAGCAUAGAUGAUGAUUAUGCUAUUUCACAUGAAAUCAGUGAAAUAGAUCAUCUCCAGUUUCAAACAAUAACACGUCACUCAUAUGGACUUUUUUUUGCUCACAACUUUUGAGCUGCACACUCGUAAAAGUUGGUCCACUGAUGUCGAGUAGCCAAAAUCUUGGGGCAGGCACACGCGAAAUGAAAUGGAGGAGUAGAGACGCACGGACUGAAUGAACCAAGAAACUUACUCUUCUUGUUUUUGUCGAACUUCAUAUGGUGGUUGCUUCUCUGACUCAGUUGCUUUGGAGGUCCUGUGACCACACAAAGGCAUGCCAAAAGGGAAAUUUCAGGAUCAGAUGUACAUCCAUGCAACGGUAAUUGACACUAAACAAAUAAAGAAGAAAGAUAGACUUGUUGCGGGUUUAAUUUCAAUUCACUUGGACCACAUCAUUAACAGGUGCAUAUACGAUCUGACUGACCUCCCUGAUGCAUCAAGUGCUUCCCCACGUCCAUCACCUUCAAGAAUAAAAUAACACGGGGAAAAAGUAAGAGACAUGGCACAUUCUAAUGAAAAGAAAGGGAGAAAUUAGUAGACGAGUAAGGUCGGAGGAUGGAAGCUAUCAUGCUCGAUAAAUAGACAAAUGCAGAACCAGAUUACAGAAUUGUUCAUUCUCUGCAUCCUCUCUUCUCUCAAGACAGUGGUUCUUUAGUAAGUAUAUGAAGAAACAUGUACAUCUAACUCUCGCAGUUUCCAAAUUUUACAUGGAGGGCACAGGGUUAUGCAAGGAGUAAAAGGACUGUAGGCAUAGAAGCUAACUAAUACUGGAAAAGAUGCAAGAUGGAAGUGAUAGCAGACAGCAGAGUUUAGACACUGGGAAGUAGUUCCAGAAAGUUUAUCUUCCUACAGCUGGCUUAAAAUGUCUGUCAAGCAAAAGCUUUUGUCCAUUUAUUGGAUGGAAAGUUCAACUUAAGAAACGAAAGUUCAGGGACUUAAUUUCCAAAUCCAAAGAAGAAGGCUUAGGAUGGCACGUAUCUUGAACUCCAAAGCCGACUAGUGAAUUUUGCAUUCUGCCCAAUAUAUUAAUAGUUUAAACUUUGCAUUAUCCAUGCAGAAUUAUCCCCUCAGCUGUGGGCUAAUGUAUUGGUCAUUACAAGUAUAAGAAAGCAAGUUCAUAACAGCGCCUAAUGUUAUAAAAAGGACAACCAAUUUAACAAUUAAAAUGGUAAAACAAUAGUUGGCUACCUUCUGAAGUAACUGGGAGCUGCCGGAUAAAACUCUUCAAGUCUGGCCCUACAACUUUACCUAUACCAAAGAUAGCCUUCUGUGAGUUUAGUACAAUAACACCAUGUGAAAGUAUACAAGAAAAUGCGUGGCUUACCAGUCUUAGCAGCUUCUUGACUAAGACCUUUGGCCCCCCUUUCCUCCUCUUCUUUCUUGAGAACUUAGUGCAGUAAAAUAUUUGUUAAGCACUUGUUUUGGUGAAAAACUAUAUCACAACAACUUCAAUUUUUUGAAAUCUAAUUAAGAAGAUUAAGCUCAUCAUAAAAACCUGGAGAUGCUGAUUUUUUGAAUCUAGGAACAAUAGUUCAAAAUUAUGCAACCAAAGACUUCAAUCAGUGGAGGACAACACAUUUUAUAUUCUUUUAUGGACAAAUGCAAGCUUGUUAUUCCAUGAAAACCCUGCAGCACUGACCAUUUAGCGUUCUGCCAUAACUUACUAAGAUGUGAAAAGAAUCACCUCACAUUAGACUGUUCCGGGAAACAUGAAAAUAUAUAGCAUGAGCUAUUACUCAUGGUUGAUUGAGAAGCUCUUUUCUCAGAUUCUAUCACAUGCCAAAGUUUCAGAUACAAGGUUAUGGGAAGUCAAAUCCAGAAAAGAUAAGCACUGAUGGAAGUUGAAAGAGAUUACACAAAUUAUACUUACGAGCAACAUUGAGUCUAACACGUUCCCGUCUAGCCUCAAGCUCAGCCAUUUCCUGACAACCAAAUUAAUAAUCAACUAAAUGUUUCUGUUCUCUUUCAACUUCUUAGUACAUGAUGUAUGGAGAACUUCUAGAAUAUCCCCUGAAGAUAAAAACAAAGACAGCGGUAUAUUGUCCACAUAGAACAUAAAAAAUUUCUAAUAGAAGAAGAGACUUUCCUACCCUAUUCACCUAUUGACAAUCGAAAGGAUGGGAACAGCACUUUCAGAAGAGAAGUGACCUUCAGCUUGCUUAGCAUCAUAUGAAACAAAAGACAGACAAGGUUGCUUAAUUUACCUCAGGCGUAGGAGCUAUCUUUCGCUGUCCAUUCAGCCAACAUAUCCAUUCGACUACAAUGGUUUAAGCAUAAAAUUACUGAUUAUGAGAACAAAAUGUGGAGAAGCAAGGUGCUUGUGAUCAUAAAAUUGAACAACUUCACCAACUUAAAGUAGGAAAAUCAAGGAUUCAGGUUUAUAAGUGGGUAUGGAAAAGCAGAAGCAUUUUCCCUCAAUAAAGAAUUCCUCAAAUUUAGCAUGUCAUUGUAGAUAAUUAACACAUUAAACAACAAGUUCCAUUCACCCCGAUAAUUUUAAAAUUAAUCCAAGAAAAGAAGCCACACAAUAAAGGGAAAGUAACAAGAACAAUGCUCUGUCCGAAGAGAUAUACCUGGAACUGAAGUUGGUUCCUGCUCUCCUUUGAAUACCACCCAUCGUUUCUCUUUCACUGAUGCAGUCACAUACGUAAGACAUAAGGCCAAGCACAUUUACAAUUUCAAUUUGCAAAAAAGCUGAAGAAACGGCAUUGCAGCUACAUAAUAUUAACAGAGAGCCAACAGACUUCCUCAAGCUAGUAGUUUAUCUCAUUAAACUAUCUACACGUUCCGCCAGAUCAUGCAGUACAAUAAUCUGAUGAUAGCAGUUUCCAAUAACUAAAUGAGUGUGGGAAAAGAAGUACUAGCACCAUGAUAUUAAGCUUCACUAAAACUCAAAGUUCCCAUCUUUGUAGGCCUUAACUGCCAGGAUAUCUUUUGGCCUAAAAUGGCGACUAAAAUAAUUGGACAAACACCUGACGAAAAUCAAACUUUUCUGCGUCCUAUAUCACACCUUGACCAGUUUCAUUUCAUCUAUACUUUAGUUCAGCUUUUAAAUCACAAGUUCUUCAAGCAGCAUUUCAAUAAAUAAAAAAAAAAAUAAAGGAAUCAGCAAGAAUGUGUGCAAAUUCCUCCCAAAGUUCCCAAUUCAUACAUCGAAAUUCACAAAGUUCCAAACUUAUUAAUACAUGUCCAAAUACCAGAUGCUUUAUGCCCAUUCAUUUAAUAAAAUUAUAUAUAUUGCCAAACUAGCACAAAGUGCGAGAGAGGAAAAAAAAAAGGAAGAAGAAAGGACCCACUUACUGACACCAUCAAUUUCUUCCAUUCGAGUAAAGUAUCGAUUCCCAGCUUUGUCCAUUCCCGCCAUAGUCUGAUUUCUGAAUAAUCCCACAAUUUUUGCCCAAAAUCUCGACAUCCUUUUUCUUUUUCGAUAUUAAUCAGCAGUAAUCAGGAAAUAAAUGGUUCUUCAACAGCUUCUUCUUCUUCUGGACUCUCAACCAUAAGCUUCUGUUUUCCUUCCUGAAACCUCAAGAAAGGAGUUCGAACCCAGGUGGCUUCAAGUCUUGAAUAUUGUGUACCACAUAAGACAGUGUUUGGAAACAACCUGAAACGUUAACUUCUGCGUUAACUAUUGUAAUCAGCACUUUUCAUGCUGCUCCAUUCCCUAUUCCUAUGGAUCAAAAUCACUUGAUUCAACGUAAACAAAUCACCCGAAGUAUGUUCUCUUGCUCUUCGAACUCCAUAAUUACAAAAUAAUCAAGAACAGAUGUCUAUUGGUCCCAGUAUUGGGCAGAGUCUGGGUUGGGUUUGUUUUCUCAGGUAUCGCUGGUAUCUGCCAAACAGUUCCAUAGCUGGAAUCCCACAUCGGAAUAACAGAAGAGUCUGGACUUCUUCAAAUCAUCAGAGAAUGAGCAAGCUGCCCGCCGAGCCUCGUAGCGCGGGCUUGUAACUCAAGCGGGGGCAUUAGAGUGAUGGAACAUUGGUCCGACUUAGAGGGUAGGGUUGAGAGCGCUACUUACUAGCCUGCCCACUCCAAGCGGAGAGCUGGGCCGCGUAAUCUUGGCGAAGGCUGAUGUUUCACGGUCCCUAAAGAGAUGGACACUGCGCGAGGCUGGCUUAACAGAGCAGCGAAAACCACCCGCUCCUUGCAGUGGAGGGACUACAGGCUGGUGCGCUCCUGGCCCCAUCAUUGCCCAAUGGGCGGCCCAAAUUGGACCAUCACUCUUUUAAUCAUCCAAUUUUUCCUUUUAAAUAUUUUUUCUAGAUAAAGGGAGGGGGGAAUUUAUGCAGCAAUUUUUCGUUUUAAAAUAUGUCUUCCAGAUAAAGGGCGAGAGGGGAUUUAUGUGGCAGCAAAAAAGAAAAGAAAUCUAAAUCUAGAUCCUCUUAUUGAGAAAAGGGCAAAAGAAUGACGCCUUUCAACAGUUUGUUUCAAUCUUUCAUCCAGAUGAAGAGAGGGGUAGGAUUUAUGCCACAGGAAAAAAAUAAAUUUGAAUUUAGGUCCUCUAAAUUCUAAGGGCAGCUAAUUUUCUAAUUAUUAAAAAAAUUAAAAAAUGUCUUUCAACUGCCUGUUUUUUUUCCUGCAACGAUAACAUUCCUAUAAGCUAAUCAUUUUCAUAGUCUUUUAAUUACUAAUUUCAAUCCAUUUUUCAUUUUACAGGUGUUUGAAUUGAGUAACUAUCUAGAAAUUUGUUCUUCUUUUGGUGAUAUGAUUGUGCAUACAAAAUAGAAAGUGUGAUCUAAAACCAUAUCUAGAAAAUAGUAACAAAACAUUUUUUAAAAGUAAUCAAUUAUCCGAACAUAGGAGAUGAAUUUCUACAGAAGGCUUUCCCAGCAAAUGUUGCACACGUGACUCAAACGAUGCAAAUAUUAGUCAAUUGUUAAAAUUUUGGAAAUUUGGACAAACAUUAGGCCCACGAUUGAAAAGUUUAGGCCCAAUUUGUGCUUAGACCAAUUUCAAUCCUCUGUCACAGUCUCACUACAUCUUCCACGGUUUCACCUGAACUGUUAAAAGAAGAUCUAAAACCAAUUUGAUAGCCGCUGGCCGGAAUUUCAUCUCCGGCAGGCGUUCAACUAUUUCACUAUUUGGAUCUUCUUUUACCAUGCUCUCUCCCAAGCAAAACAGUUCAAAAUCCAACUUCGAAUUCCAAAUAUCUCCAAAAUCCCCAAAAGCUCGAUCUUUCUAAUCUUAAACCCUCGAUUUCUUUUGCUGCAUCUUGUUGUAUGAAACCUGUAACGUGCAAACUAUGAUGUCUUGCUCCAACAUGUCAACAACGGUCUCCUUAAAACCUUCAAUUUGUGACCCCUUUUCAAUUUCUUCCCUAUCUCAGCUCAACCCCCAUCGCAUAUUAAAUUAUCAAACAAUUACAGAUACAAAAAGGUUUGAUUUUUAUCAUAUUUCGAGAGCGCCCCUUAUUCAAAAUGGCCUCCGUGAGCUCAGGGAGCGGAUGGAAACGGUAAAAAACACCCAAAAAGUGACAGAAGCAAUGAUGCUAGUUGCAGCUGCAAAAGUGCGGAGAGCCCAAGAAGCAGUAAUCAAUAGCAGACCAUUUACAGAGGCCCUUGUUGAAGUCUUGUACGAUAUCAAUGAGCAGCUUCAGUUGGAUGAUAUAGAUGUUCCUUUAACAAAUAUUAGGCCAGUCAAGAAAGUUGCUCUCGUUGUGAUGACUGGAGAUAGAGGUCUUUGUGGGGGUUUCAAUAAUGUUAUGCUGAAAAAGGCUGAGGCCCGGAUUAAGGAGUUGAGGAAUCUUGGAUUGGAUUAUUAUUUGAUUAGUGUUGGAAAAAAGGGCAAUGCUUACUUUCAUAGAAGGGAUGGUUUGUUUGUGGGUAGAUUUGUCGAGAGUGGGGGAUUUCCUACUUCUAAAGAAGCUCAAGUGAUUGCUGAUGACGUUUUUUCUCUGUUUGUUAGUGAAGAAGUUGAUAAAGUUGAGCUACUGUAUACCAAAUUUGUGUCAUUGAUAAAGUCUGAUCCAGUAAUCCAUACUUUGCUUCCACUGUCUGCUAAAGGAGAGGUUUAUGAUGUGAAUGGCAAAUGUGUUGAUGUAGGCAAAGAUGAGUUUUUCCGAUUGACAACAAAAGAAGGGAGAUUGACUGUGGAGAGGGAUCGCCCGAUUGGAAAAAAGAGGGAAUUUUUGCCUAAUUUGGAGUUUGAGCAAGACCCUGCUCAGAUUCUUGAUGCAUUGAUGCCACUUUAUUUAAAUAGUCAGAUUCUGAGGGCAUUGCAGGAGUCAUUUGCUAGUGAGCUAGCUGCAAGGAUGAAUGCAAUGAGCAAUGCCACUGAGAAUGCGCUGGAGUUGAAGAAGAACCUUUCCAUUACUUAUAACAGGGAAAGGCAAGCUAAGAUCACAGGGGAGAUAUUGGAAAUUGUUGCUGGAGCAGAGGCACUUAUUUAGUUUGUUUCGGUUUGGGCUAUGCAAUCUUUCAUUGUAUGAUCUCUUCUAUGCUUCUAUCCCAAGCCUCUCAAUUCCAAAACCUUUGAAUCCGUUCAAUAUGCUUUUUUGGGCUUUGCAAUUCUCAGGAAUAGGACUGUACCUUCUAGAUUCAGUGUCUAUACUCUCUUGCUCAAGUUUGGCAUAUGAGUUGUGACACUACCAUUCCGGCUUGAAAUGAGAUUAUAGUUAGCCAUGAGGUAUUCUAUUUUUGAAUUUUAGAAUGCCAGACAAUAUCGACUUAAGACGCUUUUUCUAAAAAAAAAAAAAAUUACAAGUGAUGGGGUUAUUUGGUAUUUACGGUUACUUGUGGAAGUCGAAAUAAAAACAUGGCUACGGAUUUAAUUCCUUUUAUUUCACUACUUUAUUCGGCGGGGAUGUGGUGGACCGCUUUCUAACAGCAAUCAAUCGAUUAAGGACCAUGUUUUUUAAUGUGCUACAGGCGGGGUAGGACAGAGGGUUGCCAAAUUAAAUCCAUUUUUAGAUGUAAUUUGCCGUGUAAAAGGAGCAGAACCCCAAAUUCAUUGAGGAAGAAGUCCUAAAGGAGCAGAACUCUGCUCCAAAUCCAUUUCCUUAUUGGAAGAAGCCCUAAAGGGAGCAGGACUUGGUCGUGGUCAUGGACCCUAUAUAAAGGACAGGACCUACAUCGUUUUCACUACAGCACAGAGAGAGAAACACUGCUAGUCUAGAAUUGAACAUGGCGGAGGUAGUAAAAAGCAGACCAAUCCGCCAUUGUCCACCCCCUCCGAGUCUAUACCCUUGGCUUGUUUUCUUUCAUGGCAAAAAUUAUGGAAAAUCAAACCUUUUAUUGCAUGUCUCAGCCCAAUACUAAAUACGUUAGAUCAAUUCCUGAGUUGCAGAACAAGAGAUUUUGGCUGUCAUCCCACCGCUGGUUAGUUUUGUCGAAAAAACUCAGUUUCAUCUUUGGAAUCUAAAAAUCUUUGGAAUCAAUUUAUCUCCCUCCUUUGGAGUUUGGACCUGCAACCUAGACUACGUGUGGAAGGUAUCCUAUUAACAUCGUCUCCUGCAAAUCCCGGAAGCAUUCUAUUGUUAUUUUUGGCUAAUCCUCAGAGCAUUACGUUCUGUUGCAUCAAAGACCAAAGGUGGACUAUAAGAAGCUGCAGCAAAGAAGAGAUCAAGAUUAUAAGCGGGACCGACGAUGGUUGGCAUCAUUUUUGUUUGCCAAUUGUCUGCAAUGGUAGAAUAUAUGCUACUACCUGUUGCAGACGUGGUCUGGCAGAGAUUGAGAUUGUCAAACAAAGGCUUGUUAUAAGAUCUCUUCACUGUCAGCUACCUCUUUUUCAAUCCGUAUGUGAUCACGUAAAAAUGUACUUGGUGGAAUCCGAUGGGGAUCUCUUUGCGAUAAAUUUUGAGAUACACUCCAGGGAAGCAAUGAAUAUAUUGAUGUUUUCAAAUUGGAUUUCCCAACUAGGAAAUGGAACAGAGUGGACAGCUGCCCGGAUAGAGCUUUUUUCUUGAGCAAUGAUGAAGCAAUCUCAUGCCGAAUUAUGAUAACUGAUAUAGAACGAAUGGGAAGUCGGGUUUACUUCACACGUUACCAAGACAAGUCCCUAUACUCCUACCACAUUGAAGAUAAAACUAUCUCAAUGUCUUCACCUUGUCCAGAUCUGUCGACACCCUGGAGCACACCAAUUUGGGUGUUGCCUGACCCUGAGGGGACCGAGUACCAUCAUCAUCCAGGCGUAGAUCAAAAAGAGGAUGGAAAGGAGGAUAUACAAGUCGGAGCAAAUGGACAUUGUGAAACUCAGGAGAAACUUGAGGAAGCAAAUAGAACAAGUUUGAACGGGAGGAUCAGAAAAUGGAUCAGACAAUGGACGAGGAAGAGGAAGGAAGCUCAGACAAUGGAUGAGGAAGGAAUGGGAGUGCGAGUUGAACCACACUUGGAGAGAAGGAAGUGGGUGUUGUGCGGAUAGCCUGGCAGGCCACCUGAUGUUGUUAAGAAGUGCUUAAAUGAUGAUGCAAGGGGAGUUUGAAUGAUCUUGGUGGUGAUUUAAGUAUUGGCCAACUAUAAAUGUUGGCCAAGGGCCAAAAUAACCCAAGUAAAUCGUACUAAAACUGUACAUUAGCAUUGUGACAAGUAAUAAUGCAAAUUCAAAUAUUCAAUCUCCUUUGGCCAUUUCAACAUCUAAAUUGAAAGAAAAAAUGUCAACUCUUCUAGACACUUAUAAGUCUUUUAUAAGAAAAAAUGGAGAACAUGUUGCCCCCAGUCUCGUUGUCUCAUGUGGAGCAUUGCUGGGGUUUGGAACUGCUAUAGUAUGUAUGCAUGGUGAACGCAGUGGAACAGAAUGUUUCAUUUCGAGGGGUCCAAAAGAGACAGAUAAAUUGGACUUAAAACAGAAGACAUCUGCAAGUUUUUGGAUUCCUUGCUAGCUUCCAAGAAUUUGGAAUUUUGGAUGACUGACCAGUAUGAAUGAAGGUCCAGAAACUGAUUUUGCUUUGGCAUACGCAAAUUGCGAGCAGAGUUGGAGGACAACUUGCCUUCUUAUUAGUAAUUAAAUUAGCUGGCGGACAAACAUCAGAACAAGCCUGCAUGUGAAAAAAUUGACUGAAUUAGAGGGACAGAAUCGCCCUAACCUGUGGGACCCAUGGUUCGAAGUCUCGGCCGAGACCGAGACGACUCGACCGAGUCGUCACCGUCUCGGUCUCUACCGAUAUGAUACCAUGACGAAACGAUACCGAAAUACUUGACUCGCCGAGAAAUCGGCCGAGUCGUCACCGCGACGGAUUGACUCGACCGAGUCACACCGAGUCACUCCGAGUUAUCCCGAGUCAAGACGAGAAAUCAGCCGAGUCACACCGUGACGGAUUGACUUGACCGUUUCUUUUGCUAUUUUUUAAUUAUUUUUAUUUAGCAUACUUUUUUUAUAUUAUUAACAAUUUUUAGAAUAUUAAAUACUUUAAAAUUUGCGUCUCAUCGAGACCGCGACCGAUAUGCCGAGACCGAUAUGAAACGUUGUGGCCCGCGACCGCAACCGCGACCGUGACUUUGAACCAUGGUGGGACCUCGUACCGCCGUACUACUUUAGUUGAUGGCGGCUGCUAGUGAUUCCAGACGAGAUUUGGUAUUACGAGCAAAUGAAUCUACUGAAGAUACAUGAAUAUGUCCUCCUCUAUCACCAGAGAUACUCUUCUUCUAUUUGCAGAAAAGGGAGAGGUCGAAAUAGUUUAAAUUGGGAUUUUGUCAUGCUGGAAUGUCCAAAGCUGAAGGCAGCCGCAUUCAUUGAAUGGCGGCCAUGCCUCUUAUACGCCAAUGUAGAACAGCUAAUUUCGGGGGACUCAUUUCCAACGAGCAAGACAAAGAAACAUGCUGCAUUAUUAUUUUAUAAAGCAAAACCUUUGCUGGAAGAAUGAACUAUUUUACAAGAUUUAAUGCAAAAAGAGAAGUUAUCGUCCUAAAAGUUACAAGAUUUUUCUUAUGUCACGUUGAGCAUCAUGUUUAUCAGAUGUUCUUUUUUAUCAUUUUAAGCUAAGAUGAUUUGCCCACCAAAUUUGACCUCUCGCUGGAGUUAAAAUUUACGUACCUGUGGCUGUGGGUCUGGGAGUGGGGGUUAUUGUUGUUUGUGGAAUACACUGAUUGGAAGGAGAAAUACAGACAAAUAUUACUACUUCUAGCAGAGUCAUGAGAACACAUGGCAUCAUGAUUCUUUUCCUACUAUUAUGCAGAUAGUGAAGAGAAACAAGUUGGAUCCAAGUAUAUGCUUAGAUUUGGAUCGGAUAUCCAUUUCACUGAGUCAAUUGAUGUCAAGGGCUUAACCUGAUUAGUCGAAAAUGGUCUGGACCCAUCCUUCUAAUCAGUGGGAUACUGGAUGGAAACCUCCCUCCCCAUUCGUGAGGGGACCCUUUAAGGUAAAAAAACCAUAGAUCACUGGAAAGAAAUGCUUGAAGGAAAUUCCACGGCAAGUAACCAAAGCAGCCAUUCGUUCGGAGCAAAACAGCAGGCGGAUGAUGAAAUCAAGGUUUCAAUAUACAUAUGAUAAUAUUAGAUUGUGGAAAAACUACAUGUGCAUUGCACUCAGCAGCACCAUUAAAGGUGCUACUUGUCUUUCAGAAAGUAUAUCCGGGUUUUAGUCUUACAAAGUUCAAAUGAAGUCCAAAUCAGAGAAACAACCGGGAAAGGUUACUGAUGCUUGACUACAUAAUUUACUAUACCUUUAUGACGACAUUAACCACCUUCUUCAGGAGAUUAUAAAUCAAUAAUAUAAUUAUGGGUCUCCCUACUAUUAUUGGCAGAAUCACCUCCUCAUUUCUAAUUGAAUCUAUUUAUCAUAGGGUUGUGCAUUCUCCCCCGAGUCCGGAGCCACUAACUACUACAGAAUCAGAAAGUUAAUCCUCAUCUUGUGUGAACUUCCACUUCAUAGUCUUCCAAUGUUCUAUCCUUCAAACUUUUUGACACAUAUUGUCUUUCUUUUUGGCUGGGAGAGUCGAGGCUCUUGUCUUGAUAUAGGAUAUUUUUAAGCAUACAAAGGGGUCCGGUAGUCUUUGUUAGGUAGAUACAAAGUGAAACGCAUACAAAGUGAAAAUAAUACUUGCAGAUGUUAUUCUGACCUUUCACUAUCAAGAUUCAAGAGUGAGUCAUUUAAAACACAAGGGAAACGCAUGCACACACGUUAUUUAGAGAAUUUCUAGGAUUGGCCUUGUUCUGCCAUCUCUCUUGGUGGCUAUCUACUUUCAGCAGACUUCCCAGCUUCAUUUGAUCUUCUUAAACUGUAGGUGAGAAACUGGUUCUCUAAGCAGAAGCAAUGCUUUAAGCUUCUAAAUUUGCUAGCCGGUCCCUUAUGUUGCUCUCCCUUUCUUUCUCAGAGAUACACACACGCAUCACACAUCACAAUCUCGCUCGCGCAGCAUUUCCCUCCCGAUAGAUUGUUGAUAUCACUGUCUCAGAUUUAGAGCUGCAAUUUCUGAAUCAUGACUUCUUAACUCAGCGAACUGUGGAUUCUCUCUGAAAAAGACUUUUGAGUGCGCGGGAUUUGCCUAGUAAAAAAGAUAAUUCCACUCUCUUAAACUUUGGAUGCUUUCUGAGAUUGUUGGUUCUGAGGUGGGGAAGAAGCAACAAUGAGAGAUCCUCUCUUUUCUACUUGGAAUAGCAUGUAUGCACCUGUCUUUUUGGUUAAUGGAUUUAGCCAGUUGACUUAAUUGGAUUUUGUGUUUUCAGGGGGAUGUCAUCAGCUGAAGGCAAGUAUAGCUUGUACAGGCAAGGCAGCUCUGGUUGGUCAACCUUGAGGAAUGAAGAAUUUCAAGAACAAGAUGUCUGGGGUAUUCUCGGGCGAAGUAAAGAAUUGAAGAAGUCCAACUCUGAUUCCUACAGAGAAUCGUCCUCUAUGGUUUCGAGGCGCCGGCCGACUUCAUCGAGAAUGAUUCCAAAAGCCACCAGUAGUAAUUCUGGGACCGAACCCAAAAUUAUUCAACAGUCAGCCCCUGUUAACAUCCCUGAUUGGUCCAAGAUCUAUGGAAGCAGCUCCAAAAAACCAUCCAAUACUGAUUCACGGCUUGAUGAUCACGGCAAUAGCGAUGGCGUGAUGAACAACAGUUGGGACAGUGAUGAAGAAGAGGAAGAUGAUGGCAGUGUGGUUCCACCCCAUGAAUGGAUCGCCAGAAAGCUUGCAAGGAGUCAAAUAACCUCAUUUUCUGUGUGCGAAGGCGUUGGAAGAACACUCAAAGGUAGAGAUCUGAGCAAUGUCAGAAAUGCUGUGUUAACCAAAACAGGAUUUCUUGAGUAACUAUUUGUGAUGGACAUGAUUAACAUUGUCAUGAUGGUGAUUCUGUUUCAUCAAUAUGAUUGGUAAUGUAAUACUGCUAGUAAAUAUGGGUCCCUGUGAAAUCAUGCUGCUAUUAUCUUAUCGCAAUUCAAUUGUACAGGUUUGUCUGCCUGCUUCAGGAUUUCUGAUUAGACAAUUUGCCUUAUUUGGCAUAAGUAGACAAUAAUUGUGCAUCCUGUAUUUAGUACCAGUGUAUUUGCCUGUUAGGUUGGUGCUGCUGUGGGUAAGAGAUUAACUUCUUGCCCUUCAAAUUAAAAGUGAACUAAUAAAAUAAGUAGGUGAUGUUGAUAAAUUUUUCAUUUCUGUUUUUCUAUUUCUUCUUUUGGUUACCAAUGGGGGUUAACUGCAUGGAGAUCAAUCAAAACUUGUUCUUCGACCCAAAAAAAAAAAAGGGUUUCCAAUAUCCACUACCACUGGCGCUUUAUUCGAUGUUUAAACUACUUAAUGAUUCUUGCCUCUCCUUAAUGCAAAAUAGUUUGAUCAUUGCGAGUCUGAAUUUUGCAAGUUUACCUCUUUUUUUUUUUUUCCUGAUCAAUAAAUUUCACCUAAAGCACGUAUACGACUUUCAUACACGACAAUAAUAGAUACAACCAGACAAGGAGUACAAAGAGUAUUAUUGCUAGUACCUUUGUCCAACAGUGCCUUUACUCGUGUUCAUAAAGAAAAUACCCAAAUUUAGAAGGGGACAACGAAAAUGACAUUAUCGAAGAGUAAAAACAAGGUGGCAAUGGAAAAAAAAAAAAGUUGUGUAUUCUUAUAUUGUGAUAUAACAUUUAGUACAAAUAAAAUUGUGCAACCGUCGCCCUAUGGAGCGAAAAAAAAAAAAAAAAAAAAAGGCCCUCCCUCGUUUUUCUUGAUUUUUAUUGACUUGUUUUCAUUUCACCAUAUUAAGCUAUAAAAUUCCAAUUUGCUAGCUAGUUAGGUUUGACAGAUUUUAUAAGUUUUUUUUUUAAAAAAAAAAAAAAAAAAUAGAAGCCACCACCCUACGUAACUCGUCCUUGACAAUUCAAUUAUAACCAGAGAGAAAAAAGGGCACAUUUUUUAACAUGGUACCCACCAUUCUAUUCAAUGUACACUUAUUGCCCCGUUGAAAAUUGACAAGCCAUGGCCGUAACACACAAAAUCAGGCUUGGAAAUUUUGGAAUUAGGCGGCCGCAAAUAUAUCCAGAGAAGAAAAUAAUGUUUUCUGCGGCUGAAAAUAAUUUAAUGGCGUGUCUAAAGUCGCAGGAAGAGUAUCUAGUUGCUUUCUCAUAAUCAAAUAGCAGAAGAAGAUGUCACACAUGCAGCCAGACACAUUACAUCAUAUUUUGUCUUCACACUUCAUCUUUGAAAUUUCUUUUCUUUUGGUUUUGGUAACGACAUAUAUUUAUUACUAUCAUUUUUGAUAGGUACGUAGACUACGUAAAAUAUGAGGCCCUUAGACGAAGCUGAGUUCAGGCUGAACCAAGCUGGAAAUUGCCUCAAUUUCUCUCUUCUUGAAACUCUCCACUUCUUUCAGGGCCAAUGCUCUCAAAUUUUCCACCAUUUCUCGCACUCCCUUUUGAUUUCUUCCAAUCCCAUGUAGCAUUCCUUGUAUGGUUCCGGCAUAGAGUCCAUAGCUUCUCAACUUCUCGAUUUCUGCCUCGCUGCCGCCUCCUAAUAUGGCUCCACAAGCUGCAGCACAAGCAUGCAGUUCACCUUCUUUCUUCCUGCUCACAUACUCAAUCGAGCUCGCAUCGACCGCCCCUUCCUCGUCCGAUUGGCUGAUGAUGAAUUCCCUGAAUUGGCCAUCCACCAACCCCUGCGAUCCUGUGGCCCGGGCGAUUUCGGCCAUUACCCUCAACACCCGAUCCGGAUUGUUUUGGGCUGAAUCCAGCGAAUCAGCCAGCAGCUCGAACCCAAAUGGCACCAUUCCGUCCCCGGUCAGGAGCUCAAUAUUCGGGCCGAACCUACGUUCCGUUGCGGGCCUGGUCCUGUCGGUCAAGGGAAGCUGCUCGUGAGCAUACGCGGCUGCAUGCAUGAGCUGAACAGCAGACGCCGCAGCCAUGGCCUGGCUCCUGUCGCCGCCGACGAGUUCACAAGCAGCAAUGCACAGGGCGGGGGCUGUGGUUCUCGGCGCAGCAAAGGCUAGAUGAUGCAUGGGCUCGAAGACCGAGACCGGAUGCCGGAUUGGGAUGGCUUCCUUUAGAUGUGUUUCGACGUCCGCUUCGAUGUUCGCCCAGUAAGAGUAAGGUUGCUCUCGGGACAUUCUGACCACCAGAGGCCUGUAGCAUACUGACGCUGGGCUAAGAAGAUUUGAUGUGGAGGACCCGAAAAGAUUCGCCCUUCCAUUGCAACUUGAAAGAGCUCUAGCCAUCUUCUCUUCUCUUAGAUAGGAAGGAGUAUAUGGAAAUGAUAUAAUAGUAGCACUACUGCUGAUGACUCCAGAUCUUGCAGGCUAAUACUUUUUGCAGCUGGUGCGGGAGACUUAUAAUACUGGUAGUAGAUGAAGUCAAGAUUUCGUUUUUAUGGCCUACUCUUUUUUUUUUUGGGUGGUGGUGGUGGUGCAUGAGCACGCGGGGCACGGGUUUGUGAAGCUGGAGGUCUCUCUGUUUACGUAGCAAUUAUUGAUGCUUACUGCCUUAGGUCUCACGCUAUUUAAGUAAUGGUAAUGGAACCGCGUGAGACCGUUUGGUUGAUUGAUUGACAUUAUAGAAAGAAAGAAAGAGUACGCGGAAGUAAAUUGUAGUAGUAUUGCCUAAUAUGUUUUUCCUUUUAAACGUUUUUUUUAUGCAAGAGACAAUAGUCGGAGGAUCAAGAAGCAGACAUGCGUACAUCAAAACUUCUUUUCACUUGUUGUACUGGAUAUGUUGACAUACGGCGUACAAAUGAUUUUGAUUUCAGGGACCACAGAGAAAGAAGAUGUCUAGGUUUUGUAAUAGUACUACUACUAUACUCUACCAAACGGAGCUGAAGAAUUAUCUUCUUUAUAUUUAUCAUCAAAAAAAAAAAUUCUUCUUCUUGCCAUCCUUAAAUUACCCAUAGUUGCUAUUGACGGUUCGUUUGAUACUCGAGUAACUCGUUAAUAAAAGGUAUAUUUGUCAUUUUAGAAAUUAAAAUUAUAAAAAUUAUAAAUUAUAAAUUUUUAUUAAGGUUAAUUUGCAUGAGCUAAAACUCGAGCUCAUGAAACUCGACACGUUUGUGAUAAACGAGUCGAGCUCGAGUCACAUGUAUAUUUAACGAGUCGAAUUUGAACACAUUUUAAAACUUGUUUUCCUAAUGAGCUCGAGUCGAGCUCGACAGCCAAAUACUCGACUCGAUUAACAGCUCUAAAUUCCUGUGUGAAAUGUAUGUGGUUGAUUGAUGCACUAGAGCUAAACCGACAAAACUGAACGUCAGGACCAUCUGCAGUGGAAAAUCCAUUUAGACGUUUCCGGCACGUCUCUUAUCUUUCAGGGGGGGGAAAAAAUUAAAAAUACAAACCAGUCCCUCUCCCUGUCGUGGCCAAUAUCAUAACGAAAUAUACCUGAAUAAUGGCUUCUUUUUUUAUCUUACAUCCUCGUCACUAUUAAUGAUGAGUAUUUGGGAAUAUUUCCUCCAAGGGGGAAAAAAAAAUUACGCGCUGAAUAGCUAUGGGAGUAUAUUUAAAGGGUUAGCCAAGGAGUCAGUCCAUUCCUUCCCAAAAUUUACAUUGCUUCAGUGAUUAAUUUCACUUUUUAAUAGUGUAUAUGCCCUAUAACAAUUCUUAUAACGGUCUAGAGACAAGUCUAUGACUCAAUUCCACCUGACACCAUGGAGAGAUCAAUGAAUUUGGGACUAUUCCAGUCAAUAAUUACGUUAUUUUAAACUUGCUUUCAAUGCUUAUGACGUCAAGAUCUUGAGGCAUUAUUAUGACUCAAUUCCACUUGAAACCAUGAAGAACCACAUUCGAACAAAUUUGAUCGGCUCACCAAGUUGAUCGGUUGAACAGUCGAUUCGUCAACGGGUUUAUUAUUUAAAUGAUUCGAUUAAAGACUUAACUCGAUUUAGUUAUUGGUUCAUUGAAUUGAUCGGAUUAAAUCACCGGAUAGGAUCGGAUUGGGUUUAAUAACACUAAUGAAGAGGUCGAUGUUUUCCUUUCUUUUUUUUUAUAAAAAAAAAAUUGUCUACAUUUAUAUGACUACUAAAUUAAUCUAUAUUAAGGGAGAGCCUAAUUGAGGCAAAAGGAGCAAGAGGGAGAUAAACCAACCAAAGAAGUGUAUAAUCGGAAAUGUAAGGACACUUCCCUAAUCCGAGUUGAGGAUAAUAAUUACCAAGCCAAAAUACUCCAGCCAAUCAAAUCAAUCUUGUCGGCAUAUGGGCCUAACCCAUGUGCCUCGAUUGUCUCGUGCACGGAAAAUGUUAUGCAUAAACAGCGCUUGGUGCAUAUCCAUUUAGCUUUGGGACAGCUACGCCCAGAGCCCAUGUGUUCAAUGCAUUGUGACACCGUACUGGGGGCUUUACAGGAAAAAAGUAGAUUUAAAAAAGACAAAGUAGCACAAUGUACACGUCCCAAUUUGCGUUGGACGUGGGCUUCCUAGGCUCAGUUACGGGGCUCCACACCAGUAAGUUUGUCAACACUUGUGAUUCGCUUGCAGCCCAUUUUCCCCCACCAAACUUGCUGAACUAUAUGUGUGUGUAUAUAUAUAUAUAUAUAUAUCCUUAUACUAUAUAAGAAUGAGUUAUGAUCAAAGAAGGUUUAAAUUUCAAUUGCAUGGAUAGGAAUUUUUUGAGAAUGUGAAAUGUUAUGUAGUUUUUUAAAAUUUUUGGUACAACUGAGGGUAGCAUGUAUUUAGGUAUAUUUACUAAAAUGUCUUCAUUUAUUGAAAGUUUUGAUUUAUGAGACGUUUGAGUAUUUUUGAAAAAUGAAAUUAUUUUGCAACUGUUUUUGCAUCAAGUACAACUCAUAUAAGCUUAUGUAUUGGUAUAAUUACUGAAAUGGUAUUAUAGACACAUUUAAUUAAAGUGUGGAUUUUGUUGUGCAAUUAACACAAAGACAUAUUAACAUAUUGUGCAAUUAACAUGUUGCUAUAACUAGCUAUUGAAAAAUAUUCCUUUGUCUGAAACAACUUAUGUUUAUUUUUUGACGAUUUUCAACUGACAUCUGUAGGGAUCUUUGGGGAUAGUAAAAUCAUAAAAGUAUUGAUAAAUCAAAGUACACAAGUACGUGCUACAAUUAAAAUGUACUAUUAUUAGAUUUGUCAUAUUUGAUGACUAUUUUUUUUUCCAGAAUGUACUAUUAUUUGUCCAAUGAAAAAUUAUCUCUAAUCACAAGCACCAAACACCCGCGCACUCCCCUCCAUCUAGAUAUUGAAAUGUAGUUGCUGCUUAAACUUAUAUAUAUAUAUAUAUAUUCUACAUAUAUAACAAACGCAAUUUCAUUCCAAUAUUUACACUAAUGGCAGCAACUACAUUAAAUAUAGUAUUAAUGACAGUAAAUACAUCAAAUACGAUACAGAUAUAUAAAUCUAAAAAUUAAAUGAUAGAACAUUUUUUUAUUUGAUCUGAAAAAAAUUUAGAUUUGACUUCUAUAUUUGGUUUCUUAGAUCUAUCAAAUAUCUAAUCUCAUCCACUGAAAAAGAUAGAACAAAGACUGCUUCAAACCCAAAAAAUUUUGGCUUAUAAGAUUUACCAAAUCUCUAAUCUCGACCAUUAAAAAGAGAGAAGAUAGAAAAACAAAAAACACUUUCACAAGAAUAUCUUACCAGACAAUAAAACUUCCACUAGAAAAAUUUAACGGAGAAAAAUCUCUCGUCAGAAAAUUUUAGAAGAAAACAAUCUCUCACUAAACAGCUCUAAAAAAGAAUUUAUUCAUACAAAGGAAAUAAAUUUUGGGAAAGGGCAUCCUCUCAUGGAGAAAAACCGGAUUAUCUUGUCUAAUCUCUCUCCCAGAGGAGAGUCAAAUGAGAUUUUGGUUAGAGGAGUUUUAGAGAGAGAGAUAAGAGAAGAAAUUCUAACAGGAGAUGGAGUAUUCAAAUAUAGGACCUAAAAUACAAGCCUUUUAACGUAAUUAGUCACACAACACAACCACCAUUCACCAACUGCAGAAUUUCGACCUUUCGAUUGUCUGCAUUGUGAGGCUUAAUCAUCUGUUGCUCUACAUAAAUUCUUCAUUACAGGUGAAGUCAAUGAGGCGAAAUCCAGUUUUACUUGAUAUCGCAACAUAUUGCUUAACUUUUAAUGAGACAUAUAAAAUUUGAGCAGCUCUGGCAUGUAUACAAUCCCAUCUUAGACAAAAUCAUGUCCAUCUCAUCUACUCAUCAAUAAAUUAAAAAUGCUUUUGAAGCUGUUUGUGGGUUUCAUUUGGAGAGAUAAGAUAAUGCAUGUUAAUGGAAUACUUUUGUUUUUUUUUUUCGACACAGGAGUGUCCGGGUCAAUUCUUACGGAACCCGACUAAUCCCCUGCGACUUGGACCCGGCGCCCCAAUCCAGUCCGAACACGUUAAGUGCGCAGAGGAAUUCAGCGGAGCGGAGACUCAAACUUGUGACCUCAAGAUUCACUUGUGAGAGGCGCUGCCGCUGGACCAUUCACGUAGGGGCGCAUUUUAAUGGAAUACAUUGGGGUAAGAUUUUGCCGAGUAGUUGGCUACUGAGUCACUAUCCCACCAAAGAUUCUAGACGUGCCUGUUUCGGCACUACGAAGGCAAAAGGGCAAGGCAACGACCACCUCAACCUACAGGCCCCCCGGGAGAACAUUGACAAGAAAGCCCCCAUUAAUAUGUAAAGUUUGGUGCGGCUUAUGAAUCAAUCCUCUGCUUUUAGCUCUAGUACAACGAUAACGACAAGGGGAUGGAAACAGGACUGGCACUUGCAGAAAGUCACGACUCAGACUUUCUACCUAAUAUGUGUCCUCGAAUGUGUUCUCUCAAAAAUAAAAAACAUUCAUAUUUUCAAGAAGAAUCUCCUGGCCAUGGUGAUUCUCAUCGCACAUGAACUUUCAAAGUUGUGAGAUUAAAUGUGUCAGCAGAUGUUGGGAUCAGGUGAUUGCUCAUCGUAUCAAAAUCCCCCUACUAACCUUUCGAGCGUGUUCCCCACGGGGCUUAGUCCUCUCCGAACAAUCUUUCUGUGAUCACUGAUCAUGGAGCUUCGGACCUUGGACAAGGUGGUAUUUGGUUGGCUAUUUACGCUAGUAGUGACACAUCAUGAAGUUUCCUGCCUUUGUUUUUUAAUGGCAGCGCCAGCCACGUUAUUAUCACUUUCUGUCCUAUUUUUUAUUAUAUUACUAUUUCUCCUAAAUAAACAUCAUGUUUUAGUUCUUUUUUAUUUUCUUAAGAUCCAGUAACUAUUAAUUGAGUAAUACACAAAAUUUAACAAACUCAAAAAAUCAAAAUGCAUAAAAAUGAGAUUUUUUAUGAAAUUUCUGCUAUAUUUUUUAAUUUGCUAUUAUAUAUUGCUUUUUUUAAGAUGCUGUAUUUAUUUUUUACUCAAUUAAUAGUUAUUGGAUUUUAAGGAAAUAAAAAAGAACUAAAACAUGAUGUUUAUUUAGAAAAAAAUAGUAAUAUCUUAAAAAGUGGGAUAGAGAGUGGCACAGAAUGUAGGACAGAAGAUAGGGUCUUUAUAGUUAAAGCGUGUACCAACUGUGAAUCACAUUGGAUUGCAACUUGCAAGGCUCACAGGGAGCUUACUGAUAUUAGACAUAAUUUACAGGGUGUGUGGACUUUUUAGCAAAAAUGGAGUAACAGGUGCUUCAAAAAAAAAAAAAAAAAUGGAGUAACAGGGAACCAAGACUUUACUUCUUUAUCUCGGAAAUCCAUUUCUAUUUCUAGAUUGUUAGAAGAUGACUGAAGGGGUUUUUGCUAGCCUCAAUUUUGUAAACGCUAGCUGACUUUUGUGUGUGUGUGUGUAUAUAUAUAUCCUACCAAAAAGAGAAAACAUUGGACAAUAGGGUCAUCGAUUUGCUAAUCAUAUCCAUAGCGGAGUCCUUGUAGAUCGAGUACCCUACAAUGUGCAUGAUAUUACCAUCUCCAUUUCAACCCUUGUCCAGAGAAAUCGGAUAGUCAUUCCAUCGCAAUUGAGAGUGUAAACAAACAACAUCACUUUAGAAUAGAGGUCAACCCUUGCACAACUCAGAAUUUGAAGGGGUGUAAUUGAUUAAGUAAGGAUUAUGUCGUUGAGCAGAUGGACCAAACAGAACAAGGAAAAAGCAAUAGUAGCAAAUGAGUUUGGAGCCACCGCAGGGGUUAUUAGCGUUAGUAAUUACUGUGUAGUAUUCUGUCGCGGUUGCGAUGGCCUGUGUUUCCGUGUCUUCUGUGUACUGUACGUAACUGAAGAUGGCUUUUGACCCAUGGAAUGAAAUAGAGUGGCCAUGUUACUGGCCCUUGCAUCAUGUGUCCACAGCUCAUCAUUUUGUUAUUUGCGAUCUCCAACAAAAAUAGUCCGAAAUGAUUAGGUAACACAAAUCUGACUUGUACUAAAUUGGAAUGCCAAAAAUAUCAAAGGAAGUACCCGCUUCCUUCUCGAUGCUCCUUCCUUUUACGUGCGUUCUCUAGUCACUGUGCUCUCUCCGACCUCCUUAAUAACUCAUCUUUGUCUUGCCAGGAAGAAAAAAGCAGAAACAAAUCUCUUUCGUGCUAUCUGUUGCUCUCUCGCCCACAUAAGGAAAAUUUAUGGGAUAUUUAAGCGGUAAAUGCUUCAAAUUCUAAUAACUAGGGCACUGGCAAGAAAAUUCACCUACCUAUUGCGGCAGAUGAAAAAGGACAUUUCAGUAAUUCCAACCCAAAAUGGAGGCUGAAGCUGCUUUCCGACUCCUGUUACGAGUCAGCCACCGCUUCACCGACAUUUCUAUAGAAAACAAUUGUUGAAGCAGUGGAGUGAAAACAGAGACUAAUACCACUAGGAAAAAUCGAGACUUGAAUUCGGUGCAGUGUUUUUAAAGUUGGUUGGCUCCGUUCUACCAAAACUGUCCUUGAUUUCCACAACCCACCAGCCCCCUACCUUCUCCUCCUCCUCCACCUAGAAUGUGAGUUAGUACAGCUAGCAUAUUACCGGAAGUUUCCAACUUUGAUAUAUUCUAGACAUUUAUUAGAAAAAAAAAAAAUGUCACGCAAACAAACAAAUUAGUUGGUUAGUGCAUUGAAAAAAAGGCCAAUUCUUUUUGUCUGGUCCUGAUUUGGGAUUUUCUCUUCCAUUACAUUCCUCAAUCUUUUGCUCAGCGAAAGAGAGAAUUCAUUGGUUUUUGUCGAGCUGUGUGCACUAGAAACUGAACUGGGGCACAGUAGCUUGAACUUUGUGGUCCAAAGUUGAGGUUUUAGCAUAGUUCAGUUGAGAUUUGAAGUGGGUUUUUUAGGUAAACCAGUUUUUGAAUUGGGUAUAGCUUGAUUUCGGUGGUUUGUGGAAGUGGCUGAUUGGAAUUCCAGUUAAAGUCUUGAACUUUAUAAUCUAUUCUUGAGUUUCCUUCAGCUAAGUCAGCCGUGAGAUUUGAAUUGGGUUUCUGUCAAAUCUUACAUCGAAUUUGAUUAUGCAAGAAUAGCAUAAUGUCUGGGAAGAGCAGAGGAGGAGCAGAGUCCAGUUAUAAAAGUGUUGUCUCUCGAAGAUUAACAGUUUGGCUAUGUAUUGGAUGCUUCUGUGCCGGAAUGCUCUUCACCGACAGGUUUGUUUAUUUUAUCUUUCUUUACAUUUCUAGUGAUUCUCUUUCCCUUUAAAUGUGCAACAGAAUUACUUGAAUUGGUCGUUCUUGGAUCAAUCUUGUAAAUCUGGUAAUCUGAGUGGUAAAUUUUCAAUAGAAAAGAUUAUUCUUUGUUCCAAAGUCCCAUUUUUGGUUACUGAGUGUCUUGGUGAUAAAAAGUGUAUUAAUUUCGUCGGUUUUCUAGAGUUCGUAUCCAUAGUAUGUAUGGUUUAGUUGCUUUUCGGUGCAGAAAAUUCUCAUGGCCAGAGACACGAGAAUUUGUAUAACAGUUGUGCAUAUUGGUGUUAGGAUCUUGCCAUCGGUUUCAGUACAAUCGUCUUUAUUUGGAUGGUAAAUAAGGUUGUGGGUCAUCUUCCUUGUCAUUGUGCUAGUUCCUGAGUUCAACAUCUUCAGAUUAAUUAAUAAGUAAAUAAAAAGAAGAUAAAGUUCAACACCUGCAAGUGGAGUGCCUCAUGUUACAAACGGAGAAGACACACCCAUAGAGCAGGUUAAUCUGCAGCUGGCACAAAUGGCAAAAGUCCAGUUCUCUUCCAUCAGAUCAUUUCAUGUUUUGCUGGCUUAAAGCGUUCGAGUUGAUGAUUUCAGUUUAAGAAAGAAAGUUUGAUUUGGUGGUUUUAUUAAAACAUUUUCCCUUAAAAAGGAGUUUCAAGAACUUGAAGAUUGGACGAAAGUGACAUAAUUUGAUGUUCAGAAACUUGUGAAGUUCCAUUCAAUUCCACAAUAACUAUAUAAUUACACUGGUGAAAAAAUAUGGCCUGGGUUCGCACAUGGCAACUUCCUAUGUAGAGUUGCUUGUUUUGUUUGUGUCCCUAAUUAGAAUUUUUGUGAUGUUAGAAUGUGGACGGUCCCAGAAGCUAAAGGUAUAUCAAGGACAUCAUCAGUUGAAGACGAAAAACUAAAGCUAGUUGCGGAGGACUGUAAAAAUGUGAGUACUUAAAUAAUUUUGAGGACUGCAUUUUCUCAUUUUGAGCUUGGAGAUUGUCACUGAGUGCUAUAAUAAGCUCACAGUCAAUCCAUUUUCAUGUACGAUGUUGAGUUACUAGUCAUCAGUGACUUUGUAAAGAGGUUUGUGGGGACUAAGUUCUGCUUUCCUAUUCCUGUUUGCUACUAGAAUAUGAAAAGUAAGUCCAAUGAUAUUCCGGGAGAAGUGUCAAAGACGCAUCAUGGCAUACAGUAAGCUCCUUAUGCUUGUUUACCUUAGAUAUCAUUAAUUUGUAGACAUGCAACUUCAAAGUUUUGUACGGAUUUUCAGAACACUUGAUAAAACAAUUUCAAGUUUGGAGAUGGAAUUAGCUGCUGCAAGGGCUUUGCAAGAUUCCCUACUUACUGGUUCACCAGUGUCUGGGGACUUGAAGAUUCCAGAAUUGAUCAAGAGAAGGAAAUAUCUCAUGGUUGUAGGCAUUAACACAGCUUUUAGCAGCAGGAAAAGAAGAGACUCUGUUCGUGCUACCUGGAUGCCGCAAGGUUUCUGAAUAUUAAGACAGUUUGUGUUUGGGUUUUGAAUUCUUCUUCUAUUAAAUUGAAUGGGUGCGUGGAUGAAUUGCUAACACUGUAAAAACAGGUGACAGACGCAAGAAACUUGAAGAAGAAAAGGGCAUUAUAAUCCGCUUUGUAAUAGGUCACAGGUGAGAGAGAUUUUUUUGCUGGACGUUGUGUUGACCUGUUUCCACUAGUUUGUUCUCUUCCUAUGUUUCCACUUCAAAAACUUAUGUGAUAAUUUUGUUGAUGCUACUUGUUAGGAUAAUCAUGGAAGUACCUUUUAUUAUGAAAGAAUAAUGUGAAAAAAUACUACACAAUCAUUUGAAUUUCCCAAGAUGCAAUUCAUUUUUUGGCAAAUAAGGAUCACUGAAGUCUGAUUCUUACUCGCCUAUUCAACAGUGCUACAUCAGGUGGUAUUCUUGAUAGAGCUAUUGAAGCAGAAGAAAAAAAACACGGGGACAUCUUGAGGCUGGUAUCAUCAAUUUUCCUUAAUUAAGUUUUUGCUUGAUAUGCAUUGCUGUUCAGUAUUGGAUCAGAAUAUACUGUAGCCCAGCCUGCCUUGCAAUGACCUUAAUUUAAUUUGCUGCUUUGCGACUUUCAUAAAGUACAUGAACAUCUGAGAAGACAGCUCACUGAUGCUUCCAUUUUUAUGCUUUAAUAGGAACAUGUUGAGGGAUACCUUGAAUUGUCAGCAAAGACCAAGUCAUACUUCACUACUGCUGUUGCUCUGUGGGAUGCAGAUUUCUAUGUGAAAGUUGAUGAUGAUGUUCAUGUGAAUAUAGGUAAAAGAUAUGAUUUUUUUGGUUUAUCAUUUGGAAACUUGGGUGGCAAUGUAAAUUCUUCCUUUCUUGUUUAUAUGACCAAAAACUUUCUUUUGUCUUGUAUAUUCAAAAUGUUGUGUAUCAUUGCCAUUGUGGGAAACAUAUUCGAAAGACGUUAGUUUUCAAUUUACUUGAAUAACUAUGUUCUUGUGCACAAUUGCAGGAACCCUGGGAGCAACUCUAUCCAGACAUCUCUCCAAACCCAGGGUUUACAUAGGGUGCAUGAAGUCCGGGCCUGUUCUUGCUCAAAAGUAUGAUACUACCACAUAACUGCUCUUCCAAUUGAUGUUGAAAAUACAUUUAUGUUGAUAGUGGCCUGUUUUUUAACCUUUGUCUCCUCCAACAGGGGAGUGAGAUAUCACGAACCUGAGCAUUGGAAGUUUGGAGAAUAUGGAAACAAGUACUUCCGUCAUGCUACCGGUCAGCUAUAUGCUAUUUCAAAAGAUUUGGCUACUUAUAUCUCAAUAAACCAGUAAGCAUCUUAUUUCAUUAUAGUACUGCUGCAAUGGCAUCGCCUUGUAUGUGUUAACCUGAUUCUUUUAAUCGUGUAUAUUCAUUCAUAUAAGGCACGUGCUUCACAAAUAUGCCAAUGAGGACGUCUCACUAGGUUCUUGGUUCAUUGGUUUGGACGUGGAGCACAUAGAUGAUCGGCAAUUAUGUUGUGGAACUCCACCCGGUAAGGUUAUAUGAGUCUAUUUGUUGAAUAAUCAAUUUGUAGUCUGUUGGUUACAAUGCUCCAAUGACACGAGGCACACUGCAGUGGACUUUAACACAAUGACUAGACCUAUUUGAAAUAGGUCUUUUUUAGUGAAUGGCUUCCUGUAAAUUGAGUCUGAACUCUACGGAGUUCUACCAAUAUGUAAAUAUUUUGUUUAAAAACCCAGCUUGAUCAGCACCCUGCCCAUUCGAAAGGAGAAAAAAUGAGGAAGAAAAGAAUUGUGCUUGUUAAAAGUAAGAGUGUAAAGAACAAGAUCAGUUAAGUGGGUGCUACCCAGUGUCGGACAAGAGUUUGAACAAAGCUUUAAGACUCAAAUGGUUUGAUAUUUUUGCUAUUAAUGUUGACCCAGAUUGUGAGUGGAAGGCUCAGGCAGGCAACAUCUGUGUUGCUUCCUUCGAUUGGAGGUGCAGUGGGAUUUGCAAUUCUGUAGAGAGGAUUAAGGAGGUGCACCGGAGAUGUGGAGAAGGUGAGAAUGCUUUAUGGAAUGCAGUCUUUUGACAUGGAGCAUAUCAUCCAAAUUCUGGAGGAUGCAAAUUGAUCAUUGAGAAUUUUGUGUUGUAGAUAUUUGCCCUUUAGGUAAAUUGUAUGUUAUAUCGAUAUGUAAAGCAUGAGAGAUUUUUUUUUUUUACCAUUAUUUUUUUUCCUUUCUUCCUUAUUCUUUUUCUUCUGGGAAUUGGGGUUAAACUCGGCCUCAACCCAUUUUAUGGGAGAUCAACUCCUUUUUUUGUUCAGGAGUAAGAUCAUUUUGUUGCCAAGAGACAAAUUAAUUGUAGGCAACCAUUCUUUGGUGUCAAAAGAUGCACGAGUUCAGAUUGCAGCUCUUAAGACUGCUGAAACUCAAUAAACGUCUACGAUAAGCGAUCAUGCGAGCGUCUUGUUGCUUCAUAAGUGGAAAUGUGAUGCUCUCCAUCUACUUACCCGUUUCUCACAUUCUGAUCUGAUUCUGCAUUUGACAAUUCGCGUUUGGAUCGUGUCGAAAGAGACGAUUGAGGGUCGAUCUAAAUGUUCAAACAGCCAGAAGAGAAGUAAAAGGUUAGGACGCUGUCUUAUCCGAAAGGUUGUCGCAAACUAAUUGGCUGUUUUGGCCUCGAAGACUAACCAAAGUGCCUGGAGGCUUAAAGAGACUGGAAAGUAGUGUGGCGUAGUUUCCAUUUCGCCAAAGUAAUAGUACUAGAGGAGUAAUACUUCAAAAGUCAGAAAUACGCCUUGGUAAAAAGAUAAAAAGGAAUAAAGGAAUAGCGGAGAGGUCAGAAAUAAAUUUCUAGUAACUAGGACUGUGGCAGUAGUAGUUGUAAAUGCAAGGUUUGAAGCCGUGUGGAAUCAAUGAUGCCAUUUCUGCCAGAUAACAAAACCAACGACCCUUGGAUCAUCAUUCUUCUAGUGAAAAGGCUAUCCACUGCUUCUCUUUCUUCCCACUAGCAAAGUGAGCUCAACAAGCCUUGCUGCUGCUUGGCUUCUGUCCGUUCAAUCUCCAGAGAAAAUUAUUUACAUAUGUACAAGUGAUCAGGCAGUUGAUAUGUGUCUAUUGCUGGUUCAUACUCAAAGCUUCUACUUAUCUUCUGUUUAUCCUUUCCCUGAUAACACCACUCACUUCUUGUUUCCUUGAAGCUUAAGGGCUUAUUCAAUUUCUCUUGCUUUUGUCAUAAAAAAAAUGGGGAUUUUUGAGGAAAAUGUAUCCGGGCUCAAAGUCCUGGAUUGUGCUCUAAGGUUGUUUCUUGUUCCUUUUAGCAUUGCAGCUAUCUGGCUAACCCUCACCAACCACCAAGACAACAGCAGCUAUGGGGAAUUGGUCUCUAGCUACUUCAUGGGGCUCAAGUAAUUAGCAAUAUGACCAUAUAUCUUUCUCAAGUUCCUUGAUUCUGAUGAUUUUCGCGUGGUCAAUAUGUUAAAAAUCCAAGCUUUUCUGCAGGUACAUGGUUUACAUCAGCGCAGUAUCAGCUGGAUAUGCUCUUUUAGCUGCUGUUUCAUUGUGGGUCAGAUGUUUGGUUAGUAAAGCAUGGAUCUUCUUUGUAUCUGAUCAGGUAUGUCUCCACUUGGAAUCCUUAAGACAGAUUUCAACCAAUCACAUCAAACACUUGCUCUUAGCACUUGAAAUUGGAUACUAAGUAUAUAUGCUACUUAUGAAGGUUAUCAAGAUUCUGAGCUAAUGGGGCAUGGGUUAUUUAAUUGGCUUCUUCAAUUUAUUAGCAAAGGGGAAAUAGGUUUGGUGAAGUCCAAUUGCAACCUUAAAAGGUGUAACAAAGUAGUACUAAAACUCGAGAACAAAUUUGUUGUCCGACAGCAGUAAAUUCUGUGCAAUUGAUUCCCUUGAUAUGUUGUUGUGGCCUUGAGGAUCUGCCCAACUACUCCCAUAAUGUUGGAGCAAACGCAAUAAAUGCAUUGUUUUUAUCUUGCAUUGUCUAUUUGGUUCAUGGACACCGCAUUAAAUGGGGGUGAUAUGUAAAUGGAGCAGGUGGUUGCAUACUUGAUGGUUACAGCGAUGGCUGCAUUGGGGGAAAUUCUAUAUUUGUCAUAUAACGGUGACCAGAAAGUUACAUGGAGCGAAGCUUGUACUUCUUAUGGAAGGUUUUGCCACAGAAUGAAGCUGAUUUUGGGAUUCCAUGUUGUAGCCCUGUGGUGUUUUCUCCUCUUAGCUGUUAUUUCAGCUUAUAGGCUCUUCAGCAGAUUUGGUCCUCCUACCCUUUCUUCUAAAGAGCCCGAGGAAGAACGAACCUGAAAUCUUUUCUUUUUCUGGGUUCCAUCUCUUUUUGUUGUGUACAACUGUAGAUCAUGUCUUCUUGCCUUGUGAUCCAUAAACAAUCAAGCCAUGAUUAUCCCUCAAUUGAAUACCGGUUGUACUUUUGCUGGUGGAAUAGGAAAAUGGGAAAAUUACAUAGCCACUCUCUCGGCGACUGAUUUUCUGUUUAUCUCACCUCUUAUAUAUACGAAUGAGAAAUGCAUCCAAAGCGGACCAAAUUGGGAUAAUAUGAUGCUAUAGAAUUACUCGCUAGUUUUUUGAUUCUAUGUUGUAACUGCUAAGUAUGCUUCCUCCACCAAGUUUUGGAACGUAUUGCAAUCCAAGAAAAAAGAAGUGUUUCGUAAAACUGAAUUCAUCUGAAACAGGAAUUAAGACAAAUUUCUUGAAUUGCAGAGCUAUUUCAUCCUCUAAUCUCCCCUUGAUACGGUUAUAUUAUGCCAAUAAUCUACAUUACGUUUGAUUAUAAAAAUCAUUAAGAGAAUUAAUGGCAUAUUGUUGUAUCAAAGCACUGAAGGACUCGUUGUUGGCAAAUUAGGAGGUCCAUUUGAUCUCUCACAAUUGCCGUUUUCAGCGACCACCAAAACAACACUACCAUAUUGGCUGCUAUUUUUGAGAUUUCCACUCUAGUCGCUGAAUCAUUUACUCGAACAAUUCUUGAGAUUUCAAUCUUAGUCGCUAAACCAAAACCUCUCCUACCACAAUCUUCGUAUAUCUAACAUGCAAUUACUUCAUGUCUAAUGACAUAUGGAUGGAUAAAUAAUUUGCUAAGGAUUUGCAGCUCCUUUCCACAAUCGACUUAGCUGGAUGCUACUCCCACCUGCGGUGAUAGCAGCAGAAGGAAGGCGACAUUCAUUAUAGACCUUGCAUUCUCGGCAGAAUUCAUAUGCCAUCUGAUAGAAAAGCAGUACGGUGUCCUAGUUAGUUAAACUCGGACUGGACCUCCCGGAGGCCAAACUAACUCCGGCCACUAGAAGGUUGUUAAGGUUUUGCAUGUUGUCCUUCAUUAACUAAUGGGAAAAAAGUCUCAAUGGUCCUCCAACUCUUUCUCAAGUAAAGUUUUAGCCCUCCAACAAUUAACGGUAAAGUUUUGGCUCUCGAUCUAAUAAAAUAGCAUAUUUGUGACCCUUCUGUCAAAUCCAGUAGUUAAAAUUGACAGGAAGCAUCAUCUCACGAGACGCGCGACCAAAUAUCAAGAGUAUUAUAGUCUCUAAGCAAAGACAGAGCAAAAACACUUUUACUACUGAUUUUCCUUCUGGAAAUCGUAUUUGCCACUCCAUUUCUGCUUUUACAACUCCUCCUACGCUGGCAAUUAGUACUUUCGUUGCAGCAUUCGAAAAUCUUCAAAUGAACAUUCCGGCUAGACCCAAUUUCAACUCCUUGAGAAGCCCAUUGCCCAAUUUUUUCUAUUCUAUGUGCGAACUAGAUUUUCUCAAAGCCCCCAUAUAAGGAAAGGAAAUCAACGGAGUCCAUCCAUCCCAUCACACCGCCAGCGUGUUACUUCCACUGUCCUUGUCGGACCAUUAAGUUAAUAACAUAUGACCGAAGACGCAUAAGCUCUUCAUUUUCUCUCUCUCUGGAUAAUGGGUCAGUCUACUUCUAUACAUAUAUACUCACCGGGUAGGUCAAGCCCGACUUCCAGCCACUGCCGCUGCAUCACCGCUAAUCAAUCGAACGCCGUCUCUUCCACCGACGUCAUUGCUCAGCUUACUCUCCCUAUUUUCGGGGAUGGGCAAGAUUAUAGCUCCGAAAUUCCCGAUGAGUGCUUAGCUUUAAUCUUCCAAUCUCUCAGUUCUGGCGACCGAAAAAGCUGCUCUCUUGUUUCCAAGCGAUGGCUCAUUGUCAAAGGUUAGAGCUGCCACUAAUUAUCUCUCAACGCCACUGCCAAUAUAUACUCGCAAAUCCCUGUAAUAUUCUUCUGUAUUUGCCACUCCAUUUCUGCCUUUAUAACCUCUCCCACGCUGGCAAUUAGCACUUUCGCUGCAGCAUCUGGAUUGAGUUGUUUGAUUUUUUCGCACUAGGGUUUUAGAGCAAAAGGGAUGGAAAUUGUUGGAGGGAAAAUCGGUGAAAGUGUUUUUACUUUGUCUUUGCUUAGAGAUUAUAAUACCCUUGAUAUUUGGUCGCACGUCUCAUGAGAUGGAGCUUCCCGUCAAUUUUAACUGUUGGGUUUGACAGAAGAGCCACGAAUAUGCUAUUUUAUUAUAUCGAGAGCCAAAACUUUAUUGUUAAUUGUUGGAGGGCUAAAACAUUACCUGAGAAAGAGUUGGAGGGCUAUUGAGACUUUUUCCCUUAACUAAUCAAUGGUCAUACCAUAAAGUUGAUACUUCUAGGUGGAUAUCUCUAGUAUAAUGGUACUAGCAAUCAACAAAACUCAUAAUCCCCAAAAGGGAAGGGGAUAAAAUGAAAUUUAGUAUGAAUACCAGAUACUCUUAUUCUUUUAAAUCACCUUUGGAAUUUCCAUAUUAGUUUACUUUAUUUAUCCUUCUCAGUUUGUAUGCUCCAUAUUUUCUUCAACUUCAAUCAUCACCUACACCAUAGAUCAGCCCUCAUUGAGGGAUUAGGGCUCCUACAGUUACAAUUUUGAUUGUAGAGUGCAAUUAAUGAUAAAAAUGGAUUUAAUUUGAAAUUGGGUUGGAUGAGAUUGAUUACAGGAAACACAAUUUUUUUGAAGUGUCAAGAUUUAUUGUAGUUUUACGAAUUAUGGUGUCAUUAUCUAUACUUGUUAUAUUAGUGUGUACGUUUGAUAUAUGAUGGAUACCUACAUUGCAUUAUACAGUUGGGACAUUGUAAUUGUAUAUAUCGCUUAUCCAUCAUUGAGUAAUUGGACGACUAAUCAAUCUAUAUCAUCAUUCAAGAGCCAAACUGAAGCAAAAAUUAUGUAGUGAAAAAGGUCAAAUUGAUAUAUUUUUAGGUAGCUAAAAAUUGUUGGCUACUUAAAGGACCAACUUGUAAUUAUCGCACCCAAAAGAGAAUAAUGUAAAGGGAAAAUGACCAAUUUAGUCCAUAUACUUUUUUUUAUUGUCAAUUUAGUCCCUAUAUAUUAUUUGUAGCCAAUUUAAUCCUUAAACUUAUAUUUCGGUUCCAAUCAAGGAACUCAGCGGCGGCGCCACCACAUAAUUUUCAUUAUGCUCCUAAUCGAGAAACCCAAAAAGGAUAUUUUAGGAACUUCAAUGCAGGGCCGUAACCAGUCAAUGCUGGGACCGUUGAAAGAGGAGUAAUUUUUUUUCCAAUCCAAAUUCACACUAAUUGUUGCCGGAUAUUCCUUGUUUUGCCGGAUAUUCCUAUCGGUUGAGCCUGAUUUUCGGAGUCAUUGGAAAGCCAAUCAGUGAAGCUUUACUUUUCUGAUUCACAAAGCAUCCCACUGAUGGAUGGCUCAAGAUAGCCGGCAGUUGCACCCAACCUCCAUAAACAAUGCCCCUGCUUCUUAUCCUCUUUUCAAAUCCUUCAGGAAGCGCCUCUUCGACAGAUGUGGUCCUAAAUGGUGGCUUCCCUCCCCGAUCAGCAAUCAAUUAGUAGUCCAAAUCUUCAAGAAAACCAGCCGAUUCUACAUUUCACAUCCCUUCACAUUUAUCUACCUCAUCUCUCUUGUUUUCGCCUUCUGUUUCAACGUCGAGAAGGGGGCCCACUACCUCAUUUCUUCCGUCGACGGCGACCCUUCUCUCAAGUCCCUCAUCUCCCGUCUCAACCUAUUUGGCAACCAACAAUACCACCGCCGCCGCCACCCUUACCAUAUCCGCCGCCGGCGCCGUCACGCCUUUCUUCAUCUCUCUAGCAUCGAAACCUUUGACGAAAACUUCUUCUUGGGUGAUUUCGAUUAAGCCCGCUCCCUCUUCAACCCCACCACUAAAUUCCAACCCAAUGGGACCUUUGUGAUUCUCUCCAAUUUCAACCCCAGUCUGGGGUUUUUCGCCCGACCCCAUUGUGGACAAUGGCGCCUCUUUCGCAGUACGGUCUGGUGUGGUUGCCUUUAUAACCCUUUCAAAGCCAUUAGAAAUCCCUCAAGAAAGCACCUCGUUACAUCCUGAUGCUAAUGAUUCCACCAAGGAUUCAAAUGCUGUUGUUGAUUUACACUUCUUGCUAAGGGGUCUUGAAUUAGGCUGACGCGACACCAUGGCAUUGAUGUACUUUGUUUGGAUUUUAUCAACUGCAUAUGGGUACGUGAUCUUGGCAUUCUUGUUUACUUACAUCUGGGUCAAUGGAAUUGUAUUUUAUCAGGUUUCCAAUGAUUUGUUAGGGAAAUCCAAGAACUUUUUCAAGGCUAUUUGGGAUGGAUAAAAUUUGGGGAUAAGAAGGCUGUCUGGAUUUGUUUUAAUAAGGUGCCUGUAAAGGACUAAAUUUCUUGCAAGAUUUCAGUCGGUUUUUGCAAGAAAAAGUUGAGAUUUCAGGUGGGCUUUUCUCAGUGGUGAUAAAAGUGUGCCGGUCACUUUUGAUUUUGAUUUUUACUUUUGAAAAGGAACCCCAGCAGUGAAGUACCCGAAAUACCCUUGCUUAAGUGUUCAAUUAAAACGUUUGAUCGGAAUUACAAGGUAGCGCCGCCGCAGAGUUCCUCAAUUGGAAUCGAUAAAUAAGUUUAGGGAUUAAAUUGGCCAAAAAAAUUAUGUAAGGAUUAAAUUGACAAUAAAAAAAAGUAUAGGGACUAAAUUGGCCAUUUUCCCUAAUGUAAUUAAUCGAAUGAUGCAAAGCUACUAACGUCGACGUUUUGGAAAGCCUUAGCAAUAGAAGUUCUAACGCGAAACAAGACGCAAGGCCACACGGCAGCAACAAUAUUUAUGCGAUCAAAACCUCCCCAAUUUUCAGUUUGAGAGGACAGUUCUGUAAUUAUUCCUUUGAUCAGACAACUAAACCGCCGUCUGGAUCUCUCGAGGUAGAAUUUUUUUUUUGUUUUGUUUAACGCCUUUCUCAAUCUUUUACUUUUAAUUCGAUUAUUUCUUGGAAAGGGAAUAAAAAAAAGAUAAAGAUAAAGGGGAAAGCUCUAAUUUUUAACCCUAAAUUUUAGUUUUUUCAGGCCUUUCGAAUCGCAGUUAGCGAAACCCUAGAGGUAGCUUUGAUUUAUCGUCGAUUCGUCAUCAUGGCCAAAAGCUCCUUCAAGCUCGAGCACCCUCUCGGUAUCUUGAUUUGAUUUGAUUGGAUUAUACUUUUUGUUCAUAAUUAAGUGGCUUUUUAUUGGUGAUUUCCUAUUUGGGAUCGAUUGAGUUGGUGAUCCUUUUGUGCUUUUUAGCUUGUUGAUUGAUAGUCGCUGAGAUUGACAACUCUUUGUCUUAACGGGUUCUUGAUUUUCUUGCAGUUGAGAUUGUGCACAUAGUACAUAUUGCGUUUUUUUUGUUUUGAUAGUUAAAGGAAAAAAGAUUAGUAGUCAAUGAAUUAUGUCAAGAUAUUGCUGAAAUAGAUGAUGAAAAAGUUGAUCUUCUACAGUUUACGGACGAACAGAUUUUGUAUUAGUGUAUUUACAAGAAAUAUGAGAUGCUUUUUAUUGCCAUUAGGCCUAUGGUUAUUGUUUGUUUUGUUUUUUCUUUUACUGUUUAUUUAGUAAGUAAAACAUGUUCCUUCUCUGAUUUUUUCCCCACUUAUGAUUCUCUAGUUCAUAGUAUAUGAUAUGGUUAUAUGAUUUUCCAGAAAGGCGACAGGCUGAGGCAGCUCGAAUCAGGGAGAAGUACCCUGAUAGAAUUCCGGUACUGAAGAAAUCACUGUCUGAUGUACUCGCAAGAUUGUACCUUUCGCAAUAGCUGAUACUUGUAUUCUGUGUUAAUGUCGUUGCUUUGUUUUUGCUUUGCAGGUCAUUGUGGAAAAGGCUGAAAAGAGUGAUAUACCUGACAUUGACAAGAAAAAGUUAGUCACUUCAUAAUCUCACAUGUUUGCCUUCAUAUGAUGAGUUGGUAAUUGUAUCAAUGUGUCUAAUUUCUUACUUGGAGUAGCUAGCCUCUUCAGUGUUUGAAGUGCCUUUUGCUUGUAACAAGAAAAUAUUAAAUUGUUCCUACAAAUAUAAAGUUGGUUAUUCAUAAUCCUGUUUUCCUUACUGAAGAACAAGUGGAGGAAAUUAUUUUCUUCUGAUUAUGGCCAUCAUGAGUUCAGCUGAUUCUUCACCUUCAGCAUAUGAUUUCUCAUCUUUUACUCAUCAUGCUUCUGCAGCCUUCUUUCCCAGCUAUCGCACUUUUCUCUAACUCUGGUCAUCUGUAGGUAUUUGGUGCCUGCUGAUCUGACAGUUGGGCAAUUUGUCUAUGUUGUCCGCAAGAGGAUUAAGCUCAGUGCUGAGAAGGCCAUAUUCAUCUUUGUCAAGAACAUUCUCCCUCCAACUGGUAAAGAAGGAACUUGAGUUUUAUAUCUUCUCUAUUUUUAUGAGUCCUAAUAUGAUUAAGGAUUAAAAUACAUACUUGCAAUUUAGCCUUUCUUUUCUUGAUAUUUAUCUGUCUUCUUACUGCAGCUGCUAUGAUGUCUGCAAUUUAUGAGGAAAACAAAGAUGAAGAUGGUUUCCUAUAUAUGACUUACAGUGGAGAGAAUACUUUUGGAAGCCGCUGAAGUGCAAGUCAUCCUGAACUAUGUAUAUAGAUCUUAGAGGAACUUGUAAAUAUCUUUUAAUUUUGAUCUUGGUUGAAGAACUGCUUCUGGAAGAUCUGCCUUGUUUCUAUUGGACAUGUAAUAUUUACUUAUUCCAGGAAGAUUAUCUAUAUAUGCAUAUUCUGAUUCCCUUCGAAUUAUGUUGAUGCUACGAAAUGGGUUUUCUUGUUCAUUACAAGAUGCUUCUCCUUUUCACUUCCAAAAUUUUUUAAAUUGCUCCCUUCACGGAGCACCAGUACUAGAUCUGGUUGGCUUUUCUCUAUCUUCUCACAUGUUUGAAGUAAAGAUGAAGAUAUUUUGAUAACAUUUUCUGACCGCAAAUUGUGUUUGUACAUUCGGAAAUUGGAGGUUGGUUGUGGGCUGUCAAGCUGCACAUUGAAUCAUGGUGGAGAUUGUAGUUCCGGUAAUAAGCUUUGUGGUAUUGUCCAAGUUGACGCGUUCACAAGAAUAUCUCUAUUUCCUGCACUAGUUGUUGGGAAUUCAGGAAUGAUUCCAAAGUGAGGUGGAAGAAAGGGCUAAUGUGGUGUGUGGAUGAUACUGGCAUUUUAAUCCCAAAUCUGAAUUCUCUACGACCAGCUAGAUGCUGAAAAAAAAAAUGGAUAUCACGAAAUGCUAAGUAGGUUUUCUUUGGUGUGAGGCGGCUAUGAUCAGCACCGUUGCUGGUCUAUUUGGUGAGUGAGGAUUGGAGCUGAUGUAGGCUGGUAAAGAUCCAUUUUCCAUGCGGAAACUUUUGUCUGUGGAUUAUACUUCAGGGCAUAUAGUUGUUUCAGUUACAAGAAUCGAUUAGAUGUAAUCUUUUUCUUUGUUCUGCAUUUCACCAAUUUCAGCAACGCAUUCUGCGUCGAAGUGCUAUUGUGCGAGAAUACCAGUGUGCUAUAAUAGCUCACAAUAAAAAUUAAAAUCAUGGAUCGUUGUUGUCUCGCCGCGAAGGGCAUCUAAACUACUAGGAACAUUGGUGAAGAACUUCUAUUACACAUAGAGAAAGAAGACAAACUAAUUUCAUUGUUUACUGCAUAUUUCUAAACUAAACGAUGACAUUGUCACACUGGACGAGCUUGGAAGUGCUUCAGCUUGUUCUAAACUAAACAAUGACAUCCUCGCACUGGACGGAUUCAGCGUCAACCUUGGAAGUGCUUCAGCUUGUUUCAAAGCAACGUUAUCUACCCAAACUUGUCAGCAAACACUCUUGAUCAGCCAUAAGGAUAAGCUCUCCCGGAAGGUUAUGGUGGGGAAAAAAGAGGAAGAUGAUCAAGACUUAAAUUCGCCGUUGGUUCAAAUCAAAAGUACAUUGCCAGCGCUAAAGAAAUCUUGCUACAUACUAUAUUUGAUUUAUGAGUGUAGUUCACCCGUGCUCUAAACCCAACAAUCCUAAUUCAAGAGACACGCUUUUACCUAUUAAUUGAAACCAAAAUGUUUCUCACUGUUGAAUGUCUUUAACUGCUGAGUCAACAGUGAGAACAUUUGAGUUCAAAAUGUCUCGAGUUAACCUUAUGCAAGACUACUGCAGAAACCAAACUUUUACCUCAUUUAAGGUCCUAUCUCAUGAUAGGAUGAAGGUGAUACAUCUCAAGCCCAAAAGUGAUGUCCAUUAUGCUUGAAGUUUCACAACCAAUGUCAUGCCAAUCUGGUAAGGUGGUCGGGGAAAAUUCCAGCAAGCUGGAUAGUUCUUCAGGCAAGGGAUGGGGUUCCUCUAUCUCCUGCUUUAACUUUACUCCUGAAGGUUUAGGGGAACACAGCAAGUUAACAACAUGUAAAAGACCUGUAGCAUGGCCAACCAAUUAUAAAAAAGAAGUUACAAUUAAAAUGACACGGGCAAAAAUGGAAGUUGUAAAUCAGAUUAGGAGCUUUAUGAAUUGUUCUCCAAUUACUAAGUUGAGCUUAGAAGAAAAUAAGCCAUUGCAUCAGUUGCUUCUCAGCAUGGUAAAUUAUUGUCCAAGGCCAAAGAAGAAGGUAGUAUUCUGUAGACAAUAUGAUGAUGCAAAUAAACUAUAUUUAGACCCUAUAUCCAAUGGACAAGAUAAACCAAUUUCCAGGACUUGAGAAUACAAAAUCCACACCAAAUGCUUAUGGUAUUGAAUGGUGGGAAUGGAAUGAUUCAACCAUGAACAAAUUAUGGUAAGUUCUUAGUAUUCUUAGGUACUUUUCUGCCAUAUUCAUUCCCAUAUCAGGAAAUGAAAACAUUACUCACCUUCAUAGCACUGUGAAGAGCCAGCCUCACUAAAUUGAUCACGAGAUGUCAACAGGUGGGCUACAGUGGUUUGCCUAGGUGGUGAAACAAACUCACUUAAAGCCACCUCAUGCAAUCCAAUUACAUUUGCGCUUGAGCUUUCUCCAACAAAUAUAUCUCGUGAGCUUUGAUCCAGGGAAACUCCAUUUUUCAAGCUUCUGCUUGAUAAACCUUCUAUGCUUAGAGCUUCUUCCAUGAUACCACCUCCACAUUCUUGAGGAGUGUUCAGUUUACCAUCUGGAGUUGGUGAUCUCAACAAAUUGGCCGUGAUAUAUUGGUCAAGGUCCGAAAUUGAACCUCGUAGAAUUUCGUGCCAGUUUUGCGAAACCAACAUACCUUCUGUCAUAAAACCUCCACUGACAACUUGACCACCUUGGGACUGGUCCUCUAUAAAUUCUCCUUUGGGAGAGUCGGGACAUUUUUCCCUCGAGCUUUUAUCCAAGUGAUCACCUUCAUAGAAUUCACCACAUGUCGAUUUACCUCCCCCAUCAUAGCCAAAAUUAGACAAAACCAGCUCAGGCCUGUGGCUGAAUACAGGACCAAGUGUCUCAAUUUGAUGCUCUUGCAAUUGUGAAGCCAAUGGUGCACCUCCCCUCAAGAUCUCAUUACAAACUUCACCAGCAACAACUUGAGCAGAGCUUAAGUUCCAUUGCAAAUCAUCUGAUAUGAACUGUGUAGUCGUGUCUUUUGGGCUGUAAGAGAAACCAAAUGUGUCAGGAUUAGACGUUGACCUCGUUGGGCUAAUAUCAAGAAUAUCUUCUACCAAGUUUUGGUUCCGCAAACUUGUCAAGUUUUCAAAUAUGGACACACCUUCCUCUGAUUUUUGAACCACUGAACUUUUUCUUGCAGAGAUUUGACUCAAUGGAUCUUCAAUACUCAACCUUUCACCAAAUAGCUUUGUUGUCUUAGUGAGUCCGCCCAACUGCAGGUCCACAGUCUUUGAACUUCGUCUUGCUAAAACGUCUUGUGUCAAGUUGUUAUUCAUGAGUUCCUGCAACAAAAUUUGUUUCUUCUCACUUUCAACUAACAGAACUCCCGUCUUUGAUAUUUCACUUAAUAAACCUUGUCUUCUGGAUAUUUUCCCCAUUAAAAUUCCUGGUUUUAAGCAUUUAUCAUGCGAAACUUUUUUACAUGACCUUUUGUUUAUUAAAUCUUCAGUCUUUGGCGUUUCUCUUGUUGUAUUCUCUUGCUUCAAGCUUUGACCCAGCAAGUUUAUUGUUCUUGGCUUUUCGCAAGAGAAAUCUCUUUCGCUUGAGCUUUGAUAAAACACAUUGUCCCUGAUAGAUUCCGUCACCAAUAUCUUUCCUUGCAGGUCAUUGUUUAUCAGGUAUCCAUCAACAGACAGUUCUUCUGGUGAAUUCUUGUGCAAGGUGUCUGCCUUUGCUUGAGCUUCCUGCAAUGGAGCAUCCAAUACCGCAACACUUCUUUCACUGUCUUUCAUCUCAGGGGUAGGUCUCAAGGCAGAUGUUGGAGUUUGGACUGAAGGGGGCUCUGCUUUUGAUGCAUUCCAUGACUGAGAAGAUAACAGAAAUGGUGAUGCACAUCGAUUGUGUUGGAGAUGGGAAUCUAAUGGUAUUGAGCUUGUUAAGUUCAAACGGAGGGGAGAAUGUGGAGAUGCUAUCAUGGGAUCAUGUAUUUUGGGUGAGUUCAGAUUACUAGAAGAAAGAGCAGAAGGCAGGGAUGAAGUCUGCAGUGGGACAGAAGAUGCGGUAGGCAGUUGUACGGAUAGAUGCAGUUUAGGAGAAUUUAUUAGGGAUCCUGUUGCGGUUGAGCUAAAUUGAGAAGAAGUAACUGAAGAUGAAACGUCUAUCUUGGGGGAAGGUGCUGAAGAUCCUUUUGCUGAGAUAGAGCUCCCUUGUGCAGGAGCCGAAGAUUGAGUUACUGCAGUUGGUGAAGACUGCAGGCUGGAGCUUCCUCGAGAUCCCUUGAGAUAACCAACGUAAGGGGAUAGAACUGGUGGAGGUUUCAAAGGUGUGAAAGCAGGACCAGUAGGGGAGUUGGAUUGAUGUAUAGAUGAGCAGUCUGGUGGCAAUGAUAAAAGUGGAUUCUGGAGUGUUGUAUUAGGGGUUUCAGUUGAUUGGGAUCUUUGAAUUGAGUGGUAUUGAGUUUGGGAAGGUGUACUAAGGGGUGAUUGAGGAAUGUGAGUUGGAUAGCAUGCAGGGCUUGGGUAAUGUGAAGAUAAGAAGCCAUGCGGUGAUGGGAGUGGCUUCUCUUGUGGAGAGAGGAGCCGAGUUCGAGGCAGUGGAGUAAAGAAUGAAGCAGGGUUUUGAUUUAUUACAGGACUUGGUUGCUGUUCGAAGGGAACAGAAAGUGAUAGUGGGGGCUGAAAUUCAGGCAACGUAAUGGAGGGGAAUGAAGGAAUACUGUUAGUUCCAUUCUUGGCGCUGGAGUUAUGAUCAUUGUCAUUGAUAUUGUUCUUCCCAUCAGUAUCUAAGCUAUCUCCACGUGAUCCACCAUCCUCAAUGUCCUCUGGGUAGAUAGGUAGGAAUUUUCUACGACACCUUCGCACCCUUCCAUGCCAAAAAUUCUUGAUCUCGUUGUCUGUUCUCCCUGGUAGCUGCACAUACCCCUCAAAAGCGUCAAGAGUGAAUAAUCACACAGAAGACAACAUACAAAUUAAAGCGAGACAUAAUGGUUCACAUUUCAGAGUCAAGUAUGAAUCGCUAAAUGGAAGGAGAAUGAUUUGGCUAUAUCUAAAUUGUACCAAUAAGUUUCAAAAAGCAAUUCACUUGCAACUUUGACAUUGAUCUUGGGCCUAAAUCCAGAAAUGCAACGAAUCAAGUACCACAAAUUACAACACAAAAUGCACCAAAACCUAAUCCCAAGAUUACAAUGCACCGAACUAAUGCAUUUGCAAAGUACAAUUAAGACUCACUCGUCAGAAGAAUAAAGAGACAUCAACAGGGUGAAAGAGACAUUGUGUUUGAAACAAGAAGGACUGCAGGUAACCAUCUAAAAUAGUUGUAUAAAGAACAACACCAAACACAUAAAACAGAAGAUUGCACAUAUAUCACACAGUCAGCAUUUACAGAAAAUAAAUUGCAGCUAUACAUGUACGUACGCACAAUACUACGAUAGGAGGUACCUUGGAGGAUAUGUAUGACCAUUUGUUACCAUAUUUUUUGUGCAAUUUGACCACAAGUCUCUCUUCCUGUUUGGUAAACGAGCCCUUUUUAAGAUUUGGCCUUAGAUGAUUAGUCCACCGAAGUCUACAGCUCUUUGAUGUCCUACCCAACCCUGAAUACUUCUCUAUGGUUAUCCAGUUCCCUAUCCCGUGCUCUUCCACACACUUUUUCAGCCUCUCAUCCUCCUCAGCCGACCACGGCCCUUUUUUCACCACCAUCACGUCUCCCUCUUCCCCCGCAGCUGCUCUACCUCCCUUAUUUUCGAGAGGACCCUGGAUGUCAAGAUCGUCACCGUCUUCCAGCAUGCAAGGCUGGUCCUUUGACUUGGACUUCCCGCCGUCAAAUGGGCCGCCGGAGAGUACUUCCGGCGACCACCAAACCAGGUUGCAGCUGGUGGUUCCUAACAAGCAUCCUUCCACCCCAUUUUGUGUCAUCAAGAGUUUAACAGAUGUUGGAUUGCGAGACAAAUGCAGCUCUGGAAAGUCUACUUUUGCUUUUAUUCUGGGUUUUUCUUCAAGACUAAAUUUGUUCUGACAUGCAUAUAGAUUCCUCCUCCUUGCAAAACCCUUCAAGGAAACAGUUGAAUCCUUAAUGGGUUGUUCUUAGAAUAUGAAAUGUCAAUGCAAGUGAACGAAUUCUUUAAGAAAGGAACGGAAUUUUGAUCCAGAAAAAUCUGGCCUUAUUCUUGUAGUAAUUUGUGACAUUUUUGCUGAUUAAGAUCGUUAAUAGCUGUCAUUCACACCGAACUCGUGAUUUUUUUGAGGUAACGAAGUUCUGAAAGCAAGAGAGAGAUUAUGGUGGGAAAAGCCAGGGAUUUAGACAGGAUUUGCAUCUUUAUUUAGGCAAAGGCCAGAUCAGAAUUUUGCUAAAUUAUUUGCGCUUUUUUCUCAGACGUUUUGUGGAUGCUGUGAUAGGUCCCGAAAGAAAAUGCGGCCAGAUAAGUCCAGUUUCAAAACAAUGCAACAAGAUAUUUGAUUGGUUGCAGCGGCGGGGUUAGAUCGAGGUUAGGGAGGGUAAUCUAUUUUGUUUAAAUCUUACUUGACACCUCGCUCAUCUAACCCAAUCUUCCCUUUUAUAAUAGUGUUGAAACACCUACGUGAUAAUUACUUCUUUUUUUUUUUUUUACAAUAGACAGCAAAGUUUUUAGGCUCAUUUAUUAAAAUUCCUUUUUUUAAAAAAAAUUUUCAACUAAUAUUUGAUUUCCUUUCGGACAUGUCAUUAUUUUUAAAGUAAGUGAUAAUUGUAGACUUCAAGAACUUAGGGAGCAAAAUAAAAGAAUAUAGGAAAUUUUUUGAAAAGUGUAUGUAGUUUUUGGACAAUAUUAAAGCUAACAAUGAGAAUUCUUCAAAGUUGAGGAGGGGUAAGCGCUUAUCUUCAUUUGAAUCUGACUCCCCAGUGAUUGGCUGUAUAUUUAUGCUCUCAGCGUUACAUUAUGCAAGCAGGACAUAGAAAAGAAGUAAAAAGACUUGCACAAUUUAAAAUCAGUAAAAUAGAAUAGCGAUCUUCGCUCUUCCAACUUAAAUUUUGUUCAAAUUGACUAGUUUUUCAUUUGAGCAUGAAGUUGAUCAAAAUUUGGUAGUUUAAAUACUAAAUUGUGUUGCGGCAGAAAGUUUGAGAACUAAAUGUGUUUAUAGUCUAAAGUUUAGAGAUGAAAAUCGACAUUUUCCAACAAAAUGAAAGCUGGAAUGAGUAUAAUGGUAAGUAGGACAACAUUAUUGUAAUAAAGAAUUUAUUUUUAGGCACCAGCACUAAUUAAAACAAUUUAUUUAUUGUAUAAUGCAAAUGUUUACCUAUAUCAUAACAGGUCGAAACCAUAAAGUCGAUGUUGAAGACACGAAUUGUAAUACAUCUAACUCUAAGCAUACGAUAUGAAAUAACUAUAAAUCUUUAAGGGGACAAAAAUCUUAAAUUUAAAAAAAUUUCAAUUAUCUAUUUGAGACAAAACAAAUUAUCAAGAACUUGGGUCUCAAUCCUCCCAUCUAACCCUUAAUUGUCACCCUGAUACAUCAUCACCUUCUACAAAUCCAUUUUUUUUAAAAAAAAUUUCAAGUAUAUGUGACUUUUCUUCACUCUGGGUUUAAGGUUCAUGAGAGCAUCUUCCUAUCACCAAUUGGCUGGAUGGAUGUUUCUUGUGGGUCUCCCUUAAAUUGCCUUCGGGUCGCUCUUUUGGAUUACUCCAUUGUUUGUUCUAAUUGAGUGCAUGUGUGAGUUUCUUUCGGUUACUGGAAAAAAAGUAUACAUGACUUUUCAGCCUUUAUAUUUUUUACUUUUGGAUUCUAAGUUAUUUGAGAUAUUUUUACUGUAACACUUUUUGUGAUGUGAUAUAUGUGAGCUAAAAAGGUGUAUUGAAAAUUAUAAUGAUAAUAUAAGCAAAUAUAUUUGAAAAAAUAAUCCGCUGUCCAAACAAACGGUUUGACAUAUCUGAACAUAUUAUCACCGUGUAAAUCUAUCAAAUCAUUAAAAAUACCAGGCGCCGGUAAAUUUGUUAUCAGAUGAUUGCAAGUGUAGAUAAACAACCAGGCGCCGGUAAAUUUGUUGACUGCCAACCCAAGUUCCCAACCAACAUUUUUAUUAGGGCAAAUUAUCCAUUUGGCCCUUCAAUUUUUUGUCUAUGUAAAAUUAAGUCUCUUAACUAUUUUUGGCUGACUUUGAGCCCUCGAACUUGUAAAAUUGGGCACACAUGACCCUUUUGGUCAGUUUAUCCGAUUUUGUAACCGGAAGACCAAUCACACGAAUGCCGGUGUGCUUUGAAAAGGGGCAUUUUUUUCCGCAUAUUCUAAGCAAAAAUGGAACAACUUCUCCUUCUUCCCUUCAUUUUCCUAACCAUCCAUCAGCGACUGAACAAAAUCGAUCUCUUCACAAAAUCAUCCAUUAGCGACUGAACAAGCUUUAUAAGCUAUCUUCACUCAUGAUGCUUGGCUCAGGAGGAUCCAGUGUCGUGGGUCAAUCUUUUACUUGUUUAUCUUCGAUCUUUCUUCUUGAAGAUUUAUCUUCAUCUUUAUUUAUUUGGUUCAAUUUCCAAUUCGAAUCUACUAGGUGGAUGACUCGGUUGUUUUGUGUAUAUCUAUGUGCAUCACCUGAUGUGAGUUUUUUUUGGGUUUCAUUUCUUGUCAAACUUUCCUCGACUCUUUAAAUGAUUGAAUGGUGGAAUUUUGGUGAUUCCUUCUUCCUUUUUUUUGGGGAUAAAUAUCUUUUAUUUAUCUCUGCUUUAUUUGUCGUUCAUUUUUGAUCCGUUAGAGCUAUUAUUUGUUUCUUUCUUUCUUACUUUCCUGGUUUGUGGGUUUAGCAUCUCAGUUUGAUUGCUGCAAUAAGUUCGGUAAGUUGUGAAGGGUUUUUCGAGAUUUGGUGUUAUUGGCUUUAGUUUUUGGAUGUUCAUGCAAUUAAUUUUCAUAAAUAGGGGGUUUCUUUUCAUCGAAUUUAAGUUUUUUUUUUUGGCCAAUUGUUACUACAAAAUUGUAUUUCAUGUUUUUCUUUGGCCAUGAUAUUUGCAUUCCAAAAUAGCUCCUGGCACUCCAUUCUAAUCAUUCGUGUUAGGAAAAUGGAGGGAGGAAGAAGGAGUUGUUUCCUUUUUGUUUAAAAUAUGCGGACAAAAAUGCCCUUCUUCAAAGCACAGUGACAUUCGUGUGAAUUGGCCUUCCGGUUGUAAAAUCGGAUAAACUAGCCAAAAGGGUCACGGGUGCCCAAUGUUACAAGUUCGAGAGCUAAAAGUCAGAAAAAAAAUAGUUGAGGAGCUUAAUUUUACUUAGACAAAAAGUUGAAGGGUCAAAUGGAUAACUUGCCCUUUUUAUUAUUAUUAAAAGCCUUGGUCCAACAUUAAUAAAAUAUGACCAGUAUUGACCACUGGUUUAAAGCUAUUGUGCGUAAUUCGAUUCCAAAACACAUGGCCUAUUCUAGUAUUCUUCCACACGCACACACCCACCCGCCCCCCUCCCUCCAAAAAACACCAAAAAAAGGUGAAAAGAGGCUUAAUCGUAGAAUACUACUUUUUUUUUUUCAUUUGAUUUUUGCGACUCGCUCUAGUCUCCACCUACCAAUACUGAAACGAUUUUUUGUUCUCCAAGCUUUCCGCGAAGACGCGUAUAAAACAAAAAGAAAAACGUCAUGGGACACGACAAAAAAUAUGAAAAUAUCCAUUAUCCACUCGUAUUACUAGACCAGAAAGACACCAGCACAUCGCGUUAUUGUUUGUCAAUUAUUUCAGCUUUCUUCAUUUUCUCUGGGCUAUGUUCCCACUGAUUGAAUACGAUAGAAGGCAGUGGGUUUAAGCUCCGGUUCUAAUAAGAAAAGAAAAAGAACAACUAAUUACCAAAUGUAAUUAAUCGUCAAUUUUGUCCUAAAAAUUUUGAAAUAAAAUCGUCAAUUACUCGUUAACUCAUGCUGCACUGUCCCUUAAGUGCACGCAUGCAUGAGUAUUAAUCGAGUUUUAUAGACAGGAAUAAUAUAAUGACAAAAAUUUAGGGAUUAUUAGGUCUAUUUUAUGCUGGUCAGGGGCCACAAAGAAGACUCCAUCCACACUCAGUCCAGACGUGGCUUUGGACCUAUUUCUUCUGCACCAUUUGUUCAGCCCUAAAAAUCUGAAACAAGUCAUUGAUUGAUUAUAAUAUUCUCUUGUCAAAAUUGUCGACAAGAGCUGAUGUUAUGUUCCUUGGACCCCUCUUUAAGUUUGACCUCACUCCUGAUUUUGCCCGUGGCGACUUUUCUAUCACAUGGAACCAUUCAAUUUGCUGUUGCCGUUUCAUACUCGCCAUUCAUUCCUCUACACGUCCUAUAUAAAGCAUUCCAUGGGAUCUCAAGAACACAGCUGAGAGGCCAGACAUAUUACAACAAUCAUUUUAUCUGUUGAUUGUUUCUGAAUCUUCAUGUCUAUGGCUUUCUUGAAUUUCAUGAAUUGCUUCAGGGAGUCGUCAGAAGAGUCCAGGCGAUUUGUUUGUAAUGGCGAUGUUUGUAUCUUGCGUGAUCCCAAGGCUUCAUCAUCAUCUUCCCCGGGCCUCUUUCUUAAGAACAAGAAGCGACAAGAAGUCCCCCGUGGACGAGCUCGAGCUUCUGUUGCCCGGUUUUCUUUACGAAAAGAAAAGCACGAUUAGCUCAGUGUAAUGUUAUCGAUCUUUCUUCAUGUAAAAUUUUCAAUAAUGGCUCCUCACAAGCCUCCAGUAUUACUUUAUGUAUAGGACAGAACACCACCACCACCACAAGAAAAGAGAAAAGCUUUUUUUUUUCAUAGGUUUUUUCAAGAGCUUCUUACAAGAAACAAUCUGAAUAUGUAUUGCUAAUGCAGUAAUGCUUUGUUGCAACAAGGAUUCGUGCUGUCAUUUUCAGGACGGGGGAUCUGAUUGGAUUACCCCAGUCCUGUAAUUUCGUCCGUAAUAUUUUGUCUGGCUUUAAACCCUUUAGCGCGUAUAGCCUUUCGGCUUGGAUUGGAUGGCUAUUGAGAAGACUCUUUUUUUUUUUUUUUUUUUUUUGUCAAAAUUGUAGAAUUUUUAUAAGCUAAUCUAGUUUAAUCUAGAAGAGAGGAAGAGGAAGAGGAAGGAAAAGGGUGAUUCGAUGUAAGUAAAAACUCCAUCGAAAAAGAUCAAACGUGAUAAGACUCGUCCGAGGAGAAUGUUAGAUUGCGAAGGCAUUUAGAUGUCAAGCAAGAAUACAACAACAGCUCCUCUGACCAUUGAGCUAUUCCCGAUUUUUUUGAUGUAGAAAUGAAAUCGUUCCCUUGACUCUGUUAAAGCGAUCUCUUCUUUUCUCGUCCAUCCAUGCAGAUUAAUGUCUGAUUUAUGUCAUUAUUGAUCAAGAGUGCAUGGAAAUUAAAAUGACAUCACAAUCGGUGGCGGGUAAGAGAACCAAGGAAAGAACACACAUAUUAGACUUCAAAAUAGUGCGACUAAAAAAGAUCCUAAGAGAUUCCUAACAAUUAUAAUCAUCACGAAAUGACGCACUAAUAAAGAUGAAGUGCAAGUGCAAGAAUAAAUAGCUCUUUUUCAUUCCCCAAGGGUGAUUGUUUGCGAUGUACACAGCCAAACAGCCAACUCCGCAGAGGAUAAAGGUAUGCUACCACAAAAUAAUCAUGAUGCCCAAAUCACAAUAAUAACAGUAGUAAUCUUCCUUGAAGAAAGCCUGUACCAAAUUUACAAGAAACGACCUCAUUUUUCUGUGUCUAAAUCACUGAAUCGGGAUAUGACGAACAGUUAAUUAUUACAACCGACCUCUCCCUCCAGGCCUUCAGCUAGCCGAUAUCACAUAAAUACAGCCGUUGCAGAUCAACAAACCUCAAAUCAUAAAUUAUCGAGGCCGCUUAGACCAAUUUUUCCAAUGCAGUCGACCACCGUACUUAAUACCUACUCAUAAAACCUAAUCUAAUGCACCGAGGUCCUCCUCUCUUCCGAGCAAACAAGCCCAGUAGAAAAUCAUAUCAGAUAUCCUCCAUAUCCAUCUUAUACAUUUCAAUCCACCACAACAUUUUGGAAACUAAGCUUGCCAUGAUGUCAUCCAACUAACAAUUUGGUAUCCAAGUUUCAAGAAAGUACACCACCUCUUUUAGGAUCGUAAACCAACAUAAGUUCUGAAGUUUUCCUAUUGCUUCAAAAUUGUAUGCCAGCCUUAAAGCUGCAAUGCCAGGUCUGGCUGCUGAGAAUCAACCAGAACACUUGAAGCUGGUCUACCAGGAGACCCUGAUGACUGGAAACUAACAUUCAAGUCUGGAGGCAGUGAUUCCUGUUUCUGCAUUGGCUGCCAUUGUGGACUAAUAGGCUGCCAUGGAGACUGCACCUGGAACCUAGACAAGUCAGCAGUCACUAAUUGAGGAUAAACCAUUGGUUGAUUAUGGAACUGCACAUCACUGCCUAUUCUAGUAGGUUGAGGCACAAAGGGAUGAAAUGGAAAAUUGUUCUUGUCAGGCUGCAAAUGCAUCGCAUAUGGUAGAGGGUCCCCACGAAAUCUUGAAACCUGGGACUGAAGAUCACGAGCAGGGUUAUACAAUGAAUCAGCAGAUAUCUGGUUCUUAUGGAGGCCUGUGUUUUCCCCAGCUGGUCUAAAUCCUCCAGCCCCUAUAGACAUCCAUGCACGAGCAGCAGCUGCAGCAGCAUUGCCUGAAUCUUCUUUUCUCAAUGGAAGAGCCGGAGACAAAACUGGACCACUGUCAACUGGGGACUGAUUAGAUGACUUGUGUUGAUUUUGAGCCUUCUCAGUUAACAUUUUCAUCAACAGGACUGGAUCUGUUAAACCCUGAUCCUGUGCAUGAGGAAAAUAUGUCGCCCCUUUGGCCAAGUCAGAAGCCGAACUAGACUUUUUAUUGCUAUCUAUAUUAUUUACUUUUCCAUUGGGCAGUCCACCAACAGCCACUCCAUUAAGAUUUGAUUGUUUAAAAGAUCCAGAGGGCAAGAGACUUUUGUUCUUCAGAACCAUGUCCUUCGACCUUGAACCUGGUAUAUCAGAACUAUUCAAAAUCUGCCUCUCUACAACAAAAUCAGCAGCAGUUUGACUGCCUGAGGGUGGACCAUUCAGUUCAACCUCCUUCAGAAACCUUUUCUCAGGCUCAGUGAAAUUUCUUGGUUGUGAAUUUUGCUGCUGAAAACCAGAAGAAGCUGAAAAAGUAGUUUUGUUUGCAGGAGAACCAAAAAAAGAUCUCCCCUCCAAAACCCUAACAGCUUGCUCUUUAGCCGGAAGUGAGAUACUGGGGCUAGAACAGGCAGUUGGUUUAAUUACUGUAGGACCAAAAAAUGCUGAUUUCCUCUGCACAGUGGAGUCCUUGACAAGGCCGUCCUUGUAAGAAGGUGCUGCUUUCACCAAUUUGUCCACACAAGGUUCAGUAACAAUGUUCUCCCUGGAAGAAACAGGUUUGGUAGGCAUUUUCUCCUGCUUUCUAGUGACAACUGUCUGUUCAAUCUUGGUAAAAAAGGGUGGUUCCUUAAGAGUGCAAUUUUCAAGCAUUAGCACAGGUGUUGGAAGUGGCUCAUAUUCUCCAACCCACCCACGACCAAAUUUGGAUCCUGAAGGCAGAGCCUGCUCAAUUCUCUUGGAAGCGAUUCUCCAAGCAACAGGUCCAAGAGUUGCUGCAAAUCUGGCCAGGCUCCUAGCAUAAGAAUGAUCCGCAUAAAGACCCACCUGAAUCAGGAAAUCACUGAAUCCAUGAGCUAAAAGGUCAUCAGUAGAAUAAGAUGUCAAUUUACGCAACGUACAGAAACUAGCUGCUUGCUUUCUCCAUCAAAAGUUGAAAAUACAGAAUCAAAGCUGGCAACAGGCUGAGUAGACAAGUUAUAAGUUGCACGACGAUUCUCAUCAUUCAAUGAUUGUUUUCUCUCAAUCUUAGCCAGAGGUCGCUUCCCUGCAAAGACAAGUGAAGCAAUCAGGAAGGCUACCCACAAGCAAACUUGGUAGAGAAUAGAACUUCUUGUCCCAUAGAAGAAAAGAUUGACUAAUGAUUUUCACCUUGACAAACAAUCAAACUACACGACACUAAAUGAUUAGACAGAUAUAACAGUGUUCACUGCCAAUCCUUACUAUCAGAUCACUUGCCCAGAUUUUAAUGCCAAUGGAAUUUUAAAACAUAUAGAGAAAAGAGAAUUUGCUCGGAUACCCGGCAGCAAUUCUUCUGCUUUGUCUAUGCUGUUGUCAAUGACAGGUGGAACCUCAAGCCUAUCAACACUGCUAGCCCUCUCAGAUCCACCAACCUGAGCUGCACUUGAACCAUUUUGAAUAUCUCCAUUGGUUGCAAGUGUGGCACCAGAUGAGAAAUCAGACCCCACAGGGUCCUGCAAUGUCCGGCUGAUUGGCUUCCUUAUUUGCUUCUUAACAACAGAGCUUAAUCUUGUCUUCUGGUCUGAUUUGAGUUCGUCCGACCGUUCAAUGCCAAGUCUCAUUUUCUGAAAUUUCCUUUUUGCCAGCUCUUGGAUGGCACGAGCCUUUCAAAAAUAAAUAGGCAGUAUAUUAACGAAUUGCUCCCAGAAUGGAAAAAAAAGGGGGAUGGGGUUGCACAUGGUGCACAGAGAAGUGGCUAAAUAAAACCCAAAUUCCUAACCUGUUUAUGAUAUAUGGUAUCUGGUCCAUUGUAUUGCAUCGCAUUCGAGCUAAUAAGGAAAACAUCACUCUGCAGAGGAAAAAACAACUAAGAAACUGCAUAACAGUAAGAGGCAGCAGCUUAAAGGUUAAGUGGAGGAAAACAAGUCUAAAUGAAAAGAAUAUCAAAUUUUGUUCUUCCUUUUUGCAUUUUCAAUCAAAAUUGAGUGAAACAGGUGUCUCUAAUGCUUGAAGCUUGAAAAAAGAUACCCUGAUUCAACAACAAAAUUGUUUAAUAGUUACCAACAUUUUUUUAUUAAAAAAAAAGCAUGAUAUUCUAUCUUCCCCCAAGAAACCAGUUCAAAGAAUUCAUCCAGACAAGCAAGACAAAUUUAUCCCUAGCAUAUUAGAGCCAAGUGUUUCAAGCGCAGAACAACCCAACUCUCCAACCGGUAUAUUCCAGGGGGGCGAACCGAAUCUAUAAAAGACACCGCAGAGUCCAAAUGGGUAUUCCUUCAAAAGAAGUAAAGCUCAUCGCUGCAACAGGUUAUUGCAGCAUUAACCAAAAUGUCAUUCUAGAAGGUUAACUACUCUACAAAAUUGGAUGUUAAUGAUGCAAGCUGUGCAGCUUAGGAAUGCGGAUAACGUAAGCAAUAUCACAAAUAUUCUCUUGAGAUCUGAAAUGAGAGACUCUGACAAUCAGAAUCGCCACCAAGCAUCUAAGUGUCAAUCCCUGCAGAGGAUUUUUCCUAUACUUCACCUUAAACCUAUAGAAAACCUAGCUAGUAUAUUAAUGGCCAUAAUAUACUCUAGAAUCCCCAUAGAUGAUCAAAAAACUGAGACUUGAAUAUCUCAAAGAGUUAGAUCAUAAUACCAAUAACAUUAACCAAUUAUAUAUCGCAAUGCUUUAUACUGCUUUUUUUUUAUUAACUUGAUACUGCUUUUACGAAGAACAGUUAAAGAUUGAUUGUCCACCAGCCGGUUUCUUGGCAGAACAGAUAAAAAUUAAGAUCAUGUCUCCAUAACACCCUUUACUUCAUUGGAUCAGAAAGGUUUUACUAUUCAUUCUCAAGUCUGUAGUAGCACCUAUAUUCUUUAUGUCCUCUUAUAACAAUACCGUAUAGGCAGCAUCACUUGUGUGCCAAUUUGAUUGAUGAUCUAGCAGAAGUCAAACAUUUUAUGAUAUUUUUCAAUAUGAACAGAACAAUCUUAGCAUCUCACGGGCCAGUUGUAAUCAAUCCAAAAGCACCAGGUUCGGUUGCAUCAUCGAUUGAAAUGUCUUUCAGGUGCUAUACAGAAGCUAGUUGUUAUCCGUUCCCCACAAGUUGAAUUAGGGCAAUGAGCAUCCGUAUUUUGAGAUUUGGCAAUUCACCAAUGAGACAGAUACUAUUCACUCAAUUCAAAGCCCUAUAACGGCCGACGUUCCAACAUGAUACAACCACAAACAACUCUUCCCUAUUUCCAUUUACAUAUUAACCCCUUAUAUAACUGCCUGAGCUCAUGACGUCUCAUGUACGAAUUGGAGAGGUUAUGCUCAAAAGAAGAAGAAGAAGAAGAGUAGAAAAAAAUCUGAGCAGAAUUACGAAAAGCACCUCAAAUUGUUCCAAGUUUGCAUAUGAUCCAUUUCCCAGCUUGUUCCUCACGGUGGCAAAGUCCAUAGGAUGCUCAAUAACUUCAUGGUAAUCAGGUAACUAGAGGAGAAAAUAACAAACAAAAUAAGAAUCUUCAUCAUUUAAACACUGCCUAAGAUUACCAUAAGAGAACGCAUUCUGAAAACGGCCAACCUCCUCAGGAUCAGCAGGAUCUGCGUAAACACCAUAAAUGUCCUUCCUGGGAUCAUAAAAACAGAAACAAUUAAAGCCCAAAACAUCUUAUUACCACAAACCAACAAAAAUAACCGUCAAAACAGAAACAGAACAACAGAUUACACCUACUUUUGAAGCUUGUCAAGAAUUAAUUCCAACGUCUUCUUUUCUGGCAAUGGCAACCCAGAAGGAGCUUCAGUAGGCGUCCCUGAUUGAACAGAAGUAAUCAUUUCAUCAUCAAAUUUUUCACAGGGUGACACCAAAAAUCAUGCCUGACCCACGAAUCAAAAUUCAAAACCCACCUGGAGCAGAGUCCUCCACCCCUUUCGGCUUAUCAGCUUUUCCACGACCUUUAACAACCUGUCAAAAUCAAACAACAGAAACCCCUCAAACCACAAUAAAACAAAACAUCAACAGGCUCAAACAUAAAUAAAUGCUCCCUCUGCUCAAUACUACGAACCAAAAAGUCGGCGUCUUUCAGACGGGGACAGAAAACAAAGCAGCAGACAGACAGAGAGAGAAAAGGAAGUACGUACUAAUCCAUGUGUUUUUGUGUGCAAGAAAAAUUGUAUGGAAGCAAGAGAGAGAAAGACAAGUAGAUAUAGAAAGAGAGAGAGAAAGGUGGGAGCGUGAUCAGAUUCUGUGGGGGUUAGUUUUUGACAGUUGACCCGACCGUUACUCUUCCAACCCAAUCUCUCCCGACAUUGAUACUACUCACCUAUACAUACACAAUUUCACAUAUAUAUAUAAUUCUAGAGAGAGAGAAAGUAGUGAGCUGAUAGGAGUGGUUUACAAGUCUGGACCAAUUAGAAAAAUCUCAGCUGAACUUCCUCCCCACCUCAGCUGAGCUGGACAACCCUAUGCUCAUUUUCUCUCUCCCCAUGCAAAUUGCUUACAACAUCCAUCAUUGAACAUUCAUUCUAGCUUUGUUCUUCUACUUAGCUACAAUUUUUCUGAAUUUUGAUUUUUUUUUUGGCUGCAAUCAGAUCCACAUCGAUUUGAUUUUACAUUUUGUUUCCGGUUUUUCUAUACCUCAUCAUCCUCAACAUUUUCAUUAUCGUCAUCAUCCACGUCAUCAUUUUCAUCUUCCUCAUCUACCUCUGCCUCGGCUUCAGCUUCUUCAUUGACGCCUUGGCGGCUGCGGCCGCGAGCGAGGCUGUCGCUCAUUUUCCUCUUCUUCGACGGCUUAUUAUAACUCCCAUCACCGCCGAGGUCCGACGACGACUGAGAAGCUGCAGGCGCGUGUGACGCACGCCGAGUCUCACUCGGAGUCGACUCAGUGGUGGUGGUUUCUCUGCUAGUCUGGAGCUUAAGAAGGAGCUUGAGCUUCUUCUCCCGCCGCCGCUCGUCUUCCUCAUCAUCGAAGCCCUCGAAUAACUCGUCGUCGUCGAGGUAAUCAUCGAAAUCGAAGGUGUACCUCACGUUCCGUUGACGGUGACUUCUCCGAAGCUCACGCUCCGGCGCCGAUGCAUCCUCACCUACGCUGCGUCGUUUAGCGAGAUCUGCCUUGGAUGGUCUCCCUUUCUUCUUCCUCUUCACGAUCUGCCCCAUCUUUGUCAUGCGCCUGUUAGUCUCUCUCUAGAAAACACGCACUACCCACACUCACUCAGUGUCUUUCUCUCUCUUCCCUCUCUUCCUUUCUCUCUCUACUAUUUCUUUUCUCUCUCUUCUUUUACUCCAUUAUUUAUCUGGCGCUCUGCUUUGGCUUAUUUUCUUUGGAGGUCGCUUUUGAGCUCCGAGCCUAGCUCUGAAUCUCAGGCUCUGAGGCUCGGGGGUUUUGAAUAUAUGACAUGAUUGCCUCGGCUUUGUAGAGAGAGAAACGGCGUUACUGGGUGAGAAAGACGGCGUUAGGUACUGCCCGGUGUGCCCGAAGUGCUUGCGUGUCCACUGGUCUGCCCGUUAUUGCGUCAAUCUAGACUGUCAUUGCUAUAUUUCCGGAGAUACUUGUUGGCAGGGUGCAGCGCGUGCUGUCACGUCAGAGUAGUUCUCCUGGAAAUAUCCUGAGGCAACGGUGAUCAUUUGCGCGUGAACUUCAAUGUGUUAUUAAGACGCUGACUAUAAGUGAUUAGUAAUACAGAAAAUCUGCUUUUUUUUCUUUUAUUUUGUUUUUCUGCCGAACAACGCAGUACCUUCUUCACUGGGAUACGUCCAAAUAAGAAAAUGGAGACUACAGUAAAUUCUUUGACUUAUGGCCAUGAUAGAGUUUUACUCCAGAAAUAUUUUUUAAAAAGGGAAAAGAGUAAUUAUUCCCUCUGAGAUAUUAUUUAAGAAAUUUUUAUUGUAAUAUUUUUUAUGAUGUGAUGUAUGUGAAAUAAAAAAAUAAUUAAAAAAAAUGUAUUAAAAAUGGUAAUGAUGAUGUAAGCAAAAAAAUUUUGACAAAUAAUAUACUGUCCAAACACUACUAUUUACACAUUAUCUACACCUUAUUUAUAUUUACUUGUAUUAUCAACAAAUUUUUUCAAUUAUUUUUUUAUUUCACAUAUAUCAUCAAAAAAAUGUUAUAGUAUUUUCUUCACAAUAAUAUUUUGUGUGUUUGGACAGCCAAUUAUUUGGCCAAAUAUAUUUGCUGACAUCACCAUUACAAUUUCCAAUACACCUUUUUAUCUUCCCAAUUACCUUUUUAUCUCACAUACAUCAUAUCACAAAAAGUGCUACAGUAAAAAUAUUUCAAAUAACUUACAAUCCAAACACACUCAAUAUUAUUUCAAAUAAUCUACUGUCCAAACACCAUUUGGAAAGGUCGAGAACUGAGGUCCAAACUCGAAUCUCUUGUCUUGAAACUUCACGAUUCGGUACGAAAAAAGGUAACAUAAAAUAUGUGUUCUUCUAUAAUUUUGGAGCAUGAGCAUUUGCUAAUGUCGAAAAACAUUGGUUGGAUCAAAAACAUAUACUAAUUCCUUUUAAUAGUAGGGAAAUGGCAGGAUUUAUAAGCAUUAAUUGGAUUGAAAACAUAAGAGAAAGAUGAAAUUUAAGAAACUGAGAGAAUAUGGGAGAUUCAAAACCACAAAUGCUAAUUCUCGGAAUUUCAACUUUAGAAAAAUAAUUCAAGACGUCCAUAAAUUUCGUCAAAUGAAUUUUUUUCAUCAUUUACUUUUAAAUUUAUAACUUUACGUCCCUUACAAAAUCAAUAUAAUAAAAUUCAAUCCUAACUUAAGUUUCCAACUGCUUUUUAUUUUGAAUCCAUCGCGUGAUCCUAUACAUGAUCAUUUUUUAGUAGCAAAAAAUGUUGGAUUCCAUUUACAAUGAAAUAAAUGAUCCGAUCCAUAUUCAUCUUUAUCAUAAAAAAAUAAGAUGUAACUCGAAUCUUAUUUAUUUAUUUUUCUUAAAAAGUGAUAUCGAACCUAAUCUAUAUUCAUUUUUGUCAUAAAAAAAAUAGGAUUUGUCAUGUUUUUACAUCAAAAUGAUUGUAUAUUGGUCGCAUGGUGAUUUAAAGUUAAAAGGUGGUUAAAAACUUAUAUUGGAACCAAAUUUUAUUAAUUUAAAUUUAUAAAUGAUGUAAAAUUAAUGUUUUAAAAGUGAAUGACGAAAAAAUUUAUUUGAUGAAGUGCGAUGACGUUUUGAACAAUUUUUUCCAAAAUAUAAUGUUACAAUUAUUAAUAUUUCUUAUCUAAAACAGUUUAUUUUACUUAUGAUGCAUAUAAAUUGAAUUAUGCUUGUCAAAAGGCCAACUGCGUUUCACGUACUAUUUAUGCAUUUAGCGGUGUAUUAUCUUUGAGGUUCUUUCCACUCGACGAGUGAGGAUCAAAACUAUCAUUUGAGAUGUGCGUAGUUGGCGUUAAUUGUUGAUGCAAUAAUUUACAUGCAAUUCAUCGACGAGCGGUAGUAAUUCAUCAUCAUGAUUGUAAGUGGUAGUACGCCUACGUGUAAUGCGUUCAAUAAAUAUUAUUGUCACGAAAAAUUUAAAUCUACUUUUCAAGCUCUGCUAAAUCAUAUGGUACUACUACUAAACUGAUUGGCGGUGACAACUAAUGUGAUUGGUUACUCUCAAUUUCCAAAUCGACACAGUUUGUUUGGAUUGUGAAUUAUUAGAGAUAUUUGUAUUGUAGCACUUUUUAUGAUGUGAUGUAUGUAAGAUAAAAAGAUAAUUGAAAAGAUAAAAAAGUGUAUUGAAAAUUGUAAUGAUGACGUAAGCAAAUAUAUUUUGACGAAUAAAUCACAAUCCAAACAAACCAAAUAAUGGUUCAGUACAGAGUCUGUGGAAUCUACAUUUCAAACUGGAAAUACCUACAAUAAAUUUUUUUUUUAGCAACAAAAUACUUUUUCUCUAUUUUUUUUCCCUUCAACAACAAAGGGUGAAACUUAAGAAGUGGAGAUGAAAAGAUUUGAACCUCCUAAGGCCUGUAAUUUCUGGGUAUUAAAUUGGCAAAAAGUCUCUCUGCCCUGAAUCGUUCUUCUUCGGCUAAUAAGUAAGUGUUUUUGGCUAUUGUGGGAAUUCACCCAAAACAAAUAGAACCAGUUGGUGACUGUAUUUUUUUGUUUUUUGUUUUUUUUGUCAACCUUGUGAGUAUUCGGGAUCAUCCGACUAAUCCCACAACACCCAGACAGAGCGGGUCCGACCGAUACCUAUGAGGCCAACAAUUGGAUUGCGGACUAGAAUUGAAUCCAGGCAGACUUGGAGCGCAACGGAUCUUCUGUCCCAUACCCUAUGCCACUUUCUGUCACACUUUUUAUUAUAUUACUAUUUCUCAUUCAUAAACAUCAUGUUUUAAUUCUUUUUUACUUCCUUAAGAUCCAAUAACUAUUAAACCUCCACUAUCCGAACAACCCAGCGGGGGCGGCUGGUGACCAUACAGCUAUGCGAAUUUGCGAGUCCUUCCCAGUCAUACCAAACCAGCAAGACGAGUCAUUUAUUUCCUUUUUUAACUAUUUCGUCUUCAUUCAUUCAAGUCACUCGCAUGAUAACAUACUUUUUUGUUUGCUUCAUUUACUCCUGAGUCCUGAAAAAACGUUGUUGCAGUGGGUUUAAGAAGUAGUAUAUUCAUGUGUUUUAGCACUUUGCAGUAUUGUUUGAACAUCUGCUUUGGUCCCUGAUAAAAAAGAAGAAGAAGAAGAAGAAGAACAGCAACAACAAAUUCUAAUCAGGAUAAUGUGUCGUGUAUUGGAUUAUUUUAUGUGUUUGUUGCUGAUUACAAACUGGAAGGAAGAAUCAAGCAGUGUGGAUGACUCUGCAAUCUGCAUCUCCAGUACAACAUAUCUUACCUAUCUAUCCACAUCCUGUAGAUCAUAUUUCCUAGUUAUCAUCCAGAUGUUCAUUGUUAUACCUUCAUUUGUUAUUAGGAGUAUAAUUUACCAUCUCACUAUGGCCGCGAGUAUUUUCCAGGCAUGGUCGCCUUCCACGCCACUUAUCUUUUGAACAUAAAAACAAAAGCUUCUCCAUUCGAUUUCUGUAGUUUAUCUGUCAAGAGAAAAGUUAUAGCUAACAAAUUGAGCAAUGAUGCAACAAGAUCAUGUUCACCUAAUUUGAAUGGAGGAUCCUUAUGCAAUAUAGUAGUAGUUUUUUUUUUUUUUUUGCACUUAGGGUGUCCCGGCCUUUUUAUGGCUAGACUAAUCAUUCCAAAACCAGCAGAGCCCUGUCCAAAGAUGCCAGCAAUUUUAUCACAGCGAGAGUCGAACAUGGGACCUAACAGUAGAGCCCUGUCCAAAAAUGCCAGCAAUUUUAUCACAGCGAGAGUCGAACAUGGGACCUAACAGUAGAGACGGACUUACUAAUCCCCGCUGAGCUACCCGUGGGGGCCAAAAGUAGUUAAUAAGCGUUAUAACUUAUGGUACUAACUGCACAACUAGUACAUUUUUGCUAGCGUGCAAAUCUUAUCUGUAUCACCACCCAAGAAAAAAAAAAGUCAAGGAAAACAUUUAACCUAUAUCUGAUCUUUUGAUGAUAUCAAUCAUCAUAUACGAAUUAUUGAAUAAAGCCAAUAAACAGUGCAUAUGCAAAUUGAUUAAAAUUUGAGUAGCAGGCGGCUCACCUGUUGUUAAAAUAGGAAUGGCAACAGGACAAGGAUUGUCCAAACAUUCCCGCGGCUCCGCCUUCCCAACCCCACUUUCUCCCGCGGACUAACAGAGUAAAUGUAUAAUUAGUAAAAAGUGUAAUUAGUAAUUUAAUAUAAUUAUAUUAGUAUAAGUGAUCAAUAAUUUAUAUUAAUAUAAAUGUAUAACUAUUAAUAUAAUUAAUAGUAUUAAUUAUGUUAACUAUAUAUAAUCUGAUACUUAUAAUCAAUAAUAUAAUUAUUAUAACUAAUGAUAUUAAAUAUAUUAUAUACAUGUGACUAUAAUAUAUAUUUUUUUUUAAAUGGGUGACGGGGCAAGGGUAUGCUCCCCUGUCCCCCUAUUCCUGAGGGGAGAAAAUGAUUCCUGUCUCGCUCUAUUAACCCCGUCCUAAUUAUCAUUCUUAGUCAAAAAGCUUUAUGGCGAAAUAUUUAUCAACUUCUCAUCUUUUAAUCAUCUUUUUAACCCUCAAAUAUCUCAAAUUGGGCAAAAUUGUUAUACUAACUUCAUGAAUUUUAAAUCGAAAAGUAGGAUCUAAACUUUUUCGAGCUUGCCUAAAAAAAAGGAAACAGAAAUUAGGAUGAUUGAGGCAAAAAGGCUUUUUUUGGGGCACAAUACACUUUACCCCCUUGUGGGGUGUUAUUUAUUUCAAGAUCUAAACUAGAGGGGAGUUAUAUAAAAAAGAACUAAAUCAUAGGGGGGUAAAGUGUAAUUUAGUCAAAAAAUAGUUUUCCCAUUUUAAAUUCGAGUUGUCAGUGGAAGCAGUAAAUCUUCACUCUUCAGUCUCCAGUCCAAAAAUGGAGAAGCUGAGGAGACUGGUGAUUCAAAUAGCCAGCACUCCGCCAUCCCAGAGAUUCUCUGCUCUCUCUCCACUCCAGCUUUCUCUCAUUCCCCUACUCUCCAUCGCUUCGUCCAUCUACAACCUCGCUCUUCUCAUCCGACACCGCCUCUACUAUCUGGGAAUUUUCCACAAACGCAGGUAUUGAAAAAGAACCCCCGCCCGGGGGGGGGGAGGAAGAAAAAUCUUCUAAGCAAUGAAAGGAAGUUUUAGUCUGUACCCUUUUAACGUAAAGCAUUUUUCUCGAAGAGAAUCGCAAAAUCCUUGUGAUUUUUUAGGCAAAGUUUCAAUUUUUAUCAUCUUUUACCCUUGAUUCUCCCUUGAGAACCCUGAUAAUUGUACUAGGUGUUUUUUGUUGCUUCUUUACGGAACUUCUGAUUUCUUGAUACAGUUUUACUUUGUUGGUUGUGAACUUUAAGGUUGCCAGUGCCAGUUUUAAGUGUUGGAAAUUUGACAUGGGGAGGAAAUGGGAAGACUCCAAUGGUUGAGUUCGUUGCUCGGUGGUUGAUCGAUUCUGGGAUUUCACCGCUUAUUCUGACAAGGGUACUCAAUCGAUUUCCUUCUUUUUCUUUUUCUUUUUUAUUUUUGUGGCAAGAACGCAUUUGCAAGAUGGAAUUUUGAGUGAACUGAAGCUUUUCUGUUAUUUGUAUGUUGUUUUUUUCUCGGUCCUUUUGGUCUUGCUAUAUGAAAUUGUUGACUUGUAUGGAGUGGUAAAAAAUUUGAUGCUUCAGUUUUUUAAGGUUUAGAAAUUAGACAAGUACGCAAUAAUAGAAGUUGUUUUGGCUGUUGAGAGAUAAUAGACAAACGUUGUUUUGGAUGUUUUAGUCGUUUUCUACUUUGAUUUGGAGUUUUCUAGUUCUUACUUGACCAUCAUUUGCAACUACUGAUAUUAAACGUUUUCUGCAAAUAAACACACACACAAUUAGCUAGUGCUAGAUUGAGUGGGACCCAUAGAUUAACGUGAAAACUAGUGAUCCCUGACCAAUGUUGUAAGCGAAUUCCUUUGAAGUUAUUUUGUUUGUUAGGCGUUAUUCUAAAUAUUUCUUAUCUCAUCAUUUCUGGAUUUUAUGAUGUUCGAGGUUUCUUUUUCUUUUCUUUAUGAGCAUGCAUUUGCUGCUAUGGAAGUGGGAGGGAUCAGGGAUCAGUACUUUUUCUUGGCUAGUCCAUAGGUGUAAAUGUAAAUAAACAUGGAGUAAGGCUUGUUGAGAAGGAAUAACUUCCUGCCUGUGGAAUUUAAUUUUCUUGCUUACGUAUUUGCAUGAGGGUUCACUUUGCAGGGUUAUGGCGGUGGUGAUGAAGCCAAAAUGCUUCAACGACAUUUACAUGGGACAUCUGCUAAAGUUGGUGUUGGAGCUAACAGGGCUGCCACUGCUGCUAGUUUUCUUGAAAGACACGGAUAUCUGAACUUUUCUGAUAGUACAUGCUCCACAAAAGCUUUCUUGAGCAAGAAAGCAAGGACUGAUUCUUUUUCAGACAAAAUUGGAGUGGCAAUAUUAGAUGAUGGAAUGCAGGUAUGAUGGCCCAAAGGACCUUCAUUAUUUUAGAUUACAUUCGGCAGCACGCAAUGCAGUAUCAUUUCUGAGAUUACUUAGUCCAGAUUAUAGGCCUUCUGCCAUUUAUGCAUUUCCACAUGAAAAAAAUAGCUGUUUUCUAGUCACAAUUCUUGAAAUUGAAGUGGUGAUUAUCAGUUAGGACUUGUAUUUAUUGAUUGUUAAAUCGAACGAUUGAAAGGCAGCAUUUGCAGCUGUGGCGUGACCUAGAGAUUAUUAUGGUGAAUGGGAUGAUGCCAUGGGGAAAUCUGGAGUUGAUUCCACUUGGACCAUUAAGGGAACCUCUUGCUGCACUUGGGAGAGCAGAUGUUGUUGUAAUUCAUCAUGCAGACUUGGUACAAAUUGUUUCUUCUCUGUUUUUCUCUUGUUUAGACUAACAUCAAUUCGCUUGUAAUUGUUCGAUGGCCACUUAGUGUAUGUUAUAGGAUAACAUACAUAAAUGAGUCUAAUGCAGGGGACUCAUACAGGUGGCUGAACAAAAUAUUGAAGCCAUUGAAUCAACAGUUUGGAAAGUCAGUGACUCUAUCCCCAUAUUCCUGACACAAAUGGCACCUUCAUACUUCCUAAAAGCUGGCAACACUUCCUGUGUUUUAUCCCUGAGGGCAAUAUAUGAUAUGAUUGUCCUGUGUGUUUCUGCUAUUGGUUUUCCUGAGUCCUUUGUGCAGACAAUUCUGAAGGUAGUGUUUUUUUCAUGUCUUCUUUUUCAUUGUGAGUUCAAGAUCUUGUCAUAAUUAACUUUUAGCUUAUGUUAAUAUGCUUGUAUUAUAACAGAAGUUGAGGUCUACAUGAUUCCUUCAUUUUAUUAGUCCACCUGCAUUCCAGUUUCAAAUCUGAGAGGUGGUUUUGGUAUUGACAAUGGCAGAUGGGACCAAAGCAUGUUGAUCGAUUAGAUUUCAGUGAUCAUCAUUUGUUCCAGGCUAAGGUAAAUCUCCUUUUUGAAUUUUUCUUUUUCACUUGGUUUGACUAUCAUUGUCAAUUUUUUGGAGGACAAGAAUGAAAUUUCCUUACCUUUGCUAUCCAGUUUCAAGAAAAGUUCUUGUUGUUUUUUUAGUUCCUGAAGUUGAAUCAAAGAAUAUCUUCUCUCAUACUCACAAACUAUUUGAAUCAAAGAACAUCUUCUCUCAUGCUCGUAAACUAAACAAAGGGUCACAUAGUGAUCUCUUUUCAUUUUUCUCUCUCCUCUCUCUCUCUCUCUCUCUCUCUCUCUCUAAAAGUGGAAUUUGUCCUUAUUCUUUAAUUCUUUUCAUAGUAUAAGUUUGACUGUUGUUGCUUACCUCCUGGUUCUCUAUUGCUGUAGGAUAUUACUAUCAUUAGAAGGAGACUUAAAGAACUUGAAUCUGCAUAUGGCAUGCAGCCAAUUGUUGUUGUGACUGAAAAGGUAAGCAGAUCUUUCAAAGCACAUUGUCUAUAGAGCCUAGUCUAUUGCUAAUUAUUUUAACAAACAUCAUAGAUCAAAGAAGCUGUCUUUGGAACAUUUCCUCCAUCUUUUCUUUUGCCUAGAGCUAGUAACUUGACAUUAAUCUUCACCCACUCUUUCUUGUUUACAUUAGGCUUUGAAGAAAUGAAAGUAAUUUUGUGAACUUAACUGUGAUUUAGCAUAUCUGAACCAUGAAAUGGCUUCUUUUAACCCAUCAAACUGAUAUAUUGACCCUUUUGGAAUGAGCUUUCUUUUAACUUGCUACUUUUGAUGUUUGAUGUAAAUUGAAUAAGUUUCACUGAAUGGCUGUACUUUUCCUUUUCAAUUCUCUCCUUGGCAUAGGAUUAUGAUCGUGCUCCAGAUGUUCUGAAUCAUGUGAAUCCUUAUCAAGCAUUGGUGCUCUGUUCUAGCAUGCAAAUCCUACCUCGUGAAGGACGCACAGAAGAUAAUUUCAAGAAGUUCCUACGAGAGCGCCUUAAAUCAUUGUCGGACUCGAAGAUUACUUGAAGUCUUGAACUUACAAGAAGGAGGGCCCAGGAGAGGCCCGUUGAUUAUUUUCGGACUCGAAGAUCACUUGGAAGUUGGAAGUCUUGAGCUUGUAACAUCGAGGGAGAAUAAUUUUGUUUGGUCAUGAGAUUUUUUCUCGCAUACGAUUCAUGGUUCUUAUUCCUACAUGAGAUUCUUGAUCAGGCGUACGAUGUGGAUCUUGGGCUUUACUUCCUUCAGUUAUUACAUAUUAGGAACAAUAAUCGGAUGAAACUAUAAGCUACUCCGCUUUCUGUUCUUUUUUUUUUUUUUUUUUUUUCAGAAACGAUAACUGUUAUAUAAUCCAAUCUAUCCUAUACAAGGAGGAGGGGACGGAUCUAAGGAGAUUCAGGGGUAAUCUGGAAGAAAUUGAAAAUCAUCAUCAGAUUAAAUGGGUGUAUUACAUAUCUGUCUGAAUUUUUUUUAAACAAAGUCACUUUUAAUGUGUUCUACCAAACUUUAAUACUUUGGUGGUGGCCAUCCGUUCAAAGGCCGGUGAUUCUCGGCUUUCUGUUCUAAAUAGACAAAACAAAUUUUUUGUCUUACUUACAGCGCCUGCCGACUCCUAGGGAGAAUAUUGAGCCUACAUAGCCGACUGUUACAGAGCUUUCUUUUUUUCCAGCUCAAGUUUUGCAGCCAAAUUGAAGCUACGGAAUGUGAAAGUCCGAAGUCAGAAGACAAAGCCAGCUUUGUUUUUCAGUUUUCACCGACCUAAUGGAGCAGCGAUAUAUGUAUGUAACAAGUCUUGAUUGAGUUGUCCCGAUUGUAGUGUGUAGAAAGAAUUAUAAUUUUGACAGCGUUCAGAUUCUUCUGAGACGUAUUGGGGCCAUGGACAUGGACAGAUGGUGCAGGUGCAUGGACCCCCGGCAGCUGCCUAUUUCCCCGUCGUGCAGAAACGGGUUCAAACUUCAAACUGGGGCACUUGGAUGACAUCCUUUUCAGUUUGAAGCACAAUUACUUAAUGGUUGACCCGUACAAGGAAAUUAUUAAUACAGUGUAGAAGCGAAUCAGUGAUCACCUAGGCAAAAAUUUACCGUGCGAGACACACUUAUUUUUAUUUUUUCGGUAUCAAGAAAAGGAAAUUCAAUUGCAUAUAGUAUUAAAGUUGCAUUAUACUCAUCCCUGGAUAAACAAAACAACAGCUCUCAAAUCAUUCGUUGCAAAGUUGAUCAUAAAUUCAGGGAUAUCAUCGAAACAAAAGAAAAUCAUGUUCUUGAUCUGAUCCAUCCUUUGCCAAUGCAUCUCCAAGAAAAGUUUGCUUCUGAGUACAGGUGGGUGAUUGCAGCACACUAACGAACCUGUUCCUUAGCUCCAUCUCCAUGCAAUGGAUGCGGGUGAUGUUGGCUGGUGACUUGGUAAUUAAAUAAAUUAUCAGCAGCCAUGAAAGUCCCAAGUUCAGUUUGCAGAUGCUGAAUGCCCACAUCCAAGGCCAAAUUGCAAACCAUUUCCAUCCGUCGCAUGGCAGAUGGCGUAGGUUUCUUCCAAGUCCAGCAACCGGAUAAGAGCCAGCUUUUCCGGAAUCGUGAGGAAAGCUCUGUCAUAGCUCCAUUUCUUUCUAAGGUUGAUUGUCAUUUGAGAACUACAAACUACUAAUCGAAGACAAAAUAGAGAAGUUGUGCUUCCGUGGAAUGUGAAACAAAAGAUAGCACUAGUAAACAAGAUGUUGUGGAUCAAAUUUUGUUUACAAGUUGAAAAUAAAUCACACUCUGAUAACUAUAGGCUACGUUUGGAUAGCAAAUUUUUUCAAAAAAAAAUUUCGCUUGUAUCGGAAACACAUUUUUCAAUUCAGCUUUUUAUAUUUCCAACCACCUUUUUAUCUCAUAUACAUCGUAUCAUGUAAAAAGUGUUACAGUAAUUAUUUCAAAUAAUUAUUUGAAGUAAUGCUGUAUCGAAACAAAGCCUAUAGUUCUGAUCCCAACAGUGUGUGAAGUCUACUUGCCGGUUCUGGGAUGAGAAAAACGAAACGUUACGCUAAUGGUUAAGCUAAAAAGGUGAUUAUCUUGGUUGAAUUCAAGGAUGUUUCUUUUUGAAUAUGCGUCAUAGUCUCAUUAUUGCUGCCUUUGAAGAAAUAUUUUAUCAGUCAGCAGACUCAGCACUCAGGCAGGGGUUGUCAAAAGUCUUUAUCCUCCUCUGCAAUCAUGUUUUGUGGCCUGCCUGCUUUGACAACCAACUUAAAUAAGAUUCACAUUAUCAAGAGAAAUUUUGCCAAAGUCGAACAGGAAAUUCAGGAACAAAAAUUGGAGUUUACAAGUGUAAACCUAUCGACUUGUUGCGUCGAAAAACAUGAAUUUCAGCAGUUGCCUCCCUCAGCAAAAAGCAAGAAAAGACUUCUCUGACUUUGUUUUGUUUCGGUACCUCAGCCACAAAUGUAGAGAAAAAAAAACUAAAUGGCAAUAACACAUGUUCGACGGCAACAAACCUGUACCAAGUUAAGAGCUGAGAUUCGAUUUGAGAAGGGAAGAACUAACCAAGAAGGCUAUGUAGUGGGUUGGCUGGUGUGAAUUGUGAUGGGACGGUGGAAAAUAGCGGUGGUGCCGAGUCUGUUUUCAUUUGAAAGUUGUAGGCUAAUUUUCAUUGGAACAUUUUGACAUGUACCCAUUUCUGUUCUGUUAUCUAAGGUAUUAUCAAUUUGAUCAAAAUUUUGAGAGCUAACUUUAUCUAGAAAAUUCAGUGACAUUUAAUUAAUUUAGAUAAUUAAUUUUUGUUAUCAAACGGUUUGAAUAUAUUAAAAUUUUAAAUAUUAAAUUGAAUUAUCAAACAGCGCCUUAAUCAUCAUCAGACAAUAAGCAUUAUUAGCAGCGACGCGAAGGAGCAAAAGUGGGAGAAAAAAACCAAGUGCACAUUACCAGGGAUUGAUAUACUAUCAUAUAUAGAGCCCCCGCGUGAAUGGUCCAGCGGCAACGCCUCUUACCAGUGAACCUUGAGGUCACAAGUUCGAGUCUCCACUCCGUUGAAUUUCUCCGGGCACUUAACGUGUUCGGGCCGCGUUGGGGCGGCGAGCCCGGGUCACAUGGGAUUAGUCGGGCCCCGUAAGGAUUGACUUAGGAGAGUCAAUCUCCGAUGGUAUAUAUAAUGUAGUAAUAAUGAAUUAAAUCAAAUAAAAAUCUAUGUAAAACAUACACAUUUUCGGCUUAUCACCGAGAACCCGGUCGAAUCACGAAAAAUUCGGCGGAGAAGUUUCUAAUACUGAUAGUCUCGGUCGAGUCAAUUCACAAAUUUAUAUUUUACAGAUUUCUUUUGCUAAUUUUUUAAUUAUUUUUUGUUUAAUAUAUUUUUUAAUAUUAUUCACAAUUUUUAGAAUACUUCAAAAUUUACGUCUCACAGAUAUCGUGACCGAUAUGUUGAAAUCAAUGUGAGACGGUUCGAACCGCGAUUGCGACCGCGACCGCGACUUUGAACCUUUGAACCAUACUCUAGAGAGAGAGACUCGUCUCGUUCUAAGAAACGGAGGCACGAGCCCAUGAAUUUGACAGGCACGUGAAACUUAAUCCCUCUCUUUCUAUCAUAAAUUUGACUGCUUGAGGUCCAUGAAUGAGAAUAAUGAGAAUUUAGAGAACAAACUUUAGGACCAUUAUUAAGUAAUAAAAAGUUUUCGUAGCACGUCAACUUCUUUUUCCUACUGCAUGCAUUAAUGAUUAAUUAAUUAAUGCUAUGUGUAUCUUCUUCUACUUUCGAAGGACUUUUAAUUUGGAUUUAGUUAAGAUGGACACAGAAUUCCGAACCAUUAAUUUCGUUUUCCGGCCAUCGUAGUGUAUAUCCAGACUACAUGUCAAAACAGACUUUGGCGUUAAUGCCAUACAUCUAUACAUCGACACGGCUUGUUGAUCGAGUAAAUGGUGUCCAUCAAAGCCACCAAAAAAAAAAAAAAAAAAGUCUCAAAUCUUCUACUCGUUCACAUUACCGGGGUUGCACUCCUCCUCCACUGCCUCUUAGGAUGUCCCUAUAAAACCCAUCCAUCCGUUCCCCAACUUUAGUGGAGAUACUCAUACAAGUCGAGGAUCGAGAAGCCUUUGAAAAGGUAUCUGGAGCCUUAUUGAUGAUAUGGCUUGUCUCAGGUCCUCCUCCACAAUAGCCAGCUCUGGGUUUUUCGCCUUCAGAAACAUGUCCCUAUUCUUCUUCUUUGCUCUCAUCAGUUUCUCAGAAGGACAAACAGUUCCGGCCGUGUAUGUUUUCGGUGACUCCCUUGUUGAUGUUGGCAACAACAACUACAUUAAAGACUCGCUUCUCAAGGCAAAUUACCCUUACAACGGCAUUGAUUACCCUGGUGGAAAACCAACCGGAAGAUUCUGCAAUGGCAAAAACGCUGCAGAUUUUAUCGGUACAUUAUUUAUUGUCAAAAAAUUUACUCCAUCACAGAAAAGACUUUGCCCUUUUGUAUCUUGAUGACUCUUGCAUUUACUGCAUGACUGACGAUCAAGUUAGUUACUGGGGUCUAUUUUGGCACCAACCACUUCCUAACCUUGCAAUUUGCAUGCAUGUUUUGGCCAUUAAUUCAGUUGCAAUUUUGAUUGAACGAUGAAUUGAAAUACUCUGCGAGGCCAGAACGAUUGACUCAGUCAGUAUACAUGUUUUUUACGACCUUCUAUCCCCAACUCCGAAGAAGCAAAAGAAGGAGAUCGAGGGGGAUGGACUUCAGAAAGCGUAUGAAAAGAAUUUGAGUAUGAUGAUGACAUCAUGCCUUCUGUUAUUAUUAUUAUUAUUUAUUUGAAGAUGACAACUUAAGUGCACUGACAAAGACGUCAGCCACAAAAGUGUCCGAUCAUUUCUUUCCUCCUUUUGUCCUUUUGUUUACUUACUGAUAUUUUAAAUUCUGAAGCUACGUACGGCUGCGCAAAUGAAUACAUUCUUCAAUAUUACUGUAAUUUUUUUUGACGAGUGACAGAGAGAUUUUCUGAUACAUAUAUAUAUGUGGCAGCUGAAAAGGUGGGAUUGCCAACUUCCCCUCCAUAUUUGUCCGAUACAAGUGAUGUUUUCCUCAAGGGAGUAAGUUUUGCAUCUGGAGGAUCAGGACUCUUCAACACCACCGGCCAAGGCUUCCUCGUAAGUACAUUUUUUUUUUUUUUGGGGUUAAUUAAUCCUUGCAAGAAUCAUAGGAUAGCAGGAUUCCUUUCCCAUUUGCGUGUAUUCAAACAACCAAAGCGAUUGCUUAUCAAUUGAAUCUAGAGAAGAGGUAUUUCCCAGAGAAUUUCCCAAAAAUUUGAUGACAAGGGGGACUGUUAAUCUACAAGGCUUGAUUCUUGUUUGGUGUGGUUCCGUGCAUUUGUUUUGGCAUGAGGCCCACCUCUAUAAACUUGACUUCACUCCGAGACAAAGCCCUCUCUCAAGCGUAAAAGGCUAUCUUUUCCAUCCGGUACUCGAGUCCAACAGCACUUCUAUCAAACUUAACCUUGGGCUAGCCCAAAAAAGCCCCACCAUCCAAACGUUUGGAAAAGAUUCAAAAAGCCAUGCGGUGAGCGUGGAUCGAACACGCGACCUUCAGAUCUUCAGUCUGACGCUCUCCCAACUGAGCUAUCCCCGCGGUGAUGGUGAAGAAGUUUUAUGAACUGACUCUCUCUGACUCUUUUGUUUACAGCGCAAGACGCUCUCUCUGGCCCAACAAGUGGAUUAUUUCACUGCGCUGCACGACAGACUAGUGAAACAGCUUGGGCCUGCUGCAGCACAGCAGCGUUUAUCAAAAUCUCUGUUUCUUGUGGUGAUUGGAAGCAAUGAUGCUUUCGCUUAUUUCGAGUCUUUAAACAACAGAAAAGUUAUGAAGGUUACUCCAGAUCAGUACGUUGAUCAGAUGAUUUCCAUACUCCAAGGAUUGUUGAAGGUACAUCAUCCACAUCCCACAGAAGUUAUAUGCACUAUCGACUUGUGUAAGCUUCUGAUGAUCUUUACUGAAUUUGGCCAGCAAAUCCAUAGUUUGGGGGCUCGCAAGUUUGUUGUGGUUGGACUAGGAUCACUUGGGUGCUGUCCAGGGCAAAGACAUGACACCGGCAAUGAACAAUGCAAUCAAGAUAUCAACUCUUUGGCGAUCAAAUACAACCAAGGACUUGCAUCAAUGUUGGCGGGACUGAAGUCGGUUUUGAACGACUUCAGCUACUCCUUAUUUGAUACUUAUACAGUCCUCCUCGACAUCAUUGACAACGCAGCAACUUAUGGUAAUCUCCACUCGCGUUUUCUUGAACUACGACGACGUCAGGUAGUCUUGUUUUAAUUAAACUCAUGACCAACCAAGUUUUGAUGUGAAUCAUUCUGUUUUCGACGUUUAUUAGGUUUUACCGAGGCAAAGGCAGCUUGUUGUGGAUUUGGAAAACUGAAUGCCGACGUGUUUUGCACGCCCCUGGCCGUGUACUGCUCCAAUAGAACCGAUCACGUCUUCUGGGAUAAAGUCCAUCCCACACAAGCAACGGAUAAAAUUAUGGUCGAUACCAUCUACUCUGGUUCACAGCCAUACGUGUCUCCCAUCAAUGUCAAGCAGCUGGUUGCUCUAUAAAAUCGCACUACAGAGAUCAAGAAGUUGUACUGUAUUCUUCCCUUUUUAUUUGUGCGCGCCGGAGCAAAAACUAAGAGGAUACCGUCAUUGUUGUGUCGCCUGGAUAUACUCAACAUGUUGCAUACCAAAUUAACAAUAAAUGUUUAUUUCAUCAUCCAUAUGUGGCUAUACUUACAAGAUAAUGAGACAAUUUCAUCAGUGAGUUGAGCGCAACGACAACAAUAAAAUGACCUUCAACUCGAAAAAGAACAGAUUAUCCUCGAAGUUAAAUGAGGAUAUUUGUGAGAAGCAUUUUUGAACAGACAUAGAAUGCUACACUAAUAUUUGGUUCUCCGCUUAUAACUCCUACAGAAGCAUAUGCCCAAGUUCCCGUUAUUCAAAACAAAUAUCUGCUGAAUAACAAUCCGAAAAGAACAGAAUUCACAGCAAUGCAGCCAUAGAAUGCGCACGAUCCAGAAAAGCAUUAGGAAUUAUGUUGCGCUUAAGGAAAAACGUCUUGAAAGAAGACAGAUAGAUCGUCCUUGAGGGCAUCAAGAGCUAACACUUUGUCCACUGCAUUCUGCAUUUGCUCGGUACGAGGAGAUAAUAAAGUUAGACACACUAAAAGCAAAAAAUAUACAGCUUAAAGUUAGAUACACAAAACUCAUUCAGUUUAUAUCCGUGUAUAUUAACACCUUGUAUUGCUGAUCCUGAGCAGAUAUAUUCUCAUUGCUUAGUCGCUCAAUGUGCUUGUUGUCUUGAAUAGCAUCCAACACAAGAGAUGCUCUUUUUAUGACUCCCUCGAAUACUCCUAGCAUGAUUGGAUACAGUUAAUACCUACAAGUAGCCUCUCUAUGCACCAAACCAUGUCAGGUUGCAUAUUUUUACCCAUCCCAAACCCACAAUUAUAAGAACUUGUUCACUGGUUAUGACAUCGAUUUCUAAGAUGCUAUGCAUGUCCGUCACUUUCUUAAAUUGAGAGAAAGUAACAACAAAAUUGAUCAAUUCUCUGAGGAAACAGGAAAGCAUUAUAAUUGAAACAUACCAGCAAGAAGUGCACAAUGUAGACCUUCAAAUAAACAGACGAAAAUCAAUUCAGCCGUUGUCAGUAAAUCUUCUGGCAUGCAUGUUGCAGGUGCAUUAAAAUGUUUAAAUCUUACCAUAGCUAAGAGCUGCACGUCCAGGAACCAACCUGCCAAAGUACAAGAGUUAGAACAACCAUGAUAGAGAACUGAUACCAAUAUGAGAUAAGGUUUAUCUGGCCAUGAUCUGAAAGAGAGCUUCAAGCUCCACAGAUGCAACUCAUACUGGACCAAUAAACACAAUGAAAUUUUAGUUAAGUGUUUGAGGUGAGCCAUCAACAAGAAUAUGAGAAAAUGCAUUGACCUUAUUCCUGGAAGAAUUCUUCAGAACUUUGGAAAGAAUUUAUACUCAGAAGCCAAGCAAUAAUUUCGUACCUAUACAAAAACACUAUAUCUUCAAUAUCAUUCUCUUUAUUGUCUGGAUUCAGCACGCUCAUGGUGUAAUACUUGACCUUGUCACACUGAAAGUUGUCAAGCUACAAGAUUGUAACUCAACCAGUAUAGAUAACAUUCAGAAUUUGAAUACACAAGUCCUAUCAAGCACUCCUAAAUGCUCUACCUCCAGUAAACAGCUAUUGUCAAAUAGCUCAGUCAAAUGAGUACAGAUAAAAACCUGCAAGCAUACUCAGUGAUCAAAAGGCAUAUCUCAACAAUGUAAAAAGCACAUAUAACGCACAAGAAACUGUAGGGUUUUACAUUUCUUUAGCAUAUUUGGAAGAUUUGCACCAUCACAAAAUAACUAUCUGAGUUUGACUAGGGAGAGUGUUAAUUAAGAGUUGAAAAUAUUUAAAAGAAACAAACAUUUGGGGAAUACAGAUAAUAUGUGUCAACUACCAGCAGGGAGAGGAAAACAGUUUUCCUUUCUUAUAUAAGUUUUAAAAAUGCCAGACGUGUUCAAAUAGAGAAUCAACUUGAACAACAAAAAUUUAUCAGGUUGCUAGAGUCUCUUCACUUUCUUGUUGGAAGUAGUUCAAGGAUCAGGUGAAAAGAGAGCUCUCAGUAAAGGUGGUAUUAUUGACUGCAUGAGAGACCAUGAUAUAGGCCAUCCUUUUUUACUAUCCCCCUUCAUGCAUUUCUAAUUUGUUUCUACGCAUAACAAUUCUUCGAGAUGAACACUGUGAUUUUGAUUUUACUUCUUUUGAGAAAUCUGCUCCUGUUGAGGAACCUAGAAACUGGCAAGUACUGAACUCCUUUAUUGUGAUGUGAUGGGGAUCUCCUUUUAGCAGAGUGAAUUACUGCUUUUCCUACAAAGCUGCACCUAUAACAUGAUUGAUGCACAAAUAGGUAAUGCCAACAACACCUUAGGAGGAUCAUAGCACGAGACAAAAUGGUUUAUAGUUCCACCGAGAAGACCAACGCCAUCUGAAAUAAAUUGUGUCAUUUCUAAAUAACAACGUUAGAAAAGUUGAAACUUCUAAGAGCUUAACAGUCAACAAUUGCUGAAGAAACUGACCUACUGUAAGCGUGCCUUUCCCAAAUUCAUCUAACAAGCACAAUGAUCGAGAAGUUGCAUGCCUAGAAGGAUGUAAAAACUGAGUCAUGGGACUCCAGAAGAAAGUAAAACAAAACAAGGUACUUCUGAGAAUCUAUAUAUGACUGUAUGAGCACUCUUAGCCACACAUUAGUGGACUAAUUACACUUUUACAUAUACCUUAGCAUCACUCCCACUUGAUGCAAAUCAAUCAUGAAUGUUGAUUGUUCAGCUGUCAUGAAUUUGCUCCCAGUUGCACAAAAUAUCCUACAAUAUAAAGUUCCCGUCAAGGUUGAUAAAGUAAAUGACAUAGUUUAUAAUUAGGGUGACCAAAAAGUGAAACCUAUCCGUCAAGCCCACAAUAGCAGCAUCAGCAGGUACAAAACUCCCAAUAUGUGAAAGGAAAACUAUCAAUGCGACCUGAAAAAAGUAUAUACUUUAUAUGAAACUGGGGCAUCAAAAUUUCAAAAGUGAAUUCAGUUCAGUGUCUGAAGGACUAAAACAAACAAAACCAUCAAUUUGAAAUUUUCCUCCUUACUUGGACUAUGAGAAUCUGAUAUAAAAUUUGGCUUUCCAAACAAUGGUAAAUCAUUGAAUGUGUUGCUUUUAUACAGAAAAUUCAGAAACACAGCAAAUUGUGACGCUAGCUUUUCGAGAAGCAUUUAGCAGAUCAAGAAAUAAAAAGCAGAUGAGAACGCAUGUUGACAGAUAGAGGACUUUAAUGCAGUUUCCAACUCUAAUUUUGCUAGUAAAUGAUUAGACAAGUUGAAAAGUAGAACAACCAACACAUCAGCUUAUAAUAGGAGAAUUAAAUUGCAUGAUAUACACCAUGCAAGAUCCAUGGACACAACGAGGUACUUAAGCUCAUGGGAUGCAUUUGUGGCCGAGAAACAACACAAAAUUGGAACAAUGAAGAAACAUCUACUGCUGUUCAUCAGAUAUAUAUACAUGCAUCUAUAACACACAUACAUAUACAUAUAAAUAUAUAAAAAUAUAUAUGUAUAGAGAUAUAUGUAUAUAUAUGUGUAUAUGUAUAUGCUGUUAUUCACCUGCUUUAUGUAGAUGCUUUUUCCUGAAUAAUUAGGGCCAGUGAUGAUAUUAACCCUUCCUGAAACAUGAAAGACACGCAAUUUUUAACGUAAUAAUCAUGCAGAUGAGGAUAAAUCAAUCCAAAACUUAAAUCCAUAAAGAGGCGUGUAUAGUUUCCUAACCGUCAUGCAGAAUCUUUGUAUCAUUGGGUAUGAAUGUGUCUACUGUCAUUUCUUGAAGUACAUGUCUGUCAAACAGAAAAUAUUCUGUUACCGCCUUAUCAAAUUUAAUAAGUAAUAGUUGCUGGUUAUUCACAAGGAAAACAGAAUUAAUAAAAUCAGUGCAUGUUCUCUAAAUUGGACAGGAUAGCGCUAACCUUCCGUUUAGUAUAUCAAGCAAAUUUUCAACAGUCACAAUGGGCCUCACAUAAUUGUUCUGACGAGCAACCAAUGCUAAAGACAAGAAACUUGGAUAUAACACAAAUAAUUGUCAGGAAACUUGUCAUGCAAGAGAGUCAGAACUUUUGCACUAGAGAGAAAAGGUAGUCAUCACUAUGAUGCUUACCAAUCAAGCUCAGCAACAAAAUUAACAGCUUGUUUUAAAUGUGAAGAGAACUGAAGAAUCCGAGAAACUAAGUCCCCAAUGAUUGCUCUCUCCAUGUCUUUGAAGGAAGUAGAUUAAAUUCAUAAGAUAACGGGAAGAUGGAAAAAUCAAACCUAGUUCUAACUUUAAACUUGCCAAUUGGCUGUGGAUUAUAUGAAGUUGCACAUUAUACAGAAAUUGUAUCACAUUCUACGUUCUUAAUAGAAACAGAUACCAUUUCAAGCUAAUGGAAAAUAUUAUCAGAAAGAGUUCACAAUCUUCACUGCAUACCCAAUAUUUUAUGAUAUAGAUCUCCAAGAAGGCUAUCCAAUUCCCGUGUCUUUGCAGUGCGAUAAAAAAAUUUCUUAGUAUUCUCAUCCUCAUCGGAGAACUGUAUAUUCCAAACCCAAUUUCCAAGGCAGGUAAAGAAAUGUUCACUAACAGCAAAUUAAUGUUAACUAAAAACAAGGUUAUGCAUUUCACAUAACAAGUCAAAUGCGUACAGCAAAUUCAUAAUCUUCAAGUUUUUCCAGCAUGCUUUUGUCAAGAUUUUCUUGGAAAAUGCACAUCAAGUACCCUGCAGAUGAAUUACAAACAAAUGUCAUUAUUAGACCCAAUAAAGCUAAACCAGAUAAAAUCUUCUGCAAUGUGCCAUCUAUGUAUCUGUUAAGAGAUUAUUUGCACUUAUUUCCCAACUGGGAACAAGUAGAAAUGCAUCUAUGCUCCUUAGGACAUGAGAAGUAUAAACAGUUGUUGCAGCGUACAUAAUGUCACAGGUAGAUGCACCACUCUUCCCAAGUUUUCUGAACAGGAUCCACUUAAGGAAAUUGGUAUUUAAAAUCAUUUCUUGUUCAAAGUGAAAAAAUCCAUAUGGUUCAUGAUGCGAAGAAACUAAUAUGUACUUCUGAUAAACUUUCUCAUACUUCCAACAUCAUCAUCAGUCAUUUGACGCCCAUGGCGUGACCUUCAGUUUAGUGAACAUAUUUGUAGAAUUUAAAAUAAAAAUUCCAUUGAACUGCAAAGGAUUUUGAAGAUUAAUGCUGCAUAACCAACAAAAUUGAAUCGAUUGACUACAAUGAUGAUUUUAACACCGUAAUAUCUGUAUACAAUUAAAGUGUUUGUGGUCUUUACAUAAGAAAAAGAAACAAUACAACCAAAAAAAGACACUGAAAGGAUCCAAAUACGCAUAGUAGUUAGAUGUAAGUGAUAAUUUUAUAUCCUGACAAACUUUUGCAAGGUAAAUCUGAGCAGAAAAAUUGCAAAUAGUACCUAUCUGAUGGAUAUACACAAUACAAGGAAUGAACUUGUCUCCAGACAUGUAAGGCAGCCGUGUGAGUUCCACUGAUGAAACCUGCAAAAAAGUGGUAACAUCAAUUUAGACAAUGUGUAGACACAAUAACCUUCAUGCCAUUCAUGCAUGCAUUUAAAAAAAUAAAAGCUAAAAGCUAGCACCUCUUCCAAAAACUCUGGCAACUCCUCAUAUAUUUGCCUCAGCUCAUCCAACUACAUAUGAAGAAGGAAGCUUGUCAGAAAAGCACAAAAGAGAAAUUAGAAGUUAAAUACUCUAGUCACCAGAGCCUAAGAACCUUAGAAAUACCACUUAGAGAAGUCACACCUCAUCGCAAAAACCAUCUUUAACAAUAGUCUCAUAACCUUUAUCCUUACUUCGAUUCACAUCAACAACGCCAACAACCUACACCAGCAAUCAGCCUCAACAAAAUCAACUAAACAGAAGCAACAACUGUCUGACAAGGCAAUUGCACGUUAUGGAUCAUAUCGACUUGGCACUUAGCUACCAGAAAGAAAGAAAGUAUAGAUGGUUGUCCACUAUACAAACCAUUGUCCAUUACUUGUAUAUAAGCUAAACUAGAAUCCAGAUAAGCAAGCAUAAUGAUCUUCAGCAAGUACAACAACAUAUGCAAAACUCCCUGCUGAUUAAAAAUUCCCAAUAUCCCCUCUCGUAAAAUGCUAAUAAAUGCGACAACACGGGCAAAGAAAGCAUAAACCAAAGCCACAAGUGAGGAGCACAUCAUGAAAUCAAAACUGACCUCAAAAAUAGAUGCAGACAAGAUCUCCUUAAAUGCAAAUUUCAUAAGAACAAAAACUGAACUUUUUGGAUAAUUUGGCUUCUCAAAAGCUGCAAAUGAUGACAAAGGUUCCAUGCUUCUUUUCAUUAUUAUUGCUUCUCUUCUGACAAUUAAAGGACGUUCUAUUUGCAAGUGAAAGACCUAUGCAAUCCAGAAAAUAUGAGAUAAUAGAAGUAAAAGUUGUUCAGAAGAAACAUCUGACCAAUUCAUAGACAUAUGCCAGAUCCGCAGAUAGGUAAAAUUCAACCUGCGACAAACUCAAAGAUGAUUUUAAAAAAGCCACAACUUCAUAAAGGGCAAGAUUCAAAUUCAAACAUUCAAGUUAAAAUGUUAAUUCGACCUGUUCAACAAUGUCCAAGUUCAAAUACUUCAAUUCUUCUUGAAGAUUUUCUGAAAUGCCAACUUCAAAUAUUUUGUUUAUGUGCAAGAGAGAACAAAUGCUCUACAAAAGAAAAGCAUAUGAAACAAAAUUAGGCACAAUAAUAACACAGUACAAGGUUAAAAUUAAUGGCAGUAGUAGCACCAGCUAUAAGGGAUGAUGACAUCUCCUAUCCGGUAAAUACUUCCCUAUCAGAAUUGUAAUGUAUAGCAUUAGACAAUAACAACCUCAAUGCUCAGGAGUGGACAAAUACCUACAAAUAACAGCAUAAAGAACUCAUUACAACAAAAACCAAUGCAGUUAUUGUCUUUUUUUAAGCCGUACUUUUACUUAGAAAGACAUCAGAAGUGUAGCCACCCUGAACCUAAUGCAGAUGUGAAAGAACAUGUUGCUUCAACCUAAUAGUUGAUGGCAGAUGCCAUUUCUGACCAUUGCAAUAUCAAUAUAGGCUUGUCCAAAAAAAUUUAUUGAGAGCUCCAUCAACCAGAGGUUUAUUUCCUAAAUUUCUAUAGCAAUCUCCAUGACAAAACUUAUUCAGAAAGUGAUAUAUGCUUAAUAAACAAAGGUUUUAGUAAACUUAAGCAAAUUUUUUUUUAUGCAAACUUGAGCAAAUAUGAUAUACUUUAGCUAUUAUUUUAGCUCAAAUUAAAUAACCAGAUGAUCACAAUGAAGCAGAAAAAGCCUACCUUUACAAAAGCUUUCCAGUCGCUACUUGUGCACAAAGAACUUGGAGAAUUGAACUUCUUUAAAGACAAAGAAAACACACCAUGUUAAACUACUAAGAACAACUCUUUACAGGAACAUCAAUGAUUUGGUUGUGCUGGACAAAUCCGAAUAAAGAAGUGCUCGAAGGGCAUAUUUGGUGAAACAAAGAGAAUAUGGAUGCACCUUGAGUAUGUGAGGAAUAUCUUUUAUGGACUGCAGUGUUUCACGCAGAGAGGCCAAAAGUUCUUCAGCAGAAUGGAAGAAUGUUAUCUUGAUUUGUCAAAGAAUAAACCUAAUAUGAACUGGUAUUCCACACAUCCCUGCAGCCAUCUGCAUUACAUAGUCUCAAAGUAUGUAAACCUUCAACUCUGGGCAUAAAUUCUUUAGCAACAUUUCAUCAAAGAUUUCAUUCAAAUACGACCAAAUCUCAUUUUCCAUCACUUCAAAUAAAUAGUAACUCCAAUAGCACUGGUAUGGUGCUACUUCAAAAUAGAAGGAUACAGCAUCAAAACGCUUGUUCAGUUUCUCAAUGUCCAGUAUAGGCCUCAAAAACCAGUUCCUAGUUGACAAUUGAGUUAAUUGGUCAGAGGAUUGAGGUAGCACUGACAGAUCAAUAGUAACAAUGUCGAUUCUUGAUUGUCAACUAACCUCAAAAGACGUCUGCCCAUUGGUGUUACACACUGGCACAGUCAGAAAUUAUCUAUCCAGUCAGCAAUUGCAAAUUAAGACUAGAACAGGCUAUUAAAACCUAACAGCAGCUGCUGACCUUAUUCAUCAUUCCAAAUAAAGAGAACCUGCACUUGAAGGUAUUAUUCAAUAGUUAUUUUCAAGUUAAUAAACUCAGAACCCCAACUAUGGUUCAUAAUUUACCCUUCUUUUGCCCUGCCAAUCCCCAUGUGGCUUGGAUGUUUGUCAAUUUGGAAUAUUUGCAAUGCCUCAUGUGCAGCCGAGUCAACUUUGAGAAACUUGUUUCUGCGGUUUUUGUUAAUUAGAGCAUUGCACUAAACUUUUGGAUGAAAUAUAACAAGAAAAUAAGAUCAUAUGAAUCAAAAAUUGGAGAACUUAGUAUUCAAGUUCGUUAAGAUACAGUGAGAUUUCAAUGACUGAGUCAACAGCAAUGGAUGCACUUCCACACUCCUUCUGUUCAAGGGUGCCUAUAAUCCUUUCAUUCUCUAGAACCGCAAGAAGCCCUCCAGUUGCACGAACUUGGACCUCACUUUGAAUGUCCAUCAUGGAGUUCAGCUAAAAUUAUGAAAAGAAACCGGUUAGAUACGAUGUGAGUGAUUGGAUACAGUUGAUCUUUCAUUUUCAGUAACACUACAAUACUCAGAUUUUCUUUACUUCAAGACAUUGGCAAAUAUAUGGGAACAUGAGUUCUCUUAUAAAUUCUCCCUUAACCACCAACUAGUUCUAUCUCAACUUUGCAGAUUUUCCAGAGUCUAUUCUUGUAGAAAGCAUGAGGAAAGAGCAUCAAGCAUCUUUUUGAACGAAAAGCCUGUGGAGUAGCCCAUAGUAUUGAACAGUCAAUUUGAGCUAAACAAAGUGCUUAUAAUAAGAGGCAUGACAGAUCAAUCUACCACUGAAACGAGAAAUUAUCUGUACUUACAAAAGACAUUCUUUCCUUUAUGUUCAACCCAUCAUCCAUCCCUGUGACCCGAAGGUACAUUAAUCUGGACAAGAACAGAAAAACAAACAAGAAUAUAUGUGAAACAUACCACUCUAUUAAAUGAUACCAUUUGGGUAGAAUUGAUUUAACUAAAGAAUCUAGCAACGAACUACUGGUGGAAUGAUAAAAUUCUCUGUGAGAACAAAGCUAAUGAAAUAUUUGAUGACAGCAUCACCAGAAGAACUCAUGAAAGUAAUGCAUAAAAGAACUUGGAAGUUCAGGAUUGCUCCAAAUGAAAGGAAAUGAAAUCAUAGGCAUACUCUGCCACAUUGAUUCUGCAUCAUAGCGGCCCAACAAGAAACAGAAGAAAGUAGCAAUCUGCUAAUUCCUUAUUUUCUCAUAUUUGUGAAGUACUUUAGUGGCCAACUAAUGGUUAUAAGGAACACAUAUCCUCAUUUUACAGAAAAAAGAGAAAGUUGCAAACAUUCAAAUACUGCAAUGAAACUGUAAGCAAGGACAAUUUACUGGUGAAAGAGAGAAUAAGUUGAAGUAUAGGGCAGUUUCAAGUUAUAUUCAUUUCAGUGGAAAUUCACUUCAUUUUUUAGACUGAACAGAACUGUGCAAGGGGAUGUAAUAGUGCAACAUCCUACUGUAUCUUCCAUACCUAUGCCAUGCUUGCUCGUAGCUGAAUAAUGAACUCUUGACAAGCUUUACAGUAGCUGCAUUACUUGUUCCGUCUGCAAUAUUUAAACAGGUUACAGUGAUUUGACAUGCAGGAAAUUUUUGCUAGCCACUUUAAGAGUGAGAAAGAUACCAUUUUUUUGUAAAGCAGCCAAGAACAGCUCCUCACUUUUUGUGCUUGUGUAAAUGAUGGAUGGUUUGGCUUGAUAUAUUACUGGAGUAGAGUAACAGGAUUUUAUAAGAUGCAUGAAGAAGAAACAAAACAUCCCAAGCCAAUUUGUCUUUUUCUCAAAUUUCAGAUGGGAUCUCCAAAACCAAACUAUCAUUAAAUCAAAAGACACUUGGGAAUGUUACCAAUCAAUCCCAUUCAGAAAACCAUAAAGCUGGAAAAGCAAUUUUAUGCUCUACUGGGGGAAGAAUUCAUACUCAUAUCUACCAACGGGAAAUCUUCACUUCCAUCUUCCCAGAACUCAAGCACGUACAGCUGUCGGAUACUGGAAUCAUAGUAUGAAACUCCAAUUCUGAAAAUGCAAUUUCAUUUAUCACAAAACUCUUCUGAGAUUAAAAGUUAAUGUACAAACCCAAACAUUAUGUUAACAUCUAAUUACACUCUAAACAUUAGAGUGCAAUAUAAAAGAGAGCGCACCUAUGACCUUGCAUGAUACAAGCCAUAUAGACCUGCAAUAAAAGGCACAUUUUAGGAAAAUCGUCAACAGCGCACAAAAACCACUCAAAAAUGUUCUACAUCAGAAGGCAGUACUCUCUACUUCUUAUCUUUUGGUUGAGAAUUAAUGCACAAGCCGACAUGUAAGAGACAAGAAACCAUUAAAUUUGGCUAAAAGUAUCCAACAUCUUUUGCAAUUUGCAGCAUACAGUGACCGAGUCACAUAUAGAAAUUGAUCUUCUACUAAAACACUAUACCGCUUUCAGUUCAAAGCUCGAAUUCAUGUAGCAGGUGUCAAUUAAAAAACUUCAAAAUUCCGUAGAAGAGAUUAGAAAAAGUGAAGACAUGGAUUCUAACUGCUGAAGAGCUCGAAAUGAGGUGUGAAUUGAAACCAUACAUCGCACGACGAUUAGCUGAAUCUCCUCGGCUUAUGAUUUACAGACUCGAGAUUCACAAAAUUUGAUCUUCUUUAAUACACUCUUUAGUUCGUCCACAUCAAAUUCUUCCAUAUUAAUCCAAACAUAAGAACAUAUCCAUCCUUCAAAUUCUCUCGGGAAAAUCCUGAGGCCUACUUGUUAUUUUGCAGUGAUCCUCAAAUAAGCAAACUACCUCAGCUGAAAUAUUUUGGAAUUGAAAUGGCAGAACAAACAUUGAUUAUUUUAUCGAAAUUGAUUAGACUUGUAAUGCGGAUUGAAUUACCUGAGGUGUGGCCUCUGUUUCGUCAACUUCUUCCAUUAUCCCAUAGGCUGAAUUUGUGGUUACAGGGAAAAACAGAGGAAGAGCGCGAAAAACUGAAAUUUAAAAUUGAUUCUGUGUUUUAGGCUUCAACUUAUGACAGGAAGGGGAAGCCAAUGUGUUUGUCCAGAAAUAAUCAGUCGGACUUUGCUGCUGCUCCAAACGUGAUGCCUUUGCAGAUGAGAGACGAAGGCGUGGUGGAUUAAAGUUGUCAAAUACGCCUUUGAUAAUCAAGGGCUUCUGAUUUUGAAGACGUGGGCUUAAGACGGCAGUAAACAACUGAAGGCGCUAUAAAGGUACGAUUUUAUUUAUUGUGAUUUUGAAGUCCUUUUUUAAUAGAAGGGAUGAACUUAGAAACUUUCCCUGUGGCUAAUUAUCACUCGUUAACAUCCCUGCCCUCCCUUACUUCUUUUUUUCUUUUUUGUUUUAGGGUCUGUUUGUUUGGAAGAAAAUUUUUUUCCAAAAAAAUAUUUUUCAUAUUUUCGAUUGUUUGGUUGUCAAUUAAUUUGAAAAAAUAAUUUCUGACAGAAAAUAAGUUACACCAGUCGGAGGAAAAUAACUUCACACCCGAAAUAGAGGAUUACCCUCUCCCUCCUCGUUUCAAGCUGCCAACUAUAGAUUCCUAUCAUCUGUCUACUCUGUCUUGAGUAGUAAUUUACUAAUGCCAUAUAGUCUGUCUUUUUUUUGGAAGAAAUAUAGCACCUCCCUUGAGCUCUAUUAACUCUCUAUAGUCUCUUAGGUUUCAUUUGGAUAGGGAGAAAAGGACAGAAAAGAAAGUAUUCAGAGAGAAAGAACGGUCAUUUCUUUCAUUUGGGAGUUUAACAAGACAGAAGAGAAGUGAAAUGAAUGGAUAAAAGUCUCCCUCCAAUCCAAUUGUUGAAAAUGUUUCCGCCCAAAAGUGGAAAAAAAAGGACGAAAACUUGUUGGGCUCCAAAAGACAUUUUUAAUAUGUCAAGUUUGUCCUUUAAAAGUUGAUACAAAAAUUUAUUAUUCCCAAUAUAUCCUAAAAUUGAUUUCUAUAAAAGCACCGCAAAGGUUUCUCGGUCAUGUGUCCUGUACUUUCAAUACUUCCGGCGAAAACUUGGCUUUCUUCCAUUUUUCACCCAUAAUUCACCAAACAAAAGGUAUUUCUUUAAUUCACCAAACAAAAGGUAUUUCGUGUAAUAGAAGAAACCCAUAAAGAGCUGAUAUGCUAUGGGUAAUUUCUUUUUGUUUUUUUACUUUCACGUAUUUAAUUUAUGUUAAAUAUAAAAUCUACUAGUUUUCAUUUCGUAAUAAUAUUAGUGUAACACUUUUUGAACUUGGCUUAAUUAAAUUUAUGUAUUUAAUAUAAAUUAAAUGAUUUAAAGUAAAAUGCUCAUAAAUAACUAGUAUUUUAUUCAUAUAAUGAAAGAAACUCGUAAAGAACUGGUAUGUUAUGGACAAAUUUUUUUUUACUUUCAAAUACUUCAUUUAUAUUAAAUACAAAACAUGCUAGUUUUCCUUUCGUAAAAAUAUUUGUGUAACGGCUUUUGAAUUUUAUUUGCAAAUAUUUAUGUAUUUAACAUAAAUUAAAUGAUUCAGAAUAAAAUAUCCAUAAAAACCUGGUACUUGACUCAUAUAAUAGAGAAAAGCCAUAAAGAGCUAGUACUUUAUGGGAUAUUUCUUUUUUAAAAAAUAUUUAAUUUAUAUUAAAUAGAUAACCUACUAGGCAUUUCCGGCCAAUAUCAAAAAUCAUAUAUCAAGAUUACCUAAAAGAUACUACAAGGACUUGAGGCGAUUUAUAUGCAUGCAAGAGAAUCGAAGUCCACCAAGAAAUUUGUUUUAUUAUUCACCUUGUGGGAAUGCAGAUGUAAUUAUUUUAGAAAUUUAUCUUGUUCAAAUAUUCUAUUUAUGGGAACAAGAAAGCUAAUUUUUGGACUUUGAUUUACAAAUUGAAAGGGUAAAUAUGUAAAGUUGUAUUCUCAUAAAAUCCUUUCUUUCCAUAUCUCUCCAACUCUCAAAUAAGAGAAAAAUAUUUCUUUUCUUUUCUUUCAUUAAACUCCCAAACGUAAUAUGCAUCUUUCCCCUUCUCUUCCUUUCUUUCCUAAGCUAUCUUUUCUUUUCUGUUUUGACCACUCCCCUAGUCUUUUCUAUUUUUUAAGAUUUGCCUCUAGUUGUUUGUUUUAAAAGUUUUCAUUAAUAGCUAGUUUGGGAGAUGAGAUUUGAACAGAAAAGAAAGGAAUAGAAGAGAAAGACUGCAUCUCCCACGUUUGAGAGCUUUAAGUGGAAGGAAAGGAAAAGAAAUCGACGGAAUUGAAAGGAGGAAAAAGUAGCUACAGUUUAAAAAAAAUUUCCGGCCCAAAUCGGGCAGAAAGCAAAGGAAAGCACGGAAAGGCAGCAAAAAGUUUUUUAAAUUGCCCAUUCUACCCCCAAAAAGCUAUUGAAUGAAAUAUUUAUUUACUUAUGUAUCCAAAAUCACUUCUUUUCUUUCAUAAACUCCCAAACAACAUUAAAACCCUUUCCCUUCUUUUCUUAUCUUUUCUUUUCUCUCAUAACUUAAUCUUUCUCUUCCUUUCUUUUCUAUCCUCAACUCACAAACUAGCUAUAAGUUUCGAACUGAAAAAUGUUAAUUGUCUAGCUUAAUAAUCUUCUUGUUUAGUUGAGUUGUAAUUGGCUUUAAUUGGUUCCCUCUCAGCGAUGGAUGUCUUGCAAAAAAGCAGUGAAAGAAUCCCUUUGAGUCAGAGGCCUGAAUAUGCCGAUGUGAAGCCUGUCGCCCAGGAUGACGGUCCAAAUCCCAUUGUCCCUAUCUCCUAUACUGAUGAAUUUAGAGAGACAAUGGACUAUUUUAGAGCAAUAUAUGUAACCGAUGAGCGGUCUCUUCGAGCUCUUCAACUCACCGCCGAAGCCAUCAAACUUAACGCUGGAAAUUACACUGUUAGUUCUUGUUUUGUGUUGAUGCAUGCUUAUAUGUUUAGUACCGGGAGUGAGAAAUUUUUGAUGCAAGAGCCUAUUGUUUUUGCUGUUUAGGGAAUUUUGCAGUAAAUAUUUUAUGAUAAACAACACAGAAGAGUCUAAAUUUUGACCUUUUUCUGCUAUUUUAAAUUCUCACAACAAGACCCCUUUUGUUAAAGUGAUUUUUUGAAUAAUCAUGACAUGCGUGUUUGCUAUCUUGUUCAUGAGUUCUUGAUGUUAUUAGAUGGGCCCUUUAGGCUCUUGAAGCUUCGGAAAAAAGAAGAAAAUAUGGAGGGGAAUUAUUUUGUGAAGAAUUAUGUGUAUUAGGCAUUUAUUUUGUGUGUCUGUUGAUUUAGGUAUGGCAAUUUAGGCGGCUAGUACUCAAGGCGCUUAAUGCUGACAUGAACAAGGAAUUGGACUUUGUGGAUGGCAUUGUGGAAAGAAACUCUAAGAAUUAUCAGAUAUGGUAUAGCUACUUUUUUCUUCUGCAUUUGGACCCUUAAGUAGAUAAUUGCAGUUUUGUUGUUUAUUGUACCUGGUGCAAUUGAUCAAGGACAAAGUCUAGGUGCCUGCAGACUGAAUUGGUGAGGUCAUCCUUUUGACAAAUAGUUUUCUUGUUUUAUCUGCCUGUCCUCUUAUUUUCUCCUCGACUCUUAAGCUUUUAACAAUCAUAUUUGUGUGGAAGCUUUGUUUCAUUUAACUUCUCGGGUUUGCUUGAAUUCUUUUUGUUGCUAAGGAACUUUUCUAUGCUGGGACAUUAUUCAUUUCCAAAUCUAAAAAUACUUAAUACAUAACGGGAAAAAAAGGAUUAUCUUUGUACUAGUAGUAUUUGGAAAGUUAUCAGCAUCCUUUGCAAUACCUAUAUCCUGUCAAUUCGUAUCAUGUCAGUUAUAGUUCUUUGGUUGGUAAAAUAAAGUGUCAUAAUAAGAUGCAUAGUUGAAUGGAACAUAAUCUGACAUGUAGUUCAAACAUACAAGAGUAAGCUACUAAAUUUGAACAUAGAACUAUUGGCUUGGGAUAUUAUCACACGGACAAGCUAUUUUGAUAUUGAAUUUUGCUUAAUUGAAUGGGAGGCCCUAUGGAGUCGGUGAGGGUUUAAAAUCAUAACCUGACAUGUAAUUUCAAAAAAAGACCAGUGUCCAUCUGGAAACCAGCGAAAGCUGGAUUGGAUUGCUUGCUUGAAAAAAAAAAAAGAAUGGUUUUUUUUUAUUCUUUUAAUACAUACAUUUGGCACAAGCAUGCAUUCAAAACUUUCCUUUUUAUGUUGUUUCAUCCAGUUCUAUUGUUGGUUAGUUUCAAAUCAUUCUGUUUUUAGGGACUUGAAACUAAUUAGAAAAAUGACUUUCCAGGCACCAUAGGCGUUGGGUGGCUGAAAAUUUGGGAACUGAUCUUUCCACUAGGGAGCUUGAGUUCACAAAGAAAAUUCUUUCUAAGGAUGCAAAACAUUAUCAUGCCUGGUCUCAUAGACAGGUAAUUUUGAUUUAGUAUUAUUCUUUAUUCUGUUCCAUUCUUUGAGGUGGAAGAGUUCUCAAUUGCCUUAAAUGACAAUCACCAUGUUUGCUCUGGUAAAGGAGGUGUAAAGGGACUUUUUGUUUGGUAUGUGUACAUGAAGAGACUGAAUAUCUAAAUCUCUUGUGCAGUGGGUCCUUCAGGCACUUGGCGGAUGGAAAGAUGAGCUAGCCUAUUGUGAACUACUCCUCAAAGAUGACAUUUUCAAUAAUUCUGCUUGGAAUCAGGUAAAGAAUGAUGCUUUGGUUUGGAUUAGAUCCUAAAUGUCAUGAUGCCUAUCUCCAAAUGUCAUCGGUAAAUAGGCCCCUUUUAUGUUUUGGUCUACCAGUAUACAUUGAGUAAUACAAGAUGGUGUUGGCUUGAAAAUAAAAAUUACCAGGUAAAUAAGGUACGAGAUCAAGAAAAGCAAUUUAUGCAAGUCCGUGAAGCCAGUUACUGUAGAAAAAUCAAAGAGAGCCAUGGCUCUCUGGCCAGUCUUGACGUCACUUUAAAUAUUCCUCCAGUUUUGAUAUAUAUUUUGCUCCUGUUUUCUCCAUAAAACCUCCACUUGUGCUAGAUGCCUAGAACAGGCCCAAAGCCACUCCAAAUCCUCUCCUCUUUUCUAAUCGUGUCAGGUGGACUAUCUAGAGUUUUCUUUUUUGUGUCAGCAUUGUUAUUAGUAAAAUCUCGCAUUUCAUCUCACAUGAUGACUCAUUAUGCAACUUCGUGACCAACUUCAUGUAAAACCUUCAUUGUUUUAAUGUAAAACUAAUUUAAAUUUCCAAGUUCAUGACUAGAUGUUCUUGAAAAUUCUUGAAAACAGGGAAAGAAAAAUUCUGACUAAUCUGAUUAACAACGUUAAUGUUUUCGACCCAAUUUGUGCUAGAUUGAAUAUUCGAAAUCUUUUCCUAGUUGAACUGAUUAAAUCUUAGGUAUUUCCAGGUAAACCAAACUAAUUAGUUAGAAGCUUAUCAACUCAAACCCUCUGAUCUUAUGCAACACAAUUGUAUUGUGCUUAUAUGCCUAUUUUGAUAUCUUGUUCACAAAAUCAUCUGUUAUUUGUUCUGUACUGAUAGAUAAAUAUGUAAAGUAUUCAAUGUGUGUCGGUGAACGUAUAAAACCCGAGAUUUCAAAUUCAGCUGUUUAUGAUCCAUAAACAGCUGAUAUGCUAUGAGGAGGUCAUGUUUUACUUGUCCUUGCAUGAUCUCUUGUCACAGUGUUGUACCUUUGUAGAUUUCUACAUCUGAGAAAUCCCAUGUUGAAUUAUUGGUUGCAGAGAUAUUUUGUUGUAACAAGAUCUCCUCUCCUUGGAGGCCUGGGGGCAAUGCGGGAGUCAGAAGUAACUUGUACAGUUAAUGCAAUUAUGGAGCAUCCUGAAAAUGAAAGUCCUUGGAGGUACCUUCGAGGCUUAUACAGAAAUGAUACACAGGCUCUAGUUAAAGACCCUCAAGUAGCGUCAGUUUGCUUAAAGAUUUUGACUGCCAAAAACAAUUACGUGCACGCCCUCAGCAUGCUUUUGGACCUUCUCUGCCAUGGUUUCCAGGCUAGCCUGGAGAUAAGAAAUGCUGUCUAUGGUCUUUCUGACUCAGGUGCCCAAGGUUCUGAUUUGGUGAAAGUGGUCUGUUCCAUCCUAGAACUUGUAGAUCCAAUGAGAGCAAACUAUUGGAAGUGGCGGAGGAACAUGGCGCCUGCUCAAGCAGCUCAAUGCUUGAAAGAUGAUGGAUUGACUGGUUUGAGUUUAUAAAGGUGCCCAUAGAUCUUUCGUCUUAUCUUACCUUAUUUCUCUACUCGUUGGUAUAUUAUCAGAGGAGAGAGAUCCUACAUAGAAAAGAACUUCUUAUGUGAAAAGUCCUUGUGUUGCUCUUGACACCGCCAUAUUGAACUAUCCUUUUGUUGUAACACCACCAUAUUGAACUACCCACUGUAGCUGAACCUGUAAUUUACUCGAUUUGAGUACCGGAUAAAGGAUGCAAUCGAAACAUAUAUAAGCUAUGCAACUUGGUUUCUUCUGUCUUUCUAUUUACACGAUAUUGACGUGUUUUUUUUUUUUUCAUAAUGUAGCGUCCUCCUCCAUAAGAUUUGCAGAAACUGAGUUUUAUGACAAUGGGAUGCUCCCCACCUAUUCCAUUCUCACCCUUUUUGGGCUCUAGACCGCAAGUUUCUGGUAACUAUAGGCGUUUCAAUGUCACUACUGACAAGCAUUCUAGGAGAAAUUAAACUAGUGUUGGACUUUGUCGGUUUAUAUUCCUAUAUCACUUGUUUGCAAGUAACCUUGUCAGUUUGUCUCAGUGGUUCACUAAUUUAUGAAAUGUUAGAGAUGAAUUUGUUAAUGUUUCAGUUGAUGUCUUCGCUGUGUGGUUGUGAUUAUACUAAGCUGACUUGAACCUUGCACAGUGACCAUUCAUCGGAUAUGAGAUUGUAAGCAAACUUGUAUAACCAAAACAAAAUAGCAAUUUGUAUAAUACAAAGAUUUGGUUAAAAAAAUUAUAUAAUAUGUAUCAUCAAGGUUGUUUCGCAUGACAAAAAACGUUAGCAUUUAAAUCUGAGCAAUUCAGGCAAUCCAAUUAGCACGCUAUGUUAGUAUGCUUUAACUCUCCAAACUGCAAACGGAACAAUGCUGGGAGUUCGUCUCAAAGUAUUCUUUUCCCUAAAAUAUGUUAAUGGAGAAGGUAAUGUCGGGUUUAAAAAAAAAAAAAUUGCAUUGUACGACGGGAAGAAAAGGUAUUGCAGUAGGCCAGAGUCAAGGCAUUACCGCAUUGCCUCCAACUUUUCCAGUAGAUUAUAUAUCAAAUUAGAAGAGACUUACAGUGAUAAAGAAAUAAAUAAUGAAAUUGAUUAUUGAAAUAGGAAAAAAAACUAAAUAUGCAAAAUUUGUCAUAUUUUAUUUGUUGUUAAGAAAAACUUUUAUAUUACAUGAUAAUUUCUUUUAUUGGAUUAGAAAUUUUUUAUUAUGAUUUUAUUGUGGAAGUAGAAUUUAUUCUCUAUAUUUGAGAUAUUAAUAUUUUUAUGGUCAUAGGAGAAUUGUAAUGGUGGUUCUAAAUCAAAUUAACUUACAUUGAAAAAGUAUUUGAACAUUGAUAUUUAAUUUGGAGGUAUAAAAUUAGCUAUCAAUGGGAUUUUGUAUGUGUAUUUUUUUUUAAUUUUGACAAGUAUUGAUACUGUGUAUGAAAGUUGGGAUUUUGUGGAUGCCCACUUGUCACGAGUUGCUUAAAUUUCUAUAAAUCAACACACCAUGCGGUACUAGUGAUCAUUUAAAACUUGAGUUAUGAACGGUUUACUGUGAGGACCCGCAAAUUUCUUAUGUUUUUCCUCAAAAAUGCCUUUUAUUUGAAAAUUAUUAUUUAUUAAAGCCUCCUACCCAAUUAUUCCACAAUAAGUGCAGAUAAACCUAAAAAGUAGGGUUUCACUCUUCGUUUUCAAGAUUGGAGCAAAAUUAGGGUUUUCGCAAUUUUUCCGCCGGAUGAAUUUUCGGUAUGGAGCAAGGAUCAAAUUUGGUGAUUAAAAGUGACUUUUAAGUGGACAAUAAUAUGUGAUUAGGAGCAAUGAUAUAAAGUUAGUGAAUGGGAAGUAAAAACCCUAAUACGUGUGUUUUUAAGAAAAACGGCGCGAACCGGCGGGUCCCGCGCACUACCGAUUGAACGCACUAAUUGACCACCACUUUCUUAUCAUACAAGUUUAUUGAUAUUUGAGCAAAAUAACCUCUUAAUUGUCAGCUUGUUUGACCGAAAAUUAGAGGCUAGAAAUAGCAAGGAAAGAAAGAGAAAAAUGAAAGGUGGAGGUGGCGACACUUGUCGCCAUCCUAGAGUUUCUUGGCCAAGUGAGUAACUAACCUUCUUAAACCAAUUUUCUGCACUUUCCCUUCAUCAUUUCUGCUCCAUAGCUGACCAAAGAGAGAGAGGAAAGAGAGAACAAGAACAACUUUCUUCUUCUUGAAUCUUAGCAAUCCAAGUGACAAAUCAAAUUUCCAAACCGGUUAAAGUGCUAAUUGUGAGUUGGGAAGCUUGAGGAACCAAGAAAUAUCAAAGGGGGUGAAGGAUCACUCUACCAAGCCUUGCUUUUGAGGUACCAACAUUUGAUCAUGAUCUUUGUUGCUUUGAAUCUUGCUUUAAAAUGUUAUUUAGCUUAAGUUUUGGCUUGAUUUCAAGAUGUGCAAGUAGUUGUGAUGAUUAUUGGAUGAGAUAUGCAAGUUAGGGUUUAAUAAUUUUCUGCCUAAACUUGUUGUAUAGUUAGUAUAUGUUGUAUAUAAGAUUAUAUAAGGGGCUUUGGUAGUGAUUGGAACAAGAAAUUUGAGAAAGUUUCAUUGAAGACCAAAAAUUCCAGAAUCUGGAAAAUUUGUUCCCCUUUCUGUCCGGUUUUGUAGCCCUAUGUUAGAGGUCGAAUUGGCCUUGGUUUAAAACAUGAAAGUUGUAGGGAAUGACAUUUUAGAGGUGCCUGCAAAAUUUCAGGUCAAUCGGAGUAACGUAGAAUGAGAAAAGACGGAUUUACCCUUGCUGUCCUGUUUCUACCCGAACCUGAGAAUUGCGAUUGUAAUUGGUUAUUUUGGUUUGGAAUGCUUCAGAAUUGGUUGUUCUGGUCUUCUAAUGAAAUGUAGCCCUAUUUCUAAGUUUUCAUAUGGCUUUGGAAUUUCUGGAUUUGGACUUAUGUAGGCUGUUUUAUGAUGUUUGUACUAGAAUACGGUUUGUGAACCUGUUUUGCGAUUCUGGUGUAGUAUGUUACAUUUUUGACAUAGUUACACUCGAAAUUGGACUAAGUGGCCUUCUUCAACAUUGUAGACCCUUAAGUCCUGAAUAUUCCUGUAAAAUUUCAGGUCAAACGGAUUAUGGUAUCAUGAGUUAUAGAUGAAAUACUCAAGCCUGUUUUGAACAUCAGGUUCUGUGCGUUUUUAGUUUAGCUUCUGCCCGUGACUUUUUCAGUUUUGAUACCGUACGAUCUGGGUGGUGACUCUUUCAUAAGAAAUGUAGAUCUUGGUUUUGGCUUCGAAACGGUAUAAAGUGCGUCGAAAUCCAAGUUCCGUAGCUUCCGUUAUGACCCAAACAAGAUCGAUCGUCAGAACUGCCUUGUAUCUGGACAGUUCUGAUGGGUAGUAUGACACUCAAUUUUCGUUCUGUUCUGAGUUGAUUCAGGUCUUGGCCAAAACAUCAAAGUUUUAGUCUUAGGUCUCAGCUUUCUAAUGCCUUUGAAAUUUCCUGAUUUGGAUUUGUGAGCUGGGAGUUAUGGUCCAGCAAACAACCCUAUUCGUCACCCUAAGACGUAAAUUUCUGGUAUUGUUUUCUACAAUUUUGACCUGCUUCCAUUCAGAUCUAGAUUAAAGUUUCUUCAGGAGAUUUGUAGCCCUUUCUCAUAGCUUCAAAACAGUAUCUCGUUCACUUUGAUCCGACUUUCCUAGCCUAAUCUUUGAUCAAAACGGUUUGAGAUGGCAGAUUUGACCGUUUCCUUUUGCCGUUCCGCGCACUUGCAUGUGCCAAUUUUGCCGUUUCCGUACUUGAGUGUGUCGGCUUUUGCCGUUUUGCUUGUUUUAAGUAUGUUAGUAGCCGUUUGUGAUAUAUUGUGAUACAAUCUUCUAUUUCAGACGGUGGUGAGUUAGGUAGAGCCGGUGGGGCCUACUAGCUACUUUUUGCGACGUGAAUUUUGUCCUUUUGUUAUCCUUGUUCGUUGAGUAAGUAUUCAGGCCGCUCUUACACGUUAGUUGUUUAUGUGUUUCGAUAUGUAUGAAAAGGGUACCUAGGCGAGGGUGUACUUUAUCGCACUCGACCUAAACCCUAAUUUGCGCACAUAUUUGUACAUGACAUAUGUAUAUGAAUCAUUUUGGAACUAAACCCCUUGAGCUUGUGGCUCGGGGUGACUUUCGAAUAAAUUUUGUGAAGUUUGUGAGUUUGGGGCCCGAUCUCAAUACCUAGAUGGACUAUUCGAGCUGGUUAGGGUUUGGUCGAAGUCAGUCCAACUUGGUUUGAGGUCACCAAGUUUGUGAACCCGGUUCACUGAGUAUGUGGAUCAAGUUUGUGACCCGAGCUUGUGAUUCAAGCUCAAGUUUGUGAUUUCGUUCGCCUGGGCAAGUUUGUGAGAUGACUGGCCAGUGAGGGUGAUAAGGUGUUCGGUGGGUGUACAAGUGGAGCUCUACGGACCUUAUUUGUGGUCGACGGAGUGUCGGCAGGAGAUCAUAUACGGCACAUGAAUUGGCUUUGGAGCCACCCGUAUCCUUAUUAUGUAAUGUUACUUUUCUGCUUUUGCUUUACUCUUACUGAGUAACUGUUGUUACGUGAAAUUUAUGCUUUUACCCCUGUUUACUUACUAAACAUAUACCUUACCUCUUUCCUUUUGUUUUCCUUAGCAGGGGGCCGACGCGGGGAUCGCUCGGGAAGGUGUUUAGUGUUUCGAUUAUAGACGAGUGAACUUGUACUUGUUUUAGUUGACUAGUAAGAUGUGUAUUUGAGUUUUAUCCUGUAAUUUAUUUGAGAACUGUAGUGCUUGAGUGAGUCCCGACGAGAGUUGGGCAGGCGGUCCGCCGAACCCUCUGGUUCGCCUUAGGGGAAGGCAGGGCCGUCACAUUUACUAGUUCAACUUUACAUCCAAAUGUGCGAAAAUGUGCAGAAUUAAAGUAGUAAGCAAAGAAGAAAAACGUUGAAAACUAAGAAAAAUUUGUAUUGCUCUUAUGAACACUUACAUAAAAUUGUUUACAAAUGAGGAGGUUUCACCUAUUUAUAGGUAAGUUCAAAAAGUUAUAUAAGUUUUUUAGAGAAUUUUACACUAAAUCCUAUUUCUAGAACUUUUUAUAGAAGACAACUCUUAUGUAUAAAACUUUAGGCUAUUCUUGAACAAUCUAGAAUGUUUCGGAAGUCUGUAUGGCUUACUAACUACUUUUAGAUCUUAUACUUGAAUGAUUGUUAUUCGUUGAUUUAUACAAAGUGUGGAAGAAAAUGAUUGAGUAUACUAUAUUUUUCUUUCUUAACUUUAUACAAAAGGAAUAAGGAUAAAGUGAAGCUUCAAGAUAUGGAGAGUGGACAAGGUAGGGAAAGAAAAGAAUGUAAAGCUCACCAAUGGUGAGAGAGGCCCGAGAACAAGAAAUAGAAGAGAAGCGGAUCAGAAAUAUCAUCUAGCCAUGCGAGUUGGUUCCACGUAGAGGUGUUAAAAUGGGUGAUUUGGACGGAUUUGGGUUAGGUAAAAUGGGUAAUGAGUAUAAAUGAGUCAAUCCAUUUAUACUCAUUUAAUUAGAUGGGUAUAAAUUGGUAAGUCAAAAAAUGAAUUGGGUAACCCAAUUACCCAUUUAUAACCCAUUUAUUUUAAUUUUUUGUAAACUCAUUUAAAUUUAUUUUUACAAACUAAGUUAUCAAUUUAUACCGCUCUUUGUACCCAUUAUUAAUUUUAAAUAUUUACUUAUAAUGUUCAAUAAGUUUAAUUACCAAUUUUUUUCAUUUAUACUCUCUGUCGCAAAAUUAUAUAUUAUUUAAUAAUUGAAUAAUAAGAAUAAAAAAAUUUGAACUAAGUACUAUAAAAGUUAAUAUAAAAUUUUAAUUCAAAAAUUUUGAACCCCUAAUAUUUUUUUUCAUAUAUAAAUUUAAAAUUUCAUUGUAGAAAGAUAAGAAAAUAGUCUAAAACUUAUCAUAAAUUGGUAAUAUUAAAAAAUGAGUAAGUUAACAAAUUAAGAGAAAAUAAAAUAAUAAAAUAAAAUCAACAAAUAAUAAUAAUAAUGAAACAAAAGUAGUUAACAUCAUGACAAAAUGAAAAUUUUGAAAAAAAAAUGGGUGGAGGAAGAGAAGAGACUUGGAGGAAGAUAAUUCUAAAUGAGUUAAUUAGAUUUGAUGAGUUACCCAAUAAUAUCCAUUUAAUAAAGUGAGUAUUAUUGAAUAACCCAUUUAUAUCCAUCUACAAAAAUUUAAGAUACCCAUACCCAUCUAUUCAUGGGCGAGUAUGGGUAAAUUUAAUUAAGUGGGUUAGUUUGUCACCUAUAACUAAACAGUAGGGGCUCCACUUACUGAACACAGGUGAAACUUUCUUUUUCAGAGGGUAGCGAGGGCCUCUAAUCUGUCCUGCUGCAAUCUCUUUCCCAUUGAUUUCGAAAAAUCUUAAGAUCCAAGCGGUCAGGUACGAAAGAAUUUCUCUCUCUCGAUCUCCUAUUAUGCGUUCGAUUUUGUUGUCUCUCCUACUGAUCAUGCGAAUUCUUUUAUCGAUCAAAUUAAUUUCCUAUCAUCUUGAAAUUUCUGCCUACGACGAUUUAAGAUAUAUUUGUAUUUCUUUUGCUUGGUGAUUUUCCGGAUCAAAAAUUUCUUUUAAUUGCUAUUUGCAGAUCUUAAAUCAUAAGUUCUUGCUAAUGAAUUUGUAACCUAAAUUCUGCUUGCGAUUUUGUCGUCUCUCCUAUGAAUCAUGUGAAUUCUUUUAUUUGAAUUCUUUUAUCGAUCAGAUUAAUUUCCUAUCAUCUUGAAAUUUCUGCCUAUGACGGUUUAAGAUAUAUUUGUCUUUUUUUUGCUUGGUGAUUUCUCUUAAUGUACAUUUUUUUUGGCCUGUGCAGAAGUCAUGGCAGGAAGCACAGACAAGAAUAAAGAAAAUGGGCCGUAGCGCUGCAACAAUCACCAACAAUGCAAGAAAAGUUUUCAGUCUCUCUAGUUGCUCUCUAAACACAACACCAAAGUCCACAGUCUCUCUCUUAAAACUGCUAAAAAGAUCUAUGCUCCCAACAAGUCGUUGAAAAAGAGUAAGCUGAAAUUCAAAACACACCUAAAAAUUCAAUUACUUGUGGAUGGAACUUCCACGUUCAUGACUUCUUAAAGUGUCUCCACUCAUUUUGUGAACUCAUUUUCUUUUUCUUUUCAACAACAACAGAAAAUUAAUUGCUCUAUUAACAUCAUGAGAUCUAACACCAUCAGAAGAUAAAAGUAAAAUGGAUAGCAAUCCACAUUGAAAUUCUAGUUUAGAUUAAAGAAAUCAAAUUAUGGAUACCUUUUUUGUCAAGAUAGAAUUUUGAUAAAUUGAUUAAAUUGAACUUAAACAGCAUUGUUUGUUUAGCACAAUAUGAGAAUACGAUUUCCAAGACAUACACUCACACGCGUUGGUGAUGUUUUUUAUUGCAAUGCCUUCUGGAAAGAACUCAAAAUUCGAGAGCAUUUCAAGAAUUAUAAUCCAAAACUCAAAUUCUAUUUCCAUGCAACAUUUUAGCUAACACCUUGAUUGCAUUUACAGGAUCACAAAUUCUCCAUCCUAACCCAAUAUAGGCAAACCCAAAACUUGCUCAUAUGAAUUCAGCACAACAACAACAGUACCAAUUCAAUACCAAAUCUCAACUAAAAGUCACAGACCAGCAAAAUAGUUCGACUAAAAUACUUCAAUAAAGAAUCUAAACUGUCGACAAAAUUAUAUGCAUAAGAAAGAAACAGAAGUUACAGCUUUUGGAGUUACAGGUAGAACGGGAUUUACACUAUUUUUUUUCUGAUGAUAUUUGACACAGUAAUGGUGGAUGAUUCCGGCAAAACGAUGAUUUCUUUGCCUCAUUUGUUCCUCAGAUUUGGUCUGCUUUUACUAUUUUUUCCCUUGAAUUUUGACUCACUGUUUCAUUCAUUCUUUUUUCAUCCCCUCAGCUUUAAGGGUUUUGGUUUUGAAACCUGAGAAGGGUUUUCGAAGCUGUAGGCUUCUUACUGCUGAUAAUUCAAAUGCUCGAAGGAAAAAGAAUCGAAAUAGAUUGUUAGACAAGUGAGGGUCAUGAGAUUCCGUUCCGUUUGAGGUUCCGUUAAUCUGAAAUUUGAAUAGUGAAACAUAAUUUGUCGAAUUUUAAGUACUGAAACAAAUAUAUAAAUCUCUAAAUCUUAGGUUGUGCUUGAUAAAACAGGAGUUUAAAAAUUGAAGUAUGAAAAUUUGAAUCUAUUAAAUUAAGGAAUUGUUAAGUACUAAAAUUUGAUACAUUUGAGUGUAUAUUAAAACAAGGGAUAAGUGAAUAGUUUAUCACUUACUUUUGAAGCAAAUUUUGUCUAAUAAAUUAGGAUAAUUUCAGAAACCUCUCAUGGGAUUUUUAACAAUUGCAGAGAGCUCCCCUCAAAUUUAUUAAAUUACACCCACCUCUCUUGCUUUUACUGUUUUAUAACAAUAUAGAUCCAAAAGACUAUUUUUUUUUCUCAAAAAUCCUAAACUACCCUUUUUGUACAAAAAUUUAAAAAAAAAUUAUUUUGCCAAUUGCUUUCUUCCGUAUUUCAACCAAAUCCACUAUACUAACAAAUUAGCCUAACAAAUAGUCUAAUUUCAAAUGCUAAACCCAAGUAAUUCCAUCAUCAUAAUCAUAGAAUUGCUUCUCUCAAAGCAUGCAUUCAAUUUUGAAGAUUCGUUUCAUCUUUCAUAAAUAUUCUUAUCAUAUGAUUCCAUGAAAUAGUCAAACUCACAAUCAACUGUCAUUAUAUUUGCAUAAUUUUCAACAUAAGAUACCAUGGUUUGAUUCCAUAUAAGUGGUUCAACUCUUACUAUAUGAGCCACAUUAUGGCUUUGAAGAAAAUCCUUAGGGGAGAUUUAGGUAUGGAUGGAAUUAAUCAAAUUUAAAAGAAGAAAGGCAGCAUUAUGACUAUAGAGAUUUUCAAGAAAUUUAUUUUGCCAAAAAUUAAAACUUUAUUUACAACUAAUCACACCAUAACUUCAAGCCUAAUGCUUACACCUUCUCAAAACAAAUUAAUCUAGUCUACCAUCAAAUCUUCAAACAUGUUAACAUCUUAAAUACAGAGAAGAAACUCUAUUUCUGUAGCAAAACUAUAAUCAACAAUUGUCAAUCAUCAAAAGAAAUAUAAAUGUACUUAUUAACAUCUUAAAAAGUUUUUUGGAUGGAUGAUAGACAAAUUAGCAAAUUUACCAAUUUCAGUCCCUUUUCUUCUUUUGGCCAAUGAUUGCAUUAUUUGUUCCAUUAUUAUUGUGUGCCUCUUCAUCUCUUUUUAGUUUGAUCCUAAAAUCAUAUUUUACUUCAACCAUCAAAUCUAAUCUAUCAAAUCUAAUCUCUUAACUAAACUUGUGAUUUGACAAUUUCAAAAAAAAGAAAGGAGGAAUAGAAAUAUUUAGUAGAAUUUGGGGGAUCACUUAUAGUGUGAUUGGCUGCAGUUAUAGGCAAUGGUUGGUGAUAAUUUGAGAGCAAGUUAUAGGAUGAAGGGGUUGAUAGAUGAUAACGAAAUGACAGUACGUGAGAGAGAAUCGUCGUUGGCUGUAAUUUAUAAACAAGAUAGCCAUUAUACUGUGAAUUAUUUAUUAAGUGAAGGUCAUUGUAGUCAUUUUAUUGUAACAAAUGAGGUUAUUGUAAUUUAUAAAACUUAAGGUGAGGCUAGUAAAAUUGUCACCCAACUUUCCAUACUUUUUUUCAUACUGGUUACCUUUUAAAGAGUGUUAAUCACACAGUGAUUACUCUUAUUCCCAAAGUACUAAACCCUACAUCCUUGAAGCAGUUUAGACCCAUUAGUCUCUGUACUACUAUGUACAAGAUCAUAGCUAAAAUCUUAGCCAAUAGGAUUAAAAGUGUCUUGCAUUGUUGCAUUUGCAAAAAUCAAUAUGCUUUCAUUUCUGGUAGGCAAAUUCUUGACAACAUUAUGGUUUCUCAUGAAUAUUUGUAUUAUUUAAAAAACAUGCGACAUGGCAAGGAGGGGUUUAUGGCAGUUAAGCUUGACAUGUCUAAAGCCUACGACCGCGUGGAGUGGAGUUUUUUGGAAGCAAUGAUGCAUAAGAUGGGAUUUCACAGUACAUGGAUAAAUUGGAUAAUGCAGUGCCUAAAUUCUGUUUCCUUCUCUUUUAAUAUUAAUGGGGAGGUUAAAGGGUAUGUCAUCCCUAAGAGAGGAAUUAGACAAGGGACCCUCUAUCCCCUUAUCUAUUUCUAAUUUGUUUAGAGGGAUUAUCCAACCUGCUUAGGAAGGCUAAGGCUAAUAGGAUGUUGUCAGGGAUGAAUAUAAGUAGAAGGGGACCUAGUAUAACUCACAUUUUCUUUGCGGAUGAUUCCUUAAUUUUUUGCAAAGCAAAUCAGGAUCAAACAAAGGAGUUAAUGAGAGUACUAGAUGUCUAUGGCUUGGCGUCUGGUCAAGUGAUUAACCUGGAAAAGUCUUCCAUUCUAUUCAGCAAGAACGUGCAACCAGGUUUGAUGCUUCAGAUUUGCCGAACCAUGGGGAAUAUGCAAAGAGUCUGUCAAGGCAAGUACCUUGAAUUGCCAAUGGUAGUUUCGAGAACAAAACAACAGCUUUUUGGUUUUGUUAAGUCGAACAUACAACAGAGAGUGCUCUAGUGGAAGAACAAGUUUCUAAGUACGGCAGGCAAGGAAAUAUUACUUAAAUCAGUGGCUCAAGCUAUGCCUACUUAUACUAUGUCAUGCUUCAAGGUGCCGGCCAGAUUGUGCAAGGAAAUCAGCUCACUCAUGUCAAACUUUUGGCGAGGAGACAUCAAUGGAAAUAAUAAAAUUCAUUAGUGUUCCUGGAGAAAGAUCACUCAGGAGAAGGACAAGGGGGGUUAGGAUUCAAGGAUUUAGAGGCCUUUAACACUGCACUACUGGGUAAACAGGUAUGACGUUUGAUUACUCAACCCAACCUGUUAGUUAGCCAAGUAAUGCGGGCUAAGUACUACUCCAGAACUUCAAUAUUCAGGUGUAAAGUCCCCAAUAAUGCCUCAUGGUUAUGGAGAAGUCUGAUGAGUGCAAGACACGUGGUGGAACAAGGCACUAGAAGACGGAUUGGUAAUGGAAAGAAUACACAUAUCUGGGAAGAUAGCUGGCUUCCGGACACAAUAAAUGGGAGAGUAACUACUUGCAGAGCUAUGGAUGGUGGACUGCAGAAAGAAGCAGAUUUGAUUUGCCAAAGAAGAUGGAACCGCAAUUUGGUUUUCCAAACUUUUAACACCAAAGACGCGGACAGAAUUUUGAGUAUCCCAAUCAGUCUAGCUGGCAGGGAAGAUUCUCAUUUUUGGUUACAUGGUGUGGAUGGGAAUUACUCUGUCAAUUCAGGGUAUAAGGUGCCGAUGGCUAGCAAGGAAACCAAGCAGAAAACAAAUCAGAAUGACAGCACUACUAGUUGGGAGCAUCAGUCUAAGAAGAUUUGGAAGCAAUUGUGGAGCUUAAAGAUUAAGCAUAAACAGAAAAUAUUUCUCUGGAAAUGUCUAAACAAUGCUCUCCCGGUCAGAGAUAUCAUCUAUGGUAGAAUCAAAGCUGGAGACCCUAUUUGCAUGCGAUGUGGAGAGGAAAGGGAGACGAUUGAACAUACAUUUUUGAAUUGUGUGGAUGCAAAAAUGACAUGAAAGUUAGCCCCAAUCCAAUGGGAAGGCAUAUUGGAACAACAUGGCUGUUUUAGAAGAUGGUGGACAUCCAUCAUUGAAGCUAGACAUGGACCACAAAGUUGGCAACAUAUUGCUCUAUCGGUCCAUAUACUCUGGCAAAUAUGGAAAGGGAGGAAUGGGGCAGAAUUCAAUGGCAAGAAAUACAUGCCAUGGACGGCUAUUCAGAAGGCAUUAAAGGAAUGGUUAGAAUUGGGAGAAGUAGAUAGACUGGAAACUAGGAUGAGUACGACCGAAACAGAAGCUCUACUACAUCUGCAACAUCCACAGCUUUGUUCACAACAUGGUGUCCUGCAAUUCAGCAUUGCAAUUACAAGGGACAAGCACGAACCAUGGGUAGGCAUUGGAAUCUGUCUAAUAGGAGGAGCUCAGAGAACACACACAGGCUGGGCAAUGCGUGAAACCAGUUCAGGAUCUUUCUUGCUGGAUGAAGCAUUAACUCUAAAAUUGGCAAUGUGUAAAGUUGCUGAAAUGCAACACAGGGUGGUCCAAUUCCAAGUGCAGAAUCAGCAGCUCCUCAACCUUAUUCAAUCCAAACAAGCACGGGAUAUCAGAUUAGCAACUGUGGUGGAGGAUAUUGUUCAACUCAGACUUUUGUUUCAUAUGUGCUCCUUUUGUCUAGUUCAAAAUGAUAACUAUCAUCUAAGCUCCAAGCUUAGUUCUUAUGCUUUAGGCAUUACUUUUGAUGAGGAAUUUAUGUUUUCUUAGUGGUUAAAUGACCGCUUGUGUAGUUUCAUUGAGUCUUUGUUUGUACUUGUAUAUUUUUUGAAAAGGAAUUGUUUCGAAAAAAAAAAAAAAUAAAACUGUACAUUAGGAUUCUGACAAGUGAUAAUGCAAAUUCAAAUAUUCAAUCUUCUUUGGGUUCCAUUGGCAUUGGGACAAGCAAUAACGCCAAUUCGAAUAUCCUCAAUCUUCUUUGGACCAUCUCAACAUCUCAAUUGAAAGAAAAAAGUCAAUUCCUCCUUCCGCCGCUGCAUUAUUUUUUCCCGUGGACUUAUAGCCAUUGAGGGAGAGGUCAAACUUAAACGUCGAAGGCUGGAAUCCGUAGUCCAAGUCCAUACUCCAUAGCUGUCCUGUGAGAGUGUGAGCUCCCUCGGCUUUGUUUCUCAUUCCCUCCUUGAUUUUCCCCACUUGAAAAUUAGUUCGACGAUGCCUUCACAAUUUACAGCCUAUCAUCAUUUCUUAGCUUAACCUACGCAGUCCCGACCCACCAAAAUGGAGGCCUCUUUCGUGUCCAAAGCUAGGACUGCCUUUCAUUCAGCUGCUGCUAAAGCGGAAAAAGUCUUUGCGGACAUCAAAAAAUCUGAUUCCGUUGCCGAUCGAGGUACAUAAAUUAGUUAAUUCCCCAAUCCAACUAUUUUGUGUAUUUUAUUUUUCUGUAAUGAAUUGCAGUUUACUAUUUUUAGACUCCAUAACUCGCGGCCUUUUCACUAUUAUUUAAUCAAUUAUUUUCUGGUCAAAACACGAUCGCAAAACUUGAAGCAGGGGAAGAUUCCGAUAGACAAUCGCCGAUUGCUUCGACGCCGGAUUCUGUGAGUAGCAAGGACGAAUCAAAGGUAUUGCAUUUCUUCUUUUAUUGGUUUAUUCAAUUUGUUUCGCAUUAUAAUUGAUUUUGGAAAUUUUUUGAAUUUUGAAAUUUAUUGAAACUAUCGUAAUCUGUUACACUCCCCUGGUUUGGGUGGUUUUGAGGUUAAAAAAAUGGGAAAAUUCAGGUUCUGUUUGAUUGCUGAUGGGAAUAAGAGAAGAUUAAAGAAACCAUAACCUAAAUUUGAGCUUCAAAAUUCCCUUUGAUCGAACUGAAAGGGCAGUCAACUUGGCCAUGGCUUGUCAAAUUUGCCCAAAAUCCAUUUGAUUGUUCUGUCCUUAGGUCCCAAUUAAUAUGGUAAAUGUGGGUAAUCUUAGAAUUAUUUGGCUUUGGUUGUUUUGUGUUGUAAUGAAAGAACUGUCAACUCAACCAGGCAUUUUGCAUUUUCUGAAUCUGUUACUGGAAUGAUACAGAACAGCAGUGAUGCAAGGAAUUCGAGGAGGAGACCGGCUCCGAUAAAGACAAAGCACGACUGGCAGGAGAGGUUUAGAAACUUAAGGAUAGGAAGAAGAGGUGCUGAGGAAGCUGACAAAGCUGAAAAUCCAACAAUGGCCUAUGCACUUUUUGAUGAGAAUAUAUGCUUCGCAAGUGAGAGAGAAGUGAAGGUAUGUAAACUUUGUCACUUGUCUACUUGAUGUUGAAGAUUUUGAAGUUUUGAGGUUUUGACUGUACAAACAUUGACAUCCGUAGCUGGGAAUGUCACAAAGUUCAUUGGCUACCAUACCUGGACUUUUCACUUUCCCUGCUGUACCCACGUCCGACUGUUCAUUUUGCGCUAGAGUAGCCGUAUUGGCGGGACCCAUUCCCGAGUCCAGCUAUCAUAGUUUGUGGCUCUGACAUGCAAUUUGGAGAGCUUGUUAUUCAUUCACUUGGUUUACUUGUAGAUGCUAAAAGAAUCUUAAUAUUCUUAUAUUGCUGCUCAACAUCUGAAUUUGUCUCCUCAUGAUCAACAGUUCAAAAGCAUUGAAGGCUUAGAUGUCAGUCUUCUAUAAGCUAAAAGCUCUAUAAGUGUAGGCCAGUGCCACUGCUACAUGUUGAAAACAUAACAAGUUACGCGACGUGUUUAUACUGUCACCAAUGGCAUUGUAUCUUAACUUUAGCAUCAGACAGGAUGGAGAUUUUAAUUAUUCAAUUGCCUUAUGAAACCCCAAAGAUGGGUGGACUGCAAUGAAUCAAUUAAGUAAACUUGGUAAUAAAUAAUGUCAAGAUGCAAAUGACUACAUUCUUGUUUUAUUUGAAAAGAUUGGAUUAUUACAGUAUUUUUGGAUAAGUUGGAAUUAUCUGGGCCUUCCCUUAGCUGUUGCCAAAACACUGGAGUUUUGGCCACGACCAGGUCAUUUAUGUAUCAGUCUGUAUUUUCAGGACUCAAAGAUGAAUUCAUUGGCUGAAGAUUCGAAUAUCUCAAAUGAAGACAUUAUUCCUGCUACAGCUAUUAUGAGACAGCUUGCAGUAGCUGUUGAGUAAGAUUUCACUUCACCACUUUUGCUGUACUUUCAGUUUUGAGUAUUUUGUUUCACCGGUUUUGAAGUUUGAUUUUAGUACUACUGUACUAGGAUUGCAAAACAAGGAAAGCUCUACUUGUUAUAUCAGCACCUCUUAUUCAUACAGGUGCUUGGUCCUUGUAAUUUGAUAUAGCUACUGAGGUUGGGAUGUGAAUUCUUAAUGUGCAUAACAAACCAUGGAAUAUAUUUUCUUAUACACUUAAGUCCUGGACAGGACAAAUACUGGACUGCCUGUUAUCUUUGCUUCUUUGGCUUUUCCUCAUUUUGUAUGCGAAAAGGAGGAUACUCUUCCGACUUCUUGAUGCAAACUUGGCACACCUUGAUUAAGUCAAUAGACAAACAAAUGAUAAUGUUAUUGGACCUAAAAGUGUUAUAACGUUUUAAUUUCUUUGGCACUUCUUUUCCAGGGCCGCUAAGAAAUAUAAUUCAUUGAAGGAUCUCCAGGCUUCAUCAAGAGACUCUUCACCUGUGAGAGAGAGGGCUGCGUUGGGCUUCUCAGCAAUGAAGUCUUUAGUACUACGGGAAAAGGAUGAUAAGUUCAUCAAUGAGUUUGGGUCGGAUGAGAAAGUAGUCUCUCUGAUCAAGUCACUACUAGAUGCAGGUAGAUGACUGCUUUGCUGAUUUAUCAGUUUGUCUUGCCUUAGCAUUUUCUAGUCUUUGUAUUCAGCUUUUGCAUUGCUGUGUAACAUUUUUUAUUUCCAUCAUAAUAUUUGCAUGAUACCCACAGAAGGACAUUUUCCUGGGAGGAAAGGUGACCUUGGCGAAGGAGAAUUUAUCACUGUCUCAUCUCUGACUAGAGAUAUUCAUGGUGCUCCAGCUGAAAGUUUUGUUGUUAAGCUCUCUGAAGCAAUUGGAAGCUUGAAAACCCUGCGGAAAAUGUCAUCCUUUUGGUGUAGAGUUGUCGCUGAAGUAAGUGGACGGUAUUGAACCUGAACUCAAGAUAUUUGGACUUGUUCUAUUGGGGAAACUUAAAUUCUCUGUCUAUUUCUUUUUUGGCUUUUCCUGCAUCGAAGGACAUGCUUGACAUGUUGCUACAGCUCCUGUCGUAGUGACACCCUUAUCUAAAUGCUACCACGCGAGAAUGAGCAGAGCCCAAGCUUGAACUAAUGUGUACAUCCUGACAUGGAUUACGUUAUUGCCGACCUUUUAAGCCCUCUUUUAUUGUGUGCUAAACGCUCUUUUCUUUGAAGUUGUGGCCCCUACGCGUCUACUGUUUGCCUGAAUAACAUGAAAUAAUUCUGACAUUAUGUUUUGUAUAACGACUUUUAGUACAAGUUGAGUUUUUUACUUAGUUUCAAAGUUGUAGUUGAUUGACAUGAAAAAAUCCUUCUCGCAUCACAGUUAAGAUGGUCACUCUUCUACAGUCAUUUUAUGAGGCAAUUCAACAAAUCAUUGACGUUCCUCCUCCUUGAGGAACAAGGCGAUGGAGUUAAACUGUCUUUUAAAGGGUGUCAACCAUGAUUGGUUUUUACUGCCUAGUUUUUUUUUUUGGUAAGCGAAGGGUUUGAACCCGAGAGGGUUUUUACUGCCUAGUUUUACUCCCUCCCCCCCCCUCCCCCUCUACUGCUUAGUUGAUCAUCUUAAAGCUUACAUACAUGACGACCUUUGCUUGAUGUGGACUCCAAAUAUUCCCUCCUCUAGUAAUAAGUGUUGACCUUUUAUUUUCUUGCAUUUAAAAUCAAGUUUGAGUUGUGGUUAGUUAUGCUCCCCAGUUGAUGGAGUUCCUUUUUUAAGCUUUUAGAUCUGUUCAAUCAAGUGAUUAUCAGUUAUUGUUAUCAAAUACAAAUUACCAUGGUGAUUUUGCACAGCACACUUCUUUUUGUGGUUCAGCAAGAAGUAAUUUAUGACCUUUUGACUUUAUUUCUCAAAUGCCUUUGUUUCUUGAGAAGUGAUCCUUACUGCAUUACUGCAUGAAACCUCAUUGACUUUUGGAAAUUAUUGAUACAGUUCCUGAGUACAUUCUCAAUUAACUGAGCAAUAUAUAUUUUAUUUGUUAUGCAGCUUAGAAGACUUUGGUCUGAAGGGCAGUAUAUUCCUGGCAUUCCACCAGAUGAAGUCCCAGACUUGAAUUCAUGUCUUUUGUAUCAGCAGUUACAGGUCAUCAACUGUUGUAUUUCCAGAAAAAGACGUCGUGCUAUUGCAACUGAAUCAUUAGAUUCAGUCUUAAGACAAGCUAGCCCAACUAUCGACAAGUCUUCUGAUUCUGAAAGCUUAAAUGCUUUAAAUUCUGUCUUAUAUGCAAGAACUAGCACUGAGGAACUUGUUCUUCGAUUAGGGGCUGAUAAAAAAUUUGAUAACUUGACAAUGCUGGAAACUGGUGAACCUGUUUUUACACCUGUCACCCAGGUUCUGUUGAUAUCUGAUGCUUAGAGUUUUCAUUACUGUCUUCUAGAAACUCUAACCUUUCACUGAGUUUGUAUGCAUGCAUAUGUAGGAGGCACCUUUGCUAACGGAAGAUCUUAUCAAAGAAACAGAAGAGUUUGUGCUGCGAACUGGAAGGUUGGUCGACUAAUUCAGCAUUUUUUUCCUGCUCUUUUUUUUCCCCUUGACCGCAAGAUUGGUUUUGAUUUCUGAAUUACAAUGUCUCUUUACUUAGAUUUGUCGUAACCUAGUCACAUUUUUGCUGAAAUUUUUGGUACAUCGUGGAGUUUUAGAAAUGGGAGAAUGGCUUUCUAUGUAAAAAUUGAAAGCACCAAUAGGGGCAGCUUAUAGUAAAAGAAUUGGAGAAAUGCUGGUGAUGGGUAGUAUAACAUUGUAAGAGCUGAAGUAUGAUAAAUGUAUAAGUUCUAUGUGAGUAAUUAUGGUGAAGUCUGUCAAUUGAUCAAUAUUGUUAUUUUUUAUGCUAAAUGUAGUAUACUGAAAGUGCUCAAAUCUGUAUACCUGAUAGUGUAUCUCUUUGCCAACCCAAUUGUGCUGAAUUAUGAAUGCUCAGUGAAUCUUCCAGUUUUUUUUAUUACUCCUAAAUCUAAGUGGCCAAUCUCUUAAUGUCUGUGUUCCCUUGUUGAAAUGUGAAGCCAAUUGCCUUGUUCCAAAAACUAUCCUGGAGAGGGAGUUAAUUACUUGGACUAUAAUUAUAAUCAGAAUAUUUAUUUUUUUGGAGCAAAGAAGAAUAUCUUGGGUUGAAAGAAUGGUUUGACGAAUCACAUGAAUUCUAUGCUUUCUCUGCUUCUUUAGAUGGCUUAACAGACACAAGGUAGACUUCAUCCAGUUUCCUGAGAAAUCAGGCUGGUGUUUACCCUAUUCUUGGAACCGUAAGUCGGAUUAAAUAUUAUGUGUUGUGGACUAUGGUAUGCAAUGAUUAGUUUGUGAAAAUAUCCUGGGUGAAAGACUACUGUUGGUUGAAGGACUGGAGAAUAAUGCAGGCAUUGAGGGUAAGAAAUUUUUAAAUCCACUUAAAUGGGGUCAUUGACAGGUCAUGUUCAAAAUGGUAUCUUUCCAAGGACCCCUUUUUGUAAGCCAAAAAGUGGAAGCAAAAAAAAGAAAAAAAGGGUCAUGCGUGCUUAAGAAUCUUAUCUUUCUCUUGACACUGGAAAUGAAGCAAAGGUUAAUAAGCAUUUCAAAAUAUUAGAAAUAAUUGAACCUCCCAUUCUUGAACCUUGUGAAAAUCUGCCUUGCAGGGGUAAGGAACCUUCCUCCAUUUGCUUCCACCUCUCUUUAGUUUGGUAGGGAUUGCCCAUUACUUCUCGUGUUACUUGACUAUUUUUUCAUCAUUCACACAUAGCAGGAGCAUGGUGAUGCUUAUAAUUGAACUAUUGGGGAUUUAUUUGAAGAAUGUGAAGGUUUUUCUAUUGCAUGUCUCUCAUAUACUGACAUCCCUAGAUUUCGUCUCCCAUUUUAUUUUAGUUCUUCAAGGAGACGAUUAGUUUCCAUGAUAUAUGUAUGCUUUAUGGUUUGGAAACAUUGAAGGGAACGCAUUUUUUUUCCACAUUAAUUGGUAUGGAUAUGUUAGGCUUGGGAAUUUGUUGUGGUGGAAUAGUUUUUUCUAUGUACGGACUGCUAUAAUUGUGGCUAUAACUUCAAUAUCACCUGAGUCAUUAUACUCUUCAACCUUUGUCCAUGCUGUAGCUUUUUUGUGUUGUUUACUUGCAUAUUCUUUAGAAAUUUAACAGAUAGGUGAAAAUUUGGAAUUACUGUGAUUUAUAUGCAUCAACUGUAUCUUGAAUUUUUGUAAUUUAAGGCACAGUGUGACAUGCUGCGUUGUCCUGUUGUGUUCAGUGUUGGUGCUGGUUGUUCGCAACUUCUGUCUGACAUGCAGGCUUUCAAGGUGACCCUCUGCAGUAAAUAACUGUCUUUUCAAGAUUCUUCUGGGGCCUUUUACUAUAGCAGAAAUUUGUGGAUUUUUUUGUUUUAUUUAUUUUUGUCGAACAGCAUUGUGAGAAAUUUGCACAUUAUGAUUCACACACCUAAGCUCCAAUGUUUUCUGUUAGGCAGCAAAUCCAGGUUGUAUAUUAGAAGAUUUCGUAAGGUGGCAUUCACCCCCCGAUUGGAUGGAAGGUGACAUUAACGAUGAAGCUGAUGAAACAUCUGAUGGUGGUGAUUUGUUGUCAACGAGAGGUCAACUUAGUAGGAGGAUGCAAAAAGAAGGUUACUUCUUUUGUUACAUUAGUUAACCUGGAACAUUGUCAUAACUAAUUGGAUAUCAACUAUUUUACCUGAAAGGAGCAAAGCCAAACAUGAAAGAGAGAAAACAACUGGUUUUAAUUCCAGCAGAUCAUUUGCCUCUUUUGUUCUCUUUCUGGUAUGUCUUGUUUAGGAAAUCAAAUGUGAUUUGCACAAUUUUAUGUUUCUUAUGUGAAAAAUAUUAAAAUAGAUUAGUCACUUGUUUGUUAUUCUGGGUGUUCUUAGCUUGAUAUUCAUCUGUAUUCACCAAUUUAUUGACUCUUGUGCUAAUUAUGGUGGAAUUAGCUGACUGAUAGAAUGGCUGUUGAUUUACAUCUAGGUAAUUUAUGGCGGGAACUGUGGGAAACUGCAAAACCAAUACCUGCAAUGAGACAGACUCCCCUCUUUGACGAGGAUCUUGCUGUGUAAGUUGCAAGACAUAAACAAUCUUACUGUACAAAGACAUUAUUUUCUGAUGAUUUUCUGCUCCCAUUGCUGUGUAGGGAAGGUAUUCUUAAUAUCUUGGAGGACAUCUCACCUUCUGAGCUUUUUGAACAGCUGUUUAUUUCUCUUGUAAGUAUUAUGUACUUGGAUUUGGGAAUUACCAAACCAUUUGGCUGGAAUUAAUAUGUUCAGCUGUUCCAGUCCGCAAUACUGUUAAGAUUUCAUGCUUGGUACAAACUGGCACUGAUGAUCUAAGUUUGUCAGCUGGGUUCAGGGCUUGUAAUCGCUGAGUCUACCCUCUCAACAAAUUUAGAUCUGUCAAAGCUAUUUAAUGAAUGCAAGGACUAUAUUGUUGCCACUUGUCAAAGCGGCAGCUGGCUUGAAAAAAUUGAUGAUAUAUGCCAGGUAUGUCAUAUUUAGCUGAACGAGGAACUGUGUGGUUAUUGACUGAUUUAUAUUUGCUAACAAUUUGAUAUGGUAUUCCAGAAUUCUCUCUUGCCUGUUAAAUACGUAGGGUUUCAGAAUUGGGACUUCAUUAUUUCCUCCACUUGUUUACUGCUUUCAAUACAGCAAUAUUCAUUUCCCAGGGGGGCUGAACUUCUUCAAAAUGUCGUCGAACUGACUCUUGUCCUGCAGCAUGAUGACCAUUUUCCCUACACUUCGUGAAGUUAAAGAAAAAGAAACUUGAAAGGGAAAAUAAAAAUAGAAGCUUCUGUUGCUUUUUGUUCUGUUACAUUGGCAGUAGCACAAAUGGUAUUGGCCAUAUUGGAAUAAUAGAUGGAACUGAUCUUCUUGUCAACAGCUUAAGAUCAGCUGAUUAUAGUUUUUCUAUUCUUGACUUGUUAAGCUAAAAGCUGCAAUAAGGAGACGGAUCUGCAUGUUGACCAUGCUUAACAUGAAUAUAGUCAGACUUAGAGAGUGGAUUAUCCUUAGAUUAGCAUACAUUAUUCACAGGAUUGCAUAUUCACCUACUAAUAUUCCUACUCGUCAAAUCUCCUUUGCAGGUGUAUGAAACAGUCGAGGCAAUGUUGCUAAAUCCACAUGAAGCUACAAAAAGUACAGUUCCACCCGAAGAAACAACACCUGCGGGUGAACUGAAAAACCAGUUCAAAAGGCUUAACUUCAUCUUUGGUAGCAAAGAUAGGCAGUCACAAAAAGACAAGAAGAAUAUGGAGGAUAACCCAACCCGCCAACCAUUCUCAUCAAUAUUCUCAAAGAAGCCUCCUAAGCCAAGUAAUGGAUCGUCAGCUGACAAAGCUGCUGGUUCUGUAGAUAAUGACUGGACAAUUGUGUAAAUUGUAUAUAUUUUUGGGAAUUGGCUAAAAGCAAUGCCCAGAUGCCAUCUUUACUGAUUUUUUCAAGGGAUUAGAAAUGGAAAACGUAGGAGUUAGAUAUGACAAAUUUUUCGCAGAAAACAGACAUUGCAAACAUCUACUCCGAUAGCAUCUUUUGGGAGGAGCUCCGUUGAUCAAGAGGACUGGCAAAGAGAUUUUGUUCCACAAAGAAGGAUAAUACGUAAACUAACAAGUUCCAAUGUCUUAGAUGCAAGAAUGUCAACUGCUGACGAAACAAGAAUGGAUAAAUCUCUUAACAUCCUCUGCUGUCAUUGCAUCGUGCCGUAAAAGCCGCUUCUUUUCUGGCCAGAACUCCCUUACCGGUUGUCUGAAGAAUUUUCUUUGUCUCGCUUCCUCUCGUCAUUUGUUUUGUCAACUUCAAGAUCUUUUAGAACCCACCCUGGCACAACGAAAUUUGCAAUCCAGUACAUCAAAAGCAUCACUGCACUGUUAGCCACGUAAAAAAGGUUAUGCCAUGGAAGCAAUGUUACUAACAUAUUUGAAGUUUGUUAACUGGCCUCCCCAGUGACAAACUGAUACUGUCAAUAUGGGCAUCAAAAGAUGUCUUUGCUUCAAGUCCUAAAAUUGUUCAAGCAUUAACUCGUAACUAUUACCAAUAGAGUAUGAUGGCAUGUAUCGACCUGGAGAACUUUUAUGAGAUCGAGAGAAGGAUGAAUUCCAUCUCAAAAUGGGAGUUAGUUAGGAAGAAAUAGACCUUGUUUGAAACAGGACUGAGAAGUCUCCUGAAUUGGGCGGCGGCAAAGUGGCGGCUAGAAAAAGAGGAGCGGAGGUAACUCUGGUCGGAAACCAAAAUACUCUGUUCCGCUUAUGCAUACAGAGAAACCCACAAGUAGCAGGUUCAUUUUUACUGAAUUUGGAGAGCCACAGCAGCUUAGUUGAGCUGAUCGGGGGCUUCAAGUCAUUGUAUGGAAAUAUAGAAAUGGAAGGGCACUGAGAGCCGAUGCCAUUCAUCUUGCAAGCUUCCGGUUCAAAUUGAACGAGUGAACGUAGAUGACUUGAAGGGAGCAAUGGAUAAUCACACGUUCCUUUCUAUAGGAGGUGGACCACACUCACUAGGGAGUUUGAGAUAUUGUUCUAAUUACUUUCACGAAAUUUUGUGUCAGGUGCAAAUAAUGAUGGUAUUCUAUGUAAUUAUAUGGUACCAAUAACUUUUACCAGAACUUUGUGCUGAACGUACACACCGGAUAUGCUGGUCUAAUUUUUGUCAGCCCAUGUGUCUACUGGUAAAUUGUUAAUGCAUGCUGCUCAAUUAAACUCCAAAAUGUAUAUUGCAGAUUGGUUCAAUAUCUCUUGCAAAAACCUUUCAGAAGUCCAAGAAUUUCACCAUGCCAAAUGUUCCAAAUAGAUGGUCCUGUUGGUUAGUGGUAUUGUAACCCUGGUUGGCUCGUGGCCCACUAGGCUACACUCAAAUGGCCAAUUGGGGCCUUGCUUGUUGUUUGUCUGGGUACAUCACGGACCCUAAAUAUCCCAUUAUUUCGAAUUCAUUGUCAUUGGCCGGAGAAAACUGUCUUCCAAGUGACAAGACAAAAAACAACACAAAUGUAGCAGCCCAUGCCCCAUCAUGAAUGUAUUUAAGGGCCCAGAACUAUGAGUCAUCAUAUGAGGCUUUUUUUUUUUUUUUUAAUUAUUAUUGAUAAGAUCAGAUUUUCUCUGCAAAUUUCAUGCAUUACCAUCUCCUAAUGUCUUACUAGAUCUCAAUUAAAAAUAAUUAAACAUGUCACCAAGACCCAUCGGCCAUCACACUUAAUAGUGAAAUACUUCAUUAGACUGUUAAAUUCUCCUCAUUAUGAAAUUGCCUUUGCAGAAGCUAUAUGAAUGAAUAUUAUUACAAUAAAAUCGUGGAUAACCUCAUAAACAAACAAAAAAAAAAAGACAAAAGUUGAAAUCAGAGAAUUCUCUCAAUAAAAUCCUUCUGAAGAAAUUUUUUUUUUAAAAAAUUGUUAUUUGCACUCCAUUGUGCUAUUUAUACUCCCAUUAUUUAUUUUAUUAUAUAAUUUUAUAAAAAAAAUUAUAUGAUUAAAAUGGUAAUGAAAGUGUGGUUAAUAAAAAUGGAGAUGCAAAUAAUAUUUUCUUUUUUAAUGAAAAAUAUAAAGGCUGCUAGACCAGGAACAAUUAUUUCACUUCCGACAACUCAUAUUAUGCCACGUUAUGAAAGUCACAAUUUGACUUCUGACUUGGAAGAGCCACAAUCUCGGCAAAAAAUAAUAAUCGUCGGCCUGUAUAUCAAUUACCAAAAGAAAAAGCUAAAAGGGCAAAAAAAAUGAGAGAAGGUUGAGUAACAGAAGGAACAGAAUAUUGCAGAAGGGAAAGAGAGGAGGACGACCACCAAAGGGUGCAAAAACGCCGCCGUCAAGCCUAUACAAGAAUAACGAACCAGAAGCUCCGGAUUUUUGUUAGCUUACGCUGUUUAUAUCAGUUCGCCGUCGUUUGUUAGCCUUUUCUGUUCAUUGUCUUCGUCGAGGUAUUUCCUAUUAUUUACAAAAAAAAAAAAAAGAGAAGAAAGUGAACAAAGGAAUAUGGACUUUGCUCUGGAAAGUUGGAUAUUAAUUUGCGAAAUGUUUUUGUUUUUUCUUCUAAAUUUCCUUAGCAGAUCGCAAUCAUUUUGCUUAUUGGUUUAUUUACUCUGCGAUUUGCCUUGUUCAUAAUUUUGAUUAUUGUUUUUAAAUUUGUUUUCUUAAGAUUGAUGAAUUUCGGUAUUUUAAAUUGUCUAAAACAGCCUUAGGAGAUCAAAGUCAAUGAUGCUGGGCGUUGUAAGGCGAAAAGUGGCUUCUGAUGCUUCUUCUGCUUUGGUAUUUAAACUUCAAGUUUUGCAUGUGUGUUUAGAUAUGCAUUCAUAUGUGCAUGAAGGCAGAUUUAUUUUUUAUAGUAAAAUUUAGUUGUGUUUUUGUAAGAAUACCGAUCUCCUUUGUGUUUGCGGGCCAGAUUAAAAGGAAAUCAUGGCAUUGGAGUCGGCCUGUGGUUUCUACGCCUAGAGUUUCUACUGCUGUAGCUGAAGAGGUAACUCGCUGCUUUCUUUUCCAAUUCAGCGUUGAUACUGCUUAGUGGUGAUAAUAGUUUGACGUGCGAAGAGGCAUGGUGAAUCAAAUGAUGUUCCUGAUAUGAAAAUGAUAUUGUAGACAAACAAGUUGUUUAUACUUUUCAAGGAUGUAAUGUUGUAAUUUCAUUGAGGUUUGGUUAAAAUUGCUUGAGUUUAGAUUAGUUUUUCUUUUCUAGGCAAAUAAAAUCAUUUUAUUAGUCAAGAUAAGAAAACGUUUCUAACUCAUUAAGACGAGUUUAGAUUAGUUAAAUGUGAUUUAGCCUUGUAUAGUACAGAAUUUACUGCAUAGUUUAACAAGCUGGGGAAUUAUAUGGAAAUUGGGUAAGAGUUAAGUUAUAGAGGUUGAGUUGAGGUGGCUGUCUUUCUUGGAAACUCAGAAAACUCUGUUCCAUUUUCUGGUGUUGGCUUGUGAAGAUAGCAUAUGUGACAUUGCUUUGCUAUCCAGUUUUAGUUUUGUCUGGAGUUCGGUUAGGUUACAAUUCUCAAAAGCAGUAUUGAGAACAUGUAUUUACUGUGUCUCUAAGAUGUUAUUCAACUACGAGUUUAUGAUCAAAUAAUAUUAUUUACCGUUUCUGUCUCUUGAAGUUUCAGUUUCAGUUGUUUUCUUCCUUUUUGUUUCUCUUUCUACGUUUGGCCAUCAAAGCUUAUGUUUGCUGUUAGUUCUUCAUGUGCAAUUGUUCUUAACUGUUUGUUUUUGCUUUCUGAACAGAUCUUCUUGCACCCAGGAUGCACUCGCAGUUUCUCUGACUUCACUUUCUCUGGUAAUCUUGGGUGUCUAUGUUAGUCAAUGCCACGUGUGUGUGUGUUUUUUCCUUUUUGGCCCCCUCCAUCCUGUCUGUGUUUGAACUAUUUUCUAUUUUCUUUCGGUAUAGGAUCUUUGGACUUGACAUCGUCAAGGUCAGUGAUAUCUUUUCUUGUUUAAUCUCCUCUUGAUAAUUGCUAUUAACUUGUACGCUAUCGGUCAUUGAGGAAUACUUAGGCUUAGAGAGGGUGGUCCCCCUUUCUGACAUAAAAGCAAUCAGAAUUCGAACACGCCGCGUUUUACUGGGAAGGAUCGACCCAUGGGAACGAAUCUACCGGGCUGUCACCUUCUUUGGCCAGAUCUUCCAAUCUUUUCGCGAUUACAGUUCACUGCACUUUCUUUACUAGAAUGUUUUGAAUUUUAAUAUUCUUGUUCAGAGGACAUUAUCACUCCAAGAAAAGUCAUUAUUUAAGAGCUUAGCACAGUACUCUAUCUUUUAAUUAUCAUUUUGCACAACUAUUUCCAAUGUGGGCAAGGCAUAGUGGAUUUAAUUGUAAACCAAAUUCUGCUUUGUAAAAUAAGUUCAAUUAGGUACUGCAUUUCAUGUGGUUUUCUGUCAGUGGUAAGAGAUGUAAUUACUAUGAGUAUUGGGAGUGCUUUUCAUAUUUAGUUUGAUACAGCAUUAUUUGGCAUUGUGUUAGCUGGCCUUAUUCAAGGUGACUGAGACAGUUCCACCCAGAGUCGUUCAAUCUGGUUUGAUUUUACCUAACCCGUGGUAUAAACCAAAGAAAAGUUUGUCUGUAAAUUGUGUUUUUGUGAUUAGACUCCCGCAAGGGUAAUAACACUUGGACUUAUACAAUAGAUGUUUUUGGUAUGUGGAAUAGCUAGCUUCAAAAAAUCCAAGGUAUAUAAACUCACAUUAAGUCAGACGGUAUAGUUGGCAGAUAAUGCUAUCAUUCAUGGUUGGCUGUUUUAUUUGCAGGGGAAUCAAAGACAAUUUUCUGCCUCAAUUCACCAUGCAUACAUGGAAAAGGCCAUUUUGUUCUAAUAGUGGUAUAGCACGGCACUUUGUUUUCCAUUCUUUGCUUUUCUGGCAAUACAGUUGUAUUUGAAAAAUGACAGUUCUGAAUUUGAUGCUCUUGGAAGAUUUUAGGCACUUUUAUAGGAAAAUUUUGAACCCUUCCUUUAGUAGUUUCUGUCACGUGCCCGUACUUUUGAUGGUUUAUAAAUGUUGUUUUCCUGUCUACUUCUAGAUGUGUUGUAAGUUUGAUUGGUUUUACACCGUAACCCAGCCUUUAAUGGAAACCAAAAACUUCUAAAGCUUUUUAAGUGAAUUGCGUACAGUUCUGACAACCUGUUAGUAUAGUUUUCAUUUAUUAUUUCUAGUGGCCAAGUCCAGUAUUUUCAUACUGAUAUAUUUAGUAUAAUUUCAAUUUCAAUGAAGCAAUAGGUGUGGAAUCUUAAUAUGGAUGUGGAUUCAUGUAAUGGCUUUCAUUUGCUAACUAAUGUUUUUAUUCUUUCUCUUUGCCACCUCCUAUGCUCAAGGUGAUCUGGUUGAUGCUGUUGUUCCUUUUAUGGGGGAAUCAAUAUCCGAUGGCACAUUGGCAACGCUCUUGAAGAGUAUGCUUCCCUUAAAUCGAUAUUCCAAUUAUGCCUUUAUUAAAGACAGUUUUGGUUCUCAAUUUCAUUACUGCCCUCAAUGUAUUUCUGGUUUUGCUUUCUCGGUUCCUCUGAUGGAUCAUACAAUUUUGUUCCCCAGAACCUGGUGACAAAGUAGAAGUUGAUGAGCCUAUUGCUCAGAUUGAAACAGACAAGGUACUUUCCAUAGUUUAGUUCUUACUUGUUGCUUUAAAAUGUUUGUAGUUCUAAAUGGAGUGAAUGUUUCAAUUUUCUUUGUUUCCAUUAGGUGACAAUUGAUGUUGCUAGUCCUGAAGCAGGCGUAAUCCAAAAGGUAAACAAUCAAGGGUUUUGGAAUAGUUAAUUAUGGUUCAUUAUUUUUAUUUUUAUGCUUUCUUGCUUCUUUCCGAAUUGCUUAAUCCUGAUACUUUAUGUGAUUUGCAAUAGUUCGUAGCCAAGGAAGGGGAUACUGUAGAACCUGGCACUAAAAUUGCUGUGAUUUCAAAAUCUGGUGAUGGUGUAACUCACGUUGCUCCGUCUGAGAAGCCCGCCGAAAAAGCUACUCCUGAGAAAAAGGUGGAGCAACCAAAACAGAAAGUUGAAUCUGCUGCUGCAGAAGUAAAGAAAGCUGAGAAGCCAAAAACUGAAGCCAAGGCUUCUCCACCUCCUCCUAAAGUAACUGCCACAGAACCCCAGCUUCCCCCAAAAGAAAGGGAAAGACGAGUAAGCCCAUGAUAUUUAUAUCGCACUACAUCUUGAGGUUUAUCUGGAUUUUAGUGAUCUUACAAUAUGUUUUUCGACAUUCUUUUUCCUCCUAUAAUGCAUUUGAAUGUGUCCUUGUAACAGGUUCCUAUGACAAGGCUCAGAAAACGAGUUGCCACACGCUUGAAAGAUUCUCAAAACACUUUUGCAUUGUUGACAACUUUCAAUGAAGUUGAUAUGUAAGCUUAGUUACAUUUCAUAGAAUUUAAGAAGACCAGUAUGUUUGAGAAUGGUGAAAUAUGCCAAAGGCUUAUUCCUAUAAGUUUGGCUUUUUUUUUUUUCAAAAGAACUUCUAGAUGAUCUUUAGUGGGUUGAUUCUUUAAAAUCCCGAGUUUACCAUCCUAAAAAAUAUCCUUUUUUGGGUGCAAGCUUCGCAUGUACCAUUCUAUUUCCCAUGCUUGGUUCUGUUUAAUUGUUGCUUUUUGCAGGACUAACCUGAUGAAACUUCGUUCCGAUUACAAGGAUGCCUUUGUUGAAAAGCACGGUGUGAAGCUAGGUCUUAUGUCUGGGUUUGUAAAAGUAUGUAACCAAUCAUGAAGUAUGUUUUGUUAUUUUCUCUACGGCCAGUCUCCUUUUUUUUGAAAUCCUGUCUCCUUCCAUGCCACUCUUUCAGGCUGCUGUUAGCGGACUCCAGAAUCAGCCCAUAAUAAAUGCUGUCAUUGAUGGUGAUGAUAUCAUUUAUAGAGACUAUAUAGACAUCAGUAUAGCUGUUGGCACGCCAAAGGUAAUCUGAGACAUUCUGCUUGCAAGAAAUAGUAUAAAUUUCUAAUAGACUGAGAUAGAACCAAAGAAGCUUGAACUACUUGAACUUAUACUUUUAUCUGCUUAAGAAGAAUGCUACUGUUGAUCAAACUUGAGUAUGCAUGUAAGUUGGAUGGCUAGUUAUCACGUGUUAGCAGCUUUUUGCUUCUGCAUGUGGAGAUCUCCAAUAAAUUGUGUUAUUUUGACACUUUAUCGUUGUGAGUGGUUCCCCUCUUACCUGUGGAUUGCUUUGUUUAACGAUCAUAUUUAAAAUUUAAUAUAAUCAGACAUGCUUAGGUAAUAUCUGUAUCGCUGAUUCCCAGAUAACAACUGUCUGUGUAUUUUCAUUGAUUUACCAACUUGUAAGGUGUGGGAUACAAAAUAUGCACCUAAUAUGAAAUUGUAACCUUUUGACGGUCUGUAUUCAUGAUUUAGGGCCUUGUCGUUCCUGUUAUCCGCAAUGCUGAUAAGAUGAACUUUGCUGAGAUUGAGAAGGAGAUCAACACGUUGGCUAAGAAGGCAAGUGAUGGAAGUAUAUCAAUCGAUGAGAUGGCAGGAGGGUCAUUCACAAUAUCCAAUGGUGGUGUUUAUGGAAGCCUCUUGAGCACUCCAAUAAUCAAUCCCCCUCAGGUGUGGCUCUUUGAAAGUCCUUGUUUUGAUUGCGUGCUAUUUUCUUUGUCGCUAUCAACAAUAAAAUUUGCAAUUCGUUUGUGCCAUUUUCCAGUCGGCAAUUCUGGGUAUGCACUCAAUAGUCAACCGUCCGAUGGUUGUUGGAGGUAACAUAAUUCCCAGACCUAUGAUGUAUGUUGCACUGACCUAUGACCACAGGCUGAUUGAUGGGAGAGAGGCAGUGCUCUUUUUGAGGAGAAUCAAAGAUGUGGUUGAAGAUCCACGUCGCUUGCUCCUUGAUGUAUGAAGAAUUGGUCAUUUGGGGUUUGAUUUUAUAGAUAUUCUUAAUAUACUGCAGUUAAAAGCACACUUCGGCUAAACGAAUAAAUGUUUAGCACUUCAGUUGCGGCCAGCCACGUUUUAAUUUCAAAUGAGAAGGUUUUUUUUAGACACUAGUUUAAGUGUGCUAAACUUGUGUUUAGUGCUUUUUAUUUUGGGCAUGAUGGAAUUUGUUGGAAUUUGUGCUAAACUUGAAGACCCCUUAGUUGGCAGCAUUAUUUCUCUGUUUCAAAAGUUAUUGGAUAAUAAACUCAAUGAAGCGAGUUCGCCUGGAGCUUUAACCCAUCUGUUUUAACUCUGCUCCUGGAUUUUUGUGGUGUCUUGAUGCAUGAACAUGAAAGAGGACCUGGAGGAAUUCAGUUUAAGAACUUACAGAGUAGUAGAUAUAAUCAAAAUUAGAGGGGGGUCAAACUUCUUGCAAACUUCUUGAAUGAUGAAACAAUACAAUUAAAAUAAAAUGAUUUAAAAUAAUUGGAAUCGCCCUUAGGAGAGUAUCUAAUUUUAUUAAUUUAAUAGUGUGUGGACAUAUUAUAUAUCAAGAAUGGAAAGUGCAGAUAUGGUCGAAUGGUAAAAUAGCUUCGAAUGGUAAAAUAGCUUGCAUCCCAAUGCAAGAUGCGAAAAGUAGAAGCACAAAAUGGAAAACCACCAUGUUGCUCGUUAUACAAGAUUUUACUUAAAGUUAUACAUAGAAAAUGAAGUCAAAAAGUCGAAUUGGAACACAAACUUUGCGUACGGGUUUAGGGGCAUUUUGCCGAGUUACAUGAGUCGGGUAAUUCCCAUGCUAGCGCAUUUAAAAUUACCGCAUCUCCAGCUGGUAUGGCAUAAUCCACCUAAAUUCUAACCUCAAUCCCUGCUUCGCUUAGAUGCUCUUUAACAGACUGAAUAGACACCUGAAAAUGAAUAUGUUCAUACCGAGACUUUAUCCAAUAAUUUGUAUACAGAAAAAGGAUCUGAAGAAAUUUCUCAAAAUGCAUAAUAGAAAUUUAGAACAGUCGAAAUCUAUAGAAACCACCGAUAUUAGAAUCCAUGCGUUCAAAAGUUUGUCUAAUAUUUAUUGGUAUCUGCAGAAAACAAUGAGUCAAAAUUCAUCCCUGAUGCAUCAGAGAUUGUUUCACCAGGUGAUGUAUACGUGUCCAAAUGCAAGAAAUUCUGCUGAUAAUGAGGAAGCAAAUCCAGUUCUCAAGUACCAGUUAAAGAAACCAAAGGAAAAAAGCAAGAGUACAAGGUGGACUUCGCACAUCUUUUACAAAAUUAAUACCUCUUUUCUGUGGAAAAUGCCAGCAGCAAGCGCAGCAGAUGCAUUUGUCUGGUUAAAAACUUCUGAAAAGUGUUCUGCUGCUCCAGCCCCACUGCUUGCAAUCACUGGGAUGCUAACAGCAUCUGAGAUUAACUUCACCAGGUCUAUAUCGAAUCCUUUCCCUUGACCUAGAAGGGCAUCAUUUGCAUUUGAAAGGCUUUAGAUUCAUCAUUACUAUUAAAUAAAAGAUCAAUGAAAGUUUUGACAUACUCAUAAAACUUGGCAGAGAUGUUAGAAGAUGAAUAUUUUUACAGCAAAAGCAUGAAUCAACUAUCCAGGUUUGUUCAAAGUAAAUAGCUCCCGAUUUAGUCAUUCAAAAUGUUACCACCACUGCUAUAUGCAUUCCCCUGGGAUUUCAUUAACUAAAUAUCCUAUUGUCAGUGGCAUUUGGUAACAGAUUCAUCAUGCAUACCAUACAUUUAAAUGAUUAUUAGUGCCAGUUACUGGCAAUAGAAUCACACUUACCAUCACAGUCAAUACAAUUUAAUAGGAUUUCCCCAGCUCCAAGUUCCUCGAUGGCUUUAGCAAGCUCAUAUGCCCCAAUCGGUCGACCUUCACGACCACCAUUGACCUUAAGGAUAAUAACAAGGUUAUUCUAGAAUAUUACAAACAAUGGAAUUUAAUGCCAUGGGAUGGACCAAUAUGCACAUUGAGUAUGCAAGAAGCACAAAACAAGUUGAUAUAAGAAUGUAGAAAACUUUAGAUAAGAGAAUCCGCAGAAAUGUAAAACUCACUUCUACCUAAGUCCUCAGCACUCUUCCCCAAUAAAGAUGAAGAAAUGCCAAAAGAAUUUAAGAAUAGCUGCCUUAUAUUUAAUGGACAAAACAGCACUAUAUAGUGAAAGUCGGUUAAAUUUUACAUCAGACCAGUUCCUGAAUUAUAGCCUCAUGAUGCAUCUCAGUACAAGAACCUACUACUAUUUUCACAUGCAAUAGAAUAGCAAAUGUCAACAAUAACUGCUGCUGAAUGCAACUCUCUAUCCUUCGAUUGUUUUAUAGCUGACGACAUGAUGAAGGUCUACAAGUAAUAUGAUUACUUACCGUGCAUUGAUACCAGGCAUAUUUUUCUCCAUUUGGACCUGAAAGUAAUCAGUAUGUCAGUCAAUAAGCCCCCCAACAAGGCAAAAAAACCAUUUCUUUACUUUCUAGUCUAUUUUAAAUGGGAAAACUUGUACCACACACAUGAAGUGUCUCUGCGUCCACCAGCUCAAGUCAUGUGGCAACAAAAAAUGGUUUUUUCAUCCUCUAUUUCCCACUCCCCCACCCCCCCCCCCCCCCCCAAUCCUCAGGGGUCUCUGCACUGCCAAAAGGUUAAAGAAACAAAGGAAAAAUUUAAACUGGAAAAUUCUCCUCGAAAGAUCCUGGUGAAUGGAGGGUAGCUUUGGUAUAUAUGAUCAACGUCACACUUGCAUUCUUGGAAUCUCCCCGAGUCAAAAUUUGCUAUUUUCAUCAAUUUUAGUCACAUAUUAUGUUCCACAUUGUCCAACCAGGAGUCUUUUACACAAUAAGAAGAUCAUAAAAUAAAUACCCAGAAGGAACCUACAGGAUAAUAUCACUGCAACUGCAAUGAGAUAUCCUACCUGGGUAUCUAACUGGGAUGGUCUUGAAUUUCACAGUAUCUGGAUCCUUCACGUAGACCCUCCGAGGAUCAAUGCUAACAACCACAGCCUACAAGAUCAACAUUAAAUGACAUAUAAAACAACAGCCUACCAUACAAGUACCCAUAAAUAUAAAACAAGACAUAUAAACGACAUAUUAACAGGAGAGAAUCAAGGAACUGCUAGCUAUUACUUUUGGCAUACAGGAAAAUACAAUGAUAAAAGUUGAAAAAAGCUCAGAAAACAACAUUUGGAUGAACCUAUUAUGCAAUUAGAGUGACAGAGAAAAUGAAAUCAAAAGUGACUACAAAAGCAAAGAGAUAUUGUAUUGCAACAAAACAAACAACCGUUCAACCUAAUGUAGCAUAGAAAGAGGUUGGCCAUCAGCAAGUUUCUGUACAACUUGUUCGAAGAAGUGCUUCUUCUCUACUACAUGAUAAUUUGUAAUGCCGAUGUUUUGAUAUGAAUAGCUAUGGUUUGAAAAAGAAAACGCUGGAACAUAUCACUAUCGUCUACACAGGACAAGCACAAAACGAACAAUCUUCAAAAUGAAUAGUCAAUCUUGAUUCUCCAGCCAAUAUUCUAAUAUAAGCACAUUUUUGUGCAAUGGGACAUAAUAUAGAACACGUGUGAUGAAUUUACCUGAUUACCAUAAACCCUUGAGAUCUGCUCUAGACUGCUCUUCCCAGUUUUUUCCUUGAGAAAGCGGUUCAAGAAAUGUUGUUAGCAAAAUAAAAAAACGUAAGGCAAAAAAAAAAGAAUUAAUAAGCAGGUAUAUUAUUUGCAACAUGCUGCAAGUAUCACAUACUCCAGUUUUCAGAAAUUCCUCGGCAGCAUAAACUGCAUCACUUCCAAUUGAAAUCUUAUCUGCCCCUGAUCUAAAAUAUUCUGAAGCAACCUCCAAACUGGAAUAGUAUCUGAGGAAUGAGAAGCCAGAGUGUUAAGUCUUUCAACCUCAGAAAUCACCUGCUACUCUCCUGAAGCAUGUGCAAGCACUAGAGCAGUACAAGGAAAUCAAGUACUAAAGUGUAAUGACUCCCCUCCCUUCUUCUCUAAAGAGGUGUAAAACAAUUGGCUACAACUAUAUGUUUUACCUUCCAUUUCCAUCAGUAAAAUCACGAAUGCCUCCACCAACUGUUAGUGGUACAAAAACAUUCUCUGAUGUAUAUCUCAGUACCUACAACACAAAAAAAAAAAGAUAACGGGAUAUGAUAAGUUUAAGAUAGAGGAGAAUGGAAAGUAAAAAUGAUGACACACUGAUAUUUAAAUCAGUUGCAUACAUACCUGCAACAUUGGCAAAUCGCCAAGAGGGAAGUCACGGAAACCUGUAAUGUUUAAAAAGCUAACCUGAAAUACAGAAAAUUUAAUUAGCUUAUGGCGCACAUGAAUAAGGAAAAGCUGUAGUGCUCUUAGAAUUAAUACAUACCUCAUCAGCUCCAUCUUUGUAAUACUGCCCAGCAAGUUCUACCGGCUUUCCAAGAUUUCGCACCUUUAAGAAUGAUAAAGAUACAAUAAAUUUAACAUUUUGCUCACUAUCUUUACUGAUAGCUUUGAUCUCCGAUUCAAGAUUCUGAUAUGGUCAAGUAAAAUAGCAAGACCACCAUUAUGUCUGUAAAGCGAAGAAAUUUACGAAAUGCAAAUAUUGCAUAGCCUGACCUCAUUGUCCUCUGUGUGCUCUCUUACAUCAUAUUGGUCACCUUUGGUCACAACGAGAUCACCUUUGUCAUUAGUCCUCACAUCAAGGCAUGCAAUAACCUGAAAGUUGGAAAACCAAUCAUAGAAAGUAUCCCCUCAUAGCUAGAUCACAAAAAUCAAAUAAAUAUAACCUCAAUGAAUAAAGGAUAAAAAAGUGACAUGAACAAUUGGAUCAAGUCCUCACCCUCUUUGCAAGUUUAGAGGCCUUCCCUUGGACUGGCCUCUGUCUUCACAUGAAGCUUUCAGGUCUUAGAUGCCUUUGGCAAUAACAUUUGAGAGUCACACAACAAUUUAGAGGGGAGAUCGGUACCUUUGUCAACUCGUUAUUUGGAUAUAAGAACCUUCUCAGGAUGGAAAGGCCAACAGCUGGAUUAUUUUUAAGAACAAAAUGACAAUUAAGAGAUUUUUUCUACAAUUCAUGAUGGUAAUCAUGCUACUUGAGUGCUCAAGCAAAAGCAGCAAAAAUAGGCAGGAGAUUCUAGAUUCAUGACAAUAACUGCAAGUGCAGAAUAGGAAACAACAAAAACAAGGGUAGACAGGAUAAUUCAACUUCAUUACGAGAGACAUCUUUCAAAGAUUGUAAAACAGAAAAACAAAAAAAAAAAAAAGAGAAAGAAAUGAGCAAAAACUUCUUUCCACUUGAUUACAUGAUAAUAAUUAUUAUCAUAUCCAAUCAUACCUCCACUCUUCUCUGGGUGAAAUUGGACAGCAUGAACAUUUCCUCUUUUUACUGAUGCAAUGAACUUGUCGCCAUAAUUGCAGGUAGAAGAUAUCCAAUCUUUGUUAUCAUCUGACUAAAAGAGUAAAAGAAGCAAAACAUUACGGCCAGAGACCUUGUAAAAAAAAAAAGACAAUGAUGUGUGACAAUGAAAUGAGAAAAUGCUGCAAAAGGCAGAUGUGAAUUGCACUGGCAAAUAGGAUACCAUACCGGCAUUGCACGGUAAGAAUGCACAAAAUACACAUGUCGAUUUCCUAUAUCAUCCAAAAUGUCAGAGUCUUCUGUUAUUUGAAGAGCAUUCCAGCCAAUAUGAGGUACAUUAUAACCUUUUGAUGAGUCAAAUCUUCCAACUAUGCCAGGAAUCAAGCCAAGGCCUUUCACUAAGAGAGAUGAGCAAUUGUCAGGUCAUCCACAAAGCUACAGAUCCAUAAUUCGUGACGAGAGAAUAUUUAAGCUACAACAGCAAGUCUUGUGGUCUGACAUUUAACCUGAAUGGUUCACCACCUCCAGAGCACGAAUCAUACAAAUUGCAAAAUACACCAUUACUAGCACCUAAAAUAGCAUGAGGCUAAAAAUGUUGAAACAAGUAAACUCACAUAUAAUUAUAUGACUACACAACUCAAUUCACAAGUGUAUUUUCAGGCUGAGGUUCAUCACAACCCACCUCCAAAUCUGGAAGAACUCAACUAAAAUAUGUUUUCUAUUUUAGCUGGGAUAAACUUGACGAAUCCUUUUCCUUCACCCGCAAAGUCACAACAAAGCUUGAGAUUUACAUAUUGAAACACUUGAUUGAUUCUUAAGCUCAAAAAAAGCUGUUAUCUGCCUUACCCGGUCCAUUCUCCUCACUUGACUCAAAGAGUAGCUGAAGUCCAAGACAAAUGCCUAAGAAUGGGCGAUCUUGCUCAAUGUAACUGCAAAGAGCCUCAGCCAUCCUACAGAAGAAUGCACUCCUUGAGUUCUGAAACUAGUUUGAUUGACUAACACAAAGGAAUCCACAUUUGUGAAACCAAAAAAAAAUGGUAGAAGUGUGUUAUAUUUCUGGAUGUGUAUAUGUGGAGAUACAGAAGAAGAAACAGACAGAGACACAGGUCCAGACAAACACAAAUAGAAGUUUAUUAUAGAUUGCCACUUUUGCUUCAAAGUUAUCUUUCUUUCUAGUCAACUCAGUCCAUGAUUUUUGUCCGACUUCAUAUAAUUGCAGUAUAGAGGACUUGAUUGCUUAAUAGUGCUAUAUAUAUAAAUUAAUAUAAUUGCAGUAUUCGGGACUUUUUUUAAUAAGUUCCUUCAAUUUACUGAUGUCCAGGAACUACAACAUCCAAGAUGGACUUUGUUAUCUUUAAAUCUCAAUUGUUUUUCACUUCUAUCCAAAACAUUUGGAACUGAUCAUUUAGGAAGUAAAAAAGGUGUGUUCCACUGGAUCAGAAAAAAAAAAUGUAGAUAUUAGUUUUCUUAAAUGAUGAACAUUAUUAAGCAUUAUCUACAGACAAAAUUGAUGUAGUAAGACUGACAUUUCACAGGACAAAUGCAGAACUGGAUAAAGAGUUACCCUCUUCGGUUCAACACAUCCAUGGCAGCAGCAAAUGCACCUACACCAGGAAAUAUAAGGCGUCUUGCAUUCAUGAUGUCCUCUGGAGUCUGAACCUAAAAGUUUUCCGGACAGAGUGUUGAAAUUAAUAGAAGCACAAUUCUCAACACAGAGUCAAAUGAUUAAUUUUUGUCUAGUCUCUAGGAUCCCCAGUUCAUUUUCAGAAACAAUUCUGCUUAUAGCUUGUUGAAUGAAUCUAUGCCUACCCUCCGUUUUCUCUCCUCGAAAACCACCUAGUCCACCCCCACACCUACCCCGAAUUCCCACCCCUGGAAUCAAGGAAAGAAGAAAGAAUGAAGGUCACUUAUUUUAGACUUAAGAAGUCGCAUUUUAAGUAGAAUGUUUUGGCACAGUAUAUAACUUCGACAGAUAAAGUUCUCCAUGAAGCUUCAGAAUCUAAUUUUCUACCGUAGAUAAAGUAAUUCACUAGAUAAUUAACAGUUACAUACUUCCUCGAUCAUCUCACUUUCUAGACCUCAAAAACGAAAAGGAAAAAAGAAACACACACACACCAACAAUCCUUUCAGAACGGCUUAAAAAAAAAAAACUCAAAUUUCAAAUCUUGUAAAUCAAAAAGAGCCAGCGAUAUAUCUAUUGAUUUCUUAGUAAAUAACGUCAAUAAGCCAAUAUGCGUCGGUAAUCAGAAGCUGAAACAAAGUUGAUAACCUAAAAGCAGAAGUCCUAAUGAGUCUUAUUUAUAGCUUAUUGUUUACAUUGUUUUUACUUUAAAAAAUUUGAGAAAACAAGCAAAUGAAAUUAAGUUUCAUUCACCAAGAUAAUAACUAAGUCGGAAAAAUCAUAACAGCAGCAUGGUGUUGAAAAACCUUACAUCUUUAAUAUUAAAGCCGAGGUAGCGAAUUGCAUUUCUCACGCUCCGGACAUUCCCGGCACCGUAAUCAAGCAGAGUGACCACUGAAAUAUUGAAUAGACGAAUGUUAAACUCAAAACCGACAAUAUCACCUAUUUAUAUUCAAACAAUUCCACAUCGAGUAAUAAUGCCAUAUACAGUUAAAACGCCAUACAUAUACACAGAGAGAGAGAGAGAGAGAGAGAGCGUGACAUUACCUCCGUCGCCGGAAGCGGAGGCGCGGACGGAGAAGCUUCUGGAAGUUUCAAAUUUGAGAGCUUCUCCGGCAGGCUUAGAGCGUAGAAAAUGGAGAGAGUAAGAAGCAGAGGGAAUGGGGAAAAGAGACGACGAAUUUGAACGAGAUUUUAGCGUUAGCAUCCGCGACGUAGCUGAAGGAAAAGUCGCCGCCUCCAUGGCUCCUUUGUCACUGCAGUUUCAGAGUUGAAUGGAGUGUUGUAACAGUAGAGCACUCAAAAGCCUCAGCGGUCGUUGACAUUUCGUAUAACCUUUCCAAAACUUGCGUAUUUAUACUUGUCUUUUGGUUCGGUUGAUAAAGGAUCGUGGGCGCCAUUAGAAUCUUUGAGCUCAAUGCCACUAUGGACUUCUAUCAACGCCCAAUGAAGUCCGAAAAGCAUAGUGGGCUAAUUUAUUUCAUUUGCAGGCCAGCUAUAGAUAUCACGGAUUGGUGAUGGAGUUAAUGGAUGUACUCCCAAUAACAUGUGGAUUGUGGAAGCCAUUUUGAGGGCGAAGAGGUGCGGGAGACCAUUUGAGUCUUAAUGUGGUGUCGACUUCAAAGAAAUCGCACUUCUGUAUUUCGCUAAUUUUCAAAAUUAUGGGAACGUCAAAGUGAACGAAACGGGCGAAAGCUCUUCCGAAAGGUCGCAUUCUAAUUGUAGUUUUUUGCAUAAGGAUUUGUUUGGAAGGUUGUUUUUUGUACAAUUUUAUUUAUUUAAAUCAUAAAUAUAUUUUUAAUUUCUUUUUUAUCCCACGUACGUUACAACAAAUUAUCCCUUGUUCCUUCAAGGGCCUUUUCCUAUCCAAGAACGCGUUCGCUAAAAUAUGCAGCAAUGCCAGUCUUUUGCAUAUGCAUCUUGUUUUGCUUAGGAAACACUUGAAAACAGGCAAACGAGCUCAGGAAUACGCAAAGGGAAAAACGAAAAUUUUGAAUUUCGACCCACUGCUCAAAUCGGUGACAAUAUAUUGUCAAAACCUGUGGUAAAUUACGAGUGUACAGCUUUCUGUUUCAUAGAGAGAGAGAAGACACGGCUACUUUUGUCCAUGUCUCUUACUUCCCCGUCCUCCUCUAUUUUUCCCGUUGUUCAAUCAAUGCUGAAAGCACUUUUACCUAGUUGUCAUCAGCAUUGCACGUAUCUUGGCCCUGAGAUCAUCAGAGAUUUGGGUUGUCUCAGAGGGUUGAGAAGAAGCCCUCGAAUAUGUACUUGCCAUGUCUACAGAAGUUUCACGGCUAUGAUGACCACCCGCAACCCUAGAAUGAUCAGAGAAUUUAGGACUGAUCUCGCCUUCCUCCAAUUCAUCUUUUUCUGAGUAGGAUCUCUUUCUGUCUCCAACAUAUCUAUCAUAAUGCUCAUUCUCGGGACUAGAAGAGCAGUCACGCUUUUUUAGUUGAAUGUCUCCAUCCUCAGAUGAAUAAACUUUCUGGCGCUUAGGACUGCCUCCACUUCGAUGUGAAGAACGAUAAGACUGGUGCUUCUUUCUACAGUGCUUGUGAUCCUUUUUAUCCUCUUUUUCAUGUGAAGAUCGACGAGAUGAAUGCUUCUUGCUCGACUGUUUAUGAUAACUUGUAUCAGUAUCUUUUUCUCCAUCAUCAUCUUCAUGAGAAGAACGAUGAGAUCGGUGCCUCUUUCUGGAUCGCCUAUGCGACUUUUCCUUCUUGUAAUCGUCAUCAUAAUCCUUUUCACGGGAAGAAUGAUGCGAGUGAUGCUUCUUUCUGGAGUGCUUGUGAUUCUUUCUCUCUUCAUCUUGUCCUCCUUCAUGCUCCUCCUUAGAGUUAUCCUGUUCCAAUUCUUCCUCAUCAUUAUUUUCAUCAUCAUUUUCUUCACAUCUCUCAGGUCUUGAUCGGUAAUUCCUCUUUGAUCUCCGUUCAUCACUCAAACUGUUUCUCUCAGGAUUUUCAUUUUUCUCCAACAUAAUAAUAUCUGUAGGGGCUGAGCUGCAUUCUCUUUCUUUAAUACCAUCAUUAACUUCAGCAGGGGAUCCUGAAAGCCCUGGUUCCGAAGGUUCUACUGACAAAGCACGCAAGGGCUCAGUUUUUGAGGGCACAGCUCCACUUUUUAACAUGGCCACAAACAUCUUAGCCUUUUUCAGUCUUUCAGCUUUCAGCUUCUGCUCUCUGGUCAAGUGUGCUUCAGAGUCAGCCCCACCGGUAGUUUCAAAAACGGCAGCUUUUUCCUCUGCCUUAUAGCCCAAAGAAUUGGACCCAAAGCCUGAGGCCUGUCCAACGUCCUUGUCAUGGCCCCCACUGUUAUCACUACGAGCUGUGCUCGAACAGACGCUAUUUGGAAUUCUGAAGCCCCUUGUGGCAGCCUGAAGAAUAGCUGCAGCAGCUUCUGCAUCUACACUUACUCCACACUCUUGCUGGGUUGCUUUAGAAGGUGGGUCCUGUAGAUCCUUUCUUGAUUUACCAAUUAUCAUUUUAAAUUUCUCCUUCCUGUCAGAUUCAUCUGGAAUAUCAGAACAAAGAUAUUUGGACGACAUAUACUCAUUCUUGUCUAGGCCAAGUCUUGCUGAAUCAUCCUCCCCAUAGGUGUUCUUGGCACUCACUUUUGACUGCAAAAAAGUAAAGGAAAGUCAGCAAAGAAAUGGAGUCAAAUAAGUGGCUGUAUACAUAAUCUAUCAGAGGAAACAAAUACGACGCAUGUUCGAUAUGAGAAUAAGAAAUACAUUCCAAAACUGACAAACAAUGGGUAUAGCAGGUAUAGAGAGAGAGAGAGAGAGAGAGAGAGAGCCCAAAUUUGAAGGUAUACAAUGUCAAAUAGAACACCACCCAUAUACAUUCACAAACAGCACCAUAGACAAAGGUAAAGGGCACACCUCCUGAGCUUUUUGGAGGCUUUUUAGGUAGUAUGGAUGAUACUGGUCAGACAGCACAAGAAACGGGAACCUCCCCUGUUUACUGUCCUGCUCACGGAGUGCAGCCUCAAACUGCUUUCCAUUCUUCAGAACAAAAUCAACAACCUUGUCAAUCAAUCUCUUCAGAUCAGAAGGAGGCUCUAAAAAUAAAGGUUCCUUUAACUUCUCUGAAGAAGCCAAAUAUGAGCCUGAGACAUGAUCCUUUUUAACAUUAGUUGUUCUUCCAGGCUUAGAUGCUGCAAUUGAAGGAUUUUUCUUCAGAGCAGAAAGCUUGUCAUUAGUAUGAACUGGACGCUUUGCAAGAGGUUCCUUUUUCUCAGGCGCAUUUGAACUAGAAUCUGUCUUUUCUGAACCAUGAGAAACAACUGAACUGGCUGUAUUCAUGACUUUGUCUGGAACACCAUUUCCAGUUUCGUUUGCAUCCUCCUCAUCCUCUCCAGACCCAUAUACAGAACCUAGCAAAGACAAAGCGCCUCCAACACCCGCCUUAUUCUGGUUAGUAUCAGCAGUUUCAUCUAAAGAUUGAGUUUUGCCAUCACUAUCUGACUGCAAUAAUUCUUGGUGAUCGACAAGAAACCUGAAGUAUGCGUGAAGAUUAUGGUCAGGCAUCAAGAACCCAAAUGUUGGAUUGUCUCCUUGUUUCACCCUCAAAACAAUUUCUGACUGCCCACCAUGUUUGCUGACAAAUUUAGCAGUCCUUGCAAUAAUCUGAUGUACUUUCUCUGAUGGAGGCUGGAAAAACAGACAAAAGCAAGAAGAUCACCAAAGGUCUGUCAGAAUUUGAAAUUCAAAAUUGCAAAUCCAAAGCAUAGUAGCUUAAAAUCUCACAUUCCAAAGAUACAUCAAGAUAGUCUGACAUAAACAAGUAUUUUAAUAACAUAUACCCACAUUGAAAAGCUGUACGAAAUAUUUCUUAUGCAGUUGCCUUCAAGAAGUAAAUGCUACUCCGUACAAUGAAAAUAUGUACAAUCCUAAUCCCACCUGCACUGCAACUUGGUCAUGACAUCAAAACGACACAAGGUUCCAGUGAAUGGCAACCUUAGAUCACAAUAACUCCAUUCCUGCUCCGAGCAUCUGAAAACUUAGACAGGGUGAGCCUUAGAAUAGCAUGCACAUUACUGGGGUUACUAUUGGCCACAUUUGCAGUCAAGUUAGAGCAAGUAAAUAAACAACCCUGAAAAUCAAAAUGGAAAUGUCCAAUGAAGCAUGUUCACGAUAAUGAACUUACCAAGCUAUGAAGAAGGCUCUCAGGCACAGGGAACGGAGGAAGGAAUCUAGCACAUUCUAGCCCCCCAUCUGCGUCAUUCUGGUCAGCUGAGCCAUUGGUGUUUUCAUAAGAAAAGGCCACAGCACGAUAACCCCCAGCAUCCCCAGGCUUUUCAGCCUCUUCUGCUUCUAGGCAAAACAGAUAUUAGAAUUACCCAAGUCAGUAUGUUCAUAAAAAAAAUGAAAAAAUCAAUAUGCAAAUCCAUAAGAACUAAUCCUAACGGGGCUGUAAGAAAAGGAAAUUCACCAUUGAUAAGUCAAAUUUCAACUUUUUCAGAAUUUGUGGACCUCAAUUAAGUAAAAGCAGCACAAAAGUUUACGAAAUCUAAAAAGAAAAAUGUUAAAAGUGGAGAAGGAGAACAAAAAUUAUCUUACCUGGUUCAUCGGAAGGGGGAGGAAGGUCGAGGUAGCGUUCGUGAUCGAGCUCAGAAUUAUGUGACGAUUCGAUGAGAUGAGGAGUAGUUUGAGGAUUGCGCCGCCUGCGGGGAGGCAGUGGACCGGGGAGGAGGUGGCGGACGUCGUAGCGGUCGAUUAGUAGGGAAUUCCACUCGACGAGCGCGUCACCGGAGUUCACAAACGACGCCAUGGCAUCGUCGUCGAACAGCAGGGCAUGGCGGCCCACCACCUCUAGAUCCAUCAUCGUCUAUAGCAAUUUAUCGGGAUGCAAUUGAAAUGAAACCCUAGCUUACAUGUUAUAUUUAAUGCCACUGUCAGGGAUUAGGAUUUUGUAUUGCAGUAUUACUGUCUAUUGUCUGUAUGUACGUACGUAAUUUUGAUGAUUGCGGGAGGUGGCCGGUUUUGGGCCUAUAAAUGGCCUAUAAAUUGUUCACCUGCGGACACCCUGCUCUUGGGCUUUAUGGGCUUUUGAAUGACUUCCAUGCACUUGGGCCAACAUGCCACCAAGAUGGUUUAUUGGCAUGGUGAUUGACGAACAACAAUAUCAGAGGUUCAAGCCAUUCUCAUUGCAAAUUCACGUACAUUAGUAAUUUUAAUCUUCCAAGUCAUUGCAAAUUCAGCAAAUCACGCAACACAAGGUUAACACUUCUAGUCAAUAUCCUUCUUAAUUGAGUUGGGUCUUAGAGAUAAAUCUUAAUGAAAGAUGCGGCAUCUCUCUUUGCUCAAAAUUUGAAAAAUUUCAUGCAGGCACAACUAGAAUUUUCCUUUAUACAGCACAUGGAUAUUAGUCCAUACAAGGCACGAAAAUUUUCAGCAUCAAGAAGCCCAUUCUCAAUGGCUCCAAGGCCACCAUGUACAAACCACACCCCCCGCCCCCAAGAAAAAAGUAAAAGAAAGGCGAAGUAUUUAUCUGCCCCCAAGAGGGAUGAAAGACUAGAAAAACAGGGGGGAAGAAAGUGCAGAAACAAAUGGAGAUUUUCUUCCCCCGAAGUCGAGCAUUUACAGCCAGAACAACCCUAGUAAAUAAAUGUCAUGAGCUAACUACUGCUAAGGCUAUUUCCUUCAGAAAACCUACUGCUAAGGCUACAACAUUCUCCUAUACCACGAAACUCUGAUAACUGAAACAAGAACUCACUCUUUCAAUGUGAAAGAGAAAUCUAUGAUUCUGGAAGAUGAUACUUACAACAAAGACACUAUACAAAACUACACAAACCAACUUUUGCACCAAAAAGUCUAACCAGUCAUGCUUUCUGAAUUCUGCAAAUGUCCAUCCUCCUGACAACAAAGUUGGCACGUAUUUACAAAGUUUUUGGUAGACACCAAAUAUCUAUCAUCAGAACUCAGGCUUAACUCGGCUAUUUCCAACAGUCUGGAGCAGAUUGUGAGUAUGUCUGUGCGUACCUGUUCGAAUAAGCAGAGCAGGCUCAGAAACAUAAAAGAUGAAAGCAAGAACCACUUACAACAAUGAGAUAUCAAAAUAACCAGCAGACAACACCAAAGAGCAACAUGAUUGAAAUUAAACAUGACACUAAUCAGUGUAACUGAAACAACAUUCGUCCACUUAAAAAUCAAAGCAUUGUAUUCUGGCAAUCAAAUUCUUUUCAUGCUAAAAUGUAAUAAGCCCUCAAGUAGGAAAAUAGUUAUUAUAUCAACUCAAAUAUUUAUAUAGCCACAGAAGACUUGUGACAAGAGACAUCUCUGAGUUGAGGAAGAUGAAAUGCUAGGGUAAGACAAGAUUCUACCUCAUUUUCUCUCUUCCAAUAAUUUUGAGUUAAAAAGAGAAAAAAAUUGGAACAAGGAAAACAAGAUACUGUACUAAGAGAAUAUUCUUCAGCAACUCUAAUGUUGUGCAGAUCCUUGCCCUUUUCUAUCAAUUCCCCCUCAUUACAACUACUGAAGUAACUUAGAAUAUCUCGUAUCAAAUGGUUUGUUUGUCACACAGAAACCAGCAAAUGAUGCUCGACUUACUCUAAAUGAUGAAGCUAUGGAGCUGCAACCUUCAAGUGCAAGAUUUCCACUAGUAGCCUAAAACAAAGAAUAAAGAGUUACAAGAUGAGAAUGGUUGUGAUGGAUCAAAUAACAUCUCCAUGGACUUUCCUUACUAAUUACAAGCAAAAUGGAAGGAAGAAACAACCAGAAAGCAGAGAGGAAGUAUAAAGGGAGGGAAGAUGUCAAGUUACCUGUGAAGGCUCUUGUAAGACAAUAUCCACAAUUUUCUGAAUAAUAGCACGAGAAAAUGACAAAAUUUCUUCUGAACAAGUUGGAUCACCAUAAAUUAACUCAUGAUUGCCUAUUACCUGGUUGUAUAAUAAAUCACGAUUAGCUCAGACCACAGUGUAAAGCAUAUGCAUAUAACACAUAAAUCAAUCAAAUAAAAAGAAGGAACUCGAAUGCAAAAUCAUAUGGGCAUGUUUUGGUGAACUCCAUUAGGUGAUAUCAAAGUUGUGACUUUAAAGACAUAAUUGGAACUGCAGAUUGCAAGUUUUGAGACAUAAUUGGAACUGCAGAUUGCAAGUUUUGAGACAUAAUUGGAACUGGCUUUAAUAUUUCAAUCUCAACCCAACUAUUUCUACACAAAUGCAAAACUAAAUAACAAUAGCAGAGCUCAAUUUACAUUUUAAGGUGUUAUCCUCAACCAUUUCAGUUUCAAUUUGACAUGAACAUAGGGCAGAAAGAGUAACAAUAGUUUGAGUAAAGUAACAAAAUACCUUCCCAGGUAUUAAUUGCAAGGGUAUUGCAUUUUGGGAAAAUGCUGCUAAAAUUGAAAUAAGAGCGCACAUCCCCUUGAUCUUUAAUUUUGAGGUCAUCCUGCAAUAAUAGGACAGAGCAGUAAUGAAAUGUCCACACUGUACAUAAGUAUACAAGACAGUUGGAAGCCCUUACCAUGGUUGGGAAUCGAGGAAAGAAAAUAUUUUCUUGGGGCCAUCCAAGAAUCCUUGUUCAACAUUACCUGAAAAAAUAUUAAUAGAACCAAGUAAAAAUACCAAAAAAAACACGAGACAAAAUCAGAAGUCUUCCUCUCUCAUCAUUUCAACAUAUGAAGUGCUCCACUCACAUACUACAAAUUCUUCCAGCUAUUACUGUAAAACAGAAUCAGCUAAUUUCCCUUUAACAUACAUUCACAUAUGUAAACAUUCAGUGGUCAUGGACCUAUCAUUCUAAACAAUGAAGAAAAGUUAGAAAACAAAAUUUUAGAUGAAAACUAACAGGUACAAUAGCUUAAAAUUGUUAGUGUAAAUAAAAAAUAUAUUCAAUUUUAACAAGGUAAUCAGCUCAAAACACUUCCUGUUCUUUGAGAUGUGCAGGUAACAGUGGUAGGAAGAAGGCCCCACCAUGACAUGUGAUGGCAUGGGAGAAAAGCAUGAGAUCUUAAGUCUAAGUAUAGUAGGUGCCUUCCUCCCUCCACCAAAGAGGAUAAGCACUAAAUUUUAGAUGUCACCCCCUUAUUUAAUCACACUCACUGUACUUAUAUUCAGUGACCAUUCAUGCAUUUAGUGGCAUCAACUUGUAAAUACACCAACCAAAUAAAGCAAAAAAAGCCUAGGCAGAUUCAGUAGACAACAAAUAGAUUUCUGUAAGAAGAAAAUUCAUAAGGUAAAUCAACCUGGGACCACAAUCAUGAGAUUGCAUAGCUUGCAUAUCAGGGAAAGAUUUGCUUCGGUAUCGUUAGUUGUCCGCAAACCUACAAGAAGAGUUGCGCAGAUUUAAUAUGGAUAUCUAAUCUUAUAAAAGCAAAAAACAUAUAUCAGGGAAAAAACAUGAUAAACAGAAUAAAUUCCAAAUAAUUGGUAGAUAAGUCUUUAUACCUUAACCAAGUAACUCAGCUAUGCAUUGCACAAACACAAACCACCAAGAAACAGAGAGAGAAACGACCAAUGAAAAUAAAUUUUCUAUCCUUUUACCAUCUAUAAAUCUAUCAUUUAGAGCUGUCGGGCCAAAUAAGAAAAGACCAAAAAUAGUAAAGGGGAAAAAAAGUAGACUUCCCUGCAAUUAUUUCAAUGAUACAUUCAACCAGUACAAUUAAAAGAAUGAACUAACCAUCCACUAAAUCAAAGUCCUGCAAAUAGCAGAGCGCUGAAUCUAUAAGUCCAUCUGCAUGAGAAACUAAUCCACCCAUCAAAGCAACCUGAUAGAUACAGAAGGCAAUGUACACCAAAUGAUAUAUGCAUCUGCCAAUAAUAUUACCUUAACUAGAAAGAAAGACCCAAAUCAGUACCUCUGCUGUUUCAAGAUAGAGACUGAACCGCCUAAAGUGAUCAGGAAUAGCAGCUAUUGUAACUUCACUAAAUGUUAGGCAAGAUUUGGCAAAAGCGAAAAGAUUACUGCUCUCUUUCAUAAGCUUAAUGGAUAAAAGAUUGCUGGAGUGAACAAGCGUCUCCUGCAAGUCAACCAAGGAAUCUUACAUGUAAUUUCAUAUCUUACAGGCCACUACUUAGACUUGUACCAAGCAAUUCUACAUCAUACACCAAUUACCAAAAAGGGAAUACAUAAUGAACAUAUGCUGUUUCAUAUGCAUUCAAAGAGGAAAAGCACAUAUAAUCAGCACAUAAAGUACACAAACACAAAACUGGUGGCAGAUGCCAUUGGAUUGUCCAGUCCAACCACUGUAUGUAUAAUUUUUUCUCUGACAGCAUGUUUCCACGAACACAAAAAAUAGAAAAUUAAUAGAGAGAGAGAGAGAGAGGAGAGGACAAAAGAGACAAAUUAAUGAUGAGCGCCACUUCAGUGUGCUAAUUUUUGCUAGACUUCUGUUCACUGAAUUUCAGGUUGAGCAAAAUGCCAAAUCCAAGCAGUGGAAGUGAAACUAAUCUUUUCCAAACACUCGCAUCAUAAACAUAAAUAGCACAAUCUCUUAAUCAUCUUCUUUUCCUUUUUGGCAAACAUAAGUGGAUAGAGAACCUUGAGUUCAAUCAUGUCACCAAAGGCUCCGCGGCAAUCAACCAGAAAUGACAAAUUGCGUUCAAAAUCUCGCCCAUAAUCAACCUGAAAGUGUAAAACAUCUCUAUAUUAAAAUAUUACUUGGCAGGAGUCUGAGAAGAAUUUAUCCUACCAUGUUCACAAAACGAGAAAUUAGGCGUGCUGAAUGUUGAUUUUCAUUAUUUCUUAUGUUUGAGAAGUCUGUCCCAUCAUGCAACACCUGAGAAACUUCAAACAGAAAAUGAAUGAUAGUUGGAUCGUCAAUGCAAGUGUUCCUGCCACAUAUACAAAAGGUACCGAGUCAGCAGAUUUCCAGAAUAAGAAGCAAUAGUAACACUACGCUUUCUUCUCUCUCAAAUUUUAGAAGAAGACAUUUCCAAAUUGAUCUUGAGGCUUCUUUUCAGAUACAAAAGAAAUAUGCUCAGCUCUGUUUGACAUUAUGUCAAAAUUAGGAUGUAGUAGGUUUUCAACUAAACAAGUGAAUCUCCCAAUCAACCUAUGCCAGCAAACUCCAAAAGUGAAUGUCCCAUUCAACUUGGGCAGUAGUUGGAAACUUUAGUCACCACAUCUUACGCAUGAAGACCAGUAAAUUCUUUUAAGCAGCAAUAAGCACCGGAAGUUACAAAAUUUUAAAAAGUCACCGCAUUAUAUAGCACACAUGGCACCCAUUGACCAGAUGAAGAGGUUAAGUACUUCAGUAUGCUAAGGGCUGGCGAUAUUGCCAGCGCAAAAAUUUUUUUCCCAGAGCAAUGUUGACCUGAAUACCUAGACUAUCCCUUUGAAGGAAAACCAGUGCUCAUGGCUCAGCAUCACAUUCUUCUCUCUCUCUCUUACUCUCUCUCCAUUGAAUUCCAACUUCCAUGUCCUCCUUGUCCAUGGUAGCUUUUUGCUGUCUUCCCCUCUACCUCAUCUAUGCCUGAGACUUUUGCACCCAAUCCCUCUAAUUUCUCAGUGGCUCCUUCACCAAGCACCCUCUGGUCUAACCCCUUCACCCCUCAAAGAAAGGUCACUCCAUGUCUCAAACAGGUUACAAUCUCUUAGCCACCUUAUCCCUCCCUUUAAUCCACCUAUUUCCUAGCACUAUAAACUCCCUUUUUCCAAUCUCUCUCCUCAAUAUCACUGUCACCCCAAACCAGAACUUUUAAAAGCUCUUUGUCUGAUAUAAUUGAAGAUUAAAAAGUUAGGAGUAGACACAUUCUAAAAACAAAAUUUUGUCAUCAAAUUUUUUGUUUUGUUUCCAGGUGAAAACUGGAGUACCACAGUGGUGUUGUGGUUGUUGGUGGCUCUGUUGAGUGGCUUUUUAACUGCAAUUAGGUGGUUUUAUUAAGCAUAGAAAUUCAAGAAUGGAAUGGGUAAGAAAAGGAGAAGACAGCUUUGUCAGGUCUGCAAAAUUCAGCAAGCUGUUGUUGACUUUUAUAGGGGUAUUUCUAGCAUUUAGAUGAAAAUUACUCUGGCAGGAAAGGUUUUGCUCUGGCAAUAAUGCCAGCCUAUGCUAAACUUUUAAAGAAAAAGAAUCCAACUUACUUUCCCAUGAAACCGAGAGAAUAUUGGUGGCUGGCUUGAAAGAGUGCCCACAACAUUUUGAAGAAAGUUCAAUUUUAAUGUGACUGACAUAAACCAAUACCUUGUUGCCAUUCUAAGGAUGCUAAUGUUGAUGAUGUUCCUUGAGCUUCCGUGCAUCACGUCUAAGAUGUCAACAAAAUGGCUCUGCAAAUUUAUUAUAUCUGAGUCAAUUAUAGAUAUUUAACAAUCCACAGCAACUGUGAAACAGGCAAUCUUGCCAAUUAUUUACUAGUUUUUAAUUAGUAGCCACUUCUUAAUCAAAAUCAAAUUGAAGCUGAUGGGCAGAGUGAGGGAGCAGAAGCAGAAGUUUAAUGAGCAAUAUACCAGUGAUAAUAUAUCUUCCAAAUGAUCAAAAUGAGUAACGAGCUUCAAAAGGAAAGACUGCAAGCCUGAUAGAGCAUUCUUAUCAAUCCCUUUAGCACAUAAUCGCUCAAAUAUUUCAUUCAAUAUUCUGUUCAAAUAAAUGUGCUGCAACAUCAAGAAAGACAAGGUCAACUACAGCAAAGUCUCUUCAGUCUGCUUAAAAGGUAAUAUACAUGCUCAAAUUUUUACUUUUAGUGCAAACCUUAAGUUACAGGACAGUGAGUAUUUCAUAUAAUCCACAAUUAGAACACAUGCUUGAAAUUUGUCUUUAAACAUUUGAAUAGUUAUAAACAAUGAGAGGCUCAACAUGUAAAAAAUAAAUAAAUAAUUUGGUGAUGUAAGUGUAUUGGCUCUAUCCAUUAGCCUCCAACAGUUACUUGAUUGGCAUUCCACUUUGGACAUUAGUGUUGGUAUCAGAGCAGGCUCUGGAGGUAAUCUAUGUGUGACAAACUAAGUGCACUAGACUGGUCUCUACCAGGACAGUAUACCAUUACAAACUUAGACUUGAGGAUUUAAGACCAGGAAGAGUACAUCACUAGGUUACUUCACAUGUACCUAUAGCACUGUAUGGGAGAUCCUCACACACUCUAUAUUCAAAUCUUCAAGAUCCAUAAACAUAAGCAAACUUAAAACUAUGGAGCAAAAUAAAUGCACCUCUUGUCAGGCCAUGAGUAAACCAAUUAGAAAUAUAAGCAAGAAAAAUUUUGCAAUGUCAACAUGCUGAACUGCAAUACAGGCAACUUACCAUUUGAUUAUGCAGAACAAUAUCCACAUAAGCAUCUAAAACCUCCAAAUAUUCAUGUAGUCUAUCAUAGCAAGAAAUGACCUGAAGACAUAACAAACAAAUCAUGAACAGUGAACAUUAAGGAAAUUUCUUCAUAAAAAUUUACAAUUUUCAUACAUAACAUGUAAUGAGAUAUUGCUUUGAGAAUACAUCUAGAUUUCUGCACUCAUCCUGAUUGUGGAUAUUUGAAGGUUGGUAAGAUUCUAGAUCCCUUCAUGCGUAUCAUUUUGUAGAAUCUAGACACAUCGAAUGAAGUUUCUUCUGCAUCUCUAUACUUUUUUUUCGAAUUGCCAAAAAACCAAUCAAACCUAGUAUGCAAAUUAAAAUUUGAAAGCAGCCUCAGGACUUUUUUAGUUAUAACAGGAACCACAUUAAUGAGUUGAAAUUUCCAAUUUGCCAUGUAAUAUGCUUAACGUCUAAUAAUAACCUUUUCUAGAUGACCUAGGGAGCAAGAUAGCAUGUGAUGCAAAAUAUGAAGUUCUGGUAAAAUGUAAACAAUAAAAAUCAAAAGAAAGUACCUGAAUGACCUUAUCCACUAAAGCCAUGGCCUCAUUCACUCGAGAAAUGUUUUCACACAGCCUGAGUCCAAGCAACUUGUAAUUCAAAUACUGCAUUCAAAGUGUGAAAAUUUUGCACUAGGAUAAGUGUCAUAAAUGACAGUAGAGAUAUGUAACUUGAACACUAGAUAUGUAGAAAUUGUGCAAGAAUAAAAUAUUAGCUACCUGAUCAUAUGAAAAAUCAAUAUUGCACUCAAUCAGAUGAAGAAUACUCAUGGCAUUAGCACAGAUUAGUCCAGUAGGGAGCUCCUUUAGUAAAUGAUGAAGAAUAACUGAAAUGCAUGAACAGUCUCCAAAUAAAUGUGACUUGUCCUUUCCAAGUCCAAGCCCCACAAUUACAUCACGAACUUGAACCUUUUAACAUAAGAGUGAUACUCUCGGUCAGAUCAUUGCCAGGACAGUUCAUAAAAAAUUACUACCAAAAAAUGCAAUAUAUUGUUUCCACAUGAGAACAAUAGUAAAUAUACACCAUUCUCUGUAAAACAGUAUUACACAAGAUGACUGACACCUAAUUUCUACUCCCAAAUCCAAGUUGCUCAUUCUAACCAGCAUAUUAAAGCAAUAUUGGUCCUAGUAAUACCAGAAAGAUUUUUAUCCCCCAAAAAUUACUGUAAAACCAGCAAACAAGUAUGCAUAUAUGUACUAUGCAAUCAUACCUGAUUUAAAUCCUUAUAUAUGCAUCUCAUCAUAUACUCAAUAGCAGGUUCCAUGAGGCUCAAAAGCAACCUUCUAUCUGCUAGAGAGAUUAUGCAAGUUGUUUCUUGCAGUGAAAGAAUGCGCAUCAUUACAAAUUUCAAGUCAUUGAUGCCAGUGACAAGGUAUCCUGUUGGAGACCAAAACGCGCAGUUUAAAUUGGGAGAAAUAAAUCAAAGAUGGUAAGAGCCUAAGAGUAAACUUGAUAUACCUCAUCAAACAUAUCUAAUUUCAAAUAGAAACACACAUGGCCAGAAUGAAGCCAAGUCCAGAAAUUUUUUUUAAGAUUGUAAAUUGAUUUGUUCCAAGUUCGGAAAACAAUCCAUAUAAACAGCCAAAGAUAGGCUAAAUAAGUUUUUCAACCUUAAGCAGUCCUAAUUUUUUUCCCUUAAGCUUUAUGCUUUGCCAGAAAAGUUUCCAAGUACAAGGUUCCAAAGGGAAAAUGAAGCAAAAAUUAGCUUCAAGCUUUUCAAUAAGCAGCAUCUAACAUGCUUGGCAAUAAAACUGCAAUUUCGAUAGAUAUCCCAUGGACUUAAGCAGUAAAAUUAACAGGUUUUCUUAUUAUCCUCCAUUAAAGAACCAAGUUGAAGGGAAUUGGCACUGAACACCAAAAAUUUUAGAUGUGCAGAGAUUAAAAAUGAGAACAAUACAUGUAAAAGUAUACAUAUGAAUGUUCAAACAGUAAUGACUAUCUAUGUUGUAUAAUAAAUUACUAGCAUGAACAAUCUAUUCAAAUAAUUUUGAGUCAGAUCCAGAGUACUAAUCGCAUUCUAGUAUAACUCCAUAUAUAUGCCACAAGUCAUACUAUUCAUACACUAUAUACUCAUAUGCAGAGGAUUUUGAUCAACUCUGAAAACAUUAAGAUUUCGGCUUAAGAAAAUUGUAUACUGAAAAGACGUAUAAUGUAUAUUUUGCUAGUUUAAAGCUUAUUUUCUCUAUUUGGGAAAUUUACGUACUUUCAAACCUUAAGUAAAAAGAACGUGCACCAUUAAAAAUAGUUUUUGGAUAAAAGUAGUUAUACCUAAAUCGUGUUGAGGUAGUUUUUGAGCUCGGUGAACCAUAUAUAAGUGGCAGUAGGCCAAGGCUAUUGGAUCUGCAAUGCCUCUUGUCAUCAUGGCCAAGCGCUGGAGGCUACUCAUAGGAUUGUCAACAAGGAAACGCCAGCAUGGCAGUACGGCCAGUUCCAGAUAGCUGAUGAGGACGAUGAAAGCUGUUAGCACAUAUGAUUACAAACCAACAUGCAAAAAACAGAUCACUAAAAUUAUUAACUUUUACUUUCGUAACUCUUCCCACCAACACCCCCUAAGGUUUUUUUUCCCCUGAAUUUACAUUCAACUUCUCUUGGAAAGUCGUGUUAAAAGUUAUUCACAAGCAUCAAAUUUAACUCUUUUACAUGACUAACCAAAGCAAGUUGAGUGCAGAUUUUCCAGAAGGGAUUUACAAUAAAGGCACUGAGAUAACCUCUAUACAAUAAAGACACUGAGAUGAUCUCUAUGGUAAUUUUCAUCAUUGUACUUCAGGGAUUUAUCACAAUUCCUCAUCAGUUUAACAAUUUAAUUUUGCAAAAAAAUAAGAAACAAAAAUUCAGAUUUAAGGUGCAACCAGCAUAAAAAAAUCAGGUUCCCUAAUUUUGUAACUAUUAAGAUGUAUUAGAUAAUUCAAACAGAGUAAAGUUAUGUACUUUUAGACUCCAUUACCUUCACCAUCCCCAUAAUUUUAUUUGUUUUAUUGUUUGUUCUUUUUUCUUGUGGGGGAGGGAGAAAAGACAUUUACCAGGAUAAUUUUUUCUUUUUUUUUUUUGAAUUUGGGUGCUUAAAAAGGAGAAUUAAAACCAAUGGUGCACUGAGGUGUAUAUAUUUAAGUAAUAUCAAGGACAUGAAAUAUAAAAUUGGGGCUUAAACAAGUUAGCAUAUGGCUUGUAAUUGACAGUAAAGAAGCUUGGGUUGUUUGAAACACACAGGUGCAUAGAAAAGGUGAAGGGGCAUCUUGCUAGAAAUUUUCGAAAUUUCUCUUGCACGAUAACCUAAUCUCUAUUUCAAGAGGUACACUUAAAGUGCUACUUUUGCAAGAUUGAUUUUCAAAUAAGACGGAGAACCUAAUGAGAGAGCUCCUUGAUGGAGUGGACAAUGACAGUAAGCAAAGGAUAUUGGUAGAAGACUACCAGCCAAUGAUGGACCUAGGCUUACUUCUGCCAAGUAGUCUAUGAAAGUCUCAAAUUGAGUACUGAAGUCAAACUACUUGUCCUCCCCAAAAGAGCAGCUGAAAUCAACCCAUGGCAAAGUAGCAUAUCUGUUUAUUGAGCAUAGUCGCCCGACUAAGGUUUUGGGACAAGAAGAGAGGCAGUUCCAAGUGUUCGUGUGCCAAUUCCAAUUGAGGUAAUGCUGGUUGAUCCUCCGCAGUUAAUGAACCUCUUUCAAGGAUCAAAGAAAUCAUAUUUGGGUUCCAUCAUUCUUCCCAUGUAUUCAGAUUGGGAGAAUAAGACUAUAGUUUACUACACCAGUACAUCUUCUAAGUGGAAAAUCCUAAAAUUUGAUAAUGUGCAGGAUUAGCAACUCAUUCAAUGACAACAAUAUGUUAAUACUGAGAAGGCAGUUUAAAGACGUCACAUGCGCGGAAGAAGCUCACGGAUGGAACCGAUUUUGGAGAACCAGUUGUUGCAAGUUUCUUUAGCAUCAUCAGAAAUACUAUUGGCUUCAAAAUCAUCUGCCACAAGUUACACACAAGUUGAUGCAAAUAUCAUAAUGAAUCUCUUAAAAAUUUCAAUAUCCAAAUAAGAAAUUACAUGAAUCAUCUGCAGUAUAUAAAAGUACAGAGAUUUAGACUUAAGCUUCAGAAAGAGGGUGUAAAUCUGCAAGAGAAGAAGAGACAGGAUUCUAAGUGUCAUGGUUAAACCUGGCAAAGAAGAAACGAAUUUUCUAUCUUCCGUGUGCUCAGCUUUCUGUCUAAUUCGUUGCCAUACCAUAUCACCCAGCAUAUCCAUCACAUCUGUGGCUAGAACGAAUAGUGUUGGAUAAAAUUGUACAACAGAUGUGUCCAUCAGAAGUCUGGCAACCUGGAAAGAAGAGAUACUAUUUCAAAAGGCAACAGCUAACAAUAUCUCUCCUAUUAUCCACUUCUUGACUGUUUUUGUUGAUGCCAAAGUAAACAUGGCGCAAAAUCAUCUAAGCGAAGCAGAGGCCAAAAACGCUCUUUGAUCUCAAGGAAGUUUCGGAUCUUAGUUCAUUACAAGUUAACAGCAAUUUAGUCAUAACUCUACAUGUUAAUAUGUUGCAGUACAGGUUAAAAUUACUUAUCAAGUGCCAGAGACAUUAGCAAAAAAAAAAAAAAAAGGACAGGUAUCCUCAUUUAACAAGUGCCCAAAGAAAGUUUCUCGAAGAAAGGUGAGCAAAUAAUCUUUACUUUCAGGAAAGUAGUUUUGUUACUAUAAAGCUUCAGCUUUGUUUCCCUUGUUCCAGCUGUUUUUGUCAGCCCCAAUAAGAAAAGGCUAGCAUAAACAGAGGAUAUAAACCACACCCAUUUACUGAAGCAACUGUAGUCUGAGUUCUCGAAUGACAGGACAAAAGACUUCCUCAAUGUUGUUAUAAAAACUUCCACUACUUCGUAUAGUUUUAUGAUAAUAGUUGACAAAAAUUAGCAUCAAAUACGGCUAAAACGAUUUGCAAAACAAUAAAGCUCACCCUGAUGCACAAUUUCAAAGAUGUCACAUGCUCCUUUUUACUCCAAGAAAGCGCAAUCUCAUCUUUGAGUUCAUAUAAACGUAAAACAUAUUCCCUCUGACUUAUAACUUUAAGACCUUCUUCUGUAAAUUUUUGAGGAUCAUCCAGUUCUUCCAAAUGUGAAUCCACAGGUGAUUUGUCAGUUACUGCAAAAUAUUUAUACACCACAAAGUUUAAAAGAAAUUUGAAUGCUAAUAAAGAUAAGCUACCUUGCCAUUACAAUCCAAAGGUCCUUCAGGAACAAUAAAGACACUUAAGCUCCAGCAAAAGAAAAGGAAGGGGUAGAAAACUGAUUACCAAGCAAUUGCAACUCCUAUAAAUGCAGGGUCUUGGAAGAAUUAGGUUUUGUACAGCCUUACCCCUGGGAGCAAUAAGCUUAUUCUAGGUACAGAAUAAAAAAGCCAAUACAAGAUGCAUCAUACCCUUUCCAGUCUUCAUAAUUGCAUUUGAAAUCUGCAAAAUGUGGCCGGUAAACAUUUACCAAUUGAAAUAGAACUCUUAUGCAGAAGAUCAAAAUGGCAUCAUGCUUGUUAAGAUGACAUGGGAGUGGCGGAGUAGGGGACUGGCAAUAUUCCUCUUUUUUAACUAAGUUAAUAUUCUUCAUUUAAAUUACACAAAUUGUACCUAAGCUGUAGAUGAGACUACAUCUGCCAUUCUUUUAGAAGGGUAUAACAGCCCUGCAAACAAAACUUAUGUCUCAUAGGUCUUGAGGAUAGCAAGAUAUGAUGUUUAUAACUCAUCCAGCAUUUCGAAAGACUAAUUAAGUCGCAGAUGUCUAAUAAUGCAAAACCUGUGAGGUUUGUAUGCAGUUGUUUCACCAUAGACAAAUGCAUGAAAAUCCAAGCAUGUCAUACUGAGUUUGCAAACAUAAGAUCCUAAUAAAAAAAGAUCCGGGUUAUUUCUUGCCGAGCUUCCAACACUACAAUGAGUUGUGGAGAGUUACCUUUCUUAUAGACAAUAAUUUAUAGAACUAGUCCCUAAAUAAUACAAAUACCACGGGAAAACAUGAACAAACAUACAAAAAUUACAUUCUUAAUUAAAGCUUAAAAAGCCCCAAAAAAAAGACUUACUGAAGAUAACGGGAUAUUCUUAGAUGCAGAAAAUCUCUGCAUCAAGAUUUUCUUAAAAGAAGUCCAUUCCUUGGAAGAAGACUGGACAGAAGCUUCAUUGGACGGUCCUCCUGUAAUCUCUUCAUCUUGAAAAUCCUCAAAAGAAACUUCCUUUUUCUCAUUGAUCUUCCUAAGUGGAUCAAAAAAAUCAUUUUCUUCCUUCUCCUUAUGCACCAAAUCAACCUUUAACAGAUUCCUAAGUACCAUCAGCAUAUUUUAUACGAAGGAUCAAACAAAUGUUAAGAAGAUUUGGUUAGAACAAGAAAAAAAAAGACAACAUUCCUCAUUGAAGACGUGAAAUUGACAAGCUGUUGAACUUAAGCAUAGCUUAUACUUUAUGCACUGAUUAUGGAUCAUAUUGAUGGGGAUUAUUUACCAAAAGCCAUUAUCUAAUCUUUCUUUGACUGUAAUCCAACUUGAUUUGUGCAUCACCACCUAUCCUAGCGAGACGUAAAAACUCUCAAAGGUGGCAAAUCCCAUCCCUUUAAUUCUAUCACACAAGGUGGCAAAUCCGAUCGUUUUAAUUCUAUCCCACAAAAUUUCAACUAAAAUGUUCAAUUGUUUCUUCGAUAAUUACCAACAAGAAGUCGCGCUCUAUGAUUAAUUCAUAGAGCUUCCCGUUUCUCUCCAAAUCGUCUUCCAUUUUAUCAUUCACACUUAAAUAACAUAACAAAACAAAACAAGAGAACCUAAAAACCAUAUUCCGACUUGCACAUUGAAGUAGACAACCUCAAAAACAAUCAGAAAACAUAGGGAGAUUAAGCGUUUUGGGCACAGGCAUUCAAUGAAGUCCACCAGAAACUCACUUUUUGAGUCCAAGCAAGCAAAGUUGUCAUAUCGUAGCCAGAUAAAUUUAGUUAAGAGUACAUAAAAGAUUCAAUUUUGGACCAUAAUUCUAGCAGAUUCUUCUUAUUUCAAUUCAAGAUUUUUCAAACUUUAAGAUGGGGAAGAUAAAAAUGUUUAAAAGACCUGCUGAAGCGUUUCAGGGGAAGUGGACAGAGGAUGAGUUCCUGCAGGUAGACGAGGGAGAGAGUAAGCCUUUUCCUCUGUUAUAUAAUCUCUAUGUCUGAACUCGAGCUCCAUCCAGGAAAUUUAGCGCGCAAGACACUAGCGAGUGUGUGAAUCCGAGAGUUCUUGGCGUUCCAACUCCGGUUCUGGGUUUUACCGUCAAGGAAGGGAAGUGAAGAGUUUUGACUCCGUUUGGUUGACGGGAAGACGUAGAAAUGAAGGGAUAAAUCCCCUUGAUAUGCUACUAGGAGAGGUUCGCCGCGCGAAUGCGCGGUGGAUAAACGCCCCAUUAUACCCACUUAAUUUUCAAAUUAUUAUGUAACAGAUGUAAAUGAUAAACAAAAUAUUUAGAGUUGUAUUCUUAGAAAUUAUAUAUAAUUAGUUCAAAAUUGUAAAAAUAUGAAAUUCAAGAGAUGAAAAUUAUUAUACAAUACCUUUUAAAAAAAGGCAAGAAAAACAUGAUUAGAACAUACACAACUGGCCAUUGACCCAACAUACAAAUUAUAUUGUGCUGUCCUCAAAAUUUACGAAUGAAAUCUCAUUCUAAAAAAGCAUCAACAGUCACAUAUAUGCAUCAAUUAACAUAAUUAAAAACUCUUUCUCAACAUAUCUUGUCUUUUGAGUUUUUGAGGAAGGCGACCUCACAAUUUUUGCACAGCUUUGAUGCUAAAGAGGUUUUACAGCAUUAUGGGAUAAAGCCAAUCAAAAGAACAAUAAAAUCCUCCAAAAAGUAUCAAGGAUAUACAUCAUAAAGAAACCUCAUUUUUUUUUCUUUUUCUUUUUCUUUUUUGGGUACAUUGGAAGAGGUCAUAAUCUCUUAAAUAGAAACAAAAUGAGAAUAAGCAACUGCUAACACAUACGCUUCCAACAAAUCUGGCAUCUCUGCAGGGAUGUCAUCAAGAACUUGUAAACCUAAUGGACCAUAAAUGCUGCACUUGGCCAAUCAAUUUGUAUAUUGAUUGCAUUCCCUCCAAAUAUGACUCAGCUAACAGUCCCAGCUCCUUUGCUUUAACUCUCAUAUCUGAAUAAGAAGAUUAUGAUCCGAUGAGUUCUGAUACCUAAAUUUUUAACUAAAACUGCAUGCAAGAAAAAGACCAAUCAAAUGGAUCUACAUAUACCGUGCAAUAGCAAGGGCAUAGAUGACUGCUAAUAUAUCCUUCACAUCAUGCAAGUCAAUCUCACAAGUCACAACUAUCAUUUGGAGUAGUCUCAUGCUGUUUCAAAAGAUGCAAGCUAAAUUGCUAAAUGAAAAUAAGAGGUUUGCCACAUGCAAAAAACUCGUGAAUGGUUUCCAAGCAAAAUUUACUCUCAGUUUCGACGUUAUGUACAACUAAAACCUAACUAAAUUUAAGUGCAAACAUCUGCUCCAAAAUCUAACUUGGCAAGUUUUCGUAUAGGAGAGCAAAAGAAUCAAGAAGAUUUCUCAAUAAAGCAGGACAAAAGGAAGUUUCUAAAAAUUUUCAACUUAACUUUGAUGCUCUUAGCCCAAGGACAACAAAAAAUUAGAACAACCCACUAAAAUAAAGUAUAGGAGAAACUUUUCAUGAAAGGGAGAGGAAGGAGAGAAAAUAUGAUUGGCAUUCAGAGGAGGAAGGGAGAAAAGAAUAUAGCAACAGAACAAAGAAUGAAGUAGAAGGGGAGACAACAUUGGAAAAAAAAAAAAAAGAACUGUCUAGAGCAAGCUGUAACCUUGUAAGCAACUCAAAAACAAAGAUAAGAUAUGAAAUAAUUUUCUUUUAUACUGCACAUUGGCCAAUAUUUACAGCCUCAAAACCAGCUAGAAUUCCUCAAAUUCAAACAAGUCGGUAUCUUAUUAUUUUCUUUAUUAGUAAAAAGAAAAGAAAUAAUAUUAUACUUUUCCAUUCCAAACAAAUUAAUACAAGGUAGACCAUAAAACUGCCAAGUAGUCUGAAUUUUCAUUAUAAACUAUGCAGCCAAUAUCGAAUAGUAAAGCUACAAGUCAAAACACAACUACAUAAGCAAAUGCCAUGAUGAGCUUCAAGAGAAACAGGAAAAGACUCACAUGAGAAAUUUACGAAGCACUGACAAUUAUUAGGUUGAUACAAUUUUGGAGAAAGUCAAGGAAUGAAAUUUGUGAAAUCCUUGUUAUCAAUACAUUUUUAAGGAAUCCAAUCAGACACAUAAUAUUAUGCAGUAAUAAUUAGCCUUUGAAUUGCAGUAGCAUUUUUAAGGGAAAACAUGGCUAACAAAUUACCCUUUGAAUUGCAGUAAUAAUUAUAAUAGUAAUAACUACUCUAUGCUCAAUCGAAAAUACAUUUUAAGCAUCCAAUCAAACUGUUAGUCCUCUUUUACAUCAUUCAUUUAGCAAAAUAUUUGAUCUAAAAGCCUAGAGAAUCAGCAAAAACUACAAGGUGAGAAAACAUAUAUAUGUCUAGAAAAAAUGAAGCAAUAUUGAUUGAUCUCUUUCAACUAUUUCUUCCUUUAGAUAAUUGUUUGCCUUUUCUUCAACAUCCACAGCUUCUAGAAGAAUAACCUACAUUAUUUUAAAAAAAACCCUCAAUAUAUGGCUAUCAAAGACUAUAUUAGAAUGAUUGAUAAAUUCAGCAUGGCAAAUGAUAGAACACGAGUAUAAUGCAUAACAAUUAUGAGAAAAGAUAUCCACCUCAAGAGUACAUCAAACUGAACCUCCCAACUUCAUAUAUGAUUCAGAUGCAUAACAAUUCAUCUUGAGAAGGCAAUAGUUUAAAAAAAAAAGAAUUGGUAAAAUUAACAAUUUCAACACCCACCAGACACUUCGUGAAAACCACUAAAUAGCACAAAAAUCAGAAAUUUGAAAUUCAAAGUUAAGGUAAUCUAGAAAGAUGACCACAAAAUAAAAAGAAAAGACGAUAACCUGAAAAGCUAAAUCUUUUUCUCCUCCCUUUAGUAUUUCCUUGUGAUUUUCCUCAAUCUAUCAAAUAGGCAGCAAUCUAAGAUUAUGAGGAGCAGCAAAACUAAAGAAGCAAGCAAGAAAUUAAAAACUUCAGAAGUGAAAAGGAAGCAGAAACUUGAAGGUCCAAUCUAGUGUAAAAUUGGAAAAAUGACAGGGAAAUAAAUCAAAAAAAAUUCACAACCUGAAAAGUUAAAAUUUUUUCUCCUUUCAGUAGAUAUUCCUUCCAUUUUUUCAAACUGUUUUCACAUUUGAAUACUAUAACAUUGAGAUACCAAGAACUAUAUAUUACAUACACAGAAAAAAUAACUUCACCAAUAAUGAGUAACCAUAGAAAAAGGGCUUUAAAAAUCUCAUUUGGCAAAUUCACAUACGAAAUAAAAGCUCAAGUAAGAUAUUGUCAAUAAUAUUAAAAAAACCCAUAAAAGUAUAAACAAACAAUUAUUAGAUCAAACUUGGCUGUUUGGUCUUACAAUUACUACGGGCAGAAUAGACUGCUAUUGUAGGCAAUGAACCACAUAGUUCAAUCGUCAACUCUGCUUUACCCAACUUGCUCACAAACACUUCUAGAACAAAGCCAUGUAAUUAAAUGAUAAUGCUCAAAAUGUAAAAGCAUUUGCUAAAAAAUUGAUCUUCUAGUUUUUGAAACAUUAAUGAGGUGUUAUCAAGAUUAAAAUGCAAAGACGAAAAGUAAGUUUGUAAAAUCUACCCAUUAAAUUGGCGAAACAAAUUGUGUAACCUAACCAUGCUAUGAUAAUAACCAAAGUAAUAGGCUCUUUGAAGAGCUAAGAGAGCCGGGAAAAAAAAAGGAAGAACAGGCCAGAAAAGAAAUUGCCCCAGUCCAACUCAUCAUUCAAGAGUAGAAAGGCAAAGAAAAUUACAAGCCACAACUAUUCAAUAUGUCAUUUUUAACUUUCACAAGCAAAUGUACAUGUAUCAACCCCCUGGGAGUUUCUAUUCCAGCUUCGUAACCUUCAAUUGUUGAGGGAAACUAUCUAUCAAAUAAACAAAAGAACGCAAUUAGGAGAUAAUCUAAAUCCUAUCAGCAUAUACAUUUAAGAAUCUAGGGAAGGGAAAAAUUUCUCUUAUUCAGGGGGAAAAACCCUGAAGAAUACAAAAUCAGUCUGUUUACCACCAUGCGUGCAUUAUCUUCAAUGAAUGCCGCACUGGUAGCUAUUAAGUGGUGAUUUUUUUUUUUUUGCAUUGAUAAUAAAGAAAUUGCACAUGAGCCACUGUAAAUGAAUCAUUCUUUUCCGCAGGACCAAUAAUUACAAUACUAAAGCAAACUAUGAACCAAAAGGUAAAUACAUCAAUACAUUGAAACUGCAUAUAAGCAAGCUAACAAAUGAAUUUCAAAUCAAAUAUUAAAUAAUCUGCAAUAAAUGAAAAUUUCUUACUAAAAAAUUCAGAGACUACAAAAUUACAAGGAUCUCAUGGUAAAAAAAACAUUAAGUAAACAACAAUACAUCAAAUGACUAAACAUACCUAAUUAAGUAGAAAAAGGCUAAACAUAGAACAAACUUAAGUAGCCUUAAAGCUAGUGAGAAUAAUAUAAGCAGCUUCCCUCCUAUCACUACCAGCAAUCAGCUUAACACAAAAUACCUAUUAAAAACACCAGAUCAGUUUUGGAUACUCAAAAAAACCCAAAAAGAAAAAAGAAAAAAAAUUGCAAUCAUGGGCUCUGAACCAAGUAUAAUCCCUCCAUACAUAAAAAUCUUUCCUUCUUGUACCGGAUGAUGGCACAUAAACAUUAAGAAACAAUAUGAUUUUCCAUUGAAUGCCUUCUUCACAGAAUGUUUGAGACAAAUAAAUGGAGGAAAAAGUAUAAAUCUGGAACCCAUACAACAAAUUGAACAAAAGGUGAGAUGGCCCAAAAAAAUAAUCACAGUUAAGAGUAUGGCCAAAUAUACACACUUUUGGCAAUCACUUUUUCCUCAUUGUGUAACAGAAUUUCUUGCACUGCACAAAUGUAAUUUAAGAGCAAGGACUUUUUGGAAUUUGAUACACCAGACAUGGUAAGUUCAACCAAAAACUCAAUAUUGGACUGAAGCAAAUUACAACAUAAAAACUUUUGGUUCCGCUGCAAAACUCAGACACCCAUAAGGCAUUUUAGCAAUAAGUGUUAACCACACUUGUAAAUGCAACUACACCACUCUAUGCAUACUCUAAAUACAAAGUCACAACUACUGCAAUGGAAAAGUAAUGACAAAGACAUCUAUUCCAAGCACAAUUCAAACAGGAUCUCCCAAUACCAUGUAUAACUUGGAUGCAUAACCAUCCGUGUUAAGAAGGCAAUAGUAAAGAUAAAAGGCAAAACUACGAAAUAAUACCUAUAGCUACUUUGUGAAAACCAAUGAAUAGAAUAUAACUUGAAAGCUGAAUUUCAGGUGAGCUGCAAAGAUAAUUGGGGAGAAAAAAAGAACUGAGCCUAAAAAGUUAAAUCUAUCUCUUCUUGUGGAUUUUUCUUGCAUUUUUCCUCAAUCUACUAAACAAAAAUCAAAAUAUGACAUAAAUGGAAAAUAAGACUAUUAGCAGCAGCAAAACUAAAUAACUAAACAAGAAAUUAAAACAUAUAAUCUUCAGUUGAAGAGAAGGUUAAGAUCUCUGUGUCAAAGAAGCGUCAGAAGAAGAGGAAAAAGUCAGAUAUAAAGAAGCAGGUGGUGCCUCUGGGUGCUUAAAUAUUCAAGUUUCUUCAUCAUUUGUAGUUCAUUUUAACUUUGAUCAUUGUUACUUUUAAAGAACUUAAAGGACUCUAUAGAUGGAAAGAUGAAAAGACCCUAAAAAAAAGGAUGAAACAAUGACCUUGAGUAAAUUCAGCUUUUGGUGAUUUUUUGGAGUCUAUUAGAGGAGAACAAUCAAGACUACAGAGCUCAAAUACUAUUGCAAAGUGAGCUAAUACUAAUGCUUUCCCUUUAAAAGUCAUGCAUAGAUCAGGUGGCUGAGAAAGUUAACCACCAAGCAGAUGUUGUGUAGUUCUGUGGAAUGAGAUAGAUAUUUUAGUACUUAUAGCAUUUUCAGCGAAACUAUGUGUAUCAAAUAAGCUGUAUCAUUAGUACAAAAACACAAAAAAAAAAGGGUAAAAAAUUAUAUAUAUAACUACAGGAGCUGCAGAAAAAGUACCUAGAUAUUCACCGACGAAGAGCAGAACCUGCAGACAAAAAACAAAAUAGCCAAUGAUGAUGAAUAUAACAGCACCAUUAGUAUGAGAACACAAAGACAAAACUGAAAUACGAAAUCAUCCAUGCAUGUGCCAAUUGCCUCAUGCUGAAGUUAUUCUUAAUGCUUAUAAUUCCAAUGACCUGUGAGAAGAAUAGAACUAUUAAAUCAAUUUAAACAAGCUUACAACUUACAUGACACGGCUUUGGAAACUACAGAUUCAGCAGGCACAUCAUUAAGCAAAAAAACUAAGACCAUGCAUGCAACAGAUCCAGCAUUAGAUGAUAGGCGACACACUACACUCUAAAGCAAAACCCAAAACCAGAAUUUGAGAGGACACCUCUUGGCUACUGUGAAUUUUUUUUUUUUUAGAGGACAAUAGCAAAUUAGCAAUGCAAACGAGGCAAAUACUUAAACAACUAACUCCAAAAGCAGAAAAAAAGAGAGAAAAAUAUCCAAUUCUUGGAACCUUAGUAAUCACUAAAACACAUGGAACUUUGCGCACAAUGGAGAUAAACAAUUAUGUAUCAGAUCCUAAAUUUCUAACCACACAAAGCAUUAGACAUCAAAGAAAAAUUCCAUUGGGCAAGAUAUGAGAAUGACAUUCCAAAAAAAUACUCUAAACAACGGAGUGAGUAGUCAAGAAAGAAACGGAAAGGAAGGGAAAAAAAUAGAACGCAUUAAUUCUUUCGUAUACUUACCAGUUACCAUGAAGCAAGCACUUGUACAACCAAAAAACCUGAAAAAAAAAGAAAGAAAAUAUUCGAUAACUACCAGAUAAAAUCAGAAGAAUAAAAACUGAUCUUAAAAAAAAUAAACAUAUAAAGAAAAGCAAAAUCUACCUAAAGGCUGUCCUAGCAAUUGUUUCCCCUUUUCAUCUCAGUGGCAGCUAUCAGGACAAAAAAAUAAAUUUUAUGUAUAGCUAAGAAAGAAAAAUAUGGAAAUUGGGCACAACAUGGAAAAAAAAGAGGAAAUUUUCACCUCAGCUAACUCCUUUGAACUUCAUUUGGUUUUUAUUGGUUUCAUCCGCGCAAAGUGUAGAGUAGUUCAAGCAUACAUUAAUGUGAAAGUUCCCAACAAGAUUAAGAUCCAUAGAAUAAUAGGUGGAAGCAAUCUUGUUUGUUCAAUCAAUAUUUAAAAAAAAAAAAAAAAAGAAAAAAAUGGCGGGGAAGGAAGAUGCGGAUGAUCAAGAGGAAGAAAGGCCAAUGAAGAAGAAGAUGAGGGAGAGAUACAGGGACGGUGGAAAGUUGUUCUUUGUCAGGCGUGUACAGGGACGGUGGAGUCUAUUUUACACUCACAGGGCAUUCAAAAGAAAGAUUCUUUUGAAUAGAGUUUGUAAAAUUUGAGGAGCAAUAAGGGUAAAAUUAUAAUUUCACUGGCCAUCAUUGAGCCCAGCACCAACCCUUGUCAUUCAACCUGACGAAUCACACGCACACCUGCUGCAACGCGGGCCAGCCGGACUCCCGUUUCUUCUCCUCUUUCUUCGGCUUGUAAUCUUCUUUAGUCUUCUAGUCUAGUGUAGUUAGAAAGAAAGAAUGAAUGGAAAAGAAAACCAAAUGGGAAUAUAAGAAAGGUAAGCUACCAAGUUGGACGAACACUCUUUAGCCAACCACAUUUUGCCACAUCAGCAACACAAACAUCACUUUGAGGCAUGGCAUUCCCUCUUUUAUAUAUAUGUUAAUGACCGCAAUAAGUUAGAUUUCACACAUGAUUUGAGUGUAUGAUUUUGUUUAGAUUACAAAUUUUCGUAACAUAUUUUUCAAUCACUUCCACUUCCAUGCCUCGUAUACAUCAUGUCCCCAUAAUAUAUUUUUUUCCAAAAACACUAUAAAUUUCUUGCUUUAUUGACGAAAUCAAUGGCUACCAAUUCCGUCAUUCGCAGUUAAAACGGACGCAAUGAUACUUGGAGUAGAGCAUAAUAGGUACAAAUUCAAGCAAUCAAAAUAAACUUCUGCAUGAUUUUCACUCGGGACCACUAAUUCAUCUAUACUCAAAUCACAAGCUGCUCAGCUUAAUUGAGUUUCAUAUAUUUUAGAUUUGUUCACACAUAUUAUCGUGUGUGCAUUGAAUAAACCUAUCUACAUUGAACAGUAGCUUAAACUGGUCAAGUUUAAUAAAACUUCACACCAAUAUUACAUCUUUAAUCUGCAUAUCGAUUUAAUUGUAUCCGUAAUAUCCAACUCUAAACUAAAAUUGCAUUUGAGCCAAAAACAAAAAAUUAGAGUCGAAUUUUAAUUAAGCUCUGAGCCAUAUAAAACAUUUCACUCGUGCUCGAAUCGACUGGAUUCCAUCGACCACGUGACCAGUUCUGUCCAGAGUCCAAUUGUGUAAACUAAUAGAAUUUUAAUAUUGUAUAUUGGUAUAAUUUUGGUCUAAAUGUGAGUUAUAAUUAAAUUGAUGUAAAACUCAUAAUUGUACCGAACAUAUGUUAGUUUAUAUUGAAAUUAUACCAUUUUACGCAGCUAGGCAAAAUUAGAUAGAAGUCAUAGAACCUCAACUAGAGAAAGAAGCACCGAAUCCCGCUUGAUACCAUCUUAUUGAGUGAGUAGCUACUUAAAAUUAAAUGUUUACUGACAGUCAUUUUUUCCUAUAAUAAGGUUAUUGACAUUGACAUCAUUCGAGAAUGGCUGAUGGGUCGAAAAAAUCAUUCAAAAAGAUAGCAAAAAUUAUCAAAAUAGUCCCUCAUAUUUCAAUAAAAUUCUCUUUUUGUUCCUUACAUAUAAAACCUUGGAAAAUGGUUCUUCACAUAUAACAAAUAUCAAUUUGAUCCUAGAACAUAUUUCCUACCAAAUUUAUAGCCAAAAGAUACAUGUCCAAUACUUUCAACCGCAAAAUAAAAACAAGAAUAAUAUUUUCUACUAAUUAUUUAACAAUUUUAACUAUAAGAACUUUUAAAAACUCCUCAACAUUUUUAAAAUACACACCUUAAAAUAUAAAAAAAAAACCCACACAAAUUAUUCUUCUUCUUACUAAAAGUAUGAAUACGUGACUCAAGUUUGCAUUUUUUGACUAGAAAUUUGGGCAGAAAUAGAUUUCGAAACCAAUUUUAAGUAUUUAUUAUUAUAUGUAAGGGACUUAAAAAGUUUUUUUUUUUUUAAAUGUGGUAGACUCUUUUGAUCAUUUUCCCCAAAAAAUUUUGCUAAAAAAAUUCCGAUCUUGUUGCAACAUGGUUGAAAAAAGAAGGAAUUAAAAAAGUGUAUCUUAAUUUUCUCCCAUAAUUUCUGAUAUGUAAUCAAUAUUAAAACUGACUAUCUAAAACUUACGGUUUUUUUUUGUUUUUAUUUUUUAUUUUUGCUUCUGAAUCUUAUUAAAACUUGAAUUACCCUCCUCUAUGAUUAUUGGAUAAAGAUAAAGAGGCAAAACAUGAAAUUGUACACCUGCUAAAGACUAGAGUUCCGAGUAACCGGCAUUUCUAGAUUUCCAGUAGACUAUUACAGUUAGUUUUACACUGACGGCGGUAAUUGACGCUGAACCAGAAAGAUUCAACCUGCUAAGUUACAUGCACACUAAUCUAGAUGGGUUAAAAUGGCUGCCACCCCGACGUAUAAGGAUGAGAUGGUUCUUUAGUUUUUUUCAACUCCAGUAUAUGACUUUUGUUGAAAUAAUUAAUCCUGAUCUCAGAUUAACCUCCAAAAUCAGCAACUUUUGAAAGCAAUCCAGUGAUUUAACUACUCAACCCAAGCCCCUCCCAAAAUCGACGUGGUGGGACUACUAAAUUAGGACUACUAAACUGGAAAAUAGUUCUUUAGUUGACAUUCAUUUUUUCAUGUUAAAGGAAAAAAAGAAAACUUUUGACUUAAAUUUCUUUAUCUGUGGUCAACCCAACUUGCACUUCAUCGGUGCCCUUGGAAUAUAUAUACAUACAUACAUACAUAUAUAUAUAUAUAUAUAAAGAAUUUGACGUUAUUAACUUAAAUUAGCAUCAUGGUUAUGGUCAAUACACGUUAAACUCUGCUAGAGUCAGAUGAAAGGAAGCUAAAUAGCCCGUGAUGUUACAGUGUUUUACGCAAAAGUCAAAAGACCAAAUCACCUGGUGGUGGUCAAAUACAAAAUGAAAAAAUGCAGAAAAAGAUAAAAUACGAAGAUGGGAUUUCAUUGACUUAUGGUACACAAUGGGAUCCUGGUUCGAAAAUUUUCUGCCCGAAUUUAGUGGUCGUGACAAUUAAUGAAUAUUCAUUACCAAUUCUCCUCUUCCAAAUCCCAAAAGAAAAUAAACUUUUUGACACCAGUUGAGUUAGAAGAUUCAAACCAUAGACAAAGCAAAGAGAAAACAGUAGAGAUCCAAUAUUGGUAACUUGAGCAGAAUGAGAGCAAUAUGACCAGUUGCAAAUGGAUGGUCGCAAAAUUUUAGGUGGAUGAGACAGGAAUAUGAUGCAUAAUUCCUCGUUGCUCAAUAUAUAUACGUGCAAGCAGUUCCUGUCUCAGAGAUAUUCUGAUUGUUGGUUGACUUCUUCGGCCAUAUGAUUCUUGAAUCUGAAUUGUAAUCUGAACCCUCUGAAUCUUGCGGAAAACCCAAAGCCAACUUCCAGCUAAAGUUUUGGUCUGCAAAUGCACUCUAUUGAUCAGCACGAUGUUUUCCGCCUCAUGAAAUGCUUUUGAACUUUUUCCAUUUCAUAAUUUCCCUUUGCUUCGUCCAGCAGGCAUUUACCAGUUUUCUUCUUGCCUCCUCUCUAUUUCUGAUAAAUGUUCACUGCAUCAUUGCAUGUUGCCCCAGUGCUAACAUGCAGAUAAAAUUUCAGUUCUACCCCUUUUAAGAAUAAACAAAACUGACUAGUGUGAAUCUCCAGCGAUUGAGCUUGCUUCUCGUCUUGUUAUCCAAAAAGCUUGCCUCUAAUUAAAUUCCUUUUCGUGUUCAAAACUAAUCUUUUUCUAGUGCCCCUUUUAGCAUUUAUCUUUUCUUUUCUUUUUAAAUUUUUAUUUUAAAAUAAUUAAGAAUACUUUUUGUAAUAAAAAAGAGAACAGAUAUUUUAAUUGGAGGCAAAAGGGUCUUGACGUAACAAAAGAGCUGCCAAAUAAAAAAAUUGUGGCAGCCCCAAAAUCACUGGCGGCAUAUCUUGAGAGAUAGAAAAUAGAAAUAUUCCUAGAAUUCGACCAUACUCUUUGCAGCAAAUCCCUUGCUACUUUUACCACAUUUUCCGCGUCAACUGCACCCCUCUACAUAUCACCCCCAUGAACGCUCAGUCUUCCCAACAAGUUCACUCAAGAAUUCCUCUCCCAAACGAGGAAUUAACAACCGCGAAGACCUCCACACUCCUUCCCUGCCCUCCCUUCUACCUCACGGCCUGCACGGACCAUGAAGGCGAUCGGGCUCAUUUUCACGGUCGCCCUAGCCAUGGCACUAGCCAUAACUCUAGUCACCAUGAAAAACACUGCCGAAGAAUCAGUAAUGAAGAACGACAAGAACUCGGAUUCCGAACGGGGGAAGAUAUUGAUGCCGUCCAAAAGGUUAAGCCGUUUCCUAGCUCAAAAACCGAAGCCAAAGAAUCCCAGAGCAGCUGAUCAUUGCAAGAAACAUAAUGACAUUUGUGGCAACAUCCCGGGUGAAGAAGGGAGAAAUUCUACAUGCUGCAACAACAAAUGCGUGGAUUUGGUGUACGAUGCUUACAAUUGUGGAGCAUGCAAAAACAAGUGUUUGCCGUUUGAAGCUUGCUGCAACGGGCGAUGCGUUAAUCUUUCGUUUGAUAAGAGGCACUGUGGAUUUUGAAACAAAAAGUGCAUGCCGGGUGGAUAUUGUAUAUACGGCAUCUGCGAUUAUGCUUAAUACACAGCUCUCUCUCUCUCUCUCUCUCUACCUCCAUUUAUUUGGUAAUAUUACAGCACCAUUAAUUGUUGCUAUACGGUUUGUCAUUUGUUAGACAUAACAAUAAAAGGCCGCAUCUAGUAUGGUGGUUCUCUCAGAUACUGAUGAAAUACGUACAAGUCGUCAAUAGUGUCUUCCUACUCUAUACGUCAAGAAAUCCUCAAGGAUUACUUUAUGCCUAAGCGUGUAAUUAAUUCUAAUAAUCUGUAUGAAAGCCCCCCAUGUAUCAUGAGCAAUUAUUGAUACUCAGCUAACUUUUUUGCUAGCCAAAGAGAUAGGCAGGAUUAUGCAACAAAGAAAUUUUCUUGGUUCCUUCAAUAAAUAUUUGUUUUGAUGGAGUUACGUACUAUGACAAUAAAAAGUUAGCAUCUGGCAUAUUUUCUUUUGUUUGAUUAUAAUUGUUUUCCUCAAUAAUUCUUAUGACAAUAAUUGUUUUCCUCAAUUGUUGGCACCAGCACACAGUGCUGGGUAUUUACGACCGACUAAUAUGUGUAUUGCAUGAUACAUAUUUCAUGUUGAUCUUGUGUCACUUUGUUGAUCUAUUCCAAUAUCAUCCAUUUGUAGAAUGCAAAAUUGUAGAUUCAAAACACACAAGUUUCGUUGAAGAACACUAACCUGAAUGAAAGGAUCCUUUAAACCAAGAAAAAUUAUAUGUUAUCACAAGGGGAUUGUGGAUUUUGAUGCUUAAGCUUUAGUUAUUUUUGUGAUAUCUUAAUCUUAAUUAUGAGCAAAUUAUUUAGCGCUAUCUUAAAGUAGUUGAAACGAAGUAAUUUUCCAGAGAUCUGAUGGUGGAAUUAAUGGUAGCUCUAGCAUGCAAGCCAGAAAUAUAUAACACAUAUAUGCACAUUCUCUAUAUCUUUCUCCUCCUCUUUUUUUUUUUUCUUUUUUUAGUGUUUUGUUUUGGGUAGGAUAGAUAUGUUCAGUUUUUCUUGCCAGAAUGAACAAUAAAGAAAUAUACCGUUGUUAUUUCAGCAAGUAUACAUGCAUGCAGCGUAAAUGUUAGUAUUCUCAUCGGUCAAUUGUUUAAUUAACCAGCAAGCCAAAAUCUUAUCGUGUAGUCGUCAUAGUUAAUUGAUCCCGGAGUACAUCGCGCAAAUUCUUCAUGGAAGUAUAAUGAAACUCUCAAGGAGCCGAAGAAUUAAGCAACAACCGUGCAAGAAAAUCUUGUAUUCCACAUGCCUUUCCCUUGCAGGACACCCCAUCACUGGUCAUCCCCCGGCCACUUGGCUUCCUAGAUCACAUGCCAUCGUUAAUUGUGAAGAUGACUGAUUUCCCAAACGUACAACAUUCUUUAAUUGAAUUGGACCGAAGACAUGACCGAUUUGCGAUUCAACCAAUCGAAUCGGCUGAUACAGUCCGAUUUUCAAACAUUGUUUAGGUGAGGUGUUUCGACCUGUAUUUUAAAAUUAGGAUUGGAUAAUAGGCUGACACUAAGAGUUAAGAAGUUUGACCGGCUGAACCAAUAAUUAGAAACCAAAAAUGGCAUUACAAAAUUAUUCACUACCAAAUAGCUAAAUUACAUGAAAAAGUACAACAAAAAAAAGAAAAUUGAGAAAAAUGAUUUUUUUCUCUAAUUUUUUUUUUUUUUUUGGGUUUCUCUCAAUCAACACACAAUUUUGCAAAAACGAACAAAACCGAGUCGAUUGCCUGCUUAGUUUAAGUUACGCCGUUCCUCUCUUUCAAUCAUUCCAAUCGGACCGUCCUUUCCAAAUUCAAACCACUGAUACGAAUUGCAUUUUAAACGUAAAAGGAAAAUUCAAAAUGAAGAGUCAAGAAUGGUUUGUAAACUUGAAACCAUGUCCUCUUGUUUUCCUUGACUGGAAGUGUGCCUAAUUUGAGCUUUCACUUCAAGUCGAGGGCGAGGAGUCUUGACAAUUUCACCUCCAAAUCCAAUCUUAAAAGAUAAGAAACAAUUUGCAUUCCACUGGAUUUGUAGAAAAAUCAGAAGGAAGAGUCAGGAACAGUAAGUAAUUUUGAAAAUUUUGACAGAAGAUCAGUUGAUUGGUUGUGUACUUCCAAUUUAAAACAUCGGUGCGUUAUGCAGGGAUUACAAUAAGAAUAGCUGCAUGAUGUAUUGGGACCCUGGUGUGAUGCCAAUCAAUCGCUUUAUGGAAGCAGUAUCCAAAAAAAAAAAAAAAUCCCAAUUGCUGGUAGCUUAAAGCCAAAAAUCAAAGGUCUCUCAGCUAUUGUUCUAGUCCUCCUUAUCAAAGCUAAAAAGACAUUCGAUGGAAUUCUUCGUGCUUUAUGUCAUGCAGAAGAAACAACGUGAAAAACGGCCACACCUUUUGCAUCCCAACUUAACAUCGAAUUAAAUGUUAAUCUCCCUCUCGGAGUGAUAUUAUCCUCGGAGAUUCAUUAAUUUAGAGAGCUAAGACACCCUUUUUUUCCUAAUCAGUAAGUGAAAAAAAAAUGGUGAUUUAUUCUUUGCCCCAACACUAGUAAACAAGAAAAGGAUGUGUCCACCACGUACCACAACAUAACACAGCUCCCAAAAGAAGAGCACAAAGAAAAGAAUAAUAUUUUAUAUAGCGUGCUCUUAAAUCCAGUAGUGGUAAUUGGUAGUAAUCGAAUAACAUCUUCUCCUGAUACAAGUCUCUCUCUGGCUCUUGUCACUAGCUGCUAAAUCCCACGCACUUACCAUGAUAUAGUAAAGCAGCAUCACUCCAGCAAAUAAGGAAAAGAAUAUGUCCCCUGAUAAUCGUUUCAGGGUAGCCUUCGUGUUAUCUCUGUUGCUCCCUGUAUUUGCAGAUGUCCAGGACUGUAGUGAGGAGUUUCGAGAAGAAGCUGCCAAGAAAAUAAACAUAACAAGUUGCAGGAAGCAAAGUUUGGGAGCUGAAUUUGCUUGGAAUUACAACAAUGGUGCAAGGAGACUUGAGAUUCUAUUCGGGGCAAAGUUACACGGUGGCAUGGGGUGGCUGGCCUGGGGUUUGAACCCUGGGAAACAUGCAGGGAUGGUAGGCACCCAAGCCCUUAUAGGUAUCAAAUUAAGCAAUGGAACCUCAUCGCAUGAUACAUACAGCAUUACUGAUUCUACCAAGUUAGGUUGCAAACUCCUACCAUCCAAGAUCGAUUUGGAAGUUGGGGAUUUUAGCUUUUCUUUCCCGGAAGCUGACUUCGCCGUGAUCCAAGCUACAAUAGUUCUUCCUCGAGAAUACAAUGAUUCAAGUACAAAUGUCGUCUGGCAAGUUGGCAAUUUUGCAGAUGGAAAACAGCCCUUCAUGCAUCCCAAGAAUAUCUGGCAUCUUAGUUCCAAAGAGACAAUAAAUUUGAUUUCAGGGAGUGUUCGAGGUGACGGAGCUCAUAAACUGCAGAAGUUGAGAAAAGUAAGUUAAUACCAACACAAAAUGGAAUUACUUGUAAUCUCGGAUAGCUUUUCUUUUUGAUAAUCACCUAACCUAUUGAAAUGCAGCUUGAUUUGAGCUACACAAUUCCAUUUAUUAUAAAGUACCAAAGACAGCGCUGAAAAGUUAUUAUGGAACUCUUAUCAUUGUCACUGAAUUCUUGCAGGUUCAUGGGAUAUUGAACAUUGUGGGUUGGGGAACAUUUCUUCCAGUGGGUGCAAUUAUUGCGAGGUAUUUCAGAAAAUUUCCCGUGGAAUGGUCCCAAUGGUUUCGUCUUCAUGUUUCAUGCCAAAUUCUUGGAUAUCUACUCGGCACAUCUGGCUGGAUCAUUGGAUUAUGGCUCGGAAACGCUUCCAAAUACUAUGGUUAUCAUACUCAUCGAGUUUUAGGAAUAGUUAUCUUUACAUUUACGACACUACAAGUAAGUUUAUCCAAUGCAGCACUUCAUAUAUCCCCUCCCCGUUGAUUUUCUCUGUCUCUGCAAUGGCAGCAAAGAGCAUAACGUUAUAUUUAUCUGCAGAUGUUCGCAUUGCGACUAAAACCAAAGCGUAACGAUGAUUAUCGUGUGUACUGGAACAUGUAUCAUCAUUUUCUGGGCUAUUCAUUACUGGCCAUUAUCUCAGUUAACAUAUUUCAUGGGAUUUCCAUCUUAAACGUAGAUCAUACCUGGAAAUGGGCUUAUAUUGGAUUGCUUUGCCUGUUAGGAUCGAUUGCUGUAGUACUUGAAAUUUACACUUGGAUUAAGUUUUGGAAACGAGAAUCGCCAGGCAUUCACAAAACUCAAGAUCAGGACCAAAAAGACUUGCACAGAGGUAACAAAAACGAUUCAGGUGCAAGCACAGCAUCCCAUUCCUAGGCCCUAGCACCGUACCAAGUUCAAGACUUCAAGAUACAUGAACUCAUCAACCAAGUUGUGAAAAAAAAUUCAGGUGGAACCAAAGACCAAAAUGCAGCCAUAACUAUGAAAAGGCUGGGAGGCCAGAGUGCUAAAAUUCAAGAAAUUGUUUCUGCAUUUCACACCUUAAAGUAGAGAAGCUAUGACUAGUUUCAGGUUGGGUUUUGGGACUUAUGUACUAGAUUUUUUUUUUUUUUUUAAUUGUUGGUUCUUUGUAUACUUGUCAUUUCCUAAGUGAAUCGUGUUUUUAUAAUAAUCGCAUUACUUGGUCUACAUACUCUGAUAUGAGCAGAUUUGUCCAAGCAAAGAAUGGUCUUUUAAGUCCAGACAUAAACCACGCAAUAAAAGCAGAGCCUCCCAUAAUUUGAUUGUCGUUUAUGAAUCACCAAUUAACCUUACAACAAUGGUAAUCUUGGUAAGGCAUGCCAUUUCUUUCUUUUUGUUCUACGAGUUUCAUAAUGGAGACAAAAAAAUCUAGAGACACCACGAAAGUUGCUAGCUUAUGAGCAUUUUACCUACCUUGCCUACGGUAAUAUUCAGUUAUUUGCAAUGGUAAAUUGACAUACUUUUCAUUGGUGAACCCACAAAAUUGGUAACUUGCCUACAGUAAUAUUCAGUUAUUUGCAAUGGUAACUUGACAUACAUUUCAUUGGUGAACCCACAAAUUAAAAUAUUAAAUUGAACUUAACUGUUGGUACAAAAGUUUACAAUUUUGUUACAGAAAAAAAGGGCCAUAAAAAAAAUUUAGUAGUCCGAAAAAAAAUUAACUUUUCAUUUUGCUAUUCCAUUGGUAUUUGGUAGGGGAGCUUCAGCCUCAUGUUAUCAUGAGGCUUCAAUUUCACCAGAAAAUGAGAUUCAGAAAUUAAUCUGCUCAGAAAAAAAAGAACUUAUUGAUAAUAUGAUAGACAGAAAAAGAACCUGGGACAGACUUUGGUCAUGUCUGCUACAGUUGUAGAGGGCGUAGCUGCCACGGCCCUCAGGUCAGUUCUCCACCGUGUACGGCAAGCUGCCGAGCAAUCCGGUCGCCAUGCUGAAGAUGUCAGGGUAGUAGCUGUAGGCAAAACAAAGCCAGUCUCUCUUAUUCAGGAAAUCUAUGACGCAGGUCAUAGGUGCUUUGGCGAGAAUUAUGUUCAAGAAAUCAUUGAUAAAGCUCCGCAGGUGCCUUUUUCCCUCUCUCCCUAUCUGGGAUUUGUUUCGUCUGAAGAGUUUCUUAUUAAUGAUUGGUGGAUCAUUAAAUAAAUUCAACCAUUAUUAGAUUAGAUCAUUGGGUUCUUGAUGAGUAAAGGUUUGUUAAUUGGACCAUAAAUAAAAGUUUUUUUUGGGUGUAAGAAUUGCAGCUUCCUGAUGACAUUAGGUGGCAUUUCAUUGGGCAUCUGCAGAGCAAUAAAGUGAAGUCACUUCUUGGUAUGCUGUAAUUGAUGUUUGAACCAUGUGGUUUUACUAAACUCAUAUAUCUUGUGUUCUUGAACAUUUGAACUAUUGAAGAUUAGACCUUUUCUUCAACUGAGAAGUUGGCACAUUUCCUUCUAAUUUGUCAUUUAUUAGGUUGUACUAGUAACGGAAUGUUCAUUUUACGGUUCGUUAUUGCUAACAGCUCAACUGAAUUCUACCUUUUCCUUGUUGCCAGAGACAUUGUUAUUGAAAAUUAUAUCUGUUUCGGAGACAAAAAUCCUUGUAAUCAAGAUGUUUUACUUAUUAAAGAUGAUAUUCUGAACUCCAAAAAUCUAAAACUCUAGGCAUGUCGCCCGUAUUUUUUAAGGCAUCACACGGUACUUAGAAACUUAAGCUGUACAGUUAUAUAAUCGGGGCCUAUGGAUUUCAUCCCAAGUCUCUAGCAAAACACCUUUGUUCAAAAGCCAUCAAACUGGGCAUGAUACUCAUUUUGUUUUGGUGUGUGGUUGCCAAAUUGGAAUAUAAGUGAGAUUGUGAUACAUGUUAAGGCUGAUCUCUACCGCAUGCAGCUGCCAUUCCUAAUCUAGCAACAGUUGAGGGUGUAGACAACACAAAGGCAAGUAUUUGAUUUGAAGUGAAUUUUGGAAUUGCAAGAUUAGAGCUCAAAUGAAAUCCAGAUGCUUAUGACAGAUGUUCUAGGCUAUAACUCACAAGGAUAGUUGUAAAUAUGCCUUUCUCCAAUUCACAUAUAGGUUGCAAAUUAUCUAGAUCGUGAAGUUUCAAGGCUUGGGCGUCCACCUUUGAAGGUGUUUGUCCAAGUGAAUACGAGUGGAGAAGCAUGUAAGUGCUCACAUUUUGAUUCUACAGCAAAGUCUAUCUAGUCAGAUUGUUUGAGCUUGACAAUUGAUAACUAAUGCAGCACCAGAGCUAAUAUAUUUACUUCAGAACUAUCCUGAGUCUUGUUAUCUUUAAAAGAACAUUUUUUAGUUAUUCUUCUUGGUUGGCAGUAUGAUACCAAGAGCUGCACAGCAACAUUGGGAUAUUUUUGAGUUAUUUUAGUAAAUUAUGUUAAUCAGUCAAGUCAGCUGUAGUUGUACUGUGGAAGCAUGUUUUAUCACUUUGGAUCAUUAUAAAUGGGGAAAAAAACUUUGUUCUUAUUUUCUUGCAAAAACAACAUUUUGUCAUGAUUCUUACUCUGUAGUGACUAGAGCUGCAUUAGUAUUGCCUUAUCUUGAUUUCAUUAAGGUUCAUUAGUCAACAGUUAAAUUGGUGAUUACAUGCAGCAAAAUCUGGUGUAGAGCCAUCAGAUAGCAUAGAGCUUGCAAAGCAUGUCAGGCUGGGUUGUCCAAAUCUUGAGUUCUCUGGUUUAAUGACCAUAGGCAUGCCAGAUUACUCCUCAACUCCAGAAAACUUCAAGGUAAGUUCCUAACCUUCUUAGGCGUGAUUGAAGACUGUAAUGGCUUCACUUCUUUGCGCUUUUGCAGAGGUAUGAUAUAGCUAUAUAAUCCACGCAAGAAGCAGUGGGUCACAGGGUUAGCAUUCAUGUUAUUGUUGCCUCUUUGUGUGUCUUUUGCUUAACAGCAAAAGUUAUUUCUUUUCUAUUUUCUUUUGAAUAUUCUUUUGUUUGAGCAAUGAGAUAUGAACUUAAUUUUUAUGGCUUCUUCGUAUGUGAAACUGUAUGCUAAAUAUAUCUGUGUGAAGUGCCAGUUUGUAAAUGUAAAAUUUUGAACAGAAGCUGAAUUCUGGCAGAUCAUUUUUCACUUGCUAACCACAUACGCAUCCACUUUAUUUGUAUGGCUUUAUUACAGACUCUAUUCAAGUGUAGAACUGAGGUCUGCAAGGUGCUAGGGAUGGCUGAGUUCCAGUGCGAGUUGUCAAUGGGCAUGUCUAAUGACUUUGAACAAGCAGUAAGCCUGGAUUCUUGAUGCCUAGAUUUUAAGAGUUGAAUUUUUAUUGUUGAUUGAGUUCUGUGUAAUUUCUAUUUACCUCCUGUUCAAUUUAUGAAGGCUUACAUCUGAACGAAUACGUGCUACAACUGAUUCCCCAGUAUUAUGUAACUUUGGGGUUUGGUUUGUUUGAAAACUGGGACUGUCUUGCAAAUCUUUCACCAACAGUUUUUCGCCAUUCCUUUGAUCUUAGAAUUUGAACUUGUCGUUAGGCUAAAGUAGUCUCUUACUUUCCUUUAGGCUGGACUUUUGUAAUUUCUUUGUUGCUUCUAUUUAUGGUCUGUGUGCAAAGUUUGAACUUUGCUUCAAUUGAAAUCUUAGAAGAUUAAUGGUGUUUCUGAAGCUGUUAUGAUACAUAACCAUGAGCUCAAUUUUGCUGAUAAUUACAAUUAUAUUUAUGUGUGUAUGCACACACACACACACGUAUAUUAGAUAUAAAAUCAUAACCACAAUGUUUGUCUAAGAUUAGAAUCUUGAUUGUAUGCUGAAAUUCUCAAUCUGAAGAUUUGCAUUUAUCUGUUGGAAAUGAUGAUUAUUCUCCUUCACGUAAAAAGAUUAUGCUAGUUUUCGCAGCAAGUCUCACUCACUAUCCAUCUUAAACAAUGAAUCUAGAUCGUUUGAGGCUAGAGCUUGGAUAGGUGUUUGUGAACUCUGACUGUGCUUUCCCAUACAUGCAGAUCAAGAUGGGCAGCACCAACGUGAGAAUUGGAUCAACAAUAUUUGGACCAAGAGAAUAUCCAAAGGGUCAAUAGAUUUACAACUAAUAGUAUCUUUGCUGCAUCACUUUUGUCAUGCUAUAUUUAUUAGCUUUCUGAUAGAUCCAACAUGUUCAUUGACCUGCAAUCAGUUAAUUCAAUUGAAUUAUCCUGCGAAGACCAGAUGCUUAUGGAUGUGUUGGUACUUGGUACUGGUGUGGUCACACGACUGUUUGUGUUGGUGCUUAACUACUGCAGUUAUGCCACGUCUGGCGUUUACUUUCAGGCAUAGAAAUUCUUGUUGAACCUGGACAAAAUUUCUUGAACAUUUUGACAUCUGCUCCCCUCAGAUAACCAAGCGUAAAUGCACGCCGCAUGGGACAAUUCUUCAAUCACUUCUCUUGCUUUGGUGGUAAAGCAUAUUGAAAAUUACUUCUAUGCCUGCAAAUAAGCAUUGAGUAGCUACCAGUCCAUUGUUAACAAAGAGAUUACAAUCAUGAGAAUAAAGUCGUUAAAUUAAGUUGAAGGAUACUAAGAAUAAUGUGACGUCUAUGCUUAGAAGUGAGACUCGGAUAAAUACGAGAGCAACUUUAAAUUAAAGAUCAGCUUAUAGCUAUAUCAGCCAAAGCCGAUCAGAUUCAGAGCCAUCCCAUCAAAGCUUAUUAUUCCAGGAUCAUUAUGCACAUCUUCAGCAAAGCUGAACGAUCAAGCUCCUGAUAAACGUACUAUGGCUUGCUGAGUAUAUUGAGACCCAUAAAUGUCAUCGUGACAGAUGUAAUCGAAUCGAGUCGAGCUCAAGUAUUACCAUACUCAAGAUUGACUCGACAUGCAGGAAAGAUACUUAAGCUCGAGUGAGUAGCAUUACUGGAACUUGAGCUCGAGCUCGACUUGUAUGGGCUCGAGUCAAUGCGAAUCUUAUCAAAUUCGAGUUAGAAAGAUUUGCGGAUUUUAUUUUUCUUGACAAUGUUUGAGCGAAAAGACAUUAUUGACCUUUAAAAAAUUUCAUAUGACCUAAAGCAUUUCGUAAAUUCAACCAUUCUUUUGGGUAUAAGGGUAAUUUAAUAAUAAUAAUAUAUUAAAGAAUUAAAAUUAAAAAACUCGAUAAGGUUUGACAAGCCUUCAAAUCUUACUAUUGGAUAUUCGAACUCGACUUAUCGAGCUACUCGAAUUUGAUUCGAACUUGAUCAAUUCGAAUUCGAAUUGAGUUUUUGACCAAUUUACUUGCAAACAGUUUGAUUCGAUUACAGCCCUUGUUAUCGUAUUUCCUAAUUGCUUUACAAUUAUUCUGGAGGGAACAAGAACUCAAGCGUCCCUCCAAAAAAAAAAUAAAAUCAAGUGUCCAUAUUCCUUUGGCAGAAUAUUCCUUUGGCAGAAGGAAGGAAUUCGAAAAUUUUGCUGAUCCAAGACCAUUGAUGCCGCAUUCCAUCAUCUCUCAAGAUUUCAAUGGGCUCCUAAUUCAUAAUGAUGUUGGUGGAAAAGGGGAUUUAAAUAAGAACGGGGCAAAGGGAAGCGUAGAGUCCUAGACAAAAGCAUCAAAUUUGGCCUUGGAAAGUUCAUAAUGUAAAUGCUAUACAGUAAUACAGAAAUGUAUCAAACUAACAGGGGGUUUUAUAAGAUGUCUCGUUUUUUCUGUUCAACUCACAAAGAACUGGAUGGAUAUUACGAUCACUUCCCUUCUAUUAAUUUCUUUCCUACUUCUAAGAUUUUCCUUUUUUCUUGGGUUGGAGGCAUUUUUGUCCUCAAGGUACAACCCAGCAGGUAGUACUAUAUAACAGUCUGCGCUACCCGCCUGUCAUCAAUUUCAACUACGCAAGCUCCUCUCUACUAGUGUCUGCGGAAGCCUCCGCUCUAUACUUGCCAGCAGCGGCAAAAAUUUAGCAGCAGCGAUUAUGAUGGUACCAUUGACAAGCUCAACCAAAAUUGCAUUACUUUCCACCAAUACCAACGGAUAUCCUCCUCUCAAAUUCCCCUUCCAAAUCGGCAAAAAGAACACUUUCCGGAAAUGCAACAGUUUCGGAUUUCGGUCCCCAAAGAAACAAAGUUGGAGCUGCUCUGCAUCCGAGCAACCCCAACCCCUAAACCCACCUCAACAAAACGAGAAAAGACAACCCAAAUUCAAGAAAAAGCAAACCAAACAUGCUGAUAAAGGGGUCGACCCAGUUGGGUUCCUCACCAAACAUGGCAUUUCACAUAAAGCCUUCGCCUUUUUCCUUCGUGAAAGGUAGUAUUGUUUGUCCCUUAGCUCUUCUUCUUUUCCUCGUAAUUAUGAAAAUUAUGGUUUCUAUUGGACCUUUUAUUGGAAGAGGUACCUAGUUUGGUUUUUACUUUAUGCCAAGGUACAAAGCGUUGAAGGACUUGCGGGAUGAGAUUUUUAAUCGUUACCUCAACCUAAAGGAGCUGGCUUCUGGGUUAGUGCUUUCUUUCUCUUUCACAUAUUAAUAUUGGGCUAUCUUAUACUGUUAUUUAAAGUGCUAGUUUCUCAUGUUUUUGAAAGUUACUGACUUUCUGAGAGUUGUUUUUGAUAUCUAAGUGUUUGUCAGAAUUGUUAGCUGAACUCUCUCUCCCUCUCUCUCUCUCUCUCCGUAAUUAGCAAUUAUACCAUAUGUGUUACCAGUGAUGCCUAUGUUUCUUAUUACUAGACGUGAACUACUAGAGUGAUGCCUGUGUUUUUUAUUUCUAGAUAUGAACUACUGGGAAUGCAACGAAAUGCGCAGCAUCGGGUGGAUUUCUUGGAGUGGGCUCCAGGUUUGACACCAUCUCUGAGGAUAUUUUUUUCUUGUAGAAGGGCAAGCGUCAUUUCUUGCUUAGUUCAAAUUCGAGCUCAUCAGUGGGCAUGUCUGGAAGCUUAAGUAUCUAAGAGAAGUUUUAGUUACAUGCUAUCAGUCUCAAAAUGUGUCUAUAGAUGUUAGUUUAGGAUUAGGAUUUAGCAGCUCCACUUUAAGUUCAGACUUGUGUUGUUUCUGAAUGCAAUUACCAUUGCUCGUGUAGCUCACAUGUGAAGCUGAAAAUCUUGACAUUAGGUGCUCGUUAUUGUGCUAUUGUUGGAGAUUUUAAUGGCUGGUCACCCACAGAAAAUUGUGCCAGGGAGGGUCAUUUUGGCCAUGAUGACUAUGGUUACUGGUUUAUUAUUCUUGAAGACAAAUUACGGGAAGGUGAAGAACCAGAUGAAUUCUACUUUCAACAGUACAAUUACGUGGAUGAUUACGAUAAAGGUGACAGUGGUGUUACAGUUGAAGAGAUGUUUAAGAAAGCAAAUGAUGAAUAUUGGGAACCUGGUGAAGACCGCUUCAUUAAGUCACGUUAUGAAGCGGUAGCUAAGCUGUAUGAGCAGAUAUUUGGCCCUAAUGGGCCUCAAACGGAAGAGGAGCUGGAAGAGAUAGCUGAUCCAGAAACUAGGUACAAGGCCUGGAAAGCGCAGCAUAGAGAUGAUCCACCAAGCAACUUACCUUCUACUCAUGUGAUAGAUACUGGAAUGAAAGAGUAUGAUGUUUUCAACAUCAUAGACGAUCCUGUAUGGCUAGAGAAAUUCCGUGCUAAGAGUCCUCCCAUUGCCUACUGGUUGGAGACACGUAAAGGAAGGAAAGCGUGGUUGAAAAAGUAUAUGCCUGGUAUCCCCCAUGGGAGCAAAUAUAGAGUAUAUUUUAAUACUCCAACAGGGCCUCUGGAAAGGGUUCCUGCCUGGGCCACUUAUGUAGUCCCAGGUAUCCAGUGGUUGCUAGCAUCUCUUAUCUGUUCACGUAGUUUGCAUAGCGAUGCUUAAAUAGUAUAAUUUGAUGCUCACACUAUCAUACGCCACUUUACUUGUAAAAAGUAAUCAUUUUCAUGCUUUGAAUGUGUGAUCUGUUAAUUUUUUUUGUUUUUAAGAGGUCCAUUGCUAAUCAUGUAUUCCUUUUAUUUUUUUAGGUAACUGUACUUGUUUACAUUAAUUAAUCUGCUUAGCUUGGAUUUUGGUCUCAGAAAUGAACUUUUCGGGUACAUAUUCUUGUGUCAGUAUCGGUAUUGUUCUUUUAAUGGUAGUAAAACAAGUUUCGUGAGAAAAAGAAAUACUACUUAAUUUUUUUUGUAUUCCUACAAAGAUAGAGCAAAUACAAAGUUUAGACAUUCAUGCUGCACUGAUGUCAGAGUUAAAUGAAGAAUCUAUCUUUACCUCUACUUGACUUCCCAUCAUUGUCGCACACGUUUUCUGUUUAUUGAGUUUGCAUAUCUUUUGUUUCUAUACUGUCUUCCUGUAACAGUUCGAUAUUGAAUGCUAUUUGAACAUGCAGAUGCAGAUGGCAAGCAAGCUUUUGCAAUCCACUGGGAACCACCUCCUGAAUCUAAAUAUAAAUGGAAGCACAAGCAUCCACCAAAGCCAAAGACUUUACGCAUAUAUGAAUGUCAUGUUGGAAUCAGUGGACAAGACCCAAAAGUUGCAUCUUUUGAUGUUUUCAUUCAAAAGGCAAUUCUUCAAGUUAUUUUACAUUUGUUUUCCCUUUUGUUGUCCUUAUUUCCUGUUAUAUUCUGUCCUUCAAUUGCAACUUCCUUCAUCUUUAUAGGUCCUGCCUCACGUAAAAGAAGCUGGUUACAAUGCAAUCCAAUUGAUUGGACUUGUUGAGCACAAAGACUACUUUACGGUUGGGUAUAGAGUGAGUUCAGAAUUAGAUGUUCCUUAUCCAUAUGAAGUAAUGAUUAAGUGUUGAAAUACAAUCUUUUAAUGUACCAUGACAUGAAUUCUUGAAUUUAGUAAUUAGCACCAUAUUGUUUUACUUGCAUAAAUCUUCCUGUGGAAUUAGGAUUUGAAAAGGCUGCAAGAUAGGACUAUCAAAUUGGAAGUAUGCUUGUGAACUAUUUAUAUUUUGGAUAAAAUAUUUGUUUAAGGGUCCUCAUGUAUUCUGUAUAAUAUGGGGAACUCCUGGACCGAAUGCGGACUAACAAAGAAAGUUAUGCUUCCUGCUUUUUACUGUGGAGAGAAUCUCAACUGCGCUAGAAUGCAUCCUCUAAUAUUUCUAGCCACUGAGUGUCCUAAGAGAUGUACAUGCUCAGUUUGAAAAUAUUUUCACCCAUGCAACCUGGUUAUCCAAUGGAUUUUCUAGUUCAGUAAAAGCUAACCUGCUGUCAAAUUACCUUUCAGUAGCAUAAUAUUUUAGUUCUUCUACAGGUGACUAAUUUUUAUGCUGUUAUCAGCCGUUAUGGUACACCAGAGGACUUUAAGCGCUUGGUUGAUGUAGCACAUGGUAAUUCUUGAAAAUUGACUUAUAAUUCAUAGCAAAAUGGAUAUGCUUCUAUUCUUUUCUCUUAUGACCUCUAAUUUCCAUCUUUGUUCAUUUGUGUGCCAAAAUUUAAUCUGUACCAUUGACAUCAUACUUGGAAGAAUUAGUGGAUUUCAGGUAUAGUGAAAUUUGUCAUCUGAAAUCAGUUUUCUUGCUACUUAUCAGAAUUAGGAAAUGAAUUGGAGGUCUUAAUUUUUCAGUAAAACAAUAUUAACUUGCUGUAAGAUUUUAGAAGAAAAUAUUGAAGCCAUUCUCCCCUUUAAGCGUGGGAGUGAAUUUUAUGUAUUCUUGUUGAGAAAUGUUCUUCACAAACAAUUUAGUUUUGUUUCAACCCAAAAGACUAGAAAUAGUCGAUGACAAAUUUGAGCUGUCCUUGUGCUACCCUUUUAAAAAGCCUUAAAACAAACAAAUGAUUGAUUGGAGAGAGGAGAAGAAGAAUAACAGAAUUAUAAGUCUAAGAUAUUGGUUUUUUCGCUGUUUCUUGUGAACCAUGUGUACUCAAUGAGGAAGUUUGGCCUACAUUUUCCAUAUAGAUUUUACUUGACAUGCAAAAGUCAAUUGUUACUUCUUUGAAUUGAGUGUCUUUGUAUAACUGACUCAGACACGUACGUCUCUCUGUUGCUAUUAACCUGUUUCUGGAGCAGUGUUCUUUCUUUCAACCUCGUAAACCAAUUAAUUUCUUUCUGGCUACAAUGCCUUAUUAGCUGUCAUUGUCGUGAUAAUUUGUACAUCUGUUUUUUUCAAGUGGUUUCUAAUUGCAUGCUCAUGUCAUAAUGAAUUUUACCCCUUGAGCUCCAUUUGUUUUUUGCAGGACUUGGGUUACUAGUCUUCUUAGACAUUGUCCACUCAUAUGCAGCAGCUGACGAAAUGGUUGGUUUAUCACUUUUUGACGGAUCAAAUGAUUGCUACUUCCAUUCUGGUAAACUGUUUUUGGCAAGAAAAAAUGAAACUACUGUAGAUGACCAUUGACUAUAUUUCCAGAUUGAUCCUAUUGUUGUCUUGCCCGGCUACUACUUCAUGUCCUUUUGAGUACUGUUGCGUGGUCCCGUCUCAUCUUAGGAAAUUAUUCAAAGUAAUAUUAAUUCGCAUGUUCAUUCAGUAACUUUGCAAGUCAUAGGGUGUUAGAAUUGUAUGUCAGCUUCAGUGGAAACCGGGCUCUCUAGUUUAGCACUGUGAUGUUGAUCAAGAUUCUUACUGACAGUAUGCUGAUAUUGUUUUCUUGUUGGUCUAGACUUUACAUACUAGAAAUAGAAGUUAUAGGGAAUAGCAAGAAAAAAAAGAAAGAAAUGUACUUUAAGCUGGUCGUAAGUUAUGCUCCUUUCUAUUCCAUCACAGAAAAGUUUUUGACCGUGCCAUAUGAGCUUCUGGCUUUUGGAAGUUUUUGUCAUUGUAUCAGUUUUUUUAUGGGAAGCUAGGAAAUUAUAUAUUUUUUGGUUCAUUAAACUUUUGAAGUCCAUUUUUUUUUUCCAUUUUUAGUCAAUCUCUUUUUCUCUCUCUCUGGCAGACACACAUAUGCAGACGUACAUACACACAGACACUCUCUAAUAUGGUGCACAAGGAGCAUAAUUUUAUGUUUGUCCAACUCAUUUUGCACUGAUAGGUAAACGAGGCAAUCACAAAUUCUGGGGUACAAGAAUGUUCAACUAUGCAGAUCAAGAUGUGCUGCACUUUCUUCUUUCAAAUCUGAAUUGGUGAGUAUAGCAUACCUACCUUGCUCAAAAAGUUUUUCUUUUCUGACCCUUGAUCAGAGAAAUGUGGGAUUUCUGAUUGAUAUUUUCUUAUCACCUAUCUCCUCCUUCGUUUCCUAGAAAUGUGUAGCCAAUUAUUCCAUUUGUGUUGAGUAUCUUUCCAUUCUUAUACCAAUUGCAAAAGUUUGCAUUUUAUUCAUUGCUCAUGGAAUGGUGUUUGUCAGGUGGGUGGAGGAGUAUCAAGUUGAUGGUUUCCAUUUUCAUUCCCUUGGAUCAAUGAUGUAUACACACAAUGGAUUUGCUACAUUUACGGGUGACCUGGAGGAGUGAGGCUUCUGAAAUCUUAUUGAUCUACUUGACAUCUUUUUGUUUUGAUUUUCUCUCUUUUACUAAUGCUUUAAAUUUCUAUGAAGCAUAUUAUUUUCCCAUGGCUUGUAAGACCAUUUAUUUCUUUGUAAGUUUGGUCACCUCCGGAAUCUGUAUUUGGUCUUAAAAUGCAUAUACAACCUCUGCAGUAGCAGCUAAUACUUUUCUGUUGCAAAUAGAUUUGUGUAUCUUAUUUAGCUUUCAGUGCACCAAAUUUAUGUCUAUACAUAGUAGUAUGGUUGCAGAUGUUGCAUUUUUGCCUAGAAGGUAAUUUUAUUUUUUCUUCUUGCAGGUAUUGCAAUCAAUAUGUUGACAAGGAUGCAUUGUUAUACCUAAUUUUGGCAAAUGAUAUACUACAUGCUCUUCAUCCUAAUAUUAUCACCAUUUCUGAAGAUGUGAGUAAUCUUGUAUUAUUUGUCCUCACUAAAACUUUCUCACAGUUUUAUGUUGUUUGGUCAAAUAUGGUCUUGCAAUUUAAACAUUAUGCCUUGAUCAAUAGACAUGAAUACGAAGCUCAGUGCAUUGUUUACAUACUCAAUAGAACUGUAACUUUGGGAUGGGAAUUAAUUUGGUUUUGUGUGUGUAAAUUUCAUUAGAGCUCCACAUUUGGGUUCUGUGGUUAUUAGAAGGAAUCAAGACAGCUAGUGAAAUUGGUUGGCAUUAAAGUAUAUAGAACUUGGAAAUAUCAGUUACUGUAAUGGAGAAUGAAGAUGAUUGUAUGGUAAAAGUAAAACACUAAGGAGUUGGAUGUUUUCCCAGCGUUAAAAUCCUGGCUUCUCUCUUUUUAUAAGAUUCCUUGAAUGUUUAUCAUUCCCUUUAGCUUUGAAGCCUUCUCCACCCGUUUUCAAAGAAAGCCUUCUCCACCCAUUACAAACCCUGUGACUUUGAGCUUGUCCUUUCAUGGCAAAGGUCAGUAAUUUCUUUCACUUCUCAGGCAACACUUUAUCCUGGACUAUGCGAGCUGACUUCCCAGGGUGGAUUAGGAUUUGAUUAUUUUGUCAAUCUUUCUGCACCGGAGAUGUGGUCAUCAUUCCUUGAGAACACCCCUGAUCAUGAAUGGAGCAUGAGUAAGGUUGUUCCAUGCUACUGCCUUAGGAUACUUGACAAUUGUUUGUGCAGAAUUGAUUUUCCAAAUUUUUUGUCCUCUGAUGAGUACUUAUAUUUCAAAAGCUUUUUGUUUAGGAGAAUAGUUUAUCUCUUGGUCACUUAUUCAUUUCUAUUCUUCAAGAUUGUGAGCACCUUAGUAGGCAACCAACAAAAUACAGAAAAGAUGCUCUUGUACGCUGAAAACCACAACCAGGUAUCUUGUUAUUUGCCUGCCUGUUCCUCUUGUAAACGUUUUACCACUUUUGGCAACUUUAUUAAUCCUAUCAUUAAGUUGUAUGUCUAAUCUAACAAUUGAUUCGUUUACAGUUUUGAAAUUAUCUUGCUAAUCACUGGUUCUUUGCUUUCCAGUCCAUAUCUGGAGGGCAGUCCUUUGCAGAAGUAUUGUUUGGUGAUACAAUUGGCUGCUCUUCUGUUACGGAGGAGUCAUUGCUUAGAGGUUCUUCGCUGCACAAGGUAACCUUUUUGAUCAUUGCAGAUCAUACUGUGAAAAACUAUAAAAUUUCUAUGAUUUGGUCAGUUGUUCACUAGCUUCAUCAGCUAGAAGACAGAAUACUUCUCAUAAUCUCUCUCUGUCUCUCUCUAUAUAUAUAUCUAUGUAUUUACAUUUUGUAAUUGUUAUGCUUUUAAGAGAAUUUUAGUUCUUGAAGAAUCUCAUGCUACAUGGAGUAGAUAGAAUCAUUUUUAUGAAUGAAGUUGGUUUAGAUUCUUACAUGGAUUACACAGAAAAUAUUCAGAUUUUGAAUAGUUUCCAAUCACAUUGUUUGUGAUCUACCUGGAGAGGCACUUCAAACAAUAUUUCUCAAAUGGUUGAGUUCUUCAAUUUUUUAAAUCAUUUUAAUCAAAUUUAGUUUCUUCAAAUUUUAUAUCUCAACAAUAUUACUCUCUAUUUUUGUAUCUCAACUAGUGUAAGUUCAUUUUUUUUUACCCUCAGUUUGUACAGCAUUGUCUAUUUACUCUCUAAAAAUUUUCUUACUUUUGUACUUAUUGUCAAUUCAAGGUGACUGUGUGCUUGUUAUUUCUCGGUUUAACUUGGGGUGUUCUUUAACAAGAUGAUCAGGUUGAUUACAUUUACAAUUGGUGGUUCAGCAUAUCUCAACUUCAUGGGUAAUGAAUUUGGGCACCCAAAGGUGAAGCCUAUAACCUAACUGUGUUCUUUACUGUACAUCUAUCCACAGCUAUGUCCUCUAAAUAUAUUACAUAAUUUUGGUUUGCUAGAGAGUUGAAUUCCCUAUGGUGAGCAACAAUUAUUCAUAUGCACUUGCUAAUCGUCAAUGGGACCUCUUGUUGAAGGAAGGAGUGCACAAUCAGUUGUUUACUUUUGAUAAGGUGAUGAUUAUGGUAUUGUGCUUUUAGUAUUUUGUCUUCCUUUUAGGCUUUCUAGCCAAAAACCACCUGACUUUUAACAUUUGGCAUUUCUUGAAAUAUGUGUUUUCUGUUCUGAAUUAUAUAUUCUGAUAACGAUCUGCGUUCAAAACCAAUAAUGUUCCUCAUCUAUGAAUUGCUAAUAGAUUAUAGGUUACAAAUAAGAUGGGCCUAAUUGAUGAAGUUAGAAACAUAAAAAAUCUGAUCCAACACAUGUUGGGUACAUCAAAAAAUGUAACUGCUACGUAAUCACCAAAGAUGGAAUUAUUACUCUAAUAUCAUCUUCUUCCUAACCAGGAUAUGAUGCACCUGGAUGAAGUUGAAGGAAUUCUUUCAAAAGGUUCAGGAGGUCAUUCCAACAUUCAUCACGUUAAUGAUCCUCCUAUGGUAAAUGAGUAACUUUCACAUUUACAUCUGUUUUCACAUGCUUUUGCUUGUGCUUUUGUUUGUAUGUGUUCUUUUUUCAUUGCAAUUCAGUUGCAGGAAAUGAAGAUGCAACAUCUUAACUCAAAAGUGGGCACCUCCACGUUACCAUGAGGAAAUUUAUGGUUCCCUUAUUCAGAAUAAAUGCUAUAGUUCUUUUGACGUUCUAGUAGUUGUCAUAUUAUCUAGCAGUCAACGUAUAUUCCUAUUACUUGAAUAUAUGAAAUGCAAUUUACUAGUUGUCUCCAUUUUUUUUUCUGAUUUUUGAUCUCCAGCAUGGGUUACUAAAAUUCUUAUUUUGUGGUGUUAGAAGAGAUGCUACCGGAAAGUAGAUGGUCAAUGCCUUUAGAUUUUUUUUUCUCUUGUUUGGCAGCCUUUGCUUUUAUCAUUAUUAGUCUGUAUGGCUGAUGCAGAUAAUAAAUUAAUCAUAACAUGCGUAGCAAUUUUGCAUAUGCGCUUAUAGUUGCUUUCCAACUCAUUUCAUUCUAUGGACAAAUUUAAGCAUAUUUAUCUCAUCAUUUUUAUCAUGGCUGAACAUGAAAGUCCCUUAUGGAACAGGUUAUUGCCUAUAUUAGAGGUCCUUUCCUCUUUGUGUUCAAUUUUCAUCCCACAAAUUCAUAUCACAGAUACAGCAUUGGUGUGGAGGAAGCUGGAGAGUAUCAUGUAAGUGAUUUUAUGCCGUGGUAUCAUCUGACAUUCUAACUAAAUCAUAAUUUCCAACUCCAUGUUGGUUUGUUCUCUAAGAUCUAAGUGAGGGCAUAGUUCGAAAUGAACUGAGGACAUAAUUUCUUCUCGAUACACUUUGGCCAAUUGGUUAAUAGAAGCAUCUAGCAACGCCCAUUGGUAACUUUCCUCAUUGCACCUGCACCUAGAAAUUACUCUAGAAAUACUUGAUUCUUACUGACAGUUAGUUCCUAGUAGGCAGAAUAUGGUUCUUUCCCCUGGGCCACCCUUCUUGAAAUUUGAGAACUAUACAAAACUUUUCAAGGGAAUAACAUUUGCAAAUAGUAAUUUAAUUUUGCAAUUAGUAGACUUCCCGUCGAUAAAGAAAUUGGAACUCUUGGUUCUUCAUUCAUCCUUUGUUUCAAUCUAAGCCUGAGCUAGAUGUGCCGUGUUUUUUUAACUAGUCUAAAAACUGGUGAAAUUUAUGAAAUUGAGAAAGUUUGAUAUUGAUCAAUGGUUAUUUCACUUGGUGGUCCAACAAAACCACAAAAUGACCAGCUAUUGUGGUGACAAUCAUUUGAGAAUUUUGAUAUAAAAGCAUUUCCCCCAUUCACAGGGAGAUAUCUGAUUCUCUAUUAUGGCUCAAUUUUGAGUGUGAUAUUCUUAUAUUUAUUCCAAUGGCAAGUUUAAUCUUCCUGUUUUACAUAAUAAGGGAAGUUAUGAAUCUCUUCUUCAGAUUAUUCUUAAUACAGACGAAAAGAAAUACGGCGGUCAAGGAUCUUUUGAGCAUGACCAGUAUGUUCAAAGAACUAUCAAUAGAAGGUUAGUAGUGGCUCAAGUUAUCUUUGCUGGUCUUCCUCAGUUUGACAAGCUGUCUUUGAUAAGGAACCACCAAAAUUUGUUGUUAACAAGCAUGAUCUCUUCUGCAGAGUUGAUGGAUUGCAUACUUGCUUAGAAGUGUUUCUUCCAAGUAGAACUGCUCAGGUUUGUGUUUCUACAGUGUUUUUUUCCCUUUUUAUUUUUCUGUUAACAGAAUGACAAUAAGGGGGGGAAUAAAGGAUCAUAAUUUGUGUUGUCGCAUGUGUUUCAAGCCUUUUUAUAAAAUGGGCACUUCUGCAAAUGCACCAUCUCUGGCCUAGGGGUGUAUGGACUUGUCCAACUGUUUCUAGCAAGAGCUAGGGACAAAAUCAUUGGAAUCUGAAUCUAAGUAGUUUGAUCUAUCAAGUUCUCUUGAGUAUUUUAAUUCAAGGUCAUCGAAGCAUGUAGAAAAUCAUAAUAGGUACUCCUUUUGGCAAAUUGCUUCAGGAGUAGUUAUACUGUUACACUUUUGGAACACAGAAAACAGAAAUUGCUUUCCUGUUCAAUUGUAUUAUUUCUUCAUUAUCAUCGGAGAAUUGUUAUGGUAUGGUGCUAGAUUAAUAAUUUUGAGAGAGAGCUGCAACAAAAUUAUUUUACUUUCAUGACCAUUCUUGGUUUUCUGGUGGCUAACUUGGGUAGAUUUUUUGAAAAUUUGGAUUCUCCAAAUCAUAUGCAUUCUCUAUAUGUGACUAUGUGAGCAUCAGUUUGACUCUAGGAUGCCUAUGUGAUCUGCUUUCACUUUGGAUCCUAGAUUUGCCUUCCAGAUAGCACAACUUAAGCACUUGUUUGGUGUCACUGUUUCAAUCUCUGCUCUGUGCGAAGUUCAGUGUCCCCAUGAUUGAGGAUCAGUUGCAUCUGUCAUUGCAGGUCUACAAGUUAACGAGGAUACUAAGAGUAUGAACUCUUUGCUGUAAGAACCCCAAAUAUCUUCAUAUAUUUAGAGCGGAUCAGGAAGCGUAAAUUCAGGAUUCAAGCUUGAUGAUUUCAUUGGCCCAGUCCUAGAACCUUCAAUAAUGUGUCCAUGACCAUGUCAUCCAUUUGUGGUUCGUUGGUUGUUGGUCAUUGUCCAUGGUUCUUGAUCCUAAGGUUCUCCAACUACUCGCCCGCCCUGAAUCAGGACUCCCAUCUGGAAAUUGUUCAUCUUGUCGGGCAGGUUUUGGAUAUAGAACCACUGGCUUUGCCUUUUCGAUUCAAAGAAAUGGGAGAGAGUUUUGGACUCUCGAUGUUCUUGGAUUCAUGGUACUUUGCUUCCCCGUAAUUAUCAUUCAAUAUACAGAUGUAGCUCAAUCUUUUUUUGGAGCCAUCUCUGUAUACGUACUCCAGUGUAGUACAGAUAUACAACGAAAUGAUGGCAUAGAAACGCGUUGAAAGCUCUCUAAUUGGAAGCAACAGCCUUCGACAUCGUAGCAGCAGAUUCUCAAUGUAGUAGACUUGUAAAGUUCAUUUUUGGAUUUUUUAUGACUUGUUCAAUUGAAGCUUGACAGUUUAUCUGCAAAAGUGAACACGAUAAUAUUUUAAACUGCAUUUGCUCAGAGCCUUGUAGAAUGUGGAUUCUUUUCAACAAUGGCAUAAAAUUUACAGUACGCAGUUCGACUGGUGCAAGAAGCGGUUGAUGAGAGGAUAGAUUUUCCUGAUUCAAGUUCGUUCACAUCAGAGUACGUGAAAGUUGAUUAUUUACUUAUUUAUACACACAAAAAAAAAAAAAAAAAAAUUUGCACAAUUGUAGCUUAAGUGGAUUACAUAUUUAUUGGACAAGUUAGGAUUAAACCCGGUGUCUAAACACCAGAAGCAAUGGCAAGCUGGCAUCAUGAAUAGGCUAACGUAAAGGAUAUAUGGCUUUCGAAUUUUAUGCUUUUAAUAAUUCAAACUAAGCUCCGCGAUGCAUAUCACUUAAUAAUUAGCUCAAACACUUUGAUUCAUUUAUUUCCGUGAACUUCUAAUAACCAUGAUUGUUCUUCUUUUCAAUAAAAAAAAAAAUUUUUAGAAGUCGAAAGGAGGGAAUUGAGUCCUAAAAGUUGAAUAAGGGAUCUCAUGAUCAUCUAGUAACCUGGUGGUUCAGUGCUAAGAAAGAAGCAAAUUCUUUGUCACAAAAAUGACUAAUACACCCCUAAAUACGCUUCUCAAAUAAGUUGGAGUAACUAUUAUACUAUUUAACAUAUCAGUCCACCUAGUUACCUAAUCAGUGUAUACGCUAAUAUAUAUUAGUUUACACCGAGAAAAAAGAUAUACAAAAUCUUAUUAAAUUUAGAGUAUAAUAAAAGUGUAACACACAAAUGUACAUUUUUUGAAAAAAAAAAAAAAAAAAACCCGCAUGAACGAUACAUUUGUAACAAAAGACCCGGAGCAAUGGCUGUAUCGGGUGAGCUGGUCUUGAGACCAACAACUCGGUUUUUGUCUGUGUCAUGCUCGCUACUCUAUUAUUGGGCCCUUUUGCUAGCAAUUGGGCAAGUCCAUUUCACCAAAGAGCACAUACUUACAUUGCAAUCCAGCAGUCCAGGCAACAACAUUAAAACCCAACAUAAGACAACCUUCUCCGACAUCCAGAGUCCAAAAACAACGUUGUUUUGGCAUGGGCUGCACGUGUAAGCUAACUUAAAAGGCUUCAAUGGAAAACCACCAAAACGGAUGACGAAAUCCAACCAAGCGCUACUCCCUCAGCCUCGGUUCCUCUUCCAAUUUAUGGAAAUACAGUACCACUUUCUUCUUCAGCUGUCUUUUCUUUACUGCUUACCUUAAUUUCUUCAUCGAAGAUUUCUCCAAUUUCCACCUAUAAUUAUCCCUCACUUAUAGAUAGAAAAUAGGUUUCCCCAAGACGAGAGAGAGGGGGGAAAAAAGGGAAGAAUAAAAAAAAAAAAAAAAAGCUUUUUGAUUGAGCGGACGACUGGUAAUGGCGAACUUACCUCAGUCCUUGUCGAUGAACGCCGCCGCCGCUUUUGGUGGUCCAGGCUCGUCGUCGGCUAGCCCUUCCGCCGCUGGAACUCAAGGCAAUAAGGAUCGAAAAAUGAUGUCUGCCGAGCAGCUUGUACUUGAACUUAGCAACCCUGAUCUCCGAGAAAAUGCCCUUCUCGAACUCUCCAAGGUUUAUAUAUCAAUUUAUGACAAUUUUACAAUUACAUUAAUGAUUAGGAGAAUUGCCAUGUAUUUUUACAUUCUUUUUGGAGCAUUUACUGGAGAACCUUUUUUCUUUUUUUUCUUUUUUUUGGGCUUCGCUGAUUUAGUGGAUUAGUCUUUUGCACUUUCUGAUUUGUAGGGAAUUGUCUGUUCUUUUCUUGAAAUUGGAAUUUUGGGUAGUUUGGUAGUUAAAAUUUCAGUAUGAUUUGUUAAAACUGGCGAUAAAUGAGAAGGUGCGAUCCUUCAUUGUUUUUCCAUUUUUCAUUUUCGCACCCUCAGUUCGAUAUGGUUAUCAUUUGGUAAAAUAAUUUUUUUUUGGAGUCUGUUGGAAUAAGACAAUAUUGACAAAUUGCUAUCAGCAGUGAAUCAACUGAUCAUUUGCUUAAAAUAUGUGAUUUUUUCCUAUAAUUGUUAAUUUGGUGCAAAGUUGACUUAAUUCUCGAUAUUUUUUUGGGAUAAGAGGCUGAAAAAAUUUGGGAUUUUUUUCUAGCUUAUAGUAGUUGGAUUUUCCACAUUCAAACUGCCACACGAUGUUGAAGUAUGGGCAAUCUCAUGAUAUCCAACUACAAUUGGUCCAAGGAAGCACUGAAUGGCCAGAGGAGAUUUGUUUAACAUACCGCUUUGUGUUCGAUGAUACUGCAAUAAUGUGAUCGUUAAUGGAUUGGAAUCAGAAACAAUUAGUCAGUAUACGAAAAAGUUCUUAGACACUACUUUAAAUGUUUAAAGCUCACUUUAAGAGACUCAGAAAUGAUGAGGGGAUACAUUAUUGCAAGACUUUGAAUUACAUAUCAAAAGGAUCUGUUUUGUUCUCUGCCAAUGGUUGCUGUCAGAAUAACUCUGUGGAUGUAUAAAAAGUUUCAUCGCCAUAUAAAUCAGUUAUUUAAGGGUGCAUUAUUGCUUAAAUGAUUCUUAUGAAUUAAUGCUCUAACUCUUUGGUGUAUUUUACAGGCAUGGAAAGCACUAUACCUUUCUUCCUUGAGAAAAUUACUUCUUGUUCUGCAUAUUUUAGCUCAUAGAUAUUAUGCAUAAUCGUGGCUUUCAAAUUUAUUGAAUAACUGAUUGUAUCUUCUUCCUUUUUUGUUCAUAAUUGUAGAAGAGGGAAAUCUUUCAAGAUUUGGCUCCAUUACUUUGGAAUUCUUUUGGGACUAUUGCUGCACUCCUGCAGGUAUUUAGUAUGAAAGUAUUCUGUUUUUAUUUUUUUCUCAGUAUUUAUAUUGUCAUAAGAUGCCAAUUAAAGUGUUAGUUGAUUCAUGAAUAUUGUACUGAUUAACUGUUUUUUUUUUUUUUGAAAAGAACAACUUCGCCAAUUCGUAUAUUGGUUAUACUCUUUGACUGUUGUACUUUUUGUGGAUAUAUGUUUUAUGAUGUAAUUUGACAAUAUGAACUCAAUAAAUUGUCUUUGUGUAUGUGCAUGAGACAUUGAUGGUGAGGAAAGGGAAACUACAUUGAUAAUGGAAAAACAAUGUGUAGUGUAUUUGAUGCAUUUCUUGUCAUAAAGACAGUUUGCUGACUGGAUUGGUGUUCUUUUUUGGGAGCAUGCAGGAAAUAGUUUCUAUCUACCCUGUUUUAUCUCCACCAAACCUGACUCCUGCACAGUCAAAUAGAGUUUGCAAUGCACUUGCUCUUCUGCAGGUACUACUUAUUCUUUUCUUUGACUCUUUCAUGAAAAGAUGAUGGAAGAAUUUCGUAUCACAUUUUUGUGAGUCAGGUCAUGCAUGUACAUCCUAAAGAAACUCAGCAUAUUUGAGAUUUUGUAACAGUGGAUUCAUUAACCAUCUUACAACUUUGUUCCUCAUGUUUUUGACUCUUGCCUUUUUUGGCACUGACAAAAAAAUGACUUUAGACCUGCUUAUUCAUGAUAACUUUAUCAAAAUAAAGUAUUUGGAAUCUUUCCCUUCCUUUUUUAUUUUUUGUUGGUGAUGCUGCCAUAAAUGGCCCAAAUCUAAUUCGUCUGCUCUGAAGUGAUUUUGCUCCACCUCAAAGAUUAUCUGUUUGUGAAAAUCAUUUGCUUUUGAUGAAUUUGUUGGUUUGCCUUUUGCAGUGCGUGGCUUCUCAUCCUGACACUAGAAUGUUGUUCCUUAAUGGUAAUUUACUCUUUCUUCAUGAUUAGGAUUUUUACAUGGAUCUGCCUGAAGUUUCAAAUAUCUAAUGGGCAAAAUCUGUAGACAAAGAAGAACCCUUAGUUUAGGGAGCCUCAAUAGCUGUGUAUUAUAAUGCAGCAUCUACCUUCAACCUCCCAGUGUGCCUGUGGAAAAAAUAUGUAAUUACAUGAAAAUUUGUGGAGUUUUUUUUGAACACUAGCCAGUUAUUUGAAUUGAUACUGUUCCUCUCUGCUUUAAAUAAUAUCUUAGGUUUGAAACUGAAUGGACAUGUUCCUGUUUGAGUUUCUUGGAGACUAAAUAAGUCAGUAAUCAUACCUGCUUUCUGAACUAAAAUAUCUGGUUCCUUUUGUUGCACAUAAACUAUUGUAGCAGUAGUGCAACCUCUAUUCAGCUGUGGAUCUUUUCCUUGUGCUUUUCAUCUCAAGAGCAAGACAAGUUGCAAAACCAUUGGGUUAUUCUUUAUUUAGCUGAAUAUUGUUUUGCUGUCAUUGCAGUUGAUUCUUAGUGUUGCUUUUCUUCUUUGCAGCCCAUAUACCACUGUAUUUGUAUCCAUUUCUCAAUACAACAAGCAAAUCAAGGCCUUUUGAAUACCUGAGGCUUACCAGUCUGGGUGUCAUUGGUGCACUGGUGAAGGUAUUAAAUCAUCCUAAGUUCAUAUUUUCUAUUGUCCCUUCACCUCUCGUCCCCAUAUAUCAUGAACCAUCUCCUUGCCAGUUUUGGCGUUCCUAGGUUAAACAAUCUUCAAUAGCAGCCAUGGUGUUUUCAGCAAAACACAUAUCUUCUGGUUGGGAAAAAAAAAGAAAAGGAAUACAUAGAACAAUGAUUAAUGGACUUUGAGUGCUUGUAUCCGAAUAGAGCAAUACAUAUUGUAAAGUUGCACAUCUGGAGAGAAAUAUCUAGUUUCUGCAACCUUAUGAGAUAUUAUCUUGUUUCACCCUACUCUGAGUGAAGCUCCAGUUGAGGCCGUAUCUAUGGUUCUGCCUAUCUUAAGUGCUGCUUUUGUUAUGUGUUUUUAAAUUGCUAUCUCCCAUAAGAUAUAACUGAACAACUUCAAGGGUUGAUUUCUAUCUGAUUCCUUCAACUUUUCUUCUUUUUCUUGAAGUGUUAUAUAUGUUCACCCAGGGUGAAGCAUAUGAAACUUACUAAUUAUAGUCGCAACUUUAAUGUAACUAUCCUCAUUUCUUCGAUUUGUUAUUGUGUUGAAUGAAAUAUGGCAUCCUUGAAAUGCAUUAUUUGAGCUACUUUUGGAAGUUCACUUGUAUCAUGUUUAUAUUACUUGGAUUGUGCUAGCUAUAAUUUUCUGGUUGCCUUUGCUCCUUUUCAGGUUGAUGACACUGAGGUUAUUAGUUUCCUCCUCUCAACAGAGAUAAUUCCCCUGUGCCUUCGCACAAUGGAGAUGGGUAGUGAAUUAUCAAAAACAGUUGAGUGGCUCCUUAUGUUAUGUUUUACCAUGUUCUCUGAUGUUUUAGUACAAACGUCUCCUCAGUUCUGCAUUCCAAGUAUAGUUUGCCCUACAACAACUGUUACUAGAUGAUGUAUCAGACUCUGUGUGAUUGAUUCACUUUAAUCUUUGAGAAUGGGAAUUGGAAUUUCCUUCUUGAAGUAAAUGCUUUUCCGGCAGUUAGUGUAGCAACAUUUGAUGAACGUCAACAGUCAAAGGUGCAGUAUGUAGAUACGAAAAUGAUUCUUAUCUGCUCUAAUGAUUGUUGUCAUUUAGUGGCUGCUGGGGCUGUGGGGUUUGUCAGUUACUGCCACCCUUUUGAUUAAACUGGAGACUUCCACAUUGUACUACUAACUAGCCAUUAAGAGACCAAUUUUGGAAUGUCACAUUUGCUCAUUUGAAGGUUGUUCUUGCACAAUUUAGACAUUUUUUUUGUGCAGUCACAAUUUCACUAUCUUUCCUUAUGGAACUUUAUUUUUAUUGUGUCUGCUGGCAGGUUGCCACAUUUAUUGUACAAAAGAUUCUGCUGGACGAUGUGGGCCUGGAUUACAUAUGCACCACAGCAGAGCGGUUUUUCGCUGUAGGUCGAGUCCUGGGAAAUAUGGUGGCUGCACUUGCUGAGCAGCCAUCAUCGCGACUGCUAAAGCACAUUAUUAGGUGCUACCUUAGGUUGUCAGAUAAUCCAAGGUGAUGCUUCAAGAACAAUACCUCAUUGCAUAUUGUUUCUUUCCUUCUCUCUCCUCUUUCUGUGCAUACUGACGAGGUCCCUCCAUUUACAUGUUCAAUUUGUGUACGUGCGGGUGUCUGUGUUCAUAUGCAUCACAUGUUUCAGUAUGAAAAACAUUAAGGUUUUACAACCUUGUCUUGUGUAGGGCUUGUGAUGCACUUCGGAGCUGCCUUCCUGACAUGCUUAGAGACGCCACCUUCAGCAGUUGCCUUCGUGUAUGUAUACACUAAUAUGUAACUUGAGCAGAUUUUAGCUUAUAAUCUUGUUUUCUGAUUGUGGAUAUGCUGGAAAUAUAAAUGUUUCAACACCUAUUAAGCAACUUCAGCUUCAUCUUUCAUGUUUUUCAUGUUGCCAGGAAGAUCCAACAACGAGACGAUGGCUCCAACAGUUGCUUCACAAUGUCCAAGGGCCUCGGGUUGCACUGCAAGCUGGGACAGGGUUCGACCAUAUGCUAGUGAACUGACUGGAGGCCAGCCCCUUUUUGUUUGCCGUUACUGCUGAUGAUUAAAGCUUGCAUUUUCAAGUGCAUGCUGCUUUAGUUGCUUGGUUAAAAGGUCAUUUGUAGAUUAGGUAUUUAUACAACUCUAGUAACUUGUCGUAGGGGGCUUAAAAGGCCUCGACUUGAAUACGAGGUCGUUUUGUAAAUGAAUUUGAUGUUAUUAUAGAGGUUUUUUUUCAGUAGCUGGACACUUGAUAGUGUUCUUAAUUGGUCCACCCCGACCUGACCUCUUUAGCUGGUGGAGGUUAAAUGACACCGUAGGCCUCAACAAUUGUUUCUCAUAAUUUUAGUCUACAGUUGAUGGAUUAAGUGUAUAACAAUCACAAUUGACUUUUGGAUUAAAGGUUUAGGUGUAAAACAAUAACUUUUGGCACACAACUCCUAAAGAGCAUGUAAGAAAUUAUUGUUGUUGUGAUUUUAUUUAUUGGGAUAAUUGCAGAAACCUCCCCUGAGGUUUCUGGCAUUUGCACUGACCUCCCCUAUGAUUUGAAAAAUUACACUGACCUCCCCUGAGGUUACUAAUCCUUUGCAAAUUUAGUCCAAACAAUUAAAAUAUUAUUUUAGGGAGUGAAGUUUGAAUUUUGUACCAUAUUUGUCCUUUGUUCUACAUAUUCAAUGAAUGACAAAAUAUUAUAAAUCAAUUAACAAUUAAUAAAUUUUAAGGAGUAUAAUUUACGGGCAAACACCCAUUACUCAUUUAAAAUAUCAGCUUUUUACGAGUAUUUUACUUUUAAAUAUUUAAUUUAUGAUAAAUAUAUCAAUAUUUGUAAGUAAAAUUCAAAAAUUGUUAUAGUAAUAUUCUUGCAAAAAAGAAAUCAAUAGGUUAUUUAUUUAAUAUAAAUUAAAUAUUUUUUUAAAAAAAAUGGUCCAUAAAGUGUUAAUUUUUAUGGCUUUCAUCCAUUAUACUAGUAAAGUAUUCGCUCUUCAUGUGCAUUUUAUUCUGAAUCAUUUAAUUUAUGUUAAAUACAUAAAUGUUUGUAACUAAAAUUGAAAAAGUGUUAUAUUAAUAUUUUUACAAAAGAGAGAUUGGUAAGUUUUGUAUUUAACAAAAAUUAAAUAUUUGAAAGUAAAUACAAAUCUGUAUUUGAGCGUAAAUAUUUGUAUUAAAUUAAAUGUUUGAAAGUAAAAUACCCUUAAAGAGCCGGUACUUUAAAUAGUUACCGACUUUUUAUAGGCAAACACGCAUUACUUAUUUAAAGUAUUUUUAGGAAUAUUUUACUUUCAAACAUUUAAUUUAUGAUAAAUAUAUCAAUAUUUGUUAGUAAAAUUUAAAAAGUAUUACAGUAAUAUUCUUGUAAAAAGGAAAUCGGUAGGUUAUUUAUUUAAUAUAAAUUAAAUAUUUUUUUUUUAAAUGACCCAUAAAGUAUUAAUUAUUUAUGGCUUUCAUCCAUUAUAUGAGUAAAUUAUUGGCUUUUAUGGGUAUUUUAUUUAGAAUCAUUUAAUUUAUGUUAAAUACAUAAAUAUUUGUAACUAAAAUUGAAAAAGUGUUAUAUUAAUAUUUUUACAGAAGAGAGAUUGGUAGUUUUUGUAUUUAACAAAAAUUAAAUAUUUGAAAGUAAAUACAAAUAUGUAUUUGAGCGUAAAUAUUUGUAUUAAAUUAAAUGUUUGAAAGUAAAAUACCCAUAAAAAGCCGGUACUUUAAAUAGGUAAUGCAUAUUUGCCUAUAAACUAUACUCCUUAAAGUUUAUUAAUUGUUAAUUGAUUUGUAGUAUUUUGUCAUUCAUUGGAUAUGUAGUACAAAGGACAAAUUUGAUAAAAAAUUCUAAUUUCACUCCAUAGAACAAUAUUUUAAUCGUUUGGACUGAAUUUGCAAAGGAUUAGUAACCUCAAGGGAGGUCAGUGUAAUUUUUCAAACUACAGGGGAGGUCAGUGCAAAUGUCAGAAACCUCAAGGGAGGUUUCUGCAAUUAUCCCUUAUUUAUUUAUUAGUUCAACUUCAUAGAUUUGAUAUCUUAGAAAUGAACUUGUACAUGGUUGACGAGGUGAACCUGCACAUUGUGAGUAUACACUUGCCUGCUUGGACAUAUAAUGUAUAUAAGACCAUAAAAAGUUGUUAGAAAAAUAAAAAAGUUAAUUUGAAAAUAUGUUUAUAAUGCAAGCGAAUAAUAUUUUAAAUGAAUAGAUAUCAAGAAUAAUAUUUUAAAUGAAUAGAUAUCAAGAUACAUUCGUUAAUCAAUUACAUCACUUAUAGGCGUGGAUUAUGUAAUUUUACAUGGUGUUACUUUCUCCACUUUUUGGCUUGGAUUGACAUGCAUUACAUUAGAUAAUACAUACAAAUUAUUUGAAUACUGGUUAAUGUGCAAUAUGUUUUCCUAUAUUUCUUUAUCAACACCUAAGUUGGUUUACGUCUAAAAUUUAUAAAACCUUUUUAAAAAUUAGAUUUUUCUAGCAGAUGCAGAAUGGGCAUUCAUUAAGAUACCUAAAAUGCACGUAAGUUAUUUUUUCUUUUUCUUUUUUUGUUAUUUCAUGGAAGGUAAUAUGUACAUAGACACAUUUACAUUUUAUUGUACCUCCUGAAUUAAUUACAAUUUGCUUAAAAAACUAAUACCCAAAUCCUACUCUUAUCCGGUGCUUAAUAGGCACCUGUUAGCCAAACUAUGAAAAUUGAAAAGUAAGUUGCACCCCUGAAGUUCCAUCUAAUCUAGUCGCGACUCUGAUAUGGCACAGGAAAUGACAUAAAAGUAACUGGAUUAAAGGUACAAAGUAUCCCGGCAUCAGCAAGGCAUGGAUUCAGUACAUCUUUAAGUAUAAACAGUAUCCAGCAAUUUAACUUACGUUAAAUCCGAAGAGAAGCUUGGACAGAGUGGGGUUAAUUUUAGAAACCUUCCCAAUUUCUGACAAUUUUACCUGACACUUUUCAGAUUUACAAUACUAAAAUUACCUCCCCUAUUAUACUACAUUUACUUUCCACUACUAUAACCACUGUUUCUACCCCUCAACUAGGGGUGAGCGCGGAUUCGGUACCGUCCCAUUCACCAUUUGGCUGACCCGACCCGCACCUUACAGGUCAAUUAUUUUCUGACCCUUACCCGUCCUGAGAUAGGGUCGGAUCAGCGGGUACCCGUCCCGCCCCGUUUAUCAUUUAAUUUUUUUAAAAAAAAUUAUUUAUACCAAUUUAAUUUUAUAUUUUACACAUUCAUCUAAGAUUUAAUAAUUUUUUUUUCUAAAAAAAGAUUUCCCACCAAAAAACAAGCAUAUGAAGAGAAUAUAAGAUAAAGGAAAAAAAAUUAAAAGAAUUCAAAAUCAAUAAAAGUUUGAAAUAAGUAGCAUAAUUUUUAAUAUAUAUGUUCCACAUUAAUUAAACUUUUUUCUAUGAAAUAUAAGAUCAUGGCCUUUACAAAUGAAUCUUAUAAAUAAACUAUAGUCUCUCAUAUUUGUAAUGCAAUUUGUUCAAUAAAAUUACUUAUUUAGUUCUAACUUAUUAUUUUAUAGUGUAUGUAUAAAAAUAAUAUAUAUAUAUAUAUAUAUAUAUAUAUAUAUAUAUAUAUAUAUAUAUAUAUAUAUGCGGGGCGGAUCGGAUACUCACGGGUUUUUAAUUAUAUAACCCUAACCUGUCCGCAUCUUAGCGGAUACCCAACCCUUUUUUGAGCCGAUCAAAUAAUAAAAAUCGGAUAUCCUAAUUUUUAGAUUAGAUCGGAUCGGAUAUGACGGAUUUUCAGGUUAGCGGAUAAUUUUGCCCACCCCUACCCUCAACAGAUUUGCACUACAAGUUCAUACAUACUGAUGUAUUGCUCUUCAAAAUAACAUCCUAGAUAUCCAAAAAAAAAAAAAACUUACAAGAUUACAAAAUUUUUAUCUUUUCUUUCUUCGAAUUCAUUUUUUACACAAAAACAAGAUGACUGGUGGCAUAUAAUACUUUUGGUGAUGUUGUUCUUUAAUGUAGGGGACAACAAUUCGAAUAUAUUGUUCUUUUAAUUCGUAUUUUAUGAAGUUGAAAGUGAGAAUGUCUUCAAUUUUAGAGAGUAUACUAGAUUUUAAACAAGAUGUUACUCGAAUACAUAUAGAUGCUCCCUGCAUUCUUGGGGUUCUGAUGAGCAUUUUUUUGAUCCACCUCAACUUAUAUUCUAUAUGUCUUACCUAAUCAGUGAAAAUGAGGGCAUAAAUUGAAUACUCAAAAUUUUGGGGGGCAGAAAUCCCACUUCCAAUUCGAUUUUGGGAGCCAAAAAAAAAGAAAAGAAAACAUCCCACCUAAAACGUUCGCCCCCACCGGGGCACCCUUUUCUUUCCCUGGUGUUCCCAAAACGCCUUCCGACAAUCAAACAAGUCCAAACGGCGAAUUCCGAAGCACACCAACUUUGACCCAGAGCCCAAGUCUUCCCUCUGUGGAAUAUCCCAUAAAUUUUGUUUAAACUGCCAUGAAAUCAUCCGAAAAGUAUGCUGUGACGUAUGCCUACACCUUCCAGACGUCAUCAGACGACGACGAGGACAUGACGGAGACCGUUACAGACAUGGCAGCAUCCGUGAGGGCGGUGGAGGAACUCCUGAAUUACAAGUUUAAGAACAAGAUGCUUCUAGAAGAAGCUCUGACUCAUUCUUCUUACACUGAUUCGGCAUCUUACCAGCGGCUUGAGUUCGUCGGCGAUGCCGCUCUUGGGUUAGCCGUCUCUAACUACGUGUUCCUGGCUUACCCGGACCUUGACCCGGGCCAGCUCUCUCUUCUUCGGGCUGCCAAUAUUAGCACCGAGAAGUUAGCUCGUGUCGCCGUCAGACAUGGCCUUCAUAAAUAUGUUCGUCACAAUGCCGCUGCUCUUCACGAUAAAGUAAGUUUUUCUUUGCCUUUUAUUUUCUCUCUCUCUCUCUUUUUUCAAAAUAUGGAAUUAAGGUACCAUGGUUAAUGCAUGACGUAUAGCUAUUGAUGCACACGUUUGCUUGCUUUUAAGUUGUUCAGUAUGUGUGUUGAUUCUCGCAGAUAGUUUGAUUAAUUGGAAAAUACUAGCAGUACUACUUUAUUUGAUUGUUGCGGCUAUAUGAUUGUACCUUCUUAGAAUUGAUGGAAAUCAUACCACCAUGAAUGCAUGGCGUGUAUGCUUUUUUUUUUUUUUUUAUGGCUAUAAUAGGUUACAUAUGAGAUGGACCUAUUAGUUUGCGUGAUUAAUUGGAAAAGAUAAAAGGUAGCAGCCUUUCUCUAUCAAUUUUUUUCUGGAAUGCUGGUACCUUCGAUAGCUACAAGUGUUUGUGCGCAAGUCCAAUAUACAUUUAGAUUUAUAGUUUGGUCGGCUUGCGAUUUUUGCAUGAUUUUUGCUGUUAAUAAGGAUUCAGUUAUGGUUGUGAUUGUUUAGGUGAGAGAUUUUGCAACAGCGGUAGGGCAGGAGGAUGAAACAGAGGUAUAUGGAGGGGCAAUUAAGGCUCCAAAGGUUCUUGCUGACAUAGUGGAGUCGGUGGCUGCAGCUGUAUAUGUAGAUUGCGGGUUUGAUCUGCAAGCGUUGUGGGUGGUAAGCGCUUUUUCUAUUUCUUUUUUCCCUCUAUUAUCUGUGCCAUUCACCCCUUUGAUUAAACAUGAUAAUGUUAUACCAUUCUUAUGAGAUUGAAAUAUGAGAUGUGUUAAAAUGAUAGUUUCCUGCCCUGCUUUGUUGGAUGUCUGUUCCAAUAUUAGGACAAUUCAAUAUCAGCAAAUUAUAUGAAAGAAACGGGGUUUUCAAAACUAUAGAGUUUUUUUAAUUCCAUAGUUCGCCAAACAAAAAGAAACCUAGCAACACUGCUAAUCAUGAAUCAUGAAUUAUGAAUUAUUGUGUCAAUGUAUUAGGAAAACUCUCCCUUCAUGCUUCCACUAAGGUUUUGACGAUUCAAAGUAGAUGGUGUUGCAAUAGGCCUUAUUAUUGUCUUAGAUUCUUGAACAUAUGGGAAGCUAUUAUUCAUUACAAAAUGUUUUGGAUCAUCAAUGUGAAUUUCUCAAGGUUUGUACCUUUGUUGGGUUCAGAUAUUUAGGGGCUUAUUGGAGCCAAUUGUCACACCUGAUGUACUACAACAUCAGCCUCAACCAGUAACAUUGCUAUUCGAAUUGUGCCAGAAAGAUGGAAAGCAUGUCGAUAUAAGACAUUGGAGAAAAGGGGAAAAAAACAUUGCAAGUGUUUAUGUUGAUGGGCAAUUUGCUGCCUCAGCUUGUUCUGAUCAGAAAGAAAAUGCAAAGCUUCAUGCAGCUAGGGCUGCUUUGCGGAAGUUAUCUUACAAAGCUAGUGAAAAGAUUGGUGGAGACAUUAUAGGUGAAGUCAAUGGAUCUACUACUAAGAUUGAAAGUGCAAAACAAAAACUUCAUGAGCUCUGUGGAAGGAAAAGAUGGCCAAAACCAAACUACAGGUACCCCUUAUUCAGUUUCAUGAGUUAUACUUGCGCAUUUAGCUCGAUUUUAGUUCCAUGCCAUGUACUUCAAAUUAGAAGUCAGUAUGUUUUUCCUUGCUUCUAAAUUUAGAUUCCUGAAUAUUUGGUAAUAUUUACAGAAUUGAAAAGGAGAUAGGUCCAGCUCAUGAUAGGCGAUUUAUAUGCUCUGUUCAAAUUGAGAUUGCCGAGGCUGUGCUUUUUGUGACGGGAGAUGAAAAAUCAAGAGUGAAGGAGGCAGAGAACUCUGCAGCUUCUCUGAUGCUACUAGGUCUGCAAGGCUCUUAAGUACUAAUGAUGACCUAGGUGUAGAAUCAUGGAAAAUUGUAACCUGCUGUGUUGGUAGACAUUGUAGAAGCUGGAAAAGCAGAACGAUUUUCUUCAUUAUUUCUAUAUUAUUAGUUCAAUAAAUAUUGUAUUUUCUUUUACUUUUGAAUCGAUAAAUGAUCAUUGCUAUGGAUUAAGGUUCUAGUUGUACCGUGAAAACUGGCAUUUUCAACAGGGUCGAUGACUUCCUGAGAGGACAAUCUUCAAAGACAUUGCAUCUUAUAUAUUGGCAAAUGAAGGCUGGUAGUCCAUGGCUCACUCAGCUGCAACUAUUGCGCUUGUGGCUCUCCCAAAGGGUCGCCCCUACCUUUAAGCAGAAUCAUACAAUAGCUUAGUUUGCUUCCCUUUGUUGCAUCUUUGCUCGAUUUGGUGGGAACUUCUUCCAAUGGAGGAAACCUUCCUCGCUUUUAGAUCCAGCACCUUAACAGCAGAAUCAAACUGGACACGAGUUUUGAAGUGGCAAGUUGUUUGUUGAUCAUCUCCCUUUUUUUCAUGGAAGCGGUUUCCCGUGAGGCCACUAUAAGAGAAGAUUGCAGCAGGUGUGUCGUGGUCGUAUAGGCAAAAUGGUGUUGUGAUGUUUUUCUGGAAAAUCUGCACUGGUCUAACAUAUUUGAGAAGACCUCCAUCGUUUGGCCUUACAUAUAGCUGACCAACAGCACUACCAGUUUCCAGAGCUUAUUGUCAUUGUCCUCGUGUCAAUCCUGACAGGUAUGUUAGCAGUGCAGAUGUCAAAGCAAAUUGCAAUAUUAUAGCAAAGCCUGUGGCUUCCAGCUUGUUGGGAUCUUGUCCCUGCUCGCAUUCAGUGAUUAGAAUCAGUUAGUGAAAAUCUGGAGCUAUCUAUUGCUGAAAGAAGAUCUACUGUUCAAUUGGAAAAGAGAAAAAACUCAAUAAUCUUGCUUCCACCGAGUCGUUUGUUUGUACCAGCCGACGGUCCUCUCUAUUUGUAGGAUUAUGUGGCCUGGACUCGUGUCUUCAUGCCCUUCCAUCAACUAGGCUGCUGCUUUGAAUAGGUUGCUGCAAUCUUUGCUGCUCUACUGUUGAAAUUAGUAGGCAAAUGAACUCCUCUUUACCGGUAAUAACUUAGAGAUACGUUGAUCCGUGACAGAAAAAUGUUGGUAGGAAAUGGGGAGGGGGGCAAAAAUUCUUUUCCUAGUAAAAACUAGCCUUCUAACUCCAAGUUUCAGUGCUUCUUGCUGUUUAUAUUUUCAUUUGCCUUAAAUGGUGGGGCCAACAUUAUUAUCAGCCCAAUAUGCAAAGCAUGCUUUCCUUACUUCAUAAUAUUGAGAGCUAGGACCUAAUACACGUCAGGAAUUUUAACAGUAGAUAAAAAUUGAGUUAGAAGGAAUUAGAAGUGUGAAUUACGUUGAUCAAUCUGGAAAAACGCGCACAGUAAUCCAAAGGGAAAACGGUAAGCCUGCUGAUUGAUGGAAGUUGAGAAACUGCAAACCAGCCAGCCAGCCAGCCACUUUUCCUGCAUCGUUCCUCAACUCAUAGCAUCGUGUCUUCAUUUAUUUUUUUUCAUUUUUAAAUAUUUGGCAACUCCAAAAAUCCAUUUAGAACAUGCUAUACCCGGAAUUUUUGGUCUCUCGGUUACUAAAAAAAAAACAUAAAUCAAACAAAUUAAAGGGAAGUCAUUUAUCAUUAUCAUUUUUUUUCCUUUUUUUUGGGGGGUGGGGGUGUGCAAGUUCCGCCUACAUUUUGUCCAAAUUCAAUUCGUCAUAUAAGCGGUUUGACGAUACUAGUGUGUAUCUAUCAACAAAGUCCAUCUCUGAUGUGCAAAAGUCACACGGCAAAAGAUGAUUUAUGAUUGACGAGAAGAGUCAAGUUAUGAGAUGUUUAAGUUGGAAUUUGCAGAAAUGAUAUAGAAUUUUCUUACGAAGUUAAUUAUCACGUAAGAAUCCACCAUGAUUAGGAGUAAUGAUGAUAUCUAUGAGAGACAUGACUUGAUUCCACCAUUCAAGUGCCCCUCUUACCUUGUUAAACAAUAAUGUGGAGAAGAUUCUCAUGAUGUUCUUUCUCCACUUCUCUUUAUUCAGCACCACCCUGCUUUUUCCUUUUUCUAGUUAUUGCAACUUGCUAGUAGGGCACUUCCUUUCCCUUUUUGAUGCAGAAUUUUAUUUUCAAUUACCCCUUUCCCUUUUAUCAUGAGUGGAUUAUUUGAAUCCCACCACCUAUAUGUGAUUUCUUUUUCUUUUUAACAGUCGAGUCGAGUCGAGUCGACAGAAGGGUUAAAACUUGUCAAUCCCAUUAUUAUUAUUAUUAUUCUGGGAGAAUAAAUUUCAUGUCACAACAGCCAAGGUUGAAUGAAGGAUCAAUGAGAAUAUGAUGAGAUCGGUGAUCAAAAUGAAUAUUCCAAUGUAAAAGACAACAACGGAAUUUUAUAGUUUGUACCUGGGCUUCUUGUUAGAAGUUCGCAAUCAAGGGAUGGAUGGUUUUGAAUAAUGCCACCAUUUUACGAGCGAGAGCUGAUGCUUAAACGCAUGGCAACGCAAGCCAGUUUCUCCUACUCCUGUUACUUUACAAUUCUUUGAAGAUUAGGUAGAUAACCCCAAAAAUUGAUUAAGAUCUAAUCGCCAUCAGGCAACUUUUGACUCAGCAGCUUGGAGUUUUUUCUACUAGCUAUGUAUACAUAUAUAUAUGUGUGUGUGUGUGUGCCUUUCUUUUUUGUAUUUUAUGCAUACGACGAUUGUUCAACAACUGGUCCCGCAGCCAAAGUUUACUGGUAUCGUAAUCAAACACAAAAAUUGGGAACAAAAGAUAAGUUCACCUUUAUAUUGUGCUGAUUCUUUCAACCACUCCCGGACCCAUCACUCAACAAAAUGCAAACGAUUAUAUACGCAUUAUCAAAUUGAUAAGGAAAAAUAAUUUGGUCCUCCAUCAAAGCAUAACUUACCAACCAGUUGGAAGGAAAGAAAAAACAUUUUUGUAUACGAUCUGAGUCUACGGGGCAAAAGAGAAAAGAUCUCUUCGAAAGCCACCCUAUGUUUUGUAAACCCAAUGCAAUAAGUACAAUUGUUUGUUUCAACAUUAAGAAGAGAACUACUCAACAUUAUUAACACAUAUAUAAAACUUGUACAAUUAGAGGGACCAUACCCUCUUAUCAUAUCAAAGUUUGCCUUAAUUUUGCAACCAAUUAAUGACUGAUUCCCUCCGCAGCAAGGCGGCAAAGGUUUUCUCUUUCCAGGGAUGUCUAUUACGUAACGUCAUAAAACAACCAAAAAAAUAGUCUAGCCAAAACUAAACCAAACGAAAAAGAAGCUAGCUGUUUUCUUCUCCUUCAGUUUGGAGGGUUUGUUGUGGAGCGUCCGAUGAGCCUCAUUGCUUCAAGAAGGGUAUUCCUAAAUCUUCCCAAAUUGAUCGUCACAUUCUGCUGGUCCAAAUAAUAAACCCUCGAUUUCCUGUAACCCUGUGCUUUGAUGGACUCGGGAUCUUUAAGCACGGGAUGAUCCGGUCCAUACAAAUCAUAAAGUGUGCUCUCUUGAGGCUCAAUCUUGUAUUCCAAGUAAUGCAACCCCAUUCCCGUUGCCGGUCCGCCGUAGUAUGCAUUUCCAACCCAGUCGAGUUCGAGUGGAAGCACCUGAAUCAUGACUGCCCCGUUAGGCAGGAAAAUUUCAUUUGUCAGCCCGGCACCAUGCACUCCAACCAUAACGCUGCUGGAACCGAUAACCCGAGAAAAUUCAUCCAAAUUUGACAUCAGAUCAUUGGUAGGAAUGAACACGCGAAAACCCAACUCCUCCAUCAUCCUCACCACGGCUCCUUGAUUCACUAUAGUUCUCGUUCUCGUGCGAGACACUAUUAGCAAUUGUGGCUUUUCUGUCCCCGGCAUCUGGGACACAUCCCUCGGCUUCAAAUUAAACGAUUUUCUAAGCAGAUCCCUGAAUUCGACCAUGGAAUAAGCUCCUGGGGUGUCGCUGGUGUUGAUUGCCAAGUUGUCAUGAUACUUGAGCCCAACAAUGGCCCCUGGAAAACAAUGAAUGGCCCCCUUACUAGUUUCGGCUGCAUUUAUAAACUCGAAAUGCGACAGCUUGGUUAAAACCCUCCUGAAUUUGUUGAGCACCCAAAGCUGGUAAUCCGUGAUCAUGAACUUCACCUUGGAUCUGAAAUGCCGGCUCGUGAUGAAGACGGGAAUGAUAAUGUCGUUGAAUUCGUGGAAUAUGUUCCCAGCAAAUCCGCCCGAGGAGAAAACCACGGCCGGCACCUUGUGUUUGAAACCACAAGGUGGUGGGCGGACGUUACCGUGCAGAAUCUCGACGGGCUUGACCAUUUUCAUUGCCACUUCAUCGUUUUUAAGUGGGUACGGCUGAGCCGUGUACUUGUGCAAUUCCUGAUCGGAGUAUAUGUAAAUCCUGGAAGCAUUCGUGUCGAACCUCACUUCUUUGCUAGAAAUAUAAAUGUCCGAGUUCAACUCGGACAGGUGAGCAAAUCCAGUUUCUUCGAAUCGAGUCCGUUGUUCUCCUGCUAGCUCCAAAGAAUCAAAAUUCUUGACUCCAAAAAGACUUUUGGCGAAAAUUGAUUUGAUUUGAUCUCUCGGAGAUGCAUGUUAAACAAAUAUAUUGGUAUCUCUACAUAUACAUACAUAAUCUUGUGGAGUAAUUUUUCCGCUUUCAAGAACAACAAAUUUGUAGGAUGGCAAAAAGCUCCACAACUCGUCAAUUGACUGUCGCUCUUAACAACAUCAACAUAUAUAGCUAGGUAGCACAGCCAAAUUCAUGAGUAGAGGGGGAGGGGGGGGGAGAAAAAGGAAAAAAAAAAAAAAAAAAGGAAAGGGAAAGCAUCUUUCUUAUCUUACAAUCAAAGGGAGAGAGAUAUAUUUUUUAUUAAUGAAAGUGCUAAAGAUCGAUCGAAACUCAGACUAGCUAGUAGAACAUAACAAACCUGUUAAUAGCCUUCUGAGCAUAAUCUUGAGCGGGUCUUUCUUGGGUACGACAUCUUUGACGGCGACUUUUCUGCCUGUGCCAAGAUGGUUAUUCGAAUUUGUGAGCUUCGCGUCGAGAUUGCUGUCUGAACUUGAGAACUUUGCCUUCCCUACAACGUAUUAAAGAUCGAUGAGCAUCCACGAAUAUGCAUGGAAUCGCCGUCCAAAUUUUUUUCACAUAAAGGCUAAGUAAGAAAACAAAAUCUAUGUUUUUCCUAGACAACAAAAAAAAAGAGAAAACAAUCGGAUGGUGGAUAGAAGAGCUAGAUUACAUUCAUCAAUCUGGCAAAAUAUUGCAGAGUAGGCCAAAGCGUGAAAGAUGAGCAAGGAGAUUAAGAAAGUUGGGCUGCAAACCAGUCGUUUGGAUUCCUCCACCAUCGAUCCUCUUUACUCCGGACUACAAUUGCUGUUGUAUUCAAGUCCCUGUCUUGACUUCAACGUAUGAGUACGAAGCACUCAAUUCUCAUCCAGCAACCUCUUCUUCUCUUCUAAGACAAAACAUGGUUUAGACGUCCCUCUCUUCUUGUUUAUUAGUAUUACUACUUCCUGUAAUUGCUUUACCUUUCUGUCUGUCUUCUUCCCUGUCUUGCUUCUAGAAUUUGCAACUUGAUUGAUAUUCAACUAAGGUUCAUGCAUAUAAACAACACUGACCUACAAAUUUUUUUUUUUUUUUGGGCAGCAGCCGCGGUUUAACCUUUGCGUCGACCUACAAAUUUUUGCUUUUCAUUACAGGACCUUUUACUUAAGGUAGCUUUCAACUUUCCUAUAUAUAUAUAUAUAUACAUACACAUACAUACAUACAAUUUCUUUGUCAAUCGAUCAAAAAAAUAAUAAUAAUAUUUAGGGAAAGGCAGUAGGGCAUCUCUUACGUCAAAGAUUUGAUUUUGAGAAAUAUAAAACUCGGGCCGUUCUUUGUCGAAGACAAGACGAUACAAUUUUUUUUUUUUUUCCCUUUUCCUUUUCCUUUUCUUGAAGGAAAUAAAUAAAACAAUACAUACAAUUAAGAUGUAGACCAGGACGGCUCUAUAAAUAUCCCAUAAAUGGGGAGGAGAGGAGGGGAGGGAGAUUAUGACCUAAAAAUAUGAUCGCCACUCAAUACUGUAGCCGUAACACAAGGAAAUCAAUGCACACAUUCCUGCGCCAGCUGUAUCUAAUCUAUGUUUCUGCAUCGCACAAGUAACUUUCCACAUCAUAAUCAAGCAUUACAUACGACUUUGUCUUCUACAAAAAUCCCACUAAUUGAGUAAUUGAUUUGAAGAGUCUAAUGGUCCAGGUAUUUUUUUCCCCCUUUUCUCACUGGUCGAAUACCAGCUGCUGCUGCUGCUGCUGCUGCUGCUGCUUAAAAACGUCCAGCUCUAAAGUAUUGAUUGAUUCCUUGCUUUCCUCAGGAAAAAAAAAAAAAAAAAUUUUUUUUCCCUUUUCGAUUCUUUUCUUUCAAUUGAAAAACAGUAUCGAUUCUUUAAUCUUUUUCAUUUAUGUCUUUUAGUUUUUCCCCCCUUAUUUUAAUUUCUAGGAGAAAAAGGGAAAAUGAACUUUCUCUAGAUUAAUAUCUCUAGAUUAAUAGUUUCAGAAACAGAACUCAAACAAUCAUGAAAGAAAGAUACUGAGACUAUAAAAUUAGAUGCCUCACUGUACUUUAGUGAAACAGACGGCAUUGAAUUGAAUCUACAGAAAGCCUCUUCAUUUACAAGAUGACUAUCAAAAAGAAUCAUUAAAUAACCUACAAAAAACGAAAAAGACAGAGCACCAAAAUCUGAAGUCUUUCCAUCAAGGCAGAGGAUUUGUGGGGCGUCCAAGAAGUCUCAUUGUUUCAACAAGUGUCUUCCUGAAUCUUUCAACAUUGAUUUUGACAUCCUGCUUAUCAAUAUAUAUAGCCCUGAAAGCCUGAUAACCCUGUGCCUUCAUGGAUUCAGGGUCGGCAAUCACAGGAUGAUUCGGAGCAUACAAAUCAUAGAGCGAGCUCUCUUGAGGUUCAAUUUUGUAUUCCAGGUAUUGCAAACCCAUGUCAACCGCUGGCCCGCCAAAGCAGGCAUUUCCAGGCCAAUCAAGACCCAGAGGAACCACCUGAAUUACCACAGCUCCAUUAGGCAAGAACAGUUCAUUUGUUAGCCCGGCACCAUGAACUCCAACAAUAACGCUGCAAUUGUUCACAACAUGAGCAAAUUCCUCAAAAUUCAUCAUCAUAUCCAGCGUAGCAGGAACAACUCGGAAGCCCAACUGCUCCAUAAGCUUUACCACCUCAACCUGAUUCAGGAUUUUUCUUGUUUUUGCACGCGACAGAAGCAGCAAUUUUGGCUUUUCCUCCUCAAUCAGCCGGGAGACAUUCUUUAUGUUGAAGUCAAAUGAUUUUACGAGGAAAUCCCUGAAUUCAAACAUGGAAUAACCCCCGGGAACGUCACUCCUGUUCAAAUACAAAUUGUCAUGAUACUUCAGCCCUAUCACUGCUCCUGGAAAGCAAUGAACGGUCCCAUUUGCAGUUUCAGCUGCAUUUAUAGCUUCGUAACUGGGCAACUGGGAGAAUAUUUUCUUGUAUUUGUUGAAAAACCAAUGCUGGAAAUCGGUAACCAUAAAUAUUACGUGGGAUCGAAAGUGCCUGCCCGUAAUGAACAGAGGAACAAGGACAUCGUUGAAUUCAUGGAAUAUGUUCCCGACGAAUCCACCAGAGGAGAAAACAUGGCCGGGGCGUCAUGAUAGUGAUUACAAGCAGGUGGAGUGGUGUUUCCAUGCUGUAUCUCAACAGGUGAAAUCAACUGGAUUGGCGCCUCAUCUCCUUUUAGUGCAUGCGGCCGAACUAUGUGUAUUGCCGCUGCCUGAUUGGCAUGUAUAUAAAUUUUGGAAGAAUUGGUAUCGAACCUUACUUGUUUACUGGAAACGUAGAUAUCAGAGUGUAAUUCAGAUGGAUAAGCAAAUCCAGUGUCUUCGAAUUGGAUCCUCUGCUCUCCUGUUUGAAAUCAUCAAUUUCACUGUAUAGGAUAUCGGGCAAGAUAAUUGAAAAUGUUUGGAUUCUGUUGGGCAACGAUACAUUCUCCUUUUUGAUCUCAGAUACUAAUUGCAUCCUAAGAAAAAAGCUUUAUGUAGUAGGCCCCAGGCACACAUCGGCCCGGUCCACGAACACAUCAGUCCGGCACACGAGCUCGGACAGGAGGAAGCGGACUGGGGCACCAGGUCAGCCCACGGGUCCAUGUGAGCGCCGCCUCUCAGGCCGAUGGGCCUGAUGGGCUGCGAGGUCCGCACCCCCAAGUCGCCUCGCGGAGCCCUAGGAACCGUUUCCUCCCCAAUAAGGACUCCUAGUCCUACCAGAAAACAAACACUGGAGACUCUAUAAAUGCCACCCGAAGGAAGAACACAAGGUACGCUACUGAUAGUACAAUCUCUACUCUUUUAUUUACGAGCCAGUUCUGACUUGAUCGUCGGAGUUGCUUCAGGGGACCUAGCCCCGCAGCUCGCUCACGUGCAGGUCGGACGUUCAACCAGCUCGUUCCUCCGAACCUAACUCAGUUCGGAUCAUCACUUCGGCAGUCGCAUCAAUUGGCGCCGUCUGUGGGAAACGUUUUCUUCUCUUUUUUUUCGCGAACAACAUGCCGAAAACUAGGUCUCAGAGGAAUGUGGAUGGUACUGAGGGGGGCGCUCAGGGCGGCCCCCAACCAGUUCACCAGGAAGCCGACACAGGGGAGGUAAGGGUCGAGCUCUCGCAGAUCUCGCCGGAACAACUGGUGCAGUCGGUUGCCGCGAACUUGCCUACCUUUGAGGCUAUUGUGACGUACCUGAAGGGACAAUCUGGACAAUCUGGUGCGGUGAAGGGACAAUCUGGAGUCCCUCCCAGUCCGGAGCGUCGGGUGCGAAAAACGGGCAGAACAGGGAGUUCGGAAUCUCGAUCUGGAAGCCCCAGGUCGAAGAGGGCGCGAAGGGAGAUUACACGCGAGCAGGUCCAGGUGCCAGAGCCCUCUCAUAGGAAUUCCCGAACUAGCCAUCCGGAGCCCGUUCUGAGGCUUUCUCGGAUGGAGAUCCCUCACAGGAAGGAGGAUUAUCAGGUCCAGGAUGAACUGGAUCUCCUGCUGGAUCCAGAGGCGGAUAGGUACACUGCAUCUCCCUUCAUACCGGAUAUCGAAGAUUACCCUCUGCCUGCCAAGUUCAAAAUACCAUCCAUGAAGUCCUACGACGCGACCACAGAUCCGGAGGAUCACUUGUUUGCAUUCCUGACUCAGAUGCGCCUUCAGACAGCUGCUGAUGCGGUCAGGUGCAAGACCUUUCCGAUGUUCUUGGAAGGAAAGGCCCGACAAUGGUUUCAGGGUUUGCCUCCCAGGUCAGUUCGGUCGUUCAGCCAGCUCGCGCGGCUGUUCGCGGCCCAGUUCGUUUCCUCCCGCGCUUAUUCCAAAACCACGGCUCAUCUGAUGACUGUCCAUCAGGGGCCCGAGGAGUCAUUGCGUGAGUAUAUGGUACGGUUUAACAACGAAUCCCUUCAGGUGCGGGACCGAGAUGACAAGGUGGUGAUGGCUGCCUUCGUCAACGGGUUGCGCAAGCAGAAGUUGUAUACGGAGUUCGUAGAAAGACCUCCCAAGUCCGUCCGGGAGAUGCUAGAUCGAGCCCACGAGAAGGCGAAUGCCGAGGAGGCCAACCGUCUGAAGGGCGCCCAGGAAAGGUUGCGGGAUGACAAGCGAAGGAAGGGUGCCAACCUGGGGGAGUCACGGCCAGGUCAGGACCGAAAGAGCGUAUCCGAGCGCUUACCUCGGAGCCGACCUUGGGAGAAGGAAAAGACCUGGACUUCGCUCACCGCGCCCAGGGCUCGGGUUCUGGCCGUGAUGGAACAUCAAGGGAUCUCUCGUCCUCCUCGGCCGCUGGGGGGCGACAAAACCCAGCGAGAUCAGGGUUUGUAUUGUGCUUACCACAGGGAUGUCGGGCACGAUACUGAGGACUGUCGACACCUUAAGAAGGAGAUCGAAAAACUGAUACGAAGAGGUCAUCUCGGACAGUUCGUCCGUGACGGGCGAACGGACCAGAAGCCAGGAGGGUUCAAGCGAGAUCGGACGGCCAGUUCGCACGACCGACCUCGAGGUCCUCGUGAUCGUACUCCGGAGCAGGGGGUUCAGAACCUAGCUGGAGUAAUCAACACUAUUGCACGGGGACCUGCUGGAGGAGAUAGCCACACGGCUCGACGAAACAACCGACCUCCCCCUAGCGGAGAAAGCUCGAGCAAACGUUUGAAGAUGUACGAGGAAAUCAUCUACGGGCCAGAGGACGCGGUACCCUUAGCCUCUAAUAAUCAUGAAGCGAUCGUGAUAGAAGUUAUCACGUGCAACUAUAAGGUAAAGAAUGUGUACAUCGAUAAUGGGAGUGCCAUCGAUGUGCUGUAUUACAAAACCUUCAAGGAAUUGCAGCUGGAAGACAAGCAGCUCAUCCCAGUUCGGACUCCCUUGAUAGGUUUUGCAGGUCCGCCGGUUAGACCAGAGGGAAUGAUAACCCUCAUGGUCACGGUAGGGGAGUCACCGAAGUGCCGAACUGUACCGGUGAAUUUCGCGAUAAUGAAGGAGCCGUCUUCCUACAAUAUGAUACUAGGGCGACCAACCCUCAACGCUCUCCGAGCUGUCUGCUCGACCCUACACCUUAGCAUGAAAUUCCCCUCGCAUGAGGGGGUGGCCGAGGUGGUGGGGGACCCGGAGGUAGCUCGGGCCUGUUACAUUGCAACCCUCAAAGGUAAGGAGAAACUGGUGGCCCAAACGACCUGUCUGGAGCCCUGGGAGCCUGCUGAAAAGGAAAAAUUGAAGGAGGAAAGGUUGGAGACGGAUGAGAGUCUGGUCGAAUUGUCGAUCUGCCCCGAGCGAACUGAUCGCGUGGUAAAAACCGGAGCAGGUCUGAGCGAGCUGACACGGAGAGCUCUGGAGUCCUUGCUGGAGGAAUAUGCCGAGAUCUUCGCGUGGAGCGCUGAUGACAUGCCCGGAGUCCCUCCCGAGUUGGCAGUUCACAGGUUGCACGUUGACCCAAACAUCCGGCCAGUGAAGCAAAAGAAGAGGAACUUCGCUCCUGAGCGCAACGAGGUCGUCAAGGAAGAGGUAGGCAAGUUGUUGGAGGCCAAAAUUGUGAAGGAGAUCUACUAUCCGACCUGACUGGCCAACCCUGUGCUGGUCAAAAAGGAGGACAGGGCCUGGAGAAUGUGCGUAGAUUUCACCGACCUGAACAAGGCCUGUCCGAAGGAUUGUUACCCCCUCCCUCGCAUCGACCAGCUAGUCGACUCGACCAUUGGGUACGAGAUCUUCUGCUUUCUGGAUGCUUUCAAGGGGUAUCACCAGAUAGCUCUGGACGAGGCAGAUCAGGAGAAGACUGCCUUCAUCACCGAAUACGGUACGUAUUGUUAUACCACUAUGCCAUUUGGAUUGAAAAAUGCAGGCGCGACCUAUCAACGGCUGGUCAACAAGCUGUUUAAAAACCAGAUCGGCCGAAAUAUGGAGGUGUACGUGGAUGACAUGCUGGUGAAAAGCCGAACUCAGGAGCAGUUCAUCAACGACCUCAGAGAAAUCUUUGACGUCCUACGGAGCUCGCGGAUGCGGCUGAACCCCAAGAAGUGCACCUUCGGGGUUAGGUCGGGCAAGUUCCUGGGGUACAUGAUAUCCAAGGAUGGGGUAAGAGCUAAUCCCGACAAGGUGAAAGCUAUCAUGGACAUGGCUCCUCCCCGAAACAUAAAAGAGGUCCAGCGGCUAGGUGGCAGGAUGGCGGCCCUGAACAGGUUCCUGUCGAAGUCAGCCGUUCGGGGUUCCCCCUUCUUCAGGGCCCUGCGAAGAGGUCCCCAGUUCGAAUGGACUCCCGAGUGCCAGCGCGCGUUUGACGAGCUCAAAGCCCACAUCGCACGCUUGCCAGCUUUGACCUCUCCCGCACAAGGAGAAGUCUUAUUCAUCUAUCUAGCAGUUGGGGAGGAGGCGAUCAGUGCGGUACUAGUUCGGGAAGAAGGUAAAAUCCAGAAACCCAUAUACUAUGUCAGUCGAGCUUUGCAGGGGGCGGAGCAGAGGUACACCUCAAUUGAGCGGUAUAUUCUAGCAUUGGUGCACGCGACCCGGAAGCUCAGGUCGUACUUGUAAACUCACCCCGUGGUGGUCAUGACCGACCAACCUCUCAAGCAAAUUCUCUCAAAGCCUGAUGCAUCAGGAAGAAUGGUAAGGUGGGCCGUGGAGCUGUCUGAAUACGAUCUCAGCUACCAACCCCCGCACGGCCAUUAAGGCUCAAGCAUUGGCGGAUUUCAUAGCCGAAAGAAUUUCCUUUGGGCAAGAACAGUUGCAAGCCGAGCUAACCAGUGGCGCAGUCAAGGCUGUGCAGGCCAGAGGAACUGUCGAGGUCGCGCAGGCCGCCGAGACCAAGUCGACCCAAGACGUAGCUGAGGCCAGGCAGGUCGGAGAAGCUGCCGAGGUCGUGAAAGGCACUCAGACUUCCAUGGCUGAACAGACCAUAGACGCAGUCGAGGCCAAGCAGGCCGAGGGACUUGCCGGGGUCGGACAAGCCACAAAGGAAGCCAAGGCCGAACAGGUCAAAGAGGCUGUUGAGGCUGAACAGGCCACGGGCCAGGUCGAUCAGACCAUCCCGACCUGGACACUGUUCGUGGAUGGAUCUUCAAGCAAGGACGGAUGCGGAGCGGGACUUCUCCUGACCAGCCCCUUGGGGGAUGAGUUGGCCUACGCCCUGAGAUUUGAUUUCAGAGCCUCCAACAAUGAGUCCGAGUAUGAGGCUCUGAUCGCGGGGAUGAUGAUAGCCCGGAAGCUGGGGGCUGAGUCAAUAGAAGUCUACAGCGACUCACAGCUGAUAGUCAACCAGGUCGGGAGAAGUUACGAAGUUAAAGAGGAGCCCUUGAGAAGGUACGUUGCCAAAGUACGUGAGCUGGAAACUCAGUUCAAAUUGUUCACGCUCAAGCAGGUGCCGCGAAGCCAAAAUAAGAGGGCGGAUGCACUGUCCAAACUAGCCUCCACCUCGGUCGGCACGUUGAACAAAGAGGUCUUGGUUGAGGUCGUUCGAAGUCGGGCGUAUGACCAGGUAGAUGCGGCGGUCAUCCAAGUAAUAAGCUCGUGGAUGGAUCCCAUCGUGCGAUACCUAGCUAAUGGGGAGCUCCCUCCAAACCGGGUGGAGGCACGUAGGGUCCUCCUCAAGUCGCAGGGGUACGAGCUCUCGAAUGGGGUGCUUUACAAGAAAUCCUACUUACGUCCGUGGCUGCGGUGCAUUACUCCAGAGGAGGGAAACUACAUCCUGCGUGAGCUGCAAGAGGGAAUCUGCGGAAACCACGUCGGUCCAAGGGUUUUGGCCAAGAAAGGAAUGCUGUCUGGGUAUUACUGGCCUACCAUCUUCGUGGACUCCGCCGAACUGGUAGCUCGGUGUAGGUCCUGCCAGCUGCAUGCGCCGAUCCAUCACGCCCCGACUCAAGAGAUGAUCCCUCUCCAGAGUCCUUGGCCUUUCUUUCAAUGGGGAAUCGACCUGCUGGGCCCUUUUCCCCGAGCUCCUGGGGGUUACGAGCACGUGGUGGUAGCAGUAGAUUACUUCACCAAAUGGGUGGAGACCGAGCCACUUACCACCGUUAGCAGCAGGUCGAUACAGAAGUUUCUUUGGAAAAACAUCGUCUGCCGAUUUGGUAUACCCCGUGCCCUGGUAUCGGACAAUGGGCGCCAGUUCGCUGACAGCGCCCUCCAAGGUUGGUGCUCGGAGCUCGGAAUCCGUCAGCACUUCACUUCGGUAGGCCACCCUCAAGCCAACGGACAGGUCGAAAAUGUCAACAGGACCAUCCUGCACGGUUUGAAAACACGGAUGGAGUUCGCCCGAACUGGGUGGCUGGACGAGCUGCCUACCAUACUGUGGGCUUACCGAACUACGCCCCGAACCGCUACCCAGGAGACUCCUUUUGCUCUAACCUAUGGAGUAGAGGCGGUGAUUCCUGCGGAGAUAGGUGUCCCUUCGGGCAGGGUUCAGAACUUCAUAGCUCGGGACAAUGAGGAUGAACUGCGCCUUAACCUGGAUCUGCUGGAGGGAAGUAGAGAGGAGGCGGCCAUACGCAUGGCUAAGUACAAAGGGCAGAUCGCGCGGCACUACAAUGCCAGGGUGAGGCCUCUCUCCUUCAAGCCGGGGGACCUAGUCUUGCGGAAGAAUAGCGUGAGCCGACUUCAGGGCACGGGCAAGCUGGGCCCGAAUUGGGAGGGUCCCUAUGUGGUGAAAGAAGCAGACCGAGCUGGAUAUUGCAAGUUAGCUCACCUCAGCGGGGAAGAGGUCCCGCGUACCUGGCAUAACUCCAAUUUGAGGAUCUUCCGGUAGAAAGACAGCUCGCGCAUUACCAGUUCAUUCCAAGGUCGAGAUCUUUCGUUAUUAUUUGAUGUACUUGGCUAAUAAGUUACUUUGUCUUAGAAAGUAAGCUCCUUUAGGUCGGCAUAGGGCCGAACUGAUGUACUCUGCGAUGAUCUUUGCAAAUAAGACUAAGUAUGAAACAAAGGAAUGGCUUUUUCAUUUCAUUAAAUAAACUUUACAAGAAGGUGCCCGGCUCGUACAAAAGGAAUUAAACAAAGGCGGAACGGAGCUCGUACAAAACGAACUGCCUACCUGCAGUUCGGACUCUAAGGCCCUACUCUAGUUCUCGCCCUCUUCUUCCUCUUGCUCGGAUUCAGGAGUGGUCACUGGCAGCAAGGGAUCGGCAACCAGGUCGGCCAACUUUCGUCCGUGCGUAUAGCCUUCCACCAGGCGGUCGAGCUGCUCCACGGCCAGGGGGUUGUAGUUGGGAAACUUGCCCAGAUCAAACCCAGGCAGGCCCAGCCUUUGCACCUCCUCCAGGGCCUGGGAAUACCCAUGCUGCAACACCGGGGUGUUCAGGAUGGCCAGGUCACCCCUGAAGUUCUCCGACCUAAGGAAGGCUCGCACGCCCUCCUGACCUCCCUCGGCUUUAGCCGCCUCUACCUGGGCCGAUAGCUCGGCCCCCUUUUCCUGCGCCUCCUUCAGCUGGGUCGACAGGUCGGAGUUCUUCUUGAGCUCUAGCUCGAAGUUUGAAUGGGUCAAGGCGAGCUGCUUCUUCAGGCCUUCGACUUCAGUGACGGCCGAAGCAUUUUGGCUGAGCAGCUUCUCGUUGGCUGCCUUGGUCUCAUUCAUCAGGGGCAGCAGACUCCCAUAACGCUGGGCCAGCUCAGACCCGACCACGUUCACUUGAGCCGUGCCCGUGUAGUAAUAGUCGAGGAGGUCGGAGGAGCCCAUGGCCUUGACCAAGUUGUGAUCGCGGGGAAGGAUGGCCCCAUGAACGAGCUCCCGGGCCACCUCGGGAAAUUGAGCUCGAUCGUUUAUGGAGAGCUUCCACUGGGGGCAGAAGUGCAUGGGGUGUGGAUGCGUGACCAGCCGAGUUUGGGGGUCAAAGAGCAGGAUGGAGCUCUGGCGUUGCCACAGAUUGGGAGGAGUUUCAGCUCGGGCCUGCUCCUCGGCGGUAUUCACCCCAUAGUGGCCGCCCGGACCGGGCUCCGGGGUCGACCUCUCCUCCUGACCUGGGGAUGAGGUCGCGUCCACCCUAGCCCUCUUGGCAGUCGUUUUCUUUUUCUUUUUCUUCCCAGCCUCAACAGGCUUAGAGGACUGGGCAGGAGCUGGCUGAUGUGGCGGAACUGGUGCCGAGCUGGUUGGGAUAGCCGAGGAAGGCUGCGUGGUGGCGCCCUGACUGCUGGCACCUCCAAUGGUCAGAAGGGAAGAAAAUCUCUUCACUACAAAAACAGAAGACCAGGAGGUCAGUAGAUGUAUAAAUAAAGAAGGGGAAAGAAGAGGAAGGUCGGGUCGUUUACAGGAGGUCAGUUCGUCUGGUGAGAGCGGCCUAGUCUCUAGCGAGGGAUCUGAGGGGUUAGCUCGGAUCAGCCCCGCCGCCCAAAGCUAGGCAUUGCUGAAUUCUUUCACUUCCAGCUUCUCGUCUGAGCUGAGUAGGCGGCUGAGCUCGGCUAUGGGGAGCGGGUCUGGAAGCAGAUCCGAAACCUGAGUCUCCGCCCUCCAGGUCAGAGGGGGAAAGCCCAGGUUCUUCACAAAAAAGAAGUAAUGCUUCCAGUCUUUGAUGGAGGAAGGUGCCCCCGUGAACAGCUCGCGGGUGGGGGUUUUUGCUCCACUUCUGCGGGCAAAGUAGAACUACCCAGGCACCUUUCCGCUGACCUUCAUCUGGAAGAAGGCCUGGAACAGGUCAUGAGAAAAGGGAAUUUCUAGGGUAUGGCAGAGGAUGAAGAAGCCUAUGAUGGAACGAACACCAUUGGGUAUGACCUGAGUUAUUCGGAUACCCCAAAAGGUGAGGAUGAAGAAGAAAAAAUCAGGGAUAGGCAGGCGAAGACCAGCUAUCAGCUGGUCCCUGUAGAUCGCCACGAACCCUGGAGGAGGUAGGCUGGCGACCUCUCCUGGGAAGGCUGCCCUGGAUUCAAAGAGGGCCGGGAUUUCGUACUUUUCGACUAGCGAGUCCACAUCUUUUUGUUUCAGGGCUGGGGAGAUAGUAUCGACUUCCCCGAAGCCGCCACUAGGUCUUCCCGAGGUCCCUGCUGCCGUUUGAGCUGGAGCUGCUUGUUCAGCAGCUCCGACCAGAGGCUGGGCGAGUGGGUUAGCCGGACUCAUUGCUCUAAUAGGAGACGAGGCAGGAGAACCUGCGAGUUCAGGUCCGGAAGAAGUAGAAGGAGAAGAGCUAGAGGGGUCUGAAGGGCUGCUAUCUAUGUUUAUGGGACUAGCCGCUCUAUGCCUAGGGGCUGAACUGGUGACGUCAGAACUAUCGGAACUGUAUGAAGACAUAAAAAAGAAAGGGAACUUACUAGUGGGAGGAGAUCGGAUGAAAGGCUGAUCUAAGGAUUGCGCGAACUGACUUUGGGCUCCUAAGACUGGGCGACCCGACGUGCUCUUGGGAGAAAGAAGAUGAGGCAGCGAAUUAACAAUGGAAGGAGCGAACUGACAAAAUGAAGGAAGGGGUGUGAAAAUGACGCCCAAGAAGCCUAUUUAUAGGCAAUUCACAUGGCGGGAAGACGAAGGGACGUUCAUUUAUUGAGCCGUUAUGGGGAACCGAUCCUAACCGUCGUAGCUGGCGGACGUGACGAUCGAGGUGACUGACGCGAAACGACGCAACGGUUGCGUGCACCACUCUCUGACAGGGGCCCCACACCGAGCUACCACGACGCACGAUCCGGAUGGUUGACAUGAACCGACGCGACGGUUGCGUGUACCACUUACAGGCGAGGGUCCCACACCGAGCUGACACGACGCCAAAAAGUCGGCUAGACUCACGCGCACGUUCGGUGACUCUAGACUAGAGGGGGGGCUAGUGUAGUAGGCCCCAGGCACACAUCGGCCCGGUCCACGAACACAUCAGUCCGGCACACGAGCUCGGACAGGAGGAAGCGGACUGGGGCACCAGGUCAGCCCACGGGUCCAUGUGAGCGCCGCCUCUCAGGCCGAUGGGCCUGAUGGGCUGCGAGGUCCGCACCCCCAAGUCGCCUCGCGGAGCCCUAGGAACCGUUUCCUCCCCAAUAAGGACUCCUAGUCCUACCAGGAAACAAACACUGGAGACUCUAUAAAUGCCACUCGAAGGAAGAACACAAGGUACGCUACUGAUAGUACAAUCUCUACUCUUUUAUUUACGAGCCAGUUCUGACUUGAUCGUCGGAGUUGCUUCAGGGGACCUAGCCCCGCAGCUCGCUCACGUGCAGGUCGGACGUUCAACCAGCUCGUUCCUCCGAACCUAGCUCAGUUCGGAUCAUCACUUCGGCAGUCGCAUCACUUUACAUUUAGGAUCUACAUAUAAGAACUAUUGUCUGUCUAUCAACUUAGAGAUGUAUUAAAAAAAAACUUUAAAAGAAGAAAGGGGAGGACAAAAAAAUAUCUGUCACUCAGAAAUCACCGGAAAAGGGAGAGUUCUUGGUCAUUGAUACGAUGAAUGUGGGAAGUAGUAAAGAACCUCUUCGUAGCCUUCUGAGAAGAAAUUUCAGGGGUUCUUGCUCUGGUGCACCUUCAUCCAACUUGUUCUCAAAGCCAAGAUUACCAUUCCAAUUUGCUAAAUUUGCCUUCCCUGUAUAUCAAAAAUGCUUUUGACAGAUCAGAAUUGAUAAAUAUGAAAUGACUAGCCACAUUUUAACAUUAUGCCAAGGUUGAUUGAUAUGCCAAUCUGACGCUAAGAAGAAAAGCUAAUUAAAUUACAUUGAUCAAGCUGGAAAAAUGCACAAUAAACCAAGGGGAGAAUGAUUAGCAAGCUGAUCAGGAAACUUGAGAGGCUGCAAGCCUGCUUCUUUGACUCCUCCAUUCUUCUUCAAGUUUCAAUAGACUUUUCUCUACGAAUUAAAAUGCACACAUUAUCGACUAGCCUGUUCUUCUCAAUAUUACCAGUUGGCAUUACCUUUCUUCUUCUUCUUCUCAGUUUCCCAUCUUGCCUUGGUUCUACAAUUUUAAUUCUCAAUUAUUCUGAGGUUGGUGUAUAUAAUACCAGGUUCGUGGCUGGACUGUAAGGGCAUGUCUGUUGGGUUCAGCAGGUUACAGGCCGGAGCUUUUGCUCUUCCAAUCUUUUUACGAUUUUUAAAUUGAGCAAAAUCAGAGGAAGUCAGGGGGGCAUCUUUCACCUAAGAAUUUAAAUGGUUUUUCCAUAGAGCAUCUAUCUAGACUUAGCACAGAUUACAUCGUCGAACAAGCACAUUGACACUAUUUUAUGCUCACCUCUUUCUCCCAUAUAUCUCAUUUCUGAUAUGAACAAGUCAUUGGGCUCAGGCACAGAUUGAAAGGGCAGCUAUACUCGUGGAUCAUUUGGCUUCAUCACCUACGUACUUCGACAUGACACUGCAACGACAUUAUUAGUUUAACAGAACUGCAAUAACAUGUAUUCGUUUGUUAAGCAGUAGUAAUAUUCUAUCUGGGAUUAGUUCAAUCCAGGAUUUAAAGACGCCUCGUGCAUGAACACACGGGCGUUCCUCCUCAAAUGGCUUAGAGUAUGAAUUUAUUGGACAGCCUUCGUGUUUAUUCUGUAUAAUCUAUUUCUCCCUUUAAUCCAACAUGCUGCAUAGUACAGCUGUCGGAUUCCUUGACGAGAAGCAAUUUUAUGUCUUUUUUUUUUCCUUAAUUGCAAAAUGUUUAGCAUCAGCGAUGACAAUUGAGACGAGUGCUUGCAAGCCGCGAGUGUCCACCCCAUAGGAGGAGGAAUGGGGCAGGGAAGAGUGAAUUUUUCUCAGCCCUCCUCCGCCUAAAUUGUAACAUAGUAUAAUAUCUAUGUAUGUUUUUAUAUAUAUAAUAUAAAAUAAAUGGUAUGUUAUUGUUAUUGUAUAAAUAUAUUUAUAUGAAUUAAGUAACAUGUUUUGUUAUUAUGAUACAAUGAUAUAAUAUUUGGCUAAAACUUCAAAAAAAAUUAUUAAUAAAAUUAUUAUUAAAUCUAUAUAAAUAGAAAAAAUUAAUUAAAUAAAUAAUAAUAAUAAUAGUGGGGUGGGCCGGAUGCACCCGUGAAGUAGUGGGGCGGGGACUGGGGACCGGUGAAACUUUUGCAGUGGGGCGGGGGGUGGGGGCAUGGGGAAGCUUGGUCAGUCCCAAAACCAUCCUCCCAUCCCUGCUUAGUAUCCAUCUGUUUGGUUGGCAGAGGCCAGCAAAGGAAUUGCCAGGUUGCUGAUUUUUGAUUGACAAUUAUGGAAAUAACUUUACAGCCAAAUUGGCUGGUUUGCGUCCAUUCCGCAGCCCCACCUCCAAAAGCUCUCGCUUUCCUUUCUCACACCAUACACACGCGCACACGCAAGCCCCCUCCCCGCCUCCCUGCUCCCUUGGCGGGUUUACGAGCCUUCGUCACACGCAAAACCUAAUAAAAGGCUAGCCCAUAUUCUCCUGGGCCAUAGCCCGGAGUUUGUCCAACCCAAACUUCAAAGAAGAAUGAGUGGAUACAUCAAGAUUCUAGCUCUGCCAGGCAAAACUUGGGCCAAACUCAAUUAAGAAGUACACCGACGCCAACUCAAUUGCUAGCAAUAGAUCACUUCUUUUGAGAAAGCAGUUGUGUAUAUUUGAAUUUUAUUGUCGAUGUGAAGACUAUGUAUACAUAUGUGUGUGUAUAUAUAUAUAUAUAUAGUCUCGAGAACUUGUUACCGUGAUCGCGAUGGAACUGCAUCUUGUGAAAACAAAUAAUUACGUUUCUAUUUCACACACAUUUAUUAGAAAGAAAAUGAUACGGUAAAACUAUCUUCAAAAAAAUUUUUUUUUUUUGAGGAAAUCAUAAAAACUCUUUCUAAAACAGCCAUGUCAAACCAAGAAAUUGCAGAUAUUGGGGUGUGCUAUUUAUUUGAGGUCUUGCAAUGCCAACCCAUGAUUGGAGCUGGGCUUAGGGUACAGUGAAGUUAAAUCUCUAUAUGUGGUACGAACAAAGGAAAAAAAAUAAAAAAAUCCGUGCAAAGCAGAAAACGUACAUUCUACAGAAAAAUCUUUAUAGGCAUGAAUUGAGAGGCAAUAUCAUGAAAAAGCGAGAUGAAGGUGCUGCGUGAGCGGGCUCGUUUUCAAUCUGGAUGGACGUUCACAAGCCAGUAAGCGCAAAAUGGAAUCCGAGAUUCAAAGCAUAGAAAUGUCACUAUUAUUUCCCAGGGACGACCACUUAUCCAUCAAAUAUAAUAAAAAAGUAAAGGGCUUUAUCUUUUACAAAUUACGGAAUCUCAACUGAUACCGAUAAAUGGAGAAGAACAUUCAAAAAGACCAAAUCUUGAAAGGGAAAUGUACAGCUCGCAGGAACAUUCUUCACAAUUUCAACAGCUCAUCGUAUUCAUGGUAACUAAGAAAUGGUGGAUCCAAUAAAAACGACUUGGGGAUUUUUAUUGUGGUUUUCAGAGUCAUAUCAACACUAUUCCCCUAUGAGGAGUCGCAAUUGAAACAUAUAGUGGCCUGCUCCGUGUCCCCGGAUCCCUUCAGAUUUGACGUCGCAAAAGGAAAAGAUAUGAUUUCACAUGGUGCAAACGGAUUUGGCUGCAUACGAAAAGGGCAAGAAACUUUUACUCGAAAGUUUGAGUACUAAUUAAUUAAAACACAAAAAAGAAUACUCGAAUGUGAUCUAGAAAGCAUCUAACAUGAAUAAAUUUGAGAGGAAAAGCCCAACAAAAAAGAAGAAGAAGAAAGAUUAGUUUUGCUUUUCCAGUUGAUCCUCUCUAUAGUUGUGUUAAUACUAGAUUCUCUGCCGCAAAUUCAGAUCAUCAUUUGAUCGGAUUAAAUUACCUGUGUAAUUAAUGUCCAGUGUUUUCGCGAUAGGGCUGCAAACGAGCCGAAUCGAGUCGAGUUUUGAGUUAAUUGAGCCGAGUCUCGACUAAAUUUUACCAAACUCGAACUCGAGCUCGAGCUCCACGAGCCAGCAAUUUUCGAGCUCGAGCUCGACUCUAAUCAAGUCGAGCCGAGCUCGAGCUCGAAACAAAUAAAAAAAUAAUAUUUUUAUAUUUUAAAAAAAAUAAAUAAAAUAAUAUUUUUUUAAAUAAAUAAUAAAAUAUUAAGGAUAUAUACGUAAUUUUACUAUAAAAAUAAAAAAUAUAUAUAUAUAAUAUACAUAAUUUUAUUAUUAAAUAAAAAUAAUAUAUAUAUAUAUACUCAAACUCGCGAGCCGGCUCGCGAGCUAACGAGCUUAAUAUUCUGAGCUCAAGUUCGAGCUCGAAUUUGACUUGAGCCGGCUCGAGCUCGACUCGAGCUUGACUCGAGCGGCUCGAUUCGUUUGCAACCCUAUUUCGCGAGUAUCAAAUGCAUGACUUCUUGGUGAAAACUCGUGGUAUAAUUAUGUUCAUACCACAAACAAAGGGAUAGUUUGAUCGUUAUGAAAAAAAAAAAAAAGAAGAGGUGAUUAAUGCUGCAAAAUGUUAAUCACACUUUGCCCCCUUAGCUUUCGGGUUAGUCACACUUUACCAUCUUAAGCUUUAAAAGUAUAAAAAUUAGCCAAAGUUAGAAAUUCUUGAUUCCAUCAAAAAGAAAAAUGCAAGUGUAAUGACAUUAUACAUUUUUUAGCUAUGAAAUUAUUAGUAUUUUACUAUUAUUGUCCCUUUAUUGCUAAAAAUAUGCAUGGUCAAUGCAAUAUCCACUAUACAAAAAUAUCAAAUUGAUAAAAACAAAAUAAAUAAAUCAUUUCUUACUCAUAUUGGUCAUGUUCAUGUUUUAAAUAUUUUAGUCAGUUUAUUAUAAUUUAAAACGAAUAACAAUGGCGAUCACAAUAAAUAUUAGUUAGCAAAACUUUGGAAACAUAGCGCAAUAUUUAGCUUGUUAUUUUUUAAAGAUAAACUCGGAAAAAAAAAGGACAAUAUUUUCAUAGGACUUACUUAUCUUUUCGUGGAAUUAAGAUUUGUAAAGUUGACUAGUCCUCUUAGGGUGUAAACUAGCGUACACUUUUAAGAGAUUUAGGGCGUUAAAGCGUGAUUACUUCCAAAUCUCGGGGGGAAGAGGGUAAAGUGUGAUUAACCCUAUUGCUAAGUAUACGUUCCAUCUCUGCAUUAUUCUGUCUCUGUAUCAACAAGAACAGGGUAAAAUCCCGGAAUAAGAUUUUGGACGGUUAAAACCUCGUACUGACACGCGUAUCAAAUAUAUUAGCUUUAUCUGCCAAGUCAGCACCAUUGCAAACCGUUUUUAAGUCGUAGCCUCCAAGCAGUUGCAUCGACACCGCAGAAUCGUAGUUGGAUUACUUGGAAAAGCGGGCAACAUCAUGAAAGUAGUCGUUCUUUACCUCCCUUGAACUUGAACAUCAUAAUGGUUAGAAUUUCGAAUGAUAAAACCUGCACUCCAUGAAUUUAUAAGCGGAAAAGCAUGCGACUAACAUCUAGCCUUUGCUAAUUCAAACUUUUGCCCUUGACAGCAAAAAAAGAACAAAGAAAGAGCAUGCAGCUACACAAACAAAAGGGCUGAAGGACCUUUUCCAUUUUUUUCUGAAUUAAUGCACCUUGCAGCCUUCUUUUUAGGUAGCGGUGAUCAUGAAAAAUGGAGUACCAAUACAGCAUCAAGACGUCAUUUAUAUUAAAAUAAAAUACUUACAUUAUAUACACAUAGAUUCAACCUGUACCUGCAAACUUUAUCUAAUUCAGUAAUUUGAAAUGUGCUAUUUGUUUCUUCACGAGUGUCGUCGUGUCCAAUCUGACACAAAUUAUAUGUAGAUGAUGGAUAAGAUCCUCCUCCAUACGUCCUAGGUAAAUUAGCCACCUCUCUAAGGACGGCAAGAAUUUUGGCACUUUAAAAACUACCAACCUAGCUAGUUGGCAGAAACAAUGACAGACCUUUCCUAAGGUUUUGGAGAAACAUGAAUAGAAAAUCACAUGCACAUCCCAAAAGGCCGAGCCCAAUAAUAAAUAUCAGAGGCCACCAAAUCUUACAUCAGGAACUUUGGGAGAAACAGGAGUAUGUGGGGUGCUGCGGGUGAUCAAAAGGCUUUGUGGUAAAGCUCAUGAAUUUUCUUCGAUGAGUCUUCUCUUUGCAUCUUCAAUUGCCCAUAGAAGUUCCCAAUAAAUGUCUCGGCCUUAUGAAAUAGCUCCUGUCCACUAAGCUCAUCCCCAACAGCUUCCUGUUGAUCAUCAUCUGAACUAAAAUCUUCUACUUCAGUCUCAGCACCCGCUAUAAAAAAUAGGCUUGGUGUAGAAGGGCUUUUCUUGACAACCUUCUGAACCUUGACACCUGCAACAAUCUUCUCAGACGACAACUUCUCGGCCACAUCAGGUUUUUUCUUGGUUUUUGUAGGCUCAGAUUCAAGAAGCAUUGCCUUGGCGUUGGUGGUGGUGUUAGCAGAUAUUUCUUUAUCAUUCGGAGAAUACUGAUCUGAAGGAAUUAUUAUCUUAGCUUUUUGUGUUUCAUGACUUGUAGAAGGAGGAGAUUUCUUGUCUUCUGCUGCUUUGAGAAUGAAGGAAAGAAGGCCAGCUUCAGCACCAAGCGCGACGAUGAGAAGAUUGAAAACAAAGUAGAGAUAUGGAGACCUCAAUGAUGUAGAUAAGAGAGGCGUGACGCUUAGGAGAAUAGCUAUGAAACAAAGCUUUAGAAUUUGAGACUUCUUAAACUUGUCCAUGAUCAAUAAAAAUACGCUUAGGAAUAUGGACACUAUGAUGUUGUUUGUGUUUGUGUAAUUCCUUUGAACAGAGAGUGAAUGGCAGUAGAUGCUUUAGUACGGUGGAGUGGAAAUGUGGAGGGGCCUAUUGAUUUAUAUACACAGACGCAGGAGUGAAAAUCAGAUUAAGGGGGCGGGUUGGAAGAAUGUUGGUUUGCCUUUAUCCUGAUUCCCCAUGAAAAUAAAUUAAUACUCCUUGAACAGAAUAACGUGCAAUCCAACAAAAAGAAGCAAAUAAAAUUCCGAAAAGACGAAACAAUCAGAACAUGGUAGAAAAACUUGCUUAGUUAUGGUAGGGUUACACUGGAGCCCGGAUCCUUUCUUGUCUUUUAGGGUUUAAUUAAAUCCUGGAUAUAGAGCUUUAGUGGUUGAUAUAUAAAAGAGAAUUGUUCGAACUAUAUAUAUCCUCCCACAAAUCUUCCCCAAACUAAUUUAGACAAAACCGUGCACUCAUAUUUGCCUAGUGCCACCAAAAGCUGUCCUCCCCUGAAACCUGUCAAGUAAUCAUGAUGUGGUGGGAUGGAUUAAUUGAUAACCAACUAGUAUAUUCUAGAAUUUAUGUGUGUAAAAGGUCUAAAUUAAUCUUUCGUACGUUACAAUGCAUAUAUAUUAUUGGGUUCAGAUACACAUCGUACAUGAAAAAUGUGAAUUUCAAAUUUAAAUUAAAAUUAGUUAUCGGGCAUCCAAACCUAAUGGCUUCUACAUUAUUAGCAUAUGGAAAAUUAAUCCAAAAAGUUGUUACUACUGUACAAGGAAAUCUCAGUUUAUUUGCCUGAAACUUGAAUAUAUCUUAGACUAGGCCUUGCCAACCAUAGAGGACAAGCAACUAUCCUUAGGGAUGGCAAUGGAAAUGAGCCCUGCUCCAUAGAGGGAGGAAUGAGGUCGGGGUUAGUACUGUGGGGAUGGGAGAGGGGCAAUUUUUCUUCCCCCGCAUGAAAUGGGACGGGGCGGAGGAGCAAUCCCCCCGCCUCACCUAGUGUCUGUAUUUUAAUAUAGUAUAACAUAUGUGUAAUAUGCAAUAAAUAUUAUGUUAUUGUUAUUAUACAAAUAUAUCGUAUGAAAUAAAUAACAUGUUACGGGUUUGACUUAUCAAGGAAAUAAAUAAGAAAUCACUCUUGAUCCUUUUUUAAUUUUUUUAAAAAAGAAAAAAAAUAAUAAGUAACAUGUUUUUUUGUUAUGAUAAAAUGAGUAACAUGUUAUUUUGUAAAAAAGGGUCUAUAGAAGACAUUAAUCUUUCUAAGGUGCCUUCCUUGCAAUGCUCGCCGGUAAUUCUUCUUUGUGCAUCAAUAAAAAAAUCUGAACUUUGUGGUAGGUUGCAUGGGAGAUGUGGUAUAAUCUGAACUUUAUCAUCGUCAACUUCAAGUAAGGAGAUUUUGAUUCUGACUUACGUCAUCAAGGAGACCAAAGAACAAGCGAAACCGGGAAAAGUUCAUCUGAGUCGGACUAGACAUUUUCAUACGAUAAGGUCGGUGGGAAAACGGACUGAUUAUUCUCAUUCCACUUGAUCAUUCCCCUUUUUGAUUUUUUUUUUUUCUGAUUUUUGGAGAACGCAAAGGCAAAGGCAGGCAGCUCUUCUACUCUUGUCCACUAACUUACUUCAACCGGCCGGCGGCGUUUUUACCGAUCCAGUCGCCCUUUUUCCUGUCGUAAGAAAUCCAGAUGCGUGAUCUUUGCCCUGGUCCCAAAGUAGCUUAAGUUUUCCGAUGGAAUCUCUUAUCUCUACGACUAAAAGCCCACUCGAAGAAUUGUCAUGCUCGCAGUCGUGGUAGUGGAGUCCCCGCCACAAAAUCCGAUUAUACUUUUUCCUUUUUUUUUUUUUCCCAUUCUACGGCUCUGGGCCAAUUGGGCCAGCAGGCGGAAAAUUUUACCAAGUUGACGGUCCAGGCAUAAUCUUCACCUUUUUUACGCUUUUCUUUUCUUUUUUUUUUUCUUUUUUUUCUCUUGUUUGCUAGGUUACUUGAAUUUCAGAAUAUUGUUUGGAUGAGCUUUUCAGAUUCACUUGCAGGCAUGUCCGUUCAAAUUGUUCCGGGGGGUUUUUGCUUGCUCCGGUUUUGUUUCUUUCCGAGGAUUUCGCUUACUCUCUAAGGCUUUAGCUUAUUAGUUGGAACUUGGAAACUGAUUUGAUGAGAUAAACGAAAGGAAAGUACAAUCUUUGACACUCGCCUGUUCUCUGUCCCACUAGAGAUGUAGGUGAUAAACAGCAGAGACCGAAGCUUUUGGCAAGAAGACACAAUAUGUUGUCAUCCAUUUGGAUAAACUUGUCCGAGGAUCGGCUGAGUAGCUCUAGCAAUCCCAUCUCAUCGGAUCGGACUUUUUGAAGUGAAAAAACCAACUGGCAUUUGUCUCUAUUAUGUUUUAUCUGAUCCACAUUAGUUUAUCUCUCCCUAGAGUUGCGUUUAAGCAUUUUUGCUCUCUUUUUUGUUUUUUCCCUUUUUUUUUUCCAACUAUAUCGAAAGUCGGUUUCGAGCAUGCACCGUCCUGAGGAGUGAGUGGUACCAAGUAAAUACCCCAUGAGCCUAAGAUCGAUAAGGUUUCAAGUAGCACUAAAAAGUACAGCCCUGAUCUGCCAUGGAAAAUAAAACCAGCAUAACCUUUUCGAGGUUAUCAUCUCCAAUCCAAACUUCAGUAACAUGCAUAGCAAAAGAUACUUCACCAAAUAUGACCGUCACCUCACUUUGUUGCAAGGUAGCCAAAUUGGCUUUACUUUUAAUGGUUCAAUGAACCGAAGAAUUGUGCAAUUGUAAUGACAACUAUCACCUGCGAAUCAGUUGACACCUACUUAGCAGCGAAACCAUCCCAACAAUAGAACCUAAACAGUUACAUGCAGACGAACGUUCACUUGCAGGCAUUCACUUUUGGAAGAUACAAAAAAAAAAAAAAAAAAAAGUUACUUAAAACUGCCCGAGGACAAUAGUCACAAGAUAAAUAGAUGCCGAAAAGCUAUAUAAUGCUGAACUAAGCUCGAUUAACAAUAAUACAAGGAGGCAAAGAAUCCUUGGAGGCCUAAAUCAAAACUCACUUUGCUGUCCAGGAACAUGCUACACAUCAAUUCUACAUCUCAUCUAAUUGAUGAGGAUGAAUUACAGGGGAUUAGCAUCGACAACAAUCUAACAACUAUAUAUGUCACUGAGUCAAACCUGAAUCAACAGUAGAACUCAUUUCUCACCAAGUUGACUAUGUGUACACAAAUACAAAUGUUGAGAAUUGCCUCCAAUUCCACUGGAUAUUCUUUAUCUAAGAUCUUAGAAAAUGGAUACCAUAACACAGAAUACAAAUGACAUUAUAUAUGUUACUUGUACCGAUACACAGUUUCGAUCACCCACACCCUCUAAUGACCCCACCAUGCAAAAUUUCCCAAACCGUGUCUUAAUGAGCGUAUCUUCCACCACAAAGGAUCCGAUUCCUAACUCCUAGCUCUUUCCUUUCUACUUGAAGCGACCAGUCAAGCUGCAGCCUGAACGAAUCAGAAAGUACAAAAGCCUCUUAUAGCACUUGGCUCUGAAGAAUCACCAGCACCAUUCUAAGCAGAGCUACUCAGGAGAUAGGCUACCACACAUCCAAGCAAAGCACCAGCAACAACCUGUACCACAUAAUGUCACUAUGAGAAUUUCUUUUUUUUUUUUUUGUUGGGGGGGGGGGCGUGGGUGGGUUGGUGGGGUCAAGCUAUCCUCUUGCUGUAGUACAUAAUAUUUUAAGAACCUAAAAAGCUGGACAGUGUGUUAAUCGCUGCAAUUAAGAAGACAGUGGUAUACCAUGGAAGUGACUCUGAAUGGUACCGCUCAUCAUGAUAUCACUGCAAGGAACAUUAGCCACAAUACCUCUAUAUGGGAAUAAUAGUGACACACUAAAAAGAUAAAUUCAGUGGACAUCAAUGCAUGUAACCCAAAUAUAAACCUCAGGCACAAUAUGGGUAUCACAGUACUUAUUUUCUAGGUAAGUACGCUGCAACAUAAGUGGCGCAUCAUUGAGAAUUAGAUAUUAAAUAAUUAUGUAAAUUUCAUUAAGAGAAUAUUAAAACCAGCAUUAACAAGCCGAGAAGGCCUUGGUCUAAUUGCUAAGGUUGAGACCUUAGGAAUUAGAGGUCCUAGGUUCAAAUCCCCCUGCCCCCUUCCCACUUCUUAAGUCCCACCUCCCCUGCUGGGAACAAAUUAAAAAAGAAAAAGGAAAAGGCAGAAUUAACACCCAAAACAAACAACCGCAGUUUACAAAGAACCCUAAUGGAGGACAGCAUUGGGUGGAUUUAUAUGUCCAGCAACUAGUGAAAGGCACUAACUCCGUUCUCGAGCAUAAUAUUAAACAACAGUAGUGUUCCAAACACAGAGUCAAUGUUCCAGAUGAAUAAAACAGAGCUCAGCAAGUAUAUCAGUAAAGGCUGCUCACAGAUGUCCAGCCUUCAAUGACCAAACCAUGACCCCAAAAGGCAAAACCCACAUUUAAAAGAAAAAUAAAAUAAUUAAAAGACAGUAACAAGCAAUCAGUCUCUGUAUAACUUAAGAAUAAGUAAAGCUAGAGGAGUUUUUCUGCAGUCAAACCUGGAAAGGAGUGUGACCAAGUGAAUCUCGCAGAGGCCUAACAUUAGCAACAGGAUGUUCAGGGGGCAAUUCACAAACUAUCUGAUUCAAUAACUGCACAAACGAAAGGUCAAACUAUAUAAUCAACAAAAAGCAAGAAAAACAACUUGGGUAGACUCCUGAAUACAACAUGCAUUGUAUAAGAAGCCAUAUGAAAAGUUUCUAGUAAAUAGGAUAACUCAUACACACAAUUCAAAAUGUGCAUACCCAUCCAAUGAAGAAUGUAACUAAAACACAAAAGACAGUAAAGCUCAUAAACAGUUAAUGAAGUUCAUAGGGAGAGACACUAAUAAACAGUUAGCGAAGGAUCUUUGAAUGCAAAAGGUAAAAUCUUACUUCAGCCUGCCGACCGGCAUGAAGCCUAACACCAGUAGCAUCAUACAUUACCUGAAAUAAAUGCAAAAAGAAAUAACUGAAAAUGAUUGCUCCUUGUUAAACUAUCCAAAGCUCCAAUAAAGAAAGUAGCUACUGCAGCCUCAACAAAACAAAGAACCCAACCAGAGAGCAAGUGAGAGCGAAUAUGAAAAAGGAAAAAAGGGAGCUAUUUGCCGGAGAUAUCAGGACCCUAAGUUAGUUGGUUAAAUGGAAUGGUGUAUGUUUCUAAAUACUAUCAAGUAGAUUCGAUUGAUCCGCCAUCUGAGAUAUAAAACCAUCUCAGUUUCCCACUACAAAACCUUAUUCCGUCUAGAAUAAACACAUUAUGGUUGAUGUUGAAGGGGUUUGGUUGCCCACUGACCUUCCUACUUUAAAUAUUACUGAAGCAUUUUUGAAGCUAUGUAAUACAAAUGUAAAAGAAUGGAGAAAACCUGGUUUAGAAAGUACAUACAACACAUGCCAAAACGACCGCAAUGGCAAAAGCAGAUGUUCCCGCUCCAUCUUGCAAACCUAUUGCUACAGCAAGAGCAGUAACAGUUGCUGAAUGUGAUGACGGCAUUCCACCAGAGCUAAGCAUCCUUCUCGAAUCCCAUUUCCUCUCCUUGAACCUGGAAAUCAAAUGCUUCAAAGUUACAAGCACGAAAUGAAAGUGACAAAAAAAAAAAAAAGGCAAGCUCCAAAAAAGGCACCAACAUGGAAAGCAAAGAACCUUUAACUAAUUUCCGUCUUUACCACUGACAGUCUAACAUUAACACCCCAUCGUCCCAACUGAAAUCAUAGCGUCACUCAUUAGUAGUUCCAUUAUCACUCCAGGGUUCAUUAAAUAAGCAGACACAUUUAAUGACAAAAUUCAUUAUGUCCUUUGUUCCUCCUGAAGGAAGUCAUCAAAGACUCUGCACAGACUUAAGCUUCUCAAAUCACUAAACAAAGGCAACUGAUCUCGGUUCAACUCAAGCUCAAUAUAAUUAGGUAUAAAAUUAACAAUUUACCCUUCAAAAAGUUUUCACAGGGAAAGUGGAAAGUACAGCACCAGCCCUUAAAUAGAAAUACUUUGGGUCAACACGCCACAUAACACCAAUAAACUUGACAAAGCUAAAGAUAUUUCCCUAUUUCAACCGAAGCAACCCUUUAGUCAUUCCAAUUUUAACAGAAAAUCAAGUACACUUCAACAACUACAGUUUCCUAAAACAGCAUUAAUUAACCAAGCUAAAAUUUCAGAGUUAAAGAUAGACAAUCAGAGUAAAGUUAAAAACUUUUUCUCUGUUAUCAUAUGAGACCAGUUAAAUCAACAGCUAAAAGGAAAAAAAAAACAAAUCAAGAAUAUCAGAAUGCAAUACCAAUGGGUAAAGAUCUUGAGAAAUUGGGCAACAAGACAAGCGAGGAAAGCGGAGACAAGGGGGAGAUUGGAGGGAUAAAUGGAGUGUGGAGAUGAGUAUGGGCGUAAGCUGGAGGAUGCAUCAGCUGCCGUCAUUACUUCGUUCAUUUCACCUUUUGGAUCAUAAAAAUGUGGAAGUUGCAGGUUGACUUAGGGCUUAUAAUCUAGAGAAAACUACGUCGUUGAACGUGGAUUCGGAUCCCGGAGGUGGAGACGUGGAGUUUUUUGGGUCUCGCUUUCCAAUUGGAGGAAUUCGGUCAGGGGCGUCGCGGGGGAGGGUGGUGGUGAGGACUCACGCGGGCACCUGCCCGGGCUAAGUAAAUUGUUGGUUCCAACUUCCAGCUUGCGAGGAAGAUGGGAAGAAACCGGUAGCUGGAAUCUUCACCGUCAAGUAUAGAACUACUAUUACAGUAGUAGCAUCCUAAUUUUUUAUUAUUAUAAUUUUUGGAUCCUUGUUCAAUUUGUUUGAUUUAUUUGGAUUAAAUUAAAAAUAAAUAAAUAAAUAAAUGGGUUCUUUAGCCGGGCUGGGCUUUUGAGUCUCCAAUCCUGGACCAAUUCCAGUUGUCUUGGGCUAAUAUUUAAAUUGAGAAAUGAACCCCGUGUGGCCCAAAAGUUUUGCUAACGUUUCUUCUUCUCCCACCCAAGCCAUGAUCCAGUAGCUUACCAUGUCUAUAGGAUAUUCAAAUUGUUAAUUGUUAGCUUUAGGAAUUUGAACCAGUAAAUGUAGCAGCAUUAGCUGACGAGGAGAACAAGCUCAUUUCUCAAAUAUACGAGAAUGACCGGAGCCUUGUCCCCUGGUCUCACUUUGUUGAAGUCAGUUAUAGGUCGGAAAUUAAAGGUACGAGCAGUUGAGUGGUUGGUAAUGUGUACCUAGCAUCUAGCUGGUGAGGAGUAUUUAUAAGGGAAAAUUCAAUUGAUAGAAUUUGACACCUACGACUAAUUAAUUAUUAGAUGAUAGGCAAUGGAGGCGGAGUCAGGCAUAUUUUUAAUCGCUCGGACGGUGGGUGGUUAUAUCAACAUAUCAAUCACUAGUCACCUUUAUCUAUUAGGGUGUUAGAAUUUAUAACCGUGCUCGAGGUAAGAGUGAGGCUGAAUCAAUUUUUUGAGAUGAUUUUUUACCUCGGGAAGGUGAGGACGAGAUACUUGGAGAAACUAAAGGGCCGGGAUAAUCACCUCGGUAUAGAACUGCCCAAGUGGUGUCCACAGUAGUCGAAUACAGAAGUGAAUGGAUGGUUCAUCAAAGAGCUGCCCUCGUUCUUAUUUUUUGGUUUUUGUUUCAGUUCAACAAAGUUCUUGGUAAUUAACUUUGCAAGAUUCUUGGCAAGGGGAUUAUGGAUCUCUACGCCACCGACAGAGCGGAACUAUACCCCCGCCAAAAAAAAAAAAAAGUUAUGUCAAAAAACCGUACGAUAGAAAGUGGAGGUCUUUUAAAAUUGUGACGCAUGGCAAGACUAAAGUGCUGUGUACAGUAAAAUGGGCCAAAGCUGAAAGAAAAAGAGAGACCCAUCCAUUGGCGUUACCCUUCGUGGUUUGCCCGGUGGUAGAAUGAUUGUCAGUGAACGUGAUGUGGAGGUCCCCCCGUACGGUACCAAAGCUGUUGGAGAAAGUCUGUUCACUCCCCAAUACCCUGUGCGACGUUGAGUAGAACAGAACGACAGCCUGCGAAAUUUCCCCUUCUUGUCCUGUGGCCUCGCUCAGACUGACAUGAUGCCUUUUCAACUGCAUCGGAUAACCAUUGUCAUGUUCGUGAAAGACUUUUUUGUCAUUCCAAAUUUUGGGUACUUACUACCUGGUACAACAUUUCUAUUUGAUGCAGCCAACUUAUACCACAUCUAAUUUUCUUAGUACUUUGGGGGGAAAAAAAAUCCAAUUUUGUUUCUCCUUACCUCGACUUUUCUUAGUUCGGUGAUUUUAGUUGGCAUUGGAUUGAAAGAUUCUGAUUGAUUUGAGCAUUUGGAAGUCCAUUUUUUUAAAUGGUAAUUGUAGCAGUUCUUAGCUCUCACUAAAAGGUAAGAACAUGAUAGCAAAAGAUGAGGCCUAAAUGCUAGACACCAUGUUUUGAUCAUGUAACAUGCCUAGCUAGUUUUGAACGUUGUGGUUAAUAGCGCUUCAGUAGCCAUUCUUGAAUUCGGCUUUGUUUGGAUAGCAUUAGCGAUAUGAUAUAUGUGAGAUAAAAAAAUAAUUAAAAAAUAUAUCUACAAAAAAAUGUAACGAUUUUUCUUUAAAAAUCUGCAAUUCAAACACACACCAUUUUAAAUAGACCUUUAAGAAAAUCUACAGCAAACUAGUACUAAAAUUCUUGAACUACAAAUCAGACCAUUCGAAAUGAAGCGGAUAACUUUUUGCCCUAAACAUUCUUCCAUCUCCUUUUGUUUAUAGUUUAUCCUCGGGAAAAGUUGGUCAGGGAGUCAACUCUUCAUCUCCUAGAGUCUUAAUAAUUGUGCUCAUGCAUUCCAAAAUCAAGGAGGGGGGCGGGGGGCGGGGCGGCUAAUCACAUACUCCCUCCGUCCCGUUUUAUUAGUCUUGGUUUUUUUUUCACACAGAUUAAGAAAGUGUAAUUAAUUUGGUUGGAAACAUAAAUUUAGAUUAAUAAUUUCCUAAAAUACCCUUAUGCUAAUCACGAAGAGUGCCAAUUAAUAUCAGUUACAGCUAAUUUAAUGUAGUGGGUUAGUAUUUAAUAACAAUGUAUUAAUAACAAGAUAUUUAAUAAGGGUAUUUUAGACAAUUUGAAAGAUUACUACAUUUCUUAAUGGGAAAGUGGACUACAAUUUGGGACGGACGAAAAAGGAAAACAAUACUAACAAAGUGGGACGGAUGGAGUAUUUUAAUGGAGCCAAUUUUGAAAGAUCACCUAAUCAAUAAAAUGAAGGAAACACGAUGAUGCCAUCAUUUGAUUCCACAUUGGCCCAAUAGUCGAGGUUAAGUUAGCUUGGAGCAGAAGUAGCACAGUAGUACAAUGGAAUAAUCUAAAAUUCUAAAGGAAGAUACGAAUCUCGAUGCUUUCCACAAGUUUUUUUGUCGAUUAUGUUCCUAAAGCGUCUAGAAAUCCAUAGUACGGGACAGCAAGCCGUUGUCCAAUGAGGCUAUUCCAUUUAUUCUAAAAUUUUGCGGUAACAACCCUCCAAAAAAAAUUAUUUGCUGUAACACGUUUUUCUUCUUCUUUUUUUUUUUUGUAUAAAGAAAUCGUCCAAUUAACUGCGGCAUUAAGCAGAAGAGCGUGUUCAUCUGCACAGCUGCUAAAUAGUACUUUGAAUGAAAAAUUUGUCAAAUUAGUCCUUCAUAUUUUUAGAAAAAUUUUUUUUAAUCCCUCACAUUUAAAAUCGGCAUCAAUAAUCCUUUAGAUAUAAAAAAACCUGCCUGAUUGGUCCCAAAAUUCGUUUUAACUCACUUUUUCAACCAAAAAGUACACAUCUUUCUCGCGUGUCCGUAAUUUUAAGGGUAAAAAAGAUGAAAAAACACUUCGUUUCCUCUUUUUAUUUAAAAAAGAAAAAAAAAUGUAGACCACUGAACCCUUUUUCCCCCCUCCCCUCCAUUUUUUAGCUACUAAAAUCCUAGUUGUAAGCCAUCAAACACCCAAUCAAAGAAGAAAAUUUUAGUGUGGUCACCUACAAGUAGUAAAAGAAGAGCAAAAAAGAACAUUUAAGAAACUCACUCAUUGAAGAGUACACUGGAAAUAAAUAAUGAUUGAUGUCAUUGUGAUAAAAAAAACCCAUGAUUGUGAUUUUUUGGAAAACUGCAAAUCCUAGAGAGAGAUUCUGUGGCUACCGAAACUAUGGAAUAAGUCCGAGCAUAUUUUAUUUUAGUUGUUUUAGAAAAAAUUGGUUCUUAAUAUAGAGUGAAAAUAGAUUCCUAAUAUGUGCUGUUAUUACAUUUUAGGUAAAUCGUACAUGUCACUAUUUCAAGUGGUAUAAUCCUCUGAUGUGCAAUAAAUCAAUUUCAAUGAUACCUACCUUGUUAAAGGCCAUCAAUCGGUUGGAAGCUGAGCAAGAAAGAAGAAUUUAAAAAGAAAAAUUACUCUGGGCUACUUUACUUACUUUUGAAUGUGUAUUUUGUUGAUUGUGUUGAAUAAGAAUUUAAUUACAGUCAAAAGAAGAAACAAAACAUAUGGUGUAAAAGCAAUAUGAUCUUUGCACCUUGAUUGUUGGCACCAUCGUCAACAUGAUAUUGAAAAAUGGAAAAAAUUAAAAUCUCCCUUGUUCGAUCGAGGUCUGUAUUUAGGAUUUUGGUGGCUAACAUAUUUUUUAAGAGGAAAUGAAAUGUGUUUUUAUUUUUGUCCUUGAAUUUAUGGGUAAGUGAGAGAAGCGCGCACUUCUUGGCCAGAGAAGUGAGCGAAAACGACUUUUAGGACCAAUCUAGCAGACUUUUUAUAUCUGAGAGACUAUUGUGGUUAAUUUUAAAUAUGAAGGUUUAAAAAAGGUUUUUUUUUUUUAAAAAAUAUAUUAAAGAAAUCGUCCAAUUAACUGCGGCAUUGAGCAGAAGAGCGUGUUCGUCUGCACAGCUGCUAAAUAUUUCUUUGAAAUGCAAAUAGAUCGUUAGCGGUGGGUCCCACAAGCUGGGAAGAUGGAAUGCCCGCUUUAUUACACGACGGGCAACGCUGGCCAUACAAUCAGGCCAGUCGAGUCCACGGCGGAGGAUACUUCGGGGAUCCUUUUCCAAGCCAAGAAAUUUCCGCGUGCACGUAUUUUUUUGUAUUUUUCCCCCAAUCCAUCAUGAAGCCAUGAAUUCAUUUUCUUUUGUUUCUCAGAAAAAAAGUUAAUGAGUUCGUAUAGGCUAUUGCUUAUAGUACGUGCCUUACCUUUUUUCCGUUUCCCUUGCGGUGGUGCGUGUUUCUCACGUAAUCACUGAUCAGCUCUCAAAAUACGAAAUAUGAGCGCCGGUAUCUUGGUACAGAUGCCCGUACAGUUAACUCCAGUGGACCGCUCUCCGCCCGUCCCUCUCCGUGGAAAUGCAAAAGGAGAGGCCCAUCCCCACCAUGGAAGGUUGCAUUCCAUUCCUAUUGCUUGCUCCGCGAUGACAGGCCAACAAACUGAGCAUCAACAUAAAUGAUGACAUUGUUGCAGCAAUUAUUGAUACGGUGAAAUGCUUAUCCUACUUAAAUAAAAGUUGGACGCAUGGACACGUCUUAGGUAGGACCUGUAGAAUUAAGCCGACCCAAAUUUCAGGCAAAAGCGUUGAAAUAGACUCGUUUUAGCUUGUCACUCAAUCGGUACGUCUAUUCGGCAAUUACGUAUGAAACUCAAUAAGUUGAUCCCAUAAUCUAUCUAAGCUUAAUGAUGAAAACCUGACCCCAGCGACGAAUGAAUUAAACUUCAACGGGAGCUUAUCCAACAACCCUAUUUAAUUCGUGUCUAUUCAUAUUCAAAUGGAUAAUUGGUGUAGUGACUAAGAUUGAAUUAGCAGUUUUGAAUUCGAAAUUUUUUUUCCUGCACUUUGCAAAUCUAUUUAUUCCCUAUUGGAAAUUUUUUUUUUUGUAAUAAAAAGGCUAUUCAUUGUUGAAUUUCUACGUUUAGUACUAAAUUUAAUUUUAACCCAGGAUUGAACUUGAGCUCAAGUUCAAACUCGAGAUUUACGCUAGGAGCUCUUCUCUUUUUUAUUUUUCUUUUUAGAGCUCUCCAUGGAGUCCGAGCAAGGUUAAAAGUCAAGUUCAGCUCAAUUGUGUUAAGAGUAAAUCUUUCCUACACUGACGGUGCAUACAUUAUCAGCAUUAGAUUCAUGACACUACGUAAAUGCAUUUAAAUUUUUUUUUGGGGAUUGUAUUCAACUCAAAUCCACAUCCGUUUACAAAAAACGGUUCACGAAAGGAGGCUAAUUUUCUCCCAGAGCGGUCCCAUUUGGAAUGCGGCUUUUCCCCCAAAAAUCUCUCGUAACAUAUUUUUUAACCACAUUUUAUAUGAAAAAGUUUUUAAAAAAAUACCUUUUUAUGUAAAAAAAUUUAUAAAUAUUUUAUUGACAUAUUUUUAACUAUUAUUUUAUCUCAUAUAUAUUUAAAAAAGCUUUUAAAAUAUUAUCUUAACAUAUUUUUAAAUUAAUUUUUUUCUCCACGAACAUCAUCAUGUCGUUAUCGUAAGUCAAUUUGAGUCUCAAAAGCUCCGAUCAAACACUACUGGCUCAUUAUUUUGGAAAUCACUACUCACUUCUCGCCUCUUGCCUCAGCCUCAAUUCGGACAAAUGGAGAGUAUCAAGGGUUCAGCGUUCUUUUUCAGUGGUUGAUAAUCCGAAAACAACACAUGAAUAAGCUUCACUACAAAUUUUAUAUUUAUAUAAAAGUAUCCAAUGAAAUCACGAAAUAUGAAUACUCCAUAAUAAAAUACCGUAGAAGUAAAAAUUUUGUACACCCUUUUUUGACCCCAUACCCGGAUUCCGGUCCCCAUUCAGCAGUGUCAAAGACACGGACAUAGGGACCACUCCCUCCAAUAACCAUACCCACUGCUGCAUCCUUACCCGCCCAACUCUUAUCUUCGGAUAAUGUAAUUACUAUAUAUACACCCGCCUUUCAUUGCCAUCUCCGCCCCCAAAUCACCCAGCAAAAAACCAGCAGCAAAUCUCCUCGUUUUGCAGACCAAACCCUCCCCUUCCUGCCUUGCUUCUACAGCUAGCCAACCGAGCGGGAUAUAGUUUAAUCGAUUGAAUCUCUGCAAUCGCUAUCAACCACCCCCGGAGGCUGGAAACAAAGGUGUGUUAAUGCGAUUUGGCAAUUGCAGGUUUGAUAGGUGCAGGGGUAAGACCCAGGAUUAAACGAGUUGCAGACAUCACGGCUAUACACAGAGCUUUCCGCCCUCUCAUACAUGUCCGAACUGUACGACGCAAGGGUUGUCUAAGCGAGAGCAACAACCCUUCGCCGCACGGCGGACGAGGCGCCUUGCCCUCUGAAGGCGGCAGCCCUUCCGACCUCCUCUUCCUCGCCGGCGGCGGUCAUUAACUUUUUUAUUAGGUCUAAUUUAUAUAGCAGUAUUUUAAAGUUAAAAUUGAUUUUUCGCACUACUAAAAUUAUACUUUCACCGCUCAAGUGUUUAAGUACGCCGAAUUCUGUUACCAACCAAGAAUCUCUGCUUUUGAUUGGUUUCGUUGACUUUUUAAUUGCUGCCCUCUGGGAAAUUUGAAAACUUGUAUGAAAAAUGCUGAGAAUUAAGAGGGUUCCUACUGUCGUUUCCAACUACCAAAAGGAAGAGGCGGAGGAAGGUGCUGCUCGCCAAGGAGGGGGGUGCGGCCGAAAUUGCCUCAUGAACUGUUGCCUUCCAGGUACUUGAUCAAUUGUUGCACCGUGAUUAUUAAAUUUCUUGUUUUAUAUGUCGUGUUUCUGGGGCUGAAGUGUAGUAUUUGGUUCUGUCUGUUGAUUGGACACUAGGCGCAAAGCUGCCUUUGUAUCGUUUUAAGAGGUUGAACGAAGUUGCUAAUGAGAAGGUUGGCCUUAGCCGUGAGAACAAAGAACCUCCGGUUCCUUUCCUGGAAUCUCUCCUGCUCGGGGAGGUAUAUGUCGUAAGAAUGCUAGGGUAUUAAAUUAAACUCUUAUUUUUACAUAUGCGUGCUGAGAGUAGCAAUUUGACUGUAGUGGGAGGGUCGGAUGCAAAGAGGCCUCUUUCGCUAUGAUGUUACUGCCUGUGAAACCAAGGUUUUUGCUUUCUCCCUUUUUACUAUCUAUUAUCUGUUUGGUUUUGAGGCUCUAGGAUGUCUUGCUCGAGAAUCCUAUAUGACAUUGAUGUAAACAACGAAUGUUGGAAUAGGUGAUUCCUGGUGAAUAUGGCUUUAUUGCUCAGCUGAAUGAGGGCAGGCACCUUAAGAAGAGGCCCACUGAGUUUCGAGUUGAUAAGGUUUUGCAGCCCUUUGAUGAGACCAAAUUCAACUUUACUAAAGUUGGGCAGGAAGAGAUCCUCUUUCAGUUUGAGCCGGGCGAUGAAGUCCAGUUCUUGCCAAGUGCACUCAUUGAUACUGAGAACUCACCAAGUGUUGUUGCCAUAAACGUUUGUUACUUUACCUUUCAUGGUCAUUGUAAUUGAUUUUUGUUAGAAUUUCAUCUAUUUUUAGCUGAAUUCGUCCUGGUUAAUUUACAGGUCAGUCCUAUUGAGUAUGGACAUGUGCUGUUAAUCCCUCAAAUUCUCAAUUGCUUGCCUCAGAGCAUUGACCAUGAUAGCUUGUUGCUUGCUCUGUACAUGGCUGCAGAGGCUCGAAGCCCAUACUUCCGAUUGGGUUACAACAGCUUGGGUGCAUUUGCCACCAUCAACCAUCUUCAUUUCCAGGUUCCAAUCUGCCAUCUACAUGGUGUACCGUUAAGCUCUGCUAAUUUGAUUUCAUAGUUGGAAAGUUCUCUAUAACGAAUUCUGGACUAAGUAAUUUGUUUUUCUAAUUAAAGGCCUACUACCUGGCUGUGCCAUUUCCCAUUGAGAAGGCUCCCUCUAAGAAGAUCACCACCACAAAAGGUGGGGUGCAAAUCUCAGAACUUCUGAAAUAUCCAGUCAGGGGUCUUGUGUUUGAGGGUGGAAAUACUCUCAAGGAUUUGUCCAAUGUUGUCGCUGACUCGUGCAUCUGCCUUCAAGAAACUAAUAUCCCUUACAAUGUUCUUAUCUCGGAUUCUGGAAAAAGAAUUUUCCUGUUCCCACAGGUAAGCAUUUCCGGUUAUGUAUUUUCUCAUGGUGACCUUGCACGUUGUGAGUGUUACUUGUACUCCUGCUUACUGGUUUAUUUUGUUUGGCUGUGUAACGUCUGACCUCUUUCUUGUUGGAUGGAAUUGAUAGUGCUAUGCAGAGAAACAAGCUCUUGGAGAAGUAAGCGCUGAGCUACUCGACACACAAGUUAACCCAGCAGUUUGGGAGAUUAGUGGGCAUAUGGUGCUGAAACAGAAGAAAGAUUAUGAGGAGGCAUCUGAGGAAAAUGCUUGGAGGCUCUUAGCUGAGGUAUCCCUUUCUGAAGAGAGGUUCCAAGAAGUGAAGGCUCUGAUCUUUGAAGCCAUUUCUUCUAGCAUUGAGGAAAUCGACAGUGUGAAUCCAAGCGUCCUUGAGAAGCCAGAUGUCACACAUCAGGCUCUUGAGGAUGUUGAUACCCUCAACAAAGGGUCUCAGCGAACAAUGGUGUCUGUGUAAGCAUGCUUGGUUCCCGCUGAGCAUUGGCCGAUACAUUUUAGAUUGGAUAUGGUGUCUGUUGUCAUACUAAUGAAGGUCAUUACAGGAAUUGGCCUUUCCUUGGUUGACAUGCCUUGAAUAAUGCAACUAGGUUUGUGGGAUUGGAUAAUGUAUGUUUACUGCAUAUUAUUGGCUUUGCAAACCUGAGUUCUAUGGUGCGAGUCAUGUAAACAUUUUAGAUUCGAUAUGGUGUCUAUUGUCGUACUAAUGAAGGUCAGAGUAAGUACAGGAUUGGCCUUUCCUCGUGUGACGUGCCUUGAAUAAUGC